ACGAAAUAAAGAGUUAUUUAGAAACUUCCAAUGAUUCAUAUAAGUUAGAUAAAAUAAAAGUUAGAAGUUAACAGAAAAUAUCACAAAAUCACGAUAUCAUGAAAACAAAGUGCGAAUAUAACUUGGACAGUUAUAAGUCCACUUGCUGCUUCUUGUUUGCUGUUUGAUGUUAUUUCCGAACUUCUUAAGUCCGAAAAAUGCUAUUUCCAGCCCUUUGAGGCUGCUGCAAAUCUGCUUUACUUUGAUCAAAUUGGCCAAAAUACUAGCUUCCCUUACACGAUUUUGACGAAGAUCGACUCAAAUAGCGGAGGAUGCAAGAGAUGGGGAGUCCGUUGGACACAACUGGAGAAAGUCCAUGCAAAAAAAAAUGAUGAAAACAAAGAUUAGCAAAACAAUCAAGUAGAAAACUAAUGAAGCUUAAUGAAAAGCAAAUGAUAAAAUUCAAUCAAAUAUUAGGAGUUAUGUUCAGGAAGUCAAAACAAUACAUAUGAAGCUACAGAAAGAUAACUAACUUGAUCAAAUAAUUUGACUAUAUGUACUUGCAACUCAAAAUUUCCAGUAAACAAAAGCGUGCAGAAAGUUGUAAAAAAUAAAUAAAUAAGAUAUCUGCCAACUUUUGUCUAAUAUGAUUGAACAUAGAUAAACAAAAAGGCAAGCCCAUCACAUAUAUCUCUCAGCUAAUCCAUUCAAUAAUUAAUUAAGACUAACUUUUUCCAGAAAACAUAAUUAAAACUGAAGAAACCUAUCCCCUAGAACAAGAACCAGGUUCUUGUAAGUUGGUUUAAGUCAAAACACAAACACUUGUUAAAUUAAAAACCUUCCUCAAUCAAGGAAGGAAAAACCUCGUUUUAUUAAAUCAACCAGAUGAUUUUUAUGAUCACAACUCAAUAAUCAAUAACCACACCACUACAACAACUCUCGAUUAACUAGUUAAAACAAUAACACUAGAUUGUAACUAAAUUAAUCCCAAGUAACAUAGAAAAGGAAUUAAACCAUAAAUUUAGCUGGUGCAAGAUAGUUGAACUAAUCUACACAAAACAUGAGAUGUGUAGGACUACCAAAAAAAAAACUAGCAGUUAAUCUCAACAGAUCAAUAUAUGUUUAAAGAUAAACUAAUUUAAAUGCAAUUGGAUCAAAGUUUUAACCAAUUUUAAUUUAUUUUAUAAGAAAAAUGAACAGAGACAAGGAAAAUACUUGAUAAUCUUGCACCAAAAUAAUUUGCCAAAUUCAAACAAGGAUCUCAUUACAGUUAAUCGAUCACAUAAGACAACUUAAGAUCACUCAACAUAUGUUAUCAUUUAAACAGACAAGAGGCUUAUGUUUAACCUGGAAAACAGAACCAAAAAUGAGAAUGAGCUAACACCUAGGAAGAUCAACGACAAAUAAUAAAUGCAAAGGAUUGCAAUUUAAAGAAGAAAUAACAAAUUUCUACUAUAAAAAGAAUUACUCUAAAAUAUCAAGAGAACUAAAAAAUGACUUAAAAUAUAAUGAACACUUUUCUGUGAACUUUAAAGAAUCUGAAAAUAAUAACAUGCAACACAAGCUUUCUUCUCUAAAUUAUUGCCCAAAAUAAGACAUCAAACUUAUACACACAUGGAACAAGACAUUAAAGGAAUAAAACCAAGACAAACUUGAAAGAAAACCUGUACAAACUUCUAUCCAUAUUGUACUUCAAUCAAGACAAAUAAACUUCAACAAGAAACAACUAUUGGCAAAAAACAGAACAAACUUUCGCAACACGACAAAGGAGUAACUAUAGAACUAACGGGGAUCAACAUAGUAUUCUCAGACCAAGCAACCUAAUAUGAAAGAAUACGCCAAUAGCAAGAAAUCAACACAAAUGAAUAUAAGAGGGUUGAGUGAAACAAGAAGCUCGAUUGAAUUGAAAUGCAAGGUGAGAACAUGAAUGGAAGUUAAUCCUAAUAGAACCAAUGAGUGAUAUUAAUUCUAGUUUCUAGGCGGACAGUAGAAAAGUGGAGAACUAACUAUAAGGUCUACACAUAAUCAAGGUACAGAUGAGUCCAACAAGAGGAAAACAAAUGCAAAAAACAACAUAAGAAUUUGUUAAUAACUAGAAAUACAAAUUAAGCUAGGUGAAGCAGGUUUCAUGAAGUUACAAAUUCAAACCAGAUGAUCACAAUGCUAGUCUAUAUUCGCUUCAAAUCAAAGAUGGAAAACAGAUUGUUAACUAGACAAAGAAAGGGAAGAGCUCAGCCUGAGCUAAGACAACUUUUAACCAAAAGAAAGAUAAUCAAACUGCCAACUCUGGAUUGAUACGAACUUAUUCCGUAUGAAGAAACCGAUAAUACAUUAAGCAACAAAUUUUUAAAGAAGAACAGGAACCAGAAAAUGAUGCAAAUAGAGGAGGGGAACAAGAUCAUAUCUCGACUACAAUAAUUCGAAUUACGUAAGAAUGUAAACUACUUCCACGAGUUUUAAGUGAACAUGAUGAGAAGUUAUUAUAACACAUCUAAACGAGAAAGAAAACAAUCAAACACAAGUAAUCAUUGGAGGAAACAGAACAACGCAGCCAUCAAACUCAAUGUUGAAACCAAAGACAUAAAAAAUGGGAACUCACAGAAAUGCUUUGAGCUGAGAGGAUAACAAGCUAAGGGGGUCAUACACAUACUAAAAGGAAGCUUAGCAAAUUUUAACACACAAUCUGAUAGGCAGCCCGAAGAUGAACCAAAUAAAAUGAGAAGCACAACAUUCCAAAGACCAUAAGAAGAUUAACAAUGAACAAAGAAAGAACAAAACUCUACACAUUAAUACUACUAAACAAAACAAGAAAGAAACCAUCAACAUUUAAGCUACCAAGGACGUAAUUAAACUGAACAAGACACGAAAAUAAUUCCUAAACUAAAGUAACUGACGACCAAACUGAUAGAAUCUGGUAUUUUGAUGAUAGACAAGAAAUGCAAAUAUUAAUGCAAAUAAUUUUCAUAGCCAAUUAACACAGUAUCGUAGCCAGUAUUGCAGCCAUCAGUGAAGAUACAAGUUGAUACAAAUAAGGAAACCUUAAUAUAUUUUAUUAAGUCAUGAAGUUGUAUAUAAAAAGAGUUGUACAAUAAAAGGUAAAAUCAGUACUCCUUGUUUAACUACAAUUACAAUUUCCUUACCUUAUUUGAUAAGGAUUUAAGACGCAAGAAAGCAGCAGGAAUAUCUAUAAAGGGAGAUCAAACGCAGAAGAGCAAAUGUCACGACCCAAAACGAAUCGUGAGUGGCACCCACACUUUGCCUACUAGGUGAGCGAACCAACAAAUCUAAACCCCAACAUUUACCAAUAGUUCAACUAUAAUUAACAAAAAUAAUGCGGAAGACCCAAAACUUAUUAAUGUAACCAAGUAAAUAAGCUUCUAAAGUUUAACACUUAUUAUACCCAAAAUCUGGAAGUCAUCACAUCAAGAACAUCUAUCCUCAAAUUACCAAGUCUAAGAGUAUUUUAAGAAACCAAAAUAAGUAAAAAGAUGGUCCAUGUUCGAAAUUCAAAGACAUCAAGACGUGAAGGAGAGAAUCCAGCACGAGCUAGGAAUAAUAGCUCACCCCGAACUCUGAUGUGCUGAAGAUUGGCUAGAGCUGAGGGCGAGUCGAAGUCGAUGACACACUUGUUGUACUCCACAAAAUAACAAAGAAGAAAAUACAAGAAGGGUCAGUACAAGGAACACGUACUGAGUAAGAAUCAUCGGCCAACUCAAAAUAGAAAAUAAUAUAUACUGAAUAAUAAUAUAAAAUCAACUACAAUACAUAAUAGGUGGAAAGCAACAAACACAUGAACCAUUGAGAACAACACCAUAAUAGGUACACCAUCAAUCACAACAUCAACCACACCUAUGAGGACUCAUACCUCCACACCAUACUCAUUUGGGAAAUAGGUUCUUUGAAUUUGAGUAUAUUAAGAUAAUUCAAGAUUCCAUUCCUUUAAUGUUAUCGUGUCGGAACGUGACACUUCGAUCCCAUAUACCGUGUCGGAACAUGACACUCCGAUCCCAUAAUACCGUGUCGGAACGUGACACUCCGAUCCCAUAAUACCGUGUCGGAACGUGACACUUCGAUCCAAUUAUCUCAUUAUUUAUUUCAUCAAGUCUUCUUUAUUCAAGGUGUCAUUUUAAUAGAGAGGGUUCAAGAUUAGAAAUUCAACAAUCUCAUAAUUUUAGGCCAACCACAAACCACACAAACAAAACAUACAACCACACAAUCAAGUACAUAGGAGACUUUACAAUAUCACUCAAUACAUAUCGAUCGCUAUUUAGAGUUUAUCUAUCACAUAGAUAUAAACCAUAACCUACCUCCACCGAAGAAUUGAAGUCGAGUAACUACUUCUCCAAUGCCUUUCCUUUCCUUAUUGCCUCCGAACCUUUCCAAUCUAUCAAGUAUAUAUAUAUGCACAAUUUGUAAGUUAACGAGUCUAUAAACACUCAGAUUAGUCUAUGUUUAGCCUAGACCCAAACACUCACCUAAUUAUAUAAUCAAUUUUUCAAAAUUCAAACCUAAGAAUAGAUCUUAAUUCCUUCCAUUAACAUCACUUUAAUGUAACUUAUACUAUACCUUAAAAUUAACCAAAUUAAACUAACUAAUGUUAUCUAAUUACGGUAAAAUUGUUUCGUCUCAAAUCACAAUUUCCUAUCCACUAACAUAAAUUCUUGACCAUCAAGAUGCCAUAAUUAUCCCCCAAUUGUGUGACUGCCUAUACUCGAACAAACCCACAACAAAUUGUCAACUUUCGAUCAGAACGUUCCUCAACUUUGUACUAUUCAAUUUCUCUUUAAUCUUUUUCCACUAUUCAUCAUAAAGACUCGCAAACGAUAAUUAAUCAACGAUUAUAUAUGUUAACUAUUAACAAAGAAGAUUACCUCUAAAAUAACUCCAAGUUGAUCUUUGGUGUAGCCGCACAACCUUCCCCUCACUUGGUUUUUACGCGUCUAUAUUUCCUCUUUUCUACAGAUUAGUUAUCAGCCUAAUUGUAUAGUUUUAAAAUUAUAAAAGUGACCCACUAUUAAUUUUAAAGUUAUCUCCUUUAACCCCCAACUAACUCAAUUAUUAAAACUACCCCACAAAUUUCAUAAUUAUAAUUACGAAUAGUCCAAAACACCCAUUUAAAAUUUAGCGGAAGUCUGACCACAUGUGGGGUUAUGCAGCUUGUGACGGUCCGUCUUGCAGAUUCGUCACGAAGUUCAGAGAAGUAAUCCCAGUACCCAGAUUCCAAGAGUUGAAGUGUUUUGGAAUGAAGACGUUCGACGGACCGUUGUGCCUAUGACGGUUCGUCAUACUUGCCGUCGAGGGUAGUGAAGAGAGAAGCAGAAGAAAUUGCACAAGUAUGGGACGACGGAGUCCAUGACGGUCCGUCAUGACCAUGACGAUCCGUCGCGUGGUUCGUCGACCCAGUAAGUAUUUAUCAAAAAUAAUUCUACUGCUCAAACCGACUAAAUGGGUUGUUACAAUAGAUACCAAUUUACCCAUCGUUUGUCCUCGAAUGAUCACAGGAAGAAAAGGGAGGGCGAGAAAGAGUACCUGAAUUUGUAAAAAGACGUCGAUAUCUUUCUUUCAUAUCGACCUCACUCUCCCAUGUGGACUCUUCAACUGGCCGAUCCUUCCACUGAACCUUGAUAGAUGCAAUCUCCUUUGAUCUCAACUUGCGGACCUCCCUAUCUUGAAUAGCAAUAGACUCUUCCUCAUAAGACAGAUUCUCAUCAAGAAGAAUUGAAUCCCAACAAAUAAUAUAAUUUCCAUCACCAUGGUAUUUUUUCAGCAUAGACACAUAAAAUACCGGGUGCACUCCUGACAACCCUGGAGGCAAUGCCAAUUCAUAGGCCACAUCCCCCACGCGCUUCAAAACUUCAAAUGGACCAAUAUACCUCGGACUAAGCUUACCUCGCUUACAAAACUGCAUCACACCUUUCAUGGGUGAAUCCUUGAGCAAGACUUGUUCACCCUCCAUAAAGUCCAAGUCCCUAACCUUUCGAUCUGCAUAUUCUUUCUGCCUACUCUGAGCUGCUAGAAACUUCUCCUGAAUGAAUUUUACUUUAUCUAACGAUUCCCUCAAAAGAUCGGUACCCCAAGGUCUCACCUCAAAUGCAUCAAACCAACCAAUGGGAGACCUACAUCUCCUCCUAUAUAGUGCCUCAAAUGGAUCCAUAUCAAUACUUGAGUGAUAGUUAUUAUUGUAUGAAAACUCUACUAAGGGUAAGAAUUUAUCCCAAUGACCACCAAAUUCUAUCACACAUGCACGAAGCAUAUCCUCCAACACCUGAAUCGUUUGCUCAGACUGACCAUCGGUCUGAGGGUGAAAUGCAGUACUAAGAUCCAACCUAGUACCUAAUUCAGCAUGUAAUGUUCUCCAAAACAUAGAAGUAAAUUGCGUACCUCUAUCUGAUAUGAUGGAAAGUGGAACUCCCUGCAAUCGAACAAUUUCUGAGAUAUAGAGUUUGGCUAACUUCUCUGCAUUGUAUGUUAUCUUGACCGGAAUGAAGUGAGUAGACUUAGUUAACCUGUCAACAAUUACCCAAAUAGAAUCAAACUUACCCAAUGUCUUUGGAAGACUAACCACGAAAUCAAUUGCAAUUCUUUCCAACUUCCAUUCAGGAAUGGACAUUCUCUGAAGUGUCCCUCCGGGCAUCUGGUGUUCGUACUUUACCUGCUGACAAUUCGGGCAUUGGGCAACAAAAUCAACAAUGUCACGCUUCAUUCUACUCUACCAAAAAUGUUGCUUUAGGUCACGAUACAUCUUGGUUGCACCGGGAUGUAUAGAAUACCAUGAACUAUGAGCCUCUAUAAGAAUAGUGUGAAUCAAAUCAUCAACACGGGGCACACAUACCCUUCCCUUAAUUCUCAAAACGCCUAUCUCAUCAAUUAUUGCCUCUUUAGACUCUCAUCACAAUACCAUAUCUCGAAUUUGGCUCAGCUUCUCAUUAGCAAACUUCUUUCCCUUAAUCUUGUCAAGAAAAGAAGAUUUUGCCUCCACACAGGCUAAAAAUCCUCCUUUCUCUAGUUUUUCUAGCCUCAUAAAGUCAUUAGCCAAAGUCUGAACCUCUCUAGCCAAUGGGCGUCUAGAAACCUGUAAGUGGGCUAAACUACCCAUGCUCUCUGCUUUUCUACUUAAAGCAUAUGACACAACAUUAGCUCUUCCUGGGUUAUACAAAAUAGUAAUAUCAUAGUCCUUCAAUAGUUCCAUCCACCUCCUCUGCCUCAAAUUCAAAUCUUUCUGAGUAAAGACAUACUGUAAACUACGAUGAUCUGUAUAAACUUCACACUUGACCCCAUAUAGAUAAUGUCUCCAUUGCUUUAAUGCAAAUACAACUGCAGCCAACUCCAAAUCAUGGGUCGGAUAUUUACGUUCAUGCACUUUUAAUUGCCUCAAAGCAUAAGCAAUUACAUUCCUCUCCUACAUUAGCACUGCACCCAAACCAGAAUAAGAUGCAUCACAAUAAACAAUAAAAUUCUUACUUUCCAUUGGCAAGGUAAGAAUUGGUGCAGUAGUCAACAACGUCUUGAGUUUCUGGAAGCUUUCUUCACAUUCGUCCGACCAUACAAAUGGAACAUUCUACUUAGUUAAAUUUGUCAGCUGGGAAGCAAUAGAAGAAAAUCCCUUGAAAAAUCGAUGGUAGUAGCUAGCUAAACCAACAAAGCUCCUUACCUCUGAAACAUUAGUAGGUCUUACCCAACUCUUCACUGCUUCAAUCUUAGAAGGAUCCACCAUCACUCUAUCCUUAGAAACCACGUGCCCCAAGAAGGACAUUGAAUCUAGCCAAAACUCACACUUGGAGAAUUUGGCAUAAAGCCUUUUCUCCCUCAACAACUCCAAUACAAUUCUCAAAUGUUCCUCAUGUUCUUUCCUGCUCUUUGAGUAUAUCAAAAAAUCAUCAAUAAAUACAAUAACAAAGAGAUCCAAAUAUGGCUUAAAAAUCUCGUUCAUCAGGCUCAUGAAAGCAUCAGGGGCAUUCGUAAGCCCAAAAGACAUUACUAAGAAUUCAUAAUGCCCAUACCUAGUUCGAAAAGCAGUCUUUGGAACAUUUGAUGCCCGUAUUUUCAAUUGGUGAUAACCGGACCUCAAAUCAAUUUUAGAGAAGACACAAGCACCUUGUAACUGAUCGAACAAAUCAUCAAUGCGAGGAAUUGGAUACUUGUUCUUAAUAAUUACCUUAUUCAGCUGCCUGUAGUCUAUGCACAUUCGAAAACUUUCAUAUUUCUUCUUCACAAAUAAAACAGUAGCACCCCAAGGGGAUGCACUCGGUCUAAUAAAACCUUUACCUAACAAUUCCUGAAGUUGGGCCUUCAACUCCCUUAACUCAGCUGGAGCCAUUCUAUAAGGGGGAAUGGAAAUGGGGCGAGUACCCGUCUCUAGAUCAAUACAAAAAUCAAUAUCCCUAUCCGGUGGAAUACCAGGAAGGUCUGCAGGAAACACAUCCACAAACUCACGGACUAUCGAAACAGGCUCGAUCGAAGAUACUUUGGAAGUAUCAUCACUGAGAUGUGCCAAGAAAGCUAAACAAUCCUUACUCACCAUCCUCCUAGCACGAAGAAAAGAGAUAGUAAGAACUGGAGUUGAAAUAUAGUCACCCUCCCACACUAGCGGAUCUGUCCCAGGCUUGGCCAAUGUCACAGUUUUUGCAUUACAAUCUAAGAUUGCAAAAUUUGGAGAAAUCCAAGUCAUACCCAGAAUUACAUCAAAAUCAACCAUCUCUAGAAUAAUCAAAUCUACAUAAGUAUUGCUCCCCACAAAAGUCACAAGGCAAGACCUAUACACCUUCUCAACUAUCAGAGACUCACCCACAGGAGUAGAGACACGAAUAGGCUUGUCAAACAAAUAACAAUAUAAAUCAAGACUAGUAGCAAAUGAGGAAGAUACAUAUGAAAAUGUGGAUCCAGGAUCAAAUAAUACAGAAGCCAUGCAAUCAUAGACCAAAAGAGUACCUGUGAUAACAGCAUCAGAUGUCUCUGCUUCAGACCUCCCGGGGAAAGCAUAACAAUGGGCCCUAUUACCUUUUUGUCCAUUGCCCCUACCAAGUUGUGCUGCAGUAGUUCCAACUUGCCCACCACCCCGACUGAUUUGGUGACCACCAUUACCUUUGCCACCACGUCCUCCAAAAUGGCGGCCUCUACCAUAACCACAUCUACCUCUAACUAUCGGGGGUCUGUAACUCUGUUUUGGACAAUAUUUCCUAAUAUAUCAAGUCUCUCCACAUCCAUAACAAUUUCUAGAGUCAAUCAUAGGUCUCUGUGAGAAUGACGAAGUCUGGGGACAACCUCCAAACUCAGAAAAAGACUGACUGGUCUGCGAUGGACCCCCAGCUAAAGCCUGCAGUGAAGACUGAAUAGGACGGGCUGGGUAACCUCCUGAACUCUGCCCUCUGGAGUAAGAACCACUAAACUCACCUCCCUUACGGAACUUCUUAAAUGUCAACGCCAUGGUGAAGUCGUCUGGCUUCACCCCCUCUACCUCUAUCACAAAAUCAACCACUUCCAGAAAGGAUUUUGCUGCAGCAGCUACCUGUAAGGCUGGGAUCCGAAAAUCUGACCUCAAUCCUUUCACAAAGCGACGAAUCCACUCUUGUGGACUGAAGCAAAGCUGAGUGGCAUACCUUGAUAGUGCACGAAAUUUGACCUCAUAAGCAGCAACGGACAUCCUUCCUUGCUCUAGGCUUAGGAACUCAUAUCUCUUUUAUCCGUCAAAGUCUGGGGUAUAUACUUCUCCCUAAAUAAGCUAGAAAAUAAUGCCCAAGUCAUGGGUGGUGCCUGUACUGGUUGACACUCAACAUACGACCGCCACCACAUUUUGGCAUCCCCCUGAAACUGAUAGGUCACAAACUCAACACCGAAUCGUUCUGCUAUGUCCAUCUUAUGUAGCAGCUCAUGACAAUCAACCCGAAAAUCAUAGGCAUCUUCAGAUUCAGCACCCUUAAAGACUGGAGGUUUUAACAUUAAGAACUUAAUGAAAAGUUCAUGUUGAUCACCGGUCAUUAUACAAUCGAGGAAAUGUGGCUAUUUCCAAUGAUGCAUCCAUGCGAGGAGCCACAGCAGCUGCAUGUUGUACUCCCAGAACCUGAGGUGGUGGUGCAGAAAACACUGGAGGUGUCUUGCCCUGAUAAGAUAACCCGCUAAGAUAAGUAAGAACCUGAUUAAUAAUCUCUGGGGUAGGCUGGGGUGGUAAUUCCUCAUCUUGAACCUGCUCAUUUUCCCCUUCCUCACCCUCUCUUACUACCUCAUUAGUCGGUGGAGGAGUCACUGCUCUAUUCCUCGCUGGACCAGGUGUUUGUCCUCUACCCCUAGUGGGCGUCCUCCUGCGACCUCUACCACGGCCUCUUGCCACUGCUCCUCCUCGAGUUACAACCCCAAUGAUUGGCUCAAACGCACCCUGUCUUGCCGGUGUUGGUGUUGGCACAGUUGUUGCUCUAGUUCUAACCAUCUGUGAAAUAGAGUGAGGAUGUCAGAUACCAAUUUGUGUAACCUAGAUACCAAUUGGAUCAAAGUAAUAGCACGAGAGAAAGAAAGAAUGGAGUUUUCCUAAAGUCCUAUAGCCUCUCGAAGAAAAUUAAAGGCGUCCCCAUACCGUUCCUUAAGACUCUACUUGACUUAUUCUUGUGUGAUAAGGCCAACGAACCUAACGCUCUGAUACCAAGUUUGUCACGACUCAAAACGAGUCGUGAGUGGCACCCACACUUUGCCUACUAGGUGAGUGAACCAACAAAUCUAAACCCCAACAUUUACCAAUAGUUCAACUAUAAUUAACAAAAAUAAUGCGGAAGACCCAAAACUUAUUAAUGUAACCAAGUAAAUAAGCUUCUAAAGUUUAAAACUUAUUAUCCCCAAAAUCUGGAAGUCAUCAAAUCAAGAGCAUCUAUCCUCAAAUUACCAUGUCUAAGAGUAUUUAAAAAACAAAAAUAAGUAAAAAGAUGGUCCAUGUCCGAAGUUCAAAGACAUAAAGACUUGAAGGAGAGAAUCCAACACGAGCUAGGAAAAAUAGCUCACCUCGAACUCUGAUGUGCUGAAGACUGGCUAGAAUUAAGGGCGAGUCGAAGUCAAUGGCACACUUGCUGCACUCCACAAAAUAACAAAGAAGAAAAUAUAAGUAGGGUCAGUACAAGGAACACGUACUGAGUGGGUAUCAUCGGCCAACUCAAAAUAGAAAACAAUAUAUAUUGAAUAAUAAUAUAAAAUCAAAUACAAUACUUAACAGGUGGCAAGCAACAAACACAUGAACCAUUGACAAAAACACCAUAAUAGGUACACCAUCAAUAACAACAUCAAGCACACCUAUGAGGACUUAUACCUCCACACCAUACUCAUUUUGGAAAUAGGUUCUUUGAAUUUGAGUAUAUUAAGAUAAUUCAAGAUUCCUUUCCUUUAAUGUUAUCGUGUCGGAACGUGACACUCCGAACCCAAAUACCGUGUCGGAACGUGACACUCCGAUCCCAUAAUACCGUGUCAGAACGUGACACUCCAAUCCCAUAAUACCGUGUCGGAACGUGACACUCAGAUCCAAUUAUCUCAUUAUUUAUUUCAUCAAGACUUAUUUAUUCAAGGCGUCAUUUUAAUAGAGAGGGUUCAGGAUUAGAAAUUCAGCAGUCUCAUAAUUUUAGGCCAACUACAAACCACACAAUCAAAGCAUACAACCACACAAUCAAGUACAUAGGAGACUUUACAAUAUCACUCAAUACAUAUCGAUCGCUAUUUCGAGUUUAUCUAUCACAUAGAAAUAAAUUAUAACCUACCUCCACCUAAGAAUAGAAGUCGAGUAACUACUUCUCCAAUACCUUUCUUUCCUUAUUGCCUCCGAACCUUUUCAAUCUAUCAAGUAUAUAUAUAUGCACAAUUUGUAAGUUAAUUAGUCUAUAAACACUCAGAUUAGUCUAUGUUUAGCCUAGACCCAAAAUCUCACCUAAUUAUAUAAUCAAUUUUUCAAAAUUAAAACCUAAGGAUAGAUAUUAAUUCCUUCCAUUAAAGUUACUGUAAUGUAACUUAUAUAAUAUACUAUACCUUAACAUUAACCAAAUUAAACUAACUAAUGUUAUCUAAUUACGGUAAAAUUGUUUCGUCUCAAAUCACAAUUUCCUAUCCACUAAAAUAAAUUCUUGACCAUCAAGAUGCCAUAAUAUCCCCCCAAUUGUCUUACCGCCUUUAAUCGAACAAACCCACAACAAAUUGUCAACUUUCGAUCAGUACGUUCCUCAACUUUGCACUAUUCAAUUUCUCUUUAAUCUUUUUCCACUAUUCAUCAUAAAGACCCGCUAACGAUAAUUAAUCCAUGAUUAUAUAUGUUAACUAUUGACAAAGAAGUUUACCUCUAAAAAAACUCCAAGUUGAUCUUUGGUGUAGCCGCACAACCUUCCCCUCACUUGGUUUUUACGCGUCUAUAUUUCUUUUUUUUCUACACAUUUGUUAUCACCCUAAUUGUAUAGUUUUAAAAUUAUAAAAAUGACCCACUAUUAAUUUUAAAGUUGUCUCCUUUAAUCCCCAACUAACUCAAUUAUUAAAACUACCCCACUAAUUUCAUAAUUAUAAUUAUGAAUAGUCCAAAACACCCAUUUAAAAUUUAGCGGAAGUUUGACCACAUGUGGGGUUACGCAGCUUGUGACGGUCCGUCGUAUCUAUGACGGUCCAUCCUGUAGGUUCGUCACGAUGUUCAGAGAAGUAAUCCCAGUACCUUGCUUCCAAGAGUAAAAGUGUUUUGGAACGAAGACGCUCGACAGACCGUUGUGCCUAUGACGGUUCGUCUUACUUGCCGUCGAGGGUAGAGAAGAGAGCAGCAGAAGAAAUUGCACAAGUAUGGGACGACAGAGUCCAUGACUGUCCGUCGUGACCAUGACGAUCCAUCGCGUGGUCCGUCGACCCAGUAUGUAUUUAUCAAAAAUAAUUCUACUGCUCAAACCGACUAAAUGGGUUGUUACAGCAAAACACGACUUUUACAUAGAGAGAGAGUUAUUCAUCAAGUGAAAUCCUUCAAGAUCGAUAGGUUUUGCUAAUUUCAAAGAAUUUCUUGAGUUAGAAAGUCUUGAAGAAGUUCUUGAGUUAGAAAGUCUUGAACGUGUAAAACUAUUUUCUUCAUUCAUUGUUGAGUUGGUAGUUACGUUUUUGUGCAAGAAGUGGUUUGGCUUUUGUAGAGCUGAGCUUUGGUGAGGUUUGUAACAAAAGGUGGAUUUGGCCUUUUGAAAUAGAAGUAGUUGAUUAUAGUUAAUCGAUAGUUGUUGUAGUGGUGAGGUUAUUGAUUACAUAAAAUCAUCUAGUUGAAUUAAUAAAACGAGAUUUUUGUUCCUUAAUUGAGGAAGGUUUUUAAUUUAACAAGUGUUUGUGUUCUGACUUAAACAAACUUACCGGGAUAGGUUACCUGAUUCUAGGCAGUGAACCGGGACCACAAGUUGAGAAGAUGACUCUACCUCUUCAACUCGAAAAGCCACAAAACAUUUUAAAAUAUUGAACUAUGGAACCAAGAAUUCCCAAAAAAAAAGGGUACUCUUUGGACUCCAAAUCCCCCUUUUGAACAUUGAAUAAGAAGACUAUUUAUAAGGGGAAACCGGAAAGGAACAAGGGGUCUGGAUCGAUGUGGGAGAAUCCCAAAUUCAAAAGCUAUCAUCAUACCAAUUGCCAAAAAAAUGAAGAGGACCGCUUUAUUAAGAGCAAAGGACGAAGGAGGAAUUGAGAUGCAAACACCUGGAUUUUCUCCAAUGUGGUACGACUACGAAUGGAUUAGGAUUGACGCGAAGCCACAAACGUGAUUUGGAUGCUCGUGAUUGUAGCAUUUCUGAGUUUCUUUUCUUUACUGGGUUUUUUCGCGUCUAUAAAAGACUCUAGGGUUGUUGAAUUUGUGGGAAUAAAAAGAUACAGGGUUGGGUUGGGUAUUUGGUAUUGUAUUGUUGGAUUAUGAACUGAGAAAUGGUCUUGGGUUUUGAGGAAUAAUUCGUAAUGGGCUGCAGGAAGGGUUGAAUACGACCCAGAAUUAGUCUUCAAGAAUUGCAACUCAAGUUAAAGGGGAUGACUAUAUUUGCAAUUAAACAUAUAACUAAUUGAGGUUGAAAAUUUAAUGGAUUUGAAAUCAAUAGGUACAUUCGGCCAAAUCUUAAUCAAGACGAAGUCAAACAAAAUUAAUUGACGAACUUCUUAAACUUAACGAAAAUGAAAUAAUUAACCUUAUCAUAAACUAAAUGGUUUAAAAAUUAUUGACAUAGUUUAAACUAAACUAAUUCAAUGAAAUACUUACUAAAAAUUAUAUUCUCUUUUUGAGAUAAUUUUCAAAAUAUUUAUAAAAUAUGCUAAUUAUAUAAAAAAUUAUAUAUCUAUAAAACAUAUAUACUACUUAAAAAUUAUAUAUAUGUUAAAAACUAAUUAAAAUAUUUUGAAUUUGAUAAAGUUAGUUAUUUCAAGUCGUUUGAAAAUUAUGAAACUCGAAAUUUAAUUCCAAUCACGGGAAGUCAAAAUUGGGUGUCAACAGUCGUACUUAGAAGGAUUUUCGUAUUUUGUUUUGUUAUUUCUAUCACCAAAUUCACCAGUUUUUCGUUAAUAGACAUCCUACAUCAUUUUUAUAUUAUAUUCUGUUAUCUCCGUCACCAAAUUCAUUGUUUUCUUCUACUGGAAUUACGCUUCAUGCUUACACAUCCAUAAAUUUCAAGUAGCAUCAAUACGUACCUUAUGGUACAAUAUAAACCUUGCAACAUGACAUAUGUUUUUUUUGUUAUUCCCAUCACCAAUUUCACCAGUCUUUUAUUGACUCUUAAUCUACUGCAAUUGUUUUUCUUUAUCGAGCUUUAGGACUAAGAGCUCAUGCACAAAAAUUUAAGUAAUACACAUCAUCAUUAGUGUCAAAGCCCGAUAUAUUAAAAAAGAGUCAACUAUCACCAGUUUAGUGAAAAAUAUAGAUACUAUGUGUUGUGUUGAAUCCCUAAAUAUUAUAUCAAAUGAUUAAAACUAUCCAUAUUCAUAUUUUUUCUAUAAAAAUUACCCCUCAUAAAAAAGAAUUUGUCGAAUACUUCAAAUAAAUCCUGAAAUCACGUUUUGAAUCAAUAAAAUUCUAUUGAGUGAAUAUAUGUUGUAAUUAGAAAGAGUCUCAGUAUUUUGUUUUAUUAUUUCCAUCACAAAUUCAGCAGUUUUACGUUAAUAGUCAACAUAUAUAUACUGAUACCAUCUUCCUCUAUUGUGGCUUCGCACUAAAAUCUCAUGCACAUAAAGUUUCAAUAAUAUUUAUCAUCAUCAAUGACAUAACAACAUGUAUUUAAAGGUGUCAACUAAUACCACUUCAUUGAAAAAAUAUAUUAUGUAGAUAUCUGAAAAGUUUUAUCACGGCAAUAAAAUCAGCUUUUAGAGACACAAAUAUACAAAUUUACAAAAAAUGCUAAAAUAUUUACCAGUAUUAGUUAUUUUUUAUUAUAUCAAAUGUCGUUAAAUGCUCUAGGAGAUUGACAAAGUGUGUUAAUUGUUGUUAUAUUUAGUGACAAUUAAGCUAUUAUAGUUAUUUAAUUGCAGCUAAAGAUCAUUUUUGGUGUACUGACAUAGUACGUAUUGAAUCCCUUUAUAUAUUUACUCGUAUAUUUUGUCAAAUUUUGUGUUUUUUAUUUCCACUUACAAAAUUAGCUGAUUUUACAUUAGUAGUCAACCUACUGCAAUCGUUUUCCUCUAACAAGGAUUAGGAUUGAGCUCAGGCCUGUCGUAAUAUCAAUAUUUACCUUGUGGUACAAUAUUAACCUUUCAACAUGGUAUAUAUAGUUUUGUUAUUCCCAAUAUCGGAUUCACCAAAAAAAAUUAUUGACUAUCAACCUAGUGCAAUUUUUUUUUUCUAUCAAGCCUUAGGACCAAAACUCAUUCUCAUAAAUAUUUAGUGGUAUAAUGCACAAGUAACCCCUCAACCUAUGCCCGAAAUCUUAUCGACACACUUAUAACAUACUAAGUUCCUAUUACCAUUUGAACUUAUUUUAUUAAUAAUUUUCAACCCCUUUUCGCUCUACGUGACACUAUCUUGCGUGUCUAAUACUGGGUGACUUUUUCUUUCAAGAUAGUUCCACGUAGGCCGAAAAUGGGUAGAAAAUUACUUAUAAAACAAGUUUAGGAGGUAAUAGGGUCAAAGUAUAGUAUAAAUGUGUCUCUGAGAUUUCGGGCAUAGGUUGAGGGGGUAUUUAUGCAUUUUUUCAAUAUUAAGAAAUACACAUUCUUAUGAGUGGCAAAGCCACAUGUAUUCAAAAAGAGUAAACUAAUACCAGUUCACGAAAAAAUAUAUAUAUUAUGUGUUGUGUUAAUCGCUAAAUAUUAUAUCAAAUGAUUAAUGACGAUUCAAAUUAAUAAUUUGAGUGGAUUAUCUUAAAAUUAACUUUCUAGGAAAAUAUUCAAUUAACAAACCUCAUUAAUUUCUUCUUACUUAAAAACAAUAGAGGCAAUAUUCAUUGAAGUAUUGCACUUAAUAGUCAAAUUUAACAACUUUAGUCAAAGUUCAAUUGAUUGAAUUAAUAAAUAUUAUCCCAAAUGAUUAAUGACAAUUUGAAUUCAUAUUUGAGUGAAUUAUCUUAGAAUUAACUUUCUAGGAAAAAAAUUCAAUUAAUAAACCUCAUUGAUUUCUUCUUACUUAAAAACAAAAAAGGCAAUAUUAAUUUGAUUAUUGCACUUAAAAGUCAAAUUUAGCAACUUUAGUCAAAGUUCAAUUGAUUUUACUAAUAAAUAUAUAUAAUAUGUAAUAAAAUUUAGUCAACACAUUAGUAACUUUCAUUAAAUAUGACUAUUUCAACCUGUCUAUAUAUAACCUCCGAAACAUUUCUUUGAAAAAAUAUAAUUUAAAAAAGAAUAUCCAAUGGAAGAUCCAACUAUCAUUGGAAGAGUAGAGUUGUUGGUUUCACCACUUUGUGGAAUUCCACAAUGAAGAGUUGCCUAUUUUUUAGAUCCAAUUUCUACUUCAACUGAAGGACCAAAGUCGAAAACUCAUUCAAUCCACAUUCCAUUUGAUCAAUCUGAGUGGCCAUUGAAAGUCACAUUUCAUGGUUGCAAUGGACGGAGGGAUCAACAAAGGAAAUUGAAAGAAUGGGUUGAAAUGAUGGAGUCUAUCCAUCGCCUGUAUUGAUAGUUGUAGGAAUUUAUGGAGCGCUAAAAAGGUUCAACUUAUAGAGUCCAUACCGACAAAAAUUUAAUAUUUGGGUUGGUAGAGAGGUGGUCUUGUGAGAUCAACAGUUUAAUGUUUCCGUGGGGUGAAGCUACUGUUAGUCUUGAAGACAUUAUGAUUUUUGGAGGGUUUUCUACUUUGGGUGAUUGUGUUAUGUCCCCACCCUUCAAUCCCCUGAGUUGGUAGAGAUGGAAGAGUAUCUUGAGAAUGCGAGAGGAGAACUUAUCAGAUCAAAGAGAAAUAAUCAGAGUAGGUGGUUGAAUUACUUCAUGAAUAGUGGUAAGGAGUACGAACACGAAGCUUUUCUUUUUCUUUGGUUAUCAAGAUUUGCGUUUCUGUGUAAAGUAGGUGCUCCUAUUUUCUCGAUAGUUGUUAAUCUAGCUAGAGGUAUGCGGCAAGCGCUUGCUCUUGCUGUUCUUGCUAGUAUAUAGGGACUUGGGCUCGUUGAGAAAGGCUAUGAUAGAGACAAGUAGAAGAAAUAGAGACAUAAUUGAGAUUUAUAAACUUAAUCUUUGGUCACCAUUGUUCUUUGUUUAAGUCUGGGCUUGGGAGAGGAUGUACCUUCUCAACCAGAGCUAUCUCGGAAUUACAAUAUAGUUAGUGGGGUUAGAUAAGGCCGAUGGUACAAUGUGAAACAAAUGGGUGAAACUAAUUUGAGGACUACUACUGACGCAUCUGGGGAGAUUUUUCUGUGAAGUCCAUAGGCCUUGGCUGUGGAAGGUUUGUCAAUUUUUCCCAAGUUUUACAAGGAAAUUGAAGCGUGGACAAUAGUUGGAGGGCUAAAUUUUGCUCAAGAAAUGGAGUCUUUCGUUCGAUGUUUGAGGGUGUCUAAGCUUGCUGGUUUAGAAUGUCAAGACCCUUAUCAACCAAAUCAGGUAGCAAUGCAGUUUGGAUAUGAUCAAGACUUCCCUAAAUGGAUUCCUCACUCGCCUUCAAGUCGAGAACUUGCCUGGUACAAUUACAGCAUACCUAUUGCUUCUGAUUUGAGGUUAUACUAUCCGUCUAGGAUGUUUGAACCGGAUGUAACAACACGGUAUUUGAAAUGGUGGAGAAAUGAAACUGAUCGUCAAAUGGAAAACUACCCUGAAGUUCCUCCUUGUUUUCCUCCCAAUUAUUGUUGGUAAAAUGACAAGAAGAAUUACCCUGGUUCGAAGCAUAAGCAUAUUGCAGAGGAAACAGUUCACACAUCCAUUGACUGCAGUGUAGUCCCCCUGCCAGGAAGUAUGGAAAGGAGCAAAGCUUCUAUGGUAACAGAAACGUAUACCAAAACAACUUAAGGCAAUAUGGCGAUGGGAAACCAUGAGAAAGGGAGUUGUAUCUAUGAUAUGAUUGAUAUUAUGAAACUUGAGAGGAGGAUUAGAAACCUUGAAAACAUCAAUUCUGGAAAGGUUCCAAUAUUCAGGACAAAGUGAAAACAAGAUUAAGCUAAAAUAUAGUAAGUUUUUGUUUUGUUCAUGAAGUUAUAUAUUAUAUUCUUCUUUAUUGCCUAGUACUCAGACAGUACUACUAGCUCGUUCUUCUCUUUAGGUCCUUUUGUAACUAUAUAUCUCAGGUAUAGUAAAAAAAAAUUACUUGAAUCAUGAAGCGUUUGUGGUUUCUAACUAUUUAGCUCUAUGAAGCGUUUAUGGCUGUUGCAAAAGAUAUAAUCACUAGCAUGUUUUUGUUCCCAGACUAACAAAUUUUUAUGAACGCAGAGUCCGAGAUUCUUUCUAAUUCUCUCCCUCCUUCAAUUAAACCAAGUUGAGUGACAAACAUCUUUUCUUAAGUGUGGAGAUUAGAGAAUAAAUUAACAGGAAAGGGAUGAGAUAAUAUUGAACUAAUUAAUUUGGUCAUAUUCUUCUCUGAAACUGUACUUAUUGCAGAUAGCCUUGACAAAAAAAAUAAACUUUUGAGCAUGUGUUUGUUUUAGGGGAUAUUUGCAAGACAGUUAUGGAGCUAUUUCGCAUGAUCAAUUUAGAUGCAUGGACCAACAUGGUAUUGUCUAUUCCAACUUGUUUGAAAUUGAGAUGCAGUAGUAGUAGUUAUUGUUUCAGUCUUGGUAUAAUGUUAUUUUUCAUAUUUUGUUUUGUUAUUUCCAUCAUUAAAUUCACCAAUUUUACGUUAAUAGUCAGCCUACUGCGAUCGUAUUAUGUAGAUAGGUGAUUUUUUUAUUGAUAUACGCAUUAAUUAUUGAAUCCCUUCAUAUACUUAAUCCUGUAUUUUCAUAUUAUGUUUUGUUAUCUCCGUCACCAAAUUCACUGUUUUCCUCUACUGGGAUUAGGGCUUAAUGCUUACGCAUAUGUAAAGUUCAAGUAGCAUCAAUAUGGACCUUAUGGUACAAUAUAAACCUUACAACAUGACAUAUUUUGUUUUGUUAUUCCCAUCACCAAAUUCUAUAUUCUUUUAAUUACCGUUAGCCUACUACAAUUGUUUUUCUUUAUCGAGCCUUAGGACUAAAACCUUAAGCAUGUAAAAUUUAAGUAAUACACAUCAUUAUUAGUGGCAAAGCCCGAUAUAGUAAACUAUCACCAAUUCACUGAAAAAUGUAGAUACUAUGUGUUGUGUUGAAUCCCUAAAUAUUAUAUCAAAUUAUUCAAAUGAUCCUAAUUCAUACUUUUUCUAUAAAAAUUAUCCCCUCACAAAGAAAAAAGAUUUUUGUGGAGUAUUUUAAAUGAUUCAUGAAAUCACGUUAUGAAUUAAUAAAUACAAUUGAAUGAAUAUAUAUGUUGUAAUUAGUAGGAUUAUCAGAAUUUUGUUUUGUUAUUUCCAUAACAAAUUCAUUAGUUUUACAUUAGCAAUCAGCAUACUACAAUCAUCUUCCUCUAUCGUGGCUUAGCACUAAAAUAUAAUGCAGAUAAAGUUUAAAUAAUAUUCAUCAUCAUCAAUGACAGAACAACAUGCAUUCAAACGACAUUAAGUUGAUGAGCUCAAGAGUUAUGUUGCUUCACACAGGAGAUGCUAUACCCAAUAUGAUACGAUUUCAGUUUACAUUUUACACUCUCUGAUAAUGUUCUUAAGAAUAAAAGUUUAUAACAAAGAAGAUAAACAUAUUGAAUUCUCAUUUGUUAUGUUAAAUUUUGCUAAUAAAUCAAGUCCGACUUUAAAACUAGUUAUACUAAGGUCUAAACUUAUAUUGAGUGGCUUUAUCAACCAUUACUGUCUUACCAACAACCUAUUCAAUUGACAGUAAUAAUUUUUUUACAAAAAGCAUAUGAAAAUCAGUAAAAUGGGGGAGGGGGAGGGGUUUACCUUUUUUGGGGCUCGUUUGACUCUUAAAAUGGGUCAUUUUGACCGUGUUUACAAACCGGAUCCAUAGAUAAGGUCUUAAAGGACGUUUAAUUAAAAUACUGGCAACAAUGAAUUCAAAAUUAAGGUUGUUAAAAAAUAUGGUGGGCUAUAGCAUAUGAAAAUCAGCAAAAUAGGGGUUUACUUGCUCUAGGGAUCGGUUGAACUUAAAAAGGGGUCGUUUUGGCCGUGGUUAACAACCGACUCCAUAAAUAAGGUUUUAACGGACGUCCAUGUAAAUAUUUUGCAAAACUGAAAUCGGAAUUCUGGAUGACCAAAAAUAUGGUCGACUAUAGCACACGAAAAUCAUCAAAUGGGGGGGGGGGAUUUAUUAGCUCUCGGCUCAUUUGACCUUUAAAAUUGGUCGUUUUGGUCAUGCUUAUAAACCAGCUCCAUAGAUAAGGUCUUAACGGACGUUUUUGUAAUUUUUUAAUAAAAAAUGAACUCUGAAUAUCGGAUGACCCAAAAAGAUGGCUAAUUAUAACACAUGAAAUCAACAAAAUGGAGGGUUUAGCUUCUCUAGGGCUUGUUUGACUUUGAAAAUAGGAGGUUUUGGACCUUAUGACCAACUGAAUCAUUUGAUAAGGUCUAAACAGACAUCCAUGCAAAUUUUUAGCAUAAAAAAAUUUGAAACUCCGAUGACCAAAAGAUAUGGUGGAGUAUAGCAUAAGGAAAUCGACAAAAUGGGGGGGGGGGGUUAUCUGUUGUGGGCUUAUUUGACAUUGAAAAUGGAACGUUUUGGCUGUGAUGACCAACCAACUCCAUAGAUAUGGUCUUAACAAACGACCUUAUAAUUUUUUGGCAAAAAUGAACUAGGAAUUCCAAAUGCCCAGAAAAUAUGGUGGAUUUGCGUACGAAAAUCAAUGAAAUUGGUUGUUUACCUGCUUUGGGCUCGUUUGACCUUGAAAAUGGAUCAUUUUGGCUGUGAUUACCAACCAGCUCCAUCUAUAAGGUCUUAACAGAUGUCCAUGUAAAUUUUUGGAAAAGUGAUCCCGGAGUUAUGGAUGACUAAAAAAGAUUAUAGAAUAUAACACAUGAAAAUCAAAAAAAUGGGGGAUUUACCUGCUCUGAAACUCAUUUGACCUUGAAAAUAAACCAUUUUAGCCGUGGUAACCAACAGGCUCAAUAGAUAAGGUCUUAACUGAUGUCCGUGGAAAUUUUUGAAAAAAAUGAAUUGAGAAUUUUGGAUGACCAUAAAAGAUGGUGGUUUACCUGCUCUUGCUUGUUUAACCUUGAAAAUAGGUUAUUUUGUCCAUGGUGACCAACCGACUCCAUUGAUAAGGUCUGAACGCAUGUCAGUUUACAUUUUUGGCAUAAAUGAACUCAAAAUCUUUUAUAUUAAAAAAAUGCUGGACUAUAGCACACAAAAAUCAGCAAAAUGGGGGGUUUACCAGCUCAGGAGCUCGAUUAAAGAUAAAAAUGGGCCUUUUUGGUUUUGGUGACCUACCGGCACCAUAGAUAAGUUCUUAAGGGAUGUUCGUGUAAAUUUUUGGCAAAAAUGAACUUGGGAUUCUGGAUGACCAAAAAAGAUAGUGUACUAUAGCACACCAAAAUCAGCAAAAAGGAACAUUGACAUGCUCUGGGGCUCGUUUGACCUUAAAAAUGGGUUAUUUUGGCCGUGGUGACCAAUCGGGUACAUAGAUAAGGUCUAAACGGAUGUCCGUGUAAAUUUUUGGCGAAAAAGAACUCAGAAUUUUUAUGACCAAAGAAGAUAGUUGACAAUAGCAAAUAAAAAUCAGUAAAAUUGGGGGUUUGGGGGUUUACCAUUUCUAGGCUCAUUUGACCUUGAAAAUGAGUCGUUUUGGCUGUGGUAACCAACUAGCUCUGUAUGUAAGGUUUUAUCCGACUUUGUGUAAAUAUAAGGUAAAAAUGAAAUCAGAAUUCUAGAUGACCAAAAAAGAUAGUUGAUAAUAGCACAUGAAAAUUGGUAAAAUUAAGGGGGGAGGGGGGGUUACCUUCUCUCGGCUCGUUUGAACUUGAAAAUGAGUCAUAUUGGCCGUGGUGCCAACUGACUCGAUGGAUAAGGUCUAAGAAGAAUUCCAUGUAAAUUUUUGUACAAAAAGAAAUCAGAGUUUAGGAUGACCAAAAAUGAUAGUGGACUAUAGCACACAAAAAAUGGCAAAUUUGGGGUUUACCGUCUCAAGGUCUCGUUUGACCUUAAAAUGGGUCGUUUUGGUCGUGGUGACCAACCGACUCCAUAGAUAAGGUUUUAACGGAUGUCCAUGUAAAUAUUUGGGAAAAAUGAACUCAAAAUUCUGGAUGACCAAAAAAUAUGGUGGAUUAUAGAACACAAAAAUCAGUAAAAUGGGGGAUUUACCUUCUCUGGACUCAUUUUACCUUGAAAAUGGGUCACUUUGGCUGUGUGACCAACCGGUUCCAUAGAUAAUGUCUAAACGGACAUCCGUGUAUGUUUUCUACAAAAAUGUUAUCGAAAUUCUGAAUGACCAAAAAAGAUGUUCAACUUUAGCACACGAAAUUUGCAAAAUAGGGGGUUUACAUGAUCUAGCGCUCGUUUGACCUUUAAUAUGGUCCGUUUUGGCCGUGGUGAGCAACCGAAUCCAUAUAUAAGGUAUUAACGGAUGUUUGUGUAAAAUUUUGGCAAAAAUCAAUUUAGAAUUUCGAAUGUACAAAAAUGAUGGUAGAUAUAGCACACGAAAAUCGGCAAAAUAGUGGUGUUUUAACUGCUCUGAGCUCAUUUGACAAUGAGAAUGUGCCUUUUUGGUCGUGGUGACCAACCAGCUUCAUAUAUAAAGUCUUAACGGAUCUUCGUGUAAAUUUUUGGCAAAGGUGAACUCAGAAUUGCGAAUGACCAAAAAAUAUGGUGGACUAUAGCAUACAAAAAUCGGCAAAAUGAAAGGUUUACCUGCUCUUAGGCUCGUAUGACGUUGACAUUGGGUCGUAUUAACCAUGGUGACCAACCGACUCCAUAGAAAAGGUUUUAACCGACUCCAUUGAAAAUGGGACGAUUUAGCCGUGGUGAAAAACCAGCUCCAUAGAUAAGUUUUCAGCGUGAAUCUGUGUAAAUUUUUAGCAACGAUGAAUUCAGGAUUUCGGAUGACUAAAAAAGAUGGUGGAUUAUAAAACACAAAAAUUGGCAAAAUUGGGAGUUUAUCUUGUCUGGGCUCGUUUGACCUUGAAUAUAGGCCGUUUUGGAUGUGGUGACCAAACAGAUCCAUAUAUAAGGUCUAAGCUAACUUUUGUGUAAAUUUUAGUCAAAAAUGAUCUCGGAAUUCCGAAUGAACAAAAAAAAUGGCGGACUAUAGCACACAAAAAUUAGAAAAAUAGGGGGUUUACCUGCUCUAGGGCUCCUUUGACCUUUAAAAUGGGUCUUUUUGGACGUGGCGACCAACCGGCUCAAGAGAAAAGGUCUUAACGAACGUCCAUAUAAAUUUUUGGCAAAAGUGAACUUGGAAUUCUAGAUGACCAAAAUAGAUGGUAAUGAUACCACACGAAUAUUUGCAAAAUGGGGGUUUAACUACUCUAGAGCUUGUUUGACCUUUAAUAUGGGUCGUUUUAGAUGUGGUGACCAACCAGCUCUAUAGAUAAGGUUAUAACGGACGUCCGUGUGAGAUUUUUGUAAAUAUGAAAUUGGAAUUCCGGAUGACCAAAAAAGAUAGCACACGAAAAUCGGCAAAAUAGCCAGGGGGGGGGGUUACCUGCUUUGGACUCAUUUUACCAUGAGAAUGGGCAUUUUUUACCGUGGUGAUCAACCGGCUCAGAGAUAAAGUCUUAACGGAUAUUCAUGUAAAUCUUUGGAAAAAAUGAACUCAGAAUUUUGGAUAACCAAAAAGAUGGUGGACUAUUGCACACCAAAAUUGACAAAAUGGAAGGUUUACCUGCCCUAUGACUCGUUUGACCUUGACAAUGAGUUGUAUUAGACGUGGUGAUCAACCAGCUUCAUAGAAAAAGUGUUAAAAUAUGUCCAUGUAAAUUUUUGGCAAAAAUGAACUCAGAAUUCUUGAUCACCGAAAAAGAUGGUGGACCAUAGUACAUUAAAAUCGGCAAAAUGGGAGGUUUACCUGCUUUGAGAACGUUUGACCUUCAAAAUGGGUUGUUUUGGCCGUUGUGACAAAAUGUCUCCAUAGAUAAGGUCUAAACGGACAUCUUUGUAAAUUUUUGGCAAGGAUGCACUCGGAAUUUCGGAUGACCAAAAAAAGUGGUGGAUACAGAACACGAAAAAGGGUAAAAUAGGGGUUUACCUUGUCUGGGGCUCGUUUGACCUUGAAAAUGGUUCGUUUUGGAUAUGGCGACCAACCUCUCCAUAAAUAAGGUCUAAGCAGACUUUCGUGUAAAUUUUUGGAAAAAAUAAUCUUGAAAUUCCGAAUGACCAAAAAAGAUGGUGGACAAUAGCACACGAAAAUUAUGAAAAUAGGGGGUCUACCUGCUCUAGGGCUCGUUUGACCUUUAAAAUGGUUUUUUUGGUCGUGGAGACCAACUCUCUCCAUACAAAAGGUCUUAACAGAUGUCCAUGUAAAUAUUUGGCAAAAGUGAACUCAGAAUUCUGGAUGACCAAACAAGAUGGUAACUAUACCACACGAAAAUUGGCAAAAUGGGGGUUUAUCUGUUCUAGGGCUUGUUUGACCUUUAAUAUGCACCGUUUUGGCCUUUGUGAGAAAUCAAACCCAUAUACAAGGUCUUUACGGACAUCCACGUAAAUUUAUUGCAAAAAUAAACUCGGAUUUCCGGAUGACCAAAAAAGAUAGUGAACUAUAACACACAAAAAUUGGUAAAAUGGGAGGUUUACCUGCUCUAGGACUCGUUUGAUCUUGAGAAUGGGUUGUUUUAGUAGUGGUAACAAAAAUAUCCAUGUAUAAGAACUUAACAAACAUCUUUGUAACAUUUUGGAUAAAAAAGAACUCAGAAUUCUUGAUGACCAAAAACAAUAGUGGAAUAUAGCACACAAAAAUCGGCAAACUGAGGGGUUAUUUGCUCUUGGGAUCUUUUGACCUUGAAAAUGGACCAUUUUGGUCAUGGUGAAAAUUGUUCCAUAGAUAGGUCUUAAUAGACGUUUGUCUAAAUAUUAGAAAAAAAGAACUCGGAAUUCUCGGCGACCAAUAAAGAUGGUGGAUGAUAGAACACGAAAAAAUAGGCAAAAUGGGGGGUUCACCUUGUUUGGUGCUCGUUUGACAUUGCAAUGGCUCGUUUUGGAUGUUGUGAUCAACCGAAUCCAUAUAUAAGUUCUAAAUGAAGGUUCGUGUAAACUUUUGACAAAAAUGAUAUUGGAAUUCUUAAUAACCAAAAAAGAUGGUGAACUAUAGCACACGAAAAUUGACAAAAUAGGGGGUUUACCUGCUAUAGAGGUCGUUUAACCUUGAAAAUGGGUCAUUUUGGCUGUGGUUAUAAACCGGACCCAUAGAUGAGGUCUUCAGAAAUGUCUGUGUAAAUUCUUGGCAAAAUUAAACUUGGAAUUUUGGAUAACCAAAAAAGAUAGUAACUGUACCACAUGAUAAUUGGCAAAAUGCUCUAGGGCUCAUUUGACCUUUAAUAUUGCUAUUUUCGUCGUGUGUGACAACCCGACUUCAUAGAUAAGGUCUUAACGGACGUUCCUGUAAAUUUUUUGCAAAAAUGAACUCGAAUUACGGAUGACCAAAAAAUAUGGUGGAUUAUAAUAUAAGAAAAUGGAAAAAUGGUGGGUUUACCUGCUAUGGGCUCGUUUGACUUUGAAAAUGGGUGUUUUUCUGUCGUGGUGACCAACCAGCUCCAUAGAUAAGGUCUUAACGGACAUCCGUGUAAAAUAUUGGAAAAAAUGAACUAAAAAGUUAGGAUGACCAAAAAAGAUGGUGGGCUAUAGCACACGAGAAUCGGCAAAAAAAUUGAAGGUUUACCUACUAUGGGGCUCGUUUGAACUUGAAAAUGGAUCGUUUUGGCCGUGGUGACCAACCCACUACAUAGAUAAAGUCUAAACGGACGUCAUUUGGAGAAAAUGAACUUGAAUUUAUGGAUGACUAAAAAAGACGGUGAACUAUAGCACACAAAAAUCAGCAAAAUAUAGGGUUGACCUGCUCUAGAGGUACUUUGACCUUGAAAAUGGGUUGUUUUAGUCAUGGUGACCAACCAAAUCCAUAUAUAAGAACUUCACGUAUGUCGUUAAAAUUUAUGGCAAAAAUUAACUCAAAUUUCUAGAUGACCAAAAAAGAUGGUGGACUAUACACGGAAAUCAACAAAAUAGGAGGUUUACCUACUCUAAGCUCGUUUGACCUUGAAAAUGGCUCAUUUUGACCGUGGUGACCAACUAGCUCCAUAGAUAAGGUCUUAACGGACUUCCAUGUAAAUUUUUGGAAAAAUGAACUUGGAUUCUGGAUGACGAAAGAAGAUGGUGGAUUAUAGCACACGAAAAUAAGCAAAAUGGGGGUUUACCUGGUUAGGGGCUCAUUGACCUUGAAAAUUGGACAUUUAAGUUAUGGUGACAAACCGGAUCCAUAGAUAAUGUCUUAAUGGACGUACAUGUAAAUUUUUGUCAAAAAUAAUCUCAGAAUUCCGAAUGAACAAAGAAAUAGUGGACCAUAACACACUAAAUCAACAUAAUGGGGGGUUUACUUUCUCUUGGCUCGUUUGACCUUGAAAAUGAGUCAUUUUGGAUGUGGUUACCAACCGGCUCUAUAUAUAAGGUUUUAACUAAUGUAUAUAUAAAUUUUUGGCAAAAAUAAACUCAAAAUUCAAGAUGUCCAAAACAGAUAGUGGACAAUAACACAUGAAAAUGGGCAAAAUAGGGGUUUUACCUGCUCGGGGGCUCGUUUGACCUUGAAAAUGGGACGUUUUGACCGUGGUGACAGACCGUAUCCAUAUGUCUUAAUGAACGUCCAUGUAAAUUUUUGGCAAAAUGAACGAUCUUGGAUGACUAAAAAAGAUGGUGGACUAUAGCACACGAAAAUUGACAAAAUAGGGUUUUUAUUUCUUUGAGGAUCAUUUGACCUAGAAAAUGGGUCAUUUGUACCGUGGUGACCAACCAAUUCUAUAGAUAAUGUCUUAAACGGACGUCUAUGUAAAUUUUUGGCAAAAUUGAACUCAAAAUUCCGGAUGACCAAAAAAGAUGGUGGAUAAUAGCACAUGAAAAUCAACAAAGUGGGGGAUUUACGUGCUAUAUGGCUUGUUUGACAUUGAAAAUGGGCCCUUUUGGACCGGCUCCAUAAAUAAGGUCUUAACGGACGUCUGCCUAAAUUUUUGGCAAAAAUAAUAUUCGAAUCCCAGAUGAUAAAAAAGAUGGUGGACUAUAGCACACGGAAAUUGAAAAAAUAGGGGGUUUACCUACUCUAGGCUCGUUUUACCUGGUAAAUUGGUCGUUUUGUCCGUGGUGACAUAGAUAAGAUUUUAACGGACAUUUGGCAAAAAUGAACUUGCAAUUCCAGAUGACGAAAAAAGAUGGUGGACUAUAGCACACGAAAAUCGGUAAAAUGGAGGAUUUACCUGCUCGAUGACUCGUUUGACCUUGAAAUUGGGUUGUUUUUGCCGUGGUGACCAACCGACUUCAUAGAGAAGGUCUAACGGACGUCUGUAUAAAUUUUUGGCAAAAAUAAAAUUGGAAAAUCGGAUGACCAAAAAAGAUUGUGGACUAUAACACAUAAAAAUAUGUGAAAUAUGGGGUUUACCUGCUCUAUGACUCAUUUGACCUUGAAAUUUUUAGCAAAAAUUAUUUUGGAAUUCUGGAUGAUGAAAAAAGAUGGUCGACUUUAGCACACAAAAAAAUCGGUAAAAUGGGGUAUUUACCUGCUUUGGGACUCGUUAAACCUUGAAAAUGAGUUGUUUUAGCCAUGGGUAGUAUUAGUGAGAUAAGAAUACUUACAUGAUUUAACCUCAUCAAAUUGAAAUAAAUAUGUACAUUAUUUCAUUUCAUUAAUAAAAUUGAUCAUUAAACAUUUGUAUAGGUAUGUGCGAAUAAGAGAUAUACAUGACGAUACACAUUGAAAAUUCACAAAAUAAUCUCUAAUAUUAUUUUGUGCAAAGCUUAUUAUUCAAAUAUUCGCUUAAAUUUUUUUUGAAUUGAUAAUCAAGUGCAAAACACGUGUCAAGAAUCUAGUUAAGAAUAAAGGGACAUUUUAAAAUUGAAUUAUUACUUAAUAUUGAUAUAUUUUUUUCAUUUAUUGGACUGAAUAAAAACAAAAGUAACUAAUAUAAAUAUAUACAUAUAUACAUAUAUAUAUAUAUAUAUAUAUAUAUAUAUGACAGAGAUACUGUUUGAGAAACCAUACAAAAAAUUAUCUCCGUAUAUAUACUAGGGUUCCAGUUAGAGUGUAAAAAGAUUGAUUAGAAUGGAGAUGAACAUUGAUAUUAACGCUCCAGGUAGUGAGAUUUCUUCUUCUUAUUCUGAUCAUAACCUGUGCUUAUCUUUUUUUAUUUUCUUUUACCUUUGAUUUUACACUAUUUGUAUUACUAGAUUUUCGUAGAAAUUGUAGUCGAUCUUCCAUUGGAAGGUAGGAUUUGAAAUUUUCAGGUGUGGUUUAUUGGAUAUCACACUGGAGAAGGGUUUAGUUUAUGCGAACCCUGAGGUAGAAUUGGUGGGUUUUGGUAAGGAAAAGUUAUCCUUUAAAGAUCACAAUUAGGAUCUUUCAUUGGUAAUGUAGGAUUUGAAAUUUUCAUGUGUGGUUUGUGAGAUAUCACACUAGAGCAGGGUUUAGCUUAUGCGAACCUGGAGGUAGAAUGUGUGGAUUUUGUUACGGACAAGUUAUCCUUUCAGGAUCCCAAUUACGAUCAAACUGUAAGUUGUAAUUUUCAAAAGUAAAUCCACUGAGUUUUUUGGAGACGACAUUCUCUGAAUUAUAUAAAUUGAAAAAUGGAUGUCAAAUACAACAAAACUGAAUACUAAUUAAAUCUAAGAUAACUUAAAGGAGUGGAUAUCCAUGUCAAAUAUGCAUAGGAGAAGACCAAAAUUAGAGAAGAAGAGAGAGAAAAAUAAGGAAGGAAUUGCAUUACCAAAAGUUUAUUGUUGCAUUCUCUCUCCUUCUGUAUUGCAGUUUAUAUCAACGUUCAGAUAAUAUGGCGAGAUCCUGACUCUUCAGCUUCAUUAAUUGAGAUUUAAUCUUGGUCGGUUAUUUGCCAAGUAGUUACUCUCCUUCGGUGUUUCAGCUUCGAAUUAAGCUAUACUAAGUAAUCUCAAUUAGUUGUCCCAGAUCCCUUGUACAUCUUAGGUGUACUCCUACUAGUGAGGUCUCUUCCUAGAUCUCAGUGUAAUAGAGGCACAUCUUGCUUGAACAUAGACUGUUGGCUCAAAAGAAAAGUAAAAAAUUGAUUGUAAUAACAAUACCAUCCAACAAAGGUGCAUUUAUAAAGGGAAAUCAAAUUUUGUGAUGGUGGUUUGUACUUUUAUAAUAGUACACAUUAAAAGAUAGAAGUAUUAAAAUAUUUCAAAAUUUCCAUAAAACUGGAAGGUUAAUUUUCUUAGACAUGUACAUCUGGAUGGAAGAUUGUGGCAUAGUGGUUAAUGAAGUGGUCGAAAAUCAUGAGGUCUAAUGUGCGAAUCCCAACAAAGAAGAAAAAACAUGUAAUGGCUUUUUCCAUCUUUCAUAGCCUUAGUGGACAGAGUUACAUAGUACUUAUUGCUUGUGGGAGGUAGUAUGCUUGAAAUAUGUAACAUUGUCAUCACUUUUUUCUUUACUUAUAUCUCCAUUUGCAUCCUCUUUAUAGCAUAUGUACAUUCUACAGUACAGACGGAAAACGCAAACAGAGCUGAUUGGCAGGAAGAGCUUUACCAAAAGGUAUGAUUUGCAAUGGUACUCUUUAUUUGUACAAGAUUUUGAAAACUAUGGAAAUUUGAUAUGUGGAUUUUGAUAAAAUGGCUGGUUAUAACAUUAUAAGAAAUAGUUGAAUGUUUCAAAAUAUUUCCUUUGAUUAUAGAGUAAUAGAAAAGGUUUACCAUACCAAGUGAACAACUAAAUUCAUGACCAUACCCUCCACGCAAGAUGCUUUAUGUAUUCCAUUUCUUAGAGGCCAUAGAAAUCUAAGCAUGUUAACAGGUAACUUCUUAGAAACGAACAUGAAUACUCACUGUGCUGGUGCUCUUUAUAAGCCCAUCCUUGUCCCAUAUUUUUAUCGACAACAAAUUAAUUUCACAUGCCCUAAAAUAAUUUAGAAAUGAAGUAUAUUUUGAUAAAUUAACUGAUUAGAGAAAAUUAUUUGUUGAGUGCUAAGAUCAUAUGUGUGUAAGUUCGGGUCAAAGUUCUUCAUGGCAUGUCACCACAAUCUUUAAUUGCGAUUUUGAGGGAUAAACUUAUUUGUGCAAGAAGUAUAUACAUGAAUAUAUUGCUAUAAGAUGUUUUUUGUGAAAAGACAUCCGUUCAUCUGUAUCAAUAUAUUUUUUCUAUUUUUUAAUUUUAUUUCUUAUUAUAGAGAAAUCCAAUGCUUCCGUCUUCAAAACUCGGACUUAUCUACUUACAUCCCUAACUUAGCUAGUAAUAAGUUGGAAUACUUCAAUUUCUCCAAGAAUAAACAUAUAUCACUAACAUUCUCUAUAUUCUCCAUUCCAUUGUUAUUCACUUGUGAAGCCAAUUACAAUGUUAUUAUUUUAUUGUUUAUCCUCAUUUUACCUCAAUGAUGAUAAAGUUGUAAAGUUAAAAAAACAAAAGAUUGCCAUUAAAUUGUGUUAUAUCUCGCAACCUAACUUUAAAAAAGUAUAUUCUAAUCCUCCUGGUUGUGCUGGUCUAUGAUCACAUUGCGGAAGUUUAAUUCUUGAUUUUAGCACCAAGAGGCUAGAGGAAGCAAAGUUCAGUAACUUCGUUCUACUUCACUUGUAACCUUUUUAUCUAGAAGGUUCUUUUGUGACGAUUUUCUAGUUUUGUUCUCAAUUGUAUCGUAUAGUUGAUCUAAUUAUCACCUAACCAUGUGGGAAUGCAUUCUUGACAUUUAUGCAAUUGACUUAUUGAAUUAUUUAUGCAGAUUAAGUCUAUGAAGGAGAUGUAUUUAUCAGAUAUCAAUGAUUUAUACGAGAAAAUUACUUCUAAAGUGCAGCAGGUAUGUCAAUAACAUCCCUUUAAGUGUUUCAUCAUUGUUUCAAAUUUUGGUUGGCUCUCUUACAAGUUUCGUAAAAUGACACACCAUCAUUUGCAUAUUGCAUGCCACAAGGUGUAAUUCAUAUUGCGUUGUAUUACUUAUUUCCCUAUUGGAAACUCCUUAAACUGGGAACUGAUGCAGAAAGCUCAAGACACUAUAUUAGCGUUAUUUCUUCUUUGGUUCUUUUCCUGUUGAUUGUCAUCAUGAAAAAAAGUAAAGAAUUAAGGAUUCCCUAAUUUUUCGGGCAAGCGCUUGAUUUAUCUGAAUCUAAAAGCACUUGAGUCAACAUUCUACUAAAUUGUGUGAACCUUCCGCACUAUGUUAUUUUUCUCAUUAUGUAAUUUUUUCAACUAUGUUAUUUGUCCCUUUUUUUCUUGAUUUUAUGCAGGACUCUCUUUGUCAGAGUCUUCCAAAUGAGAGAACUGAAGAACUCAAGAUGUUCAAGAUGACUCUGGAAUGCAUUAUGAUUUUCUUGCAGCUUAACAAAGAUGAUAUUAAUCUUUGUCACAAGGAGAAACUGCGUUCGGUUGAGAAGCACAUAAGUUUCUUUCUAAUAGGCAAAAAUCUGCACAUGCCUACUUCUUCUGCAUUGCAGGGGUAACUUCCUCAGGCUCCCAUCCAUACAAUUCAGGUAGGCAGUCCGAACUUGUUUGUAUAAUUCAAUUGUUUUCAACUUGUUGAAGUUGUUUUGCUCUUGUGUUAACAUGCAUCUACGUUUCGAGUUGACUUUUUUCUUUCUUUAGGGGGAGCUUGAUAACUUGGAACUUGUGAUUAUUUUCCUAGUAUAAAUCUCUUAAGUUAUGACUGAUAUCUCGUGCUACUUCUACUUUAUUCUAAGGUCUCAUGUGUUUAAAUAGGAAGGUAUGGAGAUCAAAGAUUAAAGAAGGUUAGUAGGGAGUCGAGUGUUGUCGUACUUCUAGUAGUAUGAUUUAGGUAGCUUGUAGUUUCUUUUUCCAACUACUGCUUAUAUUACUUGAAAAUAGGACUCAAUAAAAACUGACAUUAUAUUAGAGAAUCAACAAAUCAAAAGAACGAUAAAAGACUGAAAUAUAAGAUAGAGAAGAAGGGGGAUGAAAAGCUCAAAUUUCUCAAAAUUGGGGAUGAGAGACUCGAAAAAUUUCCAUAACAAUAAAUCUCUACAUUAUGUUACUACUAUAAGAUUCCUUCACAUAUUUUUCCCAACCUUUAAUUCGAAAUUAGUUAAUGUUUUUGGACAUCUCUCAACUCGUGUGAUGUGCCUAGCUGGAACAAUUGGUUCAGCCACUUUGGCCUCCACCUCACUAUUUUCAUUUAUAACACCUAUGUGUAUUAAUAUGUGUUGCUACACUUGUUUCGUACAUGGCUACUUUGUUUUUUUUUCUUACUUUGUUGCGUUUGUUACAUUUUUUUUGUGUCAGAGGUCUAUCAGAAACAACGGAUCUACUAUAAGGAUUGAGUACAUCCUACCCUCUCCAGAUCCCACUUGUUUAAUUACAUGGUUGUGAUGUUUUUGGUCUCCUCAUUUUCGUUCUAAGAUUUAUUGUGCAAAGUUAAUGAUCUGUCUUAAUUUAGUCGUAUGUUACUCAUCAUAUCUUGCACAUUAUAUCCAAUGCAGCCACAAUAUACAUAUGCACACCAUCCGCCUAUGCUGGAUUCCUGUGGGCAAGAUAUUGCUUCUGAGUUUGAUAGGAUUCUGCAUUUUAUUUAUUAGAUGGUAGUCAUGAUGGAUUGUGUCAAGUAUGGAAUGGUUUUGAAAUGUUUGGUAUUGAUAGAUUGAGCUCUAGUACAAAAUUUGAUGAGCAUUGCAUAUAAAGUGUUUGUGAACCCAUGUACCCUCCCUGGAUUAUGUAAAGUACUUAUGAACCAAUUUAUACAUCAUUUUCCUAAAUUAUGUAGAAAGUACUGCAACUAUAAUGAUAAAUUACUUAAAUUAUAUGUGGGAAUCGUACUAAAAUUUAAAAUAUCCAUCUCCAAAAUUUUCUUUUGAAUCUUUAGCAACACUACAAACAAAGGCCACAUUUUUCUUAAAAAAACUUUUGGCCUCUCUUUUAAGUUUUUUCUUCGAUUUAUUCUUAUGAUUUGUGAAGUGUGUUUCCUUAAAUGAUGAUGAUAUUUUAAUCGUUUUCAAAUAUAAAUUUCUUAAUGAACCAGUAUAAGCUGAUUUUUCUUUUGUGAUAAUAAUAUUAAUUAUAGUUUACUACUCAAGUCAUUGUUUGGAAAAAAAUUAUAGCAUUUGUUACGCCCCCUAAAACUAAAGACUAAACUAGAGCCUAUAGUGACCUUAAUGGAGUCAAACGUAAUGAGUAGAGUCGUAAAAUAACCUCUGUUACUUAGUACUAAUGUUUUUGGGUAAAAAGUCAAGGCAUGACCCCCCAAGGACCCCCACCCUUGAGGAGAUCGGGGGGUGGGGGGGGGGGGGGGGGAGGGGCUUCCAAAAGCUAGCAAAUUGCAGCCUUGACCUAUGGAUAGGGCACCCACGGUUUGUGGGUGGACCCACGCCCCGUAGGUGGGGGUCUUGGGUCGAGGCUUGGCCUUCCCUGCAACCUCUAAGAUUAAGAGCCUAACCACGUUUGUAUAGCACAGAGUGUGAGCCCACCCACGGCCCGUGGGUGGGGAGUCGUGGGUCAAACAUGUAGGGUAUUUAAUUUGUUUUAGUUAGAGUUCAGGGAUGAUAUUAAGGUUAAUUAAUUAACAAAUUAGGGUCGGUUAAUACUAAUAAUAUAUUUAUAUUAAAGAGAACCCUAAAUCCGCCUACGUGGUGCCACUACAAGCAAGAAUUUCCUUUUAAAUUUAUUUGUUACCAAAACUAGCCUUUCUCUUUUAUAAAAAGACGUCACUUUUAUGAAAACUUGCGACUUUCAUGAAAAGUUAUUACUUUUAUCAAAAUUUGUGACUUUUAUGAAAAGUUGUAACUUUAAUGAAGAGUUGCGACUUUAAUGAAGAGUUGCGACUUUAUGAAAAGUUAUGACUUAUAUGAAUGAUUGUAAACUAUUCAAUGGGUUGCAAAUUUUUCAAAUAUUUGUAAUCUUUCUGAUAAGACACAAUAAACAUUUGUUCACACUACCCGUUUGUAUAUAAAGAGAAGGAUUUUCUUUCGUUUUAAAAUAAGAAAAUUCUGAUUUUCUUUUUCCACUUCCGCAAAAUUAAGUAUUUGUCUACUUUUGUCCUAUUGAAUGACUUACAAACACCACUUUUUAGUAUUAAUAAGUUGGUGAAUCAAAUCGUUGCACCCAAAGAGGAUGUAAUUCUUUUAACCUCCCGUAUUAGAUGGUAAUAGUUUUAUUUAGGGAACAUUGUGCAUUUAGUGGACUCAAAUUUUUCCUUUCAAUUUUAUUCUAUUUUUACAUAUUCUGGUUUUUUUUACUACUAAUUAAUUUGUGCUUAUGAUAUUAAUUGUUUUUAAUGUAUUUUUUAAACAUUUUGGUUUAGGUUUCUCUAAAGUUAUUUUCUCUAUUUAUAGUGAACAUAUACACAUAUAGUACACAUUUUCAUUGUGUAGAAAAUAAUUAUUGUACUUAGUUCUAGGAAUUCAGGUUUUGAUAUUCUAUAUUAAAAUCUAUAUCUUAAAAGUACUAUAUAUAAUCUUACAUAUUAAUCUAUUUUCACAUAGAUAUGAAAUUUCUCACUUCUCAAUUGAAAAAAUUCAUUAUACAAGUUCAAAAUUUAUAAUUGUUUUCAUGUUCAAGCUUAAUUUCUAUUUUGAAUAUGUUAACAAAUUUUUGAAUUUUCUCUUAAGACAUAUAUCAUAAUUGUACAAUCUAUAUGACUUAAAUAUUUCUUUUUAUUAAGAAAUGCCUUUGUAUCUAUAUUCUUAUUUUCUUCUUUAUUUUCCUUUUAGUGUUUAUUAAAGAACCAAUGAUAUUUUAUUUCGUGAAUAAUUCAUUAAUUAGAGGUUCUCUAGUUAUGUGAUAAUGACAAAUAAUCAAAUUCAUGUUAGACUUUUGCUAAUAUUUUUUAAGAACAUAUUUUUUCAUUAUUUUUAAUGUAUGAAUAUUAAUUAUAAAAAAAUUACUUACAACUUCAAUACAAUUAUUAUUUAUGACCGCGCGAAGCGCGAAAAAGUUACCUAGUUAAAACGAACUAUAAAUAGUUAAUAGACCCCUAAACUAAUUCAUGGAGUUCACUCAUUCAAUAACCCAACACAAAUCUAUUUUCCUCUCAAAAUAUUCCUUAGAUUCAAUAACCCAACAUAAGUACACAAGAAUAUACUCACUUUCUUCAAGAAGAACCCUCAAAGAUAAAAAUCCUCACUUCAAGAAUUCAUUAAACUCCAUAACAAAGCAUGAAAAACAAAACCUCAAAAACACCCAUCAGAAAAUCAAAUCAUUCAACCUCAAGAACAAAAUUAUGGAUGAAAAUUACAUAAUUGUCCGGUGGGUGAAUGAACCCACAAUAUGAAACCUUACAUACUUUAAUUUAGCAAAAUUCCUCGACGAAUUUCAAGAAUCUCGAUGAACGCUUUGAACCUCUCCUUUUGAACUCCUCUAAAAAUCAGAAAGGUAAUUUAGAGUUGUAAAACUGAUCCACAUUAGUUUAUACACCUUAAAUAUACUAAAAAUAUUUAAAGCAGAUAGGGUAAAGAAAAGACCAAAAUAUUAAUCAUUAAUUCAGGUAAAUUUCCUUAACUGAACAAGCAGACUUCAAACGGGCACAUCUCCCAUAUUUGAACUUAAAAUUUAGAAAACUCGACGGAGUUGGAAAGAGGAUCCAAAGAACGUUAUUUUAUGUCUUAUAUGCCACCUAACUCAUCAUGCACUGAAAUUUAUGAUCAUUUGAAGUUCACCCAAAACUCACAACUUAAUCAUAACUUGAAAAAUUCUUAAUUUUGCUUUUUCCAAUUUAGUUCUUUCUAAAUUUAGUUCUUUUCUAAGGUGGGAUUUACAAUAAUGAACAAAAGUUACUUUCUAAAGUAUCUCACAUGUGUUUUAUAAGUUGUUUAUCUUGCAUUUACCACAUUUAUGAAUUUUUAUUUAUCACAUGUUAUUUUAUGAUUUAGCUUGUCAUUACAUGUCAUGCAAAGUCCUUUUAGGAUGAAUUUCAUUACUGUUAUGCAUAAUUAUAAUACUUUUUGUGUUCCAUAUUCUAAUGCAUACUUGUGUCUACAAUGUUUCAUGAUAUAGGGUCCGAAAUCCUAUUCCCUAUUCCCGUUGCAAGUUGAUUCUUUUAAGAUUUUGAAGAUUUUUGAGUCCUCAUGAUUAGAGGGACGAUAUUAAUUUAUUUAUUUUAGGUCUUUUUCUAUUUUCAGACUUCUUAUGUGAUGUAUGAAUUACGUGCCAAUAUAUUUCUCUAUGAUGUAGUAGAAUGUGUUGAGAUUUAAGUUAGAUUUCCACUUUUCUCAAAUUUUUUUUGUAUGAAAUGCUAUAUUUUGAAAUCUUUACUUCUAUUAUCUUGUAUGUUGUAUGCUAAGUGGAUUGAGUAGGGCCUCCCGGAGUUUUAUCCGUCAUGUUAUGCCUAGGGUCUACUUUGGGACGUGACAUGUAGUCUUUAAAUUCUUACAUUAUACUUCAGAAAUUUUCUGAUAUUUUGUCAUGCUUCAAAAAUUAAUCCAUCCAGUGUGCUUAGUGUGAUAAUUGUUGCAUGAGAAAAGUAGAAUGUCCAUAAAUCUUAUCCUUAUCCUCAUAAUAAUAACCGUUUUUAAAACAUGCGACAAAAAGAGAAAGAAUCUCUUCUAAUAGAGAAAUAUGAAUCCUACAUUAUGGAUAAAAUAUCUACUGAACAUUAUUAGCAACAAACACGGUAAAAAAGAUAGAGAAAAUGGUGAACCACCUCAAAAAUGACAAAUAUACCUAUAACCAAAGAAAUAUUGAAAUCAUGCAAAAAUGUGGGUAGCAUUUACACCAACUGAUGUUUCCAUAUAUGAAACCAAAUAAUAAUAAUAAAAAUGAUGAUGAUAAUUAAAUUAUUAAAAUUAAUCUUUCAAAUUUAAUUAUUGUGUGAAUUUUUUUCUUAAUAUCAGACUAACAUUAAGUUCACAUUCCCUGGCAUGAUUAGAAAAGAAGUAUGUUUGGAUAAAUUAAUUGGGCCAAAUACAUAAGCAGAUCCCUAAACUUAGUGGGUUUUUUCCCUCAGGUACCUCAACUACGUCAUUUUCCUAUUGAAUCAUUGAACCCUGAUAAUUUGUUCCAUCUAAACAAACACCGUUGUCUGAUGUGGAAUCAGAUUUGUGAGGGAUAUUGAUAGAGGAUACAUAUAUUGUUCCACAAAUCAUUAGUCCAAUUGAUAGUGAAAAUAUUUGAGAAUAAUUGUGUUUUACUUAUGUCAUUUGAACACAUUAGAAAACAAAUGAGACUAACACGGUUUGUCUUCAUUCCUUCAAUCAAAAUUAUUAUAAUUCGAACAUAAUUAAGACAUUUACAAUAUAAAAGCUAAUCAAAAAAUCAACCAACAGUAUUUUAAUGAAACAAAUUAUGGGUGGUUCAAUGAUUCAAUUGAAAAAUGACAUAGUUGAGGUACCUGAGGGAAAAACCCAACAAGUUUAGGGAUUUAUUUAUGUAUUUGGCCAACUAAUUGAUUUACAGAAAAUUAGUUGUUGAGUGUUGAUAUCAUAUUAACUUAUUUCAUGAGAUAGAUAAUAUAUCUGUAAGUUCGGGUCAAAGUUCUUCAUGGCAUGUCAACAAUAUGUUUUCCGGCAACUGAAAUUUGUAUUUGCUAAUUUGAGGGAUAAACCUAUUUGUGAAAGAAGUAUAUCCCUGAAUAUAUGGUUGUUUGAAACAUAUUUUAAAGCGACAAAAAUAAAUUGCAAUCACUAUUAAAAUAUGAAGAAACAUAACUUUAUUGAUAAAUAUUGUGGGUACAAUACCAUUCCUCCCUUGGUUAUACUCUCCUAAGAUUUAUCAAUGAUUCGAGGAUCGUUUGUGGUACAUUUCUCUAAUUAGGAUGAUAUAUAUUUGACCUUUAUAUGAAUUCCAUUAAUUUGAGGAAUAUUUGAGGUCUUGAUCUCUCUAUGGAAUUUCUAAGAUGCAUUUUAAGGGAAUUUAAUAUCCUUUAUAUUUGCAUAAACUAGGAUUUAAGGUUGAGUAGCAUCAAAGAGUCCUAAUUUGAGUUGAACACAAUUUGUAGAGUCUCAACUCGAAUUGAAUGCAUCUUUUAGAGUCCCACAAAAUUUCAAUGUGUACAAAUACCCCUGCUUGAAGCCUUGUCAGAGUGUAAACUUGAUGAAACUCGAAGACGUGGCUUGAAGUACUUAUUCUUCUUCAUUUGUAGCUUCCGAUUUUCAGAUUUGAUUUAAGAGAGAAGAGUUGAAGGGAAACUUUUGUCCCACUGGGCGUGACAAUUUGUUUGCAACAAAUUUUAAAGCGAUAGAAAAUAAAUUGCAAUCACAAAUAAAAUUUGAAGAAGCAUACCUUUAUUGAUAAAUAUUACAGGUACAAUUCUAUUCCUCCUUGAUUCUACUCUCCUAUAAUUUAUCCAUUAUUUGAGGGUCACUUUUGACAUAUUUCUCGAAUUAGGAUGAUUUCGAUUUGAGCUCUAUAUGAAUUUUCCAUCAAUUUGUGAAAUAUUCGAGGUCUUGAUCUCGAUAUGAAAUUUUUCGGAUGUCUUUUAAGGGAAAUUAGUAUGUUUUAUAUAGUCAUAAACAAGGGUUAAGGGUUGACUAGCCUCCAUGAAUCCUAGUUUGAGUUGAACACAAUUUGGAGAGUCCCAGCUUGAAUUGAACACAUCUUGUAGAGUCCCAAAAAAUUUCAAUGUCUACAAUCGCUAUAAGAUGUUUUGUUGUGGAAAUACAUAUGUUCUUCUGUAUUUAUUGGUAUACAUUUAAUUUUUUUAUUUAUUUUAGUUCUUAUAUAGAGAAAUUCAAUGCUUCCGUUUUCAAAACUCGUCCUUCUUUAGUUACAUCCUCGACUUGAUUUACUAGCUAGCAGUAAGUUGGAAUACUUUAAAUUGUUCAAGAAUAAAAAUAUAACACUAACAUGCUCUGUAUUCUCCAUCCAAUCAUUUUUCAGUUGUGAAGCCAACUAAUUGUUAUAAUUUCAUUGUGUACCCUCAUUUUAUCUGAUUGAUGAUAAAGGUGUAAUGUGAAAAAAAUUAAUGAUUGCCAUUAAACUGUGUUAUAGCUCGCAAUCUAAUUUUAGGAAAAUAUUCUAAUUCCUCCUAGUUUGGCUGGUCUAUAAUCAAAUUGCGGAACUUAUAAUCAAAGAAGCUAAAGGAAGCUAAGCUUAGUAACUUAGUUUACUAUUUACAUGAUAAUUAGUUGUAGUCUUCCUCUUCUACUUAAUAACCAUUUUAUCUAGAAGGUUCUUUUGUGAAGAUUCUCUAGUUCAUUCUAUAUUGUAUCAUAUAGUUGUUUUAAUUAUCACCUUACCAUAUAGGAAUUUAUUCUUGACAUUUCCGCAAUUGAUUUAUUAAAAAUUUGUAAUGCAGAUCAAGCUAUGAAGGAGAUGUAUUUAUCAGACCUCAAUGAUUUCUACAAGAGAAUUGCUUAUAAAGUGUUGCAGGUAUGUCAUCAACAUCCCCCUAAGUUCUUCAUCAAAGUUCCAAAUUUUGGUUGGCUCCCUUGCAAGUUUCGUAAAAUGACAGACCAUAAUUUGCGUAUAUCAUGAACCAAGGUUUAAUAGAUAUUGCAUUCGAUUUAUUAUUGCCUUAGUAGAGAAUCAUCAAAUUGGAACUAGUGCAGAAAGCUCAAAACACUAAAUUAGCGGUUUUUCUUCUUUGGUUCCCUUCAUGCGGAUUAUCUUAGAGGGACGAGAUUCUUUUAUUGAUUUUAUGUAGUUUUCUAUUUGCAGACUUUGUAUGUUAUGUCAUGCCCCGAGGCUAACCCAAGACGCACAAACUGGACCUAGGAUAACGAACGACCCCAAGUUAACCUUGUAACACCCAAAUUUGUUUCGAACUAAGACUUGAGGCGUUAGUCGUAGAGAGUGAGAGUUCCCCAAAGAAUUAAAUUUUUUUGAAGUACUAAGGUCAGUCACUAGAUGUAGCACCAAGAGUUUCAAAAAGAAUUUAAUGGAAAUAGAACACGGAGUGUAAAUGUCCUAGGAUGUCUAUGAAUUCGUGUCAGUAGGAUAUUUUUUAUGGUUCUGAGGGCCCCACUUCUAUGAAUGAGGUACUAUAGGCAUUUAAGAAAAGUUUCCCUUCUUUCAUACUCUUAAACGUGCAAAAGAGAUAAGUGACUAAGUGAUAGAGAUCUAUUCUAACUCGUGCGUUUUCAUAUUCAUUUGAGUACCAAUCAUACUAGAGGUGGUUUAAAAGUAAAGUUUAAAGAUUCUUAUGGAUGAGUUGUUUUUAGCAAGAGUCUUGAGAAAGUCAUGAGACAUUAGAGGUGCUUGAAAGGAACCCAAUAAUUGUUCAGUUUCAUAGUAAUGCACCCAUAUUCACAUCAAUCGUGCGUUUGAGCUAAAAAAGAGUUGCACUAUGUUCACUAAACCUUGUUUCAGCUGAGAUCUUUAUGAGAGAGCAUGUUUAGAGAUUGGCUAUGAUUUCACCCCCCAAAAAAGUAAUAUGAGCUAUGAGAUCAUGAGUAGUAGUAGUGAAAGAUCCCAUAGUUAGAGGAAAGUAUGCAGAGAGUUGGUAAUUUAAGGAAGGGGGAUGGUGUUGUGACAAACUAUGUUACAAUAGUCAUGUACCUAGUAAGUUGGUCAUAAAGAGUUUUCCCUUAUGAGUAGUCUAAUAAGUGAAGAGUUGUAAAGAUCUGAGGAUAGAGGUAAAGUAAGUAUUUGAAGUCAGCAUGAGUUAGGAUAUACCUUAACGAAAUAGGGGUUAUGAUAAUGUGUCAUUGUGUUAGUAAUGACCAAGUGCAAGUGGUGAAUCUAUAGAAGAGCCAGAAUAUUCACAAUGUGAUAGAUUAAUCUAGGCUUAUGAAUUUUGAUAGAAGAACUUCAGAGGAUUAUAGAGUUAUUUGAGAGGUAGUGCGCAGUAUGUGAGUAGGUAGCAUUUAAGUUGUGAAGUGGAAGAUGAUGGUCACUUGAGUAUGCAGACUGAGACGUAAAGAUUGGCUAAUUAUCAUGAAGUCGUAGUGGACAACGAUUCCUAAAUUUCCAUCAUAGUAAUGUGUUAUAGUAUAGUAGGUGAGCAAUCAUAUUGACAUUUGGGUUUAGUAAGGAACAUUAAGCUAGAACUUGAGAUGAGUGUCACGAUCCACAAAAAUGGCAAAAAAGGGCCAUGAUGUUAGUCUUGAGAUUUGAUAUGGUAGAUUUUACAUAGAAUAGGUAAGGAAUUGAGAUAGUUGUUGCAAUGAAUGCGAGUAGUAGAGAACGUAACCUUUAAAUAAGGGCAGUGGUGUGACUAAGUCAUAAGAGUAGAAAGAGCAUUAAUAUAAUGUAUACCAGUUAGAGAUGUGGAAUAGGUCCAUAGCUUUCAAGUGUUAGCUUUAGACCCAAGGGGAAGAUGAUACGAUGAGAAAUCAAGUAAACUGUUUAAAGAUUUCAUAAGGAGUUCAUUCAUAGGAGUUCAUGGAGUUGUUAGAUGUCUGAGCUUGAAUGUAGUGGUAAAGAGUAAUUGUUUGAGAUGAUAUUCCAUAUAGAGAAGUAUAUAAUAAAAACUUAAAAAUUUGAGUUUAACAUUGAAUAUAGUAAGAGUAGACCAUUAUAUGUGUACCUUAGUAAGAGUAAACCAUUCUAUACCGAGUUCAAUCUUCAUUCGAAGAUAAAUGAUCCCAAGGGAGGUGAUAUUGUAAGACCGCAGAAAAUCUGUUCGAACUAAGACUUGAGUCGUUAAUCAUAGUGAGUGAGAUUUCACGAAAAAGUUAAAAUUUUCUUAAGUAUUAAGGUCAGGUCACUAGAAGUAGAACCAUGAUUUCUAAAAAGAAUUUAAUUGGAAAUAGCAAAAUCUAAAAUUUUGCAACUUUAUCUAAGUAUGAGUUUUGGGUCAACUUCAAAAAGUCGUAUCAUCUAGAACAUGAUGAGUUAAGUAUGCUACAAGAUACAAUUGGACAUAUCUUUGAUUAUAUUUCCAACGCCGACGAGUUUGUUAUGUUUCGAGUUCAGAUGAGUGAGAUAUGACCUUCUGAUGUUAGUCUUUCCAAUUCAGGAAAGUUUGCCGAAAAUAUGAGGGGUAUUUCGGUUCUUUCCUUACCCAAUCAGAUUUAAUUCAUUUUUGAUAAUAUUUUAGGGUUAUAAUCCUUUUAAGUUCUGUUUUAAUAUGCUAAUAUACACCUAGGGUUUUAGUUGAUGUUUCAAGAAGACGCAAGAAAAGAAAAUAGGAGAAAAGAGACAAGGAUGAAGACAUUCGUCGAUGUUCUUGAGUUUAGUUGCGGAUUUUCGCCAUAGGUCUAAUCCGUAAUAGGUAUGUAAGAUUCCAUAGUGUUUGGUUUUUUCACCCACACGCCAAUCAUUUUUUUUUCUUAGCGAAAUUUCAUUCUUAAUGUUUAAUGAUUUGAGUUCUUGAUGAAUUUUUGAAGUUCAUUCUAAAUCUUUUUGUGUUAGGGUUUGAUGAUUUAUUGUGAUCAAAUUGAGUAAUUUUAGUGUUGUUUUCAGUAAAUUAGAGUGUAAUUAAGUUAAGUAAUCAAACCAAGUGAUUGGGGAAGAAAUCGUUCGAUUUUAGGCGAUUUAGGAUAAGAAAAUGAGCAAAAAUGCUCGGAAGAAUUUUUAGGGUUGGGUCCUUGGGUCAUGCUCCUUCCAGACCGCCCCAAACUCUUCUCUGUACUUCAGGGGUUGGUAGCCCGUGCAGUGGCGGGGGCAGGAUUAGCACACUAAUAAUAUACACAAAUAAGAGAGUCGGGUCAAAUAAAAGAGGGGCGGGCAAGUCAAUAUAAACGGGUCGGAUUUGAUUUAAGAAACUAAAAUUUGCAUUGAAAAAAUAAUAAUCAAGACGGAAUAAUAUCGCGAAAAAUCUAUGUUUUAUUUAUAAAUUUUUUAAUGAUUACACCUAUUUAUUUAAUCUUACUUAUAAUUAUAUAAUUCUUUUAUCAAAUAUAAAUGAAAUGUUUGACUUAAAAUGAGUAUAAGAUAGUGUUUUUUUAAAAUUUAAAUUACAUGAAAACUUAAAUUUUUUAUAAGUUUUACUUGAUGUUAUAAAAAUAGAAAAGAAAAAAUAACUAAAACUAUAAGAAAAUAAUGUUGUUACCGGGAUUCGAAAUCGUGCCCAUUUAUAAAUAAAAAAAUAAGAACAGAUGAAAGUUGAAAUUAUUAUAUUAAAAAAUGAUGCUAAUACACAGGUUCGAACUCGCCAAGUAAUCGAUGACCUUGUGAAAUCCUGAACCCUGUAACCACUAAGCCAAGCCCUUUCCUAGUGAUCAGGGGGUUCAUUUACUCAUAUAUAACUGCAAAUCAAAAUAUUUAUCCUAUAUAUGCAACAUAAUGUUUUUGACGAAGGGGGUUCGGAUGAACCCCUCUGCCCCAUGUACCUCCACCCUUGGCCCCGCACCACCCAUAUCCCCAAGGUCACCUGCCCAUCCAGUUUGCCUCUUGUUGCUUCGUUUAGCUAAUUUAAAGUGUAUCUUCCCUCAUUUUGAUUCUAAAUACUUUUAACUACUUGUAAACACUUUGAAAUCAUUCAUAACAUGAAUCAUAACCUUCAAAUUAUAAUUUAAAUUCAAGGUAAGGUUAAGAUUAAGUUUUGAGAGUUCUUCCAAACCUUUUGAGAGAAUUCCUUCGAGUCCUUUUGAGGAGUCUUCUACAAUUUCUAGUAAGUUGUUUCAACGCUCAAGUAAGUGAACAUGAGAGUGAGGAUAAUUUAUUCACGAGUCUACAUAUCACCUACAUCAUUCAUAUCAUGAACUAUAACUCUUGAAUUUAUAAUUUACAUUCAAGAGAGAGUUAAGAGUAGAGUUCAAGAAAGCCUUCAAGUUAAAUUGUGAAUUCUUUAAGAUCCAUCAUGAUUGAACUAAGUUUUGAGGAAGUAAACAAGAAAACGAGUAGAGUCAUAUACACGAAUUCAUGUAGUUAUGUAGUCCUUGAGUUGAAUUGUUCAGUCCCAUAAUUCUCGAGAACCUUAUGUGUCAAACAGUCUUGAGAUGAGAGGUACCCUUAAGUUAUCGAGUUAAGUAGUUCAUGCUGAGAUUUCUGCAUGAACCCUCCAAGUUGAAAUCAUGAAAUCAUUCAUAAAUAUGAGAUCAUAACACUUGAAUCCAUAAUUUAAUUCAACAAAAGUUAAGAUCAAAGUCAAAGAAGUUAAGAGUCUUGAACAAACCUUUUAACUUUGUUUUAAGACUCAAGUUACAAGUUAAGAGAGAGAGAGUAAAGAGUUGAGUUCAUUCUAAAAAUUUAUUAGUGGACUAAGUAAUCCUUAAGAGUUACAAAUGUUUUCACAUUUAAUCAAGUAAAGAUCCUACGAGCUAGUUUUCAGACAGAUGUAAUAGCUUAAGAUAAUGAAGCAUGCAGGGAAACUAUGAUUCCAAGAGAGCUUUUAAAGCUAUGUUUUGAUAACUAAUCUCAAACCACAUCAUCAAUAUGUUUUAAAAACAUAAGAGCCAGUAUAUUUUUUGAAGUAGUAUUGAGCAACGACGUGGGGAAGCUAGGUACAGAUUAACUCAAGUCUCCAUGAAAACUAUAUACUCUUCAUGGGUGGAAAAAGGAUUAUACUAUUUAGAUGAGUCCUUUUCACAGUUUAAUAGUGGAUCCAUUAAGAAGUUCAGGUCCUAUACUCUGGCAAUGUUAGGAUGACCGAGCAGCGUGGGCCAGUAACGUUGUAUCGUCACUAUAGCUCUUAAGUUAUGGUUGUCGCUUAUAGUAACUCCCACAGAAGUAAUAGUAUUUUUAUAUACACCAGUUAUUGUAUUUUCAUAUACAUUUCAGAGUUGUGCUGUACCCUUGCUAUACGCAGAGAGUUGAAAUCACGUUUUUAAACAACUUUUCUUUAUAUUGCACUUGUUUUAAACUGUAUUAUAUUGAAAUGAUUUCAGUUGAGUAUCAGGAGUUGAGUAUAUUGAGUUAAUUUUUGCUUCAUUGAGUCGAAUAUCAUAUCUUUGAAGUUUAGAAUCUAAUCCUCGAGUUGAGUAUCUGAUUCUUGAGUUGAGUUAAAAAAAGGUAUGUGUGUUUCCUUUUAAUCAAGUUCAAGCCUAUGUUUUAUGCUUUAGAUUUCCCCUUACAUUCUCUUUCAUUCCAUGUGUUGAGCCAAUUGGUUUGCAUCUUCUCAUGAUGCAGACACAUAUAUUCAGGAUGUUCAAUAGGAGCUUCGUUGAUACAUCGGAGAGUUCUAGAUAGCUAUAGUGAGCCUCCUAGCUUUCAGAGGACUUCAUGUACCUUUCAGUUUUGUCAGGAUGUCGUGGGUCUUGUACCGAGUUCCAUCUUUAUCAAUGAGAGGCUUCAUAUAUAAUCACUAUAGUUAAGGAGUCUGUAUUAAUCAUUUUUUUGAUUAAAUAUUUUAAAGACUAAAGUUUACUAUUUUGGCUAGUUUAAUAUAUUAUUUUUAUUCAAAGUUGUUCAUUUUAGUUUUAAGUUUUGUACGUUUAAGUUAGUUUCCACUUGUAAUCAGCCAGGAUGAGGGUUCUCUUGGGGACCAACAAUGGUUUUCGAGUGCCUGCCACGUCCAGGGUGUAGACUCGGGUCGUGACAAACCCUAAGUUGCAUAUCAUAAGUAUACUAAACGAUUACCGAAUAAUUAUACUAUGAGGAAGCUUAAACAUGAUAACUAAAAGUUGGGAAUGUCCAAUACUAAUUUGUAUACAUAAAAUAUUAUGAGUUUAAUAAUAACUGGAGGAUCAAACUCAAAACUGGACUAUCAGAGGGCCACGAUUGUUUUAUUGAUUUUAGGCCUUUUUCUAUUUUCAGACUUCUUAUGUGAUGUAUGGAUUACGUCCCAAUAUCUUUCUCUAUUGUCAAACUCUUUUGUAUGAAAUGCUAUCUUUUGAACUUCUUUACAUCUAUUAUCUUGUAUGAUGCAUUCUAAGUGGCUUGGAUAGGGACACUCGGGGUUCUAUUUGUUAUGUUAUGCCCAACGUCUAUUUUGGAUCAUGACAUGUAAUCUCUCUAAAUUCUUACAUUCUACUUUAAUAUUUUUCUCAUAUUUUUUCAGGCUUCAAAAAUCAACCCAUCUAGUGUACUUAUUGUAUCAUGAGAAAAGUGGGAUGUCCAUAAAUCUUAUCCUUAUAUUUCUCAUAAUAAUCAUUUUUAAUGUUUCUCAUAAUAAUAAUUUUCAAUGCAUACGACAAACAGAGAAAGAGUCUAUUCUAAUAAGAGAAAUAUGAUCCUACAUUGUGGGAUAAAAUAUCUACCGAAUUCUAUUACCAACAAACAUGGUUAAAAAGAAAUAGAAAAUGGUUAACCACCUCAAAAAUGACAAAUAUAACUAUAACCAAAAAAAUAUUGAAAUCAUGCAAGAACGUGGGUAGCAUUUACACCAACUAAUGCUUCCAUAUCUGAAAUAAAAUAAAAUAAAUAAUAACAUUAUUAUUAUUAAUAAUAAUAAUAAUAAUAAUAAUAAUAAUGAUAAUAAAAUAAAUAAAAUUAAUCUUUGAGAUGUAAUUAUGGUAUGAUUUAUGUUCUCUUAAUAUUUGACUAAAGCUAAAUAUUUGUUACAAAUUCAAACAUAGUCAUCAUAAAAAGUUCAGGUCAACACAAAUAAAGAGAAGGUAGUGAGAAAAUCUCACAAAAAUAAUACAAUUUUGACAUAAACAUUUCCUACAAUAAACUUGCUUUUCUCCUUCUCACAUUUUCAAAUCUCUAAUUCGUGCAUCAUUCAGAGCAUAUCUUCCCUGUCCAUGGAGAUUCAUCAACAGAAUUACCAAAUAGAAGACAAAUCAUGAAAUACAAAAAACAUACAACAAUAGAUGACAUCUCUAAAAAAAUAUAAAAAUGGAAAAAUUAUUUUAAGAACAAUUAUUUGUCUUUUCUUUUAAAAUUUGAACUUUUAAAAUGAUGUUCUAAAUUCACUAUUAUAUGUUAAUUUCACAUAUGUGUUGGAUUUUAUUUGCCCUGAUUUUCUUACCAUAAAUAGGUUAUCAUUUUAGGAAAAGGAAAACAGAAUAUCUCCAUAUUUGACUAGUCUUUAUAUUGUAGGAAAUGCUUAAGGACUCUAUAAAUAUAUGCUUGUUCUUCUAGCUUAAUUAGCAUUCACAAUGUAGUUCAAUGGAUUUUGAGAGUUUUUAUUAUGAGAGAGAAUUUGUGUACCUCCUUGUAUUCCGAGUAAAUUGUUUGAGGUUAUUACUCUCUAUAUUUUGUACUCACAUAUUCAUAUAGAAUUUCUCAUCUCCUUUGUGGAUGUAUGUUAAUUGACUUAACCACGUUAAAUCUUUGUAUAUUUUGGUGUAUUGAGGUUAUUACCACUUGUUAGACCACUGGUUCACAUAUUCAUAGCUUUUCUAGGGUAGCAAUCCCAUGGUUAAAAUCUUUACCCAUAAUCAAUUAUAUUGAAGUAAGAUUGACUACGGAGGAUAGUAUUACAUCUACCAACAAUCAUUGUCCAAAUUAAGUUCAUUCAUAACUUUGUCACGCUCUGAGCCUAUACCAUGGGCGGGAUUGACACUCCUAUAUCAUUGCUGGCCCUAACCAAACCCUUGGCUUGUCUAGACUUUCAGCAGAAGUCAUACCAUACAUAGAAUCUAUUUAAAGACAAUCUUAACUAAAUUGUCUAAAUAGAUAAACUUAAAAUAUUUUUAAAGUAAAAUCUUAGAAACUCAAGUCUUAAAACAAAACAACUAAAAUGAGCAACACUAAAGAACUAAUAACUAUCCAUCUAUGAAGCCUCUAAAACUAUGAGGCAUGUCGGGACAAGACCCCCAAUAAUCGUAACAACUGAAAUAACCAAGAAUACUAAAAGGGAUCCUUCGAAUAGCAAGAAGGCUCACCAAAAUGACUCAGAAGCUCAACUGGAUCAACGAAGCGCUAGAUGUUUAUCCUAGUUAGUUGUAUGGGCAUCAUAAAACGUUGCAGGCAAUGUACGAGCAUGCGAGGGGAAAACUAAACAUGACAUAAUCUUGAACUGAAAUAUAAAAGUAACACUUACCUUAUCUUUACUCAACUCAUGGAUACUAAACUCAAUGUAGAAAUAAACAACAAUAAAGAUAUAGUAGUAAAUAAUAUCUCAAAGUAUCGGAGAUACAAUAACAUCUCAGUUGUAUUUAAGAAUACGAAAAUAGACUGUUUGGGAUAUUCUCUAACCGACAACCAUCACUAUGAGUUAUGUGAUGAUACAUUAUCUCGCCCACGAGUCCAGAAUUUUGAUAUAACUUGUUUGGAUAUAGAACGUCUCAACUAAGUGGAUUCACUAGUCUAUGCUAAAAAGUAUUAAGGAAUUAUCUAAAAAGUAUGACCCUUUCUACCCACAUUGGGUACAUGGUUUAUGAAGACUUGAGUCAUUAUGAACUCGUCCCCAUAUCGGUGCUCAAUAGUAUUCCCAAAAUGUACUCAACUCAUAUGUUUAAAAACGUAACUCUAUCUUUGUGGCUUGAGGUUAUUACUCAAAAAUCUUAUCUCUUAAACGAGAUGAAACUCAAAACUACUCAUGAAAAAUCAUUUGGAAAUCGGUGUUUCCUCAUCUUAAAUGUGAAAAUAUUUGCUCUUUGAGGGUACUUAGUCCCCAUACAUCAAUUUGAAGAAAUGAAUUCGACUGUACUCUUUCUCAAACUCGAUGGUUAAGUCCUUUAACACAAGGUUUAAAUGAUUGUAAAAGACUUUUUAAAGACUCAAAGAACUCUUUGGACUUAAUUUAUAACUCUACCUUGAAUUUGAAUCAUUGAUUCAAGGGUUAUGAUCUCAUUUGAUAGAUGUUCUCUCGAUGUUUAAACGUGACUUAGAGUGUAAAAAACAACUAGAAAAUAUAGGCAUAAUUCAAGAGAACUCAAACAGAAAGAAGUAGGAAAGGGUAGAGGACCUGGAGACCCUAGCGUCGUACUGAACUAUAGAGUUUGGGUUGGGGCGACUGAGUAGCGUGACACCACAGAGCCCAAACUAUGACCUUUUUAUGCUGGCACGGAUUGCCAGCCCCUUGCCCGGAAAACUUACGAUUUUUUUUGUUCAUUUUUUGACCCUAACACGUCCAGAUUCGAUUAGUUUCUUCCACCAAACACUUAGAUUUGAAUAACCAACCAAAGUAUACAAUAAUUUGCUAAUAAACAAUCUUAAAUAUCAAAAAAUCACCUUAAGAACUACUCCAAAACCCAAAAAUCAAGAUUCAAACAGAACUUCAAAAAAAUCCAUCAAGAACUCAUAUACUCAAAUUUCCAAAAUGUGAAUACGCUGGAUUUAAUUAGGAUUGGUGUGUGGCUGAACGAGUCCAGCUUUAUGUGAUCUCACAUACCUCGUAGGGAUUAACCCUUGGCGAAAUCUCAAGAGUGCUACGAAACAUUGGUUUUUCUCCUCUUUUCUACUCUCUCAAAGCCCUAACAUAAUUUUGUAAUUGUCUAAAAUGAACCAAAUCAGUUUAUACCCAAAAAAAAUUACUAAAAACAAAUAAAACUAAUUGGGUGCUAAAAAGACCAAAACAUAGGUUUACUGUUUGGCUAGCUGUGCAUGAUAGACUUCUUACAAAAGAAAAAAUGCAAAGACUGAACGUACCUACAGGGAAUACGUAUUGUUGCUUAUGUGAUAAGCAGGCUCAGGAAACAAACAAACACUUGUUAUGGCAGUGUAAAUAUAUAAAGGCUGUAAAACAAGGUUUAGAAACAUAGACUGGGAUCAUGUUGAUUGCAGGGGAGAUGAGAGGAGUAUUACUAACUAUAAAAAGAAAGAGGUGCAACGAUUUCAAGAAGCAGAUAUUGGCAGUAACAUGGGGUGCAUGUACUAGAAAACUUGGAGGGCUAGGAAUUGGAAGCAAUUUAGAGGAGGCACUAUAAUGCCAAUGUGUCAUAACUCAGUUUGGAGACAACGCUGCUUCAGACUCCAAAGAGAAGUAGUCAUUUUUAAGAACAACUUACUUUCGAUAAAUCACAUGCCUUUUUCUGGCCAUGACGGAUUAGCCGAUUGGCUAAUAUUAUUUGAACAAAUCUGAGCAAAUGAUAUAGUUGUCUGAAUCUUGCUUAUUUGUUCAAUGUUGAUGAUAUUAUUGGGGGAAAACAUCAGUUGCCGUGCACACAUGAUGGUUCGUCAUCUUACUGCUACAAACGUUGUCUGAUCUCAUAAAUUCCUUUAUGGAUGAAUCGUCUGGGCACAAAGACCGUGAAGAAGUUAUCUCGACACACGCUGUGCAAGAGAUUUUGCAUGAAAACACUAGGCCAAAUACUAAUAAAAGAAUAGUUUCAAAGUUUUUGUGGUAUGAAGAAGAGUUGUUUUCCACUUUAUAUAUAUAAAAAAAGAAUACUGGACAAGCAAACAUUAAUGAUAAAUAAAACUUGCCUCACUGCAAGCAGUUCUGUUGAGUAAUUUUUGCUCUUUAAUCACUAAUAUUAUGAUAGAAGUUAUUUUUAGAAAAGAUGAUUUUUGAGAAAAUAAAUUCAUAAUCUGAAAGAACCAACACAUGUCAUCAUGACUGUAUAUCUAAUAGUUUACUCCUAUGUUUUUUUGUCCUUUUUUUGUUGUCUCCUUAAAGUUAUAUUGAUUAUUUUUCGAUGUGAUCUCAAUUGGACAAAACUUUCGUUCUUUAAUGUUUUUCCUUUUUCCCUUCUCAUUCAACUCUUCUAAAUAUUUUUUGUGUGAGUUAUGGCUAUUUUCGGCAAGCUUAAUUUGAAGAAUAUGAAACAAAAUAUGCUCUAAAUAAGAGUAAUAUCUUAAGCUACAAAAAAAUGUGUCUAGUAAUAUUGCAUUGUUGUCCUUGAUGUGUCAGGUCAUUGUUGAGCAUUUAUGAUAUCUAGGUUAGACUCAUUUUUUAAUUUUUUAAUGUUCAAGAAUAUUUAUUUACAUGAGUGUAGAAUCCAACACUUAGAUCUAUGUGUACUUUCAUAAUACAGUAGUUAUACAUACAUAUUUCUGAAAAAGUCUGUCACGACCCCAAACCGGGGCCGCGACUGCCACCCACACUUACCCUCCUAUGUGAGCGAACCAACCAAUCUAACCUUAACAUUUCAAUAUAAUAUCAAAAGAAAGUGAUGCGGAAGACUUAAACUCAUUAAAUAAAGACCAAUUCAUUAACUUCUAAAAUUCAACAUCUAUUAUUCCCCAAAAUCUGGAAGUCAUCAACACAAGAACAUCUACGAUCAAAUGACUAAACUAAGAGUAUUCUAAAAAGCUAAAACAAUUAAAAGCUAGUCCAUGCCAGAAGUUCAAGGCAUCAAGACAUGAAGGAGAAGAUCCAGUCCAAGCUAGAAGAAUUAGCUCACCCUGAAGAUCCGAUGUGACGAAGACUAGCUAGAGUUACUGUUGAGUCGAAGAUGACGGCACGUUUGCUACACUCCACAAUUAAACAAGAAGAAAACAAUAAAAGUAGGGGUCAGUACAAAGCACGGGUACUGAGUAGAUAUCAUCGGCCAACUCAAAAUAGAAAUCAAUAUAUAUCAAGUAAUAUCAUAAAAUCAACUAUGAUACUCAACAUGUAGCAACAACAAGCACUAUAUCAUUAACAAUUACCGUCAAGUUCACACAUGAGGACUCAAGCCUCAAUACCAUACUCAUUUGGGAAUCAUGUUCAUUAGAUUGAGUAUAUUAACAUCUUUCAAGAUUCAUUAUCUUUAUUUCUCUUGUGUCGGUACGUGACACUCCGCUCCCUCAUAUUCAUUAAUCCUCUUGUGUCGGUACGUGACACUCUGAUCCCCUAAAUCUACGUGUCAGUUCGUGACACCCGAUCCCCUAAAUCUACGUGUCGAUUCGUGACACCCGAUCCCCUAAAUCUACGUGUCGGUUUGUGACACCCGAUCCCCUAAUUCUAUGUGUCGGUUCGUGACACCCGAUCCCCUAAAUCUACGUGUCGGUUCGUGACACCCGAUCCCCUAAUUCUACGUGUCGGUUCGUGACACCCGAUCCCCUAAUUCUACGUGUCGGUUCGUGACACCCGAUCCCCUAAUUCUACGUGUCGGUUCGUGACACCCGAUCCCCUAAUCUCCUUCUAUCAAUUCAUCAAGCCUUCUUUCUUACCAAGGCAUCAUCAAUCCCAUUAUUUUAGUUCAUCACGCCUUCUUUUAUACCAAGGCCUCAUUAUUAACAAGGAGAUUUGUUUUUUAUCAAGAUUUGGGAUUCAAUAACUUCAUCAUGCUUAUAUAAUCACGAUUAUAUAAUUACAUUCAUGCAAGCAUACAAUUAAGCACUUGGCAGGGUUUACAAUAUUAUCAAUACAUACCAUUCUCUAUUAAGAGUUUACUACGAAUAUCGUAAGAGAAACCAUAACCUACCUCCACCGAAGAAUUGCGAUCAACAAGCUAUCUUCUCAAAAUCCUUGCUAUCCCCUUCGUUUCUCUCUCUCUCUACUCGUUCUCUUUCUUUUUCUGUCUCUCUUUGUCCUUUCUUAUUUUUCUUAUUCCAACCCUCUCUCUUUUACCCUAAUUAGUAUAUAAUUAAGAAUAAAAGAUGGCAAUAAUGCCCCACUAAUUAACUUAAGGUUACCUCUUUUAACCCCCAAGUAAUUAGACUUAUUAACAUUAACCCACUAACUUUAUAAUUAAGGCAAGAAUAGUAAAAAACGUCCCUUAAAACGUAUCAAGAAAUCCGACCCAGACUGGGAUUGCGCAACCUGCGACGGCCCGUCGUGCCUGCGAUGGUCCGUCCUGCAGGUCGUCGCAAGGGUCAGAGACUCAAUUUCCACUGAAUAAUCUGUGACGGUCCGUCACGCUUGUGACGGUCCGUCCUGCCAUUCCGUUACGAAGUUCAGAGAGUUGAUUUUCAGCACCCAAAUUUCAGAAUUUCUAAGUGUUUUGGGACGAGACACCCUCGACGGUCCGUCGUGCCCAUGACGUUCCGUCGUGGGUUCCGUCAUCUCAGCCUGUUUUCCAGAAAUAAAAUCUGCUGCUCAAAACGACUAAACAGGUCGUUACAUUAGAUACCAAUUUACCCAUUGUUCGUCCUCGAACGAUACAAGAAGUAGAAUAAGGGCGAAAAGGAGUACCUGAAUCUGUGAACAGGUGUGGAUAUCUUUCUCGCAUAUCAACCUCCUUCUCCCAAGUGGCUUCUUCAACGGGUCGAUUCUUCCAUUGAACUUUGAUGGAUGCAAUCUCCCUUGAUCUCAACUUGCGAAUUUCUCUAUCUAGAAUAGCAACAGGCUCCUCCUCAUAGGACAAAUUCCCAUCAAGCAAAACUGAAUCCCAACGGAUAAUAUAGUUUCCAUCCCCAUGGUAUCCUUUCAACAUCGACACAUGGAAUACCGGAUGUACCCCGGACAGCCCUGGAGGCAAGGCUAACUCAUAAGAGACCUCCCCUACUCGCUUGAGUACUUCAAAUGGUCUAAUAUACCUUGGACUUAGCUUACCCCUUUUUCCAAACCGCAUCACCCCUUUCAUGGGCGAAACCUUCAGCAAGACUUGUUCUCCCUCCAUGAACUCUAAGUCUCUAACCUUUCGAUCUGCAUAUUCUUUUUGUCUACUUUGCGCCGCUAGAAGCUUUUCUUGAAUAGAUUUCACCUUCUCCAUCGAAUCCCUCAAGAGAUCCGUACCCCAAGGUCUAACCUCGAACGCAUCAAACCAACCAAUGGGGGACCUACAUCUUCUACCAUACAAUGCUUCAAAUGGAGCCAUAUCAAUGCUCGAGUGAUAGCUAUUAUUGUAUGAAAAUUCCGCUAAGGGUAAGAAGCUAUCCCAAUGGCCACCAAAUUCUAUCACACACGUACGAAGCAUAUCCUCCAACACUUGAAUCGUUUGCUCAGACUGACCAUCGGUCUGAGGAUGGAACGCAGUACUAAGGUCCAACCUAGUACCCAAUUCCGCAUGCAAUGUUUUCCAAAACAUAGAAGUAAACUGCGUACCUCUAUCUGAUAUGAUGGAUAGUGGAACCCCAUGCAAUCGAACGAUUUUUGAGAUAUAGAUCUUGGCUAACUUCUCGGCAUUGUAAGUCACCUUAACCGGAAUAAAAUGAGCAGACUUAGUUAACCUAUCAACAAUCACACAAAUAGAGUCAUACCUACCCAUUGUCUUUGAAAGACCAACCACGAAAUCCAUUGCUAUUCUCUCCCAUUUCCAUUCCGAAAUGGGCAUUCUCUGAAGUGUUCCUCCGGGCCUUUGGUGUUCAUACUUUACUUGUUGACAGUUUGGACAUUUGGCAAUAAAAUCCACAAUAUCACACUUCAUUCUACUCCACCAAAAGUGUUUCUUUAUGUCACGGUACAUCUUGGUUGCACCCGGAUGUAUCGAAUACCUUGAACUAUGAGCCUCUGUCAGAAUAGUGUUGAUCAAAUCAUCAACACGGGGCACACAUACCCUUCCCUUGAUUCUCAAAACACCUUCCUCAUCGAUUUGUGCUUCCUUAGCCUCUCCUCGCAAUACCUUAUCUUGGAUUCUUCUUAGUUUCUCAUCAUCAAACUGUUUUCCCUUAAUCUUGUCAAGAAAGGAAGAUCUUGCCUCCACACAAGCAAACAACCCUCCCUUCUCAUUUACUUCUAAUCUCAUCAAGUCGUUAGCUAGAGUCUGAACCUCUCUAGCUAAUGGGCGUCUAGAGGCUUGCAAAUGAGCUAGACUUCCCAUGCUUCCCGCCUUUCUACUUAAAGCAUCCGCUACAACAUUCGCCUUCCGCGGAUGAUACAAAAUGGUGAUGUCGUAGUCCUUCAGUAGCUCCAUCCAUCUUCUCUGUCUCAAGUUCAAAUCUUUCUGAGUAAAGACAUACUGUAGGCUACGAUGAUCCGUAUAGACCUCACACUUAACCCCAUAUAAAUAGUGUCUCCAUUGCUUUAAUGCAAACACUAUCGCGGCCAAUUCCAAAUAAUGAGUUGGGUAGUUACGUUCAUGCACUUUUAAUUGUCUUGAAGCAUAAGCAAUCACAUUCUUCUCUUGCAUUAGCACUGCACCCAAACCCGAAUAGGAUGCAUCACAAUAGACAAUGAAAUUCUUACCUUCCACUGGCAAGGUGAGAAUGGGUGCGGUAGUCAACAAAGUCUUGAGCUUCUGAAAGCUUUCUUCACACUCAUCCGACCAUACAAAUGGAGCAUUUUGCUUAGUCAAGUUCGUUAGUUGGGAAGCAAUAGAAGAGAAUCCCUUGACAAAUCGGCGGUAGUAGCUAGCUAACCCAACAAAGCUCCUUAUUUCUAACACAUUAGUAGGUCUUACCCAAUUCUUUACUGUCUCAAUCUUAGAAGGAUCCACCAUCACUCCAUCCUUAGAAACCACGUGCCCCAAGAAGGACACUGCAUCUAGCCAAAACUCACACUUAGAGAACUUGGCAUAAAGCUUUUUCUCCCUCAACAUUUCCAAUACCAUCCUCAAAUGCUCCUCAUGUUCCUCCUUACUUUUAGAGUAUAUCAGUAUGUCAUCAAUAAAUACGAUCACAAAGAGAUCCAAAUAUGUCUUAAAACUCCCGUUCAUCAAGCUCAUAAACGCAGCAGGGGCAUUCGUAAGACCAAAAGACAUUACUACAAAUUCGUAAUGCCCAUACCUCAUUCGAAAAGCAGUCUUUGGCACAUCCGUUGCCCGUAUUUUCAAUUGAUGAUAACCGGAUCUCAAGUCAAUCUUAGAGAAGACACAAGCACCUUGUAACUGAUCGAACAAGUCAUCAAUGCGAGGAAGAGGAUACUUGUUCUUUAUGGUUACCUUGUUCAACUGUCGGUAGUCUAUGCACAUCCGAAAACUCCCAUCCUUCUUCUUUACAAACAAAACCGGAGCACCCCAAGGAGAUGCACUUGGUCUAAUAAAGCCUUUGUUUAACAACUCUUGAAGUUGGGCUUUUAACUAACUUAACUCCGCGGGAGCCAUUCUAUAAGGGGGUAUCGAAAUGGGGCGAGUACCCGGUUCAAGGUCAAUACAGAAAUCAAUAUCCCUAUCUGGUGGCAUACCAAGAAGAUCUGCAGGGAACACAUCCAGAAACUCACGGACCACCGAAACUGACUCAAUCGAAGGUACUUGGGUAGUGUCUUCCUUGAGAUGUGCCAAGAAAGCUAAACACCCUUUACUAACCAUUUUCUUAGCACGAAGAAAGGAGAUGCUACGCACCGGAUUGGAAGUGUAGUCACCCUCCCAAACUAACGGAUCUGUCCCAGGCUUGGCUAACGUCACCGUUUUAGCAUUACAAUCAAGAUCGCAAAUUGCGGAGAAAGCCAAGUCAUACCCAGAAUUACAUCAAAAUCAUCCAUUUCUAAGAUAACCAAAUCUACAUAAGUGUUGCUCCCCACAAAGUUCACCAAACAAGACCUAUAUACCUUUUCAACUACCACAGACUCACCCACCGGAGUAGAAACACGAAUAGGCAUAUCAAGUAAUUCACAAUGUAAAUUUAGACCAUUAGCAAAUGAGGAAGAUACAUAAGAAAAUGUGGAUCCAGGAUCAAACAAUACAGAAGCCAUGCAAUCACAAACCAGAAGAUUACCUGUAAUGACAGCAUCAGAUGCCUCCGCUUCAGACAGCCCAGGGAAAGCGUAACAAUGGGCCCUAUCGUUUGUCUGUCCAUUGCCCCUACCAUGUUGUGAUGUAGUGGCUCCAGUUUGCCCAUUACCUCGGCCAUUUUGGUGACCACCAUUACCUCGACCACCACGUCCUCCAGAAUAACGGCCUCUACCAUGACUACCUCUACCUCUAGCCAUUGGGGGUCUAUAACUCUGUUUUGGACAAUUUCUCCUAAUAUGUCCAGUCUCCCCACAUCCAUAGAACUCUCUAUAGUCAAGCAUAGGUCUCUCAGAGAAGUGUUGACCGGUUUGAGGUGGACCCCCAACUACAGUCUGUAGUGAAGACUGAAUUGGUCGAACUGAGUAACCUCCGGAACCCUGUCCUCUAGAGUAAGAACCAUUAAACUCACCUCCCUUUUGAAACCUCUUUGAUGUCGAUGCCAUGGUGAAUUCAUCUGGCUUCACUCCUUCCACCUCUACCACGAAAUCUACCACUUCUUGGAAGGAUUUGGUCGUAGCCACUACCUGUAAGGCUGAAAUCCGCAACUCUGACCUCAACCCCUUCACAAAACGACGAAUCCGCUCUUGUGGACUGAAAUAAAGUUGGGUGGCAUAUCUGGAUAGUGCACGAAACUUAGCCUCAUAUGCAUUGACCGACAUCCUGCCUUGCUCUAGGCUCAAGAACUCAUCUCUUUUCCUAUCCCUCAAUGUCCGAGGGAUAUACUUCUCCAUAAACAAGCUAGAGAAUGAGGCCCAAGUCAUAGGUGGUGCCUCUGUUGGUUGACACUCGAUAUGUGACUGCUACCACAUUUUGGCGUUCCCUUGAAACUGAUAACUCACGAACUAAACACCAAACCGUUCUACUAUACCCAUCUUGUGUAGUAGCUCAUGACAGUCAACCAGAGAAUCGUAAGCAUCCUCAGAUUCCGCACCCUUGAAGACUGGAGGUUUUAAUUUCAAGAACUUACUAAAAAGUUCAUGCUGAUCAUUUGUCAUUAUAGGCCCAGUAGUCAGACGUGGAAACGUGCCUAUGUCCAAUGAGCCAUCAAUACGAGGAGCCAUAGUGGCUGCAUGUUGUACCUCUGAAACUGGAGGUGUUGGUGCAGAAAACACUGGAGGGGCCUGACCCUGAUCAGACAACCCACUAAGAUAAGCGAGAACCUGAUUGAUCAUCUCUGGGGUAGGUUGGGGUGGCGAUUCCUCGUUUUGCUCUUGUUCAUUCUCCCCUUCCUCAUCCUCUCUUACCACUUCCUCAGUCGGUGGAGGAGUCACCGCCCUAGUAUCAGACGGGCUAGGUGCUCGUCCUCUUCCCCUAGAGGACGUCCUCCCACGACCUCUACCACAGCCUCUUUCCGCUGCUCUUCCUUGAGCUACAGCUCCAGUGGCUGGCUCAGACGCACCCUGUCCCGCCGGUGCUGGUGUUGGUGCUGGCGUAGUCGUUGCUCUAGUUCUAACCAUCUGUGAAAUAGAGUGAAGAUGGUCAUAUACCAAUUUGUAUCACCUAGAUACCAAUUGGACCCAAGUAAUAGCACGAAAGAAAGAAUGAAAGAAUGGAAUUUUCCUAAAGUCUUAUAGCCUCUUAAAGAUAAGUAAAGGCGUCCCCCUACCGUUCCUUAAGACUCUACUAGACUCGUUCUUGUGUGAUGAGACCAACGAACCUAUAGCUCUGAUACCAAGUUUGUCACGACCCCAAACCGGGGCCGCGACUAGCACCCACACUUACCCUCCUAUGUGAGCGAACCAACCAAUCUAACCUUAACAUUUCAAUAUAAUAUCAACAAAAAGUGAUGCGGAAGACUUAAACUCAUUAAAUAAAGACCAAUUCAUUAACUUCUAAAAUUCAACAUCUAUUAUUCCCCAAAAUCUGGAAGUCAUCAUCACAAGAACAUCUAUGAUAAAAUGACUAAACUAAGAGUAUUCUAAAAAGCUAAAACAAUUAAAAGCUAGUCCAUGCCGGAAGCUCAAGGCAUCAAGACAUGAAGGAGAAGAUCCAGUCCAAGCUAGAAGCAUUAGCUCACCCUGAAGAUCCGAUGUGACGAAGACUGGCUAGAGUUACUGUUGAGUCGAAGAUGACGGCACGUUUGCUGCACUCCACAAUUAAACAAGAAGAAAACAAUAAAAGUAGGGUCAGUACAAAGCACGGGUACUGAGUAGAUAUCAUCGGCCAACUCAAAAUAGAAAUCAAUAUAUAUCAAGUAAUAUCAUAAAAUCAACUAUGAUACUCAACAUGUAGCAACAACAAGCACUAUAUCAUUAACAAUUACCGUCAAGUUCACACAUGAGGACUCAAGCCUCAAUACCAUACUCAUUUGGGAAUCAUGUUCAUUAGAUUGAGUAUAUUUACAUCUUUCAAGAUUCAUUAUCUUUAUUUCUCUUGUGUCGGUACGUGACACUCCGCUCCCUCAUAUUCAUUAAUCCUCUUUUGUCGGUAUGUGACACUCCGAUCCCCUAAAUCUACGUGUCGGUUCGUGACACCCGAUCCCCUAAAUCUACGUGUCGGUUCGUGACACCCGAUCCCCGAAAUAUACAUGUCAAUUCGUGACACCUGAUCCCCUAAUUCUACGUGUCGGUUCGUGACACCUGAUCCCCUAAAUCUACGUGUCGGUUUGUGACACCCGAUCCCCUAAUUCUACGUGUCGGUUCGUGACACUCGAUCCCCUAAUUCUACGUGUCGGUUCGUGACACCCGAUCCCCUAAUCUCCUUCUAUCAAUUCAUCAAGCCUUCUUUCUUACCAAGGCGUCAUCAAUCCCAUUAUUUUAGUUCAUCAUGCCUUCUUUUAUUCCAAGGCCUCAUUAUUAACAAGGAAAUUAGGUUUUUAUCAAGAUUUGGGAUUCAAUAACUUCAUCAUGCUUAUAUAAUCACGAUUAUAUAAUUACAUUCAUGCAAGCAUACAAUUAAGCACUUAGCAGGGUUUACAAUAUUAUCAAUACAUACCAUUCUCUAUUAAGAGUUUACUACGAAUAUCGUAAGAGAAACCAUAACCUACCUCCACCGAAGAAUUGCGAUCAACAAGCUAUCUUCUCAAAAUCCUUGCUAUCCCCUUCGUUUCUCUCUCUCUCUACUCGUUCUCUUUCUUUUUCUGUCUCUCUUUGUCCUUUCUUAUUUUUCUUAUUCCAACCCUCUUUCUUUUACCCUAAUUAGUAUAUAAUUAAGAAUAAAAGAUGGCAAUAAUGCCCCACUAAUUAACUUAAGGUUACCUCUUUUAACCCCCAAGUAAUUAGACUUAUUAACAUUAACCCACUAACUUUAUAAUUAAGGCAAGAAUAGUCAAAAACUUCCCUUAAAACGUAUCAAGAAAUCCGACCCAGACUGGGAUUCCGCAACCUGCGACGGCCCGUCGUACCUGCGACGGCCCGUCGUGCCUGCGACGGUCCGUCCUGCAGGUCGUCGCAAGGGUCAGAGACUCAAUUUCCACUGAAUAAUCUGUGACGGUCCGUCACGCCUGUGAUGGUCCGUCCUGCCAUUCCGUUACGAUGUUCAGAGAGUCGAUUUUCAGCACCCAAAUUUCAAAAUUUCUAAGUGUUUUGGCACGAGACACCCUCGACGAUCCGUCGUGCCCAUGACGUUCCGUCGUGGGUUCCGUCGUCUCAGCCUGUUUUUCCAGAAAUAGAAUCUGCUGCUCAAAACGACUAAACAGGUCGUUACAAAGUCGAAAAGUUGCAUUGAUGAAGUAUCUGUAAGGGCCUUCAAAGCGGCACUUUAAUGAAGAAUGAUUUUCUAAAAGGGUCAACAAUAUUAUUUUGAUGUUGCAUAAAAGUUAUUUCUCUCAUUCUAUAAAUUUUGUUAGACUAACAAAGUAACAAUAACAAAAAUUGGUGAAUGUUUGACCUCACACAAGUAGAUUUUUAGAAGAAAAAAAAUUAUUCAUGUUCUUGUGCAGUACAUUUUUAACUGUUUUAAGUUAUUUAUAACUAAUAUUGAUUAUCAAAAAAAUUUAAAUUAUUUUUUUCCCAAGGAGUUAUUCUAACCAUAAAAUAAUCAGAUUAUAUAUUUUUUAAAAACACCAUUCAAUUCUAACAACACAAUUAUAUCAAACAUAUAUUAUGAUAAAUUAUGUAUAAGAAUAAAAAAAUUAUAUAUCAAUAUAACUUUAAUCAUUCAUUAUAUAUUUAGAAUUAUUGAAAUAUGUGAUAAUGUCAAAUCAUUUAAUUUUUAUUGAAAUGUUCUUAAGACAUACUAAAAUUUAUUUCUUUUUUUCUUAUUACAGUCGAUAAUUGGAAAGGUUGUUCAAAAGCAUUGAAAGAUUUUUAAUGCCUACGCGAAGCGCGUGUGAAUUAACUAGUAUAAAUAAAAUAGAAUAUUUUUUCAAGAUUAUUAUCAUUGCUUGAGUGACCUAAAUUUUACAAAAACCAAAGUUGAUAGAAAAUAUUACUACUCUCUCUGUCCUAUUUCAUAUGAGUUAGUUUGAUUUGUUAUAGAGUUUGAGAUUUUUUUGUUUUUGAAUAAUAUGUCUAAGAUAAAUGAUAGAUAUUUUUGUUGUUAUAACUCAUUUCAUCUAUAUAUCUAUAUUACCUUAAAAUCAUGAACUCCUAACUUGAAUGUUAAAUUAUUAUAAUAUCCCCAACUUAGAUUGUGACUUUUUCGAUGAGUUGUGGUUUUUCUAAGUUGUGACUUUUCUCAAAGGGUUGUGAAUUUUCGAUGAGUUGUUACUUUUCCAAAAACAUGUGCUUUUUCCAAAGAGUUGUGACUUUUUCAAUAAGUUUUGAUUUUUGGAAAGGGUUGUGACUUCUUGGAAAGGUCAUGAUUUUUCAUAUAAGAUGCAAAAAACACUUGUUCAUACUAUCCUUUGUUGACUAUAAAUAGAGGAGUUUCCUCUCAUUUUCAACCACAAUCUUUUUAAUCUUAUACUUUUCUUCGUGCAUUUCAAAAAUAUCGUGUGGUUAUUAUCGUUCAGGAUUUUGAUGUUAAGCGGAAUAUAAAUUACCACUAUUCUGAUGGCUUAAGUAAAUUGUUCUAUUCUAAGAGGAUAUGUCCCUUAACCUCGAGUACUUGAGGAAAUAAUUAUGAUGAUAUUAUAAUUGUUUCUUUCCUUAGUAUAUACAUUAGUAUGUAAUGUUCCAAUAUGUGAGGUUAACAUGAUGUAGUCUAAAAUCAUUUGUUUAUGUUAUCAAUUUCUGAAUAUCUUAUUGAAAAAUUAUUUAACUUCUCAAAAGUAAGAGAAUCGUCACGGUUUUUUUUUUAUGCUCAAGACAAAAUAAUGAUUUUAUUUAUGAACUCUACUUAUAUGAUUUUGACUGUCAGAGAGUUUGCUUCAAAAUAGUUAUUACCAUACAAUCAUUUUUCUUUUGUUUUACUGAUUUACUAUUUCUUAAUAUUUAAGUACUUUCGUCAAAGAAAUGUAUAUACGACUUGUAAUAAUGACAGUCGAAGUUUGUAUUAGUUUUUUGUUUUUGUUAACAAUUUCUCUUGUGUUAUACAUAUAUAGUUCUGAAUAUCUUUUUCCAAAACUAUUAGACUUCUCAAAGUUACAGAAUUGUCUCAAAUUCUUUUUUGAUGCCCUAGAUAAAAUAAUUACUUUAUUUAUCAAUGUUACUUAUGUCAUUUAGAUUGUAAGGAAGUUUGCUUCAAAAUAGUUAUUACUAUAUAUACAUUGCAAGACCCUUAACUUGACGUCAGCUGACAACUAUAACUUUUUAAACUUGGAUGUGCACAAUGGACACUUGUAUAAAAUUGAACCAAUAGAUACAUCCUACAUGUCACCCUACAUGGAAAUUUUGUGUCCGACAUGGCGUCCUACAUGUAUUAUGUCAUGUAAGACAUUUGUCUACUUAUUAAGUUUUAUACAAGUUUAAAUGUCUACUUUUCCAUACUCAAAGUUCGAGGACAUAAUUGUCCGUCGAAUCCAAGUUAAGAGUCAAGUUUAUGUAUUAUGCCUUUAUUUUACUUAUUUACCAUUUCUUAACAUUUCACAAUUUUUGACGAAGCAAAGUUCAUAUGACUUUUUAUUGUAGUCCAAAUUAAUUAAUUUUCUUAAUAUAUUUUUUCAAAAUUAUUGAACUUCUCAAGAGUAAGAGAAUUAUCACAUAUUUUUUUGAUUCUCAAGACAAAAGAAUGACUUUAUUUAUUAGUGUUAAUUAUGUGACUUAGAUUGUAAGGAAGUUUGAUUAAAAAUAGCUAUUACUCUAUAGAAAUUUCCCUUUAGUUUUACUAAUUUACUAUAUUUUUGUCGAAGAAAAAAAGUUCAUAUUUCAGCAUUUAUAUAUGUCACAGAUGUAUUAUCUAAUUAAGAAGAUUCCUAACUUCAUAACAUAUUAUUUUAAAAUUUUCUGAUUUCCUUUUUUUUAAAAAAAACUCACGAAAAUCUAAGAAUAUAUGAGUAUAUAUGAAUCGAAUGGCAUCUCCACAUGUUCAUGACAUCAAAAUAGAUUAAGUUGAAUACAUGUGCAAAUACAUCUGAUGAGAUUACCAGAAAAACAUACAACAAAUAUCGUUUAUAAGGUAAUAUUAGUGAGAUAAGGCUACUUACAAGAUUAAACCUUAUCAAAUUAAAAUAAAUAUGUACAUUAUUUCAUUUAACUAAUAAAAUUGUUCAUUUAUCAUCUUUGUAGGUUUGUGCGAAUAAGAAAUAUACAUGACCAUCCACAUUCACAAAAGAAUCUGUAAUAUUAUUUUGUGCAAAACUUAUUAUUCAAAUCUUCGCUUAAUUUUUUUGAAUUGAUAAUCACGUGUAAAAAAUCUAAUUAAGUAUAAAAGGGACAUUUUAAAUUGAAUUAUUACUUAACUAGGUAUUUGCCCGCGCUUCGCGCAGUCAUAAAUAAUAAUUGCAUUCAACUUGAAAAAAGUUUUUUUUCUAAUAUCCAUACAUUAAAAAUAAUGGAAAAAUAUGUUCUUAAAAAAUAUUAGCAACGUUUCAAAAUUAAUUUAAUUAUUUGUCGUUAUCGCAUAACUCAAGAACCUCUACUAAAUGAACUAAUCAUUAAAUAAUAAAUCAUUGGUUCUUUAAUCAACAUUAAAGGAAAAAAAGAAGUAAAUAAAAAUAUAUAUACAAAGGCAUUUUCUAAUAAAAAGAAACACUUAAGUUGCAUAGUGAUAUAUGUCUUAGGAGAAAAUUCAAAAAUGUUAGCAUAUUUAAAAAGGAAAUCAUGCUUGAACAUGAAAGCAAUUAAAACUUUUGAACUUUCAUAAUGAAUUUCUUCAAUUGAUAAGUGAGAAAAUUUAUAUCUAUGUAAAAAUUAGAUAAUAUGUAAGGUUAUAUAAAUACAUUUUUUUCUAAUAUCGAUACAUUACAAAUAAUGAAACACAGAUUCUUAACAAGAUAUUAGCAAUGUUCCAGCAUGAAUUUAAUUAUUUGUCGUUAUCUCAUAACUCAAGAACCUCUACUGAAUGAAUUAUUCACUAAAUAAUAAAUCGUUGGUUCUUUAAUCAACAUUCAAAGGAAUAUAAAGAAAAAAAUAAGAAUAUAUAUACACCGACAUUUCCUAAUAAAAAGAAACAUUUAUGUUACACAAAUUAUACAAUUGUGAUAUAUGUCUUAGGAGAAAAUUCAAAAAUGUUGACAUAUUUAAAAAGGAAAUCACGCUCGAACAUGAAAGCAAUUAAAAUUUUGAACUUGCAUAAUGAAUUUCUUCAAUUGGCAAAUGAAAAAUUUCAUGUCUAUGUAAAAAUAGAUAGUAUGUAAGGUUAUAUAUAGUACUUUUAAAUUAGAAUUAAAUAUAGAAUAUCACACCAUGAAUUCUUGAAACCGAGUACAAUAAUAAUUUUCUGCACAAUGAAUAUACGUACGAUAUGUGUAUAUGUUAAAUCUAACCGGAGAUAAUAACUUUGAAAAAACAUAAACAAUAGAGUUUAAAUAUGUACUCAAAAUCAACAAUUAAAUUCAUAAACAUAAAAUAAUUAGUGUAAAAAUACAUACCAAGAUAUGUAAAAAUAUAAUAAUAUAGAAACAAAAAAAAUGGAGUCACUUAAUGCACAAUGUACCCCUUUAAGAUAAAACUAUUCGCCUCCAAUACAAGAGGUUUAAGAUACAUCUUCUCAGGAUGGAAUGAUUUUAUUCACAAACUUACUGAUGCAAAAACAAUGGUGUUAGUAUGUUAUUAAACAUGAACAAAGUACACGAGUAUAUUAAAUUUUGCGCAUGUAUAGGAAGAAGAUCAGAAUUUUUGUUGUUUAAAAUUAAAGGAAAUCCCACUAUUUAUUGACAACAAAGGGUAGUGUGAACAAAUUUUUGUUGUGCCUUAUCAGAAAUGUCAAAACUUUUCGUUAAGCUGCAACUCUUUAUUAAAGUCGCAACUUUUCAUAAAAGUCAUAACUUUUGAUAAAAGUUGCAACUCUUCAUUAAAGUCAUAACUUUUCAUAAAAGUUUAAUUUUUUUUUAUAAAAGUACAACUCUUCAAUAAAAUCGCAACUUUUCAUAAAAGUCACAUUUUUUCAUAAAAGUUAUAAUUUUUAUAAAAGUCGUUACGCUUUACUAAAGUCACAAUUUUUCAUAAAAAUCACAUCUUUUCAUGAAAGAGGAAUGUUAAUUUUAGAAAUAAAUAAAUUUCAAAAAAGGAAAUUCUUGCUUUUGGUGAUGUCACACAGGCGUAUGGUUCUCGUUUAUAUAAAUAUAUGAUAUAAAAAUCUUUUUUCAUUUUCUAUAUUAACUAAAAAGAAAAGUAACACAUAGAUUGGACAGAAAUAGUAUUUGAGAAACUAUACAAAAAAUUAAAUCCAUAUAUAUACUAGGGUUCCAGUUAGAGGGCAAAAAGAUUGAUCAAAACGGAGAUGAAUAUUGAUAUUAACACUCUAGGUAGUGAGAUUUCUACUUUUUAUUGCGAUAGUUACUUGUACUUAUCUUUUUUUUUUCUUUUGCCAUUGAUUUUAAGCUAUUAGUAUUACUAGACGUUCGUAGAAUUGUAGAUAAUCUUCCAUUGGGAAUGUAGGAUUUGAAAUUAUCAUGUGUGGUUUGUGGGAUAACACACUGGAGCAUGGUUUAGUUUCUGCGAAUCCGGAGGUAAAUGUGUGGGUUUUGGUAUGGACAAGUUAUCUUUUCAGCAUCCCAAUUAGGAUCUUCGAUUGGAAAUGUAGGAUUUGAAAUUUUUACGUGUCGUUUGUGGGAUAUCACACUGCAGCGGGGUUUAGUUUAUGCAAACCCAGAGGUAGAAUGUGUGGGUUUUGGUAUGGACGAAUUAUCCUUUUAGGAUCACAAUUAGGAUCUGGCUGUAAGUUGCAAUUUUCAAAAGUAAAUCGUCUUAGGUUUUCGGGGACCAUUUUCUCUAACUUAUAUAAACUGAAAAAUGAAUGUCUAAUACAACAAAAGUGAAUUCUAAUUAAAUCUAAGAUAGCUAGAAGGAGUGGGCAUCCAUGCCGAAUAUGCAAAGGAGAAGAUCAAAAUUAUAGUAGAAGAGAGAAAAAAAUAAGGAAGGAAUUGAUUUACCAAAAGUUUAUUGUUGCAUUCUCUCUCCUUCUGCAUUGCAGUUCAAGUAGUUACUCUCCUUCCGAGAUUCAGCUUCGAAUAAAGCCAUACUAAGUAAUAUCAUUACGUAUACUCAAAUUCAUUAUCCUCUCAUUAUUAUUAUUAUCUAAUUAAAAUAAUACUAUAAUCUCGAUUAAUUGUCCUAGAUCCCUCGUACGUCUUAGUGUAAUCCUACUAGUGAAGUCUUUUCCUAGAUCUCAGUGUAAGAGUGGCACAUCUUACUUGAAUAUAGACUCUUGGCUCAAAAAAAAAGUAAAAAAAUUAAUUAUAAUAACAAUAUCAUCCAACAGAGGUGCAUAUACGAAUGGUAAUCAAAUUUUGCGUCGGUGGUUAGUACUUUUAUAAUUGUAUAGAUUAAAAGAUUAUUUUCUUAGACAAGUACAUUUGGAUGGAAGAGUGUGGUUUAGAGGUCAAUGAAGUGGUUGAAAAUCAUGAGGUCUAAUGUGUGAAUCCCAACAGAGAAGAAAAAAACUUGGUGACUUUUUCCAUCUUUUAUAGUCUUAGUGGACAGAGUUAUGUAGUACUUAUUGCUUAUGGGAGGUAGUAUGCUUGAAAUAUGUAACAAUGUCAUCAAUUUAUUCUUUACUUAAAGGUCCAUUUGCAUUCUCUUUACUUAUAACAUAUGUACAUUCUACAGUUCAGAAGGAAAACGCAAAAGGAGCUGAUUGGUAGGAAGAGCUUUACCAAAAGGUAUGUCUGUAAUGGUACUUUUUAUUUGUACUAGAUUUUGAAAACUAUGGAAAUUUGAUAUGUCGAUUUUGAUAAACUGGCUGGUUAUAACAUUAUAAGAAAUAAAAGAAUGUUUCAACAUAUUUCCUAUCAUUAUAGAGUAAUAGAAGACGUUUAACAUACCAAAUGAACAACUAAAUUCAUGACCAUACCCCUCCACGCAAGAUGCUUUAUGUAUUCCAUUUCUUAGAGGUAAUAGAAAUCUAAGCAUGUUAACAGGUAACUUCUUAGAAACGAACAUGAAUCCUCACUGUGAUGGUGCUCUGUAUAAGCCCGUCUUGGUCCCAUAUUCUUAAUGACAAAAAAUUAAUUUCACGUUCCCUGACAUAAUUUAGAAAUCAAGUAUAUUUUGAUAAAUUAACGGAUUACAAAAAAUUAAUUGUUGAAUGCUGAGAUCAUAUGUCUGUAAGUUCUGGUCAAAGUUCUUGAUGGCAUGUCACCAUUUUCUUUUGAGCAACUAAAUUCUUUAAUUGCUAAUAUGAGGGAUAAACCUAUUUCUGCAAGAAGUAUAUACAUGAAUAUAUUGCUAUAAGAUGUUUUCAGUGAAAAUAUAUCCGUUCAUUUGUAUUAAUACAAUUUUUCUGUUUUUAAUUUUAUUUCUUAUUAUAGAGAAAUCCAAUGCUUCUGUCUUCAAAACUCAGUCUUAUCUACUUACAUCCCUAACUUAGUGAGUAAUAAGUUGGAAUACUUCAAUUUCUCCAAGAAUAAACAUAUAAACAUUCUUUGUAUUCUCCAUCCCAUUGUUAUUCACUUAUGAAGCGAAAUACAAUGUUAUUAUUUCGUUGUUUACCCUGGUUUGACAUCAAUGAUUAUAAAGGUGUAAAGUUAAAAAAAAGAAAUGAUUGCAACCUAACUUUGAAAAAGUAUAUUCUAACUCCUCCUGGUUGGGCUGGUCUAUGAUCACAUUGCGGAAGUUUCAUUCUUGAUUUGAACACCAAGAGGAUAAAGGAAGCAAAGGUCAGUAAGGUGGUUCUACUUCACUUUUAACCUUUUUAUCUAGAAGGUUCUUUUGUGAAGAUUUUCUAGUUUUGUGUCUAUUGUAUCGUACAGUUGAUCUAAUUAUCACCUAACCACAUGAGAAUGCAUUCUUGACAUUUCCGCAAUUGACUUGUUGAACUUUUUAAUCCAUAUUAAGUCUAUGAAGGAGAUGUAUUUAUCAGACAUCAAUGAUUUAUACAAGAAAAUUACUUCUAAACUGCAGCAGGUAUGUCAUUCACAUCCCUCUAAGUUCUUCAUCAUUGUUUCAAAUUUUGGUUGGCUUCCUUGCAAGUUCCGUAAAAUGACACACCAUCAUUUGCAUAUUGCAUGCACCAAGGUGUAAUGCAUAUUGCAUUGUAUUGGUUAUUUCCUUAUUGGAAACUCCUCAAACCGGGAACUGAUGCAGAAAGCUCAGAACACUAUAUCAGCAUUUUUGCUUCUUUUGUUCCUUUCCUGUUGAUUGUCAUAUUGAGAAACAGUAAAGGAAUUAAGGCUUCCCUAGUUCUUUCGGUAAGCGCUUGAGUCAACAUUCUGUUGAAUUGUCUGAACCUUGCGCACUAUGUUAUUUGUCUCAUAACGUCAUUUCUUAAACUUAACUCCCUUUUUCGUUGCCGUGGGAGGAUCUUGAAGCAUGACAUUCAAAGGUUAGCAAAUGGACAAAAACAAGACUCACUGAACUGAUUUUUUUUCUCUUUAUUUUAUGCAAGACUCUCUUAAUCAGAGUCUUCCAAAUGAGAGAACUGAAAAUCUUAAGAUGUUCAAGAUGACGCUGGAACGCAUUAUGCUUUUCUUGCAGCUUAACAAACACGAUAUUAAUCUUCGUCACAAGGAGAAACUGCGUUCGGUUGAGAAGCACAUAAGUUUCUUUCUAAUAGGCAAAAAUCUGCACAAGCCUACUUCUUCUGCAUUGCAGGGGUAACUUCCUCAGGUUUCCAUCCAUACAAGUCAGAUAUGCAGUCCAAACUUGUUUGGAUAAUUAAAUUGUUUUCACCUUGUUGAUGUUUUUUUCCUCUUGUGUUAACAUGAAUCUACAUUUCGAGUAGAAUUUUUUCUUUCUUGAGGGGGGAGGUUGAUUACUUGGAACUUGUGAUUACUUUCCUAGUAUAAAUAUCUUAACUUAUGAUUGAUCUCUCGUGUUACUUCUAUUAUGUUCUAAGGUCUCAUGUGUUUAAUUAGGAAGGUAUGGAGAUAACACAUUUGAGUAGAAGGUUAGUAGGGAGUCGAGUAUUGUCGUAUUUCUAGUAGUAUGAUUUAGGUAGCUCAUAGUUUCUUUUUCUAACUACUGCUUGUAUUACUUGAAAAUAGGACUCAAUUACAACCGACCUUAUAUUAGAGAAUGCAACACAUCAAAAGUAACGAUAAAAGACUGAAAUAUAAGAUUCAGAAGAAAGGGGAUGAGAAGCUUCAGAUUUCUUAGAAUUGGGGAUAAGAGACUCAUAAAAUUUCAAUAACAAUAAAUCCCUAGAAUUUGUUACUACUAUCACUUCUUUUAUAAAUAACUAGGUAAUAUAACCGCACUUCGCGCGGGCAUAAAUAAUCAUUCUAAGCUUUUAAACAACCUUUCCAAUAAUCGACUAAUAUAAUUUUAAAAAAAAGAGUAAAUUUUAGUAGGUUUUUAGAACAUUUUGACAGAAAUAAAUGAUUUUACAUUAUUACAUAUCUAAAAAAAUUGUUAUUAUAUAAUUAAGUUCGCUGAAAAUAGUCAUAACUCACACAAGAAAUAUUUAGAACAACCGAAUGAGAAGGAAAAAAAGAAAAACAUUAAAGGAACGAAAAGUUUUGUUCUAGUGAAAUAAUAUACAUACCAAAUGAAUAGAGAGAAAAAACAUACACUAAAGGGAGUAAACUAUGAUAUAUCCAAUGAUUAUAACAAAUCAUUCUAAUUAGAAAAGUUUCUACAUUUUGGAAUAACAUACCACAAAAAAUUGACGGAUACUUCAAUCAACUUUCAAUCCUUAAUGUACUCUUAAUAUCCACUGAUAAAAAUUAAAAAAGUAAAUAGCAAAAACAUAAAAACAAAAAAAAACACGGGAAUGCAAAGUUAUUAACUAUUAGGGGAUCUUUUAAAGAACACAAAAUUGCAUCCUUGUAUAUGAAGGAAUGACGUUGGUGAUGAAUUAAUUAUAGAUUUGUAAGAUCUUUUUUUAUUAUAACUUCAUCAAUUUCGGUAGAGAAAACAUGCUUGGAUACCCAAUUGGCGUUUGUUAUUUAAUUUGUACUAAAAAAUACAUAUAACAUUAACUUUGCAUUAACAUAAACAACUAAGUUUAAAACAUGUACUCAAAAACAAUAAUUAAUAAUAUAAGCAUAUUUUACCAAAUGUAAAAAACAUACCAGGAUCUUCAAAAAUAUAGUGAAACAGAAUGGAAAAAUUCGAGUUCAUUGAAUGCACAUUGUCCCCUUAAAAAAUUAUUUCAUCUAGUACCCGAUGUUUAAAAGAAUAGAUCCUCUCAUGAUAGAAAGAUUCUAUACAUUGGUAUAUUGAUACAAUAACAAUAGUAUUAGUGGUUUAUUAAACAUGAGUAAAAUAUACAAAUAUUUAAUUGUGUUAGAAGAAGAACGUUGUUUUAAAAUGAGAGGGAAGUCCACUAUUUAUAGACAACAAAGGGUAAUGUGAACAAAUGAUUAUUGUGUCUUAUCGGAAAGGUUGCAACUCUUUGGAAAUGUUGCAACCCUUUGAAUAGGUCAUAACCUUUCAUAAAAGUCACAACUUUUCAUAAAAGUUACAACACUUCAUCAAAGUCACAACUUUUCAUAAAUGUCACAACUUUUCGAAACGGGAUAUCUGUCACACCCCGAGCUACCCGUGAGACGCAUACACGGAACCUAGGACCACAAGCGAUCCCAAGCUAACCCUGCUGGCAUGAUCAUGAGAAUACUACAGAUAAUAAACUGAUGUUGAAGCUAAAUCAUAAUUAAAUCUGAAAAGAUGGGGAAUACCCAUAUUCUAUAACUGAGAUAUUUGAAAACAACGAGUUUAAUACAAAAUGAAAUAUUAACUCUAUACUAAGCUGAAUCUAACUAUAUCUGAAAUAAGCCUCCAAACUGGACAAGAAAUACUGGUACAAGCCCCAGCUAAAUCUAGCAAAAACUGAAACUAAAUGACUAAAGACUGAAAUACACUGAUGAAUGUUAUCCUCGGAGAAUGAGGACUCACCACUGAAUCUAUUGAACUAGAGAUCGAAAAUCGAUCUAUGCGUGAUCUGGAUGCUGCGAACCUGAACCUACAUCGCGAGAUGAUGUAGCGCACGUAUGCAUCAGUACUUGAAAGGUUCUAAGCAAGUACGAUAGAGUAGAGAUGAAAUAAAACAUAACUGAACAAGCAUAAAAUCAAGUAUAAUAAUCUAACAUGAUAAACUGAAUUCUGAGCUAACUGAAUGCAAUGACCAAUUUAUAACAUGUUGAAACUGAAUACUAAAUAUACUGAUAAAUGGUCAAUGCGGAGAGUAUGAUUGAUCUGUGGGAGCUACUAAUAACCGAUAAUAAAACCACAUGAGUUAAAUGUGUAGUCCGAUGUAUACGCCCCAUCGAGAGGACCCAAUAUACCCUGCCAAAGGUAUAAAGGCAUGAUGGCUUCAUCACUAAAUUGAUUGCCCAUAGAGGGGACUUACAACCUACUUGGCUAGUAGUUCUGGGACUAUUGCAUAGGCUAAACCCUAGUCCAAGUCGAUAUUAUGCUAUUCCCAUUGAUUCUGUAAAUUUACUGAUUAUGUCUGUGUUUGUGUAAAUACUGGAUAGCUCGAAACUGAACAUGCAAACUGAGAAUGCAACAAUUAUUCUGAUAAUUAUGCAUUUAUAACCGAGGCAUAUAUUUAUGAAGUGUAUGAAAUAUCUGACCUAACAUGUGUGAUUCAAGAACUAAAGAAAUUACAAAGCUAGGGUUCUAAAAUUAAUGCGAUAAUCUGAGUAAUAACGUGAUAAUAUGAUUUGCUACAUAUAUUUAAUAAAUUCAUGAAGUUCUAACAAUGUCCUAGAAACCCUAGGUUUAAUCAUGAUAAGACAAUCAAGAACCUGACUCAAAACUAGGGACCCAAUAGGUGAGAGGAACCCACUAGUGAAAUCCACAUACCUGGUGAUGAAAUCCACAGAACAUUACUUAGGUUUCAGGGCUGGAACUGCUAAAACUUGUUGUCGAACCAAACGACGGUCAGGUCUGAUGGUGCGUCGUUUGAACGACGCCCUAUCGUUGGGUUCGUCGACUGAGCCUGUUCGAUAGACCUUUACUAAAAUUGGCAUAACUUUUUACUCGGAGUUAUGAGUUUAUCAAGGUCGGUGGUUAUGAAAAGAUAAUUCAAUUAUCUAUUUGUGUAUAGGUCAUAGGACACCUAAUUUAUUUUCUGCUAAGAGUUAUGACAAUUUGAAUUUGACCCAACUGCAUUUCCCCUUAACUGUCUGCACAUUUUCCACCUACGGAUCAUGCUUGUAAUCCGUAGCUCUUGUAAGAGAUUGGGUGAAUGGGGGUCUCAAUCGACGGCCACGGACUACGGACCAUCGAUCCGUCCGUUGAUCAAGACUUAGCCAAUUUUUUCCGGCUGAAUUUUUUAGAGUUUCUGAUCCCAUCAACGAUUGUGCAGGACGGACCGUUGUCUGUCCUACGGACGAUUCAACCGUUUGUUGCAGCUACAGAUUUUUCUAAAAAAUAAUUUUUGGUAUAUUUUGGCUACGUGGUGUUACAAUAUAACUCUUUGGAAAAGUGAUAACCCUUCUGAAAUGGUACAACAUUUCAUAAAAGAUACAUCUUUUCAUAAAAGUUACAACUCUUAAUAGAAGUCCCAAUUUUUCAUAAAAGUCACAACUCUUAAUGAAAGGAGAAGGCUAGGUUUGUAAAUAAAAUAAAUUAAAAGGGAAUCCUGGUUUGUGGUGGUUCCCCAAAGGCGGGCUUAGGGUUCUGUUAUAUAUACAUACAUACAUACAUACAUACAUACAUACAUAUAUAUAUAUAUACACACACAUAUACAUAUGAUUCAUAGUUUCCACAUUCUCUCGGAUUCCUUCAAAUGUCUUUUCCCAACCUUUUAUUUUAAAUCAGUUAAUGCUUUUGCCCUUCUCUUAACUCGGGUGAUGUGCCUAGCUGGCACAAUUCGUUCAGCCACAUUGGCCUUCACUUCACUAUUUUCAUUCAUCACAAUACUCUGUUCCUUAAUGAGAACCUUGUCCUCAAGGUUUGCGAUGGGGGGAUUAUAGUUUGUUAAGUUCAAAGGAGUACUUUUUGUGUUGGGCUGCCUACACAUCACUUUUUGCACAGAAACAUGAAAAAUAGUAUGAAUCCAGGAAGCCUCAGUAAUUCUAACUUGUAAGCAACUUCUCCAACUCGUUUAAGAAUUUGGAAAGGCCCAAAGAAACACAUUUCCAACAUGUGAGAGGGAAGCUCCCUGAGAUAAGUCUGAUCUGACAAUAAGGUUUUCACUUGACAUAUAGACUCAAUCGCCAACUGAAUAGGUUAGCUCCGUGUAGUUGGCAGCACUGAAUUUCUUCAUGCGAACUUGAGCCUUGCUAAGAUUCUAUUUAGCAAAGUCAAAUUUACAUCAUGGUGGACUAAAUCAGCUUCGACUAAGUCACUUGAAGUACUUCUCAAGAUGUAACAUUCUACUUAGGAGGUUCAUGGCCACAAAAAUCCCAAAAAGGGGUCAUGCCCACGAACAUUGAUAGUAUGUGUUGUACCAAUACUUGGCCUAUGGCAACCCAGUAAGUGGGAAAAUUAACAACAAAACACCUCAAACAUUUCUUAACACACUUAUUAAUAGCCUCUAGAUAGUCAGGUUGCCCGUCUGUUUGAGAAUGAUAGACGGUGCUCAUAGCAUGAGAGCUCUGCUGCAGUCUAUUGAUCUCUUGAUAGAAGUACUGUAGAAACUGAGGGCCCCUCUCAAUGACAAUACUGCAUGUAGGUCCAUGAAGACAAAUAAUUUGAGUCACAAAACCUUCUGCAACAGUAUUAGUGGUAUAAGUCGCUACUAAUGGAAUGAAGUGAACAUACUUAAAUAAACUAUGCAGAACUUUAAUAAUGGUGAAUCUUCCUUUGAAGAACUAGGCAAGCAUGUGAUCAAAUCCAUGGAGAUGUUCUCAAAGAUCAAUUUAGAAAUGAGGAGGGUCUAUAAGAGACCAGCAGGAAGCUUGUGAGAGCUUUUCAUUUUGUGGCAAACUUGGCAAGAAGCUAAGUAAGUCUGUCCCGUUUCUUGUGUAUCCAAAAGAACUUUGAUGCCAAUCGAUGAUAGGUAUGAGCUAUCCCAGCAUGUCCAUCUACCGAAGUGGAGUGAAACUGAUAUAGCAGUCAUUGGCAUAAAGGAGAGCCAUCCGAGAUAAACAGCUGAGUCAGAGUAUACUAUAGUGAGAAUUUGUUGAAUGGCUAAGAGGUCUGAAUGAUAUAGAUUCAAAACCUUUAGCUCAGUCCCAAGUAAAAAAUUUAGACAAAAAAGAGCAAAAAGAGUGGAGUUUGGUUGGCAAGUGAGCCUUUAAAAACCCCGAACAUCAUUCACCGACUUAGGUACUAUCCAUUGUGGAUAACUAUGAUUUUACCUUGAUCGACAAAGAGAUCAUUGUUAGAAUAAAAAAUUGUCGUUUGGCGAAUUAAACAUUUACUCCUUUUAGUCACCAAUUGGUGAGAGCAAAGAAGCUCUAGGACAGUUGUGAGAUGCUCCAAACGGAACUUGUAGUUUGUACUAUAUACAAGGAUAUCGUCGUAAACAGACAACACAAAACAGCAAAGACAAGGCCCAAAUACCUCAUUCAUAGUAGCCUAGAAAGCGGAGGGUGCAUUGGAUAAUCCAAAGGGCAUUAUCAAGAGCUCAUAGUGCCCCUCAUGAGUUCGAAAAGCUGUUUUCGUAAUGUCAUCAGGCAGGGCACUAAUCUGAUGGUAUCCAUACAAUAAGUAAAACUUUGAAAAAAAAUUUGUGCCAUGAAGUAAUGAAAUUCAAAGUAACCCACACAAAAAUGUCAUGUACCAUCCUACUUUGGUACUAGAAGCACAAGAGAUAAGAAAGGGUUGGUAUUUGGUCAAGUAAACUCCUUUAUUAAGCAUAUCUAUCACAAGUUGCUCCAUAAUUUGCUUCUAAAAAUAGGGGUAGAGAUAUGUAUUGACAUUUAUAAGCCCCGCUCAACUCGUUAAAUCUCUAGCAAGAUCUUGGAAUCUAAUAGUGUGGUAAGAUGAGGAUCUUUUAAAAACAUCAACAAAGAUUCCAAUAGAUACUUUAAUAGAAGAGGCUUAUCAAUGAGGGUUGUGUUCCUAGUAUUAGUUAACUUUAAGCAAUAAAAAGUAGCAAUGGCAUCUGUGGUGGCCAAACGUCACAAAAUAUGGAAUUGUACUCGUUGUAGCUCAGUUGGAGUGUCCCCCACCCAACGAACAAGAGAACCAUUCAAGGAGAACUCACAGAUGCAGGCUCCAUAGUCAGUGACAACUGGUACCAAUGUUGCUAACCACAAUACACCCAGAACCACGUCUACUCCAUGAAGAGAUAAAACAUAUAGAUCGAUAUGCAAAUCAUACCCCUGAAAAACAACCACAGAAAAACUAGGGAUGGAUUCAACCACCAUGUGCAAGUAAUUGGCGACCCUUGCUUGCAUAAGAUUAUGUGUACUACCCCAUAAAUAAGGAUUUGAAUGUGAGAACCAUUAACAAUGCCAAUUAAAUGUAAAGUAGUUGGUAAAUCUCCGCCAAACGAAGCUUGAUAAGAAAAAGAUUAAUGAUCUUGUACCUCCAAAAGUUUCAAGUCUUCGGCCAAAAAUUUAUAGAUUCCAAUGGUUCUGACCAGUCUAGCGAUGACUCCCAAUUAAGCAAUAGUAAUUUGGGUAGCGCCUUAAAUUUGUGAGAAGGAGAGUUUCUCAUCAGAACAGCAUAAGCCUCUUUCAGGACGACUGCGUAAUUCAAUAGGGAACAAACACUUUAAGGGAAUUCCAUUUGGGAGUGCAUGUGGUGGUGAAGUAGGGACUAAUGUCGAUAAGGAAGUUUUAAAGAAGUGGUGCAUCAAAGUAGGACUACGUAAAAUCAAAUUUGCUCAAGCAAAGGUGGUUCGGGUUGAGCCUUGCUGAGAGCUCAUCUGUUGUUCAUGCAUAAGGGCCACAGACAUAGCUCGAUCCAGUUUAGAAGGCUCAUGAUCCACCACUGUUGAUUUAAUUCGGCUCGAAGACCAGAAAUCCAAAAAUGUACAAACAACUGCUCACCGAUGGGAGUAGUGUCAUUCGUGAAAGCUUCUAGUCUACUCCAAUAUUUUUCCAUUGUAGUAAUUUGUUGUAUCUUAGCUGAACAUCCCUCUAUGGAGUCUAACUCAUGUUUUCAAUAUCGAUGAACAAAUUUAUCAGCAGAUUGGUUCAAAUUAAUCAACUGAUUAAUGUGAUAUAAUCAAUGAUACCAUUCAAGAGCUUCGUCGUCCACAUAGUGAAAGGUGCACGAGGAGGGGGGGAGGUUAAUUGCUAUUUUUUCAUUUUUCUUCUUUAAAUAGCCGAUUUUUGAGAUUCACUAGUUGAGUAUUAAAUCCAAAAGUAAACACUGAAAAUGAUAGUGUGGAAAAUAAGAUUGACACAAGAUGUUUACUGGUUAGGAUCCAAUGUGGAUAUUACGUCUAAUCCCCUUGGGCUGCGAUGCUAUUGUCUUCAAGCCUUUGGUAUCUUUGUUAUGAGUAAAAGUUUAGAUUAUAGUUCCUAUGUUUGCACUCAAUAUUUUUCUUCCUUUUUUUCUUUUGAUACACAUCCUACCAAAAAUGUUUUUUCUACUCUCUUUUUUGUUUACCCAGUAAAACUAAGUAGUACAAUGCUUGUUAAAAAGUAGAUUAGAGAACGUAUGAAGAAUCAGACUCGAUGUAUGUCUGAUUCCUCAGCUUUCUUCGAGCUUUUUAUAGAGAGUCAAGACAUGCAUCUUCUUUUCGUUAAGUGGUAGAAACCCAAGAGAAAUCAUUCUUGGAAAGAGGUAAUUGAGAAUCCUUCUAUCCAAGAAUAACAAAGAAUAAUGUCCUUUUUCGUAAUCUUCAACUUUCCUUUGAGUGAUAUUGAUAUCUAAAUAUACUCCAUAAUCUUCAGCUUUCCUUUGAGUGAUAUUGAUCUCUGAAUUUUCUCCUUGAUUAAUGUCUAUCCUUUCUUGAUAUUACAUUGAGGUCAGUUGCUUUAGAGUUGUUUUACAGAUCCUUUGAGUGAAGAUUUUGUAGCCGUUUCAAUUCCCUUGAAUAAAACUCAUGGUCUCAUGUUUACGAGAUUUGAUUCCCAUUGAUUAUGCCACAUGUUUGGUCUUGCUUGAUUCUUUCCUUUUAUCCUAAAAGGAUCAUAAUUUGUCACCGUUAAUACAAUUCUUGCACUAACAAUCUCCCUCUUUUUUAUGAUGACAAUAUGUAGUACUGAUACUUCCUUGUUUCAAUAGUGCACUGCUAGAGCUGACUGAGACUUAAUAAUCUAUGUUAUUUGCACAUAACAUACAUCAUGACACUUCUUGGAUAUGUAGUGUUAAUUCAUCCAUAACUAAGACAAAUAAGAACGGGCUAAUGUAUGCUUACCCGGGUCUUGAUAAUAUCAUAUAUUAUUAUAAAUGGGAAGCAUCAAAAUACUUAAAAUAUAUAUUCUUAAAUAAAAUAUAUACAUUGAAAAGAUAAUUAUUCAUUAAUAAUCUUCUAAAUAAACUAUUAUCUCUUUAUAUUCUCUACUAUGAACCUUGUCUUUUCAUUUCACAUAUGUAUAUCUUCUUGUUUUUUACAUUCUAUUUUAUUAUGAGUUUGAUGGAGCGCAUAGGAAAAUUAUCCUUUCUGAUGUUUGUGUAUGUUAUUUUAAGUUAUUUUUUAUUUUGUUUCUUAUCUUCUUACUUAUAAUAUAGUAUAUGAUGUUUGAUUGAUGUUUAAGAUUUUUAUCUCUAAUGUAAAAUAAAAUUUGUAAUUUUGUGUCAACAACUUAUUUAGAUGAUUUUUUUUUGUUACAUGAAAAAACAAUUGAUGAGAUGCUUCUGUGUCGAUCGCAUAAAACUGUAUUUUGAGUUGUGCCAAUACAAAUGGGGUAAGUGACAUUUCCUUCUAACAUAAUUUUUCUGUUAGCACAAUUCUUUGUCUGUUUUUUUUUAAUAUUAUUAUUAUUAUUAUUAUUUUAUUUUGUCAAUAGCAUGUCAAAUUUAUUGAAUUUUACAUAUACAUAUUCAUGUGAGUUGUUUGUGUAUAAAGCUAAUAUAGUAUUGGAUUUUGAAAAUAACUAUCAUAACCCAAUUAAAGUCAAAAAUGUAUUUAUAAGUUUUGACAUGUUGAGUGAUUUGAUAUUCAUUGCCUAUUAAGCUUCACUUUAUUUGUUUGAAUUUAAUUUUUUUAAUGGAGCUUUCAUCCAAAAGAAAGAAAGGAUAACAACCCAUGUUAAGAAAGAAAGGAAUGAUUACAAUAUCAUAUUUUGGUUAUUUUACCCAUGAAAUUAUAUUAACUUUCUUUGCUUUAAUUUUGGUUUAUUAUUUUAGUUAUUUGAUCCAUAGUUUAUCCUUAUCUUUCUCCUUCAAAAUUAAUAUUACUCUUCACUCACAUGUCGUAAUCGUAUUUUUUAUCAUGUCUUUUUGUUUCUCAAGUACAAUUUUAACAAUAUAGCUCCACAAAAUAUGAAAGAGAUAUUGAAUUUGUUUUCUAACUAAACUAUAUUAUAAUUGCGAUGAGUCACAUCAAAUGAAGUUCGUUUAGAAAGUAAUAUUGAUUCUGGUGGUAGGACAAGGGUUAAUUGAUGAUAUGAGUGUAUUAAGUUUGUAAUCUAUGGAUUUAAUUAACUUAAUUGUUUUUUUAACAAAACAUAAGAUCUAUAUAAAAAUUAUAAAAAUUUGACAAAUUCAUAUAAAAUUUUAACGAAUAAAUUUAAAUUAGAAUAAAUUUAGUACUAAUUAAGAAUCUUCAAGAUCCACACUUUAGAUAUUGGAUGUCAUUGAUUUUUGUAUAUAUUUAUUAUAUUUUGAUUCAAUUUUUUUGAAAUACUUAUGCUCACUGGAAAGGCAUACACGUGCAACGUGCGUGUCCAAUUGCUAGUUCUAUUAUAAAUGUCUGUGAUCUAUCUAAUUUAUGCUACGAGUACACCUCUAGCCUCAAAAAAUCUCCAUAGAACCCCUUACAAACUAUCGUAAGCGUUUUGUAGGUCGACAAACACCAUACGUAAGACCCUCUUUCUCUCCUUAUACAACUCCACCAAUAUCCCUUCGGGAAUGAAUUAAUUUUAUCGUCGAAUGGCUUCUAAUAAAUCUUAUUUGGUUAUCAGUAAUAAACACACACCUCCUCACCCUCAACUCCACCACCCUCUCCCAAACAUCCAUAGUGUGACUUAGCAGCUUUGAUAUCCCUAUAGGUAUUGCAAUUUUGAAUAUCACUUUUGUUGUUGUAGACUAGUAUCUUGUACUCCAUCUUCAUUCUUCUGGCAUUUGUCUUCCUAUAAAGAUGUUAAACAACCCUCUUGCUUUGGCAACCCUACACAACUUUGUCAAAGUUCCAACUUUUCUUCUUUGAGAAGGUAGCAUCAUCAUAGUUCCUACUUUUGGUCGGCUCCCUAGCAAGUUUCAGUCAUCAUUUGCAUAUAGCAUACGAACUCCUUGAUAUCCUUAACGUAGCCCUAGAAUAUUAUAAAAUUGACAGCUGAUGUAGAAAGUGCAAAACUGUAAAUUCUCAUUUUUGCAUCUUUGGUUCUUUUACUUUGAUCUUGAGAAACAGUACUCUUAUAGUGGUAAUAUAUUGUUGUGCGGUUAAUUCCUUCUCAUUUCUUGCAUCUCCAUGCAUUGUCUAUGUUGAAGAAUUUUGUAUGAUUUUGAAGUAGAGGUGGUGGUAGACAUCAUAAAAGGAGUAAAUUUCACGUAUCUUUGGUGAAAAUUGUAAUAUAGAUAUCAUUUUUAUGUUUGUUUCUUUGUAGAAAAUAUGGAAGGAGAAAUAAUAUCUUUAGAAAAUGCUCAAGUUUAUUAUAGGAUACUCAAGGCCACUUGAGAUAUUACAAUCAUCAACUACAUCAUUAUUUAUACUACUCAAAAUAAAAACAAAAAGUCUUGCACAAAUAACUAAAUACAUUCAUCACAAUUUACUAGAUACAUGUACUACGAAAUUCUAAAGAGACUUCUUGAAAAACUAAGAGACAAUUUCGGAAAACUAAACAUUGAUGCAUUAAUUCCAACAGUCCUUCUUAAUGCAUUUGUUUUAUAACUCCAAUGCAUCAAAAAUUUUCUCUAGAAAGUGCUUUGGUGAAAAUGUCAGCAAGUUGUUCUCCUGUCUGACAAUUAUGCAACAAAAUUUUCCCUUUCUCUUGUGCUUCUCGGAUAAAAUGAUACUUGAUGAAAAUAUGCUUUGAUCUUUCAUGGCUGACCGGAUUCUUGGAAAUCGCAACUGCUGAUUUGUUAUCAGAAUACAGAAUGGUCACUUUUUUUUUGUUUUUCACCAAUGUCUUCAAAUAUUCUCCUAAGCCAAAUAGCUUGAGAAGUAGUCUUCGAUGCUCAAAUAUAUUCUGCUUCACCAGAGGAUUGAGCAACAACACUUUGCUUUUUUGAUAACAAAAAACAAAUGCUUGAUCCAAAUGAGAAAGCAUAACCAGAAGUACUCUUCAUUUCAUCAAUACUUCCAGCACAAUCACUAUCAGAAUAAUCAAUUAAGUUCGAAUCUCCGCCAAAUUUGUACAUUAUCCCAUAAUCCAUUGUUCCUUGCAAGUAGCGUAGAACACGCUUUGCAGCUCCAAAAUGCACUUGGCUAGGUUCUUGCAUGAAUCUAGAUAAUAAACUAGAAUCAAACAUAAUAUCUGGCCUUGUUAAAGUAAAAUAUAGCAAAUUUCCAAUCAAACUCCUAAAAAAGUGAGCUAUUAACUUUUUUUCUCCAUCAUCUUUUCUAAACUUCUAAUUUGCUGCUCAUGGUAUGUCCACAGACCUGCAAUCCAUCAUUUUGAAUUUUUGAAGAAUACUUUUAGUAUACUUCUUUUGAGAAAUGAAAAUUCAUUCUUUCACUUCAGAAACUUUGAUGCCCAAGAAAUAAUUUAGCAACCCAAGAUCACUCAUUUCAUAAGCUUGCAUCAUAUCUUGUUUGAAAUUUUGCAUCAUCUUUACAUCAUUUCCUAUAAAGAGCAAAUCAUCCACAUAGAGACAAACAAUGAUAAUACUGCCAUGUUCUUUCUUCGCAUACAAAGUGGCUUCACUUUUACUUCUCUGAAAAUUAUUUUUCAGAAAGUAUGUAUCAAUUUCAUUAUGCCAGGCUCUUAGAGCUUGCUUCAGCCCGUAAAGAGCUUUUUUUUAGCCUAUACACCUUUUCUUAUCCCCUUUGAACAAAAAAUCCUUGAGGUUGCUCAAUAUAAAUCUCUUCAUCAUGUUUUCCAUUCAGAAAUGCUGAUUUAAAAUCAAGUCGAAAUAUCUUCCAUUUCUUUUUUGCAGUAACAUCAAUUACAGUUCUAAUUGUCUCAAGACGAGCAACUGGAGAGAAAUUUUCAUAAAAAUCAAUACCUGGUUUUUGCGUAAAGCCUCUAGCAACCAACCUUGCUUUGUGAUUUUGAAUAUCUCCUUCCUGAUUGAGUUUGAUUUUUGUAAAUCCAUUUUAGACUUACAAAUUCUCUUUCUCUAGGAAUAUCCUCAAGCUCCCAAGUAUUAUUUUUUUCAAUCAUUCGAAUUUCUUCUUCCAUGGCUUUCGUCCAAACAUCAUGAUUUAUUACUUCUUCAUAAUGUUCUAGCUCAACACCGACAAAAUUACAUCUUUGAUAAAUGUCAAUCAACAUUUUUGUUCCUCUUGGAGGUGGUUCUUUAUUAUCUGAAUAUGGGAUUUCUCCCCCUUGAGAGACAUCUCCAUCUUUCUCAUCCUCUUCUUGAUUUGAAGAUAUGAUAGCAGUAUUCUCUAUCUUUUUGUCCUCCCAAUUCCAUGUUGUUUUUUCUUAAAAAAUGACAUCUCUACUAACAAUAAGUUUGUUAGUUCUGACAUCGAGAAGCCUCUAUCUUUUUGUCACAUCACUAUAACCAAGAAAGACACAUUUUUUGCUUUUUCAUCCAAUGUUGUUCUUUUCUCAGCAGGUACAUGAGCAUAACAAAUACACCCAAAAAAUUUAAAAUGACUUAUAGAAGGUUUAAUUAUACUCCAAGCUUCAACUGGUGUCUUGUCCUUUAGUGCCUUUGUUGGACACUUGUUAAGGAUGUGAACUGUUGUAUGCACUGCUUCUGCCAAAAAAUAUUUUGACAGCCCUUUCUCAUUCAUCAUAGCUCUGGCCAUUUCAACAAUUGUUUUAUUUUUUCUUUCAGAUACACCAAUUUUUUGAGGAGUAUAUCCUGCUGUAAGUUGCUUCUGAACCCCUUCAUUUUUGUAAUAUUCAUUAAAUUCUCGACUUGUGUACUCACCACCUCGAUCACUGCAAAUGGUUUUGAUGCAACAACCUUUUUACUUCUCAAUAAGGACUUUAAAUUUCUUAAAUGUAGCAAAUGAUUCUGACUUUUCUUUCAAGAAAUAAACCGAAGUCAUUCUUGAGAAAUCAUCAAUAAAGAUUAGAAAAUACCUUUGACUUCCAAGAGAUGGAGUCUUCAUUGGUCCACAAAUGUCGGUAUGAAUUAGUUCCAAAAAUACACUUGCUCUCCAAGACACCCCUUUUGGAAAAGACUUCCUGUAAUGCUUUCCCAUUAUACAAUUUUCACAUGUAUCCACCUCACUGUGUAUCUCAGGAAGGCCUUGCACCAUGUCCUUUUGCUUGAAAAGCUUUAAACAAUGAAAAUUCAAGCGAAAAAAUCUUUUGUGCCAAAGCCAUGAAUCAUCUAAAAUUUUAUUUUUAAUGCAUUUUAAUGAAAUUGCAAAGGAAAGUUUCUUUUUAUCUUUUUUACUUCAACAAUGACUUGAUUUGGCUCAAUUUUAUCAUAAAUCUUGCAAUAUUAUCUCCAAACACAAGAGAAUAACCAUUUUACAUGAGUUUACCAACACUAAGAAAAUUUUCUUCCAAGUCAGGAACAUAAAGAACAUCAUGAAUUUGCUUACCGCAUCAUUUCAUGUUGAUCGAAAUUGUACCUUUACCUUUCGCAUCAACUAAGGCUCCAUUACCCAUCAUCACUUUAGUAGUGAUGCUAUUAUUAAUUGAGAGGAAAGCCUUUUAAUCUCAAGUCAUGUGAUUACUACAACCACUAUCAACAUACAAUUCAUUGCUUUUUGUUGAAGCAUCAGAUUUAGAAGCAAAAAAGGUUUUCUUCCUCUUGUUUUUCACAAAAAUUUUCUUGCUCCCGCUUCUUGUGCCAACAAUCCUUUCAACGCGGCCAAACUUUUUACAAAAGUUACAUUGGGGCUUGCCUUUGUGCCAACAUUUUUUAUUUUGCAUUGUGAUUAGUCAUUUUACAAACUUUACAAAAAAGACUAGAGUUUUUCUCACCUUUUUCUUCAACCUUCUUGGAAGAACCAUCAUGAUCCUACUUCUUUUUUGUCUUGUGUUUUCUCUGCUGAUGAUUUUUUGAGAAAUUUUGAAAAUUCUCAUUUGGUUUAGACUGGAAAGCCGUCUCUUUGGGUUGAUCUUCACAAAAAAUUAUUCGCUUCUCGUGUCCACAAAAUGAUCCAACUAGAUAUUUGAUGGAAGCUUAGAAAGAUCUUUCGUCUCCUCAGUGAUAGCAACAAUGUACUCAUACUCGUCUGUAACACUAAUAAGAAUAUUUUCCACAACUUGUUGGUCAGAAAUUGUAUCAUUAUGAUUUCUCAUUUCACUAACAAUAUUCCUUACUAUUGUACAAUAUCCAUCAAUAUUUUUCAGAUUCUAUCAUCUUUAAAUUUUGAAACUCUCUUCUAAGAGUUUGAAGAUUUAUUGUGUGUACCUUUUCGUCACCAUACACCUCAGUUUCCAGAAAAUCCCAAGCUUCCGUUGCAGUCGCACAAGUAGCAUUUUUUGCAAAAUAUGCACUUGAGACUCCCAUUGGGAUUUUUCUCAAAGCUUUUGCAUCUUGAUGAUACUUAGCCUCAAGUUUUUUCAUCUCUACUGCAGUAAGAUCACCAUCAUUGUCUGGCUCUUCAAAGCAUUGCAACAAUAGUCCACAAACCUUCAACUUUCAAAUGUGUUCUCAUUCUUAUCUUCCAGUAUUCAAAUUUAGUUCCAUCAAAAAAUAGAGUAAGAAUAACUGAAGAAUCUACACCUUCAUUUGUUUUGGAUGCCAUAUUUUUUUCUUCAGCUAACCCCAGACUAAGAGCGAAAAUCUGCUCUUGAUACCAAUUUGUAGGAUAUAUGGAAGGAAAAAUAAUAUCUUUAGAAAAUGCUCAAGUUUAUUAUAGGCUACUUAAGGCCACUUGAGAUGAUUACAAUCAUCAACUACAUCACUAUUUAUACUACUCAAAAUAGGAAAUAAAAAGUCUUGCACAAGUAACUAAUACAUGUAUCACAAUUUACUAGAUACAUGUACUACAAAAUUCUAAAGAGACUUCUUGAAAAACUAAGAGACAAUUUCUGAAGAUUAAACAUUUAUGCAUUAAUUCCAACAUUCUUUUCCUUUCGGUGAAAAAUCAAGAUCUUCUUAAUUCUUUGGGAGAGGACUUGAUUUUUCCGAACUUAAGAGCACUUAAAUCCCAAUCACGCUGAAUUGUGGGGUCUUUGCUAGCUAUGUUUUUGUCUCUUGAUGACAUUGCUUAAGUUUUCCUCCCUUUUUCUUUUCCAUGGGAGGUACUUAAAGCAUGACCCUUAAAGUUUGACAAGAGCAAGAAAUAGGACUGUGACUUCACUAUUUUUUUCUGAUUUUAAGCAUGAUUCUCUAUCUACAAAUGAGAACAUUGAAUAGCUCAAGAGGUUCAAGACGACGUUUGAAGAUAUUAUGGUUUUCUUGGGGUUUAACAAGCAGGAUAUUCAGGUUACACAAGGAGAAGGUGCUUUGGAUUGAGAAACUCAUAAGUUUCUUUCUUAGUUCCAUAAGAAAAUUAUGAGUUUCUCAAUCCAAAGCACCUCCUCCUCGUGAGUAACCUGAAUAUCAUGCUUGUUAACCCCCAAGAAAACCAUAAUAUCUUCCAACAUCGUCUUGAACCUCUUGAUCUUUUAAAUAUUCUCAUUUGUAGAUAGAGAAUCAUGCUUAAAAUCAGAAAAAAAACAGUUGUCAUAAUCAUGUUUCUUGCUCUUGGCAAACAAUAAAAGUCAUGCUUUAAGUACAUCCCAUGGCAAAGGAAAAGGGAGGAAAAGUUAAGUAUGGCAUCACGAGACAAAUAAUAUAACUAACAAGACCCCAAAAUUCAAUGUGAUUUAGACUCAAGUGCUCUUAAAGUUCAGAAAAAUCAUGUCCUCUCCAGAAGAAUUACGGAGAUCACCGAAAGAAAAACAAACCAACAUAAAAAUGAUAUAUAUAUCACAGUUUUCACCAAAGCUUUGUGAAAUUAACUCCUUUUAUGGUGUUUACCACUACCUCUACUUCACAAUCGUACAAAUGCUUCAACAUAGAUGAUACAUGGAGAUGCAAGAAAUGAGAAGCAAUUAGCCGCACAGCAAUAUAUUACCACUAUAAGAGUACUGCUUCUCAAGAUCAAAGGAAAGGAACCAAAGAUGCAAAAAUGAGAAUUUACAGUUUUGAGUUUUCUGCAUAAGUUCUCAGUUAGAUAAUAUUCUAGGGCUACCUUGGGCAUAUCAAGGAUUUAGUAUGCUAUAUGCAAAUGAUGACUGAAACUUGCUAGGGAGACGACCAAAAUAGGAAGUAUGAUGAUGCUACCUUCUCAAAAUAGAAAAGUUAGAACUAUGACAAAGUUGUGUAGGGUUGCCAAAGCGUAGAAUGACAAAAAAGCCUAAAGAAUGAAGGUGGAGUACAAGAUACCGGUCUACAACAACAAAAGUGAUAUUUAGAAUUGCAAUACCUAUAGGGAUAUCGAAGCUCCUAAGUCACACUAUCGAUGUUUCGGAGAGGGUGGUGGAGUUAAGGGUGAGGAGGAGUGUGUUUAUUACUGAAAACCAGUUAAGAUUUAUGCGAAUCCAGUCAACUAUAAAAGUCAUUCAUUCCCGAAUGGAGAUCGGUGGAGUUGUAUAAGGUGAUAAAGAGGGUCUUACAUAUGGUGUUCGUCGACCUAAAAAACUCUUACGACAGUUUCUAAGGGGGUUCUAUUGAGAUUUUUUGAUGCUAGAGGUUUACUCGUAGCAUACAUUAGAGAGAUUACAGACAUUUAUAAUAGAAUCAAGACCCGGGUAAGCAUACAUUAGCCCAUUCUUAUUUGUUUUAGUGAUGAAUAGAUUAACACUACAUAUCCAAGAGGUGUCAUGGUGUAUGUUAUGCGCAGAUGACAUAGAUUAUGAAGUCUCAGUCACCUCUACAGUACAUUAUUGGAGCAGGGAAGUAUCACUACUACAUCAAUAAAAAAAAAGGGGAGAUUGUUAGUGCAAGAAUUAUUUUAACAAUGAAAAAUUAUGAUCUUUUUAGGAUAAAGGGAAAGUCAAGCAAGACCAAACAUGUGGCAUAAUCAAUGGGAGUCAAAUCACAUAAACAUGAGAUCAAGAUUUUAUUCAAGGGAAUUGAAACGGCUACAAAAUCUUCAACCAAAGGAUCCAUAAAACAGCUCUAAAGCAAUUGGCCUCAAUCUAAGAAACAAUAGACAAUAAUCAAGGGAAAAAUUCAGAGAUUAAUAUCACUCAAACUAAAGUUGAAGAUUACGGCAUAAAUUUAGAUAUCAAUAUCACUCAAAGGAAAUUUGAAGGUUACGAAAAAGGAGCCGAAGAUUAGCCUUUGAUUUAUUCUUAGAUAGAAGGAUUCUCAAUUACCUCUUUCCAAGGAUUACUUCUCUUGGGUUUCUAUCACUUCACCAAAAGAAGAUGCAAGUCUUGACUCUCUAUAAAAAACCUCGAAGAAAGCCAAGGAAUCAGACAUACAUCGAGUGUGAUUCUUCACACAUUCUCUAUGUUACUUUUAACAAGCAUUACACUACUUAGAUUUACUAGAUAAACAAAAAAGAGAGGAGAGAAAAAUAUUGUUGGUAGGAUGUGUAUCAAAAGAAAAAAAAGAAAAAGAUUGAGUGUAGCCAUAGGAACUAUACUCUAAACUUGUACUCAUAACAUAUAAUCAAAAGGCUCGAAGAAAAUAGCCUUGAAGCCUAAGGGGACUAGACGUAAUAUCAACAUUGGAUCCUAACCAGUAAACAUCUUGUGUCAAUCUUAUUUUCCACACUUUUGAUUUUCAGUGUUUACUUUUGGUUUUUAUUUUCAACUAGUAAAUCUCAAAAAUUGGCUAUUUGAAGAAGAAAAAUGAAAAAAGAGCAAUUUAGCCCCCCCCCCCCCCCUCUUGCACCUUUGACUGUGUUGAUGGCGAAGCCCUUCCAAUGGUACCGUUGGUUAUAUCACAAUAAUAAGUUGAUUAAUUGGAACCAAUCUACUGAGAAAUCAGUUCAUCGAUAUUGAAAACGUGAGUUAGACUCACUAAAGGGAUGUUUGGCUAAGAUAGAACAAAUUACGACAAUGGUAAAAUAUUGGAGCAGACUUAAAGCUCUCACUAAUGAGACUACUCCCAUUGGUGAUCAUUUGUUGGUACAUUUCUAGAUUUUUGGUCUCCGAGCCAAAUUAAAUCAGCAGUGGUGGAUCAUGAGUCUUCUAAACUGGAUCGAGCUAUGUGUCACGGACUUAGAGUAUUAACUAAUGUUCUGUGCGGCCCUUAACAACUUACUCACUAAUCUUUCAAGGUCUUGUAAUCUCAAGGAAACCUUUUUGACUUGGUACGCUAAGAGAAUGCUUGGAAUUGACUUUGAGAGAACACAAGAAAGCUUUUGAAGAAGGUUUUGUAUUAUGCUUGGAGAAUGCUUUACAACUUGCUUUGUGCCUUUGCAAAUAAGGGGCACUUCUAUUUAUACUACUUCUUAAGGACUAAAAUGCAAUUAAUAUUUACUUGACAAGUCCCUAAGAUAUUUACACUUUGGUCCCCUUUCUAGAAGAUUCUACUAUGCUUUGGGACCUUCCCUAGCCUUCUUGAGACUUCCAAAAGGUUCUAGAGACCUCCGCACAACUCUAGAACGUUUUGUACCUAUCUGGAUGCAGAAUUAGGAUGGAAUUAUGGAGGGACGUCACAGGCUCCCCCACAUGAUGAUGCAAUGACCGCGGCGCAUUGCUGCAAAAACUCCUAGACUUUCGUCCUUGAAUUGCCACAAGUCUUCACAUUUAUCCCAUGUGGCCUCCUUUGGAGUUUGUCCCUUCGAAUUCACCACGAACAUGACGCUGGCUUGUUGACCUCACUUCCGUUUGGCUUGAUAAUCUAUGGUAGCCUCAAUCUCCCGGUUGUGCAAGGCAUUGAUAGUAAUGGGUGCCCGUUGUGAUCGAUUCCUUUUAGGAUCCUCCUUGUUCUCAUGGUACGGCUUGAGGACUCUCGCAUGAAACACCAUAUGUAUCUUGAUGUGUGGAAGUAACUCCAACAUGUACGAGAUCUUUCCCACCUUGGCAACGAUCUUGAAAAAAUCCUCAUAUUUGCGCACUAAAUUUUGAUAACGCCUCUUAGUGACUUGAAAUGUCUUGGGUUGAAUUUCACCAAGACCAUGUCGCCUUCUUUAUAGUCCAUAGGACGACACUUGUGGUCUGCAGACUUCUUCAUCCUUUUGGCUGCUUUGUCCAAGUAGGGUUUGGCAGUGUCAAGUUGCUCAUCCCAUCCCUUGUCAAAAUGGUAGGCACCCAAACUCUUUCCCUCAAAAGCAGUCGGCAAUGAAUACAGAGUUUGGAGUUCUUGGCCUAUCGCCAACUCAAAUGGUGUGCACCUGGGGACUCUCUCCUAUGCAAAUUGUAGGAAAACUACGCCAUGUCUAGGAGUUUGUCCCAAUCCUUCUAAUGUUCACUACCAUAAUGCAUGAGAUAGCACUCAAGUAGGGCAUUGACACGUUCCAUUUGGCCGUCGGUCCGCGGGUGGAAACUUUUGGAGAAGUGAAGUUCUGUGCUAAGUAUAUCAAACAACUCUCUCCAAAAGUUUCCAGUAAAGCGGGGGUCUCGAUCACUGAUGAUAUGACUUGGAAACCCCUAGUGUUUCACCACAUUCUUAAAUAAAAAUCGAGCGGUUUAAUUUGCGUUGCGACCGGGUGUGGCAGUCAUAAAUGUAGCAUACUUCGAAAAACUUUCCAUCACGACCAUGAUUGUAGCAAGAAUGUCAGAUUUUGGCAAGGAACUGAUGAAGUUCAUGGUCGCGCUCUCCCAUGGUAAUUAUGCUUCGGGUAGUGGCUCUAGUAACCCUCCUGAUUUCCUUUGGUCCACCUUGUCUUGUGGACACACAAAACAAGUCUGCAUAUAGCACAACACUCGAUGUCGUCCCGCAUGCGUGGAAAAAAAUAAAUAGCCUCGAUUAGCGCCUUUAUUCUUCACUUCCCUGGAUGCCCAGCCCACGGUGUGUCGUGGAUUUUCUUAAUGAUGUGCCGUCUGAUAGCCCCAAACUUGGGCACAUAUACGCUAUGACCGGUAGUGAGAAAGAAGUCCUCUUCUACCAAAAAGCGCCUAGUUUUGCCUUGGGCAGCCAACUCCAUCAACUUAUUUGCAUCUCGAUGGUAUUGCAUGCCAUCCCUGAUUGCAUCUUAAAUGUCACAGUGGGCUGUAGUGAUGGCAGCGAGAUCGGAUUUCCUACUUAGUGCAUCGGCCACGACGUUGCCUCUUCCUUGCUUGUACUCCAAGUUAUAAUCAAACUCUGCCAGAAAAUGUUGCCAUCUAUCUUGCUUCGGGGUGAUAUUCUUCUGUGAAUUGAAGUAGCUAGUGGCCACAUUGUUGGUCUUGACCACAAACUUGGAUCCUAUUAAGUAGUGUCUCCACAUGCUUAGGCAAUGCACAAUGGUCGUUAUUUCCUUUUCUUGCACUGUGUACCACCGUUUGGCCUCGUUUAGUUUGCGACUCUCGAAUGUUAUUGGGUGUCUAUCAUGCAUUAAGACUCCCCCAAUGGCAAAGUCUGAGGCAUUCGUAUGUAUUUCGAAGGUCUUGGAGAAGUUGGGCAGCAUCAAGACCAGUUUCUCUAUCACUGCGGCCUUGAGACCUUCGAAUGCUCUUUGGCACCCCUCGCUCCAAACCCACGUCUUAUUCUUCUUUAAAAACUCAGUCAGCGGGGUGUCUUUAGCAGAGUAGCCACUGAUGAACCUAUUAUAGUAGUUAGUAAUUCUAAGGAAGGAUCAAAACUCGAUCACCUUUAUAGGCGCCUCCCACUCCUAGAUCGCCCGGAUCUUCGUCUCAUCCAUACGUAGUUCACCUUGGCUGAUGAUAUGUCCUAAGAAAUGAACAUUGUGCUGGGCAAACUCGCACUUAUCCCGCUUGACAUAGAGUUGGUUCUCCCGUAAGACAUGGAAGACUCUUUUAAAGUGAUCCACUUGCUCUUCCAAGGUGUUGUUAUAGAUGGCUAUGUCAUCGAAAUACGCCACCACGCACUGGUCCAAGUAGGUAUGAAAGAUCUUUUUCAUCAGCGUGCAAAAGGUGGCGGGUGUGUUGGUUAACCCAAAAGGCAUCACCAACCACUCAUAUGAUCCAUAUCUUUUCAUGCAUGUUGUCUUUGGUUUUUCCCCCUCCGCGAUGCGCACUUGGUAGUAGCCUUUCCAGAGAUCCAUCUUGGUGAAGUACUUAGCCUUCCCAAGUCUAUCAAAAAAAUUUGCAAUUAGCGGGAUAUGAUACUUGUUCUUGAUUGUUACCUUAUUGAUCACUCGAUAAUCAAUGUGUAGGCGCAUUGAACUUCUUCUAGAAUAACAUUGGCACGCCAUACGAUGCCUUGGAUGAACGGAUUUGUUCGGCCUUGAGGAGCUCCUUCAACUGCUUCGUUAUCUCCUCAAAUUCAGGCGAAGCCAUGCUGUAAGGUGCAUGUGCGGGUGGCUUGGCUCCAACCUCCAACUCUAUCUUGUGGUCUACCUCUUGUCUCGAAGGUAGAGUAUUUGGCAGCUCGUCUGGCAUCACGUCCUUGAUCUCUUUAAGGACUUUAUCUAUGAUCGGUGGCAAGGAUUCCAUAGUACCAUUGUCUUCUCCCGUACUUGCAAUAGUAGCAAGGAACGUCGGUUCUCUUUUCUUUAGGCCCUUCACAAUCUGCAUGGCUGAUAAGUGGGUGUGUCCUUCCUUCUUUUGCACUUUCACUAGAGGUAUCAUGCAUAACCCUUCCAGCUCCAUGACCAUGAUUUGUUGAAGGUAGAGGUCGAUCAUCGUGUGGAAGCACCAAAAGAACUCUUUCCUAGAAUGAUAUCAAAUAUAUCUAGAGGAGCGACUACAAAGUUCGUCUUUCUUUGCCACUUCCCCAACGUGAUGCUUACUGCUUGGGUGACCCUGCACACAAGAGUCUACAGUGGCACGAGUUGGUCGUCCAUUAAGGGAGAUGUCUACAUAUUGCAUGCUGAAGUAUCCUGGCUUCUCAGUCUGCUUGGCAAUCACACCACAUAAUCCUACCAUGCCCAACUGCGUCAUGCGUAGAUCUUGCCCUUGCUUUUGUGCGUCCUUAUCCUUUCAUUCGCAAAGGAUGGCACCAAGGUUCUUCAUCUCGUGCCACCUGGCAUAGUCGUUAAUUUCACCGCAUAUGUAGCAACCAUAUCCUUUGUUGGUUUGUGCCCGUUUCUUCGUGUAAUUCUGGUGCACAAACCGCUUGUUGUCCAACUUGUGAAGGUCAUGCUGCUUGGGGUGUGCCUGGUGCUCCUUACCUCAGCCACGAUCUCCCCCACCUUUAUUAUGACUACUCUUAGCAUCCCUGCUCUUUGCCUUGUCAUGUCUUUCAUACUUGAAGUCCGUAGAGGACUCGACUUGUGUGAUGGAUUCAUCUAUGGUCUUGACCUGCCACCACUCGAACUCCUUCUUGUCCCAAUUUCUGUAGUCCUUCCAUGAAGUGAAACAACAUGUCCUCCUCUAUGAGGUUGGGAAUUUGAAGCGUUAGAGUUGUGAACUCCUUCACAUAUGCCCAAAUUCUUCCCAUUUGCUUCAAUUCACUGACUUAUGCUUAACCUCGUACACGACGUUGUUAGGGAAAAAGGUUUUCUUGAAUUCUUCGCGGAAUUGCUCCCAUGUUGAUGGUGCACGUCCCCUUCCCAAUCUCGGCCUUUUUGCACCUCUACCAUAUCAUAGCCAUCUUGGACAGAUAUAACACGACAAUUUUGAUCUUAUUUUCAUCGCUCCACACCCGACUACACUUGAAGUAAUUCUCCAAGUGCCAUAGAAAGUUUUCAAAGUCUUGAGCAUCACGGAUGCCCUUGGGUAUGGUUCACUUGGAGUAUCAACCCUGUCCUCAUGAUAAUGGUUGAGUGAUGUAGAUCCUCCAACCUCCACUCCUUCCUUGAGUGUUUUCACUUCGUCCUUCAGCGUCUCGAUCGUUCUAAGCGUGUUCAUAUGACAAAACUCCAAGGAAGUGAUAGCUUCCUUCAUCUUGAACUCGGCAUGCUGGAGACCAUCAAACUCUUUACGGAUGUUCUCAAUCUACUCAAGGGUCUUGAAUUUGUCGUCGGCUACAUUCAUGCGCUGACCUAAUAUCUUCACAACCUACAUUGCCACUUCCACCCUAGCGACCCAUUCUUCUACAAUGGUGAUGUCUAUGGCGUCUUCGCCCAAUUCAUCGUCACAUUCUUCGAUAGUAGAGGGUGGAAUGAGAUGUUAGCGCAUCGCUAGAUGUGGGACUGGGCAACACCUCACUAUUACCUUUUUUAUGUUUCUUCCCCUUUCGGUUCUUCGUUCCAGCAUCAAUACGGACGUUGCUGGUGCUAGCAUCAUUUAUGUCUUCUUUGGUAGCCAUUCCCUUAGUAUCAAACCUCACUUUGAUCCUACUAGUCACGGACUUAGACCAUUUUCUAAAGUUCUAUGCGGCCCUCGAGAACUUACUCACUAAUAUUGCAUGGUCUUGUAAGUUCAAGGAAGCCUUUAAGACUUGGAACGCUAAGAGAAUGCUUGAAAAGGACUUAGAAAAAACAACAGAGAACUUUAGAAGAAUGCUUUGUAUUAUGCUUGGAAAAUGCUUUACAACUUGCUUGGGGGCUUUGCAAAUGAGGGGCUAUACUACUUCCUAAGGACUAAAGUGAAAUUAAUAAUUACUUGACAAGUCCCUAAGAUAUUUACACUUUGGUACCCUUUCUAUAGAAUUCUACAGUGUUUUGGGACCUUCCCGAGCCUUCUUGAGACUUUCAAAAGGUUCUAGAGUCCUCAGCACAAAUCUAGAGUGUUCUGCCCCUAUCCGGAUGCGAAAUACUUUAAUUGUGGCGGGAAAUCACAUAUGUAUGUGACCCUUGUGCAUGAAGAAUUGAUAAGCUCUCAGCAAGGGUCAACCUGGACUGUCUUUGCUAAAAUAAAUCUGAUAUUACCUAGUCUUACUCUAAUGCACCACUCCAUUGAACCUUCCUCAUCAACAUUAGUCACUACUGCACAACCACAUGCACUCCUAAAUGGCAUACCCUUCAAAUGUCUAAUCCCUGUUGAAUUGCAUAGUCAUCAUGAACGAGGUUUAUGCUAUAAUUGUGAAGAGAAACUUUCUCCUUCUCACAAAUUUAAGUCGCUACCCUAAUUACUGUUGCUUAAUUCAGAGUCAUCACUAGUGUGGUCAAAACCAUUCGAAUCUAUAAAGUUUUGGCCAAAGAAUUGAAUCUUUUGGAGGCACAAGAUCAUUAUUCUUUUUCUUAUCAAGCUUCAUUUGGUGGAGAUUUACAAACUACUUUGCAUUUUAUUGGCAUUGUUAAUGGUUCUCCAAUUCAAAUCCUUAUGGAUGGGGCAGUGCACAUAAUUUUAUACAAGCAAUGGAAGCCAAUUACUUGCACAUGGUGGUUGAAUCCAUUCCUAUUUUUUCUGUGGUAGUUUUUCAGGGGUAUGAUUUGCAUUAUGGAUAUGUAUGUUUUAUCUCUUCAUGGAGAAGACGUGGUUUUAGGUCUCUUGUGGUUAGUAAUAUUGGGACCAGUUGUCACUGAUUAUGCAGCCCGUAUCCGCGAGUUCUCCAUGAGUGUUUCUCAUUUUCAUUGGAUGGGGGACUCUCUUACUAUGAGCACCGCCUAUCAUUCUUAAACAUACGGGCAACCUGACUAUCUGAGGCUAUUAAUAAGUGUGUUCAGAAUUUUUUUAGGUGUUUUGUUGUUAAUUUCCCCAGUGACUGGGUUUCCAUGGGCCAACUAUUGGUACAACACCUCCUAUCAAUGUUUGCAGACCUGACCCCUUUUCAGGCUUUGUGUGGCCGUGAACCUCCUACAAUAGCACAUUACUUCUUGAUAAGUACUUCUAGUUGAAAGUCAAGAGGGAGGGGGUGAAUUAAAAUCUCCUUCAAUUGACCUACCUUGCGCAACUAAUCGAGCCUUGUUUCUUAUCACUCCACCACAAUCAUUGAGUUUUUCUGUACACCCAUUUGAUUUCAUUAAUAGAAUUCUUUUUAGGUUUAGGAACCAAAGUAGAUACCUAGUUUUUGUCAAAUUGAUUCAGUUCUUCUUUGAUAUCCUUAAUGUAAUGUUCAUUUGUGACAACUUUAUUUAUCUGCUUAGGUUCUAACUGAGAGAUGAGAGCAACAUUUGCUUAAUUUCUUCUCGAUGCUCUAGUCUUCAUUCCUUCACUGAUCUCUGAUGAUGACCUUUCGUUUGGAACUGUUUCAUUAAUUUGUUUUAUAAAGAUUUCUUCAACAAUCGACUAUUCUAAGCAGUUUAUUUCCUUUUGGGUUGAUACUAUCAUUAGAUUUUCUUCUUCAUUUAUAUUGGGUCUAAUCUCAAUAUUUUUAUUGGAUUCAUAAAACAAAAAUGGAUUCUUCAAUGUUUAAGGUUCAUUUAUUAAAGAUCUAGAAGAUAUGCUAGAAUUUGAAUAUUACUUCGUGUAUCAAACUUACCAAUGUUUUGAACAAAAUACUCGCAUCAAAAUGGAUGAAAGUAUCCCAUGUUGGGUAAUAUACAAUUCCAUAAUUCGUAUGGAUUUUUCUUCAAAAUCGGUUUUAUAAGACAAUGAUUCGAUACAUAACAAGUUGUACUUAUAACCGCUUGUUCCCAAAACUUAGGUGGGAAAGAAUGUUCAAUAAUCAUAGUUCUUGAUGUACUUGUAGAUUCUAUUCUUCCGUUUUACAACCACAUUCGACUAGGGAGAUUAGAAUUUGUGAGAGUACCAUUUUUCAUUACAGAAAAAUUGUCAAACAACUUAUUUUGAAAUUCUCCUUUGUGAUCACUUCUUAUUGGUGUAAUGUAGUAUGCUUUGUCUCGUUGAACUUUGUCACAAAGAACUCAAAGUUUUUUAGAGUUUCAUCUUUAUGAGCUAAAAGUAUUACCAUGGUAAAAUGAGAAUAAUCAUCUAAAUUACAAAUGCGUACCUUUUUCCUCAAAUGUUUGUUUUUCUAGUAGGUCCAAAUAAAUCUACAUGUAGUAGUUGUAGAUGUUUAUUAGUGGAAACCAUACCUUUACCACAAAAUGAGUAUCUAGUUUGCUUACCCUUUUUACAUGCAUCACAAAUAUGUUCUUUUGCAUAGUCCAGCUUUGGUAGUCAAGUCCAAAUCAAGGGAUUAUCAGUCAUUUAAGCUAGGCAUAUAUGUUCUCCGGUACUUUUUACUGAGUCAAGGUUGUAAACAUUCUUCUCUCCGCUUCCUUAUAAUAGUUUGUUUUUGGAAAUAUCUUCUAUUAUUCAUUGAUUUUUUUGAAAACAAACUUCCACGUCCGAGUCUCACAGUUGACGGAUGCUUAGAAGAUUAUAGUUUAGUCCAGCCACUAGAUAUACAAUUAUGAGAUCACAAGAUUUAUUGAAAGAGAUUGUACUAAUACCAAUUAAUGCUCUUUUUGAGUUGUUACCAAAUCGAAUGUUUCCUAUUUUAUAUUCAACAACAUAUUUAAAUAAGUUCUUAUCUCAUGUUAUUAGAUUUGAACAUCCACUAACCAAAUACCAUUUUCCUUUUUUUUUUCUGCGGAGUUUUUGUAAAAUAAAGAAAUAAUCUUCUCUUAGGCAGGUUCUUUGAGGUUAGAAUGGUCAUGAUUUCUCUUGGGUUUCAAACCUAAUUACAAGUGUCAUGAUUAUUAAAUAUGCAAUUAAAACACAAGUGCCUAGACAUUUCACAGAAUUGCAAUUUUAAGGAAUGUGUUCUUUAGAGAUGGAGUUGCUACUAUUAGUUUUAGACCCAGUCCACUUAUAGGAUAAGUGUGAUUGAUCAUUUGCAACUAAAUUAGCUUCCAUUUGAGGAGUUUUUACAUCCGAAACCUUCUUGUGUUUAAAUGAGUUAUUAGAUGAAUCAGAUUUGUUUUGAAAAUUUUCAAGCAUGGCUUUUAUUUCAUGAAUCUCUUCAUGCAACAGAUCAUUUUCACCUUCGAUGAGUUCUAAUUUUUUUUCCAAAUUUCUUUUCUCAGUUUGAAGGUUUUUAAAAUUACUAAAGACUUGAUUUAUAUCAGAGACAGAACAAUCUAACAAUUUUUUUACUCAAUGUAAUCGUUACAUACCUUAGUGCUUGAUUCUUCAAUUACCAUGAAGCAAAUAUUUCCAAUUUAUUUAUUCUCAUUUUACCUCCUACCCUCCCCAGUUCCCACUUGUUUAAUUAUAUGGUUGUGAUGUUGAUGAUCUUCUUAGUUUUUUUUCUAAGAUUUGCAUGUAAAGUUAAUGAUCUCUCUUAAUUUAGUCUUAUGCUACUAAUCAUAUCUUGCACGUUUUAUCCUAUGCAGGCAUAAGGUAUACAUAUGCACACCAUCCGCCUAUGUUGGAUUCCCGUGGGCAAGGUAUUGCUUCUGAGUUUGAUAGGAUUCCAGAUUUAAUUUAUUAGAUGGUAGCUAUGAUGGAUUAUGUCAAGUAUGGAAUGGUAUUGAAAUGUUUGGUACUGAUAGAUUAUGUUCGGUACAAACCUUAAUGAGCAUUGAGAACAUGUAAAGUGUUCGUGAACCCAUGCACCCUCCAAAGAUUAUAUAAGUACUUGUGAACCAACUUAUGCACCCUUCCCUAAAUUAUGUAGAAAGUAUUGCAAAUAUUCUGAUAAAGUACAUAAAUUUUAUGUGGAAAUCGGACUAAAAUUUGAAAUAUUCAUCCCCAAAUUUUGUUUUGAAUGAGAUUGAUAAAUAUAUCGGUACAAAAAGUCAAUUGUAGUCUACUGAUGCACAUCAAUAAAUAUUCUUUUGUAGAAUUAUAUUAUUUAUAUACAUAUUUUUAAAAUUAAAUUUGACAUUAUCCACUAUCACUUGGCAUUAUGUUCAAAUAAGGUUGAAUGAUACAUUUGAUUGAAUGUUAUAUAAGUCAUUAUCCAAAACAACAGGGAUCAACUACCACUUGACAUUCUAAUUUUUCUCCUUUAUUUUUGAGAACACAAGUAUUUUAAAUAUGUUCACUGGUCUUGCAAUUGAUAGAAAUCUAUAGGUAUAAUAAAUAAUUUAUAGGUAUUCCUAAUUUUCACAUUUAGGUAUUAAGAUUCUAAUUAACUUUGCAUAUAUAUGACAUAGAAGUAUUGUUAUUUUUUAAAAUUUGGAUUUCUCAUCAUUUUUCUAUAUUAAAAGGUCUCAUUUCAAUAAUUUGCACCUCUUUAGUCUCAUAACCUGUUUUUUUAAUAAUCUCCAUAGUUUUAAUUCAUUUUUAUUUACAACCCCCAAAAUCAAAUGUGUAAAUUUCUGAUAAUUGUGUUCUUUCAUGUACCCCUAUAUAAAUGUAAAUAUGUAAUGUAAAUAUGUAAUGCAAGUUUUUGAACUAAAUAAUGAGGUAUAAUCGUUGACAUUUGUCACACAAAAAGAUUGUGUGUUAAUGGUUGUUUUUACGCUAUGAAUAAUUAGUGUAUUAUAUUUUACGAGCAUUAAUUUUGAAAUAGUUCAUCAAGUUAAUACCAUAUGAAAGGCUUUGUGCACUAUUAUUAUUACGUUUUUAACCUUUCUAUGUGAUAUAAAAUUUAUUCUAAUUUUAGGGGUUACAUAUUUUACAAAACAAUAGGUUGAUUGUUCAUAUAUUUCAAACUGUAUAUUUUUUGGUUUAAUGUUUCGUGAUACUUUGUAACACCCCGUAUCCAAAUCUAACUACAAAAAUCAACUUCUUAGAAAAAAACUACAAGUGCAAUCAAGGGUUACCAUCGACAGACCAUAGGCUGAACCACGGUCCGUCCUGCACAUCCGUCGAUUGAGUCAGAAACCCCCAAAAACUCGGUCCAAAUAAAUUUUGACUAAGUGUCGAACGACGGACGGACCUACGGUGCGUAGGUCAGAGUAUGAUCCAUAGUUUGUGCCCGUCGAUCAACACCCCAUUUAUCCACUCUCUGAAAUGAACCACGAUUUACCAGCAAAAACCAUCGUUCGAUCUACGGUCCAUAGGUCUAACCGUAGGUAGAAGUUAACAUACAGUUAGGUGGAAAUAAUUUGGGUCAACUUCAACUAAACAUAACUCUUAGGAAAAAAUGAAUUAGGUGUCUCAUUAUGUACCAACAGAUAGAUAAUUGAAUUAGCUUUCUAUAGCCAGUGACUUUACUAAAAUCAGAGCUCUGAGUAAAGAGUUAUGCCAGUUUUAGUAAGGCUUGUCGAACAGACCCAACCUACGGACUCAAAUGACGGACCGUUGAUUGAACGAGGGACCGUCAGUCCAGGUCGUUGUUUGACCGUCAGUCUAGGUCAUUUUUUUUUCUCUUUUUAUUAUUUUAAUAAAUUUCCACUUUAUUAUACAAUUAAUGUUAUAAAAAAAGAUGUUAUUUCACUUAUUUGCCAGAUAGUACCCACGUGGUACGAAGUGUGCAUAUUUUGUCCCAAAUGAGCAAAAAAUGUUCUCAAAUGUUGUUUUAACUUUUUUUUUAAAGUAAAGUCGUGGAAUAUCAAACACAACAUCUUAAUCGCAGAUAAAUAUAAGAUUUGCAUUUAAUUAUUUCAAAAGCUCAUUUGAUUAAUUUUAUAGAAUAUGAUAUUAUUAUUGUGAUAAAUACUCUUUUUUAUUUUUAUGAUCAUAUGAUAUUUUGAAUAUUGACCAACUAUAUGACUUAUUAUAUUCUAUGGGUUGGACCAUUUAAGAGGAAAACAUUAUGUGCAUGUAUUUUUUCGAUUUUAGCGUUCGUAUGAGUAAUUAUUGAUUAAGAACGGAGGAUUUUAAUCUAUUUUACUAGACUUUUGGUAAUCAAAUUUUUACUAAUGUUGAAGUUAUAUCGAUUUUGUUGCAAAGAGAUAUGGUGGAAACUAUAUAUAAUGUCAUUAAUGAAAUAACAGAGGCUCGAGAUAAAUUUAUUAGAAAUAUAAAUCUCAAUUACAUAUUAUGCAUACUAUAAUAAAAAGAUCCUAAAAUAUGUACCAAAUAAAUGACUUAUUCUUUUAUAAAGCACCUAAAAUCGAAGUUUAACAACAAUACGAUAAGAUUGUUUUGAGAAUGUAAUUAUUUGUGAAUAAGUCCAUAGGUCUACAUAUGAGUAUAUUUUAUUGUAUUUAUAUAAAAUAUAGCACUAUUUGUGUUAACUUUUGAUAAUAUGAUGUUUAAAAAUUCAUUACUCUAUUUGAAUAGUAAAUACAAUUAAUAUCUUUUAGUUUUCAAAUAUUAUUUAUGAUAAACAUUAUAAUAAAUUAAAAAAAAUAAGAAAAAAAAACACAAUUCAAUAAUAACAUUAAAUAUGUUUGUGACGAGUCAUGAAUAAUUUGAAGGAACAAAAUUACAAAUUCUAACUUAAGAGAAAAUUAUAAAGAUUUGGAAUAAAAUAUCUAAAGACAUAAAAUAUUAAAAUAUGUUCUCUAACUGAAUUCUUCAUCUUCAAUAAUUAACUGAAAAAUAAACAAUCCGUCAAAAAUUAAAUAGGAGAAGGAAAGACUCUUACGAUUAAAAAUGAUGAGUUUUAUAAUCUAAAAGCCUAUAUGUGAAAAAUGAGAAAAAAAAUAUUCCAUCAAAAAUUAAAUAGGAGAAGGAAAGACUCUUCUAAUUGAUAAUGAUGAGUUAUAUAAUCUAAAAGCCUAUAUGUGAAAAAUGAGAACAAAAAUAUUAUUUUUUUAUUUUAUUUUUUUGUGUGUGUGCGCGUGUGUGUACGUGCGUGUGCGCGUGCGCGUGCCUGACAUUUUGCCUGUGGAAUCUUAUAAACUUUCUUAUAUUCUUUGCUUACUAAGAAGCUUCCCAUAUUUCAAAUAUCUUCGAAAUGCAGGUUUGUAGUGCUUUGACACUUUUUAAUUUUAUUUAGUGAUUAUUUGUUGUACUUCUUUUAUCUUCAAUAAUCUGAUAGUUGUUGUCUUUCUUAGGUUAUUGAUGAAGAUGAUAGUGAUACUGAUGAAGAUAAAGAAUCUUUUUAACGCGAAACUUUGACAGACCUUACAUUUAAUCACCUUGUGAAAUUUCAGCUUGAAAGCUUUAUAGGAGGUACAUCGAAAAUGCACUUUAUCAAGCAUUUGUUAGCUAAUACUCCAGUGUUAGAGAUAUUGGUAAUCAAUCGACAGUUUCUAGAUGAGGAGACUCUCGACACAAGAGAAGAAAUAUUAACCGAGAUCUCAAAUUUUUCGCGUGCAUCACCUUAAGUAGAAAUCGUCUACAAUGAUUUUAGCUGAUCUUGAUCUUUGGCUUAGAAGAAUCAAAUUGACAUGCGAGAAAGAGACAUUUAUGUGGUAUUAUAAUUCUCUGUUUUACCUUGCUAUAACAUCUAUUUCGAAAAGUGAACAUUUCUUGGAUGGAUGUUUUGAUUAUGUUCUCAUUACAUUUAAGGAUUUCUACAUUUACUGUCUGUUCAUGAAUGAGUUAUAUAUCUAGGAGUGCUUUAUUUUUUUCAGUUUUUUGGAGGGACUGAGAAACUGAAUCAAUCUCAAAAUUUACUUAAUCAAACAAAAAAUGAUUUGUUGAUACACCCUUUUAAAGGAAAAACAUUAUCUGCACCGUGUGUUUUAUAUCAAAUCAAUAAAUAUAGUAGAAUGAGGGAAGAUUUUACACAAAAGCCUUUCUUCAUAGGUGUAAAUUUCAAGUAGCAAACUAUUAAGCAAAUAGUCUGACAUUGUUGGGGGAUUUUAGAGCAUUGGAAUAGUACUCACGAGUUAAUUUCUUGGAUGAUCGCUAAAUUUUUUAGUAUAUUUUGUUAUUUGUUAAAGUUAUUUUGUUUCUCUUUUGAGGCAAAGUUUAAAUAUCAAAUCGUAUUCGAUUCCUCAUUUUCUAAUAAAUGUAUAAGAAUUAUCUAUUUGAGAUAUGGUAAUUAAUUGGAGGACAAAACAAAAUAAUUUUAAAAGUAUUUGGUCUUUCAAAAGGAUUUUUCAAAAACUAAUUCAUUCUGCUAAUUAUCAUGCACUUUCUGUUUACAUAAUAAUAAUAAUUAGACAUUUAGAUUUAAAUUCAUUCCAUUAUCUUUUCCUCUUUGGCCAUCAUCUUUUCUUUGUUACACAUAUUCUUAAUAUGGUUAUUAAUAAACAAUACCAGCCUUAAUAAACAAAACCUACUGACCUAUUUAUCCAUCAAGAAAACAACUAGUAUACAUAUAUAUGGGCACGUACAUUGCAUGUUUACUUCAUAACGAUAAAUAUGAACUAUUAAACAAUAACAUAAUUUUUAAAAAAAUAAUAUUUGAGUUACAAUAAAAAUAUAAAAAAUAAAAUAUUAAAUAUUUUUAAUGUAUAAGCUUAUUAAUAAAAGGGGAAUGCACGAUUUAACUUUUUUUAAAAAUGUUUAUAGUGUAUAGUUAACUUAUAGAAGAUUUAAUUUUUUCAUUUAGUCCUCCCCUUAUUAUAAUUUCGAUAUAGAAAUUUUAUAUUUGUUUUAAAAGAAAAAUAAAGUAGCAAAAACAAACAUGGAGACAUACUAUUUUUUUAUUAACUUUCUUAAAAUGUCCUUUGUCUCAUAGAAAGAGUAAAAAUAUUGAAGUUCUUCCUUAAAAUGUCUCUCUUGUCUCAUAGAAUAGAAUGAAAGUGUUGAAAUUAAAUUAAUAGUUUCACAUGAUAUACAUUUCAAUAAGAUAAAAUGUUUGACAAUAAUUAGUAAAAGAUGAAAUUUUCCUUCUCAUUAAGUAAAAUGCAAUUAAUUAAUUUAAACUAAUAAAUAAGAAGACUUAUUAGAAGGAAAUAACUAAAGAUUUAAAGUUCAAUGAUUGAUAUUUAAAUUAUGCAAGUAUAUAAAUAACAGUUAAUAUUUAAUUAAAUAAGUCAAUUUUUAAUUUAAUGGAGAGCCAAAAUGACAAUUUUAAUAUUUUUACAGUUAAAAGUUCUUUAAAAUAUAUUUUACAUUUUUUUGUUAAAAAUUUAAUAGGAGCAAUAUUUGGUCGAUUGAUAAAAAUCUUCUAACUUCUUAAGCAUCUUGAUGUAUCAUUUUUUGGACUUUGGGAUUUUAAUCUCACGGUAAAUUUAAUAAAAAUUGUCUAAAAAAUAUAGAUUUUAUCCACAAGCAUAUGAAAGAAUAAUUCUUUACGGAUAUUUAAAUUUAAGAUGCAAAAAGUAAUUAUUAAUAAUUUAAAAUUCGAAUAAUAUUGGCAUGAAUUGUUUUACGUGUCUUGUACACUAUUUUUAUGAUUGUAUUGUCUUAUUUUCUAAAGCAAAAAAAAAUACACAUUCAAUCAACGGAGAAAGGCCUAAAAUGCCCUUAAAGUAUUAAAAAUGGUACAAAAUUACUCUUCAUCCACCUAUUGGCUCCAAAAUAUCCUUCUCACCCACCUAUUGGCUCCAAAAUACCCUUGUCAUCCACCUUUGAGUUCAAAAUUGACCACUUAUUUAACUCUUUUAAAUUUAAACUAUUUAAAUAUUUUUUUAAAUACAUGGCGCUCAACUAUUUGUUAUAAUUAACUUAUUAGUAUAAUUUAUAAAAUAAAUCCACUACCCACCCGUUGCUAAUUAAACCCCUCCAAAUUAAUAAACCCGUCAUAUUACUAAUGCAACAACAAGAAAGAUACUGCCAAUGAGUGUACUUAAAAAUUUGAAGUGAAAAUAUCUAUAGAAUUAAAUUAUCAUACAUUCAAGUGUCUAAAUAAAAAUUAUCGAUAAACUUAAAACUCUGACUAUGUUCAUCUUAAUUAUUCUUUCAUAUCAAUUAUAUGAUGUUACUUCAUAGAUAACUUUUUUUUUCAAAAUAAUAUAUUAAUGGUUUUAAAAAUAUCAUAAAUAUUUAUAAAAUUAUAUUUAAAAACGUGCAUGAGUUAAUUCGGGAUGUACUACUUUACUUUUAAUCAUAAAUUUCUAAUUAAAGCUUGAAAGAGAAUCCUAUUGAAAGUGUCCUCUUAAAUAAGCGGUUCAACCUAAAUUUAAUUGGGGUUUUGAUUCUGACUCGAAUAAUUUUGGAUGUCAUAUUUAGGAAUCUAUAAUUUCGUCGUGUUUUAGUAGUGUUUAUGACAAUUUCGAUAUUAUAAUUGGUUUGUUAAUUGGGUGGUGUUUAGAUAGUAAUGAUUGGAUAGUGGGUUGGUUUAUAAAUUACAUAAAUAAAUUAAAUUAUAACCAAUAGUUGAGAGCGAAAUAUUUUUAAAAAUAUUUAAACAGUUUAAGUUUAAAACAAUUAAAUAAGUGGUCAAUUUUGAACCGAAAGGUGGAUGACAAGAGUAUUUUUGAGCUAAUAGGUGGAUGAGAAGGGCAUUUUGGAGCUAAUAGGUGGAUGGAGGUAAUUUUGUACUAUUUUCAAUACUUCAAGAGUAUUUUAAACCCUUUUCCGUUGAAUCAAAUAUAUUUUUAAACGAAAUUAAAAAUAUAAAUAAAAAGUAUCAUAUAUAGGAGCAAGUUUAGUAUAAGGCUACCAAGGAAAAAUAGAAUAAUUCUAAGACAAUCGUUUUUUUUAUAAUGCAAUUGAAACAAAGUUACAGUAAUAAACAUUCAACCUUGACAAAAAAGAAUUAAAAUCUUUGAAGACAAGUUAAAGGAAAUGAUAUUCCACUACACAAAUGGAGUGGUCUUAUCAUAGUUAUGAUCUCGACAAAUAAGUAAAAAAAAAACAAAUACAUCAAGCUUUAAUAUUGUAGUAAUUAGAGUGUUAUCAGUCCCGUAAUCAUAUUAUGCAUUGUAAUCUUGACACAAAUCCUCUUGUCUUGAAAUUUUCUUAACUUUAUUAAAGUUUAUCUAGUCUUCCACAUACAAAAAUUAUAUCUCAUAUAAAUCUUUCUAUGAAAAUACUAUUGAAAGAUUUGUACUUAUAUAGCAUAUAUAUGAGGAUUCACUUACAAAGUUGAAAGGUCGAGUGUUACAAAAAUUAAAGACAAAUAUUUAUUAAGGAUAUAAAUAAGGUUGGACGAUGAAACACAUACAUAUAUCUAUUUAAAGGGAUAACUGUUAUUUUUAUUUUUAUUUUUCUAUUUAAUAUACUCACAUGUAUACCGACAAAAAAUAUUACAAAAAAUCUAGUAUUUACUAUUUAAUUAAUUAAAUAUUUUAACAACAUUUGAAUUUAGCAUAAGGGUAAAAUGAUAAUUCAACUUUUCUACCUUGAAAUUUUCUUCACUUGAUUAAAGCUUCUCUAGUCUUCCACACACAAAAAUUAUAUUACAUAUAAAUCUUUCUAUGAAAAUACUAAUUGAAUAACUUGUAUGUAUAGGAAAAAAUAUAACUUUGGAAUAUGAAGAUUCGCUUAUGAAUACAACAAAGUAAAGAAAAAUAUUUUUUAAAAACAUAACUUAAUUUGGAAGAUAAUACACAUAUAUCUAUCUAUUUAAAGGAAUAACUUUUAUUUUUACUUUUUUCUAUUUAAUUUACUCACACGUAUACCAACUAAAAAUAUUAUAGAAAUUCUACUAUUUACUAUUCAAUUAAUUACAUGUUUAAUAACAUCUGAAUUUAGUAUAAGGGUAAAAUGAUAAUUUAACUUUUUACUUUGGAGAUUUCAACUUAUAAUAAUAUAUGAUAUAUGAUAUGUUCAAUAAACCAAUCAAUUGUUCCUCAAUCCGAACCUAGUUGAAUGUACCUGAUAUAUGAUAUAUAUAUAUAUAUAUAGAUAUAUAUAUAGAUAUAUAUAUAUAUAUAUAUAUAUAUAAUAUAUAUAUAUAUAUAAGAUCUAAUGAGUGAUAAAUAUUGAUUUUGUGUUACCUGAUAUAUGAUCUAUAUUGUUCACUCAAUCAAUCAACUAUGCCUCAAUUUGAACCUAGUUAUAUUUACUGAUAUUGUUUUAGGAUUAUUCUGUCUACUUUGCAGAAUUAUGAUGAUUUUGGCUGAUUUUCAAUUAAUUUAGAUCUUUGAGGUUCGAUACAUGUUAGUUCUUAAUAAUAAAUUACUUCUUUUGUAUUAUUAAUUUUGAGUAUGAUGUUCUUUUCCUCUUCUUUUGUAUUGAAUUUGAUAUUGUUGCAUAUCUGGUUGCAGGGUUCUACUAAAGGAGUGUAAUCCUGUGUUUGAGUUGCGUUGUACGACUUGGUUGUGCUUGAUUGAUAUCGUCUCGAGAUGGAAAGAAAAGCUUUAGCUUUAGCUGAUUCUAGAAUCAUGCCAGCUUCCAUGAACGAAGAGGACUCAAUCUCAUUUCUUAUUUUCUAUUGAAAAUUGGUCUAACUGUGUAACAGAUUUGCUUUGUUUUUGUAAUACUAGUUUCUCAUAACGUACGUUGCAUGUUUGUUCCUUGCUAUUAUUAUAAUUUUUUAUUUAUUUAAAAGUGAGUUAGAAGAUAGAAAAUAUUGAAAUUAACAAUAUUAUUAUUACUAUUUAUUUUUUGUUCAUAAAAUAAAAUAGUGCAUUUGUUAUCAAAUUGGAACUAAUUAAGAGGAUAUAUGAGUAUGUCAAUGAAUUUCUUAUUGGAAAAUAAUAAUAAUAAAUGUAUAACUGGAAAGGUUGGAUCUACUAGAUGUAUAGAUUUUGAGCACCAAUUUAAGCGGAGAACUUUUAGAUAUAAAAUUUUACUCCCUCAAUAAGUAUACUCAACACGAAUUUUGAUUAGUGGGAUUAAUAGGAAUCAAAGACCAGAUUAUUAAAAAACAAUCGCACUUUAAUUCUAGAAAAAUUGAAAUCUAUUAUAUUAUAUUAUUGUGGUUGUUAUAGAUGUUGGACUCAAGUAGUAAACUUGACAUUGAAUAAAGCCUAGACCCAAAAAUUCAACCAACAUUGGUCCCACAAGACAGUGUCAUGUAGGUCGAAAAGGGAUAAAAACUAUUAAUAAAAUAAGUUUAGGGGUAAUAGGACCUUAUAUAGUCUAAGUGUGUCUCUGAGAUUUCGGACAUAGAUUGAGGGGGUACUUGUGCAUUAUUCCACAAAAAAGCAAACAUGAAAUUGUGCAAGAGUACAAAUUGAAGUGAAUUUGGCUGCAAAGCUACCCAACGAGUAAAGAUUAAUGAAGAAGGUGAAAUUAUAGGAGAAAUAAAAUACAAGCAGAAUAAAGUUCAAUAUGAUUACAUGCUCAAACAUGACUUUUGGGGAUGAUAUGAUCAUACUGUGCAAGACGGAGGUUGGAACAAUGAAAAUGAUUGGUGAGGUGCCUAACUACUAGAAAACAUGUAUGUUGCAGCACAAGAAUAAUGAUUGUCAUAGACUCAAACAGUGUUGCAAUUGAGUUAUGGCAACGAAAACUAGCGUGUUGCAUAUAAGGCUGUUGUGAUAUAUCAGUAGUAUCGGUUUACUAGCAACAGUUGAAAGUCAUUGCCACAGACCAUCUGUAGAAACAUUUAUUCUUUAGUCUAGGACAAAACUUUUCUGCAGCUAUUGCAACAGUUGUCGAACCGUUGCAAAAGAGUUUAUAGCGACGGUGAUAAACCGUUGCCAUACACUAUCCAAAACAACAAUUAUUUUUUAGUUUAGGACGAUACUUUUCUGCGAUUGUUGCAACAGUUGUGAACCAUUGCAAAAGGUUUGAUAGCAACAACUGUGAACUUUUGCAACACACUAUCUAUAGCAACAAUUAUUUUUUAUUCUAGGACGAAACUUUUCUAUAGUUUCUGCACAAGUUGCAAAUCGUUGCAAAUGACCUAUUACAACGGUUCUUCUUAACUAUUGCAAUGAUGUUAUUAAUGUUUUAUUUUAAAAAUAUACUAUUUGAUUAAAAAUGGUGUGAACAUGACUAAGUUUCAGAAAAUUAAUUAGUCUUAUUAUUUAAGAAAAAUCAACUUUCCAAAUUACGGAGUCGCCACUUUAUUUAUGAUAAAAUCAAGAAAAACUUUCAAAAGAUUUAGAAACAGAUUAAAUCAAUUGAAAAUGGCUCGAAGUUCAAUAUACAUCCCGAGAAGGUGUUAGGCCCUCGGGAUGCCCACUAACUUGCGGUUGACCGGCGAUUUUACUAAAAUGACCUUUUAAAUUUUAACUAAGUAAAGAAUUCGUUUUGAUGUAUUUUAUUCUAUUUUUUAUUCCUUAGUAUUUCUAAAGGAAAACAUUUAAAAGAAAUUAACUUAAGGAAAACUAAAUGGUGAUAAAAGUAAAUAAAAUAAAAUAAGUAAAUAAAAUAGUAAAAUUUAAAAUGAUGAAAAAAAAUUGCUGCCCUUUAGGAGAUUAUUAAAAUUCUACAAAAAUAUUAAUUAAUUUAAACAAAUAAAUAAAGAGAGAGAAAUAUUUGAACUUGGGCUUGAUUGCCCAAAUUCAUUCACUUGGGAUUUGGCCCACCUGUGCUAAACUAAUUUCAAAAUGUGGGCUUGGGCCCUUUUUCAACAAUUUAGAAUCCUGCGGAAAACAUUUAUGGCCUUUUGGGCCUAUCAAAAUUGUUGCUGAAAAUGGCCCUGGCCCAUUUCCUGAAAAAGAAGUUAAAGUAUACAAAUGAUGUAUACUGUAUAUAUCCAAUUCGUAUUGAACUUUUUGAACCCUGCACUUGUUUGAAUACGCGUUUUUCGCUUUUCACCCUGUAUUUCCCAUAUUAAUUCGGCGUAUUUGUACCUGUACAAUUUCUAAACCUGCUUAAAAAUUGUAUAUCGUCGCCCAUAAGAUGUAUACCAAUGUAUAUGGGCUGUAUCCUAUCCACGUAUUCAUUGCCAAUUCCCAUAUUUUAUCUUAUAUUGGCGUCCCUGUACGUUAACUUACAAUUCACAAUUUUUUACACAUAUUUAAGGUAUAGUGUCUAUGUAUAUCAGUGUAUACAGGAUGCAUAUCAGCCUAUUUUUUCAACUUUCGAAAGUUGAAAACUCCUUUUCAGCAGUGUAUCUGGACUGCUACAAACCCAGAUUUUAAAUUUGGAUCCACCUGUGUAUUUUAGACUUGUAUAUCAUGGUAUAACAUGUGUAUAUAGCAGGUAUACAGAUUUCUUCUACACCAGCAAACUAUAAUUUUCCAGCAGCCUCUGUUGGUUUUUCUGACCUUUACAUCAUUUCAGGAGGUUGACUGACUCGGUAAGGGUGUUUUGAGCCUUCAUGGCUCAACGAGGAAUGCAAAUAGAGGAGUUCAUGAUGAACUCGGGUUGAUUUCACAUGCAACAAACGGGAAGAAGAAACUUUAAAACAAAAUUAUCGAGGAAAUAACACAAAAAAUAGAAACUAAAAGGGAGAUCAUUACUAUUCUCGCAAACUACAAACACAUAAAAUCAAGCUAAAAUAAAUUGCAUGAUAGUUACCAUAGCUCAAUAUCAUAAAGACUAAAAAAAACAUAACUCAAGACACUCUUUGCACUUACACAAGAGCACCAUAAUCUUAAGGAAUAAGAGUUGAGACAAAACCAAACAACUAAGCUAGAAGGCCACUUCUUGAAUAACUUAGAAAGUGUACGCAAAGAAGUGAUUAUACUUACUCAAAAAACACACAUGAUAUUCAAGCAAACCAACAUUUAAGGAGGCAAUAAAGUAGGGACUUUACACUGCUACUUGUAAAGGAUACUACCUACUAAUUGGAAGGAAAAUUUAAGCAAAAUUAUGCUUAUGGCAGCCACUGUUAAUGGAAGUUCAAGAAUGAAACAAACGGGUGAACUGCCCCUUUAGGAAUUCUCUCCGAUUUCUUACAAGGAAGGAGACCCAUGGAUCAACAUAAGCAGCCAUGAGAUGCAAUACAUAAAAACAGAAGAUACACAUUUUAACUAUAACGGAGUAGAACCAAUCUUUUAGAUCACAAACUUUCGAAGAAAAAAAAAUACAACGAUUAUAGGCAAAAAUUCAGAGAACAUUGAAUCCUCAUAUGCAUUUCGAGCCAUAUUCUUAAAUCCAUCACUAUGAACGGGAGGAAAACAUGCUUGAAAGAUUUCAAAAUUAAUCCAACAAUAAUAGACCGUAUUUGAAUCAUAUAAACAAAAUCGACAAACCUCUCUUCUCAGCCAAAGAUCAAAAUUGCGAUCCAAAUAAAUCUCAAGAAUAGCAAAACCCACUUCACAUACAAGUCUGAUAAGAUUAAGAUUUAGAGCAAAUAUCACAGAAAUACAAGAUACUAGGUUAAUCAGUUUUGAAGAGUUCUAUGAAGAAAAUAUUUCAGUCAAACAUGGAAAAAAAUAAUUGAUUCUUCUCGUGUUGCAUAAAUUCCAGCGAGGUAUGAUUUUCCCGCCAUGCAUGAUUUUCCGCGAUGCAUGAUUUUUCACGAUGCAAACGCUGGUGAUCUCUGCAACGAUCUAGGUAGCUCAAUAAUUAUCCAACUGUAACAAGAUGAAUGCUCGAUAAUAUUUCAUCUAUAACGAGGCAGAUAGCUCGAUAAUAUUCCAUCUGUAAUGAGGUGGAUGGGUCGAUAAUAGUCCAACUGUAACGAGAUGGAUGCUCGAUAAUAUUUUAUCUAUAACGAGGUGGAUAUCUCGAUAAUAUUCCAUCAGUAACGAGGUGGAUGGCUCGAUAAUAGUCCAAUUGUAACGAGGUGGAUGACUCGAUAAUAGUCCAACUAUAACGAGGUGGAUGGCUCGAUAAUAUUUCAACUGUAACGAGGUGGAUGACUCGAUAAUAUUCCAACUGUAACGAGUUGGAUGACUCGAUAAUAUUCGAACUGUAACAAUGUGGAUGUCUGGAUAAUAUUCCAUCUAUAACGAAGUGGGUGGCUCGAUAAUAGUCUAUCUGUAAUGAGGUGGAUGACUCGAUAAUUGUCCAACUGUAACGAGGUGGAUGGCUCGAUAAUAGUCCAACUGUAAAGAGGUGGAUGGCUCGAUAAUACUCCAACUGUAACAAGGUGGAUGGCUCGAUAAUAUUCCAACUGUAACGAGGUGGAUGGCUCGAUAAUAGUCCAACUGUAACGAGGUGGAUGGCUCGAUAAUAGUCCAACUGAAACGAGGUGGAUGGCUCGAUAAUAUUCCAACUGUAACGAGGUGGAUGGCUCGAUAAUAUUCCAACUGUUACGAGGUGGAUGACUCGAUAAUAUUCCAACUGUAACGAGGUUGAUGGCUCGAUAAUAUUUCAACUGUAACGAGGUGGAUGGCUUGAUAAUAUUCCACCUGUAACGAGGUGGAUGGCUCGAUAAUAUUUCAACUGUAACGAGGUGGAUGAAUUGAUAAUAUUCCACCUGUAACAAGGUGGAUGGCUCGAUAAUAUUCCUGCAAGAUAAAAAGAAACUUGUUUAUAAAUCACUUGAGUAAAUAUAAAGAACUUGAGAUAAAAUGAGAUUGAAGAUUUUCUAGGUUUCGUUGAUGAGUCCACGAUGGGUGCAAGUGAUUCCGUUUUGUCAUUCUUGACAGCUUUAUAUAGCCAUUUUUGUGACUUCAAUGUUCUUGCAUCCAAAGAAAAAUUCUUAGUUUGAAGGACUGAUCUGUGUUGGUCUUGUCUCCAUGCUCCUUCUUGAAGUUGGCUUACACGCUCGUCCGUCCUUUAUAUGACAUAUUUGAUGGAACUUUUGAGGACCCUCCUCAAAAUUUUUUCUCGGUCUACAAUAUAUAAGAAAUCUCAUAACUUGCUCUGUUAACUUUGAGGUUGCUCAUUCUGGAAUUUUGAGGCUCCUCCUCAAAUUUUUUCCCAGUUUCCUUCAAUAAGUAACAAAUGACAUUUGAGGAAUUUUUGAGUUCAUCUCAAAAAUUCUGUCCCAGUUGCAAACUAGAUUAUCAUAAUUUUUGAGAUCCAUCCAAGGCUAACUUCGUAGAAUUUUGGUCUUCUGUUUAGACUUGUUAAAGAAGUCCAACUUCAAAUGAAUUUUUGAGAUCCUCUAAAAAAUUAUGUCCCAGUUUCCAGUAUGAAGAGAAAUGGAAAUGUUACUGGGUAUAUGACCGAGCCGUUGUGGCGCCUACAUAUCCUAUUGGGGCAGGAAUCAGGUCAAACGUAAUUCCCCUCUAAAGGAUUAACAAAAAUAGAAAGUUUUGAUAAAGAAACGACCGAGGCCGACAUAGGCCGCCUACGUAUCUCAUUCUUGAGAAAUCAGGUCGAACGUAGUUCAAACAAGAAAUGCGUGAUAAAAUUGGGGGAAAAGGGUUAAAUACAUUUCAAAAGAAAGGUAACAAAACUUUAUAUGAAAAUUUUGGAUAAUGUUGGGCAUUCUUCUUCUCGACCUUUGAUGAUGAAUAUCUUCAAAUGACUCAGUUCAGAAAUGUCUUGUACUCACUCUUGAGCAUCCAAUAUGUCAUCCAUUCAGCUGGUUUCCUCAAUAUUGAUCAUGUUUUUGUUGAUCAUGUUUUAUAUCUUGUGCUUUAGAGUUGAACAAUUAUCUGUGUCAUGUCCAACGACUCCUGAAUGAUAAGCACAUCUGUGGUCAGCUCUGUAAAAUUUUCCCAAAGGUUUAACUGGUCUUCCUUGUAUAGGAUAGAGCAUACCCAUUGCUUUCAUCCUUUCAUAAAGUUGAGUUUUAGAUUCCCUUAAUGGUGUAAAUACUUUAGGAGCCUUCCUAAAUUUUGGGCAAAAUUUUUUUUUUCUGAUUGACAUUAUGGUUUUGAUAUUCCCUUUGAGAAGCUGGCCUCAUACAGGUAGCCGUGACCAUACUUACCUCCUCCACUUUGCCUUUAGAUUUAUCCAUAUCACUAAUUCUGGUAGAUUUUCCAUUAUAUUUCAAUGUGGUAAGUUUGGUGAGCUUUCCAGUCUUGAAACCAUCUUCUAAAGCUUCUCCCACUUUGACAAUCUCGACAAAUUUUUGUCCCAUCAUACACAACAUUUUUUCAUAGUACUCGGGCUCUUGAGUUCGAAUAAACAUUUCAGUGAUCUCACGUUCGGACAUUGGAGGUUGAACUCUUGCGGCCUCUUUUCUCCAACGUAAAGCGUACCCUCGAUAAUUUUCUGUAGACUUCUGUUUGAUCUUCUCCAAGUAGUAGCGAUCUGGGGCAUCUUCUAUGUUAUCUCCAAAUAUUUCUGUGAAAUCCUUUGCGAGUGCAUUCCAACUUUUCCAUUGUUUCAACUCUUAUGAUGUAAGCCACUCAGAGCUUCUCCACUUAGAGUUCGAAUGAAGAGACACAUCAAUAAUGCUUUAUGUUUGCCAACUCCCACGAGUUGAUCACAAUAAACUUUAAGAUGAGCUAAAGGAUUUCCUGUUCCAUUAAAAGUGACAAACUUUGGCACUUUGAACCCUUCUGGGAGGUCGAGAUUCGGAUGGAUGCAUAAAUCCUUAUAGCUCAAUCCAUCGACUUCAAAAAUAUAGUGCAAACUCCUUCAUGGCUUUCCUGAUCUCUUCUUUCAUAUUCAGCUUGACUACCUCUUCUUUUGACCUCCACUCUCUCUCCUGUUCCUUAUAGUGAUCAAGCUCGUAACAGUCGGCAUAAGGUUCAUUUGAAGUUGCGAUUUGGAAAGUAGGAUUUGGAGGUAUGGGUGGAACAAUGGAGGGAUUUUGGGUAUUUUGAGUGGCUUGAUAAUUUUGGGGCAAAGUUUGAGGAUCGGUAUUUUGGUUUUGAAGAUGGGGGAAGGUUUGAGCAUUGUUCAUUUUUUGGUUUUGAGGGAGAUGGAGGAUUUGAAGGUUAGUAUUUUGUGGAUAAUGUGGUGCUUGACACGAUGUGGUGGCGUGACGGGGAUUGGAGGUAGUUAAGUCAAUGGUUGGAGGAUACUGAGCGGGGUUAGAGAGAAGGUUCUGAACCUGUUCCGUGCUUGAAAGUGGAGUGGAGGUCUUCCAUCUCUUGGAGGGUUGAAGGAUGAAAUUGGAUUAUACAAAUCUUGCAUUCUUUGAAUUUCGACACUCAUUUCGGCAAUCUGUUGCAUCAACUGCAUAAUCAAUUCAUUUUUAUCAGCGGCGGCGGGUUGAGCCACGAUAACGUCAUUCAUGUCAAUAUCAUCAUUGUUAUCCCUCAUUGUUGUCUUUUCUUUUUGCAAAUUUGAUUUGGGAAGGAAUCUUUAGGGGCCUUGGACCUUGUGAAAUACGGAUUAUCAACCAACUUAUCAACACAAAUCAGUUUUAAAUACCUGACAAAUGAAAAAACUCAAAAAACCAAUAUGGUAGUGCCUAGAGGUGGUAAAUAAUACAAAAUAUCACAUAUAGGUGUAAACACAUAAGAGUUGCUUUAUUCAGAAAUAAACCGACUCACAAAUAUAGAGAAACCAAUAUAGAGAAAUAGUUAAAUAUACAGGAAUUUGUCUACUUGAUUUUGGGAUUAGUGAAUAAAAAAUAUCGACUUGAGUCGAGACAAAGUUGACGGUAUCUUUCAUUGCCGUAGUUUGAUUUUAAUUGAGAUGUAACUCUAAUUUCCUUGUAAGAGUUGGAAAAGAUAAAUAUUUUCAAAAUAGGGGCCGAAUCUAGAAAGGUUUCCUGCGUAUCUCACAAAAAGGAAUUCAGGUCCUACGUAGUUGGACCCACUUAAAAUUCUUUUGGUUUGAAAUGAUUAAUCUUUUUCUGAUAUGAGAAUAGUACUAAAGAAAAAUGAAGUUCAAUUUUUUUUUGGGAAACUAAAGAUCCGAAGAGUAUUUGGACGCACUUUUGAUAGUGACUUGAUAUUUGUGCCUAGAGAUUUUAAACAAUUUUGAAGAAGUGUGAGCUAGAGUAUCUCCAGAUAAAACAACAUAUUCACAUAAGCAGUUAUAUCACAUAAACAAAUAUUGCGCGUUCUAAACAGAUAUCUGACCCUUUUGUGCCAAGGGUAAACCUAGCGAUUUGACGGAUGUAUACGUCAUAUGAAAUAUUUCAUUGCCCCAAAACUCUAAUUUAUACAAAUUUCAUGAAUAAAACUUAAUGGGGAUACAUAAAAGGGAAAUGUAUACAAAAUAAUCAGUCCCACGCAGGGGUACGACCUUAAACUAUGCUUCCACGAAAGAUCCUUCUUCUUUUCCUGACUUUUUGCAAUCUUUGGGUGCCAACGUCUUUGGAUGGACCAGUAGUUUUUAAAGCUCUUAUAUAAACUAUAAUCUAAUCUUUACCCUAUGAGACAAUGAUUUUCUCAAACAACGUAUACAUCCUUCAAAUUUAAACACAUAAGUAUGAACAUCCAUUUAGGCCGUGACCGUUUUGGACUCAAGGUGGUCUUAUAAUGGCCCAACACGCCUUGGGUAUUGGGUCAUCUUAGUUCAAAUGCGCUAUUUUUGGGAUUGAGUUUCGCUCUAUCGUAGUUGACUAUGAUAGUUUUCAAGAUGAUGGUUACCUGAGUCGGACAAACAUUGGGGUGAAGCUACCAAACAACGUCGGAUGACCGCAUUCCAAGUAUUUAUUUGAUACUUCCAAAUAAAUUCUUUGGUCUUUUUGAAGAAAGCCGUGGAAAGCCACAUAACUUUCAUUUUUCUAAUGCAUACUAUUUGCCGUUUAGCGGAAGAAUAUCAUGGAAAUGCAACAGUUUAUGAAAAAUUAAACACAUUCAGCACAAAUAAUAUUUUAACAAUCAAAACAAAUAAUCAAACAAUCAAAUCUUAUGGUUAGAACUUAAUUAAUCCCAGCGGAGUCGCCAUUUUUGUUUUAUUUUAAAAAUAUACUAUUUGCAUAAAAAUGGUGUAAGGAUGACUAUGUUUCGGAAAAUCAAUUAGUCUUAUUAUUUAAGAAAAAUCGACUUUUCAAAUUACGGAGUCGCCACUUUAUUUUUUAUAAAAUCAAGAAAAAAUUUCAAAAGAUUUAAAAACAGAUAAAAUCAAUUGAAAAUGGUUCGAAGUUCAAUAUACAUCCCGAGAAGGUGUUAGGCCCUCUAGAUGCCCGCUAACUUGCGGUUGACCGGCGAUUUGACUAAAAUGACCUUUUAAAUUUUAACUAAGUAAAGAGUUCUUUUUAAUGUAUUUUAUUCUAUAUUUUAUUCCUUAGUAUUUCUAAAGGAAAACAUUUAAAAGAAAUUAACUUAAGGAAAACUAAAUGGUGAUAAAAGUAAAUAAAACAAAAUAAGUAAAUAAAAUAGUAAAAUUUAAAAUGAUGAAAAAAAAUGGCUGCCCUUUAGGAGAUUAUUAAAAUUCUACCAAAAUAUUAAUUAAUUCAAACAAAUAAAUAAAGAGAGAAAAAUAUUUGAACUUGGGCUUGAUUGCCCAAAUUCAUUCACUUGGGAUUUGACCCACCUGUGCUAAAAUGAUUUCAAAAUGUGGGCUUGGGCCCUUUUUUAACCAUUUAGAAUCCUACGGAAAACAUUUAUGGCUUUUUGGGCCUAUCAAAAUUGUUGCUGAAAAGGGCCCUGACCCAUUUCUUGAAAAAGAAAUUAAAGUAUACAAAUGAUGUAUACUGUAUAUAUCCAAUUCGUAUUAGACCUUUUGAACCCUGCACUUGUUCGAAUAUGCAUUUCUCGCUAUUCACCCUGCAUUUCCCAUAUUAAUUCGGCGUAUUUUUACCUUUACCAUAUAUAAACCUUCUUAACAAUUGUAUUUCGUCGCCCAAAAGAUGUAUACCAAUGUAUACGAGCUGUAUCCUAUGCACUUAUUCAUUGCCUAUUCCCAUAUUUUAUCUAAAAUUGGCGUCCAUGUACGUAACCAUCAAUUCACAAUUUUUACACAUAUUUAAGGUACAACGUCUAUGUAUAUCAGUGUAUAUAGGCUGUAUAUCAGCGCCUGUUUUAUCAACUUUCGAAAGUUGAAAACUCCUUUUCAACAGUGUAUCUGGACUGCUACAAACCCAGAUUUUGAAUUUGGAUCCACAUGUGCAUUUUAGACCUGUAUAUCAUGGUAUAAUAUGUGUAUAUAACUGGUAUACAGAUUUCUUCAACACCUGCAAACUGUAAUUUUCCAGCAGCCUCUACUGAAUUUCAGACCUGUACAUCCUUUUAGGAGGUUGAAUGACUCCGUAAGGGUGUUUUGAGCCUUCAUAGCUCAACGAGGAACGCAAAUAGAGGAGUUCAUGAUGAACUCAGGUUGAUUUCACAUGCAACAAACGGGAAGAAGAAACUUUAGAACAAAAUUAUCAAGGAAAUAACACAAAAAACAGAAACUAAAAGGGAGAUCAUUACUAUUCUUGCAAACUACAAAUACAUAAAAUCAAGCUAAAAUAAAUUGCAUGAUAGUUACCAUAGCUCAAUAUCAUAAAGACUUAAAAAAAAUAACUCAAGACACUCUUUGCACAUACACAAGAGCACCAUAAUCUUAAGGAAUAAGAGUUGAGACAAAACCAAACAACUAAGCUAGAAGGCCACAUGUUGAAUAACUUCGAAAGUGUAGGCAAAGAAGUGAUUAUACUUACUAAAAAAAACACAUGAUAUUCAAGCAAACCAACAUUUAAGGAGGCAAUAAAGUAAGGACUUUACACUGCUGCUUAUCAAGGAUACUACCUACUAAUUGGAAGGAAAAUUUAAGCAAAAUUAUGCUUAUGACAGCCACUGUUAACGGAAGUUCAAGAAUGGAAACAAACGGGUGAACUACCCAUUUAGGAAUUCUCUCCGAUUUCUAACAAGGAAGGAGACUCAUGGAUCGACAUAAGCAGCCAUAGGAUGCAAUACAUAAAAACAGAAGAUACACAUUUUAACUAUAACAGAGUAGAACCAACCUUCAAGAUCGCAAACAUUCGAAGAGAAAAAAACACACAACGAUUAUAGGCAAAAAUUCAAGGAAAAUUGAGCCUCAUAUGCAUUUCAAAACAUAUUCUUAAAUCCAUCACAAUUAACGGGAGGAAAACAUGCUGGAAAGAUUUCAACAUCAAUCCAACAAUAACAGACCGUAUUCGAAUCAUAUAAACAAAAUCGACAGACCUCUCAUUCUCUUCUCAAUCUUCAUGGGUUUUUGAAGACGGGCAGCCCACAUCAACAACAUAUAUAUACCUUAAACACAAGACAAACUAUUCGAAACCAAACAAAAUUCUCAUCACUACUCAAUAUAAUUACAGAGAACGGAAAACAAACGAGCAAGAGGAGAGAAAAUCAACAGAGAAUUUCAAGCUCAUUGAAACAUGACAAACUAACAUAACGAGUGAGUAGAAAUUUAGGAAGUUCACCUUCCCCGGGGCAGCGAGCUGGAGACGAAACGAGCAGGGGAGGCAGCGAACACCCAAGCUUGACGUUAAACUCGGACACUUACGUAUAUCCUAUAUGUGUGUAUUUUAUGCUAUCAAUAUUUCUCGCACAAAAUUAUCUGAGAAAAGGAUGGAAUUUUCCAAAAAAAAGCCCCCUGGUAAUGAUCAACUGUAGUCAUUAUAUAGAAAAAAGAAGACGGGGAAGGCGGGAGAAAAUCCGAAUAAGCUUGGGGCAAAAUUGGGAUUCUAUCUCCCCUUUUGAAUUUGAAAUCCCCUAAAGGGAUAAGGAUGCAAGCUAUCGUAGUACAGACCUCCAACGGAACAAUCAAACGCAACCAUGAAUCCUCAAACAAGGACGAGUGAGCUCGAGAGAUUGAGACACCUGGCCUGCGGAAGAUGCUUUUCUUGUUGAAAUCGUACGAGAUUGCAGUGCUCGUUGCGUUGCUUCGUCUGGGUGCCGAUUCUCUGGGGAAUUUCUGCCUAUGACUCUUGUUGGAAAUUUCCUUGUGAAGAAGGAAGGAAAAAAAAAGGGAUGGGUCGACUUAGUUGUAGUUGGGCUGGAAUUAUUGGGCUGAAAAUAAAAAUGAAAUGGGCUGGGAAUUAAAAUAAAUAGAGUGAGCUUGGGAAUUUAAAGGGAAUUUGGGUUGAAGUGGGCUGGUAAGUUGGAAAAAGGCCCAAGAUUGAUUUCCAAAUGGGUUUAGAGGAAAAGGUUAUGUCUUAGAAUAGACAAAUUAAAUUAAUUUUAAGGAAUUUGACUAAGAUUUAAAUAACACAAAUUCGUAUCAAUUAAUCAACGAGCUUCUUAAUUUUAACAAAGUAAAAUAAUUAAUUUUAAUUAUAAGCUGGCAAUAAAUUAAAAAAAACAAAAAAAAAACACCAUAAUUUAAAACUAAAUUAGUUUAAUAGAAUACUUAAUAAAAAUUAAAAUAUUUUGAGAAAUAAUCAUAAAAUAUACCAAUUAUAUACAUAAUCAUGUAAAGUAUAUGCGCUAUCUAAAACUGCUAAGAAAAAUGAUAAAAGUAUCCAUAAUAACUCAAAAUUCAUAUGUUAUUUUUUUCCCCGCAAAAUUUAUAAAACUAACUAUUUUAAAUUAUUUAAAAAAUUUAAGAAUCUCGGGAACUAGUUCAUACUGAGGAGGGUCGAAAUUGUGUGUGAAAAAUUAAGCUAUUGCAGUAGACCUUUUUAAUGGUUAUUGCAGGCUAUUGUAGCCAUUUUUUCAAUAAACUAUUAUACAAUGAUAGAACAUAUUAAACCAAUAUGUACAUCAACUUGUAGCAUUCAUAUAUUAUAGAUAAAAAAACAUAUGAUCUUGAUUUACAAUUCAAGAGUUAACAUACAUUGAUGUUCACAAAAAUUAAGCCUAAAUAUUAAAAUAGUCCUAGAAUUUGUAAGUGUUGACAUUCAUUCAACUUCAAAAAUUAGGCCAAAAAGUAAAAAAUAGUGCUAGAAUGUUCAAGAGUUGGCAUUCCUUUAAGAUCACAAAAUUAGGCCAAAAAGUAAAAUAGUGCUAGAAUGUUUGUAGAAACCAAUUCUUUUUAAGUAAGGUCUUCGCUGCUUUCAUCCCCACUUUGCACAUCAUUUUGUUCACCUACAAUUUCAAAAGGGUCAACAAUUAGGAAAGAGGAAGUUCAAAAAUGAAAAGGUAAAAGAAGACGCACAAUUUAUAAUUUUUUCUAUUUCUGUCCAUGAUGAAAAUAACUACUUUGCCAACUCCAAGUGGAAUGUUUAGAUACUUGAAUACUUUUGUGAAUAGGUAUACAUAACCCAUUCCAUGCUUCCCCUUUCGCUCAAUUAGAAUCUUGUACAUGUGUUCAAGCAUGGGUGCUGGAAGGUCCAGUGAUUCGAACUUGCACAAGGAUUCCAUGAGAAACAGAUCAGAUGAAGUGUCAGAAGUCCUCUUCUCUGUUCUGGGAAGAAGAACCUUGUUGACAAAUUCAAAGACUAGCUGAUAUUCACUCUUCAUUAACUUUUUGAGAAGUCCAACAUGUCGAGUUGUAGGAACCUUGGAACAUACCUCGACAAAUUCAACAAAACAGGUCUUCCUAACCAUAGGCUUGAUACCUUCUCGAGGUACCCAUAAAAUGUUUCCCAGUAAUUCCUCAUCAAGAUAGACUUCUAUGUUUCCUACUCUUGUCUUGAUACUUCCAUCUUCCUGAAACUCGAUGUUGUAGAAGAACUCACGUACUUCUUCCUCAUAGAGAACAGGAGCCUUGGUGUCAAAUAAGUGUAUCCAUGACUGAAUCACCACAAUGUCAUAUAAAGUAUUCAUCCCAGGCUGCUUAACAAUAUUCAUAUCAAAAACUCUACCUGCCAAGACACUUUGUACACUCAGAUUGUCAACAAUUGUUUGCUUUUUGACAGCUGCGUCAUCCACAUGUACCUGUGGACCAAGUCCCUGUUCAGACUCUUCAGGUUCCACUUCAGAAGUUUCUCUCUUUAUUUUUCCUUUUCCCUUAGCGCCACCAACUUUCAUGCUUGCCGAAGCUUUAGUUUAUUCUUUGGGUUUCUUUCCGUCACCUUUCUUCUUUAAACUUUGUUUCAAGUCCUCAAUAAUUUCCUUAUCAGGUCCCUCUUCAGAUUCCGCACCUGAUACCUCCACCACAUCGGACAAUGGUAUUUGGAAUCUCGACACUUUAAAUGUUCUAUUCCUUCGAUUGUCAGCAUUAGAUUCUGCACUCACCUUCAUAGAAUCAUCCAUCAUUUUCUUGAAGUCAGAUCUGGUAAAAGGCCUCCUUCUUGACUCAACUUCAACAACCUUUUAUUUUCCCUUUUCUGAAGACGACAUCUCUCUUCUUUUCAACAGCCACUGAAUGGGAUGAUUGUCGUCAUCAGUGUUUGUAGAGUCGGAAGAAGGGUAUCUAUCUAAAUCUAGUGUUUUGUCAAACACAGGUUGGGUUUCUCUUAACUCGUCAUCCAUAAAACUUCCAUGUUCUUCAAGCAAAGCUUCUUAAAUAAUCUUGGUUAGACUUUCUAUAGCUAAAAUUUCACUGGCAGCCAGAAUAUUGGACUCAGGCGCUCUAUUUUUUGGUAGAUCUCCCUCAGAUAGAUGGUCUGACAACAUAUCCACAAGUGGAUCAGGUUGAGGGGAGAGAACAGGGUUGUUUAGAUCGAGAUGUGAGGACGGUUUCCAGACAACCUCUGAAGCAAUGUUGACUUGAUAAGAAGUCGAAUUUUUAGUCAGAGAUACAGAAGAAGAUAGAGUGUAAAAUGACGCUGGGUCGAUUUGGUUUAAAGAUGCAAGCAUCUUCUUCGAGGAUGAAGAAUGUUCAGACAUUUUUGGAAGGGAAGUAACUUUAGUACAAAACAAGAAGGAAAUGAGAAGAUGAAAGUUAGGGUUGUUCUAAGAAAGGAUUUAGGAGAUGUGAGUAGAGAAGUUGAGAGAAGAAGAGUUGUAUAAAAAGUGAUGAAGAGGUGUUAGGUCUCUUAGAUUAGACGUGUAGCUUGGAGUUAAUCGAUGAGACAACGUUAAGAAUAACUGAUGAUUGAGACAUGACCAUUUCAACGGGUUCAUUUUAAAUUAGUUUAAAACAAUGUAAAGAAAGUUAACCUUUACGAGGACAAGGUCCUUUCCUGCAAGUAAGAUUCCAUUCCUAAAUGGUUCUAGGCAUAUUUUUCUUUUGUAAUUUUUCAUGAAUGUAUACCUGCAAUAGGUACAAAAUUGAACUUAAUAAUAUAGUUUUUUACUAGUAAAGAGGAUACAUGUACUGCAAAUCAUAGCCAUCGGAGAAAUGUGAUGCUUUGGAGUAAAGUGGGAUCAGUUUGGAUUCAUCAUUACUAACUUCAAGCUAUUUCUUUCAAAUUGAUCUUUGCUGAGAGCUUUGGUGAACAUGUCUGCAAUUUGAUCCUCUGUUCUCUAAUGCUUCAAGACAAUAUUUUCCUUUUCAACAUUAUCUCUUAGGAAAUGAUGUCUCACAUCAAUAUAUUUUUUCCUAUUAUGUUGCACUGUAUUCUUCCCAUGCUAACAACACUAGUUUUAUGACACAUAAGAGGAAUAGCCUAUAUGCGCACUCCAAAAUCUUCUAGUCGUUGUUUGAUCCACAAAAGUUGAGCACAAAAAGAGGCGACUACUACAUAUUCAACUUCAGCUGUUGAAAGGGCUACUGAAUUUUGUUUCUUAGUUCCCCAAGAGAUGAGAGAGGAGCCAAGAAAAUGGGUCAUGUCUGACAUGCUCUUUCUGUCUACUUGAUAUCUUGCAAAGUCAGCAUCAGCAAACCUAACUAGAUUAAAGGAAUCACCAGUUGGGUAGAAUAGGACCAGGUCCACUGUUUUCCUCAAAUAUCUUAGUAUCCUUUUUGCAGAUUUUAGAUGUGAAUCUCUGGGACAUGCUUGAAAUCUAGCACACAUUCCAAAUAUCUUAGUAUCUUUUUUGCAGCUUUUAGAUGUGAAUAUCUGGAACAUGCUCGAAAUCUAGCACACAUUCCAGCACUGAACACAAUAUCAGGUCUGCUAGCAGUUAAAUAUAUCAAGGACCCGAUAAUACCUUUAUACAUGGUUUGAUUCACAAUAGAAUCAACUUUAUCUACUCCUAGUUUGGAAUUGGUUCCUAUAGGAGUGUCUAUAGGUUUAGAAUACAUCAUGUUGAAUUUCUUCUGCAGCUCCUUUGUAUACUUUUCUUGACAGACUGAGGUUCCAUCCGGUGAUUGUUGAUUUGCAGCCCCAAAAUGAAAGUUAGUUCUCUCAUCAUGCUCAUCUCAAACUCAUUUCCCAUCAGAGUAGAAAAUUUUACACAUAAAUGUUCAGAUAUAGCUCCAAAGAUUGUAUAAUCCACAUAUACUUGCACAAUGAGAAGUUCUUGUUCCCUUUUCACUAAAAACAAGGUGUUGUCAAUUUUCGUUCUUUUGAAUCCAUUUUUUAGCAAAAAUUUGGACAACCUCUCAUACCAAGCUCUGGGAGCUUGUUUCAGAUUGUACAAAGCUUUGUUUAAUUUAAACACAUAAUUUGGUAGCUCGACAUCUUCAAACCCAAGAGGUUGUUUAACAUAUACCUCUUCCUUUAAAUCUCCAUUCAAAAAAGUAAUUUUGACAUCUAUUUGAUAAAGCUUGAAUCUCAUAAAAGCAACAAAGGCUAUGAGAAUUCUAAUAGCCUCCAUUCGAGCAACUGGUGCAAAAGUCUCAUCAUAAUCUAUGCCUUCCUCCUGAUUGUACCCUUUGACAACCAAUCUGGAUUUUUUCCUUGUAAUUACACCACUCUCAUCAUGUUUAUUUCUAAACACCCAUCUGGUCCAUAUGAUGGUUCUGUCAGCAAGUCUUGGGACCAGUACCAUACAUUGCUUCUUUCAAACCGAUGCUAUUCAUAUUGCAUUGAGUUGAUCCAAUAUGCAUCACUCAGAGCCUCUUUCACAUUCUUAGGAUCGAUAGUUGAGUUGUGCUUCCAAUCCGACAUUGACUCUAAAGGUUGAAUUUGAUUUGUGUGAUCUUCUUCAUUCUCAGAAUCAUCAUUUUCAUGAGAAUGAGUUUCUGCUUGAUUUACAUUCUACAUAGGACCAGGUCCUUCUUCAGGCUUGUCAUUUUUCUUAGUUUUCUCUGAUGGAUCAGGAUCAACAUUAAUUUCCAAAUGUUCACAUGCUUAAGCCUUACUUCCUUCACUUUUCUGGACUUGGAACAACUCAUUCAAUUCAUCUUCAUCGUUUGAUUCCACCCUCUUCUGAUUACCGUCUUCAUCAAAUACCACAUGAAUACUUUCUUCAAUACAUUGAGUUCUUUUGUUGAAUACUUUGUAAGCCUUAAUGAUGAGUAUCCCACAAAGUUAUGAGGUUCAAACUUUCCAAUAUCAUCAUUCCCAUUGUUCAAAACAAAACACUUGCACCCAAACGCCCUUAGAUAACUCAACUUAUGUUUCUACUUGUUGAGUAGUUCAUAAGGAGUUUUUUUUCAGUAGCGACCUUAUCAAGCACCUGUUAGUAACAUGGCAUGCAGUGUUGACUGCUUCAGCCCAGAAAUUUUGAGGAAGAUUGACUCAAUGAGCAUGGUUUUGGCAAUAUUCACCAAAGUUCUAUUCUUUCUCUCCACCUCUCCAUUUUGCUGAGGAGUUCUUGGAGCUAAAAAGUUGUGACUUAUACCAUUUUCUAAACAGAAUUCCUUAAUCUUUACGUUUUCAAUCUCAGUUCCAUGAUCAGACGUAAUCCCAGCUAUCAGAUAAUUCAGUUUUGUUUGAAUCAUUUUGAAAAACACAAUCAGCACAUCAGGUGUCUCCACUUUUGAUUUUAGAAACCUCGUCCAUGUGAACCUUGAGUAAUCAUCAACAAUCACCAAAAUAUAUUUUUUUUCCGCUUCUGCUUUGAAUUUUCAGAGGUUCACAUAGGUCCAUGUGCAACAGAUCCAAUGUUCUUGAAGAGCUCACUUGCUUCUUUCACUUGAAGGAUGAUCUUGUUUAAUUUCCUUUCAGACAUGCUUCACACACUUUGCUUUCACUGAACUUCAAUUUUGGCAACCCCACGACUAGGUUACUAGAAGCCAGUUUAUUAAACAAAGAUGAACUCACAUGACCUAACCUUCGAUGCCAUAAAUCAGCAUUGUUACCCAGAGCACUUAGGCAUGUCAAGUCGUCACCAUGAGAUAUUUCUAGGUUUGCCACAUUCAUGUUUUUACAUGUUUGAGCAGUACGAACCACUUUCUUGGUAGUCAGAUUGACUUCAGUACAAUUUUCAAACGUGAACUUGACCUCAUUUCCCUUGUCACAGAUUUGAGAUACGCUGAAAAGACAAUACUAAUCCACUCAGAUGUUACACAUUUUCAAUGGAUUCUUCAACUGAUUUUCCAACCCUACCAACACCUAAUAUAUACCCCUUCUUUCCUUCACCAAAAGAGACACCUCCCCCUUGAAAUGCCUUGAGUGAGAGGAAAUUUUUGGUGUUCCCAGUCAUAUGCUUUGAGCACCCACUGUCCAUGUACCAACAUUGACUGCUAAUCCUCUCCCUCACCUACAAUACGCAUCACUUGUUAGACUUGGGAACCCAUUUUAGCUUGAGUUCCCAAAAGGCAGAUAAAUGAGUAAUCAAAGUGUUUCUUGCCCAGUGAGGUAAUUUUAAGUCUUUCUUUAUCAAUGAAUUUCGAGCGUGACCAGGUCCCCUUCUUGGUACCCUUUUCUAUUUUGUAUAAAUUGAUAAUCUUUCUCUUGAUUCUUUACAAGCCUUACACUCCCCUCUCAAAUGACCAUUUCUACCACAGUGAAGACACAACAAGUUAGCAGACACAUAAACAUACUUACUGUGAGGAUUCUAGAGAGGAGUAAUAUUUAAACUUCCUAGACCCUUUUUGUUGUUGUUGCUUUGACUGUCAUCUAAUGUACAAUGCUGAGUGUCAUAUAGGGUGCCAUGUAAGACGAAUGUUUCCAUUUUUUUUAAUUUUAUACAAGUUUAUGUGCAUUCUUGUACACACCCAAAGUUAAAUGUCUGAAAUGUCAGAUGAUGCCAAGAUCCAUAUUUAUGUAUUGUGUCAUAUAUUGUGUCCAUCUUCUUAUAGCCAUAUAUCAAAUAUAUACUUCUUGCACCAAUACGUUUAUCCCCCAAACAAUAAAGUAAAGAUUUUAGUUGCCAGGAAAUAAGGCAAAUUGGUGACAUGCCAUGGAUACUGUGGCACAUUCUUAUAUACAUAUUACCUCAUCAAUUUUUAGAUGAUAUGACCAAAACAUUCAACAACUAAUUUUCUAUAAUCAGUUAAUUAAUAGAUAAUACUUCAUUUCUCAAUUAUGUCGUGCUUCUGAAACUAUUUUGUUUUGUUGUUGACAAUAUUGAAUCAAUAAAAGUUUAAACACAAUGUCAUCUACAAUGAGAAUUCAUAUAUGCAACCUCAACUUACUUGGUAUUGAAAUGUAAAUACUAGUUUCUAACACCUUGUUGGGAGGGGUACGACCAUGAAUUUAACUACACACUAGGUAUGGUGUACCUCAGGUUACUCUAUAAUCAUAUUAAAUAUUUCAAAAUGUUCACCUAUUUGUUAUAAUGUUAUAACCACGGUACGGUUUGUAUCAAACUCCACAUGUCAAAUUUCCACAGUUCUCGAAAUCUUGUGCAGAAAAAAUACCAUUGCAAACAAUAGCCUUUCAAAAACCUCUUCCUGCAAGUUACUUCCAUUUGCAUUUGCAGUCUGAACUGCGGAAUCUGAAAUUUCUACAAACAAAACAAAAAUUAAGUAUAGCUGAAAUAUUAAGGAACUUCAUGAUUUACAUCAUUAAUAUUUCAGGCAAAUUUUGGGAAAUUGCUAAGGCAAAUACCAAGUAAGUUGAGGUUGCCUAUAUGAAUCCUUUUUGUAGAUGACGUUGUGUUUAAGCUUUUCUUGAUUCAAUAUUGUCAACAACAAAAAAAUAGUUUCAGAAGCACGACAUAAUUGAGAAAUGAAGUAUUAUUUGUUAAAUAACUAAUUAUAGAAAAUUAGCUGUUGAAUGUUUUGAUCAUAUUAUGUAAACAUUCAUGAGGUAAUAUGUACAUAAGAAUAUGUCUCAGUAUCCAUGCCAUGCGACCAAUUUGCCUUGUUUCCCGGAAACUAAAGUCUUUACUUUAUAGUUUGGGGGAUAAACGUUUUGGUUCAAGAAGUAUAUACUUGAUAUAUGGCUAUAAGAAGAUGGACAUAUUAAUCUAUAACAUAAUAAGUAAAUAUGAAUCUUAAUUUGGCGUCAUCAGACAACUCUGUUAACUUUGGGUGUGUACAAGAAUGCACUUAAACUUGUAUAAAAUUGAACAAAUGGACACGUUCAUCUUACAUGACACCCUAUAUGGCACCCUACUUUGUAUAUUUAGAUGACAAUCUAUAUUUAUUUAUACUAUAUUAUAAACACGAAUUCAACUUAAAAGUUAAAUUACUAAAAAUACCCUAUUAAAUAAUCUAACCUCAAGCCUACACCCCUUCCUUAACUUUCAAUAAUGUUUCAUAUUCAAUAAGUAUGUAAGGUUAAAAUUUGUUGUCAUAUCGAUGCUCAAUACUAUUCCCAAUAAUAUAACUCAACUCAUAUGUUUAAAAAUAUUUCAUCAUCCUCAAAUUUUGAGAUUAUUACUCAAAACAUUAUCUUAAAAGAGAUUAAAUUCAAAAACUCAUCAUGAACUCAUUUGAAAAUUACUCAUUUGAAAAUCGAUGUUUCCUCUCAUAUUAAAUGUAAAAAUAUUUACUCUUGGGAAUAUUUAGUUCCCAUAUAUUCAUUUAAAAAAAAAUGAAAUAUCAACUCUCCUAAUCCUUAUACUUAAAUACUCAAGUCUUAAGUUUUAAAAGAUUGUAAAAAAAUUCUCAAAAUGACUUGAAAGAACUUUGAAAGUCUUAACUCUACCUUGGGCAAUGAUUCUUGUUAUGAAGAAUCUCUCGAUGUUUUGAUGUAGUAUAGAGUAGUUAGAAUCGGAAAGGAGUUAAGGUACACUUUAAAAGAAUUUAGACGAAGAAAGUGAUGGAAAAUGAGAGGGGGCAGGCGGCCCAGGCUCUCUAAUGCCCCGGGGCGCCAACCCUUGAACUUAAGAGGGAUAAUUUUGGCUCACUAUAAGGGUGGCACGCCAUCCCUCCUAGCACAUUAAUUGCGGGCCGCACUACCCCUCCCCAAAACGACCCGACAAAAAUUUUCUUUUUGUUUUCCGAUCCUAAUUCACCUAAAUCGAUUAAAUUCUUUAAAUCUUUCUUAAAUUCAAUUACCUAAUUCAAGUACACGAGAAUCUACUCACUUUUCCUCAAGAGCAACCCUCAAAGAUCAAAAUCCUCUUCUCAUGAAUUCAUCGAAGUCCAUCAACAAAGCACGAAAACAAAACCGCAAAACAUUCAUCAAGACUUAAAAUCAUUCAACCUCAAUAACUAAAUUAUGGAUGAAAUUUACAUGAUUGACAUAUGGGUGAGCGAACCCAAAACUAUGAAAACCUGCAUACCUUAAUUUGGCAAAAUUCCUCGACAAAUCUGAAGAAUCUUGAUGAAUGCCUUAAACCUUUGCUCUUGAACUCCUCUCAAAAUCCUAAGAGUAAUUUACAGUUGUAAAGAUGAUUAAAAUUUGCUUAUACCUUUAAAUAUUACUAAAAAAUAUUUUUAUUGGGUAAGGAAAAGACCAAAAUACCCCUCAUUUGUUGGGUAAGUUUUCUUUACUUGACUGGUAGACUUCAAAUGGGCAUAUCUCCGUCAUCCGAACUCAAAAUUUAGAAAACUAGGUGGCGUCGGAAAGAGGAUUGAAAAAAAUUUCAUAUGAUAGCUUAUGGGCCACCUAACUCAUCAUGUUUUGAAAGUUAUGAUCGUUUGAAGUUGACCCAAAACUCACAACUUAAGUAUAUUAAUUUGGCUCAAUCCAAUUUAGUUCUUUCUAAAUUUAGCUCUUUGCAAAGGCUGAAGGUAACAAUAAUGAACAAAGGUUACUUCCUAAUGUACAUUCUAUGUGUUUUAUAAGAUGUUUAUUUUGCAUUGACCACAUUUAUGACUUUUUAUUUCUAAUAUGUUAUUUUAUUAUUUAGUUUGGUCAUUACAUGUCAUGUAAAAUAUUUUUACCAUGAUUUCAUGUCUCUUAUGCAUUCUUAUCAUAUUUGGUACGUGUAAGAGUUAGUUUUUCAAUUAAUUUUGAAACAAAUCCAUCCGUUUUGAAAUAACAUAUACAUGAAUGUGAGUUGUAACAUUCAUUUGUUUUAAUUCUAUGUUAUAAACAUUUGCAAGAUUUUUUUUAUAAUUCUACGUUAUGGGUUUUUGAAAGAUAAGUUUUUUGUUUUAAAUACAUGAACCUAAUACAUUCUAUUAAUUAAAAAUCUUUUUCUUGCAAAACUUUUUAUUCUAUAAAUUGAGUUUCCUUUGGUUGAAAAAGAUAAGCAUUUCAAACAAAAGUACUUUCCCUUGAAUACACUUGUGAGACAUUGAUCAAAAGGUGAAAUCACCAAUUCAAGAAUAGAAGAGCAACAUUCUUGAAUGCUACUUGUUUUGUGGCUUAGUUGAAUCCCGAAGUUAGAGUUGUUAUUUAUUCUUCCGAUUGCUCGUGGGAGAGACUCCAACUAUCUUCAAGAAACGUUUAACGUGCCUCUAUGCCAAGCGAGUUUUAUUUUGUAUUCCUUGUAAAUUUAUCAUUCUUGUUCAUUUGUUCUAACAGUACGUUCCAUGUUCUAAUGCAUAUUUGUGUCUGCAAUGCUUCACUAAUUUCGGGUACGACAAUUCCUACCCCAUACUCGUGGCUAGUUGAUCCUUUUGAGAUUUUGAAGAUUGUUGAGUCCUCAUGAUCAGAGGGUCGAGAAUAUUUUAUUGAUUUUUUUUCUAUUUUCAAACUUCUUAUGUGACCUAUGAGUUACCUUCAAAUAUCAUUCUCUAUGAUGUACUAGACUGCCUUAAGACUUGUGUUAUCUUUCCACUUUUGUCAAAAUCUUUUGUAUGAAAUGCUAUCUUUUGGACUCUUUACUUCUAUUAUAUUUUUUGAUGUGUGCUAAGUGACUUGAGAAGGGCUUCCCGAGGUUCUAUCCGUCAUGUUACGCCCAGGGUCUACUUUGGAUCGUGACAUAUAAUCUCAUUCAAUUCUUACAUUCUUCUUUAGAAUUCUUCUGAUAUUUUGCCAGCCUUCAAAGAUUAAUCCAUCAUGUGUACUUAAUCUGAUAUUUAUAACAUUAGAUUUUUUUUAGAAAGUCCAUAAAUCUAUCCUGAUCUUUCUCAUUAUAAUCAUUUUUAAAAAUAUGCCAAAGAAAGAAUCUCUUCUAAUAAGAGAAAUAUGAAUCCUAUAUUGUGGGAUAAAAGUUUUACCAAACAUUAUUACCAACAAACACGGUAAAAAAAGAAAGAAAGAAUGGUGAACCACUUAAAAAAUGACAAAUAUAACUAUAACCAAGAAAUAUUGAAAUCAUGCAAAAAUGUUGGUAGCAUUUCCACUAAUUAAUGCUUCUGAAACAAAGUUAAAUUAAUAAUAACAAUAAUGAUGAUGAUUAAAUAUUUAAAAUUAAUCUUUCUUAUUUAACUAUUGUUUGCAUUUUUUUGCUCUCUUAUGUCAGACUAAAGGUAAAUAUUUGUUACAAAUUCAAACUUAGCCAUCACGAAAAAUUCACGCCAACACAAAUAUAGAGAAAGGUAGUGAGAAAUAUCCACAAAAAUAGUACAAUUUUUGACAUAAACAUUUCCUACGAUAAAAUCAUUUUCUCCUUCUCAUAUUUUAAAAUCUCUAUUUCGUGUAUAUUUUUUGAAAAUCUCUUCCCCAUCCAUGGAGAUUCUUCAACAAACUAUCAUAUAGAAGACGAAUCAUGAGAUACAAAAAAACAUACAAUAAUAGAUGUCACUAAGGUGUAUUUUAAAUAAAACUUGACAAUGAAGAAACCUUUUGAAAACAAUUAUUUGUCUCUCCUUUCAAAAUUUGUGCUUUUAAAAUGAAGUUGUAAAUUUAGCAUUAUAUGUUAAUUUCAUUUAUGGUCAUGCACCCGGCCUUUCUAGUGGAGGUAUCUCAUGGUUACGAACGUUACCCAUCAAUCAUUUAUAUUGAAGUAAGAUUGCUUCCGGACAAUAGUCAUACAUACCAAUAGUCAUUGUGCAAAUUAAAUUCAUUGAUAAAAUGAUGUAAAGUUCUUGUGAACCCAUGCACCCCUCCCUGGAUUAUGUAAAGUACUUGCGAACCAACUUAUGCAUCCUUUCCUACAUUAUGUAAAAAGCACUGCAAUUAUUCUUGAUAAAUUAAUUAAAUUUCAUGUGGGAACCAGGCUAAAAAAUUUGAAAUAUCCAUCUCCAAAAUUUUCUUGUUUGAAUCUUUAGAACAUUACAAACAAAAGUCACAUUUUUUCCUCAAAAAAUUUAUGGUAUCUCUUUUUAGUAUUUUCUUCAAUUUAUUUCUCUUAUUUGUAAAGUGUGUUUUUGAAUAAUGAAGAUAUUUGAACCUUACCCUUAUAAAAGAUAAAAUUCAGCAUAAAGCUUUUAAAUGUGUCUUUCUUGGGUAUUCUCGUCUACAAAAAAGUUACAAAUGCUUUGAUCCCUCUACCAAUAAGUACUUGAUCUCUGCACAUGCUACUUUUUUCGAGACUUCUCUGUAUUUUUCUCCUAAUAUGGUAAAUUAGAAGGUCAUAGUAGUCCUUCCCAUCCAACUAUUCCAACCCCAACUCCACCUCCACCUCAAUACACAUGAUGUUAGUAGAGGAUGAAGAGGUAAUAUAAAUAUCUCUCUAGUGUCAUGGGUUACUCCAGCAUGCCGGCACAAUUCCGUGACCAGAAUUGGAAACGACAGAGAGGUCUGCUUUUGUUUGUCCCUCAUGUCCAUCUCUUGUGAAGUCAGCAGCCGCAAUUUGAUGUGAUAUGGACAUGAUACAACCAAAGAAAUUUGCCUUAGGAUAGUGCAAAAUUGACUCAUUCUGGGAUGACAUUAUGGUGCUGCUGAUGAAGCCGAACCAGAAUGUAGCUGCAAUGUUCAAAUUCCUCUUCUCAAUAGGGACUCCUACUCUGAUCCACUUCGGGGUGGUGUCAGAAAUCAAAGGAUCCAACCACAUCUUCAGGUCAUAUAUGGACUGAACAAUAGGCAAUCCCUCGACUAAAUUUAUCGGUCUAAACUCGUUUGCCUUGUUCUUAUUCCUUGGCACCAACUCCCCAUAAGCUGUGUAAAAUUCCCUAACCCAAGAAAGAAUGUAAGGUCCUCGGGACUUUUUGAACUGUUCGAACUCAUGGUAGCGGAGGGUAUCUAGAACAUUUGGAUAUUUGCCUUCUAGGCCCUACAUAGACAAUGAUUUGUACCCCCAUCACCUUUUAAUAUGUUCAGCAAUGUGGGUUGAAGAAUGGUAGGGAGUGCAGGGGCCACUGGAGGUGCCUGAGCUGGCACUGAAUUUGAUUCAGGAGGGGUGGCAACUGAGGGAAUUCUGGUGGAUGUAGAGAUCUAGCCUGGAAUUGAUUCUUUUGGUUGAUCAGAGGCUUCUCAUCUUAUGGUUUAGAGAAAUCUUCAUCUAUAGAUAUUCCUUUCCUAGACAUGUGCUUUUUCCUUUUGCCUUUGUCUCCCAGUGAGAGUUCUUGCUGUCUAUUUUCUGGGAGAUUUAAUCCCCCUUCGUUUAUCUUUAUGCCUUGUACUUUUGUUUUGGGUGACAUCGUUAGAUUUGUAUGCACUUACAUGUAAUUUAUUUAAAGAAAUUAUGAGAAAACCAACCAUAGUUGUAGAAAUUUUACUGAACCAUUGAACCACUCAGGGAAUCGUUGAACCUCUUGGCAAGAUAAGUCGGGCUCGCCAAAGUGGUUGACUUAGGGAUUAUGGAAAGUCGGUGAUAGGAAGACCAUUUUAGCGAAUCGCCAAUUUUUUUCAGGGAGAGAGGGUUUUUCCACCAAAAGUCAUAGUGCAAUAAGGGUUCAGGAGAGCAUGCGAAGGGUGAUCAAGAGUAUUUACGGUGAGUCGUCGAGUUCUUUCAGGAAGCAAAGGCUUCUCACCAAAAGUUACAGACUUACACAUCAUUUUACACGAGAUUAAGGGUGAGAUGGAGACAGUUGGCCAAUAGACGAGCAUUUAGGUGAGCUCGACCCAACUCACCACAAAUUGCCCAACGUGCCUAUUUUUGAGCCAUCUUCUUUAAUUUGACCUUGCAUUCCCCAAGCAUGAACUAACGUAACUAAAAUAAGACUCAUACUAUCCAUUACCUCGAAUACUCAAGAUUUUCCUAGUUUUGCUAAAUUUGGCCAUUUGACGAUAAUUUCUCUUAAGAAGGGUGUCACCCACUCUAUCAUUGAAUCAUUGAGUCAUUUAGAAAAAACAUGGGUUACUCAGGCUUCACCCAAUCGCACAACCCAAAACAUUUCGAUUCAUUUAGAGACACCAAAAUUACGGGCAUUUGAUGAUCAAAACAUUACGGGCAAGGUUUUCAAAUUUAAAUACGCAUUUGAAUAUUCUAAUUCUAUCAAAAAGGCCCAGCACACAACAAUACAAUACGAUCAUUGUAAAUGAGUACAAAAUUUUCAAAAGUAAACUCAGGGUUUCAGAUAACUAUCCAUUUUUGCGAUUAAAAUGUGAUUGAAAAGUUAGGCGGCCAUGCAAUCCAACUCCGAGCACAAGUCAACCAACAAAAAUACUUGUAAAACGUAAGAAUAUCAAAAUUACUACCUUAGUGUGAGUUUGUGAAGUUUAAAGGCGAGGAAAAGUGAAUAAGUUCAAAUUCUAAAACUUUUGGCCAUUAUAUACCAUCUAGUUUGUGUCCAUUUAGCGAAAUUAUUCGCGCUCGCCAAUCAACUCGGAGAUUUUCUUAGUGGUCACUUGCCUCGUCGAGUUUUACACGACCUUCAAUCAAAGUGAGGAUCCAAACGACGGUCUUAGUUGGGUACGCUGCACGGGUCGGUAAUUCAUCGACUGCCUGUUUUACUCGCCAAUCUGUACUUUUCAAACUCUCUCUGCUUUUAAACAUGUACCACUAACACACCAUUAUUUAUAAAAUUAAACUAGAGCAUUUAAAACCUUGGGUUGUCUCCCAAGAAGAAGUUUAGCUAAUUUCGUGGCAUGACGCGAGUCCUUACUCAAUCUUCGUUGGUGGGGUUGUUCCUAGUGAUACUGGGUUACCUCAACUGGUUGAGCGGGUUGAGAUGAAGCAUUACAUGACUCAUGAGUGUUUCUAUCUUCUUGAUGGAUCUAUAGUGAGACCAAUCAUUUGACUCAACAGUCUUACACUCUAUUUCAUCUAUUCCAUCACUCUACAAUGUUUAGAGAUCUGUUGGAGAGUGAUCAGUAGUGUGUCCUCAACACGACUGUCCUCCUCGUCUCUAGACCUUCUCUACUCAUGAGGGGUACAUACCUCCCUUGACACUUGCACUGGUUUUACACUUCUGAGAAUUUGGUGGCCAAGUCAUUUAGCUGAGUAACCAGUACAAUUAACAAGAAGUCACCCUUGACUUCUUGGUUCACCUCAGCAGACUUACCACCACUUUCCUCAGCCAUGCUUAAAGUUUCCUGCCUUACAACAACUACGUAAAAGGAAAAACAAAACAAAAAAUUUAAAGAUAGUAAAACUACAACUAACAAGAACAAAAAAUCUACUUAACUACAUAUUCUAACAUAACACCAAUGCUCGGCAGCGGUGACAUUUUGAUCGGUGAUAUCAUCAAAGAAAUAACACUCAAAGUAUCUACGAUCGUACCGUAGUAUAGUAACCCAACCAAUGGUUGGGUUCACUUCCACUGGGAGAGGUUGUGAGAAUUAAUAUAAAUGUAAAAUCUAGUUCUAAUUAGUCGUAGUUAAAGACAUUUCCGAUUAAAAACAUAUUAAAUCAAAGGGGGUGAAGCAAGAGUCAAUUGUCAAAUGGGGUUUUUGUCAUAAGUAAAUAAAAAUAGUGAAAUUAACAAAGAGUUCUGAAUAAGGUGAGGGCGAUUCUGGGAUGUGAUAGGAAUACGGGAUAAACGAGAUUAUCGGGUAGAAUUCAUAGAGUGAUUGUGGCAUAAGAUCUCUCUCGAUGAACUAACCCUCAAAUGGAUUCCUGUCAGACACCCACUUGCCGCAUGAAACAUAACCUCCACCUUAAACCACUCACUCUAUCGGGAUGAGUGUGUGGGAAGAAACUAGGGUGAACUCUCUUGAGUUGAAACUCAUGUCGACCCACUCCCACCAGUCAUCAAUUUAGUAGUCUUACUUUCACGAUCUUUUUCUCUAGCAUGUCAAAACACAUAUAUGAGAUUAUAUUAGCAACUAUAACCUCAUUAAAUUCAUCCAGAACUACUACACAAAAUCACAUUUAAACUACGAAUAAACAAUCAUCAAACAAGACCCAACAACUAAUUUAACCAUAUCCACAAAAUCACACCAAAAAAUUGGAGCUUUAGCUAGACAUGUACAAGAUAUAGAAACUUAUACCAAAAUGAGCUUGCAUUCAAAUGGGUAUGAAGAUUUAAGUCUUGUUACUGGCCAAAAGUGAAGAAUACAAGAGACCUAAGUCCAAAUACUUGGAGAUGAAACCCUUUGGAUCUUCAAGUUCUUGAAAAACUAUAAAUACUUGGAGAGGAUUUUUUAAGAACUUGAAGUAAAUAUCUGAUAUUACUUUGUAAAGUACGAUACUAAGCUAAGAAUAAUAACAAGUAUUUAUAGUUUUCAAGAAAUUGUGCUGCAAUGGAUGACUCGGAGACAUUAGUCGGAAUGGCCGAUUAACUCGUCCUUCGCCCAUUGGUAUAGAUCACCACCGUCUUGCACUAGCCUUCAACAUCAUAGUGCUUUGGAUCAUUGGGCGAUAUAGUACUGCUUUGUGGAACUACUCGGCGAUGCGCCGACUGCUCCUUUUCACCGCCGAUUUGAUCCUUUCUUUCAGUCUCAACACACUAGAAAAAAAGGCGAUCUUCAGUCCUAUCGUUGAUUCACCUAGUGGACCUAGCACAAAACAUGAGUUGGACCGACCAUCCUUGAACAGUUGCAUCAACUUAAAAUUAGUGAAAUAACAAAUUUGGGAUGGAAGUAGUAAAGAGGUUGAAAGGGUAAAGCCUAGAUCCAAAUUAAAAUACAUAUACUAAUUGAAGAACCACUAUACAUGUUUAAUGCAUAUUUGUUAUGUUUUUCUUGCUGAAUGGAUUGUGUAGGAGGAAUAACCAAGGUAUCAACAUCUAGAAUCCUUUAAAUAUCAUUUUUUGAAGAGACCUUGAUAGUCGUAAUCUAUUAUAGUUGGUUUGCUAGGCAGAGGUAGCGAUCAUCAUAAGUUUAAACUUCUUGAAGUUGUUCAUCAUCUUCUUCAUUUUGAUAUAAUUAUGAGCCAAAUCUAAAAUUACAAACAAUGAGUUCCUUACCCUAAUAAUUCCUUUGUGCUUUGGGUGCAUUGGACAUGGGAUCAAAGGCCUUAAGAUUUUGGCAUGAAACUGUUUUUGAAUAAUCACAAUUAUUCAAGGUCGUUUGUUGCACUUUUAUAAAUCGCUAUAUAUUUGAAUUAGGGUGUCGAAUUUUUAUGAAAGUAAUUAUUGAGCAAAUACAUUAAGUAAUUCAACUUAAAGGGUCUAAAAUAAGUACCCACCUAAAUCUCGAUCACAUUACUGCAGGCCAAAAAAUGAUUUGAAAGAAAAAGUCAGAAAACGUUGAGAUAAUACCUUUUUAGUGAAUUUUGAAGCAAUUUCCACAAGCUGUUGGCAAUGUUCUGGCUCUAGAGGAGUCGUUUGCAAUUAUAUGCCUCUAGAGGGAAUUUUUUCAAACUCUUUAUGGGUGUCAAAAUAAGUCUGACUUGUGCAGAUUUGGAAUACCUGUUGAGUGAACUUUGAAAGCCACAAGCCAUUGGCAAUGUGCCUCUAAACGGUAGUUUUUCAAACAUUUCAGAAGCCCUUAAGAUAAUGCCCGUUUAGUGAAUUUUGAAGCCCUUUCAGAAGUGGUUGGCAAUGUUCCUCUACAGGGAUUUUUUUAACACUUCAUGGGUGCCAAAAACACUUGCCACGGGCGUUCAAUUUUUUCACUGAGAAUGAACUUGAUAAUCACUUAUGAUCAUGUUGUUUACUAUUAAAGUGGUAACAAUCAAGAUGAUCUGAAAAAAAAACAAAAUGCAAAUAAAUGUAACAGAGAAAAUGAAGAUUGCACGGAGGGAAGCAAUUAACCAUUCAAACCUAAAGCAACCAAAAUAAUAAGAUUGAGAAGAAUAGUAUAAAUCAAGAGCGAGGAAAUAAAUAAACAAUAUAAAGAGACAAAAUAAUGCUAAGGGCUGAAAAGGUUUACUCGGAGAAGGAAGAAGGGGGACAAGACAUGUCACCAGAGGACGUGACUUAUGUUUUUCUUAAAAAAAAUUAAUCAAGGGCAUAAAUGGCAAAAGAAAAGGAAAUAUUGGAAUGCAGAAUUGUGGUGGCGCCACGUAACCAGUUGUGGGUUUCAUUAUAUAUAUAUAUAUAUAAAUAUAAAGAUUCCUCCUGCUGGAUUGUGAAGAUUCUCUAGUUUGUUCUUUAUUGUAUCAUAUAGUUGUUCUAACCACACGGGAAUGCCUUCUUGACAUUUUUGCAAUUGACUUAUUGAAAAUUUGUAUUCCAGAUCAAGUAUAUGAAGGAUAUGUAUUUAUCCGACCUCAAUGAUUUGUAUGAAAACAUUGCUUCUAAAGUGCAGCAGGUAUCUCAUUAACAUCCCUCUAAGUGCUUCAUCAUAGUUUCAAAUUUUGGUUGGCUCCCUUGCCAGUUCCGUAAAAUGAGACACCAUCAUUUUCAUAUAGCAUGCACCAAGGUGUAAUGCAUAUUGCAUUUUAUUGGUUAUUUCCUUAUUUGGAACUCCUGAAACUAGGAAUUGAUGCAGAAAGAUUAAAACACUAAAUUAGCAAUUUUGCUUCUUUAUUUCUUUUCCUAUUAGUUGUCAAUUGUUGUCUUGAGAAACAAUGCUCUCAUAGUGGGAAUAUGUUUUGAUGAGGCUUAAGGAAUUAUUGUUUUUUUUUUGCUUUCAGUCUAGGAAUUAAGGAUUCCCUUGUUCUUAGGGCAAGUGCUUGAUUUAUCUGAUUCUAAAGAACUUGAGUCAAUAUUCUGCUAAAUUGUGUGAACCUUGCGCACUAUGUUAUUUCAUUAUGCAUUUCUUAACCUUUCCACCCUUUCUUUUCGGUGGAAGGUUCUUGAAGCAUGAAUUUCAAAGGUUAGCAAAGGGCAAGAAACAAGACUCACUAAACAAAUUUUUUUCUCUAAUUUUAUGCAUGACUAUCUUAAUCAGGCUCUUCCAAAUGAAAGAACUUAAAAACUCAAGAUGUUGGAGAUGACGCUGGAACGCACUAUGAUUUUCUUGUGCCUCAACAAACCUGAUAUUAACUUGGUCACAAGGAGAAACUGCGGUCGGUUUAGAAUAAGUUUCUUUGUAAGAGGCAAAAAUAUGCACAAGCCUACUUUUUCUCUAUUGAAGGGAUAAAUUUCUCAGGCUUCCAUCCAUACAAGUCAGGUAUGCAGUCCGAACUUGUUUGAAUAAUAUAAGCCAAUUGUUUUCAGCUUGUUCAAGUUGUUUCCCUCUUGUGUUAACAAUCAUUUACAUUUCCAGUGGAGUUUUUUUUUUCUUUGGGUGGGGGAGGUUGAUAACUCGAAACUUUUGAUUAUUUUCCCACUAUAAAUCUUAUGUUAUGACUGAUCUCUCGUGUUACUUCUACUUUGUUCUAAUGUCUCAUCUUCUUACAUAAUCGAGAAGAAGGUAUGAAGGUCAAAGAUUUGAGUAGAAGGUUAGUAGGGAGUCGAGUGUUGUCUUACUUCUAGUAGUAUGAUUUAGGUUGCUCCUACUUUUUUUUUCAACGACUGCUUAUAUUACUUGAAAAUAUGAAUCAAGUAAAACUGACCUUAUAUUAGAUAUAAGAAAGUGAAGAAGGGGGAUGAGUAUUGGAACAUCACGAGUCAAUUUAGUUAUGUAGUCGUAUUAAUUUUGAGCAGUCCCUAUCCUUGUUUAAUUCUGAUUAUGUUUCAACAGUUAUUGUCUAGUUAGGUUAGGUUUAUUACAUUAGCUCGUUUAGGAGUCUUUCCACUGUAAUUCUAUUUAAGCACCUCUCUGUCAUUAUUAAUAUAAAUUAUCAUCUUUCAACUUAUAGACAGUCUUUAUAUGGUAUCAGAUCUCUUCACGCCCUAACGAGAACGGUCCAAUUUUUGUUCUUUUUUCCUUCUCCUCACAAAGAUCAACAAUGACCAAUCCAAUGGGAACAAUGAUGAAAAUAAUCCAACAGUUCUCAAUGCUGAUAACACAAUGGGCAACAACAUAAUCAUUCAGUUUAAUCCUGCUUCCCAACUACCCAUUAAACUAAGUGGUGGUCACAACUUCGCCACCUUGAAAUCCCAAUUUUCCAUGCUUAUGUAUGGCUAUCACCUCUUUUGCCAUCUUGAUGGGACCACUCCAGCCCCCAAUCUCAUUAUUUGCGCGCGGUACAAACAUAUCUCCUGGUCAUGCCUUCUUACCUUGGUUCUGCCAAAAUAAACUCAUCCAGAAUGCCCUUAUGGCUUCUGUUGAACCCACCAUUGCUUCUAUUGUUGCUACCGCUGACUCGGCUAAAUCAGCUUGGCAUGCUUUGCAUACCACUUCCGCGAAAAAGUCACAAACUCGUGUGUUGAGAAGCUCAGAUUUCUCAAAAUUGGGGAUGAGAGACUCGGUAAAUUUCCAUAAUAAUAAAACCCUACCUUUUGCUACUACUAUCACUUCUUUUAUAACUAAUUCAUAGUGCCCAUAUUUUCUCUGAUUUCUUCACAUGUUUUUUCCUAACCUUUUAUUCAAAAUUGGUUAGUGAUUUUGGCCUUCACUUAACUCGUGUGUUGUGCCUAGCUGGCAAAAUUAGUUCAACAACGUUGGCCUCAGCCUCACUAUUUUCAUUCAUAACAAUACUUUGUUUCUAAAUGAAAACCUUGUCCAUAAGGUUCAGUAUGGGAGGAUCACAGUUAGUUAAGUUCAAAGGAGUAGUUUUUUGUAUUGAUCUACCCACACUGCUUCUUUGCAUGGAAACAUGAAAAAUAGUAUGAACCCGGGUAGCCUUUGGUAAUUCUAACUUGUAAGCAACUUCUCCAACUCGUUUAAGAAUCUGGAAAGGCGUAAAAAAACAUAUGUCCAAAUUGUAGAGGGAAGCUCCCUGAGAUAAGUCUGACAAUUAGGUUUUAAUUUGACAUAGACCAAUCGCUGACUGAAAAGGUGACCUCUGUGCACUUGGCAUCAUCAAAUUUCUUCAUGUAAACUUGAGGCUUGCUAAGAUUCUGUUUGAGCGAGGUCAAAAUCUGAUCACUUUUCACUAAAGAGGCUUCAACUAAGUCACUGGAAUUACUUCUCAAGAUGUAAUGUGCUACUAUAGGAGGUUGACGACCGCACAAAGCCUGAAAAAGGGGUCAUGCCCGCGGAAGAUUAAUAGAUUAUCUUGUACCAAUACUCGGCCCAUGGAAGCAUGGCAACCCACUAAGUGGGACAUCAACAACGAAACACCUCAAAUAUUUCUCAACACACUUAUUAAGAGCCUUGAUUUCCCGUGUGUCUGAGAAUGGUAGAUGGUGCUCACAGCAAGCGACAUCCCCUACAAUCUAUUGAUCUCUUGCCAGAAGGAAUGUAAAAAAACCAAGGUCCCUCUCAGUGACAAUACUGAAAGGAGGUCCAUGAAGACAAAUAAUUUGAGUCACAAAACCUUCUACGGCAGUAUUACUAGUAAAAGUCGACGCCAGUGGAAAAGUGACUAUACUUAGAUAAUAUCCAAAACUGUCAUAACGGUGAAUCUUCCUUAUGAACUAGGAAAGAGAGUUAUGAAAUUGAUGGCAAUGUCCUCAAAGAAGCUCUAGGACAGUGGUGACAUGCUGCAACUGGGAAUUAUAAUUUGUACUAUAGACAAGGAUGUCACCGAAAACAACAACCACAAAAUGGCGAAGACAAAGACGAAGUACCUCAUUCAUAAUAGCCUGGAAAGUGGAGGAUGCAUUGGAUAACCCAAAGGGCAUUAGCAAGAACUCAUAGUGGCCCUCAUGAGUUCAAAAAACUGUAUUCAUAAUGUAUCAGGCUGAAAAAGAAUUUGAUGGUAAUACAGACAAUAAGGAACGCUUUGAAAAAUAAUUUUUUCCGUGAAGUAAUGAGAUUCAAAGUAACCAACACAAAAACUCCAUGCACCAUCCUUCUUUGUCUGGUACUUGGUCAAAUAACUCCAUUGUGGAGUAUAUCUGUCACAAGUUGCUCCAUAAUUUGGUUCUAAAAAUAGGGGUAGCAACACGACUUGACAUUUAUGGGCCCGGCCCCAGGCGUUAAAUCUAUAGCAUGAUCCUGGAAUUUCAUAGGUGGUAAGCUGGGGAGCUUUUAGAAAACAUCGGCAAAGGAUUCCAAUAGAGGCGUUAAUAGAAGAGGCUUAUCAAUGAGGGUUGUGUUCGUAGUAUUAGUUAAAUUUAAGCAAUAAAAAUAAGCAAUGGAAUAUGUGGUAGCCAAACAUCACAAACUAUGGAGUUGUACUCAUUGAAGCUCAAUUGGAGAGUCCCCCACCCAAUGAACAGGAGAACAAUUCAUGGAGAAUUCGAAGAUGCGGGCUGCAUAGUCAGUGAUAACUGGUCCCAAUGUUGGUAACCACGAGACAUCCAAAACUACAUCUUACCUAUUAGGAUAUAAAACAUACCGAUCCAUAUGCAAAUCAUACCCCUGAUUGUGCAAAGGAACUCCACGCACAACCCCAUCGCAACAGAGACAUUGGCAGGAAAUCUAGGACUGCAUUCAUCACUAUGUGAAAAUAAUUGGCAGCCCCUACUUGUAUAAAAUAUGCGUACUACCCCAUCCAUAAGGAUUUAAAUUGGAGAACCAUUAAAAAUGCCAAUAAAAUGCAAAGUAGUUGGUAAAUCUCCACCAAACAAAGCUUGAUAUGAAAUAGAAGAAUGAUCUUGUACCUCCAAAAGUUUCAAAUCUUUGGCCAAAACUUCAUAGAUUCGAAUGGUUCAAUCGAAUCUAGAGAUGACUUUGAAUCUUCAGUAAGAAACAAUAAUUAGGGUAGCGCCUAAAAUUUGUGAGAAGGAGAGAAUUUCUCAUCACAAUUGUAGCAUAAGCCUGUCCCACGACGACUAUGUAAUUCAAGAGGGGAUAGAUAUUUGAAGGGUUUCCAAUUCGGGAGUUCAUGUGGUGGUGCAGUAGGGACUAAUGCUAAUGAGGAAGGUUUGAAGGAGUGGUGCAUCAGAGUAGGACUAGGUAAAAUCGGAUUUGUUCUAGCAAAGGUGGGCUGGGUUGACCCUUUCUCAGAGCUCAUCCUCUUUUUAUGCAUAAGGGUCAGAGACAUAUCUCAGUCCAUCUUAGUAGAAUCAUGAUCCACCACUGAUGAUUUAAUUCAGCUCGGAACCCAAAAACCCAAAAAUGUACCAACUAGUACUCACCGAUGGGAGUAGUCUCAUUGGUGAGAGCUUCAAGUCAGCUCCAAUAUUUUGCCAUUGUCGUAAUUUGUUGUAUCUUAGCCAAACAUUUCUCUGUGCAUCUAACUCCCAUUUUAAAUAUCGAUGAACAGAUUUCUUAGCAAUGUGGUCCCAAUUAAUCAACUAAUAAUUUCUAUAUAACCAACGGUACCAUUCGAGAGCUUAGCCAUUGACAUAGUGAAAGGUGUAAGAGGGGGGAAGGUGAAUUGCUCUUUUUCAUUUUUCUUCUUCAAAAAGUUGACUUGUGAGAUUCACUAGUUGACUAUUAGUUCCAAAAGUAAAUACUGAAAAUGAAAGUGCAGAAUAUAAGAUUGACACUAGAUAUUUUUAUACUAGUUAGGACCCAAUGUGGACAUUACACCCAGUCCCCUUGGGCUUCAAAGGUAUUUCCUUCUAGCCUUUUGAAUCUUUGUAAUUAGUACAAGUUUAGAGUAUAGCUCCUAUGACUACACUCAACUUUUUCUUUCUUUUUUUCUUUUGAUACACAGCCUACCAACAAUAUUUUUCUCUCCUCUUUUUUGUUUAUACAGUAAAACUAAGUAGUACAAUGUUUGUUAUAAGUAGAGUAGAGAAUGUGAGAAGAAUCAGACUAGAGGUAUGUCUAAUUCCUUGUCUUUCUUCGAGCUUUUCAUAGAAAGUCAAGACUUGAAUAUUCUUUUUGUGAAGAGAUAGAAACUCAAGAAAAUUAAUCUUCGGAAAGAGGUAAUUGAUAAUCCUUCUAUCCAAGAAUAAAUCAAAGGCUAAUCUUGAGCUCCCUUUUCGUAAUCUUUUCCUUUGAGUGAUAUUGAUAUCGGAAUUUACUCCAUAAUCUUCAGCUUUCCUUUGAGUGAUAUUGAUCUGUGAACUCAAUCCUUGAUGGUUGUAUAUCAUUUCUUGAAAUUUGAUUGUGCCUAGUUGUUUUAGAGUUGUUUUACAGAUCCUUUGUUUGAAGAUUUUGUAGCCGUUUCAGUUCCCUCGAAUAAAAUCAUUAUUGUUGCGUUUAUAGGAUUUGACUCUCAUUAAUUAUGACUCAAGUUUGAUCUUGGUUGAUUCUUUCUUUUAUGCUAAAAGAAUCAUAAUUUUUCAUUAUCACAAUAAUUCUUGCACUAACAAUCUCCCUCUUUUUUAUGAUGUCAAUGUGUAGUAGUGAUACUUCGCUGUUUCUAUAGUCGACUGGUAGAGCUGACUGAGACUUCUUAAGUCCCCCCUUGAAUGGUACAACUAUUUCCACCCCCCCCCCGCGAACUUAUUGUGCCUCGUAGUAGUAUUCCCAUGUGGCUUUUAAGAUAGAGACAGGACAACCUCUAACAAAAGAGUUAGAAACAACACCCUAAUAGCAACAAAUAAAAUAACAGCAACACAUAUUAGUUCAAUAACUUAAUAACUGCAGAUAAUAGUUCAACAACAUUAUAGUUCAGUCAUUCUCCGUCAUUCGCAUCAGCAAAAAGGAAAGAAGAAAACAUAAAAAUAACAACAGUAUUAAAGAGAGGGCAACAAAGCCCUUUAUAAAACCAGCAGAGUAUCAUAAACACAAUAAAGACAAAUAAAUUAGAGAGGGUGCAAGAAGUAGGUAAGCGUGUUGACAAUAGUAGUGGACAUCUCCUCGAACCUGGAGGAAAGAGAGGUAGAAAUGGAUUUAGAGCCUGCCUAGACCUUAGUAGCAAUCUUAAUAACCUUUUUGGCAAUAUAGUUGAGCCUUAGACGAUGCCAGCCACUUCUGCACCAGUCUCUUGGUGACUUCCUUAACAACAUCUAUCUUGAAGUGAGAAGCAAGUAGUACAUCUUUGAGGCAGUCCACCACUUCUCUCAUUGCAGUCACAGAAGACAUAAGGUCGCUUACUUGAGUGACAGAUAUGGUUAGAGCAUCCAAUAUGACAUCUAUAUCAGUUAGCUGAUGUGAGCAUGUGCCACACACAUAUAUAUAUAGAUAGAUAGAUAGAUAGAUAGAUAGAAGAGUGAAGUAGGAGGACGACCAAGAGCAAAAAUGCAAUUUGACGCUAACAAAAAUCUAUCAAGAAAUAUAAUUAAUAAUUCUAGAAACAUCUCUUUAUAUAUUAACUAGAUAAUGAUCAAGGUCAGAAAUAUAAUUUCAUGCUAACAACUCUAUAAAGAAUGAUAACAAAAAAAAUUAAAUAUUUCUAGAAACAUCCUAAGUUAUUGUUAUUACCAUUAACUUAUUUUGUUUAAAGUUCACUUUGUUUUCUUUUAUGAGUUAUUGUGAUAUAUAUUUUAUUAUAACACUUUUUUACUAUUAAUUAACUUUCAUUUAAUUCUAAAUAUUUUUUUCUAUUCAUUAUGCUUAUUAAAAAUGCCUACUUUGUAUAUAAAAAUUUAUCAUGAAUUAAUUAUUUUCAUCGUUAUUUUGGAUCUUAUUAAUAUACUUGAAAAUAAAUAAGUGUGAUAAAAUUAAUAAUAUAUAUUAGAUUGAAAUUAAAGAAAAAUAUGUUGAAAAGUAAAUUUACAAAUAAAAAUGAAUAGGAUGAUAUAUUUGUAUUAAAGACAACUAAGAAUAAAAAUGUAAUUUUGUUUUAAUAAAAUCUAUCAAGAAUAAAUAAUUCUAGAAACAUCUUUCUAUUUAUGAAGUGAUUGAUUCUAGAAACAUCUUUUUAUAUAUGAAGUGAUUCAUGACCAAAUAUAAAAGUUUAAUUCCAUGCAAGUAAAAAUCUACCACAAACAAUAACAAGAAAAUUAAAUAAUUCUAGAAAUAUCUUUAGUUAUUAUUAUUAGUAUUACCUCAUUUUUGUUAUUUCUUCAUUUUAUUAUGAGUUAUUGUGAUAUCUAUUUAUUAUAUGAAAAUAAAUAAAUAAUGAUUACGGUUAACUCUUAAUAAUUAUAUAUCAAGUAUAAUUUUAGGUGGAAUCAAUCAAAACUAAAAUUAAAAUUUUUAUGUAUAUUAAAUUUUGUGUAUUGAAAUAAUUUUUUAAUUUUGUGAUCUUAAGUAUGCUAUAAAAAAAAAACUAAAACUCAGAAGUUAUUUUAUAUUUGAAAGAAAAUAAAGAAUAAGUUCAUAUAAAGCGAAAUGGAUGGAUUCAUAUAUUAAAAAUGAAAUCUAUAUGUGUUAUUAUUAAAAUAAACUUUCUUAAAUUUUUUUUAAAAAAAUCAUUUGACUUCCUUCUAUUAAUUUGGGCAUAUAGUUUUAAAGAUUUGAAUAUUUUAAUAUAGAAAUAUAAAUAUUUGAAAAUUUUAAUUCUUUUUAAUUUCUAAUUUGUUACAUAUUUGAAAAUUACAUAAAAAAAGAGGCUUAAAAACACAAUGUAACAAUUUAAGAUAUUUUUAGAAAAAGAUAGUUAAAAAACAUGAUGAAAUUUGGAGGACUCCCUUAUUUUUAUUGAAAAAAAAAAAGUUACAUAUGAACUAAAAAGUACUAUGAAUCCCAGUAAAAUAACAAUUCAAGAUAGUAAGAAUCAUAUAGGAAAUUUUGUUGACUUUCCUAAAAUCACUUGUAUCACAUAAAAUAAAAUGGAUGUAGUAAUAUAUAUUAUUUGAAAAAUGACAUAAAAGGUACAUAAAUUAAUAAUUUAAAAUAUUUUUUAAAAAAACACAUAAAAAAUUUAGUUUAUUUUUUCACAUUUCAUUUGAGUCACAUAAAUUGAAAGGAAAAAAACUAACAUACGUUGGGCCUGCGCUAGCGUGGGCACCUGAUAUCUAGUGUGUGUGGGUGUGUGCGUCUAUAUAUAUAUAUAUAUAUAUAUAUAUAGAUAUAUAUAUAUAGAUAUAUAUAGAGAGAGAGAGAGAGAGAGAGAGACAGAGAGAGAGUUGAUGAGACCAACUCUUGAAAGAAGAGUGGUUGCAACAAUAUAAGCGAUAGACCUAGUCUCAAAGGAGAGAUCUUUAGGACCAAGAUGGGAAGGACGAGGAUCAAAGGGAUCAAUAACAAGUUCACGCUUGGCCUGAUCAAAGGAGGCAACACACUUAGAAGGUCAAAAUUUUUUAGGAGUAUCCAUGAAAUCCGAACAAGAGAUACCAAAAACGGAAUCAAUUUUUUUGCAGUCGAGAAAGAUAAGCCUACAAAGAACAAAGGAUUCGAUUUCUGCUGCCUUAGGGGAUCGAAGAUUUGCAUAAAAGAGUCGAACUAGAGCUUCAUAAAAUUCCAUCGGAAUGGAGAAGAUAUUGGCCCAACCUUGAAAUUGAAAGAAGGGUUUCAUAAGACAGUCUAACAAGGAGAGAAUAUCAAGGUCGACUACAUUGCCAUGGACAUUGGUUUUUUCUUUCAAGGAAUGGAAAGGAGUUUCAUGGGAAGAUUUCAAGAAAUCUACUUUUUCAUCUAGGGUAUUGUCGAAAUCAAACUUGAACUUCUUCUUCGAGAAGCCAAUGUCAGCAGAGUCUAAGGCCAAGAGAGGAAGCAGCAGAGACUGCAGGCACCAUAUCAUAAGAACUGUUACAAAACGAGACAGAGAAACACAAGAAAACUUGGAGAAUUAAUAAUUAUAUCCGUCAUUCAAUAAAAGAGACGACAACCAUGUUUAUACACAGGAGAUUAAGAGGCAAAAUGAAAUAAACUAUCUAUAAUGUCUAAAUAUAUACUUUACCAUACUUAAUUUAUUUAAAUGUAUACUCUACCUAUACUUAGAAUGUCUAUACAAUAUUUACCAAAUUUUAACAUCCCCUCUCAAACUCAAGAUGGUUUAGAAUAAAUCAGAUUGAGUUUGGCCAGCAGAACUUGGAAACAUCUAGGAAGAUGAGGCUUGGCUAAAACAUUAGUUGGUUGAUCCAAGAACCCAAUAGAAGCUAAUUGAAUGGCACCAAGAUCAAUGUGUUGACGUGUAAAAUGACAAUCAAUCUCAAUAUGCUUUGUACGCUCAUGAAAUACAUAAUUAUGAGCAAUCUGAAUGGCACAUUGAUUAUCACAAUGAAGAGUAGUGGUAGAAGAUUAAGCAACAUUCAUAUCACCCAUUAACAGACGAAGCCAUAAUAUCUCAGCAAGUGUGCGAUAUUCUGAUUUGGUACAAGAUUGGGAUGGUAAGGUUUAUUUCUUUCUUCUCCACAAUAUAAGAGAAUCUCCUAGAAAAGUACAAUAAACUUUAGUAGAACGUCUAUCAAUGGGAUCACGUCCCCAAUCAACAUCAAAAUAUGUUUUUAAUUCAAGAGAAGAAUUGGCUGAAAAGUGAAGUCCAUGUAGCAUAGUACCUUUGACAUAACGAAGAAUCGAAGAACAACAAUAUAAUAAGUAGAGAGAGGUGCAGCCAUGAAUUGAAUAACUAUGUGAACAACAUAAGAAAUAUCUGGGCUGUCAGAUAGAUAAGACUACCUACAAGUGUCCGAUAAAGAGUGGCAUUGAUAAUAAAGUACCAUUGGUUGGUGAAAACUGCACAUUAGGCUCAAGUGGUGUGCUCAAUUUUAUCAUCGCUAAUACUUGCUUUUGAUAAAAAAAAACUAGUAGCAUACUUAAAUUAAGAUAGAGAAACACCAUUAUCAGAUGCGAGAAGUUUGAUGCCCAAGAAAUAGUUGAGAGACCCCAAAUCCUUCCUCUCAAAAUUAGUACUCAGAAAUUCUUUAACCUGUGAUAUAUCAACAAUAUCAUCACCAGUAAUAAUCAUAUCAUCCACAUAAAGAAUGAAAAGAAAAAUACCUUGUAUUGUCUUGCGUACAAAAAGAGAAGUAUCAUGUGGGAUAGAAGAGAAUCUCAAUUUGCACUACGAAGAGGACAUAUUUUAUUUGGAGGAAAAUUGUAUCCAGGUGGAGGUUUCAUAUAAACCUCCUCCUCCAAAUCUCCAUAAGGAAAAGAAUUGUUAACAUCCAUUUGAGAAAGUCUCCACCCUUUAGCUGAUGUAAUAGAAACAAGGGUGCAGAUAGAGGUGACACGAGCUACUGGAGCAAAGGUCUCCUUAUAAUCAAUUCCAUACUCUUGGGUAAAUCCUCGAGAACCUAAUUGAGACUUGUACGUUUCAACAAAGCCAUCAAUUCUUGUCUUGAUCUUAUCAAUCCAUUUGCAAUCAACAAGAUUUUUAUCAAAAGGAGGGUGAACUAAGUCCCAAGUAUGAGUUUUUUCAAAGGCCUGUAACUCUUCUUUCAUAGUGUGCUGCCAACAAGGAUAAUUGGAUGCCUCUUUGUAUGUACCAUGCUCACGUCAAUUAAGUAUGGUAAAAGAACAUUCAUUAUCACAAAGAUAACUAGAAGUAUUUUCUCUCUCUUCAUGAGUGGAUAGAUAAAGUGUUAUCAUGAAGAAGAGAAGUUGAGAGUACCUCAGAAUCAACAUUUCAUAUCAAGAGUGGAACUAUCAAUUAGAGAUUGAUCAUGAGAAUGGGAUGUUGUACCAUUUUCAUGAAUUGGACCAUGAGAUGGGCCUGCAUCAAGGGAAAUAGUUGAACCAUUGGGUGCAAUGUCUAAAUCACUAGAUGAACCUGCAUUAGUAUCACUUAGAAAAAGCUCAACAGACGAAUUAGAAAAGAAUGCCACUUCACUUGAUGGAAUAGACUCAAUUGUUAAUAGUGAGGAAAAUUUAAUAUGUUUUUAGAAGACAACAUGUCGAGAAAUACGAAUACGAUUAGACAUAGGAUCCCAACAAUGGUAACCUUUAUGUUCGAUCCCAUACCCUAGAAAGAAACAAACUCAAGCACUAGAUUCUAAUUUUGUAUGUUCAUGUGGUUGAAGAAGAAUAAAACAAGCAGAGCCAAAUACUUUAAGUAAUGUGUAUUCAGGAGCUACCUUGUGAAGACGUUCAUAAGGAGACAUAUUUCCCAGAACAGAAGAUGGGAGUCUAUUGAUAUUAAAAACUCCUGUAUGAGUUGCCACCCCCAAAAGCUCUUAGAAUAAGAUGAAGAAAUAAUCAUGGCGCGAGCAGAAUUAAGGAUAUGCCUAUGCUUAAUUUCAGCUCGUCCAUUUUGUUGGAAGGUACCGGGAGAAGAGAAUUCACAAAGUGUACCAUUUAAAGAUAAAAAAUUCAAAAGUUUAGAAUCACGAUAUUCCAUGUCACUUUCACGCUGAAAAACAUUGAUAAUUUUACCAAACUGAGCGUUGUACUUUUAGUAGUAUGAUUUAGGUAGCUCGGAGUUUCUUUUUCUCCUUGGUGUAUUAAUAUUUGUUGAUACACUUGUUUCUCACAUUGAUACUAUGUUCUCUCUUUGUCUUUCUUACUUUCAAGCGUUGGUUACAUUUCUUUUGAUCUGAGGGUCUAUCAGAAACAACCUAUCUACGGUAACGUUUGAUUAUAUCGUACCCUCCUUAGAUCCCACUUAUUGAAUUUUAUGGCGAUGUUGUUUAUUUCCUUUUUUUCUUUCUAAGAUUUUGUGUGUAAAGCGAAUGAUAUCUCAAAAUUUACUCUUAGGUUACUAAUCAUAUCUUCCAUGUUAUAUCCUUCAUAGGCAGAAGAUACAUAUGCACGUCAGCCACCUAUGUUGGAUUCAUAUGGGCGAGAUAUUGCUUAUGAGUUUGAUAGGCUUCUGUGUUUGAUUGAUUAGAUGGUAGUUAUGAUGUAUUGUGUUAAGUAUGGAAUGGUUUUGGUACGUUUGGUAUUGAUAGAUUGAGUUCUGGCACAAAACUUGAUGAGCGUUGAGAACAUGAAUGGUUUAUGUUAAGUGCUCAUGAACCUAUGCACCCCUUCCUGGAUUAUGUGAAGUACUUGUGAACCAACUUAUGCAUCCUUCUCUAGAUUAUGUAGAAAGCACUACAAUUACUUUUAAAUUAUUUAAAUUUUAUAUGGAAACAAGACUAAAAUUUGAAAUAUCCAUCUCCAAAAUUUUCUUUGUUUGAAUCUUUAGAAACACUACAAACAAAAGUCACAUUUUUUCCUCAAAAAAAUUAUGAUCGCUCUUUUUAGUAUUUCUUUCAAUUUAUUUUUCUGAAUAGUAAAGUGUGUUUCCUUAAAUAAUGAUGAUAUUUUAAUCAUUUUAAAAUAUAAAAUUUAAUAAGAACUAUUAUAAGCUGAUUUUUCUUUUGUGAUAAAACUAUUAAGCAGAGUCAUUGUUUUGGAAAACUUUUAUAGCAUUAGACCUCACGAUUGCUAGUAUUGUGCACUCAUUUACUUGCACUCUUGGAAAUGCCUCGAGGCUUAUAUUGAGGAAAAGGUUAGACAUGGUUGAGGAACAAUUUAGAGAAGAUUGAAACGCAUUCAAAAAUUAUGGAGACAGUAUUGGCUAAGAUUAACACAUAAAAAGGAAUUAUUUGAUAGGGAUAUGAACUCCUCGUGAAUAUGUACACAUAAUCGACUAAAGAGGAAACAUAAAGUUGUUGAAAAAAUAUGAUUAAUGGCUAUUCCUUGAGAUUUAUACUUAGCACCAAGAUGAUAUUUAGAUGGAAGGUCUCUCCUUAGUUGAGGUUGGGUUUCAAAUAGUGAUCUUCGUAUCAAAUAACUUUGUGCCACCAUAUGUUGUCUUAGAUAGGCAUUAACUUGUGGAUCUAGUUUAGCUUAAGAUUUAUUGUUCUUACCUUGGUAAUUAAGGAAAUAACUCUUCAAUAUAGGAUAGACAUUGGAUUCCAUGUUAUAUCUUACAUGGUCUAUGUCAGUUAAAGGUAAGCUUCCCACAAUAAUUAUCACGCUUGAGCCUACACCCUAGACAUGACCGAUACUCAAGAACCCUUUUUGGCCCCAAGCAAAUCCUUGGCAUGGAUCAACUCUUAGUGAAAGACGUGAUCAAUACAAGAUAAGCUCAAAUAUCAAGCUUUAACUCUAAAGUCUCAAAUCAUUAAUUUAUAAUAUAAUAGAAUAUUCUACUAGAAAGAAAUAGGAAAUUCACAUCUUUAAAACAUUCAAUAAAAGAAAGCGAAACAAACUUCUCAAACUCUACUAUCUAUCUAUGAAGCCUCUCAAUGGAAAAUAUGGAAGUCGGAAUAAGACCCACGAUAGCCUAUCAAAACUGAAAAAGUAACUAGAAUACUCUGGAAGCAAGCAGGCUAACCAAAGAUAGAAUUGUUGUGGUAUCAAUGAAGAGCCUAUUGAUGACCAUAAUCUCCACUAUAUGCAUCAUGAAAUGAUGCAGGCCAAAGGACAUCAGUACAUUGAAUGUACGAACAUGUAAAGUGACAUUGUAACAAAACAUUAAGCUUGAACCUAGAAAGAAGGAAACAUACUCACCUCAACUCUACUCAACUCAAUGUGAACUUAUGGAUACUCAACUCAAUACAGUAUGAAAACAACAAUCAAGACGCAAUUUAUAUAAAAUAUUUAAAAAGUAGAUAAAAACUCAAUGUAUUUAAAGUAUAAUAAUAAUUCUUAUUUGGGAUAUUCUCUAAAAGACAACCAUCACUAUGAGCUACGUGAUGAUACAUCGUCUCACCCACGUUGUAAGAACUAUAUUAUACGUUGUGGAAGUAUUAGACAUCCUCAACUAAGUGGCUUUACUAAGAUAUGCUUAUAAGAAAUAAAGACAUAUCUAAAAACUAUGACCCUUUUUAUCCACGUUGGGUACAUGAGGACUUUGGAUUGUUUGAAUUCAUUCCCAUACCGGUACUUGAUACUAGUACCAAUAAUAUAACUCAACUCAUAUGUUUAGAAACAUUUCCUUAUUCCAAACUUCUCCUAAUCCUCAUACUCGAGUACUCGAGUUUUAAAAUAAGUUUUAAGAUAUUGCAAAAGACGUCACAAAAUAACUCGAAAGAACUCUCAAGACUUUACUCUUAACACUAUCUUGAAUUUAAAUUAUGACUUGAAUGGUUAUAAUUUAUGUUAUUAAGGAUCUCUCGAUGUUUAUAUGUAUUUUAGAGUAGGUAGAAUCAGAAAGGAGUCAAGGUACACUUUAAAAAAACUGAGAGGGGGCAGGAGACCGUGCGCCAGAACUUCAGAGGGCUCAUUUUGGCGCACUGCAGGGGAGGCGUGCCAGCUCCUUGGCUCAUCAGUUAUGCGUCAAGCCACCCAUUCCCAAAAAAACCUGGAAAAUUUUUCUACUCAUUUUUUAACCCUAAUUUGACUAGAAUCGAUUGCUUUCCUCAAAUUUUACUUAUUAAUUACCCAAUACUAGUGCACAAGAAUCUACCCAUUUUUCCUCAAGGCUUGAUGAGCGUUGAGAACAUGAAUGGUUAUGUAAAGUGUUUUUGAUCCCAUGCACCCCUCCCUGGAUUAUGUAAAGUACUAUUGCACUUAUGCAUCCUUCCCUACAUUAUGUAGAAUGCACUGCAAUUAUUUUGAUAAAUUACUUAGAUUUUAUGUGGGAACCAGACUAAAAUUUGAAUUAUCCAUCACCAAUUUUUUAUUUAUUAGGAUCUAUAGCAACACUACAAACAAAAGUCACACUUUUUCCUCAAAAAACUUAUGGUCUCUCUUGUUAGUAUUUUAUUCAAUUUAUUUCUCUGAUUCGUAAAGUGUAUUCCCUUAAAUAACAAAAAUAUUUUAACCUUACCCUCAUAAAAGAUAAACUUCAGCACAACACUUUAAAAUGUGUCUUUCUUGGUUAUUCUUGUCAAGAAAAAGGUUACAAAUACUUUGAUCCCUCUAACAAUAAGUACAUGAUCUCUGCACAUGGUACUUUUUUCGAGACUUCUCUGUAUUGUCCUUCUAAUACGGAAAAUCAACAGGCCAUAUCAGUCCUUCCCAUUCUAAGUAUUCCAACCCCAAACCCACCUCCAGAUCUUAAGGUCUAUUCCCAAUGACUUUAAUCUCUUGCUGAACUUGUUAAUCCAGUUGGUAUUUGUAACUCUUAUAUAGGUGCAAAAAGCAAUAUUGGUGACUCAUUACCUACUCAAACAAUUUCUUCUGAUUCGGUCAAGGACUAAUGUGAUGAUAUUCCCAUUUCUCUUCAAAAAGGUACUAGAAUGACUGUCAAUCAGACUCCCAAUUAUUCUUAUUUAAGUUAUCAUCGUUUUUCACCUUCAUAUUAUGCCUUCCUUACUAGCUUUUCAUCAGUCAAAGUUUCUAUGACUGUGACAGAAGCACUGUUUCAUCCAGGUUUACAUCAAGAUAUGAUUGAAGAGAUGAUUGCUUUGCAUGAUAAUGGUACUUGGGAUCUUCCUCCUUAACCCAAAGGAAAAACCAAAUUUUGUCGUCAUUGGGUAUUCGUAGUUAAGGUAGGUUCAGAUUGAGCUAUUGAUCGUCUCAAAGCAAAGACUGGUUGCUAAGGGAUACACUAAGGUUUAUGGCAUCAAUUAUGUAGAUACAUUCUCACAAGUUUUCAAGAUGGCUUAUGUCCGUCUUCUCAUCCUUAUGGAAGCAAUGAGUCAUCGUCCCCUUUUUCAGUUGAAAUUAAAAAUGCAUUCCUACAUAGAGAGCUUUCGGAAGGGGUAUAUAUGGAGAAACCACCAGGGUUUAUUGCUUAGGAGGGAGACUAGACUAGUUUGUGAACUUUGUCAAUCCCUUUAUCGUCUUAAGAAGUCUCCCAGAGCAUGGUUAAGUAAUUUUUUAGAUGUUUUCCAAUAUUUUUGAAUGAUCCGAAUAGAAGUAAUCACUUGGUAUUCUAUAUGCAUUCAUUUCAUGGCAAUCUUUUUAAUUGUUUAUAUUGAUGAUAUUGUUAUCACAUGAGAUGAUUAGAUGGUUCACUUUACGUUUUUUGUUCUAAUUGGAGGAAAUCUAAUAUCAUGGAAAAGUAAAAAGCAAGUUGCAUAACUCGAUCAAGCGCAGAGGCAGAAUAUCGAGCUAUGGAACUAGAUACAUGUGAGCUUAUAUGUUUUAGACAACUUAUCCAAGAAUUGAAGAUGUGUGGAGUUGAUCCAAAGACAUUCAUUUAUGAUAACCAAGUUUCACUACAUAUCACUUCUAAUGCAAUGUUCCAUGAAAUAAAUUGUCACGUAACCGGAGAGAAGAUUGAGUACAAAUACAUCACAACAAGUUUUGUCAACUCAAAAGAUCAUCUGGCAGAUAUUUUCACAAAAUCACUUCAAGGAUCCAGAAUUUACUAUAUUUGUGGAAACUAGUAUCAUAUGACAUAUACAUUCCAGCUUCAGGGGAGUGCUAAUUAUGGUAUUUUUGGAUAGUGAAGAUAUUUUAAUCUUCAAAUAUGGUAUGAUUAAAUAAUAUAGAUAUGAGGAUAUUCCAUAAAUAUCUUUAAUAAGGUAGUUAGGAGAUUGGGUAAUAUUUUAUUAUCUUCUUUCCUUAUUUACACUAUCUGUAACAGUUAUUUAACCCCAUCAAAAUGAGGGAAUUAUCAAUCAAUUCAAUUCCCAAUAUCCCUUUGAAUUCACAUUAUUUUUAAUAUGUAAGCAUGUAUCUAUUUGCAUUUAUUCCUCUUCAUCCGCAUUCUUCGCCUGUUACUCUGUUCAAUUGAUUGAACUUCUCUUAAUGGCAUGAACAAGUCCAGUUUCACUUAGGUGUGAUGGAUCUUGAUUUGGCUCUGCUGAAUGACACACCUACUGCUAUUAUUGAUAAGAUCAAUGAGGAUGAGAAGUCUUUUUCAUAAAUAAUGAAUACGUUAUAAUAGACUGAGUCUUAUGUUCAUGCGAAUGACUGCUGCUAACAACAUUAAUAGUACUAUUUCACAAACAAAAUGUUUCAAGAAAUACCUUAAGAUUGUAAGAGAAUGUUUUUGUUCUGCUGAUCUCUGGUACACUAAUGGCUAAAUUCAGGACCAUGAAGUUUGAUGGAUCAUGUACUAUGCAAAAUCAUAUCACGGAGAUGACUAACAUUGCAGCAAGACCUUGGACUUCGUGAUGAAAGUGGAUGACACCUUCUUAGAUUAGUUUUUUAUGAACUCAUUGCCUCUUGAGUAUGGACCAUUCAAAAUUAACUAUAACAAUAUUAAGGAUAAGUAAGAUAUUCGUGAAUUGUCCAUAUGUUUAUUCAAGAGGAAUCAAGACUUAAAAGGAGGUCAUUUUAUUAACCUAGUGGGUCAAGGAGCUGGUAAAGAACUUAAAGUGAAAGCCAAGAAUUUUAAGAAAAAUAAAGCACCUGCUAAAGUUUCACAAGAUGCUUAUAAGGAACUUAAGGCUGAUGUAUGUCGUUUCUGUAAAAAGGAAGGACACUAUCUCAAAGAUUGCCUGAAAUGUAAAGCUUGUUUUGAAAAGAAAGGUACAUUUAGUGCCUUUGUAUGUUUCGAAUCAAAUUUAGUAGAAGUUUCUAUAAUAUUUGGUGUCUUGAUUCUGUUGCAACUACUCAUGUAUCUACUAUGUUGCAGGGAUUCACUACGUUCCAAAUUACGAAUCCAAAUAAAAAAAUUCUUGUUCAUGGGAAAUCGCAUGAAGGCUAAAAUUGAAGGCAUAGGAACUUAUGUUUGAUCUUGGAGACUGUACAUCACCUUGAUUUAACGGACUCUUUAUGUUCCUUUAAUUUCUAGGAAUUUGAUUUCUUUUUCAAGACUCAAUGUUUCUUGAUUUGAUUUUACGUUUGGACAUGGCUUUUUAAAUUUAUAUAAGAAUACUAUUUUUAUGGUUCUGGUGUUUUUUGAUGGUUUAUAUAAAUUUAAGCUGAAUUAUAAUUAGACGUGGUUCAUUGAAUGAAAAUUUUGCUUAUUUAUGACUUUGUGGCAUAAACAUUUCAGUCAUGUAUCCAAAGAAAUAUUAAAAAGGUUAGUAAAGAAUUAAAUUCUUCCUAAUCUUAAUUUUAUUGAUCUUAAUAUAUGUUUGGAUUGCAUUAAAGGAAAAUAAACCAAGCAUACCAAAAAAGGUGCCACACGGAGCACUCAACUUCUUGUAAUUAUACACAUAUUUGUGGACCCUUUUAUGUUCCAUAUUUUGGUGGGGAAAAAUAUUUUAUUACCUUUAUCGAUUUUUCACAUUAUGGAUUUAUCUAUUUUCUGAGAGAAAAAAAGUCAAACAGCGGACGCUCUAAAAGUGUACGUUAAAGAGCUUGAAAGACAAUUAGAUAAGAAAGUGAAAAUCAUUAAGUCAGAUAGAGGUAGUAAAUAUUAUGAAAAUUCUAAUUAAUCAAAACAAUGUCUAGGUCUAUUUGAAAAAUUUCUUGAAAAUGGUGAAGUUGGUGGGAGUGUUGAACAGCAAAGUUUGGAAAUUAAUGAGGUAAGGGUUAAUAUUUCAUUUCACAUGAAUGUAGUUAGAGUCGUCAAUAUGGGCUUGGCCUAUUGGUUCGGCCUUUCCUAACCCGGGAUUUAAUAGGGUUAGGCAAUGAUUUUUGGAGCCUAUUUGCGAAAAGGGAUUUUUAACCCGACCUGAAUAAGUCAACUUAUUUGUGGGGCUUGAGAAAAUCGAUAAGGUCGGCCCGUGGGCCAAUGAAAAUUAACUAAAGAUAUAGUAUAUUAUUAAAACUUAAAAUUAAAUAGAGUCCAAACUCAAAACAAUUAGAUUAAUAUUUCUAUUUAGAUAUUUAUACUUUUACUUGAAAAAAAAAUCUUAAUAAGCAUUAUAAAGUAAAUUUUAUUUGUGGAUUUGAUUAAAAAAAAGUAACAUUAACAUCAUGUAAUAUUGUUUUGUCGAUAUUUAUGAUAAUAUUUUUAAAGUAUAAUUUAUAGUUUAAUUUAAUAAUUCUAAAAAGAAUAUAAUAUUUUGAAAAGUGUGUUGGGCUGGCAAGCAUGUAGCCAUGUACUUGUGAGUUAGACCGGCCAUUUUCGGGCCCACACCGAAAUUGGUUAGCCUGGACUGACCCGUAAAAUGUUGAAGCCUGUAUGGGUUAGCCCGAAUGGGGUGGGCUAGCCCAUAUUGACAACUCUAAAUGUACCUACUUCCUCACCAAUCACAAAUGUUGUUCCUCUUGUUGGAGAAUACUUUAACAAUGUUCAACGGCAUUUGGGUGAACACUUAAAGAAGAAAAUAACUCACAAGUAUCUGAUGCAUAUGAACCACAAACAAUGUUAGAAAGAAAAUCGUCCAUUUCAGAUCAUAAUGUGAUUUAUUUGUAAGAGUCAGAUUUUGACAAUGAAAUAAAUAAGGAUUUGAUUUCAUUUUCACAUGACAUAGAAAACAAUGAGUAUGAUAAAUGGAUUGAUACCAUGAAGAUUUAAAAUCCAUGGAAUACAAUAAAGUCUGGGAUCUCAUUCAAUUACCAGAAAGUUCUAAAAUAAUCAAGUGGAGAUGGGUCCUAAAGAAAAAACCCGAUUAGAAUGGUAAUAUUGAACGAUAUAAAGCCAAACUUGUUGUCGAGGGAUACACUAAAAAAAGAGGCAUUGAUCAUAAAUUGAUCUUUCACUGAUUUCAAAGAAAGACUCAUUAAGAAUUAUUUUGACUUUUAGUCUUGUAUGUUGAUGACAUUUUACUUUUAGUGGGAGUAAGUUAAAUUUUUUAGUCUUGUAUGUUAAUGACAUUUUACUUGCUGCUAAUGAUUUUGACAUAUUGCAUGAGAGAAAAGACUUUCUCUCUGUGAACUUUGAAAUGGAAAAUACGGGUGAGACAUCCUAUGUGAUAGGGAUAGAAAUAUUCAAUGAUACAUCACAAGGAUUAUUGGAACUGUCUCAAAAAGGCUUUUAUAAAAAGAGUUCAGGGGAGAUUUAAUAUGUUCAGCAGGAAUAGUUCCUAUUAAAAAGGGAACAAAUUUAAUCUUAUGUGAUGCCCCAAGAAUGAUGUAGAAUGAAAGGAAAUGAUCUCAAUUCCUUAAUCUUCUACUGUUGGAAGUUAGAUGUAUGUUCAAACUUGCACAAGACCGUAUAUUAGCUUUGUGGUUGGAAUGCUAGGAAGAUAUCAAAGUAUUCGUGGAAUUGAUCACCAAAAACAUGCAAAGAAAUUCUAUGGCACUUUAUGAAGCCACAAUUUAUAUCUUAUGACGGCACUUGAGAUUGUUGACACCACUACCAAGCUGAAAGUUAUUUUAAUAAUGCAACAAUGUUCUUCGCCACGAAUGAUAAGUACUCCAAUUGUGCCAAACAUAUGAAAUCAUGUACUUUACUGUCAAGGAAGAAAUUCUGAAAAAGAGUGUUACUUAAGAAUAGAAUUGAUCUCAUGAUUUCAAAUCUUUUAGAAAAAUGCUUACAACCAAAGAUAUUUAAAGAACAUGCUCAAAGAAUAGGUCUUGGUUGUACUUAUGAUUGAUACAUUUAUGAUGUUUUACACUAGCUCAAAUUAUGUGUUUCUUAUAUACUUUAAUGAACAUCUUGUUUCUCAUAAUGGUGUACACAUUAUUGUUAUCACAAGGUAUGUCUAUACGAGACAUUAUUGUGGCCCAUAAAAUGUUAUAUGUUUUAUAGCUUAUGGACCUAGUAUGAUAAGUUGCUAAUGUAGCAUUAUGGAAGGAAGUAUGUAUAGCUUAAAAUUUAUGUACAACCGCCAUAACUCGCAUUAGUAGUUUGUUAUGUUGUGGUAUGUAUGAUGGAUAUUAUAGAAGAGAUUUAUUGUGUGCGCAACUAAUGUUCAUUAAAUAUUAAUGUCAUUGGGUGAAGUGGGAGAAUGUAAGAAUUAUUAUUUUUUAUUUCUUACUUAUGACCCAAGUUUACAUGUAAUCCAAGUAAUACCACAAAUAAUAUUUAAUAAGGAAUAGUCGCGUUUGUACGUUGGCUACUUGAUAGACGUACCAAAUUAAGUCAUGACUUCUAUAAAUUGAUCCUCCCUCAACCCAUUAGGGUUACCACAUAUUCUCUACAAUAAUUCUAUCGUUGACUGUUGUGGUAACAUAAAUUUAGGGCAACAAGGUAGAAAUCAAUUUAAGACUAACACUUACUUUUUUCUAUGUGAUGAUGUCUUCCUCAUCAAGUAUGUGCCCUUAACAAUCUCUAUGUAAAAUUAUCGUGUUCAAGAUCCUGAUAUUACGUUAUAAAGUAUUUAAUCUUACAAUGUGACCAUCAAACUUCUUUGCAAUAAGUAUAUUGAUUCUGUUAAUGUCCUGUGAUGUACUAAUGUGAUCAACUUCUUCGUUAACUAUAUAUGUAAUUCAUUAAUUUUCAAGAUACAAACCAGGGAUAAAGCUCAAACAUAUGGAAAAUGUCCAUUUGUCCAGAUUUGUUUUAAUGGUAUGUAAAUAGUAUGUAUUACUUAUAAAUUUGUAGUUUAAUAUUUUUUGCAUGUAUAAGUAGAGAAUAUUUUAGAUUGUUUUCUUUUAUUAUUAGGGUCUUUCUAAUAUUUCAUUUCUUUAAUAGGGAAAGCAUGACAAGAAGGUCAUAUGUUAUUAGAAUAACAAUAUUAAUAUAUGUAGAUUGUGACAAAGGAUUGCUAGAGUUACGUUGAUACAUUCACGAUAUUGUCAUAUGUUAAUAUCAAGUUUUUCUUCUUGAUUGAAGGGUAAACCUUUCACCUGAUAUUUUAUAUAACUAAAAUCUUUACGAAAUAUUGAGUUGUUUAAUUUUGCAAGUUUACACUAUAUCUAAUCACUCGUUCAAAAAAGAAGUAAUUUUAUAAAUCUAUUUGCUCAUCAAUUUCAGUUUGUAUUCUUAUUGCUUAAAACUUUACGUUUGUAUUGCAGUAAUUAGUAUGAUUUACAGUGUACGAGUAUGCACUACAUGGCUUAUACGUGCAAUGCGCGUGAAGUGUGAAGUUUCAAAGUGCAGAAUUUUACUGACCCUAUAACCAUUAAUUAGGUGACUUAUAUUCAUUGACACAAAAAAAGUGCAGAAUUUUAAAACUAUCAUCAUUAGGUGAUAAAAUAUAUAUUAUUUUAUAUUACAUUAAGUGAUAAUAUUAUCCAUUUAAUUGGCCAGAAUUUGGCCAGAUAUUUUUAAAAAACUGUAAUAUAUUAUUUAUUUUAAAAUAAGAUGGUCUUUUUUUCAUUUUUUAGUUAAAAUGUAUUAAAUUUUAAAGCGUAAAAAUAUUUAAAAAGAUAAAAUAACAUCAAUAAAAUACCAAUUUUUUUCACCAAAAGGAUUUUUCAUAUGUUUUUUCUGUAAAUCAGAUUUUGUCUUCCUCAAAUUUAGAGACCGACUCAAUGAUCUUCUUUAAAGUAAAUCUCAUAAACAAUUUUUAUUUUGUUUCCUUUAUCCAAUUUCAGGUGAAAUUCAGUACAAAGAUGUAUAUUUUAUUUUAUGUUAAUAAAUUUUGUUUUCUUAUUUUUUUCAGUAUCUUUCAUUAUUUAAUAGUAAAGUACUGCUUGAACUAAGGUUACAACUUGUCACAUCCCGAGCCUACACAGUGGUUUAUGACCGGUACUCAAUGACCAUUGCUGAUCUUGUGUGGACCCUUGUCCUGACUUGCUUAACUCAGCGGAAGACAACAAUCAAUAUUAUAAUGCUCAAAAGAACUGAACUAAACUGAAUAAUAAGAUAACUGGAAAGUUUUAAAGAUUUAAACAUUCAACUUGGCAAAAGUAGCAACCCAAGUCAUUAACAUAAGAAUGGUAAAGUAAAAAAUAUUGAACUACUAAUUGUCUAUCUAUGUAGCCUUCUAAAACUGUGAUGGAUACUGGGACAGACCCCCCAACAUCCUAUAAAAAGAGACUGCAAACAAUAAAUGUGUUCUCCAUAAUGCAAGGAGUCUUAUCAUUGACUCCGAGUGCUCAGAUAGAUCAACGAGGCGCGGGAUGAUACUGAUUUUGGUUACCUUCAUCUGCUUCAUCAUACGUGCAGGCGAACUAAUAUCACUACAUUGAAUGUACGAGUAUGCGAGUUGAAAUUCUAAACAACAUAGGCUAGAAAAAGAGUCGAAAGAAACACUUACAUUAGCUCUGUUCAACUCAUGAAUAACAUAACCAAAUAAUACUUACUCAUUUCAAUGUAAACUAAAUUUAAAACAUAUGUAAUAUGACGAAAAAAAUUGUUUGGAAACAUGUUGUGAGUUCUCAAUGUAUAUAAGAAUACUAUAAUUCAUAUAUGUAUGUAAAAUACAUGUAAAUUGAUGUAUAUAACCGUGGGAGUUUGUAUAAUCAAUAAACAUCAUUUAAGAGCUACAAUGAUGAUACAACGAUCUAUCUCACACUGCUAGUGCAUCCUAUAUCCGGCCAAUGGUAUAAGACCUGAACUGCUUAAUCGAUCCACUAGUCUACUUUGAAAAGGGUUCAUCUAAAAAGUAUGACCCUUUUCUACAAUAGUGGCUACAUGGUCUAUGUGGCUUGUGAGUUUUCUCAACUAUCCCCCAUAUCGGUGCACAAUGGUACUCCCAAAAAAUAUUGGCUCUUAUGUUCUAAAAACAUAUUGAUUCUGUUGUUUGAGAUUAGUUCUCAAAAUACUUAGCUCAAAGACUAUCUUGGGAAUAUCAAAUUCUUUAAUUGCUUCAGUUAGAAAACUAUUUCUCUUUUAACUGAAAACUAGCCCGGAAGCACUUUGAAAAUUUCAAUUUCCCUUCUAUUUAAAUGUGAAAACAUUUUAAGUUCUUUUGAGAAUACUUAGUUCUCAUAUACUGCUUUGAAGGAAUACUUCACUUUACUUUAAACUGAACCAGAGCUUAAGUCUUAAAACGACACUUGAAACGUUUUUGAGAGACUUAUGAAAACUUCAAAUGAACUUCUCUUUCUUAUAUUAGUCCUUAAUCAAACUGAUCGUUAAUUCUUAAAACAAGCUUAGAGUAUUUGAAAUAACUUCAUGCAAGGACUUAAGGAAAUCUCUAGACUUGACUCUAAUUUGAAAAUACCUUAUAGAGGCUUAAUCGAACUGAACUACGAAAAUUGGGCGAAGAACACCGAUUUGAGCGCAUUCGGGUAUGUCACGCAAUAUCCAUAGGUCUGAGGCACCAUUCUGGCACAGUAUAGGCACACCUCCCUAGGCCUUGUAGCGCAAAUGGGGUGCGCCACUCCUGAUGCUGCCCAGAUGCAUCUGACAAUUUUCUUAUCUCGUUUUCUGAUUCUAAAUCGCUUAUAUCUCCAUAGUUCUUUUUCCAAACCCUUAGGAUUAUUAGUAUCUUCAAUACACAAUAUAGAAAAAUCGAAAAAAAAACAUAAUUACGAAUCAACUUAACAAUAGGCAAUCAACAACUCAAACGAUAAAAUAUUUAACCAUGUCUUUCAAGAACUUCACUAUUCUCAUUCAACCAAUUCAAAAACCAAAGGAUUGAAGCAAGAUUGGACUGUAGGUGAACUGACCCAACACUAAAAUAUCUCACAUACCUUGAUAUGGAUUACCCCCGAUGAAUUCCACUCGCAAACCUUGGCGUUCUUGGCGAAUCGUUGGCUUUUUCUCAAUUUCAUCUUUUUUUCUCUCUUCUCCAAGCCCUAAGAGUGAUUUUGUUUUUUUUUCUAAUUUGAACUAAAACAUAAUUUUUACCCUAAAUAAAUCCUAAAAUUAAAUUGGAAAUUAAUUGAUAAAAAAAGUAGUUUGCCCUUCCUUAAAUGUGGAUUGGGACUUUCUUUACUUCAACAACCCAAUUUCUGAUAGGCAUAUUUGUCUGAUACGAUAUCGAAAAUGUUCAAACUCUGCAGCAUUGGAAAGAUAUCUCCAAGGGUUUUCCAACCAUAUCACUACUACCUCUAAUUCAUCAUGUGCUAGAAGUUAUGUCCAUUUGAAAAUGAUCAACACUCGCUCCAAAGUAGGCAAUUUUUUUAGAUUUUUCCCUUUCUUUCCAAAAAUGAAUAUUUUUAGUUUCUUAGCUAUUUCAAUUUGUGAGAAGUUACAAUAUCGCCCCCUUUGGAACAUUCGUCCUUGAAUGAGAUUUCUUUCACUAAGAUAAGGAUAGUAACAUCAAGUUCAAUACUCAACAAACAAAUGCAAGUAAGCACAUGCUUACUCAUAAUUUAUAAAGUACUAAGAAGAGAACUAGUACCUUGAUCUAUAUUCUCUAUGGAUUCAAAGAUAUGUGGAUAUCUCUACUUAUAUGCUCUUCAGGUUCCCAAGUCGCUUCUUCAACAAAUUGGUUCAUCCAAAGAACCUUGACUGAUGCAACCUCCUUUGUUUUCAACUUCCAAACUUGACGGUCUAAGAUCUGAACUAGAAUCUCCUCAUAGGAUAAGCUAUCCUUAAUCCCAAUAUUUUUAGUUGGCAUGAUCAAAUAUCGAUCGCCCAUGCACUUUUUCAAUAUGGAGAUGUGAAACACCGGAUGAACUAUUGUUAACUCUAGUGGUAGCUCCAACUUAUAAGUUACUGUCCAUCCUUUUGUCUAAGCAAUAAGGUGCAAUAUAUGGAGGGGGGGGGACUAAGUUUCCCCUUCUUACCGAACCUCAUAACACCCUUCAUGGGUGAAACCUUCAAGUAUACCCAAUCAUCCACUUCUAACUCCAAUAGCAUUAUCCUAACAUUUGUGUAGGAUAUUUGACGAAUCUAUGCCAUUUUUAAUCUCUCUUGAAUCACCUUCAUCUUCUCCAUCGUUUGGUGAACUAGAUCCGGUCCUAUAAACCCUGCUUCAACAAUUUCAAACCACCCAAUAUGAGAUCUGCCUCUUCUCUCAUAAAGAGCUUCAUAUGGAUCCAUUUGGAUGCUCGAAUGUAACUGUUGUUGUAAGAGAACUCAAUGAGUGGUAGGUGAUCAUCCCAAUUCCCCUUGAAAUCAAUCACACAAGCGCUCAACAUAUUUUCUAAGGUAUGGAUAGUACGCUCUUUUUUCUCAUCCGUCCGAGGUUGAAAAGCAGUGCUUAAGUUCACCUUCAAACCCAAACCUUUCUGGAAAGAUUUCCAGAAUUGUGCAGUAAAUUGUGCAACUCUAUCUUAAAUAAUUAAAACAGGGACUCCAUGAAGUCUCACCACUUACUAAAUAUAUAGUUUUGCAUAAUCCUCUACCGAAUGAGUGGUCUAUACGGCCAAGAAGUGGGACGAUUUUGUCAUUCUAUCGACAAUCACACAAAUUGAAUCAUGUUUCCUGCGAGACCUUGGUAACCUGUGAUGAAGUCCAUAUUAAUCAUCUCCUACUUCCAUUCUGGAAGUUCUAUAUUCUAAGACAACCCUCCUGGCCUUUUGUGCUUAACUUUUACUUGUUGGCAAUAUAGGCACUUGGAAACAAAUUUGGUAAUACCCUUCUUCAUACCAUUCCACUAAUAUAUUUCUCUCAAAUUACGGUACAUCUUUGUGGAACUCGGAUGAUGGAAUAUAUGGAGCUAUGAGAUUCCUCCAUGAUCAUCUUUUGGAGUCCAUCCACCAUAUGUACACACGAUCUACCUUGAUUUCUCAAUACACCAUCUCCCCCUUGUUCAAAACCUAAUACUCUUUGCUUAUGAACAUUUGCCUUCAAUUCAAGCAAAAUGGGAUCUUGGUCUUGAUUUUCUUUUACUCCUUAAAUUAAUUAUGACUCAGCCCCAUUCAUCACCACUAUCCCUCCUUAUCUAGAAUCCAUGAGUAGGACUCCUAGGCGUGUAUGUAUAUGCACUUAUUUCGCUAGUUCCUUAUUCUCUUCCUCAAGAUGGGUGGUACUACCCAAAGACAACCUUCUUAAGGCAUCAGCAAAAAUGUUAGUCUUACUUUGGUGGAAAAGAAUGUGCAUGUCAUAAUCUUUGAGAAAUUCCAACCAUCUACUUUAUCUGAUAUUAAGCUCUCUCUAAGGGAACACAUAUUGCAAGCUCUUGGGAUCAGUGAAGACAUCCACAUGAACAUUCUACAAAUAGUGGCGCCAUAUCUUCAAGGUGAAUACAAUAGCUGCCAACUAAAAGCCAUGGGUUGGAUAAUUUUUCUCAUAAACCUUCAACUUUCUGGAGGCAUAAGCUAUAACCUUGUAAUUCUGCAUUAACACGCAACCCAAAACAACUCUAUAUGCAUCACAAUCCAUCACAGAACCUUGAGUACCUUCUAGUAAGGUCAAGAUUGGAUCAAUAGUUGAUCUCUUCUUCAAUUCAUGGAAGCUUUUCUCACAAGUUUCAGACCAUUGAAACUUAAAUGAUCUUUGACUCAACCUGGUCAAAGGAGACGAGAUAGAUGAAAAACACUCAACAGACCUUCUACAGUAGCCAACCAAACCCAUGAAACUCCAUAUAUAAGUUGGAGACGUGGGUCUAGGACAACUCUGAACUGCUUCUAUCUUUUGGGUAUCAACUCUAAUCCAAUCCCAAAAACUAUGUGGCCCAAGAAUUCCACAAACUUAAGACAAAAUUCUCAUUUUGAGAACUUGACAUAUAACUCCUUAUCGUUCAAAGUCGAAAGGACUAUUUGGAGGUGACUAGCAGGAUCUUCUUCUUUCCUUGAAUAAAUUAAUAUGUCCACAAUAAGGACGAUAAAAAACAUAUCUAAAUAAGGUUUGAAGACGAUUACAUACAUAUCUAAAUAACGUUUGAAAACUCUAUUCAUAAGAUCCAUGAAUGUUGCACGUACAUUGGUUAACUUUAAGGACAUGAACAAAAGCUUAUAAUGCCCAUAUCUAGUUUCAAAAUCUGUCUUUGGAAUAUCACAUUCCACAACUAUUUAUUGAUGGUAAUCUGAUCUUAGAUCAAUUUUAAAGAAGCAGGAAACACCGUGAAGCUGAUCGAAAAGAUCAUCUAUCCUAGGAAAAUGAUACUUAUUCUAGGUGGUAACAUUAUUUAAUUGACAGUAAUCUAUACGCAUCCUAAGGGAACUAUCCUUAUUUCUCACAAAAAGACUGGAGCGCCCCACUGUUAGACAUUUGGUUAAAUUUAACCCUUAUCUAACAAAUCUUUCAACUGUUCUUUCAACUCUUUUAACUCUGUUGGUGCCAUCCUAUAUGGAUUAAUAGAGAUAGGACGAGUAUCUGGAACGAUGUCUAUGCCGAAAUAUAUUUCUCUCUCGGGUCCCUCCCGGGUAGAUCAUCAAUAAAGACUUAUUGAAACUCUCUUACUACUAGAACUGACUGAAUAAGAGGUAUCUCAACACUAGAGUCAUUAACUCAGACUAUGUGAUAGAUACACCUCUUAGAAACUAACUUCCUCGCUCUAAGGUACAUAAUGAAAUAACCCUUAGGCACUGCUGAAUUGUUUUUCCACUCUAAGAUUGGAUCAUUUGGAAACGGAAACUUGACUAUUCGAGUUCUACAAUAAACUGAGGCAUAAAAGGCAUGAAACCAAUCCAUACCAAGAAUGACAUCGAAUUCUACCAUGUCUAAUUCAACUAAAUCAGCCAUAGUACUCUUUUGACUGACGGAAACGGGACAACCCGAUAUAAUAUUUUUGCUAGAAUGGAAUCACCCACAAAUGUGGAGACACUAAAUUGUUCAUUAUAUUCCUCAGGAAUAAUAGCAAAGUUCAUAAAAACAUAUAUAGUUACAAAAGAUAAACUCGUUCAUGUGACUAUUAAUGCAUAAAAAGUAAAGUCAAAGACUUGAAUCAUACAAGUGACAACAUCUGGUGAGUUAUCAUUCUCUUAGAGAUUGUUUAGAGCAUAUAAGUGGUUUGUUCCUCCGCAAGUGUCGAAAGUAGACCCCGUAGGUGCAGCCCUAUCUGGUGGAGAAACAAAUGAAGAAUGGGAUUUAUUUCCCCCAUUACCAUAUACAUGCUAGUUGUUUGGACACUCUCUCAUGAAAUACCCGAUCAGAUCGCACUUGAAACAACUAGUGGAGCCCUCACGACAAACUCUGUAGUGGUUUCUACUACAUUUGGCGCUGGCAGGAGACGUAGUACCCCCUUGCGCCACACUAUCUAGUGAAUAUGCAUGUUUAGCUCUGGAAUUUUGACCGUAGUACCCACCGUUGUUUCUAGGUGCAUGUUCGUUAGCAGAUCAUAAAGCAGGACCCUUCUGUUUCUAUUUGAAGGAUGACCGAUUGGCAUUACUCUUCUGCUGCUUGGAUUCAUUCCUAGUCUCUGUUCCUCAACUUCUCCACUUCAACCUGCUGCACAUAAGCCAUCAACCUUGAUAUGUACAUGUCUCUUAUCAUCAUUGCAACUCUACCCUCCUUCUUUAAUGCACGACCCAAGCCAGCGACAAAAAGACUAAUCCUACUCCUCAUGUCCUUAACCAUAUCAGGAUCAUAGCAGGACAAAUAGAUAAACUUCAACACAUACUCAUGCAUACUCAAGAAGUUCUGCUUCAGGGUAAGAAACUCUAGUACCGUAGCCUCUUUCAAUUCUCUAGGAAAGAAAAUGCCCCAAGAAAGCCUCUUAAACACAAGCCCAACUCGGAUGUGGUGUAUCCUCAUCUCUGCCUUCCUUCCACUUAUCGAACCAAGUCCUAGCCACAUUUUUCUAUUGAAAUGCAGCUAGAUAACUUUUUCAACAUUAGUGACAUGCAUUACAUCAAACACCUUCUUUAGUUCCUCAACAAAAUUAUCCUCAUCCUCAAUGGUGCUCGAACCAGUGAAACUUGGAGGAUUCAUCCUCAGGAACGCACGAAUCCUUGAAGUGUUAGUCUCUUAUUGUCGAGCUCUUAUCUUCUGCCUAACUUGAUUGGUCACAUCUUGGCGGAGCAUCCUUAUUGCCUCUCUAAACUCAGCAUCAGAACCUUCUCCUUGUAGUUGCACUUCAGGUGCAUUGGGACCCUCUGGUUCAUCUACAUUCCUCCUACCUAGGCGACCUCUUGCUCUUAUUCGUGGAGGCAUGGUUAUGUGAAAUAACGUGGAAGCAUGAGUUAGAGAGAAACUUUAAGAUAUAAACUCUAGUGCACGAAAGAAAUAUGAAAGAAGUGAUGUAUUUCCUAAAUGUUACAGCCUCCUAAUUAUAGAUGUGGCGCGCUUCAAACCGAUAACUAGUAUCUACAGACACGGCUUCAUAGACACCUUAGGACUCUUAAGCUUUGUGUUCUAAUACCAAGUUUAUCACGCCCCGAGCCUACACCUUGGGCGUGGCCGACAUUUAAUGACCAUUGCUGGCCUUGAGCGGACCCUUGCCCUGACUUUCUUAACUCACAAGAAAACAACGAUCAAUACUAUAAUAAUAGAAGAACUGAAAUAAACUGAAUAAUUAGAUAAAUUCAAUGAUUAAAGAUAUAAACAUUCACCUUAGCCAAAGUGGCAACCCAAGUCUUUAACAUAAGAAUAGUAUGGUAAAGACUAAUGAACUACUAAUUGUCUAUUUAUGAUGUCUUCUAAAACUGAGAUGGAUGUUGAGACAGACCCCAUAACAUCCUAUAAAAAAAAACUGAAAGCAAUAAAUAUGUCUCUAGAAUGCAAGGAAGCUUACCACUGACUCUGAGUGCUCAGCUGGAUCAACGAGGCGCAUGAUGAUGCUGAUCCUGGUUACCCGCGUCUGAAUCAUGAUAUGAUGCAGCCUAACUGACUUAAGUACAUUGAAUGUAUUAGUAUGUGAGUUCGAAUUCUAAAGAACAUAAACAUGAAAAGUAGUCUGAACAAACACUUACCUUGGCUUUGUUCAACUCAUGAAUAAAAUAACCAAAUAAUAUUGACUCAUUUCAAUAUAAAACAAAUUUAAAGCAUAUGCAAUAUAAAGAAAAAAAAUGUUUGGAAACAUAUUUUAAGUUCUAAAUGUAUAUACAGAUACAAUAAUUUUGAGAUGUAUGCAAAAAUAAAAGUAAACUAAUGUAUAUAAAAUACAAUACUUCUGUGGAGUUUCUCUAAUCGACAACCAUCACUUAAGAGCUAUAGUGAUGAUACAACAAUCUACUUCAUGUUGCCAGCGCAUCCUAUACUUGGACGAAGGUAUAAGACCUGAAAUGUCUAAUGGAUCCACUAGUCUACUGUGGAAAGGAUUCAUCUAAAAAUUAUGGUCUUUUUCAACCCAUAGUGGCGACAUGGUUUAUGGGGGUUGUGAGUUGCCUGAAUUCUCCCCCAUAUCGGUGCUCAAUAUUACUCCCAAAACUUAUUAGCUCAUUUUUUAAAAAUAUAUUGAUUCUGUGGUUUGAGAUUAGUGCUGAAAAUACUUAGCUUGGAAAAAUAAAAUUCCCUGCUUGCUUCAUUUUGAAAGCAAUUUCUCUUUUAACCGGAAACUAGCCCGAAUGCUCUUUGAAAUCUCAGUUUCCCUUCUUUUUAAAUGUGAAAACAUUUUAAGUUCUUUUAGGAAUACUUAGUUCCCAUAUACUACUUUGAAGGAAUACUUUACUCUACUUUGAACUGAAUUCGAGCUUAAUUCUUAAAACAACACUUAAAAACGUUUUUGAAAGACUUAUGAAUGUACUCUUUUUCUUAUCUUAGAUUUUAAUCAAACAUAUCUUUAAGUCUUAAAAAAAGUUUAGAGUAUUUGCAAAAUACUUCAUGAAAGGACUUUAGGAAAUCUCUAGACUUGGCUCUAAAUUUUCCUUGAAUUUGGAGUUAUGGUUUCAAGGUUGUAAAUUCGUAUUUCUGGAUGAUUUUUAUAUGAGUAAAAGUCAUUUAGAGUAGUUAGAAUCAUUAGGAAUUGAUAAAACACCAUAGAAGGUCUUAAUCAGAUUGAACUACAAAAAUUGGGCAAAAAAUGUUGAUUUGGGCGUGUUUGGGGUGUCGCGCCAAACCCAUUAGUCUGAGGCACCAAUCUAGCACACUGCAGGCGCGCCUCCCCAGGCCUUCUGGAGAAGAUGCGGCACGCCUUGCUUGGUGCUUCCUAAUGCGUCUGAACAAUUUUCUUCUCUCGUUUUCUUAUUCUAAAUCACAUAAACCUCCAUAGUUAUUUUCCCAAACCCUUAGUAUUAUUAAUAUCUUCAAUAUCCAAUAGAUCUAACUAGAAAAAAACCCAAAAUUAAUCAUGGCAACAAUUGGCAAUCAACAACUCAAACAAUAAAGAAUUUAACUAUGACCUUCAAGAGUUUCACUAUUCUCAUUCAACCAAUUAGAAAAUAAAAGGAUUGAAGAGGUAUUGGUGUGGGGCUUUACUAACUCAACACUAAAAGAUCUCACAUACCUUGAUAGGGAUCAUCCCAAUGAAUUCCACUCAAAAAUCUUAGCGUUCUUGGCGAAUCCUUGACUCUUUCUCUUUUCUUCUUUUAUUCUCUGUUUUCCAAGCCCUAAGCGUGAUUUUAAUUUUUUCCUAACCUGAACUAAAACUAUUUUUACCCCAAAUAAAUCCAUAAAAUGAAAUAGGAAACUAAUUGGUGAAAAGACUAGUUUGCCCUUCCUUAAAUACGGAUUAGGAAUUUCCCUACUUCAACAAUCCAACUUCCGAUAAGAAUAUCUCUCUCAUACGAUAUCGAAAAUGCACAAACUUAGCGGUGUUGGAAAGAUCUAUCCAAUGGAUUUCCAACCAUAUCAAGAACUACCUCCAAAUCAUCCUGAUCUAAAAGUUAUGAUUAUUUGAAAAUGACCAAAAUUCUCUUUCUUAACCUAGGUAAUUUUUCCAGAUUUUCCUUUUUCUUUCCAAAAAUGGCUAUUUAUAGUUUCUUAGCUUAUCUCUUAGCUAUUUCAAUUUGUGAGAUGUUACACUACUUCUCUAUAUUUAUAUUUACAGGUUACAUAGUUUAAAUAAGGAUGCAUAUGUAUAAAUUUUUAAGACCUCACUUAUAUGAUUUCAUUGAAAAGGAACCCAAAAACCAUCGAAAAAGAAUGAUAUAAAGUUGGAAAUGGUUUUCAUUUUCCAAGGACACUUAUUGUAGCAAUUUAUUUUAUUUUUUAAAAUGAUGUGAGAUGAAUAACAACCUACAGGAAGUCUAUAACGUAAAAUUUUUAUAAAAUUGUAAGAAACUAAGGUGCAACGCACAUUCCUGAAACUAGUUAUACAAAAAGUAGAAAGUCACAAAUAUAAUAGUUGAAAUACUAUUUAACCCCUGUCUAAAUUCAAAAUGUUGUAAAAUUUCUAAUCAAUUAAAUAUAAAACUAUAUAUUUUAUCAUAUUAUAUUAAAUACCUAAACUACAAAGUGUGCUUUAAAACACAUUUUAAGAAUGUUUUUCCAUUCUCCAACAUAACUUUUGAGCUUUCUACAGAUUUCUAAGCAAUAUUUGUGCUUAUAAAUAUCAUGUGCAUGAGCUAAAAUUAUUAUUGAAAAACACAUAAUCUAAUUCGCCUUUCAUAGCUCAGAAGAAAAAUUAAAUUGAUUACAUCAAUUAUAGAAAAUGUUUAAGAAUGAAGAUCGCAGAUUGAGGUAGAAGCUUGUAGUGGAGCGCUCUCUUGCUAUCCUAAAGGUUUAGACUUAGUAGUGUGUAUCGUAGAAGUAUUUUUAUUCUUGUACUAUCUUUCUUUUACUUUCUUUGAUGCAAUUUCUUUUAUGGUGUUUCAGUUAUUGCACUUUUUUUUCUGUUGUUACUGUUUUAUUAAUAGUUGUUAUAUUAUAUUAUAUUCUCUUCACUGUCAUUUUUCUUUUUCAUAUUUACUAUGAUUGUCUAUAUUUAACUCGAGUUGAGGGUCUUCUAAAUUGAGAUAAGGUCUGUGCACACUCUAUAAUUGCUAGACGGAUUUCAAGAAAUAUGUAAUUAUUAUAAAAGACAUAGGUAUAAAAUCAGACAAUAGAUUUAAACGUUUGGGCUGAAUUGAUAAAUGUAUAUGUAUUUUGCUUUGUUAGCAAGUUUUGUUGAGAAACAUGUUUAUGCAUAUGUUUGAUAAGCUAUUGAUAUUUUUUAAGAAUUCUUUUAUCGUUAAAUUUCAAUUCUCUUAGUUAAUUCAAUAUUAAGAGUUUGAGGUAUUUACAUGCAUUUACAGUAAUCUAAAGCAAGAAAUUCAAACGGCAUAUUUCUAUAUGCCAUUAUGGAGCUAUUUUAUAGUGAUUUUCUUCACUUAUUUAUUUUUAGAUGAUAAAUGUAUUUGUCCGCUUUUUCGAGUUUAUCAAUAUAUGAAUAACUAAAGUAAUGAAUUACAGUAAACACAAUACAAGUUCAAAUUUUAAAUUCACAAAUUUUAAUGGCUCUCUGUAUCAUAACAACAAAUAUUUUCUCAAGUGAUGUAUCUUUUCAAAUAAAAUUUUGAUUUAUUAUUUUGUUAUACAAAUUUAACAUUAAUGUGUGUGUGCAUGCGUGCAUGUGUGUUGUGUGUGCAUGGGUGUGUGUGUUUGUACUUUUAUCAGAAAUAUGUAUUAUCUUAUUUAGGAGAAAAAUAUGAUGCAUACUUCGUUAUACAUAAUUCACAAAUUAUACUAUUUGUCUGUGCAAUUAAUUCCCUCUCAGGGUCUGUGCCUUUUGUUUUUCGGCUUUAAACUUGUAGCUUCCGAUUUCCCAAUAUGGAUAACUUAUUGAUUCUACAUUUAAUUUCUUUCUAUAAUCAAUAUUAAUAAUUUCUUGCGAAUGAUGUGUAUAUUUUAAUUAUUUUUCUUCAAUUUUUCGUAAAUUUUUUGUCUAUUAGACUUCACCAAUCUAAUUUUUAUGAAUUUUUUAUUAUUAUCGUAAGUAUGUAUUGUUAUUUGGCUUAGAUUAGUCAAUUGAAUUUAUAGGAAGUAUGUUAAAUACUAAAAAAAGUUAUAAAUUUAUCAAUAAUAUCUACAAAGGAAUUGAUUUUAAAUAUUACAAUGUGCCCUUAUUUGGUGUUUGUUGACACAUAAAAAUAUUACUCACUUCACAAGAUUUGCAUAAAAUUUUAACUGUUCUGAAGAAUCUAUCUAUAAAAAUCAAAUGGAACACGAUUGCAAUGCACGUGUCCAGAGACUAGUAUUACUAAAAGAAGAAACAAACAAAAGUUGAAAGUUGGAAUAUUAUUUUGCCCCUACACUAGAUUAAAAUAAGAUAAAUAUUUAUUUAAUUACAUAUUUAAAUAUUAGUGAUGAUCAAUUCUUAGAUUAAGUAAAUCUCUUAGUUAGGAAUGUGACAUCAAUAUUUUGUAUUGAUGUACAUUAGAUUGCAAACGAUAGUUAUACGUCCACCAACAAUCAAGAUUGAAAAAUUACAUAAAUCAAAAUCAUUGAUAAUUUUUCACCUUUGAAAAGAAGCAUGGAAACAAACUUUCUUGUGGAUCAAUAUGAUAAUUAGGAAUGUCCUACAUCAAUCUUUUCUAUCCAAGUACGGCUAACUACAGAUGAUAAUUAUAUGCCCAUCAACAGUCAAGAUUGAAAAAUUCUACACAUUAAUUUCUUUGAUAACUCAUCACUUUUGGCUAGAAGCAUGGUAAGAAAAAGAAUCAUGCUAGGGUCUUCUAAUGAAAGAUAAAAGAAUGAUAAUUUAAUAAAUAACCGUAGUUAAUUACUAGACUAACACUUGAAUCGGCUAUAACAAUAUCGAUUGGUGUGUCUUAAAUAUUUGAUCUUAAUGACAUUGAAUUGUCACGACCCAUAACGUGUCAUGAGUGGCACCCACAUUUAUCCUCCUAUGUGAGCGAACCAACCAAUCUAAACCCAACGUUUCAAACAUAAUAAAUAGAAAACAAUGUGGAAGACUUAAAACUAAUUAACAAAAUGAAUAAUCAACUUCUAAAUCUCAAAACUUAUCAUUAUCCCCAAAAUCUGGAAGUCAUCGUCACAAGAACAUCUAUCCUCAAAUUACUAAUCUAAGAGUAUCUAAGAAGUUAAAAUAAGUAAAAAGCUAGUCCAUGCCGGAAGUUCAAGGCAUCAAGACAUGAAGAGGAAGAUCCAGUCCAACCUAGAAGCAUUAGCUCACCCUGAAAUCCUGUGUAAUGAAGAAUGACUAGAGUUGCGGUUGAGUUGAAGAUGACGGAACGUUUGCUGUACUCCACAAAUAACAAAGAAAGAAACAUACAAGUAGGGGUCAGUACAAACGCAAGUACUGAGUAGAUAUUAUCGGCCUACCCAAAAUAAAAAACAGUAUAUAUCAGAUAAUAUCAUAAAGUCAACUACAAUACUCAACGGGUAGCAACAACAAGUACUAUAAUCAUUAAUAAGUACGCCAAGUCCACCCAUGAGGACGCAAGCCUCCACACCAUACUCAUUUGGGAAAUAGGUUCAUUAAAUUGAGUAUAUUAACAUCUUUCAAGAUUCAUUAUCUUUAUUUCUCUUGUGUCGGUACGUGACACUCCGCUCCCCUACUACUAUGUGCCGGAAUGUGACACUCCGAUCCCCUAAUUCUACGUGUCGGUUCGUGACACCCGAUCCCCUAAUUCUACGUGUCGGUUCGUGACACCCGAUCCCCUAAUUCUACGUGUCGGUUCAUGACACCCGAUCCCCUAAUUCUAUGUGUCGGUUCAUGACACCCGCUCCACUAAUCUCAUUCUAUUAAUUCAUCAAGCCUUCUUUUAUACCAAGACAUCAUCAAUCUCAUUACUUUAGUUCAUCAAGCCUUCUCUUAUACCAAGGCAUCAUCAAUCUCAUUACUUUAGUUCAUCAAGCCUUCUCUUAUACCAAGGCAUCAUCAUUAACAAGGUAAAUUUAGGAUUAGAGAUUCAAUAGACUCAUAAUGCUUAUUCAUCACAAUUAUAUAAUCACAUCAUGUAAGCACACAAUUAAGCAUAUAGAUGUUUUUAUAAUACUACCCAACACAUAUCAUUCCCUAUUAAGAGUCUACUACGAAUAGCAUAAAAACCAUAACCUACCUCUACCGAAGAUUCGUGAUCAAGCAAGCAAUUUCCCAAAGCUUUGUUUCCUCUUCGUUUCCCUCUUCUCUCGAUCGUUCUCUUUCACUCUCCUUGUUCUUUCUAUUUUUCUUAUUCAAACCCUCUUUCUUUUACCCUUAUUAGCAUAUAAUUAGGCAUAAAAGAUGGUGAAUUAAUCCAUUAAUUAAUUCAAGGUUAUCUCCUUUAACCCUCAAGAAAUUGGAUUAUUAAUAUUCAACCACUAACUUUAUAAUUAUAAGAAGGAAUAGUCCAAAACACCCCUUAAAACAUUUAAAGAAAUCCGACCCAGCCUAGGAUUACGCAGCCUGUGACGGUCCGUCGUGCCUGCGACGGUCCGUCCUGCUGCUUCCGUCACAGAGUUCAGAGACUCAAUUCCUUGAAGGGUCUGUGAGGGUCCGUCGUGCCGACGACGGUCCGUCCUGCCAUGUCGUCACGAAGUUCAGAGAGUCGAUUUCAGUACACAAAUUUCAGAAUUCUAAGUGUUUUGGAAUGAGACCCCCUCGACGGUCUGUCGUGCCUACGAUGGUCCGUCGUGGGAUCCGUCGACCAAGAUAGUUUUUCCAGAAUAAAAUUUGCUACUCAAAACGACUAAACAGGUCGUUACAAUAGAUACCAAUUUACCCAUCGUUCGUUCUCGAAUGAUCAUAAGAAGAAAAGCAAGAGCGAAAAGGAGUACCGGAAUCUGUAAACAGGUGUGGGUAUCUUUCUUGCAUAUCUUCCUCCUUCUCCCAUGUGGCUUCUUCGACUAGUUCAUCCUUCCAUUGAACUUUGAUGGAUGCAAUCUCCCUUGACCUCGCCUUGGCGAACUUCUCUAUCUAAAAUAGCAACAGGAUCCUCCUGAUAAGACAAAUUCUCAUCGAGCAGAACUGAAUCCCAACGGAUGAUGUAGUUUCCAUCCCCAUGAUAUCUUUUCAACAUAGACACAUCAAAAUACCGGAUGCACUCCUGACAGUGCUGGGGGCAAGGCUAAUUCAUAAGCUACCUCCCCCACGCGCUUCAGAACUUCGAAUGGACCAAUAUACCUUGGGCUUAGCUUACCUCGCUUACCAAACCACAUCACCCCUUUCAUGGGCGAAACCUUCAGGAAAACUUGCUCACCCUCAAUAAAGUCCAAGUCUCUAACCUUCCGAUCUGCAUAUUCUUUCUGUCUACUUUGAGCCACUAAAAGCUUUUCUUGAAUGCAUUUCACUUUAUCUAGCAAUUCCCUCAGAAGGUCAGUACCCCAAGGUCUAACCUCAAAUGCAUCAAACCACCCAAUGGGAGACCUACAUCUUCUCCCAUAUAGUGCCUCAAAUGGGGCCAUAUCAAUACUUGAGUGGUAGCUAUUAUUGUAUGAGAACUCUACUAAGGGUAAGAAAUUAUCCCAAUGACCACCAAACUCUAUCACACAUGCACGAAGCAUAUCCUCCAAAACCUGAAUCGUUCACUCAGACUAACCAUCGGUCUGAGGGUAAAAUGCGGUACUAAGAUCUAACCUAGUACCCAAUUCAGCAUGCAAUGUUUUCCAAAAGUUAGAAGUAAACUGCGUACCUCUAUCUGAUAUGAUGGAAAGUGGAACUCCAUGCAAUCGAACAAUUUCUGAGAUGUAAAGUUUGGCUAACUUCUCUGCAUUGUAAGUCACCUUGACUGGAAUGAAUUGAGCAGACUUAGUUAAUCUGUCAACAAUUACCCAAAUGGAGUCAUACUUACUUAUUGUCUUGGGAAGACCAACUACGAUGUCCAUUGCAAUUCUUUUCCACUUCCAUUCAGGAAUGGGCAUUCUCUGAAGUGUUCCUCCGGGCCUCUGGUGUUCAUACUUUACUUGCUGACAAUUUGGACAUUUGGAGACAAACUCCACAAUGUCACGCUUCAUCCUACUCCACCAAAAAUGUUGCUUUAGGUCACGAUACAUCUUGGUUGCACCAGGAUGUAUAGAAUACCUUGAGCUAUGAGCCUCUGUCAGAAUAGUGUGGAUUAAAUCAUCGACGCGGGGUACACAUACCCUUCCCUUAAUCCUCAAAACACCUUCCUCAUCGAUCGUUUCUUCCUUAGCCUCUCCUCGCAACACCUUAUCUCGGAUCUGGAUCAGCUUCUCAUCGGUGAACUGCUUUCCCUUAAUCUUGUUAAGAAAAGAAGAUCUUGCCUCCACACUGGCCAAAAAUCCUCCCUUCUCAUUUACUUCUAGCCUCAUAAAGUUAUUAGCCAGAGUCUGAACUUCUCUAGCCAAUGGGCGUCUAGAAACUUGCAAGUGAUCUAGACUUCCCAUGCUUCCUGCCCUUCUACUUAAGGCGUCUGCCACAACAUUAGCCUUUCCUGGAUGAUACAAGAUAGUGAUGUCAUAGUCCUUCAGUAGUUCCAUCCAUCUCCUCUAUCUCAAGUUCAAAUCUUUUUGGGUAAAAACAUACUGUAGGCUACGAUGAUCCGCGUAGACUUCACACUUAACCCCAUAUAAGUAAGGUCUCCAUUGCUGUAAUGCAAACACUACUGCAGCCAUUUCCAAAUCAUGGGUCGGAUAAUUACGUUCAUGCACCUUUAAUUGCCUUGAAGCAUAAGCAAUUACGUUCUUCUCUUGCAUUAGCACGCACCCAAACGCGAAUAGGAUGCAUCACAAUAGACAAUGAAAAUUCUUACCUUCCACUGGCAGGGUAAGGAUUGGUGCAGUAGUCAACAAAGUCUUGAGUUUCUGAAAGCUUUCCUCACAUUCGUCCGACCAUACAAAUGGAACAUUCUGCUUAGUCAAGUUCAUCAAUUGGGAUGCAAUGGAAGAGAAACCCUUGACAAAUCGACGGUAAUAGCUAACUAAACCAACAAAGCUCCUUAAGCUUUCCUCACAUUCGUCCGACCAUACAAAUGAAACAUUCUGCUUAGUCAAGUUCGUCAAUUGGGAAGCAAUGGAAGAGAAUCCCUUGACAAAUCGACGGUAAUAGCUAGCUAAACCAACAAAGCUCCUUAUUUCUGACACAUUAGUAGGUCUUACCCAAUUCUUCACUGUCUCAAUCUUAGAAGGAUCCACCAUCACCCCAUCCUUAGAAACCACAUGCCCCAAGAAGGACACUGCAUCUAGCCAAAACUCACACUUGGAGAAUUUGGCAUAAAGCUUUUUCUCCCUCAAAAUUUCCAAUAAAAUUCUCAAGUGCUCCUCAUGUUCCUUCUUGCUCUUUGAGUAUACAAAAAUAUCAUCAAUAAAUACAAUCACAAAGUGAUCCAGAUAUGGCUUAAAAAUCCCAUUCAUCAAGAUCAUGAAAGCAGCAGGGACAUUCGUAAGACCAAAAGACAUCACUACAAAUUCGUAAUGCCCAUACCUGGUCCGAAAAGCAGUCUUUGGCACAUCCGUUGCCCGUAUUUUCAAUUGAUGAUAACCGGAUCUCAAGUCAAUCUUAGAGAAGACACAAGCACCUUAUAACUGAUCGAACAAGUCAUCAAUGCGAGGAAUGGGAUACUUGUUCUUAAUAGUUACCUUGUUCAACUGCCGGUAGUCUAUGCACAUCCUAAAGCUUCCAUCCUUCUUCUUCACAAACAAAACGGGAGCACCCCAAGGAGAUGCACUUGGUCUAAUGAAGCCUUUUCUCAACAACACUUGAAGUUAGGCCUUUAACUCUCUUAACUCCGCAGGAGCCUUUCUAUAAGGGGGUAUAGAAAUGGGGCGAGUACCCGGUUCCAGAUCGAUGCAAAAAUCAAUAUCUCUAUCCGGUGGCAUACCAGGAAGAUCUGCAGGGAACACAUCCAGAAACUCACGGACUACCAAAACCGACACAAUUGAAGGUACUUGGGUAGUGUCAUCCCUGAGAUGUGCCAAGAAAGAUAAACACCCCUUACUAACCAUUCUCUUAGCACGAUAAAAGGAGAUAAUACGAACCGGAGUGGAAGUGAAGUCGCCCUCCCACAAUAACGGAUCUGUCCCAGGCUUGGCUAACGUCACAGUUUUAGCAUUACAAUCCAAGAUCGCAAAAUUCGGAGAAAGCCAAGUCAUACCCAGAAUUACAUCAAAAUCAACCAUUUCUAAGAUAACCAAGUCUACAUAAGUAUUGCUCCCCACAAAAGUCACCAAACAAGACCUAUAUACUUUUUCAACUAUCACAGACUCACCCAUCGGAGUAGACCCACGAAUAGGUAUGUCAAGCAAUUCACAAUGUAAAUUAAGACCACUAGCAAAUGAGGAAGAUACAUAUGAAAAUGUGGAGCUGGGGUCAAAUAACAGAGAAUCCAUACAAUCACAAACCAAAAUAUUACCUGUGAUAACAGCAUCUGAUGUCUCCGCUUCCAACCGCCCAGGAAGAGUCUGCGACGGUCCGUCGUGCCCACGAUAGUCCGUCCUACCAUGUCGUCACGAAGUUUAGAGAGUCGAUUUCAGUACCCAAAUUUCAGAAUUCUAAGUGUUUUGGAACGAGACCCCCUCGACGGUCCGUCGUGCCCAUGACGGUCCGUCAUGGGAUCCGUCGACCAAGACAGUUUUUCCAAAAAAAAAUAUGCUGCUCAAAAUGACUAAACAGGUCGUUACAAUAUUGAAUAGAGAAUCUAAAUGCUUGCUUGGACUGUGUAGUUCCUUAUAUGGUAAAUCAACAACAUUAGAGUUAGUUCUUUCUUCUUUUUCUAACUUUCCUUGGUUGAUUUGAUCUCUUUUCUAGCUAUAGCAUGGUUAAGUGAUUUUUCUAUUAUAUUAAAAAUAGAGUUAAAUAACUUUUUGAUAUAAUUUUCAUUUAUCGAGUGAGCUUUAUAUUACAAAAACUAUAUUGACUAACUUCUUAUUAAAAAUAUAUUAAGAUAAUUUUUAGAGACUUUAUUGACCAAUAUCUUAAAAAAAUAAAGUUGAUUAAAAAAUAUUACUCCCUUUGUUUUAAAAAGAGUGGUCUAAUUUGACUUAGGCGGAGUUUAAGAAAAUAAUGAAAAUUGUUAAAUCUUGUUGUCCUAAAUUAGAGUUAUGUUUAAUGGACAAAAUUGUUCUUUAUUAAUCCUUUGGCCUUAAACAUGUCACCUGGAAAGAUGAAAUUAAAAUGUUACCAAAAUAAGAAGAAAAGUCAAUCUUUUUUAAACAGACUAAAAUGGAAAGUGAGUCAUUCUUUUUAAAGGGUAUUUGAGUCUCUCUCUCUCUCUCUCUCUCUCUCUCUCUUCUCUCUCUCUCUCUCUCUCUCCCUAUGUAUAUAUAUAUAUAUAUAUACACACACACUAGGACUCAGCUUAGGGUGUCAAAAGGUUGGACUUCUUUUCAUCUUAUACUGCUGUUAAAUCUGAUGUGUAAAAGAUGGGUGUGGCGAGGUUAAGGUGUUUGGUGUUGGCACUAUUUGUUUGAAAACCAAUACUGGUUCAACGUUGGUCCGUCAGAAUGUCAAGCAUGCUCUAGACAUUCCAAUAAAUUUGAUCUUUAUAGGACAACUAGAUGAUGAUGGCUAUAAUAAUGACUUGUGUAAUGGCCAAUGGAAGCUCACCAAAGGAUCAUUGUUUCUAGCUCGAGGAAGAAAACAUUCAAAUUUAUACGUGACACAAGUAUCGAUUCUUGGUGACUCUAUAAAUUUGGUGGAGGGCGAGACUUUAUCAGAAUUGUGGCACAAGAGGCUUAGUCAUAUGAACGAGAGGGGGAUCACAUGUUUGGCUAAGAAAAAUUUGGUUGCUGGUAUAAAACAAACAAAGGUGAAAAAAUGUGUUUAUUGCUUAAUAGGGAAACAGAAUAGAGUUUCUUUUCACAGUCAUGCUCCUUUAAGAAAGUCUGAGCUAUUGGAGCUAGUACACUCAAAUUUGUGUGGUCCUCUCAAAGUGAAGUCUAAAGGUGGUAAACUUUACUUUGCUACUUUCAUUGAUGAUCAUUCUUGCAAGAUUUAGGUAUAUCCUUUAAAAUCCAAAGAGAGACAAACAGAAAGAAGUUUAAAUGUAUUAGCACUGAUAAUGGUGGUGAGUUUAUUUGUUCCUUUGAUAACUACUACAAAUCGCAAGGAGUUCGUCAUCACAAGACUCCUCCAAAAAUUCCUCAAUUAAAUGGUUUGUCAGAGAGGAUGAAAAAAACUUUAGUUAGGAGAGGUAGAUGUGUGCUUUCAUAGGCUAAACUUCCAAAUUCUUUUUGGACUGAAGCACUUAACAUUGUUGCUUAUGUUAUCAAUUAGUCUCCUGUUGUUGAUUAUAGUGAUGUUCCAAACAGAGUUUGGUUUGAUAAGGAUGUUUUUUAUGAUCAAUUGAAAGUGUUUGAGUGUAAAGCUUGUGUGCAUGUUCCAAAAGAUGAGAGGUCGAAAUUGGAUGUUAAAACUAAGCAAUGCAUCUUCAUUGGUUAUGGUCAAGAUGAGUUUCGAUAUCACUUUUAUGAUCCAAUUUAUAAGAAACUCAUUAGAAAUCGUGAUGUUGUGUUCUUUGAAGAUCAAACUAUUGAAGACAUUGACAAGACUGAGAAACUAGAUUCUCAUAUUGAUGAGAGCUUAGUUGAUGUUGAUCCAAUUCUUCUUAUUGAUAUAUCUUUUGCACAUGAUGGAACCCAAGGUAAUGAUCCAAAUAAUGAUUAGAGUGUAGAACAUAUAAAUGUUCCUACUUAUGAUGUUGUGGUUGAUAAUCAACCAACUCAUGGUGAGAUAACCACUUCGAAUGAUCCAGAAACCUCUUGUAGAAAAUCUACUAGAGAAAAGCGAAGAUCAACACGUUAUUCUCCUAAUGAGUAUAUCCUCUUAAGUGACAUGGGAGAACCUGAAGUUUAUGAUGAAGUUAUGUAGACACUCAUAGAGAUAUGUAGGUAUAAACCAUGGAAGACGAGAUGAAGUCACUUUACGAGAAUGGCACAUAUAAGCUAGUGGAGUUACCGAAAGGUAAGAAAGCUUUAACAAAUAAAUGGAUAUUUAGAUUUAAUCAAGAUCAACAUAUAUUUGCACCUUGAUACAAGUCUAGGUUAGUCAUCAAUGGUUUUGGUCAAAGAAAGGGGAUUGACUUUGAUGAAAUUUUCUCUCCUGUUGUGAAAAUGUCCUCUAUUCGUAUGGUUCUAGCCUUAGCCCCAAGUCUAGAUUUAGAGAUUGAGCAUAUGGAUGUCAAGAUUGCCUUUUUUCAUGGUGAUUUAGCAGAAGAGAUCUACAUGGAGCAACCUGAAGGUUUUGUAGUUAAUAGGAAAGAAAACCAUGUUUGCAAAUUGGGAAAGAUUUUGUAUGGCUUGAAACAAACUCCAAGGCACUGGUACUUAAAGUUUGAAUCUAUCAUUGAAAAUCAGGGAUACAAUAAAACUUCUUCAGAUAAUUUUGUAUUUUUUCAGAAGUUCUUUGAUGAAGAUUUUCUUAUCUUACUACUUUAUGUGGAUGAUAUGCUGAUUGUUGGCAAAAAUAAAUCUAGAAUUGCAGUCCUUAAGAAAGAGUUAAACAAUUCGUUUGCAAUGAAGGACUUGGGGCCAGCAAAAAAGAUCUUAAGCAUACAAAUAUAUCGAAAAAACACAAGAAGAAGUUCUCUCUAUCCCAAAAGAAUUAUAUUGAGAAAGUACUCAAGAGGUUCAACAUGACAGAGACAAAAGUGGUUAGUACACUUCUUGCUAAACACUUUAAGUUGAGUACGAGUCAAAGUCCAUCGACUAAUGAAGAGAAGAAUGAGAUGUUGAGUAUUCCAUAUUCUUCCGCGGUUGGUAGUUUGAUGUAUGCUAUGAUUUGCACUAGACCAGAUAUUCCACAUGUUGUUGGUAUCGUUAGCAGAUUUCUUUCCACUCCUGGAAAAGAACAUUUGGGUAAAGUGAAAUGGAUACUACGAUAUUUGAAGGGUAAGUAAGAUAUGGAGUUGUGCCUUGGUAGUGGCAAGUCUGAACUAGUAUGCUACACAGACUCUAAUUUGGGAGGAAAUCUUGACAAUUCAAAAUCCACUUCUGGCUAUUUGAUCACUUUUGGAGGGGGAGCUAUUUCUUGUCAAGUAAGACUUCAAAAGUGCAUAGCUCUAUCCACCAUAGAAGCCGAAUAUAUUGUCAUUACUGAAGGUACCAAGGAAUUUCUUUGGAUGAAGGAGUUUAUCAAAUAUCUUGUUUUUGAACAAUCAUGAUUUGUCUUAUUUUUUGAUAAUCAAAGUUCUAUUUAUGUCACCAAGCACUCUACCUUUCAUUCUAAGUCCAAGCAUAUUACUAGAAAAUAUCAUUAGAUUAGAAUGGCCCUAGAAGAGAAAUUAUUUGAGGUUGAGAAGUUACACACUGAUGACAAUCCUUCAUAUAUGCUUACGAAAGUGGUGAUCGUAGAUAAGCAUGAUUUUUGUAGAAGUGCGGCAUGCAUGAAGCCUGCCAAGAGAUCCUCCACUUGAAGUCUAUUGGGCCCCUUUGCUGGAGAGGAAUUUUGUUGGGCUAUUGCCCAUGUUCUAGGCAAAGUCCCAUGGCCUAAUCCUACUUGAAAAAGGAUUGGAAUUAUUCUCUUUAUUUGGUUUCCAAUUCUAUUAGGAAAAGGAUUGGAAUUGUAAUCUUAUUUGUAGUUGGUUUUGAGUCUAUAAGGAAAAACACAACUCUAUUAAUAGAGGAUGGUCUUGAGAGAAUAAUUAAUGGUCAUUGAUAUUGUCUUUGAGAGACAUUAGAACAUAAGAGAGUUUUUUUUAGAGAGCUUUCAACAAGAGAAAAGAAAGAAAGAAAAGGGUUCUUUUGCUGCAGUCUUUUUCUCCGACUAGAACCAUACAAAUAGAGGACAUUUUCACAACAUGAGAGAAAAUUUCAUCAAAGUCAAUCCCCUUUCUUUGACCAAAACCUUUGAUGACUAACCUAGACUUGUAUCUAGGUGCAAAUGUAUGUUAAUUUUUAUUUAAUCUAAAUAUCCAUUUAUUUGUUAAAGCUUUCUUACCUUUCGGUAACUCCACUAGCUCAUAUGUGCCAUUCUCGUGAAGUGACUUCAUCUCGUCUUCCAUGGCUUAUACCUAACUAUCUCUAUGAGUAUCUAAAUGAUUUCAUCAUAACAUUCAGGUUCUCAUGUCAGUCAAGAGGAUAUACUCAUUAGGAGAAUAACGUGCUGAGCUUCGCUUUUCUCUAGUAGGUCUUCUACAAGAGGUUUCUGGAUCAUUCGAAGUGGUUAUCUCACCAUGAGUUGGUUGAUUAUCAACCACAACAUCAUAAGUAGGAACAUUUAUAUGUUCUACACUCUGAUCAUUAUUUGGAUCAUUACCUUGGGUUCCAUCAUGUGAAAAAUAUAUAUCAAUAAGAAGAAUUGGAUCAACAUCAACUAAGCUCUCAUUAAUAUGAGAAUCUAGUUUCUUAGUCUUGUCAAUGUCUUCAAUAGUUUGAUCUUCAAAGAACACAACAUCACGACUUCUAAUGAGUUUCUAUAAAUUGGAUCAUAAAAGUUAUAUCCAGACUCAUCUUGACCAUAACCAAUGAAGAUGAAUUGCUUAGUUUUAACAUCUAAUUUCGACCUCUCAUCUUUUGGAAUAUGCACACAAGCUUUACACCCAAACACUUUCAAGUGAUCAUAAGAAACAUCCUUAUCAAACCAAACUCCAUUUGGAACAUCACUAUACAAAUCAACAACAGAAGAUAAAUUGAUAACAUAAGCAACAAUGUUAAGUGCUUCAGUCCAAAAAGAAUUUGGAAGUUUAGCCUCUGAAAGCACACAUCUACCUCUCCCAACUAAAGUUUUGUUCAUCCUCUCUUCCAAACCAUUUAAUUGAGGAGUCUUUAGAUGAGUCUUCUGAUGACGAAUUCCUUGCGAUUUGCAGUAGCUAUCAAAGGGACCAAUAUACUCACCACCAUUAUCAGUGCGAAUACAUUUUAACUUAUUUCCCGUUUGUCUCUCAGAUAAGGCUUGAUACUGUUUAAACACAUCAAGAACAUGAUCUUUAGAUUUUAAAGGAUAUACCCAAAUCUUGCAAGAAUGAUCAUCAAUGAAAGUAGCAAAGUAAAGUGUACCACCUUUUGACUUCACUUUGAAAGGACCACACAAAUCUAAGUGUAGUAGCUCCAAUAGCUCAGACUUUCUUAAAGGAGCAUGACUGCGGAAAGAAACUCUUUUUUUUUCCCUGUUAAGCAAUAAACACAUUUUUUCACCUUUGUUUGUUUCAUACCAGCAACCAAAUUCUUCUUAUCCAAACAUGUUAUCCCCCUCUCGCUCAUAAGACUAAGCCUUCUGUGCCACAAUUCUGAUGAAGUCUCGCUCUCCACCAAAUUUAUAGAGUCACCAAGAAUCGAUCCUUGUGUCACGUAUAAAUUUGAAUGUUUUCUUCCUCGAGCUAAAAUCAGUAAGCCUUUGGUGAGCUUCCAUUGUCCAUUACAAAAGUCAUUAUUAUAGCCAUCGUCAUCUAGUUGUCCUAUAGAGAUCAAAUUUAUUGGAAUGUCUGCAGCAUGCUUGACAUUAUGACGGACCAACGUUGAACCAAUAUUGGUUUUCAAACAAAUAUUGCCAAAACCAAACACCUUAACCUCACCGUUGCUGGUGAGGGUUACAAAUAUUCUUCUAAUGGCUACACAACAAGUGCAAAAAGAUAACAAACAUUAGCUAUACCAACAAAAGAUAAAUAGAAAGAAACAACACCCAAACUCAACUUCUGUUCGAGACCUAAAAAAGGAUCUUGCUAACCACCGAAUCCGAUCUCCUCCAUUCAAAUCAACCACCAAGAUGUCAAAAACACUCAAUCCAAAUUUUAACACAGUCCAACGGUUAGUUAAUCAGAAAACACGAUCUGAACGUUGUUGGUCGGAGAAAAAGACUGCAGCAAAAUAACUCUUUUCUUUGUUUCUUUUCUCUUGUUGAAAGCUCUCUCAAAAACCUCUCUUAUGUUCUAAUGUAUUUCAAAGACAAUACAAAUGAUCAAUUAAUUAUUCUCUCAAAACCAUCCUCUAGUUAUAGAGUUGUGCUUUUUCUAACAAAGCAAAAACCAACUACAAAUAGGAUUACAAUUCUAAUCCUUUUCCUAAUAGAAUUGGAAACCAAAUAAAGAGAAUAAUUAUAAUCCUUUUCCAAGCAGGAUUAGGCCAUGGGCCUUUGGCUGGACCAUGGUCAAUAGCCCAACAAUAACGUGUAGUAAUGUAAGAAACCAAGUUGUAUUAUUUGUUCAUCCAACCUAUGUCUGGACUAUUUUAGGAUUUAGUAGAAAAAGAAAGACCAAUAAUUCAGCUGAGUAUGAAAUACAUUGAUGUUAGGAGGUUAUAAACGCGUGGUUAUGUAAGAAACCAAGUUGUAUUAUUAGUUCAUCUAACUAUGUAUGUCUUAUUUCAGGAUUUAGUUGUCAACUAAAGUUUACCCUUGUUUUUUACGUCAUUGAUGAUAAAGGUGUAAAGUGAAAAAAAAUAGUGAUUGUUAUUAAACUGUGUUAUAUCUUCCAACUAACUUUACAAAAGUAUGUUUUAAUUUCUCCUGGUUGGGAUGGUCUACAAUCACAUUACGGAAGUUGUAUUCUUGAUGUAAGUACCAAGAAGUUAAAGGAAGCAAAGAUCAGUUACUUGUUUUACCGGAAUUGCAGUCUUCCUCUUCUACUUCAAUUUUAACCUUUUCAUCUUGAAGGUUCUUUUGUGAAGAUUCUGUAGUUUGUUCUCUAUUGCAUCAUAUAGUUGAUCUGAUUAUCCCUAACCAUAUGGUAAUGCAUUAUUGACAUUUCUGGAAAUGAGUAAUCAAAAUUUGUAUAUGUAGAUCAGGUAUAUGAAGGAGAUGUAUUUAUCAGACCUCAAUGAUUUAUACGAGAAAAUUGAUCAGCAAGUACAACAGGUAUGUCAUCAACACCCCCUUAAGUGCUUCAUCAUAGUUCCAAAUUUUGGUUCACUCCCUUUCAAGUUUCUUCAAAGGACGCACCAUCAUUUGCAUAUUGUAUUCUAUUGGUUAUUAGAAACACCUCCAACUGGGAACUGAUGCAAAGAGCUCAAGGCACUACAUUAUCAUUUUUGCUUCUUUAAUUUGGUUCCUUUCCUGUCGAUUGUCAUCUUUAGAAACAGUGCUUGCAUAGUUAUAAAGAGCCUAAUAUCUUUUAAUUUCUAGCAUCUGCAUUAUUAGUUUGUGUUGAAGCAUUGUGAAUGAUUGUAAAGUGGAGUUAGUAAUGCAUGGAUAUCAUAAAAGAGUUGUUUUCACAUGUAAUUUCUCUGUUGGUUUUUUUAUUUUGCUUUCGGGGAUGGAAUUUAGGCCUUCAUAGUUCUUCGGCCAAGGGCUAUAAUCAUCUGAAAAAGCACUUGAAUGAACAUUAUGUUGAAUUGUGUAAACCUUGUGAACUAUAUUAUGUGUCUCUUUAUGUCAUUUCUUGAACUUUACUCCCUUUUUCGUUGCCGUUGGAGGUACUUGAAGAAAAAUUUUUAAAAAUUUGCUAAGGACAAGAAACAGGACUGUGACUGAACUGAUUUCUUUUUACUGAUUUUAAGCACAACUCUCUUCAAAAGGAGAACAUUGAAAAGCUCAAGAUGUUCAAAGUGAGACUGGAACACAUUAUGCAUUUCUUGUGGCUUAAAAAGAAAGACAUUCAACUUAAUCACAAGGGCAAGCUGGUUACGGUUGAGAAGAAGAUAAGUUUCUUUCUAAGGUUCAAUUGGGAACGCAGUGUGACUUCUUCUUCUCUACAGCAGGGGGAACUUCAUCAUGAUAACAUAAGCUCAUUUAGUACACAAAGUGGAACGAACCUCGUACAGGCAAACCUCAAAUCUGUACAGCAAAAUUCAAGCGUGCUACCACAUUUACUUCCUAUACAGCCCGUGCAGCAAAUGAUGCCGAACAAACAAUUAAAACCUCUGUGCAACCGGCUGCUGAUACAGCAACAACUUCUUCGAAGUCAGCAGUUAAUGGAACAUCAGCAAGCUAUGAACUCACUGCAGCAGUUAAUGCAACGGAAUAAUUUGACCAACUUGCCACAUAAAUCCUUGUCUGGUGUAUCGACAAAUAUCAACACUGAGCUAUACAUGAUAAAUUCAGUAAAGCCUGGUUUCAAUUUCAAUAUGGGACUGAGUAAUUCUUUGAAAUCCCCGCAACAGAUGUCUACUGGAUUUAACAAUCUUCAACAUGGUAACAAAAGCUCAUUCAGAACACAAAGUGUAACGAAUCCCAUACAAGCAAACCUCGGUUCUCUAUAGAAAAAUUUGAGUGUCUGGCAGAGAAUGUCGUAGAGCCAGCAAACGUUGCAGAACCAACAAUUAAGACAGCAGUUACACAAUCGGCAUAUGCAGCAGCUACAUUUUCAUACACUGAAGUUAAUGCAACAGCAGCAAGCAAAGCAAGAGUAGACCACACUAUUGCCAAUCCACCAGAUGUCGCAGCUUCAUCAGUCUUCCAUGCUGCUUGAGCAACAACAAUCUCUUGAUGGAAGCAUUCCAACAAAACAAUAUUAUCGAUUUGCAACAUGAUUGUUUGGAUAAUUAAAUUGUUUAUGUUUUGUGCACUCGUGAACACUCCCUUCUUUAGAUUAUGUGAAGUACUGAAAUUAUUUUGAUAAAUUUCUAAAGUUUUUUUGUGGCAACUUAGGUUGAAAUUCGAAAUAUCCAUCUUCAAAUUUUUUUCUGUUUAAAUGUUUUGCAAAUUUUACAAACAGUCACAAUUUUUCACAAUUUUUUUUGUGAGUCAUUAUUUUUAAAAUAUAUAUAUAUUAUUGAUUCGUAAAGUGUGUUUCCUUAAAUAAUUAUACUAUUUAAAUUGGACUUCAAAUAAAAAUUUGUUAUACUAUCUUAAUGAUAGUUAUUGUUUUUUUUUUUUCCUUUAAAACCUUUAAGAUAGUUAUCACUGGCAAGAUUUUCCAAUAAGUCAGUAAAAUUACUCAUUUUGUGUUUUGUUCUAAGAUCUCAUGUGUUCAAAAUUAAUAAUCCCUUGCCAUAUAUGAAUCUUUUUAGUUAUUACUAAUUGUAUCUCAUACUUUGUACGAACCCUCUAUCUUAAGGAACAAUAUUGUUAUUAUCCCUCGUUAUUUUAUAUACCUAGACUUUUGACAAGUGCUUUGCACGUGAUUAUUAAUUAAAAAAAUUUAAGCUAAGAUUUGAAUGAUAAGCUUUGCACAAAAUAAUAAUACAGAUUAUUUUGUGAAUGUUCAAUGUGGAUCGUCAAAUAUAUCUCUUAUUAACACAGACCUAUAAUGAUGUUCAGUGAACAAUUUUAUUAAUUAAAUGAAAUAAUGUACAUAUUUAUUUGAAUUUGAUGAAUUUGUAUCAUGUAAGUAGUAGUCUCUUAACAAUAUUACCUUAUAAACGAUAUUUGUUGCAUGUGUUUCUAUCCAUCUAAUCUGAUGUGUUUUGCACGUGUAUUCAAUAUAAUCUCUUUAGAUGUCAUAUGCACAUGUAGAGAUGUCAUUUUAUUCAUAUAUAUUCACAUAUUUUUAGAUUAUCGUGAGUUUUAUUUUUAAAGAAAAAUUAAAAUAAUAUAUUUUGAAGUUAGAAAUCCUGUUAACUUGAUAAUACAUUUGUAACAUAUAUAAAUGCUAAAAUAUGAACUUUUUUCUUUGAUGAAAAUAUUGAAAUAUUAAGAAAGAGUAAUUUAGUCAAACUAAAUGACAAUUUUUACAUAAUAAUAAUUAUUUUUAAUCAAACAUCCUUACAAUCAAAGUCACAUAAGUAGCAGUAAUAAAUAAAAUCAUUCUUUCGUCUUGAUUAUCAAGAGAAUCAUAUCGUACAUACGUGGUGCCACCAAAACCAAGAAUUUCCUUUUAAAUCUAUUUAUUUCAAAAAUUAGCCUUCCGCUUUGAUGAAAAGAUGUGACUUUUGUGAAAAUUUUAUCAAAAGUGGCCAAAUUGAUGAAAAGUUAUGACUUUAAUGAAGAGUUGUGACUUUUAUGAGAAGUUGUGACUUUUAUCAAAAGUUGCGACUUAAUCAAAAGCUGCGACUUUUAUGAAAGGUUGUGAACAUUUCGAAGGGUUGUAAAUUUUCCAAAUAAUUGUAACCUUUGUGAUAAGGCACAAUAAAGAUUUGUUUUACAUUACCAUUUAGCAUCAUAUAUUAUUAUAAGUAGGAACCGCCUAACCCUAAAGUUGAUUUACCGUUUUGCCCCUACUUAUAUGAAUUAAAUAUUAAUUUAUUAAAUACAUAUAUUAGUUAAAUAUUAAAUUUUUAUAAAUUAAAUUAGCUGUCAGACCUAAUUUGAUUCUCCAGAAACGUAUAGUUGUUGUUCAAGCUCCCUCAAUCAUUGUAAUGACCCCUUUUUCCAAUGCUCAGUCUCCAUUGCAGCUAUUCCAAAACCUAGAUACUUCAUUGAUCUAUACAACUGUCUCCAACAUCAUUGUCAUUGUUCAAAAGCAGAUUUAGAAAGUGCCUUGGUGAGGGUGUCUGCUAUUUGAUCGGCACCAUGGAUAUGAACAACACGAACCCUUUUAAUGUCAAAACAGUGGCGAACAAAGUGAAAGUCCACAAUAGCAUGCUUAACACGACUAUGGAGGACAGAAUUGUUGCUCAAGAAUGUGGCUCCAAAAUUGUCACAAUAAAUUGUGGGUAGCUGAUGUACUGGAAAGCGCAACUCAUUUAGGAUAUUGGUGACCCAUAAAGUUUCAGAAACUGCAUUAGCCACUGCCCUGUAUUCGGACUCAGUGGAGGAUCGUGAGACAAUAUUUUGCUUCUUUGAUGACAACCUAAUCGGAUUGUUACCAAGAAAUAGGAUGUAAGCAGAUGUAGAAACUUUGUCAAUGAUGUCCCCACCCCAAUCUGCAUCAGAGUACACAUUUAGAUUGAAUUCAUCAAUGGGAGUAACGCGUAGGCCGAGUUGAACGGUACCCCGCAGGUAUCGAAGAACAUGUUUUACAGCCUUCCAGUGAAGGUCUGACGGUGCUUGCAUAAAUUGAGAAAGCUUGUUGACUGCAUAGGCUAUGUCAAGUCUAGUGAAGGAUAGAUAUUGAAGCCUAUCCAAGACUCGGCUAUAACGUGUAGCAUCAGUCAAGUGAGUUCCAUCGGAUAAGGUAAGUAGCUCAGAUGCACUCAUGGGCGUGUUAACACUAUUGCAGUCGGUCAUUAGUUCAUCAUUCAAAAUUUCAUUCACAUAAUUUGCUUGGGUGAGGAUCAAACCGUUGGAUCUGUGUAUCACUUCAACACCACGAAACUAGUGAAGAUUACCUAAAUCAUUAACAGAGAACUUAGAAGCAAGGGAAGUGAUAACCUGAUUGACACUUAAAGUAUUUCUCCCAGUGAUAAUAAUAUCGUCGACAUAGACGAGGACGAAGAACGUAUCACCUGCACCAUGUCUGACAAGUAGUGAGGCAUCAGAUUUUGUCUUAACAAAUUCUAUGGAUGAAAGAUAACCCGUGAGGGCAUUUUACCAUGCCCGAGGAGCCUGUUUCAAGCCAUAGAUUUCCUUACGUAGCCGACAUAUAUGCAUUGGUUUGUCAUCACUAGUAAGCCCCGGAGGUUGUGCCAUGUACACUUCCUCUUCAAGGUUGCCUUGGAGGAAGGCGUUAUUGACAUCUAGUUGGCGAAGGUAGGGGUGUGCAUCGAUCGGUUUAGUUCGGUUUUACAUAUAAUCGGUUUGGUUUAUCGGUUUUCGGUUUUAAAAUAUGCUAACCUAAUAAUAAACCAAUAAGAAACUUUUUAUCGAUUUAUCGGUUUUUGAUGUUAUCGGUUCGGUUUCGUUUAACCCAAUAAGAAAAUGUCGAUCAAAUAAUAUAUAAUAGUACGUAUGUUAUAAUUACAUGUUACCAACUUACCGCCAAAACAUAAUAGAAAACUUUGAAUGUUGAUCAAAUUACUAACAUUCACAAACUUGCAAAAGUUGUCGCCUACAAUUACGAACUAGAAUUAAAACUAAAACAAAAUAUUUCAAUGAGACAAUCUUGAACAGUUGCUUGAUCCACCAGAUAAUCAACAAAGUUCUCACCAAUUUCCUAACAAAAAAAUCACAUAGCCUGAAAAGCUAAUAUUGAAUCUAUUUAUGUAUUAAAUUAUGUAUAUUUAAUAUUGAGGAAGGUUAAAGUAGUAAAUAACUAUCGUCUUAUUGGGUUAUCGGUUUUUCCAAUAACCCAAUAUGAAAAAUCGAAACCGACCCAAUAACCCAAUAAUUAUUUUUUCUAAACCCAUUAAAAACCCAAUAACCUAAUAACCCAAUAACAUUUUAUCGGUUCGAUUUAUUGGUCGGUUCGGUUUUUGCACACCCCUAGGCGAAGGUGCCAGUUGUGACGAACUGCCACAGAGAAGACGAUGUGAACUGUGGUGGGGUUGACGACUGGGAUGAAUGUGGCAUGAAAGUCAACGCCUGGCCUCUGAGUAAAGCCUUUUGCAACUAGGCACGCUUUGUAUCUAUCGAUGGACCCAUCAACAUUUCUCUUGAUCCUUAAAAGCCACUUGCAAGAUACAAUGUUUUUGGUCGAGUCAGGAGGAACAAGUUCCCAAGUUUGAUUUUUAAUUAAAGCAUCAAAUUCCUGUUUUAUUGCAUAACGCCACUCUGGAUAUUUUUGUGCUUGUUUGACAGUAGUGGGUGUGACAGUGGGGUUCAAUUUGGCUAGGUAAUCAAAAAUCUUUUUUGGUUUUGUGAUAUUAUUUUGUGGUCGAGUGACAGCACAGGAACGAGGAGACGGACAUUGAGGCGGGGAAGGAGUGAGUUCUAAUUUGUUGGUAGGACAGGCUGGUUGAGGAGCCAUAUGUGUUGGUGGAUUGGUGUUUCUACGAUGAUAGACAAGGAGAGGAGACAAUUUGCUUUGUGUGUUAGUUGGUAUCGGCGUUUGAGAGUUUGUAGGGAAGCAUGAUAGUGCUAAAUGUUGGGCAGUAGAUAUAGAAAAGGUGUUCUGGGAAGCAGGAGUUAUUGAAGAUGAGGAAGACAAAAAUUUACCUUGUGAGGUAAACCUGUUGCGUCUGCCGCUGAUGCAUCGUCGGAUAAGGACUGCGAGUUUGAGUUGUCUCCGGACUGGGCUGGAGAGGAAGCAGAUUGUGAUGGAGAAUCUGUAAUAGUGUGUUUUGUUAUUUCUAAUGGAAUUGGCAUAUCUGUAACUAUGGGAAGUUUUGGUGUGGGGUUUGAAGAACUUGGCAUUGUUGAUGUUGCCCAUUCCAGGUGAGUUGAUUUAAUGGCAAUGUUGGAGAACAAUGUCUUAAAUGGAAAAACAUCCUCAACAAAUCGCACAUCUAGAGAUAAGUUAACCUUUGCAGAAAUUAGGUCAAAACACUAGUGACAUGAGAAUCCAAGAUAGACACAUAUGGGGUAGAUUUUGAUUCAAGUUUAUUUUUGGAGUAUGGUUUUAGCCAUGGAUAACAUAAACAACGAAAAAUUUGUAGGGAGUUAUAAAUAGGUGAUUUUCUAAGUAAUCUUUGGAAUGGGGAUUGAUUAUUGAGGUGAGAGGUUGGAAGACAAUUGAUGAGGUAGACAGUGUGAUGGCAUGCAAAAGACCUGAAUUGGGGUGGGAGAGACGCCUCAUGAAGAUUAUUCUUGCAGUUUCGACAAUAUGGCGAAGUCGUCGUUCUGCAAGUGCAACUCGUUGGGGUGUAUAGGGAGGGGUAGAGAGGUGUUGAAUGCCGUGAAGUGAAAGAUAGGAGUCAAGACUUUCAUACUCACCUCCGCCAUGAGUAUAUAGUGAUAAAAUUUUAGUGUCAAAAUCUUAUUCCAUCAUAGGAUGAAAUUUUUGAAAGAUAUCUUUAACUUCACUUUUCUGUGUUAGUGUGUAAAGCCAAGUUCACUUCGUAUAUUGGUCAAGAAAAAUACAAAAAUACAAUAAUACAAAUUUUUAUCAAGAGAUAAGACUGGUGAUGGCCCCCAUAAGUCACUGAAAAUAAUUUGAAGUGGUUUAGAGCUAGAAAACGAUAAUUGAGUAAAAGGAUGUCGAUGAGGUUUAUUAGAUAAACAUGAAUUACAAUGAAAAUUUUUGUCUCUCUCAUGAAACGGUAGCGAGAAUUUAAUUAAAAUAAACCUAGGAACUCUAGAGUGAGGAUGACCAAGACGUUGGUGCCAAGUAGUGAGAGGGCUGGAUGUGGAGAUAAUGUGAGCUUGGGGAUGUGAGACAGGCCACUCAUAUAGUCCAUUGUUAGUCCGACCGUGCGCCAGUGUCUACCAUGUUUUCAGAUCCUUCACAACAAAGUUAAAAGGAAAAAAUUUAAUAGACUUAAGAUUGUCUUGACAGAAUUUAGAAAUAGAGAUAAGCUUGUGUUUGAUUGAAGGGGCACACAAAGUGUGAGUUAUCUUAAAAACAUUUUUUGAUGCAUUUACUUUAGAAGAACCAGUGUGAUAGAUAGGAAUUUUGUUACCAUCACCCAUGGAGACAUCUUCGUUACCGCGGUAUGGUUGUAGGUUGUGUGGCUCUGUUGUGAUGUGAUGGGUGGCUCCUGAGUCAACUAUCCAGGGAUUGGUCUCCGUUGUAAGUCCAGCGGCAGAGAUGGCUUUUGCUUCGAAGUGAUUAUGAGAUCUCGAGCGGCAAACAUUGGCUGUGUGGACAAUUCUGUUACAUAGUUGAUAGCGAAUAAUACCGUUUGGAUUUGAAUUGGAUUGCCCCUAUGGUGGAGCAUUUGGACGCAAGUUGUGGCGCCAUUUUGAGAGUUGUUGGUCUGUCUACGGUUGAUGCAAUUAUUGGAGUUGAAUUUAGUGGGAGUAUCAGCUGCAGAAGUGAUGGUACUAGAUAGUUUCUUAGCAUCCUCGUGGCGGAGGAAGAGUUCAAAGUCUAGUAACUUUCCAAACAGUUCCUCAUAGGAGAUAUGCGUAUCGCGUGCAUGAAUGGCAAUAGAUAUUUCACGAAAUUCAGGACCUAGACCACUAAGUAUUUUGACAAUGAGUUCGGGAUUGGAAACAGGAGCACCAGCAGUGGCUAACUCAUCCAAAAAUGACCGAAUAGUAUGAAUAUAUUUAGUAAUGGAGCGAGAGUCCUUAGUGACACGAGCAAGCUGAUCACGCCGACUGAAGACUCGAGUUUGAGAUUUGUUCGCAUAAGUGGUAUGCAAGGCAUCCCAAGCUGAUUUAGCCGAGUCAGCAGCUGAACAGUAGGAGAAAUAGUAGGUUCGACAGAAGCCAUGAGAGCAUUCUGGAUGAGUUGAUCCUGACGGAACCAAGUUAUGAAGGCAGGAUUGGGAGAGAUAUUCGUGCAGAGGGUAAUCGUGCGACUAGGGGACGGACUAGUUCCGUCUAGAUGGCCAAAGUGGUUGUAGCCAUACAUAAGCAUGGAAAAUUGGGCUUUCCAGGUGGCGAAGUUGUGACCACCACUUAGUUUGAUGGGUAAUUGGGAUGCGGGAUUGAAUUGAAUGAUAAUAUUGGUGCUUGUCGUGUUAUCAACAUUGACAACUCUGGGAUUGUUGCCAUUGUUGUUGGUCAUUGAUGUUGAUCUGCGUGAGGAGAAAAAAAUACUGGAUCGUACUCUUUAGAGCGUGAAGAGCCCUGAUACCAUAUGAAGACUGAAUGUUCAUUUAUUAAUGAAGGCAACAAGUUAUUAAAUAGAGUUAGAACGAAAGUGGUAAGACUCCUAACGAACUGAACUAAAGUAAUCUAAUUAAAUAAUUACUGCUGAACUAGUAAGACAAUCCUAAUACAACUAAACUACUAACUGGCGUCCUAAGACCAGAUGUUCUAAUAUCAAUCUAAUACAUCUAUCAUUGGCAGGUAAAAAUAGAAUUUUCCUCCUUAUUUAUCAAAAGCUACUCUAUUUUCCCUAUUUACUGUGAGUCCUUAUGUAUCUUAUUUCUUUUCAUCUAUUUAUUAUUUUUAACAAGUUGGAUUCAUGCAUUGUUGUAUGUUUCUGCAUGUUCAAAAGCCAAGCAAACUCAUUUUGCUUUUCUGUAACGUUAUGCAUUGAGCAGCAGCCCCACAUAUAUAGAAUUACUAGGGAAGGCCCAUGGGAAUAGAAGUCAUACAUGUGCAAUCAGCCACAUAUUGCAUGAAUGGUGGAAUCAAAAGGCUAAAAACACGGUACAUGGUUUUGUUCUAUAAUCUGCCCCAAUAUUUGUGUGUUGGGAAAUAUGGAAGGAAAGUUGCAGUUGUAAAUAUGGUGGCAAGAGAAGCUUAAACGAACAUAUGAUGACUGAACACAUUUCUUUCUUGGAGUGUGGCAGCAGCUUAGACGCAGAGCAUUGGCAGAGCCCUCAAGGGGUUGGAUUUAUGCAUUUCAGCCACUUUUUCUUGGAAAACGACUCAAUAGUCUUCCAGAUGAUUGAAGGAAAAAGACAACCCAAUUACAAGCUCAAUCUCACCAUAGAGAAGAUUUGACAUAUAAUAAUUCAAGCCUAAGAGGGGACAAUAAGGUUGCGGAUAACUUGGACAAAAGGGCCUUAUCAAUUGGACAAAAGUCAAAUGCUAUCCAGUAGACUCAUAUACGACAAGGUGAAUUUUUUUUUAGCUAAUUUACUUUCUUAUUUGUGCGGGGAUUUAAGUCAUCAUAUCCUAACCCUCCUUUUGAAAGGAAAAAAGUUUUAUCCAUUGUGUUGUAUGUUGAGGUAAGUCCAAGCCCUCUUUUUGUACUUAUUCUCAUGAUAUAGAACACUCCUACUAACUAGCCGAAAUUUAAUUCAAAAAAUAGUUUCAACUAACUAAAUUUUGAAUUAGUUGAACUUGAUACAAGUUACAUGUAAUCUAUACUUUAGAUAUACUCCUUUUUUUUAUUGGCUUUGUUCUUUCUGGUGAUGGCGUGAAGGUGUGUGAGGUUAUUUAUUGGUGGCUUCAUAAAUGAUCCAUAAAUUAAAAUGUACAUAAGUUGGAAGUUUUCGGAGAACUAUUUAUUUCUUUGCUUAGAAGUAUUUUUUUGGUGAUAAUAAGUAAUUCUUGAUGUAGUCAAGCGGCUAUGCUGUGUUAACUUCUUUUAACAAGUCGUUUGAAUGCGUAUGUGAGUAUAUGGGAAUUGCUAUUUUUUCACCAUUAUUUCAUCCUCAUAUUCUGACUAUCUGUAUUUACUCAUUCCACUUGCAGUUCAAUAGUGCCUUGAGUAUUAUUAAGCACUUAUAUCUUGUUACGGUAACAUCACCUAAUCUUGGCAGAGUUAGUUGUAGUUCACCUAAAGAUAUAAAAGUAAUAUAUUCACAAAUAUAAUGAACUGAUUUCAGGAAAUAGUAGUCUGCAAAGGAAACAGAAAUCCAACAUAAUUUAAUUUAAUCAUCUGUUUGAAACUGCAAAAUUCCCGACAAUUAGACUUGUAGGCCAUUGUCUUUUGUGUGCAUCAUUCUUUCUCAAUUAUGUAGUGUUACAUCUCCUCUUAUCCUAUUUUAUGGGUUGUAGUAGCAAUAACUACUCAAAGAUGUCAUUUUACUAAUUAAAACUCUUACACAGUGAGGUUGGUAGCACAUAAUGAUUGGAGGAACAAUAAGAAUGAUACAACUUAACAAUGCUUACACGUGUAGCUCACGUGUCCAUGACUAGUUGUCUAUAGAUAUAGUGGGAUUUCCUCUCAUUUUUAACAACAGAAAUCCUGAUCUUCUUAAUCAACAUGCGCAAAAUUAAAUAUUUGUGUACUUUGUUCCUGUUGAGUAAUUUACUAACACCAUUAUUUUUACAUCAAUAAGUUGGUGAGUAAAAUCUUACAUCCCGAGAGGAUAUAUAUCUGUAAACCUCUUGUAUUGGAGGGGAAUAGUUUUCUUAAAGGGGACAUUGCGCAUUAAGUGGAGUCAAUUUUUUCUUUCUAUUUUGUUCUAUCUUUACAUAUUUUGGUGUGUUUUUUACACUCAAAAUUUUAUGCUUAUGAUAUUAAUUGUUGUUUUUGAGUACAUAUUUUAAACUCUAUUGUUUAUGUUUCUGCAAAGUUAUUAUCUCCGGUUAGAUUUAAUGUAUACACAUAUUGUACGUAUACUCGUUAUGCAGAAAAUAAUUAUUGUGCUCACUUUCAAGAAUUCAUGGAUUGAUAUUCUAUAUUAAAUUCUAUAACUUAAAAGUACUAUAUAUAACCUUAAAUCUUAUCUAUUAUUACAAAUAUAUGAAAUUUCUCACUUAUCAAUUAAAGAAAUUCAUUAUGCAACUUCAAAAGUUAUAAUUGCCUUCAUGUUCAAGCGUAAUUUCUUUUUUAAAUAUGUUAAUAUUUUUAAAUUUUCUCCUAAGACAUAUCACAAUUGUAUAAUCUAUGGAAUUUAAAUGUUUCUUUUUAUUAGGGAGUGCCUUUGUAUAUAUACUUAUUUUCUCCUUUAUUUUCCUUUUAAUGUUGAUUAAAAAACAAAUGAUUUAUUAUUUAGUGACUAAUUCAUUCAUUUUAGGUUCUUGAGUUAUGUAAUAAUGACAAAUAAUUAAAUUCAUGUUGAAAUAUUGCUAAUAUUUUUUAAGAACCUAUUUUCUUAUAAUUUUUAAUGUAUGUAUAUUAGAAAAAAAAUAUUUGCAAGUUCAAUUAACAUAUUAUUUAUGAUCGUGCAAAGCGCAGACAAAUUACCUAGCAUGUGAUAGUUCUCUAAUUCUGGAGAAGUUUAAUAAUUUUGAAAAAUAAUAUUCAAAAACAUAUAUCUACACCAUAAGGGAAGUUGAGAAUAAAACUAAAUUAAUUUAGUCUACAAUAAAAAUGAAAACAAUACAAACUUUCUCUGGAGUCAUUAUAAGAAAUAUGAACUUUGCUUCAUCAAAAAUAGUGAAAUAUUAAGAAAUAGUAAAUAAGCAAAAUAAAGGCAUAAUACAAAAACAUGAAUCUUAGCUUGGAUUCAACAGAGAAUUAUGCCCUCCAACUUUGUGUAUGGACAAGUGGAUACUUAAUUUGUACAAAAUUGGAUAUGUAGACACAUGUGUCGUACAUAACAUAAUACAUGUAGGACACCACAUAGGUCACAAAAAUUCCAUGUAGGGUGUCAUGUAGGACAGAUGUUUCUAUUUGUUCAAUUUUAUACAAGUUUAAGUAUCUACUUGUGCGCAUACAAAGUUAAAGGUUAUAGUUUCCAGUUAACAUCCAGUUAAGGGUCUUACAAUGUAUAUAUAUAAUAACUAUUUUGAAAAAAACCUCCUUACAAUGUAAACGACCUAAGUAAUAUUGAUAAAUAAAGUCAUUAUUUUAUCUUGGACAUCAAAAAAAGAAAUUGUGACAAUUCUCUAACUUCUGUGAAUUUUAAUAGUUAUGACUUUUUUUGGCAAGCUUAAUUUGAAGAAUAUGAAACAAAACAAAGUCUAAAUUAGAGUAAUAUCUUAAGAUACAAAAAAUUAUGUCUAUUAAUAUAGAUUUGUUGUCCUUAUGACUGUGUCAGGGCAUUGUUGAACAUUUGAGUUAUCUAGGUUAGACUCAUUUUUAAUUUUUUAAUGUCCAGGAAUAUUAUUUAACAUGAGUUUAGAAUCCAACAUUUUGAUCUAUGUGUACUUUCAUAAUGAAACAAUUUUACAUACAUAUUUAUGAAAAAGUCAUAAAGUUGCAUUGAUGAAGUAUCUAGAAGGGUCUUCAGAGCAGCAGUUUAAUGAAGAAUGAAUUUCUAAAAGGGUAAACAACAUUAUUUUGAUGUUGUUUCAAAUUUACUUAUCCCCUUCUAUAAAUUUUGCUAGAGUAAAAAAGUAAUAAUAAUGAAAGUGGUGAACGUUUGACCUUAGACAAGUACAUUGUAAGAAAAAAAUUUAUUCAAGAUCUUGUGGUGUACAUUUUUAACGCUAUUUCUUAUUUAUGACUAAUAUUUAUUAUCGAAAAUUUUUACAUUAUUUUUUUCAAUAGAAGUUAUUCAAACCAUAAAAUUAUUAGAUUAUAUAUUUUUCAUGUACAAAAAAAUAGAAUAAUUGUGUUUAAUCACUACAUAAAAACAUCACUCAGUUUUAACAACACAAUUAUAUAUCAUCAAACAUAUAUUAUGAGAAAUUAUGUCAAAUAUUAAAAAAAUUUAUUAGAUAUCAAGAUAAUUUUAAUCAUUCGUUAUAUAUUUAGAAUUCUUGAAAUAUGUGAUAAUGUCAAAUAAUUUAAUUUAUGUAAAAGUGUUCUUAAAACAUACUAAAAUUCAUUUCAUUUUUAUUAUAACAUUUGAUUAUCGGAACAAUUGUUCAAAAGCAUCGAGGGAUUUAAAUUACCUAGUAUAAAUAAAAUAAAAUAUUUUUUUUGAAGAAUAUUAUCAUUACUUGAGUGACCUUAAUUUUACAAAAACCAAAGUUGAUAGAAAAUAUUACUACUGCCUUUGUCCUAUUUCAUAUGAGUUGGUUUGACUUAUUACAGAGUUUAAGAAAAAAUGAAUUUUGAAUAAUACGUUCUAAAAUAAAUGAAAGACAUUUCUGUUGCUAUAGCUCAUUUCAUUAAGUAUAAAAGGAACACUUUGAAAUUAAAUUCUUAGUCAAUAUAAAAUUGUUUAUUCAUUUUUGGACUGGCUAAAAAGAAAAGUAACUUAUAUAUUGGACAAAGAUAGUAUUUGAGAAACUAUACAAAAAAUUAUCUCAAUAUAUAUUAUAGGGUUUUUGUUUAGUUCAUGAAACUAUACAAAAAAUUAUCUCAAUAUAUUCUUCUUUAUUGCCUAGUACUCAGACAGUACUACUAGCUCGUUCACUUGAAUCAUGUUUCAGUUCACUUGUUUACUUUCCAAGUUUCUAACUGUUUUGCAUAUUAACAAUCUUGCAUAGUCCUCAUUGGCUCUAUGAAGAGUUUGUGGCUGUUGCGAAUGCAAUGUCAUGAUUACAUAUAUAAUCACUAGCAUGUUUUCUGUUCUCAGACUAUCAAGUUACUCUGAAUUCGGAGUAGGAGAAAAAAAAGAACUUUUCAGCAUAUCUUUGUUUUAGAGGAUUUUUGCAAGACAGUUAUGGAGCUAUUUGCAGGAUCAAUUCAAAUAGAGAAACAUGGUAUUGUCGAUUCCAACUUGUUUGAAAUUGAGCCGCAGUAGUAGUAGUUAAUGUUUUAGUCUUUGUAUAAUGCUAUUUUUCAUUUUUUUUGGUUAUUUCCAUCCCAAUUUUACAUUAAUAGUCAGCUUUCUGCAAUCAUAUUAUGUAGAUAGGUGAAUUUUGUUUUAUUGAUAUGCCAAUUACGUACUGAAUCCCUUUAUAUACUUAAUCCAAUAUUUUCAUAUUAUGUUUUGUUAUCUCCGUCACCAAACUCACUGUUUUCCUCUAUUGGGGAUUAGGGCUCAUGCAUGAAAGAUUUAAGUAAUACACAUCAUCAUUAGUGGCAAAGCCCAAUAAAGUCAACUAUCACCAAUCCACUGAAAAAUGUAGAUACUAUGUGUUGUGUUGAAUCCCUAAAUAUUUUUUCAAAUGAUUAAGAUGAUCCACAUUCAUAUUUUUCUAUAAAAAUUAUCCCCCACAAAAAAGAAAAAAGAUUUUUGCAGAGUAUUUUAAAUAAGUCAUGAAGUCAUGUUAUGAAUUAAUAAAUGCAACUGAGUGAAUAUAUAUAUUGUAAUUAGAAGGAUUCUCAGUAUUUUGUUUUGUUAUUUCCAUCACAAAAUUCAUCAAUUUUACAAUAGUAAGCAGCAUACUGCGAUCAUCUUCCUCUAUUGUGGCUUAGCACUAAAAUCUUAUGCACAUAAAGUUUAAAUAAUAUUCAUCGUCAUCAAUGACAGAACAACAUGUAUUCAAAAGGUGUUAAGUUGACGAGCUCAAGAGUUAUGUUGCUUCACACAGGAGAUGCUACACUCAAUAUGGUACGAUUUCAGUUUACUACUUACACUCUCUGAUACUAUUCUUAAGAAUAAAAGUUAAUCACUAAGAAGAGAAAAAUAUUGAAUUCUCAUUUGUUGUGUAAAAUUUGCUAAUAAAUCAAGUUCGACUUUAAAUCUAGCUAUAAUAAGGUCUAAACUUCUCUUGAGUAGCUUUAUAACCACUAUUGUCUUGCCAGCAACCGAUUCAAUUGACAACAAUAUUUGUUUUACAAAAUGCCUAUUAUGAAAUGCUUAUUUGACAUCUAUCUGAUGCAUUUUCCGGCCACGUUGUGCAUAAGUAGAAAUAAUUAAGAAGCAAUCUGAUUGUGUCGAUCCUAGAAACUAGAGCAAAAGUGUAAAAAUAACCAUUGACUCCAAGCCUGGUUUUAUGCCUGUUGGUUGAACCAUCAACAUUUAGCUUCGCUCGAAAGUCUAGAGGCAUCUCUAAAACUGAACCAUUUAUAAUUAUGUAGAAGUAUCAUGUUAUUCGAUUCCUUCUUUGCUAACUUGGACAAAUUUUGAGCCUGUUGGUAGACUAGUUGCUAGGCUAAUGUGCUGAACAAGAGGAUUUUGUGGUGGAAGACACUUGGAAAAGUCCCGCAGGUAAUCGUUGUAAGCAGAAUAUUUGGCAUUAUAGUUAUAUAAUUUAUGUGAACUAAAUAUGGAUUUCCUAUUUAAUAUUGUAGAAAAAUUUUCAAGCAUUGUAACUUGAACUUAGUAUAGCGAUGUAUUUUGUUUGAACUAAUUAAGGAUGCCCUAUUCGUGAAGAAAAAAAAUCAAAUAUGGUUUGGACGUCUAUGAAAAUUUUUGGCAAAAAUGACGGCGGAUCACCACAAAAGAUGGUGAACUGUAGUACACGAAAAUUGUUAAAAUUGGGGGUUUACCUGCUCCGGGGCUCGUUUGACCUUGAAAACAAGUCGUUUUGCCGUUAGGGACAAAUGGCUUCAUACCUAACAUCUUAACAGAGGCUCUCGAAAAAUUUGGAAAAAAAUGACUACAGAAUUUUAUAUCACCAAAAAUCAAUGGACUAUAGCACGCAAAAAUUGACAAAAUGUGUGUGUGUGUGGGGGGGGGGUUACAUGCUCUAGGGAUCGUAUGAACUUGAAAAUGGAUCGUUUUGGCCUUCAGGUCCCACUAUCUCCAUAGAUAACGUGUUAAUGGACGUCCACAAAAAUUUUGAGAAAAAGUUACGUUUGAAUUCAGAAUCACCAAAAAUCCAUGCACUAUAGUACACGAAAAUUGGCAAAAUGGGGAUUUACCUGCUACAAGGCUCAUUUGACCUUGAAAAUGGGUCGUUUUGGACAUCAGGGCCAAUUGUCUCCAUAUAUAACAUUUCAAUGGACGUCAACAAAAAAUUGAGGAAAAAAUGACGGCGGAAAUCAUGAUGACCAAAAAAAUGGUGAACUAGCACACGCAAAUUGGCAAAAUGGGGUUUUUACGUACUCUAGGGCUUGUUUAACUUUUAAAGUAGGUCGUUUUAGCCAUCACGACCACUUGGCUCCAUUGAUAAUGUCUUAAAAACGUUCACAAAAAAUUUGGACAAAAUAAUGUCGGAAUUCCAAUUCACCGAAAACCCACAAACUAUUUUCAAAUGUUUUAGUCAAAAUCCAAUGACAGUAUUAAUAAAUACAAAAAAUUUGUAUAAAAUUAUCCAAAUCUCAGAUACGAAUAUUUUAUGUCACUAGUUUAGAUAUUUGAAUCCAUAGUUCAAAUAUGGCUUGUUAAAAUCCAAAUUAUCUUUCACACUGUCUGUAUUUAACUUCCGAAGAAUUUCUUGGAUAAAUGCAUAUGCAUGUAUAUUUAAAAAUAUUAUAAAAUGAUUAUUAAUUAUCUAAAUUUAAUAUUUUUCUAAAUAUAAAUGAUCCCACCCCGCCCAUAAUAAUAAUAAUUUAUUUCGUAGAAUGUUUUUAAAUAAUGUCCGAAGUCAUGUUUGAAUUAAUGAAAUACUAUUGUGUGAAUUUAUGUCAUAGUGAGAAGAUUUUUCAUAUUUUUUUUGGUUAUAUCCAGCAUUAAAUUCACCAGUUUUACGUUAAUAGUCAGUCAACUACAGUCAUAUUAUGUAGAUAGGGGAUUUUUUUAUAUUGAUAUACAUAUUAUGUAUUGAAUCCCUUUAUGUACUUACUCCUAUAUUUUCAUAUUAUGUUUUGUUAUCUCCGUCACCAGAUUCACCGUUUUCAUCUACUAGGGAUUCGAGCUUAAUGUUUAUGCACAUGUAAAGUUCAAGUAAUAUGAAUACACACCUUAUGGUAUAUAUAAACCUUAAAACAUGUCAUAUUUUUUUAUAUUCCCGUCACGGACUUCACUAGUCUUUUAUUUAUUGUUAGUCUACUGGAAUUAUUUUUCUUUAUCGAGCAUUAGGACUAAAAGAUCAAGCACGUAAAAUUUAGGCAUAAUACAUUUAUUGAACCCUAAACUUGAUUUGAAAUUUUAUCUUUGACCUCCAACUUUUAUAAUGCACAUACAUACACUUUAACUAUCCAACUUUUAAAUAAAUAAAUAAAUGAGUCCUACAUGACACAAUACAUGUAGGACACCACGUAGGACAAAAAAUGACAUGUAGGACAUGUGUGUAUAUUUAUUCAAUUUUAUACAAGCUUAAGUGUCUAUUUGUGCAUAUCCAAAGUUGUAGGGUAUAAAUGUGAUUUGAAGCCAAGUUAAACGACACAUUUAUGUAUUAUGCAUCAAAUUUAAGUAAUACACAUCAUCAUUAGCGACGAAGACUGAUAUAUUAAAAAAGCGUCAACUAUCACUAAUUAAAUGAAAAAUACAGAUAUUAUGUGUUAUGUUGAAUCCCUAAAUAUAUAUAUCAAAUAUUUAAGACGAUCAACAUUCAUAUUAUUUCUAGAAAAAUUUUUCCCUUAUAAAAAAAAAUAUUUUUCUAGAAUGUUUUAAAUAAGUCCUAAAAUCAAGUUAAGAAUUAAUAAAAUCUAAAAUCAUGUUAUGAGUUAAUAAAAUACUAUUGAGUGAAUAUAUAUAUUGUAAUUAGAAGGAUUUCUAGUAUUUUGUUUGUUAUUUCUAUCACAAAUUCACCAGUUUUUCAUGAACAGCAGGCCUGCUACAAUCAUAUUCCUCUAUCAUGUCUUAGCACUAAAAACUCAUGCACAUAAAGUUUAAAUAAUAUUUUGUUGUUCAUCUUCUAUUUCAAAUAUACUUAGAACAAAACAUUGAACAUCUUUGUGAGACAACAAAGUUUAAGAACAUUUUCACAACUAGAAAAUUAAAAACUAGCAGAGAAACUAGAAUCAGAAAUAAAUUUAAUAUGUGUCUAAAGAAUCUUACUGAUUCCAACAAACUUUGCAGAAACACAAAUUUACCAUGUUUAAUGAACCAGUAAAGAAAAAAAGAAAAGAAUAACUGAAAUUAAUUCACAAAUCUUAUAUUUGUAAAACACGUAUCAGAAUCUGGAAAACUUUUAAUAGGAAAAAUAUCAAGUCCACUGAAUUCACAGUGUCCCCUUAAGAAAAUUGUUCCCCUCUAGUAUCCGAGAUUUGAUUUGGAAUAUGACCUCCCAGGGUAAAAUGAUCUCAAUCACCAGAGUAUAGAUACCUAAAACUCCGGUGUCACCGAAUCACUCAACGGCAAUAAAGUGCACUUCGAAUACUAGAUUUAGUAGUUGAAGAAGAAGCCUAUGAAUUCUAUAUUAAAUGAGAAAAAAUUCCUCAAUUUAUAGAAAACAAAUGGUAGUACGAAAAGAUUCUUGUUGUGCCUUACCGGAAAGGUCACAAACCUUUGAAAAAGUUACAAUCUUUCAGAAAGGUCGUCACCUUUCAUAAAAGUCAAAAUUUUCCAUUAAAGUCACAAUUUUUCAUAAAAGUCGCAAACUUGUCAUAAAAUUCACAAUUUUUCAUAAAAGUCGCAACAUUUCAUAAAAGUCAUAACUCUUCAUAAAAGUGGCAACUCUUCAUUUUCUAUUCACACCUUUUUAAAACAAAAUAAUCCCCCGUAUGAAUGGGGAAUGACUCGAAGACAAAGAAACGGACAAGCAUGUGUACUUUACAAGCAAUAACUAAUUGCAUCUGGAUAAGAAGAUUUUUUCUUGGACUUUUCGUAGUGAACAUAUGUCGGACAUACUCGGUCAAUCGGUAGAUGCGAUAUCUUUGAACCGUCGAACUUUGGUGUAUACCUAGACAACUAUAUGUCACAAAAUUAACUCUUUACCAUUUAUGAUUCUUACGAUUGUGUUCGUUUUAGCCAUGAACACCUCCUGGUUUCAUGAGUGUAUAGAGAUAUGGGUUUUUGACAAUCAUUAUUCUUAAAGCAGCUUACACUUCACACUCACAUAGGUGAUUCCUAACCGUGUUAUCGCGUAGAUACACUUUUUGGUCAACUCUACUAAACUUAGAAAAUCAUUAAAACCAUUAAGCUUUAUUAAGUUAUUAACAAGCCUUAAUGUUGUAUCCUUUUCUCUGAGCAUUGUCUUCAUCAUGAGAAUGGAUUGAGUUUGUUGACAAUGUCGAACGGUCAUUCAUAACUUUAUUUUUCUCCUUGAAUCUAGAUCUUGGGAUCUCCAGUCUACUAGAUAGAGUUACCCCCAUGAUGACUUGUCCUAAGCCAUAAAUUUAUUCCCUUAGAUGAUCUUUUAACUUCCUCUCUAGUUAGGCCUUUUUGUAAGUGGAUCCGACACAUUAUCCUUUGACGUUACAUAGUUAAUUCUUAUAAUUUCACUAGAGAGUAGUUUUGAAAUGGUAUCAUAUCUAUGUCGUAUAUGACGAGACUUUACUUUAUACGUCAUGCUCCAUGCCCUACCUAUUGCAUCUUACUAUGAAAGUGUACGCAUACUAAUGACAAUGGUUUGAGCAAAACUAGAAUAUCUAUCAAGAAAUUCCGGAGUCUUUCAACUUAUUCACCGACAUUAUCUAGAGCACCUAGAUCAAAUAUCAUUGUAGAGCUAUCGAUACAUGUCUCUUUUGAAAUAUUUCUAAGAGACUGCUCCUCUACCAAUAGUAAAUACAUAUCCACUCAUGAAUUUUACUUCAUUCUUCCGAUGAGUCAAUUUGCAUCACUAUAUCUUUCAAUAUUGUUGGAUAUUGUUAUAAUCCAAGACAUAGUUUUAAGUAUUAUUUUAAGUACUCUAAAACUCUAUUUAUUGUCAUCUAAUGAAUUUAUUUGGGAUCACUUGUGAACCGACUUAGUUUAAAAUAGCAAAUGCUAUAUCUGAUCGCACACACUAUAUGAUAUAUACAUCAUGCUUCCCAGAACUCUAGCACUAUUCAAUUGUGAGUCACUUUUGUUUUCACUCUUUUGAAAUGCAAAGCUCACAUUUAUUGGAGACUUGACAAUAUUGACAUCCAAAUAUUUGAACUAGUUAAGUACCUUUUCAAUGCAAUGAGACCGUGAAAAUGCUAAACAUUAUGGAGUUCUACGAAUUAUUAUAUCUAAGAUCGCAUUAGCAACUUCAAUAAUUUUCAUUCCACUCUCUUUACAGCAUAGGUUUAGUAGCAUUUAUGUCAUUAGUGUCUAUUGAUGAUCAACAUAUCACCAAUAUACAAACAAACAAUGACCUUAUGAUUUUAAUGUGAACACAUUUAUCACUUCCAUCAUACUUCAAUCCAUUUGCCGACAUGGGUUGAUCAAAUUAUGUCAUUGUUUGGAUGCUUCCAUAAUGUGACUUAACAAGUUUACACACUUUCUUUUAUUUACCAGGAAUCACAAAACUCUCGGGUUGUUCCAUGUUAAUUUCUUCCUUCAAUUCUACAUUUAAGAAAGUUCUUUUCACAUUCAUUUGAUUAAAUUGGAGGUCAUAUACCACACUAAUAAUUUUUGCAUCCAAGUGGAUGUAAUUCUAAUUACUAACGAGUAAAUAUAUCGACAAGAUCAAAAUCUUGUUUUUUAUUUUGUCUAAAGUCUUUGACACAAAGUCUUGCUUUAUAUUUUUCAACAGUUCCAUCAACUGUUAUUUUCCUUAUCAUGAUUCACUUGAACCCAAAGGUUUAUUUUCUUGAAGAAGACUAAUUAAAUUCCAAUAUUGUUUAUUGACAUAAUCUUUCCUAAGAGUGAGUCUACAGAAGAUACAAGAAAUGUUACAAAAUCAUAUUCAAAGAAAGUAAAUGUCCUUUAACAUUUACUAAGCCUCUGAAUCUCUUUAUUAGUACAUUAUCUUUUUCAUUUCCUAGGACUUUUAGACCCUUCUCUAGACUACUCAAGUCUAAUUUUAUUGUCCACAGUCAUAGGUCCUAUUUUAAUUAUUUUAGGAAUACGAACUUGGACUUUGACUAGAUACCCCUACACUUUGAAAUAUUUCAAGUUGGAUUUCCUCCCUUUCCAUUUUUCAUAUGGAAAAGAUUGUAUUCUGAUCAAACAAAAUCACUUUCUUUCUAAAAAGACAAAAAAAAUUUGUUGUUCUCUUUUGUAGUAAGGAUAUUCGUCCACACACGUUUUGCGUAAACCCGAACUUAUAAAUAAUGCAUCCAUCAUUUCAUUCAACGUUCGGUUUUUCAUUAGAUUGAGGUGAAAAUGCUAGUAGUUUGAUGGAUAUUCCAUUUUUCAAACAUAUUUCUGCAUAAUGCGAUUUAUACUUUCCAUUCUUAUCACUUCUUAUAUUUUUUCCACACUGAUUUUCAACUUCGAUAUUACAUUGUGUAGACAUUUCUAUUUCUUCAUCCUUACCAUUCAGUAAAUAGACAUAGUCAUUUAUAAUGCAAUUCUCAAUAAAAGAAACAAAUACUUUUUCCCACCAUGAGAUGGUGUUAACUUCAUAUCACAAAUGUUAGUGUAAAUCAAUUCUAAGGGAUUAGAAUUCCUUUCAACAAAUUUAUAAGAAUUCUCAACAUACUUAGAUUCCACAAAAACUUGACAUUUUUAUUUAUUGCACUAAAAGUUAGGCAAAACUUCAAAGUUGAUCAUUUUUCAUACAAUGUUUUGUAAUUGACAUGACCCAAGUGUUCAUGUCACAAACAUUGACUCAAGCAAGUAAGUACAAAUAAAAAUAUUGAGUUUGAAAAGCUCUUUGCGAGGUAGAUUUUUCCUCACUAAUAUUUUGUUCCUAUUUCUUACAAUUUUGUGUGAUACAAACGUUGUUUAGAUUGUCAAAUGUCCUUUUCAGAAAGACAUUUCCAUACUUUCAAUGUGAUUGUUAUAGAACUACCGAUGAACAAUGUUUCAUCGGGUUCAGUAAAGACAAUAUAGACCAUAUGUUAUUUUUACAAAAACAUAACAAACGACUAUUCACCAAUAUUCAUGUCUAUGCAAAUACUUUUAUUAUAAUGGACAUAUUUUUUCACGAAAAAUCACAACAUUUGAAGUGAUUUUUUUUCAUAAAAGAACACAAUUAUUUUGAACAAGUAUAAAUAUAUAAUUUGGAUGUUUCAUACUAGUCACACUAUUUACUAGUAAUAGAGAAACUCAACAACGGCAAUACCGAUAUACUCCAAGAAUUUUGUGAGUAUAAUAUAAUACAAAAGUAUCAUUGAAUUUCAUAUCUUUUGCUCCAAAGUUAAAUUAGACACCAAGUCUAAUCAUAAACAAAUAACCCCAACAUUUCAAAUGUAACAUCAAAAAUAUUUUUCAAGUAUUUGAAAAUAAUUUUUCCACAUAUUUUAAUGUUGGAAACAUUAUUCUACGAAAAAAUUAUAGUGCUGCAAUUCUCUUUGACAAUGUUUACACAAUGUCAAAGUUCAUUCCAUAGAGACAAAAAAUCACAAAUUCUAAGUCACUGAUAUUUUUCCUCUAUCAUAAAUAGACAUACCACUUAGUAUUUUAAAUACUAACAAUAAGGACAAAAAAAUGAACAAUUUAUUUCUAUAUUAUAUUGAAGUUUAUAGAAGAUCAAAAGUACAACACUGACUUAGUAUGUGAUGUUUUCAUAUUCUUCAAACCUAUUUCAUAGUCCAAUUUAUACAGAGUAUAAAAUCACAAAAGUUAUUAAUCUAGAAAAAUCAGACACAUUAACAUUUCUCAUGGAGUACAAAACUACAAAAGUUUUUUUUUCCUCCAAACAAAACAACACAUAUUCUUUAUCACAUAGAAAUGUUUUUCUUAUCAAAUAGUCUUCCAACGAUAACAUUGUAACAUACUAUUUUAUGAAACAAAAAUAUGCAUUUCUCAUUUUUUGCAAACUAAAAAAUUUUAAAAGCAAAAAAAUUUGCGAAGUAAAAUUCAUUCCACAACAUGUGAUUUGUCGAUCUUUUUCCAAAGAGACACAUAAUAAAAAAAAUUAAAGAUGAUAACUCUUAGAAACUAUUUUCCUCCUUAGAUAAUUUAAUAAGAAAGUUACCUGAUAACCUUUAAAAAGAAUACCAUAAAAAUUUUCUGUUACAUUCUCAUUUCGACCUUACUAGACAAAGCAACAAAUUAUGGAGAAGUAAUGCAUUUAUUUUCUACUUCCAAGAUCAUAUUCUCUCAAUCAGUGGAAUACAAAAAAUACCAACAUUAUAAUAAUUUCCUUAAGAUUGUUGUUCAUGUUGUAUUCCAAACAUAUUUAGAACAAAAUUUUAAAUAUCUUUGUAAGACAACAAAGUUUAAGAACAUUUUCACAACUAGAAAAUUAAAACUAGCAGCGAAAUUAGAAUCAGAAACAGAUUUUAAAAAAAGUAUAUGAAAUAUUUUUCUUAAAGAAGAAUAGUUGUUAAUAUGUGUCUAAAGAAUCUUGCUAAUUCGAACGAACAUUGCAGAAAGUGAAGAACAAAAGAAUAGAAGAACUGAAAUUAAUUCACAAAUCUAAUAUUUGUAAAACACGUAUCAGAAUCUGGAAAACUUUUAUUAGGAAAAAGAUCAAGUCCACUGAACUCACAGUGUCCCCUUAAGAAGAUUAUUCCCCUCUAGUAUCCGAGGUUUGAUUUGGAAUAUGACUUCCCAGGGUAAAAUAAUCUCAAUCACCAGAGUAUAGAUACAAAAAACUCCGGUAUCAGCGAACCACUCAACGGCAGUAAAGUACACUUAGAAUACUAGAUUUAGUAGUUGAAGAAGAAGCCUAUAAAUUCUAUAUUAAAAUGAGAGGAAAUCCCUCAAUUUAUAUAAAACAAAUGGUAGUGCAAAAAGAUUCUUAUUGUGCCUUACCGGAAAUUAUGAAACAUUAAUGUGAAGAUACAAAAAAGAUUCUUUUCCAAUAUUUUGAUUUCGUUUAAAUUUCCCGAAAUUAUGAAACAUUAAUGUGAAGUUCAUGAAUCUGUCAAGCCCUUAGUAUAGUUUAUCUUUUACUAUAUAAUUAUAUAUGAAUUUAUCCCAUUAAUUUAAAUUUGUUAUUUCUUUUAGUUUUAAUCCGUUAGAAAACUUUUCAUGUACUCUAUUUAGUUUUAUCACAUAACAUUUUUUAAAAAAAUAUAGGAUGCAGUUUUAAUUGAUUUGCAAGUAAUUUUGAUAAGUGUAUUACUAUUCAAAUUAUAUCAUACAAUUGAAAACAUUCGAUUCUUAUAGUCGAUUGCAUAUUUGAGGCAACAAUGUCAAUGAACCAUUUCGUGGUAGUUUACCUAUCAGGUGAUGUUGAUUGAUUAGUUAAAAUUGUUGUGCCUUUAUUUUGUUAUUUUUUAAAUUUAUCUUACACUUUAAUAUUUUUAAGUGCAUGUAUUACUAUAGAAAAAAUAUGUUAUAUAUGACAUUAUAUACUUGAGGUUUAAUAAAAAAUUUGAAGUUAUUAGUUUAAUGUGUUGUUGCAAUGCAUGAAAAAUAUUGAUUGUCAUGUUACAUUCGAUAUAUAUAUAUAUAUAUAUAUAUAUAUAUAUAUACUAUUUUACUAAUUAUUUAUGUUAAAUUCAAAAAAGAAAUGACUCAGACGUUUAAAUCAGAUAAAAAGUAAUCUUCCUUUCAAAUUCAUAUAACUCAUAUUAUUUUCUUAAAAAAAUUACUUAACAUGAAAUAUACGUGCGUUGAACGUAUUCGAGAACUAGUGUAGAUUAUAAGAGCCAAAGCAAACAGGAAAUGAGUCCCAUAUAUAACUAUACGGACAUACUUUGUUGAAAGUUUGUAAGAGAAUUAUUUUCUUUGUUCAGUUUAUUGUGAGUUGAAAUAUCAUGUCAUUAUGAUAAUUUCUUUGACCCAUAAGAGGAAAAUAUACUACUAACAAACCUCUUUAAUUUCUUCUUUUAUAAAAACAACAAAUGCAAUAUUCAUUUAAUUAUAGCACCUAAAAGACAAAUUCAGCACCUUUAGUCAACAUUCAUUGACAUUAGUAUAUAAAAGAUGUAUAAAAUUUAUUCAAAGCUCAGUUACUAAUAUCUAAUGUCACUAUUAUAGAUAUUUGUCAUAGUUCAAAUAUGGCUUGCUAAAAUUCAAAUUAUCUUUCACAUUGUCUGUAUAUAUAACCUCCAAAGAAUUUCUUGAUUAACGUAUAUCCAUAUAUAUUUAAAAAUAUUAUCAAAUGAUUAAUAACAAUCUAAAUUUAUCUUUUUUUCUAAAAUAAACAAUCCCACCCCGCCAAAAUAAUAAUAAUUGAUUUUGUAGAAUGUUUUUUUAAUAAUGACUAUAGUCACGUUAUGAAUUAAUGAAAUACUAUUUAGUAAAUAUAUGUCGUAGUUAAAAGAAUUUUCAUAUUUCGUUUUGUCAUUUCCACCACUAAAUUCACCAGUUUUAUGUUAAUAGUCCCCCUAUUUCAAUUGUAUUAUGUAUAUAGGUGAAAGUUAUUAUUGAUAUGCAUAUUACAUAUUCAAUCCCUUUAUAUACUUAAUCCUAUAUUUUCAUAUGAUGUCAUGUUUUUUCCAUCACCAAAUUCAUUGUUUUCCUCUACUGGAGAUUAGGGCUUAAUACUUACGCAUACAUAAUUUUAAAGUACCAUCAAUAAUUACGUUAUGGUACAUUAUAAACCUUAAAUCAUGACAUAUUUUAGUUUGUUAUUCCCAUCACCAAAUUCACCAGUCUUUUAUUGAUUGUUAGCCUACUGCAAUUGUUUUUCUUUAUCGAGCCUUAGGACUAAAAGCUCAUGCACAUAAAAUUUAAGUAAUACACGUCAUCAUUAGUGGCAAUGCCCGAUAUAUUAAAAAAGAGUCAACUAUCACCAUUUCACUAAAAAAAUAUAGAUACUAUAUGUGUUGUGUUGAAUCCCUAAAUAUUAUGUCAAAUGAUUAAGACGAUCCACAGUCAUCUUUUUUCUAUAAAAGUUACCCCUCACAAAAAAAAAGAUUUUGUAGAUUAUUUUAAAUAAGUCUUGCAAUCACAUUGUGAAUUAAUAAAAUAGUAAUGAGUGAAUAUAUGUUGUAAUUAGAAGGAUUCUCAGUAUUUUGUUUUGUUAUUUCCAUCACAAAUUAAGCUGUUUUAUGUUAACAGUCUAACAUACUGCAAACAUCUCCUCUAUCGUGGCUUAGCACUAAAAUCUCAUGCACAUAAUGUUUGAAUAAUAUUCAGCAUCAUCAAUGACACAACAACAUGUAUUUAAAAGGUGUCAACAUAUACCACGGCAAUGCAAAUAUAUAUUGUGCUGAUAUGUGAAAAGUUUUAUCACAACAAUAAAAUCCGCUUUUAGCGACAAAAAAUGUACACAUUUACAAAAAAUGCAAAUAUAUUUACCAGUAUUAGUUAUUUUUCAUUAUAUCCAAUGUCGUUAAAUGCUUUAGGGACAUUUACAAAGAGUGUUAAUUGAUGCUAAGUGACAAUUAAGCUAUUGUGGUUAAUUAAUUGCAGCUAAAGAUCAUUUUUGGUGUACUGACAUAAAAUGUAUUGAAUCCCUUUAUAUAUUUACUCGUAUAUUUUUUCAAAUUUUGUUUUUGUUAUCUCCAUUACCAAAUUAGCGGAUUUUACGUUAGAAGUCAACCUACUGCAAUCGUUUUCCUCUAACAAGGAUUAGGAUUGAGCUCAUGUCUGUCCUGAUUUCAAUAUUUACCUUGUGGUACAAUAUUAACCUUUCAACAGGAUAUAUAUAGUUUUGUUAUUCCCACUAUCGAAUUCACCUAAUAUUUUUCAUUGACUAUUAUUCUAGUGCAAUUGUUUUUUUCUAUCAAGGCUUAGGACUUAAAACUCAUUCACGUAAAAUUUGAGUCAUAUACAUCAUUAUGAUCAAUAGCUAGCAGAGCCACAUGUAUUCAAAAAAAGUCAACUAAUACCAGUUCACAGAAAAUGUUUAUAUACUAUGUGUUGUGUUAAUCAAUAAAUAUUAUAUCAAAUGAUUAAUGACGAUUUAAUUUCAUAAUUUCAGUGCAUUAUCUUAAAAUUAACUUUCCAGGUAAGUAUUCAUUUGAUAAACCUCAAUAAUUUCUUCUUACUUAAAAAUAAAAAAGGGAAUAUUCAUUUAAUUAUUGCACUUAAAAGUCAAAUUCAACAACUUUAGUCAUAGUUCAAUUGAUUCUAUUAAUAAAUAUUAUAUCAAAUGAUUAAUGAUGAUUCAAAUUCAUAAUUUGAGUAAAUUAUCUUAAAAUUAACUUUUCACGAAAAAUAUUUAAUUAAUAAACCUCAUUAAAUUCUUCUAACUUAAAAACAACAAAGGCAAUAUUCAUUUAAUUAUUGGACUUUAAAGUCAAAUUCAGCAACAUUAGUCAAAGUUCAAUUGAUUCUGUUAAUAAAUAUUAUAUCAGAUGAUUAAUGACGAUUCGAAUUCAUAAUUUGAGUAAAUUAUCUUACUAUUAACUUUCCAAGAAAAAUAUUGAAUUAAUAAACCUCAUUAAUUUCUUCUUACUUAAAUUAAAAAAAAGGCAAUAUUCAUUUAAUUAUUUCAUAUAAAAGUCAAAUUCAGCAACGUUAGUAAAAGUUUAAUUGAUUCUAUUAAUAAAUAUUUGUAAUCUUUAGUAAAAUUUAUUCAACGCAUUACUAAAUUAUGUUAAAUAUCACUAUUUCAAUCUGUCUAUAUAUAACCUCCGAACCAUUUCUUGGAAAAACAUAUAUUUUUUUUAAAAAAAAUAUCAAAUGGAAGAUUCAACUAUCAUUGAAAGAGUAGAGUUGUUGGUUUCACCACUUGGUGGAAUUCCACAACGAAGAGUUUCCCAUUUUUUAGGCCCAAUUGCUACUUCGACUGAAGUACCAAAUUUGAAAUAUCAUUGAAUCCACUUUCCAUUUAAUCAAUCUGAGUAACCAUUGAAAGUCACGUUUCAUGGUUGCAAUGGAUGGAGGGAUCAACAAAAGAAAUGGAAAUAAUGGGUUGAAAUGAUAGCGUCUAUCCAUCUCUUGUAUUGAUAGUUGUAGGAAUUUAUGGAGCGCUAAAAGGUUCAACUUAUAGAGUCCAUACCGACGAAAAUUUAAUAUUUGGGUUGGUAGAGAGGUGUUCUUGUGAGACAAAUAGUUUAAUGUUUCCGUGGGGUGAAGCUACUAUUAGUCUUGAAGACAUUAUGGUUUUUGGAGUGUUUUCUACUUUGGGUGAUUGUGUUAUGUCCCCACCCUUCAAUCCCCUGAGUUGGUAGAGAUUGUAGAGUAUCUUGAGAAUGCGAGAGGAGAACUUAUCAUAUCAAAGAUAAAUAAUCGGAGUAGUUGGUUGAAUUACUUCAUGAAUAGUGGUAAGGACUACGAACACGAAGCUUUUCUUUCUCUUUGUUUAUCAAGAUUUGUGUUUCCAUGUAUAGUAGGUUCUCCUAUAUUCUCGAUAGAUGUUAAUAUGGCUAGAGGUAUGCGGCUAGUGCUUUCUCCUGGUGUUCUUCCUAGUAUAUAUAGGGACUUGGGGUUGUUGAGAAUGGUUAUGAUAGAGACAGGUAGAAGAAAUAAAGACAUAGUUGAGAUUCAUAAACUUAAUCUUUGGUUGUCAUUGUUCUUUGUUCAAGUCUGGGCUUGGGAGAGGAUAUCUUUGCAGCUAGAGCGCGCUCGAAAUUACAAUUUAGUUAGUGGGGUCAGAAUAGGAUAAUGGUACAAUGUGAAACAAACGGUGAAAUUAAUUUGAGGACUACUAUUGAUGCAGCUGGGGAAAUUUUUAUGUGAAGGGCAUACGCCUUGGCUGUGGAAGGUUAAUCAAUUUUUCCCAAGUUCUACAAGGAAAAUGAACAGUGGACAACAGUUGGAGGGCAAAAUUUGUAUCAAGAAAUGGAGUCUUACGUUUGAUGCUUGAGGGUGUCUGAGCUUGUGGGUGUAGAUUUUCAAGAGCCUUAUCGACCAAAUCGGGUAGCAAUGCAGUUUGGGUAUGAUCAAGACUUCCCGAAAUGGAUUCCAAGCUCGCCUUCAAGUUCAGAACUUGCCUGGUACAACUACAGCACACCUAUUGCUUCUGAUUUGAGGUUAUACUAUCCAUCUAGGCUGUUUGAACCGGAUGUAACAACACGAUAUUUGAAAUGGUGGAGAAACAAACUGAUCGACAAGUGGAGAAUUGCCUUGAUGUUCCUACUGGUAUUCCUCCCAAUUAUUGUUGGAAAAAUGACUAGAAGAAUUACCCUAAUGUUCCUCCUGGUUUUCCUCCCCAUUAGUGUUGGAAAAAUGACAAGAAGAACUACUCUGAUGUUUCUCCUCGUUCUAUGCAGAAGCAUAUUGCAGAGAAAACAGUCCACACAUCCAUUGAUGGCAGUGGGAGUAGCAGUGCAAGAAGCAUGGAAAGGAGCAAAGCUUUUGUUCUAACAACAACGUGUACCAAAAUAAGUGAAGGCAAUAUGGCAAUGGGAAACCAUGAAAAAGAGAGCGGUGCAUAUGAUAUGAUUGAUAUUCUUAAACUUUAGAGAAGGAUUAAAAACCUUGAAAACAUAACUUCUUUAAAGGUUCCAAUAUUCAGGACAAAGUGAAAGCAAGAUUAAGCUAAACUAUAGUGCUAAUAUAAAGUGUUUGUUUAGUUUAUGAAGUUAUAUAUUAUAUUCUUCUUUAUUUCCUAGUACUGAGACAAUACAAGUAGCUCAUUCUUCUGUUUAUAUCCUUUUGUAACUAUCUUAGCAUUAGUAAAAAACAUUCACUUGAAUAAUGUUUCAGUUCACUUGUUUACUUUCCAGGUUUCUAACUGUAUUGCCUAUUAACAAUCUUACAUAGUCCUCAUUUAGCUCUAUGAAGCGUUUGUGGCUGUUGCGAAUGCAAAGUCAAGAUUACAGAUAAAAUCACUAGUAUGUUUUUGUUCCCAGACUAUCAAGUUACUCAAAACUUGGAGUCGAAGAAAAAAACAGACUUUUGAGCAUGUCUUUGUAUAAGAGGAUAUUUGCAAGACAAUUAUGGAGCUAUUUUGCACGAUUAUUUCAAAUGGAGAAACAUGGUAUUGUCGAUUCCAACUUGUUUGAAUUGAGACGCAAUAGUAGUGUUGGAAUUAGUGCAUCAAUGUUUAGUGUUGUGAAUUUUUCUCUUAGUGUUUGAAGAAGUCUCUUUAGAAUUUCGUAGUACAUGUAUCUAGUAAAUUCUGAUACAUGUAGUUAGUUAUUUGUGCAAACUUUUUGUAUUCUAUUUUGAGUAGUAUAAAUAGUGAUGUAGUUGGUGAUUGUAAUCAUCUCAAGUGGCUUUAAGUAGCCUAUGAUAAACUUGAGCAUUCUCUAAAUAUACUAUUUUCCAUCAAUAUUUUCUACAAAUUUGUAUCAAGAGCAGGUUUUCGUUCUUCGUCUGGGGUUUGGUGAAGAAAAAGUAUGGAAUCCAAAACAAAUGAAAGUGUUGAUUCUUCAGUUGUUCUUAUUCCAUUUUUUAAUGGAACUGAUUUUGUAUACUGGAAGAUAAGAAUGAGAACACAUUUUAAAGCUGAAGGUUUGUGAAUUAUUGUUGCAAAUGGUUUUGAAGAGCAAGUCAACGAUGAUGAUCUUACAACAGUAGAGAUGAAAAAUCUUGAGGCUAAGUAUCGUCAAGUUUGAAAAGCCUUGAACAUAAUCCAAAUGGGAGUCUGAAGAACAUAUUUUGCAAAAACUGCUACUUGUGAGACUGCAAGGGAAGCUUGGGAUUUUUUGAAAACUGAGGUGCAUGGUGACAAAAAGGUACGCACUAUAAAUCUUCUAACUAUUAGAAGAGAGUUUCAAAAUUUAAAGAUGAUAGAAUCUAAAUUUUUUUUUGAUGAAUAUUGCACAAGAGUCAUGAAUAUUAUUAAUGAAAUGAGAAAUCAUAGUGAUAUAAUUUCUGGCCAAAAAGUUAUGAAAAAGAUUCUUAUUAGUUUCACAGAAAAAUAUGAGUACAUCGUUGCUAUCAUUGAGGAGACGAAAGAUUUUUCUAAGUUAUCCAUCAAAGACCUAGCUGGAUCAUUUUGUGCACAUGAGAAGUGGAGAUUUUUUUGUGAAGAUCAACCAAAAAAGACAACUUUCCAGUCUAAAACAAAUGAGAAUUAUUAAAAUUUCUCAAAAAAUCAUCAGAAGAAGAAUCACAAGCCAAAAAAGAAGCAGGAUCAUGAUGGUUCAUCCAAGAAGGUUGAAGAAAAAGAUGAGAAAACUAUAGUCUUUUUUAUUAAGUUUGCAAAAAGACUAAUUACAAUGCAGAAAAACGUUGGCACAAAGGCAAGCCCCAAAGUAACUUUUGUAUAAAUUUUGGCCACGUUGAAAAGGAUUGUUGGCACAAGAAAUGAGAUCAAUCAUAUUUUUAUGAAAACAGGAGGAAGAAAGAGAAGAAAACCUUUUCUUUGCUUCUAAAUCUGAUGCUUCAACAAAACGAAAUGAAUGGUAUGUUUAUAGUGGUUGUAGUAAUAACAUGACUGGAGAUUAAAAGGCUUUCCUCUCAAUUUAUAAUAGCAUCACUACUAAAGUGAAGAUGGGGAAAUUGAGCCUUAGUUGAUGCGAAAGGUAAAGGUACUAUUUUGAUCAACAUUAAACGAUGCAGUAAGCAAAUAAAUGAUGUUCUUUAUGUUCCUGACUUGGAAGAAAAUAUUCUUAGUGUUGUUCAACUCAUGGAAAAUUGUUAUUCUCUUGUGCUUAGAGAUAAUUAUUGCAAGAUUUAUGAUAAAAUUGAGCCAAAUCAAGUCAUUGUUAAUGUAAAGAAAAUAAAUAGAAACUUCCCUUUGCCAUUUCAUUACAAUGCAUUAAAAAUGAAAUCAUAGAUGAUCCAUGUCUUUGGCACAAAAGAUUUUGUCACUUGAAUUUUCAUGAUUUGAAGUUUCUCAAGCAAAAGUACAUGGUGCAAGGCCUUCUUAAGAUACAUACAUAGGUGGAUCCAUGUGAAAGUUGUAUAAUGGGAAAGCAAUACAGGAAGUCUUUUCCAAAAGGGAUUUCUAAUAUAGCGUGGUUUCACGGUAUUAUUAAUAAUUUUUCCUUAAGUUUAGUGUGUCCAAAAGCCUUUUUUUGUGCUAAUUUUUAUAUAAGUUUCUCUCUGUUUUGCAAGAUAUCUGUCAAAAGCUGUAUGCGGAGAUUUUGACUGAAGAAAUGCAGAAGAGACCACCUACGGAGCUUAUGACGGUCUGUAGGUGGCAGCGUAGUGUAGCUGCUGAAGGAAGAUGGGAAAGUCUGACCAAGUAUGGGAUUACGAAGCUUGUGACGGUCCGUCAUGGCUAUGACGGUCUGUCCUGCAGGUUCGUCGUGAAGUUCAGAGAAGUGAUCCCAGUAACCAGAUUCCAAGAGUUGAAGUGCUUUAGAACGAAGACCCUCGACGGACCGUUGUGCCUAUGAUGGUCCGUCAUACUUGCCGUCGAGGGGGAUGAAGAGAGCAGGAGAAGAAAUUGCACAAGUAUGGGACAACGGAGUCCAUGACGGUCCGUCAUGACCACGACGGUCCGUCGCGAGGUCCGUCGACCCAGUCGCGUUUUGGAAGAUUUCCAGCAAUUAGAAUCCUUGUUUAAUUAGGUUUUUAUUUUUUAUAAAUAGUUUGAAAAACCUCGUUUUUGAGGUUAGACUCUGUAUUGUUAGGGUUUAUAUUACUAGACUUUUGGAUUGUUGGAAUUUUUGAUUGUUGAUUAGUGUUAGAUUUUGAGAUUCUUACAAGUGAUUUUUGGUGAUUAAUCAAGCAAAUUUUCGGACUUUAUUCUUUCUCAUUGAAGUAAGUACAUGAAUUCUUAUUUAAUAUAUUUGAAUAUUGUGUUUAUGGCUUUGAGUAACUAAACUCCAUAACUAGGGUUGUGGGAACCAUAGGCAAAUAAUGAGAUAAACCCUAUCUAAAAUAACAAUUCUAGAAUAGUGUCUUGCAUGUAUUAAUAAUUCUUUCAUUUAGAAGUCUUUUUAACGGAUGGCCAACGUUACAACUCGCCUUAAUGCUACUUGCCGGACCAAGGAGGUAGAUAAUAGGAAAAAAAUUAUUAACAUAGAUUUAGUGUAUACUAUCUAAUAUGCUAGUAUUGAUUGAUACGAGGUAAUAACUUAGUCAAAUAUCAAAUACGAUGCUUAAUAUGAGGUAAGGAUAAGGGUUAGGAUAGCAACACACGUAGCCGGACCAAGGUGCGGAGUGAGAUUUUCUAGAUGUCGGACCAAGGACUUAGAAAUACAUAACUUAUCACUCUGCAUGCAAGAUACUAGGAAUGAAUUGUUAUAGUUAGAGUUAUCAAGUUAUGAACAUGUGGGGAACACGUAAACCCUAGUUACUUUGAUUAAUUGAUUAAAACCCAACAUUAAAAGCUGUCAAGUGUCACUUUCAAGUUCGUUAUUUAUUUUCACUUAUUUAGAGAUAGAAACCCCUCUUUUUAUGUUUUUACUUUCCAAGGAAGUCAUUGACCAAGCAAUAGUAAUAAUAGGUUGAAGUUAUAUCUAGACUAUUUUCCUCGUGGGAACGAUCCCAACGUGAAAUGAGGGGUUGGGUGGGUUUAAACGUUCUGAUUUUGAAAAAGGGUUCCACCAGGUUGGGUUGGAUAUACCUCAUUAAUCACGCGACGGUUUCCCAGGACGGACCGUCGCAGAUGUGACGACCCGUCGUUUGUUCUGUCGCGUGUGCCCUAGUUUCAAAAUAACUGAAAAACAUACCUUGUACGAUGGAUGCAUACGACGGUCCAUCGCAGGCGCGACGGUCCGUCAAUGUCUCCAUCAGUGACUGUUGCAGAGUAAUUUUCUGCAGAAUUUCCUGGUGAUGUGCCUGCAAAUUUUAAACCCAUUAGUAGAAAAUUGCUACCAUUACUAAAAAGACUAUAAGUAUUGGGUUGCCUCCCAAAGUGCCUGAUUUAAUGUCGCGGCACGACUGGGGAUCCUUGACUACUCAAAUUUCAUCAAGAUUGUAUGCCUCUAUUACUUUAUUCCCCGAUCUUUUAUGCCCAAAAUAGAGUUUUAUUCUAUCUCUAUUCCUCUUAAACCGCACUCCCUCCUUGGCUUUUAACUCAACUGCUCCAUGAGGGAAUACUUGGGUAAUCAAGUAAGGGCCAGUCCAUUUAGACUUGAGCUUUCCCGGAGGAAAAGGCACCCCAUAUUUGUCUACAACCACCAAAUCCCCAACCAUAAACUCUUAUUUUGCAUUUUUCUGUUCAGUCUCCUUCUUUAUCUUUUCUUUGUGGGAUAUGGCAGAUACCGAUUGGAGCUCACCACUCUGCCUCAUGGUCCUACAAAUGUUGAAGGUCGCUUCUUCAUUAUUCAAUCGAAAUGUCAUCUGUCCCUUCUCCAUAUAACCUAAUGCUCUACGUGUGGCAAGGAAUGGCCUCCCAAGAAUAAUAGGCACUUCAAAAUCAACCUCGCAAUCAAGAAUAACAAAAUCAGCCGGAAAGAUGAAUGACUCCACUUUUACUAGCACAUCAUGGAGUAUUCCUAUGGGCCGUUUCACUGUCCGUUCAGUCAUCAGUAGCUGCAUCGCAGUGGGUUUUGGAUCCCCCAAACCCAAUUUCUUGUAAAUCGAGAGGGGCAUGAGAUUUAUGCUUGCUCCCAGAUCACAUAAUGCUUUCGCAAAAUGUAAUGACCCAACUGUACAAGGAAUAGUGAAUGCACCAUGAUCUUCUUUCUUUUGUAUGAGGGAUCUUGUAGCAAUAGCACUACGAUUCUGCAGUCUAUCAUCAUCCUCGAAAGUGACUGAUCUUUUCUUGGUGACUAGAUCUUUCAUAAAUUUUGCAUAACCGAGCAUUUGUUCUAGAGCUUCUACCAAAGGGACAUAGAUAGAAAGCUGCUUCAACAUUGUUAUAAAACACCGGUAUUUACCAUCCUCGGUCUUUUUCACUAAUCUCUGAGGGAAGGGUGGUGGUGGCCUACGCAUGGGAAUUACCUUGAUAGGUACUUCUGCAUCUUUUCCAUUACUUUCCUCUGCUUCACCACUACCCUUUACCACAUUAUCAUUAUCCUUUUUCACAUUUUCCUCAGUAGAUGGCAUAGGUGGGUCAAUGGUUUGACUACCACCCUGAGUAGUGAUUGCCAUACAGUGCACAUCAUUCUUUGGAUUUUGGACAGUGUUGCUAGGAAGAGUGCCCGGUUGCCGGUGUUCACUGUCGCAGAUAAUUGGGCUAUUUGCAACUCGAUCUGCUUAAUCGAAAUUGCAGUGUAUCAACUUUUUUCCCAAUUCUAGCUAAAUCACACCUCAACUCUUUAAUGUGCUCAUCACUAGCAUCGAACCUCCUCAUCAUUUUGUGCAACAUAUCCUCAAAUGGCGCCAUACUAUCUCUACCAUCCCUAGGAGUAACUUCAUGAUUUUGAGGAGGGACAUAGGACCCAUUCCUGUCAUUUCUAUUAGCAUAGUUACCCGUGUUAAAGUUGUUGUCGCAGUUGUAAUUUUCAUCUCGGACAUAAUGAUCCUCACAGUUGUAGUUACCAUAGUUCCGACCUUGGUUCCCUUGACCUUGGCGCCAAUUAUCCUGAUUUGAGCCUUGGGCGCUUGGUCGGAAACCCCCAUCUGUUGAUUUACUGCAUAAGUGUCCUCCGGAUAAUAGAACUCAUCAUUACGAGGUGGUGGUUUAGCUAAGUAGUUGACUGCAUUUAUCCUUUCUUUACCCCCUGUGACAUGUUUUAGUACCAACCCAAGCUCAGUUCCCAUUUGAGCCAUUUCUUCCCGAAUCUCAUCUGUGGCUGGGUUGUGAGUGGACUGCACUGCGAAGGUGUUUCUCCCUGUAUCAGACUUCCUUGUACUCCAAGCUUUGUUAUUUCGGGAGAUUUUCUCUAAUUUUUCAGCAAUGUCAGCAUAAGGGCAUUCUCUAUAAGAUCCACCUACUAUAGUGUCCAACACCGCUUUGUUGUUAUCAUCCUGUCCCCGAUAGAAGUAUUCCUUAAGUGACUCAUCAUCUAUACGGUGAUUUGGAACACUUCUCAAUAAUGGGUUGAAUCUAACCCAAGAACUACUAACUGACUCUCCUGGUAGUGCCACAAAGUUAUUGACUCUGUCUUUGUGAUUUAGUUUCUUGGAGACUGGAUAGUAGCGUGCCAAGAAAACAUCCCUCAAUUGGCUGCAAGUGAAGAUUGAGUUGUAUGGGAGCUUAGUGAACCAUAUAGCAGCCUCUCCUAUCAGUGAGAGAGGAAACACUCUGACGCCUAUUACAUCUAGAUCCAAAUCCGGCCUCCACACACAACUUUUACACACUGCCCUUACCUUAGCUAUAUGGGCAUGUGGAUCCUCAGAAGGUAGCCCUGAAAACAAUCCUCUGGCAGUGAGCAUUUGCAUCAGGCUACAAGUUACUACAAAAGUGUGUCCUGUGGGUAGAGGGGGCAAGACAAGUGGCCCAUCCGAGUCUGCUAUGUUAUCAUACCCUCUAUAGUAUGCUUGGGGCCGUGGAACGGAAUUUUGUCCCCUCUGUUGAUGUUCACCCGGAGCAUCAGGUAACAUCUGACCAUGAACAUCAACCGGAGCUGGAAUGUUCUUGUUCGGAUCCUCAACAUUUAUUCCCAAGUUUCGAUUCAUAUUGCGCAGUGUACGCUAUAGCUCUUGAUCGUAGGGAAACAAGGGUUCUCUUCCUCUCCGUGUAUUUGGCAUACAAGGAGAAUAGUUCUGAAAAGAAAUCAAAAACAAUAAAACAAAGUAUAAUCAAGGAAAUAUCAACUAAACUAUAGUAAUAAGUUUAUGUUAAUCUAAAAGCUAAUUUCCACUACAACGGCGCCAAAAUUUGAUACGCUAAAACUUACUUCUCAAAUAAGAAGUAAAGCGGUCGUGUCAAGUAAAUAACCCAACUAAUGAGGUUGGGAUCGUUCCCACGAGGAAAAUAGUCUAGACUUAACUUCAACCUAUUAUUACUAUGGUUUAGUCAAUGACUUCCUUGGAAAGUAAAAACAUAAAAAGGGGGGGUUUCUAUCCUUAAAUAAGUGAAAAUAAAUAACGAAGUUGAAAGAGACACUUGACAACUUUUAAUGUUGGGUUUUAAUAAAUUAAUCAAAGUAACUAGGGUUUACGUGUUCCCUACAGGUUCAUAACUUGAUAACUCUAACUAUAAGAAUUCUUUCCUAGUAUCUUGUAUGCAAAGUGAUAAGUUAUGUAUUUCUAAAUUCUUGGUCCGGCAUGCUAGUCAGAGACUCUCCUUCAGGGUUCUCUAUUUAUACAGAGUCCAAGUAAAACACGACAGACCUCACGACAGUCCGUCAUAGUCACGACAAGCCAUCACCAGGCCUAUCGUGUGUCACUGUUUCUACAUCAAUUACAUAUUAUUUUCACUGUUUUAUUUCGUAUUGUUUCGCUUGUGUUGUUUGCCACUACUUGUACUAAUAGUGAUCCUUUGCAGGUACUAUCUAAAAUGGCACCCAAGCAAGACCGAACCUACACAUGCGGGCGAUAAGAGUCUGUUGCCCCGUUUGCACGAUUGAUCAUCGGCUCUGAUGAUGAGCAGGACCCUGAGUAUGUGCCUCCAGGCACUUCUACACCUUUCCGUGAUGCACGUGCUCCAUGAGCCACACCCAAAAAGGUGGCAUACGGCGUAGUCACUGCCUCCCAGUCUGAUGAGGAGCGCAUACUGACCGGCACACCCUCUGGGUCAGGCACAAAUGAGGAAGGAGCGUCUGGCUCCUUAGAAGUAUCAUGGUCCGAGGAAGCUUCUGGCUCUGCUGAGGUUCCCGCACCCACCACUGCUGCAGCAUUGGCCUCAUCUAAUGAGGCUGACACUUCAGACUCUACAUCUGGCGCACCAGCUCAGGUCCCCACCCCAGUCUCUGACCAGCCGAACCGGUGGUGUGUCGACGGCCAGUUUCAAGUUUACUCCGACGCCAAGUUCCUGACUGAUAAAGGAGUCAUGACUCGAACACUCACUUUGGAGCGACGGGUACUUACAAGGAGUCUCCCGACGAUGCCUGAGAUACACAACCUCUUCACCAAGCAUCACUUGGAGUGGACAACACGUCUGUUGGGAUGAUACAGAGAGGAAAUGGUCCGAGAGUUCUACGCAUCAUACGUAGCAACUCUACGAUCACAGAUCGAUAGGUGGGCUGCCCCCGCUAAACAAGCCCCACUGGAGCAGGUCCGAGUCAAGGGCCUACAGUUGACAUUUCCCUGCAAGCCAUCCAUCGGUUUUUAUACGGCGAGAGUGUUGAUGCUACUCGGACCCCCAUCACUGCCGAGUUUGACUACCGCUGGCAGAUAGUGAAGGAUGGCCAGUUCUUGCUCAAGCCAUUACUGAGAGAGACCACCAAGAGGUUGAUGGCCCUGCACCUAUCAGUAGGUGGAGAGGGUGCCAAUUGGGUGACUGAGCCGAAAGGGGCCAUCAAGAAGGUCAACCUCACGUUCACAGCAAAGUUCUUGUGGUUGCUUGUCCGUCACAGCCUUUCCCCCACAGUUCCUGAUAACAUCGUUACUUGGGAUCGAGCAGUGUUGAUGGCGGCGAUGAUAGCCGGAUUCGAGGUGGACUUCGCAUGGCUUCUCCAGGCAGUCAUGCACGAGAGGGCAUUCAAGGUCACUACUACCUACCAUUUCCCGUGCAUGAUCUUUGCCCUUUGCAGGUCCGCAGGUGUGCCUAUAUGGCACGUAUAUCAGCUGAAGACCCCGCUAGGAACUGUUGACGUCGGCCUCAUCAGAGACGAGGCCAAUGAGUUGGCUCCACGCAGCGGGCUCAGUCCAGAGCUGCCCCCACUUACUGAUGAUCUUGUUGAUACGGUAGCCCAGGUCCGCACCGCUACACAGGCGUCAACUGACACUACCCCGGUCGAGUCUAUCCCGGGUAGUAGCAUAGGCCCGAGCUCCUCUCGCACAGCCCCUCUAUCGGCACUAGUCCCGCUUGCUAGGGUCAAAAACCUAGAGGCACAAAUGGCCACUCUUCUGCAUCAUAUCCAGCAGUGGAUGCAGAAGUCGAUCACAGAGUCUGAAGAGCGUUUGAAGAGGAAAAUUCACCAGUCUUUUAUUGAUUGUUAGCCUACUGCACUUGUUUUUCUUUAUCGAGCCUUAGGACUAAAAGCUCAUGCAUAAAAAAUUUAAGUAAUACACAUCAUCAUUAGUGGCAAAGCCUAACAUAUUAAAAAAGAGUCAACUAUCACCAUUUCACUGAAAAAUUUAGAUACUGUAUGUGUUGCGUUAAAUCCCUAAAUAUUAUGUCAAAUGAUUAAGAUGAUCAACAGUCAUCUUUUUUCUAUUAAAGUUACCCCUCACAAAAAAAAUUAGAUUAUUUUAAAUAAGUCUUGAAAUCACGCUGUGAAUUAAUAAAAUACUAAUGAGUGAAUAUAUGUUGUAAUUAGAAGGAUUCUCAGUAUUUUGUUUUGUUAUUUCCAUCACAAAUUGAGCUAUUUUAUGUUAACAGUCUAACAUACUACAAACAUCUCCUCUAGCAUGGCUUAGCACUAAAAUCUCAUGCACAUAAUGUUUGAAUAAUAUUCAGCAUCAUCAAUGACAGAACAACAUGUAUUUAAAAGGUGUCAACAUAUACCACGUCACUGCAAAUAUUUAUCAUAUGGAUAUGUGAAAAGUUUUAUCACAACAAUAAAAUCUGCUUUUAGCGACAAAAAAUGUACACAUUUACAAAAAAUGCUAAUAUAUUUACCAGUAUUAGUUAUUUUUCAUUAUAUCCGAUGUCGGUAAAUGCUUUAGGGACAUUUGCAAAGAGUGUUAAUUGACGCUUAGUGACAAUUAAGCUAUUGUGGUUAAUUAAUUGCAGCUAAAGAUCAUUUUCUGUGUACUGACAUAGUACGUAUUGAAUUCCUUUAUAUAUUUACUCGUAUAUUUUGUCAAUUUCUUUUUUGUUAUCUUCAUUACCAAAUUAGCGGAUUUUACGUUAGUAGACAACCUACUGCAAUCGUUUUCCUCUAACAAGGAUUAGGAUUGAGCUCAUGUCUGUGCUGAUAUCAAUAUUUACCUUGUGGUACAAUAUUAACCUUUCAACAGGAUAUAUAUAGUUUUGUUAUUCCCACUAUCGAAUUCACCGAAUAUUUUUCAUUGACUAUUAUCCUAGUGCAAUUGUUUUUUUUUAUCAAGGCUUAGGACUUAAAACUCAUUCACGUAAAAUUUGAGUCAUUACAUCAUUAUGAUCAAUAGCUAGCAGAGCCACAUGUAUUCAAAAAAAGUCAACUAAUACUAGUUCACAGAAAAUGUUUAUAUACUAUGUGUUGUGUUAAUCAAUAAAUAUUAUAUCAAAUGAUUAAUGACGAUUUAAUUUCAUAAUUUCAGUGCAUUAUCUUAAAAUUAACUUUCCAGGUAACUAUUCAAUUGAUAAACCUCAAUAAUUUCUUCUUACUUAAAAAUAAAAAAGGGAAUAUUUAUUUAAUUAUUGCACUUAAAAGUCUAAUUCAGCAACUUUAGUCAAAGUUCAAUUGAUUCUAUUAAUAAAUAUUAUAUCAAAUGAUUAAUGACGAUUCAAAUUCAUAAUUUGAGUAAAUUACCUUAAAGUUAACUUUUCAGGAAAAAUAUUUAAUUAAUAAACCUGAUUAAAUUCUUCUAAUUUAAAAACAACAAAGGCAAUAUUCAUUUAAUUAUUGCACUUAAAAGUCAAAUUCAGCAACAUUAGUCAAAGUUCAAUUGAUUCUGUUAAUAAAUAUUAUAUCAGAUGAUUAAUGACGAUUCGAAUUCAUAGUUUGAGUGAAAUAUCUUACUAUUAACUUUCCAAGAAAAAUAUUGAAUUAAUAAACCUCAUUGAUUUCUUCUUACUUAAAUUCAAAAAAAAGGCAAUAUUCAUUUAAUUAUUUCAUAUAAAAGUCAAAUUCAGCAACGUCAGUAAAAGUUUAAUUGAUUCUAUUAAUAAAUAUUUGUAAUCUUUAGUAAAAUUUAUUCAACGUAUUACUAACUUACGUUAAAUAUCACUAUUUCAAUCUUUCUAUAUAUAACAUCCGAAGCAUUUAUUGGAAAAACAUAUAUUUUUUUUAAAAAAAAUAUCAAAUGGAAGAUCCAACUAUCAUUGAAAGAGUAGGGUUGUUGGUUUCACCACUUGGUGGAAUUCCACAACGAAGAGUUUCCCAUUUUUUAGACCCAAUUGCUACUUCGACUGAAGUACCAAAUUUGAAAUAUCAUUGAAUCCACUUUUUAUUUGAUCAAUCUUAGUAAACAUUGAAAGUCACGUUCCAUGGUUGCAAUGGAUGGAGGGAUCAACAAAAGAAAUGGAAAGAAUGGGUUGAAAUGAUGGAGUCUAUCUAUCGCCUGUAUUGAUAGUUGUAGGAAUUUAUGGAGCGUUAAAAGGUUCAACUUAUAGAGUCCGUACUGACGAAAAUUUAAUAUUUGGGUUGGUAGAGAGGUGUUCUUGUGAGACCAAAAAUUUAAUGUUUCCGUGGGGUGAAGUUACUGUUAGUCUUGAAGACAUUAUGGUUUUUGGAGGGUUUUCUACUUUGGGUGAUUGUGUUAUGUCCCCACCCUUCAAUCCCCUGAGUUGGUAGAGAUUGAAGAGUAUCUUGAGAAUGCGAGAGGAGAACUUAUCAGAUCAAAGACAAAUAAUAAGAGUAGGUGGUUGAAUUACUUCAUGAAUAGUUGUAAGGACAACGAACACGAAGCUUUUCUUUCUCUUUGUUUAUCAAGAUUUGUGUUUCCAUGUAUAGUAGGUUCUCCUAUAUUCUCGAUAGCUUUUAAUAUGGCUAGAGGUAUGCGGCUAGCGCUUUCUCCUGGUGUUCUUCCUAGUAUAUAUAGGGACUUGGGGUCGUUGAGAAUUGUUAUGAUAGAGACAGGUAGAAGAAAUAAAGACAAAAUUGAGAUUCAUAAACUUAAUCUUUGGUCGUCAUUGUUCUUUGUUCAAGUCUGGGCUUGGGAGAGGAUGAUAUCUUUGCAGCUAGAGCGCGCUCGAAAUUACAAUUUAGUUAGUGGGGUCAGAUUAGGAUAAUGGUACAAUGUGAAACAAACGGUGAAAUUAAUUUGAGGACUACUAUUAAUGCAGCUGGGGAGAUUUUUAUGUGGAGAGCAUACGCCUUGGCUGUGGAAGGUUAAUCAAUUUUUCCCAAGUUUUACAAGGAAAAUGAAGAGUGGACAAUAGUUGGAGGGCAAAAUUUGUAUCAAGAAAUGGAGUCUUACGUUCGAUGCUUGAGAGUGUCUGAGUUUGUUUGUUUAGAUUUUCAAGAGCCUUAUCGACCAAAUCGGGUAGCAAUGCAGUUUGGGUAUGAUCAAGACUUCCCGAAAUGGAUUCCACGCUCGCCUUAAAGUUCAGAACUUGCCUGGUACAAUUACAGCACACCUAUUGCUUCUGAUUUGAGGUUAUACUAUCCAUCUAGGCUGUUUGAAUCGGAUGUAACAACACGAUAUUUGAAAUGGUGGAGAAAGGAAACUGAUCGACAAAUGGAGAAUUGCCUUGAUGUUCCUCCUGGUUUUCCUCCCAAUUAUUGUUGGAAAAAUGACUAGAAGAAUUACCCUAAUGUUCCUCCUGGUUUUCCUCCCCAUUAGUGUUGGAAAAAUGACAAGAAGAAUUACUCUGAUGUUUCUCCUCGUUCUAUGCAAAAGCAUAUUGCAGAGAAAACAGUCCACACAUCCAUUGAUGGCAGUGGGGGUAGCAGUGCAAGAAGCAUGGAAAGGAGCUAAGCUUUAGUUCUAACAACAACGUGUACCAAAAUAAGUGAAGGCAAUAUGGCAAUGGGAAACCAUGAAAAAGAGAGCGGUGCAUAUGAUAUGAUUGAUUUUCUGAAACUUUAGAGGAGGAUUAAAAACCUUGAAAACAUCAAUUCUUUAAAGGUUGCAAUAUUCAGGACAAAGUGAAAGCAAGAUUAAGCUAAACUAUAUUUCUAAUAUAAAGUGUUUGUUUAGUUUUUGAAGGUAUAUAUUAUAUUCUUCUUUAUUUCCUAGUACUGAGACAAUACAAGUAGCUCGUUCUUCUGUUUAUAUCCUUUUGUAACUAUCUUAGCUUUAGUAAAAAACAUUCACUUGAAUCAUGUUUCAAUUCACUUGUUUACUUUCCAGGUUUCUAACAGUAUUGCAUAUUAACAAUCUUACAUAGUCCUCAUUUAGCUCUAUGAAGCGUUUGUGGCUGUUGCGAAUGCAAAGUCAAGAUUACAGAUAAAAUCACUAGCAUGUUUUUGUUCCCAGACUAUCAAGUUACUCUGAACUUGGAGUCGGAGAAAAAAACAGACUUUUGAGCAUGUCUUUGUUUAAGAGGAUAUGUCCAAGACAGUUAUGGAGCUAUUUGGCACGAUCAUUUCAAAUGGAGAAACAUGGUAUUGUCGAUUCCAACUUGUUUGAAUUGAGACACAGUAGUAGUGUUGGAAAUAAUGCAUCAAUGUUUAGUGUUGUGAAUUUGUCUCUUAGUUUUUCAAGAAGUCUCUUUAGAAUUUCGUAGUACAUGUAUCUAGUAAAUUGUGAUACAUGUAUUUAGUUAUUUGUGCAAACUUUUUGUAUUCUAUUUUGAGUAGUAUAAAUAGUGAUGUAGUUGGUGAUUGUAAUCAUCUCAAGUGGCUUUAAGUAGCCUAUGAUAAACUUGAGCAUUCUCUAAAUAUACUAUUUUCCUUCAAUAUUUUCUACAAAUUUGUAUCAAGAGCAGGUUUUCGUUCUUCGUCUGGGGUUUGGUGAAGGAAAAAGUAUGGAAUCCAAAACAAAUGAAGGUGUUGAUUCUUCAGUUGUUCUUAUUCCAUUUUUAAUGGAACAGUUUUUGAAUACUGGAAGAUAAGAAUGAGAACACAUUUUACAGCUGAAGGUUUGUGAAUUAUUAUUGCAAAUGGUUUUGAAGAGCAAGACAACGAUGAUAAUCUUACAACAGCAGAGAUGAAAAAUCUUGAGGCUAAGUAUCGUCAAGAUGCAAAAGUGUUGAACAUAAUCUAAAUGGGAGUCUGAAGAGCAUAUUUUGAAAAAACUGCUACUUGUGAGACUGCAAGGGAAGCUUGGGAUUUUUUGAAAACUGAGGUGUAUGGUAAUAAAAAGGUACGCACUAUAAAUCUUCAAACUCUUAGAAGAGAGUUUCAAAAUUUAAAGAUGAUAGAAUCUAAAAAAAAUUUGAUGAAUAUUGCACAAGACUCAUGAAUAUUGUUAAUGAAAUGAGAAAUCAUAGUGAUAUAAUUUCUGGCCAAAAAGUUGUGAAAAAGAUUCUUAUUAGUGUCACAGAAAAAUAUGAGUACAUCAUUGCGAUCAUUGAGGAGACGAAAGAUUUUUCUAAGUUUUCCAUCAAAGAUCUAGCUGGAUCAUUUCGUGCACACGAGAAGUGGAGAUUUUUUGUGUGAAGAUCAACCAAAAGAGACAGCUUUCCAGUCUAAAACAAAUGAGAAUUAUCAAAAUUUCUCAAAAAAUCAUCAAAAGAAGAAUCACAAGCCAAAAAAGAAGCAGGAUCAUGAUGGUUCAUUCAAGAAGGUUGAAGAAAAAGAUGAGAAAAACUAUAGUCUUUUUUGUUAAUUUUGCAAAAAGACUAAUGGCAAUGAAGAAAAACGUUGGCCCAAAGGCAAGCCCCAACGUAACUUUUGUAUAAAGUUUGGCCAAGUUGAAAAGGAUUGUUGGCAUCCUCUCAAUUAAUAAUAGCAUCACUACUAAAGUGAAGAUGGGGGAAUUGAGCCUUAGUUGAUGCGAAAGGUAAAGGUACUAUUUUGAUCAACAAACGAUGCGGUAAGCAAAUAAAUGAUGUUCUUUAUGUUCUUGACUUGGAUGAUAAUAUUCUUAGUGUUGUUCAACUCAUGGAAAAUUGGUAUUCUUUUGUGCUUAGAGAUAAUUAUUGCAAGAUUUAUGAUAAAAUUGAGCCAAAUCAAGUCAUUGUUGAAGUAAAGAUAAUAAAUAGAAACUUCCCUUUGCCAUUUCAUUACAAUGCAUUAAAAAUGAAAUCGUAGAUGAUCCAUGUCUUUGGCACAAAAGAUUUUGUCACUUGAAUUUUCAUGGUUUGAAGUUUCUCAAGCAAAAGUACAUGGUGCAAGGCCUUCUUAAGAUACAUACGUAGGUGGAUCCAUGUGAAAGUUGUAUAAUGGGAAAGCAAUACAGGAAGUCUUUUCCAAAAGGGAUGUCUGAUAUACCGUGGUUUCACGGUAUUAUUAAUACUUUUUCCUUAAGUUUAGUGUGUCCAAAAUCCUUUUUUUGUGCUAAUUUUUAUAUAAGUUUCUCUCUGUUUUGCAGGAUAUCUGUCCAACGGAGAUUUUGAGUGAAGAAAUGCAGAAGAGACCACCUACGGAGCUUAUGACGGUUUGUAGGUGGAAGCGUAGUGCAGCUGCUGAAGGAAGAUGGCGAAGUCUGACCAAGUGGGGGAUUAUGAAGCUUGUGACGGUUCGUCGUGGCUGUGACAGUCCGUCCUGCAGGUUCGUCGUAAAGUUCAGAGAAGUGAUCCUAGUACCCAGAUUCCAAGAGUUGAAGUGUUUUAGAGUGAAGACCCUCGAUGGACCGUUGUACCUAUGACGGUCCGUCAUACUUGCCGUCGAGGGGAAUGAAGAGAGCAGCAGAAGAAAUUGCAUAAGUAUGGGACGGUGGAGUCCACGAUGGUCCGUCGCGACGUCCGUCGACCCAGCCGCGUUUUGGCAGAUUUCCAGCAAUUAGAAUCCUUGUUUAAUUAGGUUUUUAUUUUUUUAUAAAUAGUUUGAAAAACCUCGUUUUUGAGGUUAGACUCCGUAUUGUUAGGCUCCAUAUUACUAGACUUUUGGAAUGUUGGAUUGUUGGAAUUUUUGAUUGUUGAUUAGUUUUAGAUUUUGAGAUUCUUACAAGUGAUUUUUGGUGAUUAAUCAAGCAAAUUUUUGGACUUUAUUCUUUCUCAUUGAAGUAAGCACAUGAAUUCUUAUUUAAUAUGUUUGAAUAUUGUGUUUAUGGCUAUGAGUAACUAAACUCCAUAACCAGGGUUGUGGGAACCCUAGGCAAAUAUUGAGAUAAACCCUAACUAAAAAAAACAAUUCUAGAAUAGUGUCUUGGAUGAAUUAAUAAUUCUUUCGUUUAGAAGUCUUUUUAACGGAUGGCCAACGUUACAACUCGCCUUAAUGCUACUUGCCGAACCAAGGAGGUAGAUAAUAGGAAAAGAAUUAUUAACAUAGAUUUAGUUCAUACUAUCUAAUUGGCUAGUAUUGAUUGGUACGAGGUAAUAACUUAGUCAAAUAUCGAAUACGAUGAUUAAUAUGAGGUAAGGAUAAGGGUUAGGAUAGCAACACACGUAGCCGGACCAUGGUGUGGAGUGAGAUUUUCUAGAUGACGGACAAAGGAUUUAGAAAUACAUAACUUAUCACUUUGCAUGCAAGGUAUUAGGAAAAAAUUGUUAUAGUUAGAGUUAUCAAGUUAUGAACCUGUAGGGAACACGUAAACCCUAGUUACUUUGAUUAAUUGAUUAAAACCCAACAUUAAAAGCUGUCAAGUGUCUCUUUCAAGUUCGUUAUUUAUUUUCACUUAUUUAGAGAUAGAAACCCCCCUUUUUAUGUUUUUACCAUCCAAGGAAGUCAUUGACCAAACAAUAGUUAUAAUAGGUUGAAGUUCAGUCUAGACUAUUUUCCUCGUGGGAACGAUCCCAACCUCACUAGUUGGGUUAUUUACUUGACACGACCACUUUACUUCUUAUUUGAGAAGUAAGUUUGAGCGUAUCAAUGUCUUGGAGAGCAAGUGUACUUUUGGAACUAAUCCAUACCGACAUUUGUGGACCAAUGAGGACUCCAUCUCUUGGAAGUCAAAGGUGUUGGGAUUUAGUAAGUGUGAAUGGGAAAAGAAAAGAGAGAAUAUGAAAAGUGAGGGAACUAAUUUGGAGGGAAAAUGAAAAGACUUUUUCAGAGUGCAAAUGAAAAGUCAUUUCUCCCAUAUCGGCAAAAGAAAGAGAAAUUGUUGUCCUUAUUGAAGGAAACAGUUCCAUUACUUCUUAAAGAGAUAAGAAUGAGAUGCCCCUCGCACCAUCGUCGCUCGCUCAGCUUCUGCUUCGGCUUCGGCUUCGGAUUUGGAUUUGGAUUUCCUUUUCUACAUUUAUUUUUCUCUCAAAUAAAAUCAAAGUGUCGAUUGACUGAGUCUUUGUGACAUGUUGUUGUUCUUAAGUUCGUUGAAGUUAAAGAAGUUUGAGGUACCGCUAUUUCUUUAACAGGUUUGAUCUGUUUUAUCUUGGGAGAAAUUAAUCUAUAACCUUGGGUACAGUGAGGUGAUUAAAUUUAACAGUUUCUGUAUUUGAGGUUUCUGGAGAUUAAAACCUUUAUGGUUUUCUACUCUCCUUGAAUUUUUAAAAUUCAUUCGAUUCACGAUUAAAAGAACAUAAAAACUUUAUCAUUAAAUCAGAAACAGUUUGUGUAAAUAUUUGUUCUUUACUGUUAGUAUUUUAAAUACUUAACUUAUCUUCCAUUUGUGACAGAAAAAAAAUGACUUAUUCAAGUAAAACAAAUGCUGGAACAGUAAGUGCUGUAACAACAACGGUUGCACAUAAUUGUUCAAAGGUUGCCUUAGCGCCAGUUGAGAUACCUGCAAAGUUUUUUGGAGUCAACUUUAAGAGAUGACAACAAAAGAUGUUCUUCUAUCUCACUACAUUGAGUCUGCAGAAGUUCAUUAAUGAGAAUGUUCCUGUUAUGUCAGAUAAAACUCCAGUUGAUGAACGAUUCUUGGUAACAUAAGUAUGAUACACUUAGAUUUUUUGUGUAAAAAUUAUAGUUUGAGUGGUCUUCAAGAUAAUCUGUACAAUUUGUACAGCAAUGCCAAAACCUCAAAAGAAUUUUGGGAUGUUUUAGAAAAGAAGUACAAAAUAGAAGAUGCUGAAGAAAUUAAUUGUGGCAAAAUUCUGGACUAUAAGAUGAUAGACAGUAAGACUGUCGUCACCUAAGUUCAAGAAUUGCAAGUCAUAAUCCAUGAUCUCCUUGCUGAAGGUGUAAAUUUAUUUAAUGCCUAUGUUAGAAAUACUAAGUUUUCCCUUAAUACUCACAUAAUCUUUAAUGUAGAAUUGAUUCUGAAUGAUGCUUUUCAAGUGACUGUAAUUGUUGAAAAGUUACCUCCAUUAUGGAAGGACUUCAAAAAUUACUUGAAACACAUAUGUAAGGAUAUGACUCUUUAAGAUCUCAUAAUAAGGUUGAGAAUCGAAGAGGAUAAUAAGGCUAGAAAAAAGAGGUCACGUGGUAAUUCAACAAUAUCUGGAGUAAAUUUUGUUGAAAAAUAUCCCAUAAAAUUAAAGAAAAGAAAGAAAGCAUCUGGUCCAAAAAGCAAUCCUCCUAAGAAGAAAUUCAAUGGAAACUGCUUUAAUUGUGGUAAACAUGGUCAUAGGGCUAAUGAAUGUCAGGUUCCUAAGAAGGUCAAGAAAACGAAGGAUCAAGCAAACUUGGCUGAAUUCAAAGGAGAAAUGGACGAUCUCUGUGCAAUGCUUUCAAAAUGUAACUUGGUUGGAAAUCUAAGAGAAUGGUGGAUAGAUUCUGGUGCCUCAUGUCAUGUUUGUACCUACAAAGAAUUAUUUUCAUCAUAUACUCCAGCACUUACAGAUAAAAAAUUGUUUAUGGCAAACUCUGCUGUUGCAAAGGUAGAACAAACUGGCAAAGUUCUAUUUAAGAUGACAUCAGGCAAGGAGGUGACUUUGAAUAGGGUCUCAUAUGUUCUAGAAUUGAGAAAUAAUUUAGUUUCAAUUCCAGUUCUGACCAAGAAUGGAUUUAAAUGUGUCUUUGUUUCUGAUAAAGUAGUAGUAAGCAAAACUUAUAUGUAUGUAGGAAAAGGCUACCUUAGUGAUGACCUUUUGUAAUUGCAGUUUAUAUGAAUAAAGAUUUUGCUUCUUCUUACUUGCUUGAGUCUAAAUGUUUAUGGAAUGAACGUUUGGGACACGUUCCAAAAUUUGAGUUCAAUAAAUCUAAAUGUCAAAUUUGUGUUGAAUCUAAGUAUGCGAAGCAUUCUUAUAAAUCUGUUGAAAAGAAUUCAAAUCCUUUAGAAUUGAUUCACACUGAUAUUUGUGACAUGAAGUCAACACCAUCACGUGGUGGGAAAAAGUAUUUCAUAACUUUUAUUGACGAUUGCACUGGAUAUUGUUAUGUCUAUUUGCUAAAUAGUAAGGAUGAAACAAUAGAUGCAUUUAGGCAAUAUAAAACUCAAAUUGAAAAUCAGUUAGAUAAAAAGAUCAAAAUGGUCAGAAGUGAUAGAGGUGGAGAAUAUGAAUCUCCAUUUGAAAAUCAGAUACAUAACAGAGUGUCUCACUCAAAGACAAAUGAAAUUCCAUAUGGGAAAUGGAAAGGUAGAAAACCCAAUUCUAAAUAUUUCAAAGUGUGGGGGUGUCUAGCCAAAGUCCAAGUUCCUAUACCUAAGAGGGUAAAAAUAGGACCUAAGAAUGUGGAUUGUGUAUACAUUGGAUAUGCCAAAAAUAGUAAGGCAUGUCGAUUUUUGGUUCAUAAGUCUGAAAAUCCGGAUAUUCAUCAUAAUACGGUAAUGGAAUCAGAUAGUGCUGAAUUUUUUUGCACAUAUCUAUCCGUAUAAAACUAGACUUGAGUCAUCUAGUGUGACCCAGAGACAACCAAAAGAGCAUGAACAAAAUGAAGAAAGUCCAAGACGCAGUAAACGUCAAAAGACAUCUACUUCAUUCGGAUCAGAUUUUGUAACAUUUCUUUUUGAAAGUGAGCCUUAAACAUUCAAGGAAGCAAUGUUGUCUAGCGACUCAACCUCUUGGAAGGAGGCUGCUAAUAUUGAAAUUGAAUCAAUCUGAAGCAAUCAUACUUGGGAGUUGGUUGAUCUUCCUCCAGGGAUCAAACCUUUGGGUUCAAAAUGGAUCUUUAAAAGGAAGAUGAAAGACGAUGGAACUAUUGACAAAUAUAAAGCAAGACUUGUUGUCAGGUUUUAGACAAAAAGAAGGUCUUGAUUAUUUUGAAACAUACUCUCCAGUGACUAGGAUUACAUCAAUUCGAAUGUUAAUUGCACUAGCUGCAGUAUAGGGUCUUGAAAUUCAUCCAAUGGAUGUGAAAACAACCUUCUUAAAUGGAGAGCUUGAAAAGGAAAUUUACAUUGAACAACCUGAGGGUUUUGUAGUGCCUGGUAAAGAAAAGAAAAUGUGCAAACUUAUUAAGUCACUUUAUGGACUAAAACAAGCACCAAAAUAAUGGCAUGCAAAGUUUGAUCAAACCAUGUUGUCAAAUGGAUUUAAGAUAAAUGAAUGUGAUAAAUGUGUUAACAUUAAAGAUACUCCAAAUCAGGAAGUUUUUUUAUUCCUAUAUGUAGAUGAUAUGCUUAUAAUGAGAAAAAACAUUGCUAAUGUAAAAGCUACAAAGUGUAUUCUUGCUAGUAAGUUUGAUAUGAAAGAUUUAGGAGUUGCCGAUGUGAUAUAACGAAUUAAAAUUCUUAAAAGUCCUAACGGUCUAGCAUUGUCUCAAACUCAUUAUAUUCAAAAGAUACUUGAAAAAUUCAAAUUUUUUAAUUUUAAAAGGGCAAAGACUCCAAUUGAUGUAAACCUUCAUCUUGCAAAGAAUAAAGGUGAAAGUCAGUCUCAAUUGGACUAUGCUAGCGUAUUAGGAAGCUUAAUGUAUGUCAUGAAUUGUACACGGCCAGACAUAGCUUGCGCUAUCAGUAGACUGAGUCGAUACAUAAGUAAUCCUAAUCAUAAUCAUUGGCUGGCAAUGAAGAGAGUUUUGGGAUAAUUAGAUGACACUCGACACUAUGCUUUACAUUACAACAAAUAUACAGCCGUUCUUGAAGGAUAUAGUGUUGCAAAUUGGAUUACUGGGUCAACUGAAACAAAAUCAACAAGUGGGUACGUUUUUACUAUUGGUGGAGGAUCAAUAUCUUAGAAGUCAUCCAAACAAACAUGUAUAACUCGCUCUACAAUAGAGUCUGAAUUCAUUGCUUUAGACAAGGCAGAUGAAGAAGUUGAAUGGCUCUGGAAUUUCUUAGAAGAUAUUCCAUUUUGGCCCAAACCAAUGGCCCCUAUAUGCAUACAUUGUGAUAGUCAAGCUUCAAUAGGAAGGGUUGGAAGCAUUAUGUAUAACGGCAAGUCUGGUCACAUAAGAAGAAGACAUAACUUUGUGAGACAGCCACUCUCUAGUGGAAUUAUCACAAUUGACUAUGUGAAGUCAAAAGAUAAUGUGUCGGAUUCACUUACAAAAAACCUAAAUAGAGAGGGAGUAGAGAAAUCAUCGACGGGAUUGGGACUAUGGCCAAAAACAGGUCAUCGUGGCGGUAACUCUACCUAGAAGACUGGAGAUCCCAAGAUCUAGGUUCAAGGAGAUAAAACAAAGUCAUUGAUGACGGUUCAACAUUGUCAAAGGAAAAAAUAUUAUUAUUUUAUGGUCCAUUUUCAUGAUGAGACAAUGUUUAGUAACCAGGAUAAAGACAUAAGGACUUUUUAAUGGUUUCUAUGUUUGAUAAAGGGAAUAUCAAAUGGUGUAUCUAUGAGAUAACACAUUUUGAAAUCACCUAUGUAAGUGUGAAGUGUAAGUCGCUUCAAGAAGAAUCCAGUAAGGCCAGUUCUUUAAGCACUUACUAUCCAAGAUGAGUUCAUGGCUGAAACGAACAAAACAAUGAGAACUAAGAACAAUUCAAGGGUUGAUUGUGUGACAUAUGUUGUCUAGGUAUACACCAAAGAUCGAUGGUUCAAAGAUAUCAAAUCUACCGUUUGACCGAGUAUAUCCGAUAUAUGUUCACUAUGGAAAGUUUAAAGGGAAACCUACUUAUCCAGAUACGAUUAACCUUUACCUACAAGACACACAAGUUUUUUCAUGCAUAUGUUUUAUCAAUAUACUUUCCCAUUCAUGAGGGGGAUUUUUGGGAUUUAGCAAGUGUGAAUGGAAAAAGAAAAGAGAGAAUAUGAAAAAUGAGGGAACUAAUUUGGAGGGAAAAUGAUGAGUCAUUUGCAAAGUGCAAAUGAAAAGUCAUUUCUCCCAUAUCGACAAAAUAAAGAGAAAUUGUUGUCCUUAUAGAAGGAAUCACUUCCAUUACUUCUUAAAGAGAUAAGAAGAAGAUGCCCCUUGCACCGUCGUUGUCGUCGCUCGCUCAGCCUCGACUUCAGCUUUGGAUUGGGAUUUGGAUUUGGUAAAUGAUAUGAUUGAUUGAUAAAUUUUUUGGACAAAAUUUAUUUAAUCAAUUUUUGUUAAAUCAAAUAAAUCCUGUUAAAAAUUAUCUCUUAUAAAUUUGUGGGUAAUGGUAACAUUCCAAAAAGUUAUUAUUCUUUCUGAAAAGUUGUUACUUUCAUAAAAGUCGUUAUUUUCCUAACAGACAUAAUUUUCCAAAAAGUUGUUAUUUUUUCCAAAAGACACAACUUUCUGGAUAAAAUGGGUCUGAACAGAUUUCACUGAACAGACACAUUCCUUGCUGAAAAUGGCUAUAAAAGGAAGUCAAUUUUCGAUUUUUUAAAACACUGGAAAAAUUUUCCUUCUCUGUAUUUAUUUUUCUCUCAAAUAAAAUCAAAGUGUCGAUCGACUGAGUCUGUGUGACUUGUUGUUGUUCUUAAUUUCAUUGAUAUUAAAGAAGUUUGAGGUAUCUCUGUUUCUUUAACAGGUUUAAUCUGUUUUAUCUUGGGAGAAAUUAAUCUAUAACCUUGGGUACAGUGAGGGGAUUAAAUUUCUUAAGGACACACAGUAAUUUCUGUGAACUCGGAUUAAUUUUUGUAUUUUAUUAAUUCUUUGCUUCAUCUACUUUCUGUUUCUGUUCAUUGGUUAACCUUAUAAAUAUAGGUUACUAUAAGAAUAACAAAAGGUAUUUUCUAAUCUUUAUUGAUGAUUUCUCAAGAAUGACUUGAGUUUAUUUCUUGAAAGAAAAUUAGAAGCAUUUGCUAUAUUCAAGAAAUUUAAAGCCCUUGUUGAGAAGCAAAAAGGUUGCUGCAUCAAAACCAUUUGCAAUGAUCGAGGAGGUGAAUACACAAGUCAAGAAUUUGAAGAAUAUUGCAAAAAUGAAGGCAUUCAGAAGCAACUUACAGCAGGGUAUACUCCUCAACAAAAUGGUAUAUCUGAAAGAAGAAAUAGAACAAUUGUUGAAAUGACAAGAAAUAUGAAUAAUGAGAAAGGGCUGCCAAAAUCUUUUUGGGCAGAAGUGUGCAUAUAUCAGUUCACAUCCUUAACAGGUGUCCAGCAAAGGCACUAAAGGACAAGACACUAUUUGAAGCUUGGAGUGGAAUUAAACCUUCUAUAAGUCAUUUUAAAAUUUCUGGGUAUAUUUGUUAUGCUCAUGUACCUGCUAAGAAAAGAACAAAAUUGGAUAAAAAAAAGUCAAAAAUGUAUCUUUAUUGGUUAUAGUGAUGUUACAAAAGGAUAUAGGCUUCUCGAUGUCAAAACUAAAAAACUUGUUGUUAGUAGAGAUGUCAUUUUUCAUGAAAAACAACAUGGAAUUGGGAGGAUAAAAAGAUAGAGGAUACUGCUAUCACAUCUUCAAAUCAGGAAGAGGAUGAGGAAGAUAAAGAUGUCUCUCAAGGGGGAGAAAUCCCAGAAUCAGAUGAUGAAGAACCGCCUCCAAGAGGAACAAAAAUGUUUAGUGACAUUAAUCAAAGAUGUAAUUUUGUCGGUGUUGAGCCAGAAAAUUAUGAAGAGGCAAUAAAGCAUGAUGUUUGGAAGAAAUACAUGGAAGAAGAAAUUCGAAUUAUUGAAAAAACUAAUACUUGGGAGCUUGUGGCUAUACCUAGAGAAAGAGAAGUUGUAAGUCUAAGAUGGAUUUACAAAAUCAAACUCAAUAGAAAGGAGAUAUUCAAAAGUACAAAGCAAGGUUGGUUGCUAGAGGCUUCACGCAAAAAUCAGGUAUUGAUUUUAUGAAACUUUCUCUCCAGUUGAUCUUGUUGAGACAAUUGUAACUCUAAUUGUUGUUGCUGCACAAAAAAAAUGGAAGAUAUUUCAACUUGAUGUUAAAUCAGUACUUAUUAAUGGAAAACUUAAUGAAGAGAUUAAUGUUGAGCAACCUCAAGGAUAUUUUGUUCAAGGGGGAGAAAAAAAGGUUUACAGGUUGAAAAAAUCUCUUUACAGGCUGAAGCAAGCUCCAAGAGCCUGGUAUAAUGAUAUUGAUACAUACUUUCUGAAAAAUAAUUUUUUAGAGAAGUAAAAGUGAAGCCACUUUGUAUGUGAAGAAGAACAUGACAUUAUUAUCAUUGUUUGUCUCUAUGUGGAUUAUCUGCUAUUUACAUGAAAUGAUGUAAAAAUUAUGCAAAUUUUCAAACAAGAUAUGAUGCAAGCUUAUGAAAUAAGUGAUUUUGGGUUGUUAAAUUAUUUCUUGGGCAUCAAAGUUUCUCAAGUGAAAGAAGGAAUUUUUAUUUCACAAAAGAAGUAUACUAAAAGUAUUCUUCAAAAAUUCAAAAUGAUGAAUUGCAGUUUUGUGGCCAUACCAUUAGCAGCAAAUAAGAAGUUUUCAAAAGAUGAUGGAGAAAAAAAAAGGUAAUAGCUCACUUUAUAGGAGUUUCAUUGGAUGUUUGUUAUAUCUCACUUCAACAAGGCAGAUAUUAUUUUUGCUGCUAGUUUAUUAUCCAAAUUCAUGCAAGAACCAAGCCAAGUGCAUUUUGGAGUUGCAAAUCGUGUUCUACGCUACUUGCAAGGAGCAAUGAAUUAUGGGAUAAUGUACAAAUUUGGUGGAGAUUUAAACUUAAUUGGUUAUUCUUAUAGUGAUUGGGCUGGAAGUAUAGAUGACAUGAAGAGUACUUCAGGUUAUGCUUUCUUAUUUGGAUCAAGUAAUUGUUCUUGGUUAUCAAAAAACCAACAUUGUUGUUCAAUCCACUACCGAAGAAGAAUAUGUUUCAGCAUCCAAGGCUACUUCACAAGCUAUUUGGCUUAGGAGAAUAUUUAAAGACAUUGGUGAAAAACAAAAAAAAGACUGUUCUACAUUGUGAUAGCAAAUCAGCAAUUGCAAUUGCCAAGAAUCCAGUCAGCCAUGAAAAAUCAAAGCAUAUUUCCAUCAAGUAUCAUUUUAUCAUACAAGCACAAGAGAAAGACAAAAUUCAGUUGCAUUAUUCUCAGACAGGAGAUUAACUUGCUAACAUCUUCACCAAAGCACUUCCUAGAGAAAAAUUUUGCUAUCUUUGAGAACGCAUUGGAGUUAUUAAGUAAAUGGUUCAAGGGGGAGUGUUGGAAUAAUUCAUCAAUGUUUAGUCUUCCCAAAUUGUCUCUUAGUUUUUCAAGAAGUCUCUUUGGAAUUUCGUAGUACAUGUAUAUAGUAAAUUGUGAUACAUGUAUUUAGUUAUUUGUGCAAGACUUUUUAUUUUCUAUUUUGAGUAGUAUAAAUAGUGAUGUAGUUGAUGAUUGUAAUCAUCUCAAGUGGCCUUAAGUAGCCUAUGAUAAAGUUGAGUAUUCUCUAAAUAAACUAUUUUCCUUCAAUAUUUUCUACUAGUAGUUAUUGUUUCACUCUUGGUAUAAUGUUAGUUUACAUAUUUUGUUUUGUUAUUUCCAUAACUAAGUUCACCAAUUUUACGUUAAUAAUCAGCCUACUGCAAUCGUAUUAUGUAGAGAGGUAAUUUUUUAUUGAUAUACGCCUUACGUGUUGAAUCCCUUUAUAUACUUUAUACUAUAUUUUCUUAUUAUGUUUUGUUAUCUCCGUCACCAAAUUCACUGUUUUCCUCAACUAGGGAUUAGGUCUUAAUGCUUGCGCAUUCGUAAAGUUCAAGUAGCAUCAAUUCGUACCUUAUGGUACAAUAUAAACCUUACAAUGUGACAAAUUUUGUUUUGUUAUUCCCAUCACCAAAUUCACUAUUCUUUGAUUGACUGUUAGCCAACUGCAAUUGUUUUUCUUUAUCGAGCCUUAAGACUAAAAGCUCAUGCACGUAAAAUUUAAGUAAUACACAUCAUUAUUAGUGGGUAAGCCCGAUAUAGUCAACCAUCACCAAUUCACUGAAAAAAUGUAGUUAUUAUGUGUUGCGUUGAAACUCUAAAUAUUUAUAUCAAGUGAUUAACACGAUCCACAUUCAUAUUUUUUCAAUAAAAAUUAUCCUCUCACAAAAAAAAAGAGAAGAAUUUUGUAGAGUAUUUUAAAUAAGUCAUAAAAUCAUGUAAUGAAGUAAUAAAUACAACUGUGUGAAUAUAUAUGUUGUAAUUAGAAAGAUUCUCAGUAUUUUGUUUUGUUAUUUCCAUAAAAAAUUCAUCAGUUUUACAUUAGCAAUUAGCAUAGUACAAUCAUCUUCCUCUAUCGUGGCUUAACACUAAAAUCUCAUGCAGAUAAUGUUUAAAAAAUAUUCAUCAUCAUCAACGAUAGAACAACAUGUAUUCAAAAGGUGUUAAGUUUACGCGCUCAAGAGUUACGCUGCUUUGCACAGGAGAUGCUACACUCAAUAUGGUACGGUUUCAGUUUACUGCUUACUCUGCUCACACACUCUGAUAAUAUUCUUAUGAAUAAAAGUUUAUCAAAAAGCAGAGAAACAUAUUAAAUUCUCAUUUGUUAUCUCAUAUUUGCUAAUAAAUCAAGUUCAACUUUAAAUCUAGAAAUACUAAGGUCUAAACUUCUCUUGAGUGGCUUUAUCAACCGCUAUUGUCUUACCAUCAAAUGAUUCAAUUGACGGUAAUAAUUGUUUUACAAAAAACCCAUUAAGAAGUGUUGAUUUUAUUGCAUCUAUCUAAUGCACUUUCUAGCCACGUUGUGCAUAAGUAGAAUUAAUUAAGAACCAAUCUGAUUGUGUCGAGCCUAGGAACUGGAACAAAAGUGUCAAAAUAACACUUAACUACAAGCCUUGUUUAAUGCUUGUUGAUUGAACCAUUAACAUUUAGCUUAGCUCGAAAUCAUAGAGGCAUGUGUAAAAGUGAAUCUUUUAUAAUUUUCUAGAAGUAUCAUGUUAUUCGAUUCUGUCUUUGCUAACUUGGACCAAUUUUGUGCAGGUUGGUAGAGCAGUCUAGGCUAAUGAUGUGACCAAGAGGAUUUUGUGGUGGAAGACACUCGAAAAAGCCCGUUAGAUAAUCGUUGUAACCUGAAUAUCUGGCAUUAUAGUUAUGUAAUUUGUGUGAACUAAAUGUGGAUUUCCUAUUUAAUAUUGAAGACAAAUUUUCAAGCAUCGUAACUUGAACUUAGUAUAGCGAUGUAUUUAUUUGAACUAAUUAAGGAUGCCCUAUUCAGGAAUAAAAAAUAUUUCAAAUAUGGUUUUAGACUUCCACGAAAAUUUUUGUCAAAAAUGACGGUGGAUCACCAAAAAAGAUGUUGAACUAUAGAUCACUAAAAUUGUUAAAAUGGGGGUUUUGCCUGCUCCGGGCUAAUUUGACGUUGAAAAUGGAUCAUUUUGAUCAUCAAGGCCAAAUGUCUCCAUAGUUAGCGUCUUAAAAAAGUCCCACAAAAAAUUUGGACAAAAAUAACAUCGGAAUUCUAGAUCACCAAAAAUCCACGGACUAUAACACAUUAAAAUCGACAAAAUUGGGGUGGGGUGGGGUGGGGUUACAUGCUCUAGGGCUCGUUUGACAUUGAAAAUGGAUCGUUUUGGCAGUUAGGUCCAAGUGGCUCCAUAGAUAACGUCUUAAUAGAUGUCUACAAAAAAUUUGGGAAAAAGUUACGUUUGAAUUGCGGAUCACCAAAAAUCCAUGUAGUGUUGUUCAGGAAAUUUGAUAAAAUGGGGGGUUUACUUGCUACAAGGCUCGUUCGACUUUGAAAAUGGCUUGUUUUGUCUAUCGGGCCAAUUGCCUCCAUAGAUAAUGUUUUAAUGGACGUCCACGAAAAUUAGGGCUAAAAUGACGGCAAAAAUCCAAAUCACCAAAAAAGAUGGUGAACUAGCACAUGGAAAUUGGCAAAAUGUGGUUUCUACCUUCUCUGGGCUGGUUUGACUUUUAAAUACGUUGUUUUGACCGUCAGGGUGAAUUGGAGCCAUUGAUAACAAUCAUAAAGACGUCCACAAAAAUUUGGACAAAAAUAAUGUUAAAAUUCAAAAUCACUGAAAAUCCUCGAACUAUAUUCAACAUUUAAGUCAAAAUUCAUUGACAGAUUAUAUAUGUAAAAAAUUUGUAUAAAAUUCUUCAAAUCUCAGAUACCAAUAUUUAAUGUCACUAUUUUAGAUAUUUGAAUCCAAACUUCAUAUAUGGCUUGCUAAAAUCCAAAUUAUGUUUCACACUGUUUGUAUAUCCGAAGACGUUCUUGGAUAAAUGUAUAUGCAUGUAUAUUUAAAAAUAUUAUCAAAUGAUUAAUGAUUAUCUAAAUUUAAUUUUUUUCCUAAUAUAAACGAUCCCACCCCGCCAAAAAAUAAAAAGAAUUUGUUUUGAAGAAUGGUUUAAAUAAUGUCUGAAGUUAUGUUAUGAAUUAAUGAAAUACUAUUGAGUUAAUUUGUGAGAAGAUUUUUCAUAUUUUUUUUAUUUCCAUCAUCAAAUUCAUAAGUUUUACUUUAAUAGUCAAGCUACGACAAGCGUAUUAUGUAGAUAGGUGAUUAUUUAUAUUGAUAUGCACAUCAUGUAUUGAAUCCCUUCAUAUACUUACUCCUAUAUUUUAAUAUUAUGUUUUGUUAUCUCUGUCACAAGUUUCACAGGUUUCAUCUACCGGAGAUUAGGGAUUAAUGUUUAUGCACAUGUAAAGUUCAAGUAAUAUCAAUACAUACCUUAUGGUAUAUAUGAACCUUAUAACAUGUCAUAUUUUAUUUAUUCCCGUCACGGACUUCAAUAGUGUUUUAUUGACUGUUAGCCUACUGCAAUUGUUUUCCUUCAUCGAGCCUUAUGACUAAAAGAUCAUGCACGUAAAAUUUAAGUAAUACACAUCAUCAUGAGUGGAAAAGCCCGAUAUAGUCAACUAUCACCAAUUCAUUGAAAAUAUGUAGAUACUAUGUUGUGUUGAAUCCCUAAUUAUUAUAUCAAAUGAUUAAGACGAUCCACAUACACAUUUUUUCUAUAAAAAUAAUCCCCUCACACACAAAAAAAGGAUGAUUUUUGUAGAGUAUUUUAAAUAAGUCAUGAAAUCACGUUAUGAAUAAAUAAAUACAAUUGAGUAAACAUUUAUGUUGUAAUUAGAAGGAUUCUCUGUUUUUUGUUUUGUUAUUUCCAUCACAAAUUCAUCAGUUUUACAUUAGCAUACUGCAAUCAUCUUCCUCUAUUGUGUCUUAGCACUAAAAUCCUAUGCAGAUAGAGUUUAAAUAAUAUUCAUCAUCAUCAAAUACAAAACAACAUGUAUUCAAAAGUUGUUAAGUUGACUAGUUCAAGAGUUACGUUGCUUGGCACAAGAUAUGCUACACUCAAUAUGGUACGAUUAAAGUUUACUGCUUACACUGUCUGAUAAUAUUCUUAAGAAUAUAAGUUUAUCACAAAGUAGAGAAACAUAUCAAAUUCUCAUUUAAAUCUAGAAAUACUAAUGUCAAGGACUUUUUUAUUCAGACAAGACUUCGUGCGGCACUUGACGGUUUACUCACGAUUCUUGCACGUUCUCGCAAACUCAAGUAAGCCUUUCACUCGGAUCGCUUAGAAAAUAAGAAGAAAGACAGAACAUUUGGAAGAAGGAACUUAUAUUACUUGAAAAAUGUUGGAUGCUUUACAAAUAAAAAUGACCUACUAUUUAUACUACUCUAAUGCCUAAGAGUUAGUAAAUGCUACACUAUACAAGUUCCUAAGUCUAUGCCUACAAGGCAUGCUUCUAAGUCUUCCAAAAAGGACUCCUAAAUGCUCCUAGCCUUCCCCAACGCCUUGAGGCCUUGAACAAGCCUCUUCAACGCUUGUAACUGCCGCCCCACCACCUGCUGUAACAGCUGUAACGACUAUAACUGCCGUAAUAGCUGAAACUGUUGUAACAACUGCCUCACCAACUGUUGCCUGCCCGUUUUCCUGCUGGCCAGCUUUGGCAGCCUGCCCCCUUGCGCCUACUGCUGGCUGCCUAGUUGAGUGGCGUUCUGCCUUGAUGGAUGGGAGGACGUCACGAUCUCCCUCGCCUAAUGAUGCGACAACCGCGACGCAUUGCUACAAGAACUCCUGAAUUUUGUCUUUAAACUGCCACAAGUCUUCGUACUUCUCCCAAGUGGCUUCUUCCGGAGUCUGUCCCUUCCAAUGUAUGAGAAACAUUGCACUAUCUUGCUGUCCUCAUUUCCGCUUAGCUUGGUAAUCUAUUAUAGUGUCAAUUUCUUGAUCAUGCGAGGCAGUAACAGUGAUAGGGGCCCGUUGUGAUUUGUUUUGGCUUGGAUCGUCCUUAUCCUCAUGAUAAGGCUUAAGAACGCUUGCAUGAAAGACUCGGUGGAUCCUUAAGUGUGGAGGUAACUCCAACUUGUAUGAAAUUUUACCCACCUUGGCAACAAUCUUGAACGGACUCUAAUAUUUCCGCACCAAGUUGUGAUGUACGCCUUUAAGUGCCUUAAACUGCCUAGGAUUAAACUUUACCAAAACCAUAUCACCUUCUUUGUAGUUGGUGGGACGACACUUGCGGUCGGUGAACUUCUUCAUCCUCCUUGCCGCCUUACUCAAAUAAGAUUUGGCAAGGUCAAGUUGUUCUUCCCAACCCUUGGCAAGAUUGUAAGUGCCCAAACUCUUCCCCUCGAACAAGGUUGGCAGUGAGUGUGGAGUUUGGGGUUGCUGGCCUGUUGCUAACUCCAAUGGUGUGUGCCCUGUAGAUUCACUCCUCUGCAAAUUGUAAGAAAAUUGCACCAUGUCUAGGAGCUUAGCCCAAUCUUUCUGAUGUAUAUUGACAUAGUGCCUAAGAUACCAUUCCAAUAUGGCGUUGAUGCGUUCCGUUUGGCCAUCAGUUUGGGGGUGGAAACUGGUGGAAAAAUGAAGUUUUGAACCAAGAAUUUCAAAGAGUUCACUCCAAAAGUUCUCAGUGAAACGAGGAUCCGGGUCGCUGAUGAUGAACCUCGGCAGCCCCCAAUACUUCUCAACAUUUUCGAAGAACAAUUGUGCAGCUUUCUUAGCAGUACAACCGGCUGUGGCAGGCAUGAAAGUCGCAUACUUGGAGAAUCUAUCAACUACGACCAUAAUUGUGCCAAACUCGUUUGACAUCGGCAAAGAAGUGAUGAAGUCCAUAGAUAUACUCUCCCAUGGACGAUCAGCUAUGGGUAGUGGCUCCAACAGCCCUCCGGGUUGCCUUUGCUCUACCUUGUCUUGUUGGCAUACAAGACAAGUCUGCACAUACUGCUCAAUCUCUUCCCGCAUUCGUGGCCAGAAAUAGAAGGCCUCAACUAAUGCCCUCGUUCUCUUCUGUCCCUGAUGCCCAGCCCACGGAGUGUCGUGGCUCUCUUUGAUAAUACUCCGCCUGAUGAAUCCAAACUUUGGUACAUAAACUCUCCAGCCAGUGGUAAUCAAGAAUCCGUCUUCUACCCAAAACCGUUUGGUUUGGCCUUGAGCAGCCAGCUGUAGAAUCUUCUUGGCUUCGGGAUCGCUUAUCAUACCAUCUUUGAUUGCGCCUUGGAAUUCACUACGGACUGAGGAGAUGGUCGCUAAAUCAGUCUUCCUUCUCAAUGCAUCGGCCACUACAUUGCCCUUUCCUGGUUUGUACUCCAAGAUGUAGUCGAAUUCUGCCAAGAAAUCCUGCCAACGAGCCUGCUUUGGUGUGAUCUUCUUCUGUGAUUGAAAAUAGCUAGUUGCAACGUUGUUGGUUUUCACUAAAAAUUUUGAGCCUAGUAGAUAGUGCCUCCAUGUGCGUAGACAAUGCACAAUGGCCGUCAUCUCCUUCUCCUGCACGGUGUACCGUCGUUCAGCUUCAUUCAGCUUCCGGCUUUCAAAAGCUAUGGGGUGCUUCUCCUACAUCAAGACUCCCCCAAUGGCAAAAAGAGAAGCAUCUGUAUGGAUCUCGAAGGUCUUGGUGAAAUCAGGCAGCAUCAAGACUGGUUCCUCAGUAACCGCAACCUUAAGACCUUCAAAUGCUUCUUGGCACUCCUCGCUCCACAGCCAAGUCUUGUUCUUCUUCAGCAGCUCGGUCAGUGGGGCAGCAAUAGCGAAGUACCCGCUAAUGAACCUGCGAUAAUAAUUAGCAAGUCCAAGAAAAUAACGUAGCUCGAUCACUUUUGUAGGUGCUUCCCAAUCUUGGAUCGCCUUUACCUUUGCCUCAUCCAUACGAUGUUCACCUUGGAUGAUCACAUGGACCAAGAAAUGUAUCUUUGGUUGGGCGAACUCGCACUUCUCCCGCUUGUCAUAAAGCUCAUUCUCCCGCAAGACAUUGAAGACCUUCUUCAAGUACUCUUCAUGUUAUUGCAAAGUGCUACUAUAGACGACUAGGUCAUCUAAGUACACUACUACGAACAGGUCCAAGUAGGUAUGUAAAAUCUUGUUCAUCAGCAUGCAAAAUGUGGCAGGUGCGUUGGUUAAGCCUAAGGGCAUUACCAACCUUUCGAAUGCUCUAUACCUGGUAACGCAUGCUGUCUUUGGCUCAUCCCCCUCUGCAAUGCGCACUUGAUAGUAGCCUUUCCGGAGAUCCAUCUUGGUGAAGUACUUGGCCUCUCCAAGACGAUCAAACAAAUCUGCGAUCAGCGGGAUUGGAUACUUGUUUUGAAUUGUGAUCUUUUUGAGCGCCCUGUAGUCAAUGCAUAGGCGCAUCGACCCAUCUUGUUUUUUUUGAAACAGCACCGGUGCUCCAUAGGGUUCCUUGGAUGGACGAAUGUGACUUGCUUCGAGGAACUCUUUCAACUGCUUCCUCAGUUUCUCUAACUCAGGCGGAGCCAUGCGGUAAGGUGCAAGCGCAUGUGGCUUGGCUCCCGCCUCCAACUCGAUCAUGUGGUCUACCUCGCGCCUUGGAGGUAGAGUUUUUGGCAGCUGCUCCGACAUCACAUCACUGUUUUCCUGCAAAACAGUCUCUAUGAUAGGUGGCAAUGGCUCCAUAGCACCAUGGUCUUCACCCAAACUUGCGAUGGUGGCUAAGAAGGUUGGUGCUCCUUUCUUCAGGCCCUUCACAAUCGGCAUGGCCGACAAUUGGGCAUAUAUGUCUUUCUUCGGCACCCUAACAUGAGGCACAAUACAAGACCCUUCCCCUUCCAUCACCAUGAGUUGUUGAAGGUAGAGAUCAAUCAUCAUGUGACAAUGCUGAAAGAAUUCCUGUCCAAGAAUAACAUCGGAUAUGUAUAGAGGAGCUACAAUAAAAUUUGUCUUACCUCUCCACCGUCCUAAAGUGAUGCUUACCCCAUGAGCAAUUCCACACACUGGGGUUGGUGGGGCGUUGACAGUCUUGAGGCUAUUGCUGCUUGGAACAAUUUUCAGUCCCAAUUUUUCUGCCGCCGUCUUGGUCAUGAUGUUGGCUUCAGCCCCGGAAUCUACCAUGGCCCGCACUGGUUGCCCAUUGAUGGAGAUGUCCACAUAUUGCGUACUGAAAUCCCCUGGGUUGUCGGCCUGUUUGGCUAUGGCUCCACAAAUUCCAACCAUACCCAACUGUGUAGUGUCUGCCGAUUUCGCCUUGUCUUGUGCCUCCUUUUCCUUCCCCUCGCGGGCGAUGGCGCUAAGGCUCUUCAUCUCUGGGAACCAGGCAUAACUGUGUGGUCCGCCACAUAUGUAGCACCCGUCUCCUAUGCUGGAAUGCGUCCACUUCUCCGAGUACUUCUGGCGCUCAAUCCGUCUGCCAUCGGGCUUGGGCGUGUCUUGCUGCAUGGGAUGUGCCGGCUGUUCUCUGCCUCGGCCACGGUCUCCCCCGCCUUUAGCUUGACUGCCCCUUGCCUCCUUGCCCUUCGCCUUGUCCAAACGAUCAUGUUUGAAAUCUGUCAAGGUUUCAGCUUGAGUGAUAGCCUCAUCGAUGGUUUUUACUUGAUGCCGCUCUAACUUGGUCCUCGCCCAAUUCUGCAGCCCGUCCAUGAAGGUGAACAGCAUGUCAUCUUCCGUGAGUUGGGGAAUUUGAAGGGUCAAAAUUGUGAACUCUUUCACAUAGGCCCUAAUACUUCCCGUCUGCUUCAACUCCCGGAAUUUGCGUUUUAUUUCAUAAACAGCAAUGUUGGGGAAGAAAGCUUUCUAGAAUUCCUCAAGGAAUUUUUCCCAUGUGUUGAUGGUGCAUGUGGCCGUCUUGAUCCAGGCAUCUUUGUGUUUCCACCAUAACAUGGCUACAUCAGAAAAAUACAUAACGGCAGUGUUGAUCUUGCUUGCAUCGCUCCUGACCCGAUUACACUUGAAAUAAUUUUCCAAGUUCCAUAGGAAAUUUCCCACCUCGAAGGCAUCACGGACACCUUUGAAUAUUCGUGGCUUCGGAACCUCGACUGUGGACUCCCUUUCCUGGCCAAGUGACGUUGAGGCAGCAACCUCCCUUUCUUCCUCGAGAAUUAGCACCUUAUUUUUCAGCGUCUCAAUCGCCGCAAGGGCGUCUAAGAACCUGAACUCCAAGGAAGUAAUGGUUUCCUUCAUUGCUAAUUCAGACCGCUUGCGCACAUCCAACUCCUUCCGGAGGGUGUCAAUUUCCUCGAGGGAAUGCUCCUCAAGGUCUUUGACGUCCCUGUUCAAUCCAUUCAAGCGCUGACCUAAAAUCUCAACAGCUAGCCUUGCCCUCUCGACGCUGGCGAUCCACUCAUGUCCAACAUUGACGUUUACGGUAUCUUCGCUGUCGUCGUCGUCACUUCCAUCGACAAUCUGUUGAGGGAAAGAUGUUUACCCUUCGCUUCGUGGUUGAUCGGUUGGUGGAGGAUCAGUUUGUGGAAGAUCAGUCAGAUUAGGUUCAUUAACCUUCUGCUGCUUCUUCCUUUUCUUGUUCUUCUUUUCUCCCCGAACGUUCGGGUUGUUGCUGCCGCUUCCGUCUCCUUUGUUCGUCAUUCUCUUAUGAUGAACCUGCUCUGAUACCAAUUGACACGGACUUUUUGAUUCGAACAAGACUCCGUGCGGCACUUGAUGGUUUACUCAUGAUUCUUGCACGUUCUCGCAAACUCAAGUAAGUCUUUCACUCGGAUCGCUAAGAAAAUAAAAAGGAAGACAGAACUUUUGGAAGAAGGAACUUCUAUUACUUGAAAAUUGUUGGAUGCUUUACAUGUAAAAAUGACCUACUAUUUAUACUACUCUAAUGCCUAAGAGUUAGUAAAUCUACACUAUACAAGUUCCUAAGUAUAUGCCUACAAGACAUGCUUCUAAGUCUUUCAAAAAGGACUCCUAGAUGCUCCUACUCUGCCCCAAUGCCUAGAGGCCUUGAACAAGCCUGUUCAAGGCUUGUAACUGCCGCCUCACCACCUGGUGUAGCAGCUGUAACGUCUGUAACUGCCGUAACAGCUGAAACUGCUGUAACAGCUGCCUCUCCAUCUAUCUGGUGCACUUUCCGACCAUGUUGUGCAUAAGUACAAUUAAUUAAGAAGUAAUCUAAUUGUGUCGAGCUAGCAACUUGAUAAAAGUGUCAAAAUAACCCUUAACUACAAGCCUUGUUUUAUGCUUGUUGAUUCAAACAUCAAUAUUUGGUUUAGCUCGAAAUCCUAGAGGCAUGUCUAAAACUGAACCGCUUAUCAUGUUAUUCGAUUCUCUUUUUGCUAACUUGGACCAAUUUUUUGCAGGUUGGUAGAGGAGUGCUAGGCUAAUGAUGUGAACGAGAGGAUUUUGUGGUGGCACACACUCAGAAAAGUCCUGCAGAUAAUCCUUGUAACCUGAAUAUCUUGCAUUAUAGUUAUGUAAUUUAUGUGAACUAAAUGUGGAUUUCCUAUUCAAUAUUAUUGACAAAUUUCAAGCAUUGUAACCUGAACUUAGUAUAGCGAUGUAUUUUGUUUGAACUAAUUAAGGAUUCCCUAUUCGUGAAGAAAAAAAUUUCAAACAAGAAAAUUUUUGGCAAAAUUGAUUGCGGAUCAGAAAGAAAUAUGGUGAACUAUAGCCCACGAAUAUCGGUAAAAUUGGGGAUUUACAUGCUAGGGGCUCGUUUGACCUUGGAAAUUGGCCGUUUUUACCGUCAAAGCAAAAUUUCUCCAUAGAUAACAUUUUAACAGACAUCCACAAAAAUUUUCAACAAAAAUGAGGUUGGAAUUCUAGAUCACCAAAAAUCCAUGGACUAUAGCACAUAAAAAUCGACAAAAUGGGGGUGGGGGGUUACAAGUUCUGGUGCUAGUUUGAUCUUGAAAAUUGAUUGUUUUGGUCAUCAGGGCCACUGACUCCAUAGAUAACGUCUUAAUGGACGUCUAUGGAAAAGUUAGGAAAAUCUGACAUCUGAAUUGCAGAUCACUUAAAAUCCAUGGACUAUAGUACUUCAAUAUUUGCAAAAUGGGGGAUUUACCUGCUUCGAGGCUCAUUUGACCUUGAAAAUGGGUCGUUAUGGCCAUCAGGGCCAAUUGGCUCCAUUGAUAACGUCAUAAUGAACGUCCACGAAAAAUUGAGGCAAAAAUGAUGGCGGAAAUCCAAAUUACCAAAAAAGAUGGUGAACUAGCACAAGGAAAUUGGCAAAAUGGGAUUUUUACCUUCUCUGGGGUUCGUUUGACUUUGAACAUAGACCGUUUUGGAUUUUAGGGCCACUUGGCUCCAUACCUAAUGUCUUAAAGGCGUCCACAAAAAAUUUGGACAAAAAUAAUGUAUAAAUUCAAAAUCACCAAAAAUCCAUAAACUAUAUUCAGUAGUAUUGGUCAAAAUUCAUUGAGAGUAUUAAUUAAUAUACAAAUUUUUUAUAAAAUUAUUCAAAUAUUAGAUAUACCAAUAUUUAAUGUCAGUAUUAUGAAUAUUUGAAUCCAUAGUUCAAAUAUGGCUUGCUAAAAUCCAAAUUAUCCUUCACAUUUUGUGUAUAUAACCUCCGAAGAAUUUCUUGGAUAAAUGUAUCUGCAUGUAUAUUUAAAAAUAUUAUCAAACGAUUAAUGAUGAUACAAAUUUAAUUUUUUUCUAAAUAUUAACGAUCCCACCGCACAAAAAAUAAUAAUAAUUGGUUUUGUAGAAUGUUUUUAAAUAAUGUCUGAAGUCAUCUUGUGAAUUAAUGAAAUACGAUUGAGUGAAUUUAUGUCAUAGUGAGAAUAUUUUACUUUUUUUUUGUUAUUUCCAUCACCAAAUUCAACAGUUUUACGUAAAUAGUCACCCUACUUCAAUUGUAUUAUGUAUAUAGGUGAAAUGUUUAUUGAUAUACACAUUACUUAUUGAAUCCCUUUAUAUACAUAAUCCUAUAUUUUAAUAUUAUGUUAUGUUAUCUCCUUCACCAAAUUCACCGUUUUCAGCUAGUGGGGACUAGGGCUUAACGCUUACACAUAUGUAAAUUUCAAGUAGCAUCAAUACGUACCUGUGUUAUGUUAUCUCCUUCACCAAAUUCACCGUUUUUAGCUAGUGGGGACUAGGGCUUAACACUUACACAUAUGUAAAUUUCAAAUAGCAUCAAUACGUACCUUAUGGUACAAUAUAAACAUUACAACAUGAAAUUUUUUGUUUUGUUAUUCCUGCCAUGGACUUCAAUAGACUUUUAUUGACUGUAAUCCUACUGCAAUUUUUUUUUCUUUAUCCAGCUUUGGGGCUAAAAACUCAUGCACAUAAAAUUUAAGUAAUAAACAUCAUCAUUACUGACAUAAAUUUUAAAUAAUGGUCAUCAUCAUCAAUUACAGGACAACAUAUAUUCAAAAAGUGUCAACUAAUAGACCAAUGGCGGAGCCAUCAUAUAUUUAGGGAUUCAUCCGAACCUUUUCGGUGAAAAAUUAUAUUAUUUUUAAGUAGUUAAAAUAAUUUUUUAGGUACAUAGAGUAGAUGUGGAACCCCCAAAUAAAUCUAUUUCAUGUGUCUAUUUCUCAGGAUUUUGAACCCCCUUAUAAAAAUUCUGGCUCCGCCUCUAUGAUCGAUACCACUCCAUUGAAAAAGUAUAUUAUGUAGUAAUGUGAAACGUUUUAUCACGAUAGUAAAAUCAGCUUUUAGCGACAAAAAAUAUGUACAUUUAUAAAGAGUGGUAAAGUCUUUACCGGCAUUAUUUAAGAUCCUUUCGAACCAAUAUCGUUAAAGACUUUAGAUACAUAUACAAAGAGUAUUAAUUAUCACUAAAAUUACAUAUAUCAUUUUUUAUGUAAUAAAUGUAAAUUUUAAGAGCCAAAACACACAGGGAAUGAUCCCCAUAUACAGAAAUACUUUGUUUUGUUUUGUGUUUCCAUCACCAAAUUCACAAGUUUAAACGCUAAUAGUCACCCUACUUCAAUGAUAUUAUGUAUAUACGUGAUUUUUUUAUUGAUACACAUAAUACAUAUUGAAUCCCUUUUUAUACUCAAUGCUAUAUUUUCAUAUUAUGUUCUGUUAUCUCUAUCACCAAAUUCACUGUUUUCCUCUACUAGGGAUUAGGGCUUAAUGCUUAUGCAUACGUAAAUUUUAAGUAGAACCAAUACGUACCUUAUGGUACAAUAUAAACUUUACAACAUGACAUGUUUUGCUUCGUUAUUCCCAUCGCCAAAUUCACCAGCCUUUUAUUGACUAUUAGCCUACUUCAAUUGUUUUUCUUUAUCGGGCUUUAGGACUAAAAGCUCAUGCACAUAAAAUUUAGUAUAUCUUACAUAAAUCCUAUAGUGUAAGAUCUAAAUUACAUUCUAUCCCUACUCUUUUCUAUUUUACAAAAAUCGCAUAAAAUAUCAAUCAUCUCGAUACAUAACUUUCAUCCGGAUACAUCAAUUGUGAUACAUUAUAAAACUUGUUUGUUGCGUUUAAUAUUGAUAUUAACAUAAAAUAGGAUUUAUUUCCCAUAAAUCAUGCAGAUCUAAUUUAUACCAAUCCAUUCCAAUCUGUAACAGCUUCACAAAAUUUAAAAUUUAGAUUUAUAUCUUUUCCGUCAAUUCAAAAUAAAUAAAUCUCCACAAGAGAAAUUUCUAAAGAGAUGAUGACUACUGAAUUAGAUAUUUUUCAAUCAACUAGGAAUGAUUUGAUCCUUGAUAGAGUACCUUAAAUAAAUCUAUUUCUUUCAUGGUUUAAAGGAAUAUUGGUGGAGACUAAUAUGGGCGUAGCAGUGAAUCUUGGAGAAAUCAUUAGAAAGUUGGAAAUUGUGACAGUAGGGCAAACCUUCAUCCAUCUAAUAUAGGUUUAUGAUGACGAGAAUCAUCAGUUGGUUACAAAUAGGAUCUAUAUAUUUGUGUCGCAUCUCGAUUAUUGUGAUUUCUUCAUCUGAUCUAUUAGUAUACAAAUAAUGCUCUGUAUUUCAACAUUAAUUUGGAGUUAUAGUUGUUGUGUGAAAAUUAUUCUCGGGAAGGAUACCUUAAGAUCAAGACCUCAUAGGUACAUCAUGGGGAAUAAAUGUGCAUGUAUAUAAGAAGAAAGAGUGGUUUGUCAUACCAUGUUUGUGUCAUUAAUUCAUUGGCCUCUUAUCAAACGAAGCAAAUUAUCUUUUUCAAUUAUCUUCUUAUCCAUCACUGACUAUUCAACCACUCCCUCCACCAUUCCAUCUGCCUCUCCGUCAUUGGUUUAUAGUUUCUUUUCAAUGUAUCAUUGCUAUAGUUUUGUUUUCUCGUUUUGAUGUGAAUAUGUAAGUCAUGAUACAUUAGUGGUAAAUGACUUGCGUGUAUUGUUAUUUGUAUCUAUAAAUUAUGAUGUGGUCAUUGUUUUGUAUUCGAAAGUGAUUUUUAUAAAAAUGUAUCAUCAUAAUAUAUUUUAUAUGAUUCAUGCAAUAAAUGAAUUAACAAUUGAUAUGGAUCAGAUUCAUUUUGAAUAUCGAGUGUGUGUAUCACAUAUUUUUAUAAUGUAUUAGGUUAUUAUUGUAUAUAUUAUACAUGUAAAUAGUGUAACAAUUAAGAUAUUUAAUUUACUUGUUUGAUCAAGACAAAUAUGGAUGAUACAUUAAUAUAUCAAUCUUGGAUUUUUGUGAGUGGUUGUAUCAUUGAAAAUUUUAAUGUACCUAGUACAUGUUACAAGAUGGUUAUAAAAUUUUAUCAAUAUGUGUUAGUUUUUUGUUAGAUAGGUGAUCCUUUGAAAAUUGAAAAAAUGUAUUUCAUAUGAUGUACUAUUGAAUUUUUAAAUGUUUGUAGAUUGUACCAUGCCAUAAGUUUUUAUGUAUCAAGAUUAUGAUGGGUAAUAUGUACAGAUACAUCACAUUCUAAGUUAGGUAGCACUGAACAAAUAUUAAAGAGUGUAGAUACAUAAUACACAAGCAUUUUUUCAUUGUGUAUAUAGCCUUUCAAAUUUGUAUAAGAUUUACAUGAUAUAUUGAAAAACUUGAUACAUGAAAAUUAUACAUUGAGAAGUGUUUAUGUAUUCAAGAACAUUUAUAUUGAACAUAAUAAAACAAGUAGAAGAUUCAACAACAUUAGAGUUAUGUAUCAACAUCUCAACUAUGAUUAUUAUACAUUGUAUAAAAAAAGGAUGAAUGGAUAAUAAGAUACAAUGGAGAAUCAUUGGUAUAAUGUUAUUUUCCAUAUUUUGUUUUUUUAUUUCAACCACAAAAUUCACCAAUUUUAAGUUAAUAGUCACCCUACUGCAAUCGUAUUAUGUUGGUAGGUGAUUUUUUUUAUUGAUAUACAUAUUACGUAUUGUAUCCCUUUAUAUACUUAAUCCCAUAUUUUCAUAUUAUGUUUUGUUAUAUCCGUCACCAAAGUCAUUGCUUUCCCCUACUGGGUAUUAGGGCUUAUUACUUACGCAUACGUAAAGUUCAAGUAGCAUCAAUACAUACCUUAUGGUACAAUAUAAACCUUACAACAUGACAUAUUUUGUUUUGUAAUUCCCAUCACCAAAUUCACUAUUCUUUUAUUGAUUAUUAGCCUACUGCAAUUGUUUUUCUUUAUCGAGCCUUAGGACUAAAAGCUCAUGCACGUAAAAUUUAAGUAAUACACAUCAUCAUUAGUGGCAAAGCUCGAUAUAGUCAAUUAUCACCAAUUCACUGAAAAAAUGUAGUUAUUAUGUGUUGUGUUGAAUCCCUAAAUAUUUAUAUCAAAUGAUUAACAGGAUCCACAUUCAUAUUUUUUCAAUAAAAAUUAUCCUCUCACAAAAAAAGAGAAAUUUUGUAGAGUAUUUUAAAUAAGUCAUGAAAUCAUGUAGUGAAUUAAUAAAUACAACUGUGUGAAUAUAUAUGUUGUAAUUAGAAAGAUUCUCAAUAUUUUGUUUUGUUAAUUCCAUAAAAAAUUCAUCAGUUUUACAUUAGCAAUUAGCAUAGUACAAUCAUCUUCCUCUAUCAUGGCUUAGCACUAAAAUCUUAUGCAGAUAAAGUUUAAAUAAUAUUCAUCAUCAUCAACAACAGAACAACAUGCAUUCAAAAGGUGUUAAGUUUACGAGCUCAAGAGUUACGUUGCUUUGCACAUGAGAUGCUACACUCAAUAUGGUACAGUUUUAGUUUACUGCUUACUCUGCUUACACAAUCUGAUAGUAUUCUAAUAAAUAAAAGUUUAUCACAAAGCAGAGAAACAUAUUGAAUUCUCAUUUGUUAUCUCAAAUUUGCUAAUAAAUCAAGUUCGACUUUAAAUCUAGCAAUACUAAGGUCUAAACUUCUCUUGAGUUGCUAUAUCAACCACUAUUGUCUUACCAUCAAACGAUUCAAUUGACAGUAAUAAUUGUUUUACAAAAAAAACCAUUAAGAAGUGUUGCUUUUACAUCUAUAUAAUGCACUUUCUAGUCACGUUGUGCAUAAGUAGAAUUAAUUAAGAACUAAUCUGAUUGUGUCGAGCCUAGGAACUGGAGAAAAAGUGUCAAAAUAACCCUUAACUACAAGCCUUGUUUAAUGCCUGAUGAUUGAACCAUCAACAUUUAGCUUAGCUCGAAAGCCUAGAGGCAUGUCUAAAAGUAAGUAUUUUAUAAUUUUGUAGAAGUAUCAUGUUAUUCGAUUCUGUCUUUGCUAUCUUGGACCAAUUUUAUGCAGGUUGGUAGAGAAAUCUAGGCUAAUGAUGUGACCAAGAGGAUUUUGUAGUAGAAGACACUCGGAAAAGUCCGUUAGAUAAUCGUUGUAACCUAAAUAUCUGGCAUUAUAGUUAUGUAAUUUGUGUGAACUAAAUGUGGAUUUCCUAUUUAAUAUUGAAGACAAAUUUUCAAGCAUCGUAACUUGAACUUAGUAUAGAAAUGCAUUUUAUUUGACCUAAUUAAGGAUGCCCUAUUCGUGAACAAAAAUUAUUUCAAAUAUUGUUUGGAUGUCCACGAAAAUUUUUGUCAAAAAUGACGGUGGAUCACUUUGAUCGUCAAGGAAAAAUGGCUCCAUAGCGAAUGUCUUAACAGAGGCCCAUAAAAAAUUUGGACAAAAAUGACAUUGGAAUUUCAGAUCACCAGAAAUCCACGGUCUAUAGCACACAAAAAUCGGCAAAAUUGGGGGUGGGGGUGGGGUUACAUGAUCUAAGGCACGUUUGACAUUGAAAAAGGAUCGUUUUUUCCGUUAGGUCCAACUGGCUCCAUAGAUAACAUCUUAAUGGACGUCUACAAAAAAUUUGGGAAAAAGUUGUGUUUGAAUUGCGGAUCACCAAAAAUCCAUGUACUAUUGUACACGAAUAUUGGUAAAAUGCGGGUUUACUUGCUACAAGGCUCGUUUGACCUUUAAAAUAGCUUGUUUUAUCCAUCAGGGGCAAUUGGCUCCAUAGAUACGUUUUAAUGGACGUCCACAAAAAUUGGGCUAAAAUGACAGCAGAAAUCCAAAUCACCAAAAAGAUGGUGAACUAGCACAUGGAAAUUGACAAAAUGGGUUUUUUACCUUCUCUGGGACUCGUUUAACUUUGAAGACGGGUCAUUUUAUCCGUCUGGGCCACUUGGCUCCAUAGCUAUCGUCUUAAAGACGUCCACAAAAAUUUGGACAAAAAUAAUGUCAAAAUUCCAAAUCACCGAAAAUCCACGAACUAUAUUCAACAUUUUAGUCAAAAUUCAUUGACAACAUUAUAUAUGUACAAAAUUUGUAUAAAAUUAUUCAAAUCUCAGAUACCAAUAUUUAAUGUAACUAAUUUAGAUAUUUGAAUCCAUACUUCAAAUAUGACUUGCUAAAAUCCAAAUUAUCUUUCACACUAUUUGUAUAUAACCUGUGAGAAUUUCUUGGAUAAAUUUAUAUGCAUGUAUAUUUAGAAAUAUUAUCAAAUGAUUAAUGAUGAUCUCAAUUUAAUUUUUUUCCUAAUAUAAACGAUCUCACCCCGCCAAAAAAUAAUAAUAAUUUUUUUUUGUAGAAUGUUUUUAAAUAAUGUCCGAAGUUUUGUUGUGAUUUAAUGAAAUACUAUUGAGUGAAUUUGUGAGAAGAUUUUUCAUUUUUUUUAUUUCUAUCAUCAAAUUCACCAGUUUUACAUUAAUAGUCAGUAUACUACAAUCGUAUUAUAUAGAUAAGUGAUUAUUUAUAUGGAUAUACACAUUAUGUACUGAAUCCUUUUAUAUACUUACUCCUAUAUUUUCAUAUUAUGUUUUGUUGUCUCCGUCACAAGUUUCACAGUUUUCAUAUACCGGGGAUUAGGGAUUAAUAUUUAUGCACAUGUAAAGUUAAAGUAAUAUCAAUACAUACGUUAUGGUAUAUAUAAACCUUAUAACAUGUCAUAUUUUUCUUAUUCCCGUCACAGACAUUAAUAGUCUUUUAUUUAUUGUUAGCCUACUGCAAUUUUUUUCCUUCAUCAAGCCUUAGGACUAAAAGAUCAGUACGUAAAAUUUAGGCAUAAUACAUAUAUUGAACCCUAAACUUUAUUUAAAAUUUUAUCUUUGACCUCCAACAUUUAUAAUGCACAUAUAGACACUUUAACCCUCCAACUUUUAAGUAAAUAAACAAAUGUGUCCUACGUGACAUAAUACAUGUAGGACACCACGUAUGACAAAAAAUGACAUGUAGGAUGACAUGUAGGUCAUGUGUUUCUAUUUGUUCAACUUUAAUCAAGUUUAAAUGUCUAUUUGUGCAUAUCCAAAGUUGAAGGGUAUAAAUGUGAUUUGAAGCCAAGUUAAACAACACAUUUAUGUAUUAUGCCUCAUAUUUAAGUAAUACACAUCAUCAUUAGCGGUCUGAUAUAUUAAAAAAGCGUCAACGAUCACCAAUUCACUGAAAAAUAUAAAUACCAUGUGUUGUGUUGAAUCCCUAAAUAUUAUAUCAAAUGAUUAAGACGAUCCACAUUCAUAUUAUUUCUAUAAAAAUUACCCCCUUGUAAAAGAAAAAGAUUUUGUAGAAUGCUUUAAAUAAGUCCUAAAAUCACGUUAUGAGUUAAUAAAAUACUAUUGAGUGAAUAUAUAUAUGUCAUAAUUAGAAGGAUUUCCAGUAUUUUGUUUUGUGAUUUCUAUUACAUAUUCACCAGUUUUACAUUAACAGCGAGCCUGCUACAAUCAUAAUCCUCUAUCAAGACUUAGUACUAAAGGCUCAUGCACAUAAAAUUUAAAUAGUAUUCAUCAUCAUCAAUGUCUGGAAAACGUGUAUUUUAAAGGUGUCAACUGAUCGACCAAUGGCGGAGCCAUCAUAUAUUUAGGGGUUUCAUUCGAACCCCUUUUGGUGAAAAAAUAUAUUAUUUUAAUAUGGUCAAAAUAAUUUUUAGGUACAUAGAGUAGAUGUCGAACCCCCUUUGGCUACUUUAUAUGUGUCUAUUUCUUAAGAUUUUGAAUCCCCUUACAAAAAUUUCUUGCUCCGCCUCUGUGAUCGAACCACUCCAUUGAAAAAGCAUAUUAUAUAGUUAUGAGAUAGGUUUUAUCACGAUAGUAAAAUAAAAUUUAGUGACAAAAAAUAUGCAUGUUUAUAAAGAGUGCUAAAUUCUUACCGGUAUUAGUUAAUUUUUUUUUGAUUCAAUGUCAUGAAAUGCUUUAAAGACAUUGACAAAGAGUGUUAAUUGCCGCUAUAUUUAGUGACAAUUAAGCUAUUGCAGUUAAUUAAUUGCAACUAAAGAUCAUUUUUGGUAUAUUGAUUAAUAUACAUAGAACGUAAUUAAUCCCUUUUAAUAUUUACUUGUAUAUUUUGUCGGAUUAUAUUUUUGUUAUUUCAGUUACCAAAUUUAUUCAUUUUAUGUUAGUAGUUAACCUAAUGCAAUCGUUUUCCUCUAAUGGGGAUCAAGAUUGAGCUCAUGCCUGUGAUGUUCAAGUAAUAUCAAUAUGUACCUUGUGGUACAAUAUUAACCUUUCAACAUGGUAUAUAUAGUUUUGUUAUUCCCACUAUCGAAUUCACCCAAUUUAUUCAUUGAGUAUUAGCCUAGUGCAAUUAUAUUUUUCAAUCAAGGCUUAGGAUUGACAAAUAAUUCACGUAAAAUUUCAGUAAUAUACAUCGUUAUGAUAAAUAGCAGAGCCACAUGUAUUAAAAAAGAGUCAACCAAUACCAGUUCAUGGAAAAAGUAUAUAUACUAUAUGUUGUGUUAAUACAUCAACAUUAUAUCAAAUGAUUAAUGACAAUUUAAAUUCAUAAUUUAAGUGAAUUAUCUUAAAAUUAACUUCCAGGUAAAUAUUCAAUCAAUAAACCUCAUUAAUUUCUUCUUUCUUAAAACCAAAAAAGGCAAUAUUCAUUUAAGUAUUGCACUUAAAAGUCAAAUUCAGCAACUUUAGUCAAAGUUCAAUUGAUUUUAUUAAUAAAUAUUUAUAAUCUAUAAUAAAAUCUAUUCAACACAUUGGUAACUUACAUUAAAGGGAAAAUGCACAAGUACCCCCUCCAAAAUCCCAGAUACACACUUUUCCUAUACUAAGGUCUUAUUACUCCCCUAAACUUAUUUUAUAAGUAAUUUUUUACCACUUUUCGGCCUACGUGGCACUAGCUUGAAAGAAAAAGUCAACCAGUGUUGGUCCCGCAAGAUAGCGCCACGUAGGCCGAAAAUCAUAGAAAAUUAUUUAUAAAAUAAGUUCAGGGGGUAAUAGGACCUUAGUAUAGUAUAAGUGUGUCUCUACGAUUUCAUUCAUAGGUUGAGGUUUCCUUGUGCAUUCCAUAAAUUAAAUAUCACUAUUUCAAUCCAUCUAUAAAUAUCCUUCGAAGCAUUUCUUGGGAAAACAUAAAAUUUUUUAAAAAUAUCAAAUGGAAGAUCCAACUAUCAUUUAAAGAGUAGAGUUGUUGGUUUCACCACUUGGUGGAAUUCCACAACGAAGAGUUUCCCCUUUCUUAGAUCUGAUUGCUACUUCGACUGAAGGACCAGAUUUGAAACCUCAUACAAUCCACUUUCCAUUUGAUCAAUCUGAGUGGCAAUUGAAAGUCAGGUUUCAUGGUUGCAAUGGAUGGAGGGAUCAACAAAAGAAAUUCAAAGAAUGGGUUGAAACAAUGGAGUCUAUCCAUCGCCCUGUAUGGAUAGUUGUAGGAAUUUAUGGACUGCUAAAAACUUCAACUUAAAGAGUUCAUACCGACGAAAAUAUAUAUUUGGGUUAGUAGAGAGGUGGUCUUAUGAGCUAACAGUUUAUGUUUCCGUGGGGUGAAUCUACUGUUAGUCUUGAAGACAAAAUGGUUUUGGGAGGGUUUACUGUUUUAGGUGACUGUGACAAGUCCCUCUUUCAAUGCCCUGAGUUGGUAGAGAUUGAAGAGUAUCUUGAGAAUGCGAGAAGAGAACUUAUCAGAUCAAAGACAAAUAAUCAGAGUAGGUGGUUGAAUUACUUCAUAAAUAGUUGUAAGGACUACAAACACUAAGCUUUUCUUUCUCUUUGGUUAUCAAGAUUUGUGUUUCCAUGUAAAGUAGGUGCUCCUGUUUUCUCGAUAACAGUUAAUCUGGCUAGAGGUAUGUAGCUAGCUCUUGCUCCUGCUGUUCUUGCUAGUAUAUACAGGGACUUGGACUCAUUGAGAAAGGAUAGGUAGAAGAAAUACAGACAUAAUUAAGAUCAUAAACAUGUUCUUUGGUCGCCAUUGUUCAUUGUUCAAGUCUUGGAUUGGGAGAGGAUGGCAUCUUUGCAGCCAGAGCGCGCUCGGGAUUAUAAAAUAGUUACUGGGGUGAGGAUAGGCCGAUGACACAAUGUGAAACAAACGGGUGAAAUUAAUUUGAGGACUACAAUUGACGCAGCUGGGGAGAUUUUUCUAUGGAGGCCAUACGCCUUGGCUGUGGAAGGUUUGGUCAAAUUUUCCCCAAGUUUUACAAGGAAAAUGAAGAGUGGACAAUAGUUGGAGAGCAAAAUUUGGAUCAAUAAAUGGAGUCUUUCUUUCGAUGCUUGAGGUGUCUGAGCUUGUUGAGGUAGAUUGUCAAGAGCCUUAUUGACCAAAUCGGGUAGCAAUGCAGUUUGGUUAUGAUCAAGACUUCCCUAAAUGGAUUCCUCACUCACUUUCUAAUCUAGAACUUGCCUGAUAAAAUUACAGCAGACCUAUUGCUUCUUAUUUGAGGUUAUACAAUCCGUCUAGGCUGUUUGAACCGGAUGUAACAACACGGUACUUGGAAUGGUGGAGAACAAAACUGAUCGUCAAAUGGAGAAUUACCUUGAAGUUCAUCCUAGUUUUCCUCCCAAUUAUUGUUGGAAAAAUGACAAGAAGAAUUACCCUGAUGUUUCUUCUGGUUUUCCUCCGAAUUAUUGUUGGAAAAAUGAAAAGAAGAAUCACCCUGAUGUUCCUCCUCGUUCUAAGCAGAAUCAUAUUGCAGAGGAAACAGUUCACAUAUUCAUUGACGGCAAUGGGAGUUGCAAUGAAGGAAGCAUGGAAAGAAGCAAAGCUUCAGUGGUAACGGUAACGUAUACCAAAAUCACUGAAGGCAAUAUAGCGAUGGGAAACCAUGAGAAAGAGAGGUGUAUAUAUGAUAUGAUCAAUAUUCUGAAACUUAAGAGGAGGAUUAGAAACCUUGAAAACAUCAAUGCUGGAAAGGUUUCAAUAAUCAGGACAAAGUGAAAACAAGCUAAAAUAAGCUAAACUAUAGUGCUAAUACAAAGUUUUGGUUUAGUUCAUCAAGUGGAUAUAUUCUUCAUUAUUGCCUAGUACUUAGACAUUGUUACAAGCUAGCUCGUUCUUCUAUUUAGGUCCUUUUGUAACUAUAUAUCUCAGCUUUAGUAAUAAAAAUUCACUUGAAUCAUGUUUCAGGUCACUAGUUUACUUUCCAGGUUUCUAACAAUUUAGCUCUAUGAAGCGUUUGUGGCUGUUGCGAAUGCAAAGUCAAGAUUACAGAUAUAAUCACUAACUAUCAUUUACUUGUUCCUAGACUAUCAACUUACUCUAAACUCGGAGUCGGAGAUUUCUUUUAAUUCUCUCGCCCCUUCAACUAAACCAAGUUGAGUGAAAAACAUCUUCUUUUAAGUGAGGAGAUUAGAGAAUAAAUUAACAAGAAAGGGAUGAGAUAAUAUUGAACUAAUUAAUUUGGUCAUAUUCUUGUCUGAGAAACUGUACUUAUUGCAGAUAGCCUUGACAAAAAAAAUAAACUUUUGAGCAUGUGUUUGUUUAAGGGGAUAUUUGCAAGACAGUUAUGGAGCUAUUUCGCAUGAUCAAUUUUGAUGCGUGGGCCAACAUGGUAUUGUCGAUUCCAACUUGUUUGAAAUUGAGAUGCAGUAGUAGUAGUUAUUGUUUCAGUCUUGGUAUAAUGUUAUUUUUCAUAUUUUGUUUUAUUAUUUCCAUCAUUAAAUUCACCAAUUUUACGUUAAUAGUCAGCCUACUGCAAUAGUAUUAUGUAGAUAGGUUAAUUUUUUUAAUUGAUAUGCGCAUUAAUUAUUGAAUCCCUUCAUAUAAUUAAUCCUAUAAUUUCAUAUUAUGUUUUGUUAUCUCCGUCACCAAAUUCAUUGUUUUCCUCUACUGGGGAUUAGGGCUUAUUGCUUACGCAUAUGUAAAGUUCUAGUAGCAUCAAUAUGUACCUUAUGGUACAAUAUAAACCUUACAACAUGACAUAUUUUGUUUUGUUAUUCCUAUCACCAAAUUCACUAUUCUUUUAGUGAAUGUUAGCCUACUGCAAUUGUUUUUCUUUAUCGAGCCUUAGGACUAAAAGCUUAAGCAUGUAAAAUUUAAGUAAUACACAUCAUUAUUAGUGGCAAAGCCCGAUAUAGUAAACUAUCACCAAUUCAGUAAAAAAUGUAGAUACUAUGUUGUGUUGAAUCCCUAAAUAUUAUAUCAAAUUAUUCAGAUGAUCCACAUUCAUAUUUUUUCUAUAAAAAUUAUCCCCUCACAAAGAAAAAAGAUUUUUGUGGAGUAUUUUAAAUAAGUCAUGAAAUCGUGUUAUGAAUUAAUAACUACAAUUGAGUGAAUAUAUAUGUUGUAAUUAGUAGGAUUUUCAGUAUUUUGUUUUGUUAUUUCCAUAACAACUUCAUCAGGUUUACAUUAGCAAUCAGCAUACUACAAUCAUCUUCCUCUAUCGUGGCUUAGCACUAAAAUCUAAUGCAGAUAAAGUUUAAAUAAUAUUCAUCAUCAUCAAUGACAGAACAACAUGUAUCAAACGGCAUUAAGUUGAUGAGCUCAAGAGUUAUGUUGCUUCACACAGGAGAUGCUAUACCCAAUAUGGUAUGAUGUCAGUUUACAUUUUACACUCUCUGAUAAUAUUCUUAAGAAUAAUAGUUUAUAAUAAAGCAGACAAACAUAUUGAAUUCUCAUUUGUUAUGUCAAAUUUUGCUAAUAAAUCAAGCCGACUUUAAAACUAGUUAUACUAAGGUCUAAACUUAUCUUGAGUGGCUUUAUCAACCAUUACUGUCUUACCAACAACCGUUUCCAUUGACAGUAAUAAUUGUGUUACAAAAAGCAUAUGAAAAUCAAUAAAAUGGGGGGGGAGGGUUUUACAUUUUUUGGGGCUCGUUUGACUCUAAAAAUGGGUCGUUUGGACCGUGUUGACAAACUGCAUCCAUAGAUAAGGUCUUAAAGGAUGUUUGUUUAAAAUACUGGCAACAAUGAAUUUGAAAUUAAGGUUGUUAAAAAAUAUGGUGGACUAUAGCAUAUGAAAAUCAGCAAAAUAGGGGUUUACUUGCUCUGGGGAUCGGUUGAACUUAAAAAGGGGUCGUUUUGGUCGUGGUGAACAACCGGCUCCAUAAAUAAGGUUUUAACGGAUGUCCAUGUAAAUAUUUGGCAAAACUGAACUUGGAAUUCUCGAUGACCAAAAAAUAUGGUCGACUAUAGCACACGAAAAUCAUCAAAUGGGGGGGGGGAUUUAUUAGCUCUCGACUCAUUUUUCCUUUAAAAUUGGUCAUUUUGGUCAUGCUUAUAAACCAGCUCCAUAGAUAAGGUCUUAACGGACAUUUGUGUAAUUUUUUAAUAAAAAGUGAACUCGGAAUAUCGGAUGACCCAAAAAGAUGGCUAAUUAUAACACAUGAAAUCAACAAAAUUGAGGGCUUAGCUUCUCUGGGGGUUUUUUGACUUUGAAAAUAGGACGUUUUAGACCUGAUGACCAACUGACUCCUUUGAUAAGGUCUAAACAGAAAUCCGUGCAAAUUUUUGGCAUUAAAAAAUUUGAAAGUUCGAUGACCAAAAAAAUAUGGUGGAGUAUAGCAUAAAGGAAAUUGACAAAAUGGGGGGCGGGGGGCGGGGUUACCUGCUCUGGGCUUGUUUAACAUUGAAAAUGGAACGUUUUGGCCAUGGUUACCAACCAACUCCAUAGAUAUGGUCAUAACAAAUGACCUUUUAAUUUUUUAGCGAAAAUGAACUCGGAAUUCCAAAUGACCAGAAAAGAUGGUGGAUUUGCAUACGAAAAUCGAUAAAAUUGGUGGUUUACCUUCUUUGGGCUCGUUUGACCUUGAAAAUGCAUCAUUUUGGUUGUGGUUACCAACCAGCUCCAUCUAUAAGGUCUUAUCAGAUGUCCAUGUAAUUUUUUUUUUGAAAAAGUGAUCCAGGAGCUGUGGAUGACUAAAAAAGAUUAUAGAAUAUAACACACGAAAAUCGAAAAAAUGGGGGAUUUACCUGCUCUGAAACUCAUUUUACCUUUAAAAUGAACCAUUUAAGCCGUGGUAACCAACCGGCUCAAUAGAUAAGGUCUUAACUGAUGUCCGUCUAAAUUUUUGAAAAAAAUGAACUCCGAAUUCUGGAUGACCAUAAAAGAUGGUGGUUUACCUGCUCUUGCUUGUUUGACCUUGAAAAUAUAUUAUUUUGUCCAUGCUGACCAACCGACUCCAUUGAUAAGGUCUGAAUGCAUGUCAGUUUUUAUUUUUGGCGUAAAUGAACUCAAAAUUUUGUAUAUUAAAAAAAAUGGUGGACUAUAGCACACAAAAAUCAGCAAAAUGGGGGGUUUACCAGCUCGGGGGCUCAUUUGAAGAUAAAAAUUGGCCUUUUUGGUUUUGGUGACCUAGCGGCACCAUAAAUAAAGUCUUAAGGGAAGUUCGUGUAAAUUUUUUGCAAAAAUGAACUUGGGAUUCUGGAUGACCAAAAAAGAUAGUGUACUAUAGCACACCAAAAUCAGCAAAAAGAACAUUUACAUGCUCUAGGGCUCGUUUGACCUUAAAAAUGGGUCAUUUUGGCCGUGGUGACCAAUCGGGUACAUAGAUAAGGUCUAAACGGAUGUCCGUGUAAUGUUUUGGCGAAAAAGAACUCAGAAUUUUUAUGACCAAAGAAGAUAGUUGACUAUACCAAAUAAAAAUCAGAAAAUUGGGGGUUUGGGGGUUUACCAUCUCUAGGCUCAUUUGACCUUGAAAAUGGAUUGUUUUGGCUGUGGUAACCAACCAGCUCUAUAUGUAAGGUUUUAUCUGACUUUGUGUAAGUAUAAGGUAAAAAUGAAAUCAGAAUUCUAGAUGACCAAAAAAGAUGGUGGAUAAUAGCACAUGAAAAUUGGUAAAAUUAAGGGGGAGUUACCUGCUCUCGGCUCGUUUGAACUUGAAAGUGAGUCAUAUUGGACGCGGUGCCAACUGACUCCAUGGAUAAGGUCUAAGCAGAAUUCCGUGUAAAUUUUUGUACAAAAAGAAAUCAGAGUUUUGGAUGACCAAAAAUGAUAGUGGACUAUAGCACACAAAAAAUGGCAAAUUGGGGGUUUACCGUCUCAAGGUCUCGUUUGACCUUAAAAAUGGACCGUUUUGGUUGUGGUGACCAACCUACUCCAUAGAUAAGGUCUUAACGGAUGUCCAUGUAAAUAUUUGGGAAAAAUGAACUCAAAAUUCUUGAUGACCAAAAAAGAUGGUGGAUUAUAGAAUACGAAAAUCGGUAAAAUGGGGGAUUUACCUUCUCUGAGCUCAUUUGACCUUAAAAAUGAGUUGCUUUUGCUGUGUGACCAACCAGUUCCAUAGAUAAGGUCUAAACGGGCAUCCGUCUAUGUUUUCUACAAAAAUGUUAUUGGAAUUCUAAAUGACCAAAAAGAUGCUCGACUUUAGCACACGAAAUUGGCAAAAUAGGGGGUUUACUAGUCUAGAACUUGUUUGACCUUUAAUAUGGUCUGUUUUGGCCGUGGUGAGUAACCGAAUCCAUAUAUAAGCUCCUAACGGAUGUUUGUGUAAAAUUUUGGCAAAAAUCAAUUUAGAAUUCUGGAAGAACACACACGAUGGUAGAUAUAGCACACGAAAAUCGGCAAAAUAGUGGUGUUUUAACUGCUCUGAGCUCAUUUGACCAUGAGAAUUUGCCUUUUUGGCCGUGGUGACCAACCAGCUUCAUAUAUAAAGUCUUAAUGGAUCUUCGUGUAAAUUUUUGGCAAAGAUGAACUCAGAAUUCUGAAUGACCAAAAAAUAUGAUGGACUAUAGCAUAGAAAAAUCGGCAAAAUGAAAGGUUUACCUGCUCUAAGGCUCGUAUGACGUUGACAUUAGGUCGUAUUAAACAUGGUGACCAACCAAAUCCAUAGAAAAGGAUAAAAAUAAACUCAGAAUUCUAGAUGACAGAAAUUGAUGGGGGACCAUAUCACAAAAAAAUGGGCAAAUUGGGGGUUUACGUGCUCUGAGCUCGUUUGACCUUGAAAAUGGGCCGAUUUGUCCGUGUGAACAACCAUCUCCAUAGAUAAGUCUUAAGCGUGAAUCUGUAUAAAUUUUUAGCAAGGAUGAAUUUGGGAUUCCGGAUGACAAAAAAAGAUGGUGGAUUAUGAAACACAAAAAUUGGCAAAAUUGGGGGUUUAUCUUGUCUGGGCUCGUUUGAUCUUGAAUAUAGGCCGUUUUGGAUUUUUGGAUGUGGUGACCAACUGGAUCCAUAUAUAAGGUCUAAGCUAACUUUUGUGUAAAUUUUAGGCAAAAAUGAUCUCAGAAUUCCGAAUGACCAAAAAAGAUGGUGGACUAUAGCACACAAAAAUUAGAAAAAUAGGGGGUUUACCUGCUCUAGGGCUCCUUUGACCUUUAAAAUGGGUCUUUUUUGAUGUGGUGACCAACCAGCUCAAGAGAAAAGGUCUUAACGAACGUACAUAUAAUAUUUUGGCAAAAGUGAAUUUGGAAUUCUGGAUGACCAAAAUAGAUGGUAAUGAUACCACAAAAAUAUUUGCAAAAUGGGGGUUUAACUACUCUAGAGCUUGUUUGACCUUUAAUAUGGGUCGUUUUGGCUGUGGUGACUAACCAGCUCUAUAGAUAAGGUUAUAACGGACGUCCGUGUGAGAUUUUUGUAACUACGAACUUGGAAUUUUGGAUGACCAAAAAAUAUAGCACACGAAAAUCGGCAAAAUAGGGGAGGUUUACCUUCUUUGGACUCAUUUGACCAUGAGAAUGGGCAUUUUUUACCAUGGUGACCAACCGUCUCAUAGAUAAAGUCUUAACGGAUAUUCAUGUAAAUUUUUGGCAAAAAUGAACUCAAAAUUUCGAAUAACCAAAAAAAAUGGUGUACUAUAUUGCACACCAAAAUUGACAAAAUGGAAGGUUUACCUGCUCUAUGACUCGUUUGACCUUGACAAUGAGUCGUAUUGGACGUGGUGACCAACCAGCUUCAUAGAAAAAGUGUUAAAAGAUUUCCGUGUAAAUUUUUGGCAAAAAUGUACUCAGAAUUCUGGAUAACCAAAAAAGAUGGUGGACCAUAGUACACUAAAAUCGGCAAAAUUGGAGGUUUACCUGCUCUGAGAACGUUUGACCUUCAAAAUGGGUUGUUUUGGCCGUUGUGACAAAAUGUCUCCAUAGAUAAGGUCUAAACGGACAUCAUUGUAAAUUUUUGGCAAGGAUGAACUCGGAAUUUCGGAUGACCAAAAAAGUGGUGGAUACAGAACACGAAAAAGGGUAAAAUAGGGUUUACCUUGUCUGGGGCUCGUUUGACCUUGAAAAUGGUUCGUUUUUUAUAUGGUGACCAACCUCUCCAUAGAUAAGGUCUAAGAAGAAUUUCGUGUAAAUCUUUGGAAAAGAUAAUCUUGAAAUUCCGAAUGACCAAAAAAUAUGGUGGACUAUAGCACACGAAAAUUAUGAAAAUAGGGGGUCUACCUGCUCUAGGGCUAGUUUGACCUUUAAAAUUGUUUUUUUGGUCGUGGUGACCAACUCUCUCCAUAGAAAAGGUCUUAACAUAUGUCCAUGUAAAUUUUUGGCAAAAGUGAACUCUGAAUUCUUGAUGACCAAACAAGAUGGUAACUAUACCACCCGAAAAUUGGCAAAAUGGGGGUUUAUCUGUUCUAGCGCUCGUUUGACCUUUAAUAUAUGUCAUUUUGACCUUGGUGAGAAAUAAAACCCAUAUAAAAGGCCUUUAUGGACAUCCACGUAAAUUUAUUGCAAAAAUAAACUCAGAUUUCCGGAUGACCAAAAAAGAUAGUGAACUAUAGCACACGAAAAUUGGUAAAAUGGGAGGUUUACCUACUCUAGGACUCGUAUGAUCUUGAGAAUGGGUUGUUUUGGUAGUGAUAACAAAAAAGAUCCAUAUAUAAGAUCUUAACAAACAUCUUUGUAAUGUUUGGGAUAAAAAAGAAAUCAGAAUUCUUGAUGACCAAAAACAAUGGUGGAAUAUAGCACACAAAAAUCGGCAAACUAAGGGGUUAUUUGCUCUUGGGCUGUUUUGACCUUGAAAAUGGACCGUUUUGGUCAUGGUGAAAACCGGAUCAAUAGAUAAGGUCUUAAAAGACGUUUGUCUAAAUAUUAGAAAAAAUGAACUCGGAAUUCUGGGCGACCAAUAAAGAUGGUGGAUAAAAGAACACGAAAAUAGGAAAAAUGGGGGGUUCACCUUGUUUAGGGCUCGUUUGACAUUGUAAUGGCUCAUUUUGGAUGGUGUGACCAACCGACUCCAUAUAUAAGUUCUAAACGGACGUUCGUGUACACUUUUGACAAAAAUGAUAUUGAAAUUCUUAAUAACCAAAAAAGAUGGUGAACUAUAGCACACGAAAAUUGGCAAAAUAGGGGGUUUACCUGCUAUAGAGGUCGUUUGACCUUGAAAAUGGGUCAUUUUGGCCGUGGUGAUCAACCGGAACCAUAGAUGAGGUCUUCAGAAAUGUCUGUGUAAAGUCUUGGAAAAAUUAAACUCGGAAUUUCGGAUAACCAAAAAAGAUGGUAACUGUACCACAUGAUAAUUGGCAAAAUGCUCUAGGGCUCAUUUGACCUUUAAUAUUGUUCUUUUAGCCGUGGUGACAAACCGACUUCAUAAAUAAGGUCUUAACGGAUGUUCGUGUAAAUUUUUUGCAAAAAUGAACUCGGAAUUAUGGAUGACCAAAAAAUAUGGUGGAUUAUAAUACACGAAAAUGGGAAAAUGGUGGGUUUACCUGCUAUGGGCUCGUUUGACUUUGAAAAUGGGUGUUUUUUUUUCGUGGUGACCAACCGGCUCCAUAGAUAAGGUCUUAACGAACAUCCGUGUAAAAUUUUGGAAAAUAUGAACUCAAAAUUUAGGAUGACCAAAAAAGAUGGUGGGCUAUAGCACACGAAAAUCGGCAAAAAAAUUGAAGGUUUACCUGCUAUGGGGCUCGUUUGAACUUGAAAAUUGAUCGUUUUGGCAAUGGUGACCAACCCACUCCAUAGAUAACGUCUUAACGGACGUCUGUGCAAAUUUUUGGAGAGAAUGAACUUGAAUUUAUGGAUGACUAAAGAAGAUGGUGGAGUAUAGCACACGAAAUCAACAAAAUAUAGGGUUGACCUGCUCUAGAGGUACUUUGACCUUUAAAAUGGGUUGUUUUCGUCAUGGUGACCAACCAAAUCUAUAUAUAAUGACUUCACGAAUGUCCGUUAAAAUUUAUGGCAAAAAUUAACUCAAAUUUCUAGAUGACCAAAAAAGAUGGUGGGACUAUACACGGAAAUCGACAAAAUAGGAGGUUUACCUACUCUAAGCUCGUUUGACCUUGAAAAUAGGUCAUUUUGACCGUGGUGACCAACUAGAUUCAUAGAUAAGGUCCUAACGAACGUCCAUGUAAAUUUUUGGAAAAAAUGAACUUGGAUUCUUGAUGACCAAAGAAGAUGGUGGAUUAUAGCACACGAAAAUCAGCAAAAUGGGGGUUUACCUGGUUUGGGGCUCAUUGACCUUGAAAAUGGGACGUUUAAGAUGUGGUGACAAACAGGAUCCAUAGAUAAGGUCUUAAUGGACGUACAUGUAAAUUUUUGUCAAAAAUAAUCUCAGAAUUCCGGAUGAACAAAAAAAUAGUGGACUAUAGCACACUAAAUCGACAUAAUGGGGGGUUUACUUUCUCUAGGCUCGUUGACCUUGAAAAUGAGUCAUUUUGGCUGUGGUGACCAACUGGCUCCAUAUAUAAGGUUUUAACAGACGUCUCUAUAAAUUUUUUGCAAAAAUAAACUCUAAAUUCAAGAUGACCAAAACAGAUAGUGGACAAUAACACAUGAAAAGGGUAAAAUGGGGGGUUUACCUGCUCGGGGGCUCAUUUGACCUUGAAAAUGGGACGUUUUGACCGUGGUGACAGACCAUAUCCAUAGAUAUGGUCUUAAUAAACGUCCAUGUAAAUUUUUGGCCAAAUUAACGAUUUUUGGAUGACCAAAAAAGAUGGUGGACUAUAGCACACGAAAAUUGAUAAAAUAGGGUUUUUGUUUCUUUGGGGAUCGUUUGACCUAGAAAAUGGGUCAUUUGGACCGUGGUGACCAACCAACUCUACAGAUAAUGUAUUAAACGGACGUCCAUGUAAUUUUUUGGCAAAAUUGAACUAAAAAUUCCGGAUGACCAAAAAAGAUAGUGGACAAUAGCACAUGAAAAUCAACAAAGUGGGGGAUUUAUGUGCUCUAUGGAUUGUUUGACAUUGAAAAUGGGCCCUUUUGGACCGGCUCCAUAAAUAAGGUCUUAAAGGACGUCUGCCUAAAUUUUUGGCAAAAAUAACAUUCGAAUUCCGGAUGAUAAAAAAGAUGGUGGAUUAGCAAAAUAGGGGGGUUUACCUACUCUAGGCUCGUUUGACAUGGUAAAUUGGUCGUUUUGGCCGUGGUGACCAACUAGAUCCAUAGAUAAGGUUUCAAUGGACAUCCCUAUAAAUUUUUGGCAAAAAUGAACUUGCAAUUCCAGAUGACGAAAAAAGAUGGUGGAUUAUAGCACACGAAAAUCGGCAAAAUGGGGGAUUUACCUGCUCUAUGUCUCGUUUGACCUUGAAAUUGGGUUGUUUUUGCCGUGGUGACAAACCGAAUCCAUAUAUAAGGUCUAACGGACGUCUGUAUAAUUUUUUGGCAAAAAUAAAAUCGGAAAAUCGGAUGACCAAAAAAGCUUGUGGACUAUAACACAUAAAAAUCAUUGAAAUAGGGGGUUUACCUGCUCUUUGACUCAUUUGACCUUGAAAAUGGAUUGUUUUGGCCUUGGUGACCUACCGGCUAUAUAAAUAAGGUCUUGACGAACGUCCGUGUAAAUUUUUAGCAAAAAUUAUUUUGGAAUUCUGGAUGAUGAAAAAAGAUGGUGAACUAUAGCACACAAAAAUCGGUAAAAUGGGGUGUUUACCUGCUUUGGGACUCAUUUGACCUUGAAAAUGAGUUAUUUUAGCCGUGGGUAGUAUUAGUGAGAUAAGAAUACUUACAUAAUUUAACCUCAUCAAAUUGAAAUAAAUAUGUACAUUAUUUCAUUUCAUUAAUAAAAUUGACCAUUAAACAUCUGUAUAGGUAUGUGCGAAUAAGAGAUAUACAUGACGAUCCACAUUAAUAAUUUACAAAAUAAUCUUUUAUAUUAUUUUGUGCAAAUCUUAUUAUUAAAAUUUUCGCUUAAAUUUUUUGAAUUGAUAAUCAAGUGCAAAACACGUGUCAAGAAUCUAGAUAAGAAUAAAUGGACAUUUUAAAAUUGAAUUAUUACUUAAUAUUAACAUAUUUUUUUCAUUUUUUUGACUGAUUAAAAACAAAAGUGACUAAUAUAUAUAUAUAUAUAUAUAUAUAUAUAUAUAUAUAUAUAUAUAUAUAUAUAUAUAUAUAUAUAUAUAUGACAAAGAUACUAUUUGAGAAACUAUACAAAAAAUUAUCUCCGUAUAUAUACUAGGGUUUCAGUUAGAGUGUAAAAAGAUUAAUCAGAAUGGAGAUGAACAUUGAUAUUAACAGUCCAGGUAGUGAGAUUUCUUCUUUUUAUUUUGAUCAUUACCUGUACUUAUCUUUUUUUAUUUUCUUUUACCUUUGAUUUUACACUAUUUGUAUUACUAGAUAUUCGUAGAAAAUUAUAGUGGAUUUUCCAUUGGGAAUGUAGGAUUUGAAAUUUUUAGGUGUGGUUUAUGGGGUAUCACUUUGGAGAAGGGUUUAGUUUAUGCGAACCCUGAGGUAGAAUGGGUGGGUUUUGGUAAGGAAAAGUUAUCCUUCAAGGAUCACAAUUACGAUCUUCCAUUGGGAAUGUAGGAUUUGAAAUUUUCAUGUGUGGUUUGUGGGAUAUCACACUGGAGCAGGGUUUAGCUUAUGCAAACCUGGAAGAAAAUGUGUGAAUUUUGUUAUGGACAAGUUAUCCUUUCAGGAUCCCAAUUAGGAUCAAACUGUAUGUUGCAAUUUUCAAAAGUAAAUCCACUUAGUUUUUUGGAGACCAUUUUCUCUAACUUAUAUAAAUUGAAAAAUGGAUGUCUAAUAUAAUAAAAUUGAAUACUAAUUAAAUCUAAGAUAGCUUGAAGGAUUGGAUAUCCACGUCGAAUAUGCAUAGGAGAAGAUCAAAAUUAGAGAAGAAGAGAGAGAAAAAUAAGGAAGGAAUUGAAUUACCAAAAGUUUAUUGUUACAUUCUCUCUCCUUCUGUAUUGCAGUUUAUAUCAACGUUCAGAUAAUAUGGCGAGAUCCUGACUCAUCAGCUUCAUUAACUGAGAUUUAAUCUUGUUCGGUUAUUUGCCUAGUAGUUACUCUCCUUCGGUGUUUCAGCUUCGAAUUAAGCUAUACUAAGUAAUCUCAAUUAGUUGUCCCAGAUCCCUUGUACAUCUUAGGUGUACUCCUACCAGUGAAGUCUCUUCCUAGAUCUCAGUGUAAUAGAGGCACAUCUUGCUUGAACAUAGACUGCUGGCUCAAAAGAAAAGUAAAAAAUUGAUUGUAUUAACAAUACCAUCCAACAAAGGUGCAUUUAUUAAGGGCAAUCAAAUUUUGUGAUGGUGGUUCGUACUUUUAUAAUAAUACAUAUUAAAAGAUAGAAGUAUUAAAAUAUUUCAAAAUUUCCAUAAAAGUGGAAGCUUAAUUUUCUUAGACAUGUACAUCUGGAUGGAAGAUUGUGGCGUAGUGGUCAAUGAAGUGGUUAAAAAUCAUGAGGUCUAAUGUGUGAAUCCCAGCAAAGAAGAAAAAACAUGUAAUGACUUUUUCCAUCUUUCAUAGCCUUAGUGGACAGAGUUACAUAGUACUUAUUGCUGGUGGGAGGUAGCAUGCUUGAAAUAUGUAACAUUGUCAUCACUUUUUUCUUUACUUAUAUCUCCAUUUGCAUACUCUUUUAUAGCAUAUGUACAUUCUAUAGUACAGAUGGAAAACACAAACAGAGCUGAUUGGCAGGAAGAGCUUUACCAAAAGGUAUGAUUUGCAAUGGUACUCUUUAUUUGUACAAGAUUUUGAAAACUGUGGAAAUUUGAUAUGUGGAUUUUGAUAAAAUGGGUGGUUAUAACAUUAUAAGAAAUAGAUGAAUGUUUCAAAAUAUCUCCUUUGAUUAUAGAGUAAUAGGAGAGGUUUAACAUACCAAAUGAACAACUAAAUUCCUUACCAUACCCCUCCACGCAAGAUGCUUUAUGUUCUUAGAGGUAAUAGAAAUCUAAGCAUGUUAACAGGUAACUUCUUAGAAACGAAGAUGAAUACUCAGUGUGCUGGUGCUCUGUAUAAACCCGUCUUGGUCCCAUAUUUUUAUCGACAACAAAUUAAUUUCACAUGCCCUAAAAUAAUUUAGAAAUGAAGUAUAUUUUGAUAAAUUAACUUAUUAGAGAAAAUUAUUUGUUGAGUGCUAAGAUCAUGUGUCGGUAAGUUCGGGUCAAAGUUCUUCAUGGCAUGUCACCACAAUCUUUAAUUGCGAAUUUGAGUGAUAAACCUAUUUGUGCAAGAAGUAUAUACAUGAAUAUAUUGCUAUAAGAUGUUUUUUGUGAAAAGACAUCCGUUCAUCUGUAUCAAUAUAUUUUUUCUAUUUUUUAAUUUUAUUUCUUAUUAUAGAGAAAUCCAAUUCUUCCGUCUUCAAUACUCAGUCUUAUCUACUUACAUCCCUGACUUAGCUAGUAAUAAGUUGGAAUACUUCAAUUUCUCCAAGAAUAAACAUAUAACACUAACAUUCUCUGUAUUCUCCAUCCCAUUGUUAGUCACUUGUGAAGCCAACUACAAUGUUAUUAUUUUAUUGUUUAUCCUCGUUUUACCUCAAUGAUGAUAAAGUUGUAAUGUUAAAAAAAGAAAUGAUUGCCAUUAAAUUGUGUUAUAUCUCGCAACCUAUUAAAAAAGUAUAUUCUAAUCCUCCCGGUUGUUCUGGUCUAUGAUCACAUUGUGGAAGUUUCAUUCUUGAUUUUAGCACCAAGAGGCUAAAGGAAGCAAAGUUCAGUAACUUAGUUCUACUUCACUUUUAACCUUUUUAUCUAGAAGGUUCUUUUGUGACGAUUUUCUAGUUUUGUUCUCAAUUGUAUCGUACCGUUGAUCUAAUUAUGACCUAACCAUGUGGGAAUGCAUUCUUGACAUUUAUGCAAUUGACUUAUUGAAUUAUUUAUGUAGAUUAAGUCUAUGAAGGAGAUGUAUUUAUCAGAUAUCAAUGAUUUAUACGAGAAAAUUACUUCUAAAGUGCAGCAGGUAUGUCAAUAACAUCCCUUUAAGUGUUUCAUCAUUGUUUCAAAUUUUGGUUGGCUCUCUUACAAGUUCAGUAAAAUGACACACCAUCAUUUGCAUAUUGCAUGCCCCAAGGUGUAAUUCAUAUUGCGUUGUAUUACUUAUUUCCUUAUUGGAAACUCCUCAAACUGGGAACUGAUGCAGAAAGCUCAAGACACUAUAUUAGAGUUAUUUCUUCUUAGGUUCCUUUCCUGUUGAUUGUCAUCAUGAGAAAAAGUAAAGAAUUAAGGAUUCCCUAAUUUUUUGGGCAAGCGCUUGAUUUAUCUGAAUCUAAAAGCACUCGAGUCAACAUUCUGCUAAAUUGUGUGAACCUUCCGCACUAUGUUAUUUUUCUCAUUAUGUAAUUUUUUCAACUAUGUUAUUUGUCCCUUUUUUUCUUGAUUUUAUGCAGGACUCUCUUUGUCAGAGUCUUCCAAAUGAGAGAACUGAAGAACUCAAGAUGUUCAAGAUGACUUUGGAACGCAUUAUGAUUUUCUUGCAGCUUAACAAAGAUGAUAUUAAUCUUUGUCACAAGGAGAAACUGCGUUCGGUUGAGAAGCACAUAAGUUUCUUUCUAAUAGGCAAAAAUCUGAACAUGCCUACUUCUUCUGCAUUGCAGGGGUAACUUCCUCAGGCUCCCAUCCAUACAAGUCAGGUAGGCAGUCCGAACUUGUUUGUAAAAUUCAAUUGUUUUCACCUUGUUGAAGUUGUUUUCCUCUUGUGUUAACAUGCAUCUACAUUUCGAGUAGAGUUUUUUCUUUCUUUAGGGGGAGCUUGAUUACUUGGAACUUGUGAUUAUUUUCCUAGUAUAAAUCUCUUAAGUUAUGACUGAUGUCUCGUGCUACUUCUACUUUAUUCAAAGGUCUCAUGUGUUCAAAUAGGAAGGCAUGGAGAUCAAAUAUUAGAGAAGGUUAGUAGGGAGUCGAGUGUUGUCGUACUUCUAGUAGUAUGAUUUAGGUAGCUUGUAGUUUCUUUUUCCAACUACUGUUUAUAUUACUUGAAAAUAGGACUCAAUCAAAACUGACCUUAUAUUAGAGAAUCAACAAAACAAAAGAACGAUAAAAGAAUGAAAUAUAAGAUAGAGAAGAAGGGGGAUGAAAAGCUCAAAUUUCUCAAAAUUGGGGAUGAGAGACUCGGAAAAUUUCCAUAACAAUAAAUCCCUACAUUAUGUUACUACUAUAAGAUUCCACAUUUUUUUCCCAACCUUUAAUUCGAAGUUAGUUAAUGUUUUUGGACUUCUCUUAACUCGUGUGAUGUUCCUAGCUGGCACAAUUGGUUCAGCCACAUUGGCCUCCACCUCACUAUUUUCAUUUAUAACACCUAUGUGUAUUAAUAUGUGUUGCUACACUUGUUUUGUACAUGCUACUUUGUUUUUUUCUUUCUUACUUUGUUGCGUUUGUUACAUUUUUUUGUGUCAGAGGUCUAUCAGAAACAACGGAUCUACUAUAAGAAUUGAGUACAUCCUACCCUCCCCAGAUCCCACUUGUUUAAUUACAUGGUUGUGAUGUUUUUGGUCUCCACAAUUUCGUUCUAAGAUUUUGUGUGCAAAUUUAAUGAUCUAUCAUAAUUUAUUUGUAUGUUACUCAUCAUAUCUUGCACGUUAUAUACAAUGCAGGCACAAUAUACAUAUGCACACCAUCUGCCUAGGCUGGAAUUCCGUGGGCAAGAUAUUGCUUCUGAGUUUGAUAGGAUUCUGCAUUUUAUUUAUUAGAUGGUAGUGAUGAUGUAUUGUGUCAAGUAUAGAAUGGUUUUGAAAUGUUUGGUAUUGAUAGAUUGAGCUCUGGUACAAAACUUGAUGAGCAUUGAGAACAUAUAAAGUGUUUGUGAACCCAUGCACCCUCCCUGGAUUAUGUAAAGUACUUGUGAACCAACUUAUGCAUCAUUUCCCUAAAUUAUGUAGAAAGUACUGCAACUAUAAUGAUAAAUUACUUAAAUUUUAUGUGGGAAUCGUACUAAAAUUUGAAAUAUCCAUCUCCAAAAUUUUCUUUUGAAUCUUUAGCAACACUACAAACAAAGGUCACAUUUUUCUUUAAAAAAAUUUGGCCUCUCUUUUUAGUUUUUUCUUCAAUUUAUUCUUAUAAUUUGUGAAGUGUGUUUCCUUAAAUGAUGAUGAUAUUUUAAUCGUUUUCAAAUAUAAAUUUCUUAACUAACCAUUAUAAGCUGAUUUUUCUUUUGUGAUAAUAAUAUUAAUUAUAGUUUACUUCUCAAGUCAUUGUUUUGGAAAAAAAUUAUAGCAUUUGUUACGCCCCCUAAAACUAAAGACUAAACUAGAGCCUAUAGUGACCUUAAUGGAGUCAAUCGUAAUGAGUACAGUCGUAAAAUAACCUCUAUUACUUAGUACUAAUGUUUUUGGGUAAAAAGUCAAGGCAUGACCCCCCAAGGAUCUCCACCCCUUGAGGGUCCUUGAGGAGAUCGGGGGGGGGGGGCUUCCAAAAGCUAGCAAAUUGCAGCCUUGACCUAUUGAUAGGGCACCCACAGUCUGUGGGUGGACCCACGCCCCGUAGGUUGGGGUCUUGGGUCGAGUGUUGGCCUCCUUGCAACCUCUAAGAUUAAGAGCCUAGCCACGUUUGUACAGCACGGAGUGUGAGCCCACCCACAGCCCGUAGGUGGGGAGUCGUGGGUCAGACAUGUAGGGUAUUUAAUUUGUUUUAGUUAGAGUUAAGGGAGGAUAUUAAGGUUAAUUAAUUAACAAAUUAGGGUCGGUUAAUACUAAUAAAAAUAUUUAUAUAAAAGAGAACCCUAAAUUCGCCUACGUGGUGCCACCACAAGCAAGAAUUUUCUUUUAAAUUUAUUUGUUACCAAAACUAGACUUUCUCUUUUAUAAAAAGACGUCACUUUUAUGAAAACUUGCGACUUUCAUGAAAAGUUAUUAUGUUUAUCAAAUUUUGUGACUUUUAUGAAAAGUUGUAACUUUAAUGAAGAGUUGCGACUUUAUGAAAAGUUAUGACUUAUAUGAAUGAUUGUGAACUAUUGAAUGGGUUGGAAAUUUUUCAAAUAUUUGUAAUCUUUCUGAUAAGACACAAUAAACAUUUGUUCACACUACCCGUUUGUCUAUAAAGAGAAGGAUUUUCUUUCAUUUUAAAAUAAGAAAAUUCUGAUUUUCUUCUUCCAAUUCCGCAAAAUUAAGUAUUUGUCUACUUUUGUCCUAUUGAGUGACUUACAAACACCAGUGUUUAGUAUCAAUAAGUUGGUGAAUCAAAUUGUUACAUCCAAAGAGGAUGUAAUUCUGUAAACCUCCCAUAUUAGAUGGUAAUAGUUUUAUUAAGGGAACAUUGUGCAUUUAGUGGACUCAAAUUUUUCCUUUCAAUUUCAUUCUAUUUCUACAUAUUCUGGUUUUCUUUACACUCAUUAAUUUGUGCUUAUGAUACUAAUUGUUUUUAGUGUAUUUUUUAAACAUUGUUGUUUAUGUUUCUUCAAAGUUAUUUUCUCUAUUUAUAGUGAACAUAUACACAUAUAGUAAACAUUUUCAUUGUGUAGAAAAUAAUUAUUGUAUUUAGUUCUAGGAAUUCAGGUUUUGAUAUUCUAUAUUAAAUUCUAUAUCUUAAAAGUACUAUAUAUAAUCUUAAAUAUUAAUCUAUUUUCACAUAGAUAUGAAAUUUCUCACUUCUCAAUUGAAAAAAUUCAUUAUACAAGUUCAAAAUUUAUAAUUGUUUUCAUGUUCAAGCUUAAUUUCUAUUUUGAAUAUGUUAACAGAUUUUUGAAUUUUCUAAGACAUAUAUCAUAAUUGUAUAAUCUAUAUGACUUAAAUGUUUCUUUUUAUUAAGAAAUGCCUUUGUAUCUUUAUUCUUAUUUUCUUCUUUAUUUUCCUUUUAGUGUUUAUUUAAGAACCAAUGAUAUUUUUUUCGUGAAUAAUUCAUUAAUUAGAGGUUCUCUAGUUAUAUGAUAAUGACAAAUAAUCAAAUUCAUGUUAGACUUUUGCUAAUAUUUUUUAAGAACAUAUUUUUUCAUUAUUUUUAAUGUAUGAAUAUUAAUUAUAAAAAAAUUACUUUCAACUUCAAUACAAUUAUUAUUUAUGACUGUGCGAAGCGCGAAAAAAUUACCUAGUUAAAACGAACUAUAAAUAGUUAAUAGACCCCUAAAAUAAUUCAAGGAGUUCACUCAUUCAAUAACCCAACACAAAUCUAUUUCCCUCUCAAAAUAUUCCUUAUAUUCAAUAACCCAAUAUAAGUACACAAGAAUCUACUCAUUUUCUUCAAGAAAAACUCUCAAAGAUCAAAAUCCUCACAUCAAGAAUUCAUUAAACUCCAUAACAAAGCAUGAAGAACAAAACCUCAAAAACAACCAUCAGAAAAUCAAAUCAUUCAACCUCAUUAACAAAAUUAUGGAUAAAAUUACAUAAUUGUCCGGUGGAUGAAUGAACCCAGCACUAUGAAACCUUACAUACUUUAAUUUAGCAAAAUUCCUCGACGAAUUUCAAGAAUCUCGAUGAACGCUUUGAACCUCUCCUUUUGAACUCCUCUAAAAAUCAGAAAGGUAAUUUAGAGUUGUAAAACUGAUCCACAUUAGUUUAUAUACCUAAAAUAUACUAAAAACAUUUAAAGCAGAUAGGGUAAGGAAAAGACCAAAAUAUUAAUCAUUAAUUCAGGUAAAUUUCCUCAACUGAACAAGCAAACUUCAAACGGGCACAUCUCCCUUAUCUGAACUUAAAAUUUAGAAAACUCGAUUGACUUGGAAAGAGGAUCCAAAGAAACUUUAUUUGAUAUCUUAUAUGCCACCUAACUCAUCAUGCACUGAAAUUUAUGAUCGUUUGAAGUUCACCCAAAACUCACAACUUAAGCAUAACUUGCAAAAUUCUUAAUUUUUCUUUUUCAAAUUUAGUUCUUUCUAAAUUUAGUUCUUUUCUAAGGUGGGAUGUUACAAUAAUGAACAAAAGUUACUUUCCUAAGUAUCUCACAUGUGUUUUAUAAGUUGUUUAUCUUGAAUUUACCACAUUUAUGAAUUUUUAUUUAUCACAUGUUAUUUUAUGAUUUAGCUUGUCAUUACAUGUCAUGUAAAGUCCUUUUAGGAUGAUUUCAUUACUGUUAUGCAUUGUUAUAAUACUUUUUUUGUUCCAUAUUAUAAUGCAUACUUGUGGCUACAAUGUUUCAUGAUAUAGGGUCCCAAAUCAUAUUCCCCAUUCUCGUUGCAAGUUGAUUCUUUUAUGAUUUUGAAGAUUUGUGAGUCCUCAUGAUCAGAGGGACAAUAUGAAUUUAUUGAUUUUAGGUCUUUUUCUCUUUUCAGACUUCUUAUGUGAUGUAUGAAUUAUGUGCCAAUAUAUUUCUCUAUGAUGUAGUAGAUUGUGUAGAGAUUUAACUUAGAUUUCCACUUUUCUCAAAUUCUUUUGUAUGAAAUGCUAUUUUUGAAAUCUUUACUUAUAAUAUCUUGUAUGUUGUAUGCUAAGUGGAUUGAUUAGGGCCUCCCGGAGUUUUAUCCGUCAUGUUAUGCCUAGGGUCUACUUUAGGUCGUGACAUGUAGUCUUUAAAUUCUUACAUUAUACUUCAAAAUUUUUCUGAUAUUUUGUCAUGCUUCAAAAAUUAAUCCAUCCAGUGUGCUUAUUGUGAUUAUUGUUGCAUGAGAAAAGUAGAAUGUCCAUAAAUCUUAUCCUUAUCCUUAUAAUAAUAAUCAUUUAUAAAACAUACGACAAAAAGAGUAAGACUCUCUUCUAAUAGAGAAAUAUGAAUCCUACAUUAUGGGAUAAAAUAUCUACUGGACAUUAUUAGCAACGAACACGGUAAAAAAGAUAGAGAAAAUGGUGAACCACCUCAAAAAUGACAAAUAUACCUAUAACCAAAGAAAUAUUGAAAUCAUGCAAAAAUGUGGGUAGCAUAUACACCAACUAAGGCUUCCAUAUCUGAAACAAAAUCAAAAUAAUAAUAAUAAUAAUAAUAAUAAUAAUAAUAAUAAUAAUAAUGAUAAUUAAAUUAUUAAAAUCAAUCUUUCAAAUUUAAUUAUUGUAUGAUUUUUUUUCUUAAUAUCAGACUAACAUUAAGUUCACAUGCCCUGGCAUUAUUAGAAAAGAAGUAUGUUUGGAUAAAUUCAUUGGACCAAAUACAUAAGCAGAUCCCUAAACUUAGUGAGUUUUUUCCCUCAGGUACCUCAACUACGUCAUUUUCCUAUUGAAUCAUUGAACCCCCAUAAUUUGUUCCGCUUAAACAAACACUGUUGUCUGAUGUGGAACCAGAUUUGUGAGGGAUAUUGAUAGAGAAUACAUAUGUUGUUCCAUAAAUCAUUAGUCUAAUUGAUAGUGAAAAUGUUUGAGAAUAAUUGUGUUUUACUUAAGUCAUUUGAACACAUUAGAAAACAAAUGAGACUAACACGGUUUGUCUUCAUUAGUUCAAUCAAAAUUAUAAUAAUUCGAAUAUAUUAAAGACAUUUAAAAUAUAAAAGCUAAUCAAAAAAUCAACCAACAGUAUUUUAAUGAAACAAAUUAUGGGUUGUUCGACAAUUCAAUUGAAAAAUGACGUAGUUGAGGUACCUGAGGGAAAAAAUGCAACAAGUUUAGGGAUUUUUUUAUGUAUUUGUCCAAUUAAUUGAUUUACAGAAAAGUAGUUUUUGAGUGAUGAUAUCAUAUUAACUUAUUUCAUGAGAUAGAUAAUAUAUCUAUAUGUUCGGGUCAAUGUUCUUCAUGGCAUGUCAACAAUAUGUUUUCCGGCAACUGAAAUUUGUAUUUGCUAAUUUGAGGGAUAAACCUAUUUGUGCAAGAAGUAUAUCCCUGAAUAUAUGGUUGUUUGAAACAAAUUCUAAAGCGAAAAAAAUAAAUUGCUAUCACUAAUUAAAUAUGAAGAAACGUAACUUUAUUGAUAAAUAUUGUGGGUACAAUACCAUUCCUCCCUUGAUUAUACUCUCCUAAGAUGUAUCAAUGAUUCGAGGAUCGUUUGUGGUGUAUUUCUCUAAUUAGGAUGAUAUAUAUUUGACCUUUAUAUGAAUUCCAUUAAUUUGAGGAAUAUUUGAGGUCUUGAUCUCUCUAUGGAAUUUCUAUGAUGCAUAUUAAGGGAAUUUAAUAUCCUUUAUAUUUGCAUAAACUAGGGUUUAAGGUUGAGCAGCAUCAAAGAGUCUUAAUUUGAGUUGAACACAAUUUGUAGAGUCUCCACUCGAAUUGAAUGCAUCUUUUAGAGUCCCACAAAAUUUCAAUGUGUACAAAUGCCCCUGCUUGAAGCCUUGUCGGAGUGUAGACUUGAUGAAACUCGAAGAUGUGGCUUGAAGUACUUAUUCUUCUCCAUUUGUAGCUUCCGAUUUUCAUAUUUGAUUUAAGAGAGAAGAGCUGAAGGGAAACUUUGGUCCCACUGGGCGUCACAAUUUAUUUGCAAUAAAUUUUAAAGCGACAGAAAAUAAAUUGCAAUCACAAAUAAAAUGUGAAGAAGCAUACCUUUAUUGAUGAAUAUUACAGGUACAAUUCUAUUCCUCCUUGAUUCUACUCUCCUAUAAUUUAUCAAUUAUUUGAGGGUAAUUUUUGACAUAUUUCUCGAAUUAGGAUGAUUUCGAUUUGACCUCUAUAUGAAUUUUCCAUAAAUUUGCGAAAUAUUCGAGGUCUUGAUCUCGCUAUAAAAUUUUUCGGAUGUCUUUUAAGAUAAAAUUAGUAUGUUUUAUCUAGUCAUAAACAAGGGUUGAGGGUUGAGUAGCCUCCAUGAAUCCUAGUUUGAGUUGAACACAAUUUGGAGAGUCCCGGCUUGAAUUGAACACAUCUUGUAGAGUCACAAAAAAUUUAAAUGUCUACAAUCUCUAUAAGAUGUUUUAUUGUGAAAAUACGUAUGUUCUUCUGUAUUUAUUGGUAUACAUUUAAUUUUUUAUUUUAUUUUAUUUCUUAUAUAGAGAAAUUCAAUGCUUCCAUUUUCGAAACUCGUCCUUCUUUACAUACAUCCUCGACUUGAUUUAUUAGCUAUCAAUAAGUUGGAAUACUUUGAAUUGUUCAAAAAUAAAAAUAUAACACUAACAUGCUCUAUAUUCUCCAUCCCAUCGUUUUUCACUUGUGAAGCCAACUAAUUGUUAUUAUUUCAUUGUGUACCCUUGUUUUAUCUCAUUGAUGAUAAAGGUGUACUGUGAAAAAAAUUAAUGAUUGUCAUUAAGCUGUGUUAUAGCUCGCAAUCUAAUUUUAGGAAAAUAUUUUAAUUCCUCCUAGUUGGGCUGGUCUAUAAUCAAAUUGCGGAACUUAUAAUCAAAGAAGCUAAAGGAAGCUAAUCUUAGUAACUUAGUUUACUAUUUACAUGUUAAUUAGUUGUAGUUUUCCUCUUCUACUUAAUAAUUAUUUUAUCUAGAAGGUUCUUUUGUGAAGAUUCUCUAGUUCAUUCUAUAUUGUAUCAUAUAGUUGUUUUAAUUAUCACCUUACCAUAUGGGAAUUUAUUCUUGGCAUUUCCGCAGUUGAUUUAUUAAACAUUAGUAAUGCAGAUCAAGCUAUGAAGGAGAUAUAUUUAUCAGACCUCAAUGAUUUCUACAAGAGAAUUGCUUAUAAAGUGUUGCAGGUAUGUCAUCAACAUCCCCCUAAGUUCUUCAGCAUAGUUCCAAAUUUUGGUUGUUUCCGUUGCAAGUUUCGUAAAAUGACACACCAUAAUUUGCGUAUAUCAUGAACCAAGGUUUAAUAGAUAUUGCAUUUGAUUUAUUAUUGCCUUAUUAGAAAAUCAUCAAAUUGGAACUGGUGCAGAAAGCUCAAAACACUAAAUUAGCGGUUUUUCUUCUUUGGUUCCUGUCAUGUGGAUUAUCUUAGAGGGACGAGAUUCUUUUAUUGAUUUUAUGUAGUUUUCUAUUUGCAGAAUUUGUAUGUUAUGUCAAGCCCCGAGGCUAACCCAAGACGCACAAACUGGACCUAGGAUAACGAACGACCCCAAGUUAACCUUGUAACACCCAAAUUUUUUUCGAACUAAGACUUGAGCCGUUAGUCGUAGAGAGUGAGAGUUCACCAAGGAAUUAAAUUUUUUUGUCACUAGAUGUAGCACCAAGAGUUUCAAAAAGAAUUUAAUUAGAAAGAGAACACGGAGUUUAAAUGUCCUAGGAUGUCUAUGAAUUCGUGUCAAUAGGAUCUUUUUUAUGGUUGUGAGGGCCCCACUUCUAUGAAUGAGGUACUAUAGGCAUUUAAGAAAAGUUUCCCUUCUUUCAUACUCUUAAACGUGCAAAAGAGAUAAGUGACUAAGUCAUAAAGAUCUAUUCUAACUCGUGCGCUUUCAUAUUCAUUUGAGUACCAAUCAUACUAGAGGUGGUUUAAAAGUAAAGUUUAAAGAUUCUUAUAGAUGAGUUGUUUUUAGCAAGAGUCUUGAGAAAGUCAUGAGACAUCAGAGGGGCUUGACAGAAACCCAAUAAUUGUUCAGUUUCAUAGUAAUGCAUCCACAUUCACAUCAAUCGUGCGUUUGAGCUAAAAAAGAGUUGCACUAUGUUCCCUAAACCUUGUUUCAGCUGAGAUCUUUAUGAGAGAGAAUGUUUAGAGAUUGGGUAUGAUUUCACCCCCCAAAAAAGUAAUAUGAGCUAUGAGAUCAUGAGUAGUAGUAGUGAAAGAUCCCAUAGUUAGAGGAAAGUAUGCAGAGAGUUGGUAAUUUAAGGAAGGGAAAGGUGUUGUGACAAACUAUGUUACAAUAGUCAUGUACCUAGUAAGUUAGUAAUAAAGAGUUUUCCCUUAUGAGUAGACUAAUAAGUGGAGAGUUGUAAAUAGCUGAGGAUAGGGGUAAAGUAAGUAUUUCAAGUCCACAUGAGUUAGGAUACACCUUAACGAAAUAGGGGUUAUGAUAAUGUGUCAUUGUGUUAGUAAUGACCAAGUGCAAGUGGUGAAUAUAUAGAAGAGCCAGAAUAUUCACAAUUUGAUAUAUUAACUCUAGGCUUAUGAAUUUUGAUAGAAGAACUUCAGAGGAUUAUAGAGUUAUUUGAGAGAUAGUGUGCAGUAUGUGAGUAGGUAGCAUUUAAGUUGUGAAGUGGAAGAUGAUGGUCACUUGAGUAUGCAGACUGAGAUGUAAAGAUUGGCUAAUUAUCAUGAAGUCCUACUGGACAAUGAUUCCUAAAUUUCCAUCGUAGUAAUGUGUUAUAGUAUAGUAGGUGAGCAAUCAUAUUGACAUUCGGUUUUAGUAAGGAACAUUAAGCUAGAAUUUGAGAUGAGUGUCAUGAUCCACAAAAAUGGCAAAAAAAAGGGUCAUGAUGUUAAUCUUGAGAUUUGAUAUUGUAGAUUGGCAUAGAAUAGGUGAGGAAUUGAGAUAGUUGUUGCAAUGAAUGUGAGUAGUAGAGAACGUAACCUUUAAAUAAGGGCAGUGGUGUGACUAAGUCAUAAGAGUAGAAAGAGCAUUAAUAUAAUGUAUACCAGUUAGAGAUGUGGAAUAGGUCCAUAGCUUUCAAGUGUUAGCUUUAGACCCAAGGGGAAGAUGAUAAGAUGAGAAAUUAAGUCAACUGUUUGAAGAUUUCAUAAGGAGUUCAUUCAUAGGAGUUCAUGGAGUUGUUAGAUGUCUGAGCUUGAAUGUAGUGGUAAAGAGUAAUUGUUUGAGAUGAUAUUCUAUAUAGAGAAGUAUAGAAUCAAAACUUUAAAAUUUGAGUUUAACAUUGAAUAUAGUAAGAGCAGACCAUUAGACGUAGACCUUAGUAAGAGUAAACCAUUCUAUACCGAGUUCAAUCUUCAUUCGAGGAUAAAUGAUCCCAAGGGGGGUGAUAUUGUAAGACCCAGAAAAUCUUUUCAAAUUAAGACUUGAGCCGUUAAUCGUAGUGAGUGAGAUUUCACCAAGAAGUUAAAAUUUUUCUUAAGUAUUAAGUUCAGGUCACUAGAAGUAGAACCAAGAUUUCUAAAAAGAAUUUAAUUGGAAAUAGCAAAAUCUGAAAUUUCGCAACUUUAGCUAAGUAUGAGUUUUGAGUAAACUUCAAAAAACCGUACCAUCUAGAACAUGAUGAGUUAGGUGUGCUACAAGAUACAAUAGGACAUAUCUUUGAAUUAUAUUUCCAACGCCACCGAGUUUGCUAUGUUUCGAGUUCAGAUGAGUGAGAUAUGACCUUUUGAUGUUAGUCUUUCCAAUUAAGGAAAGUUUGCCGAAAAUAUGAGGGGUAUUUCGGUUCUUUCCUUACCCAAUCACAUUUAAUUAAUUUUUUAUAAUAUUUUAGGGUUAUAAUCCUUUUAAGUUCUGUUUUAAUAUCCUAAUAUACACCUAGGGUUUUAGUUGAUGUUUCAAGAAGAGGCAAGAAAAGAAAAUAGGAGAAAAGAAGCAAGGAUGAAGACAUUCGUCGAUGUUCUUGAGUUUAGUUGCGGAUUUUCGCCAUAGUUCUAAUCCCUAAUAGGUAUGUAAGAUUCCAUAGUGUUUGGUUUUUUCACCCACACGCCAAUCAUUUUAUUUUUCUUAGCGAAAUUUCAUUCUUAGUGUUUAAAAAUUUGAGUUCUUGAUGAAUUUUUGAAGUUCAUUCUAAAUCUCGUUGUGUUAGGGUUUUGAUGAUUUAUUGUGAUCAAAUUGAGUAAUUUUAGUGUUGUUUUCAGUACAUUAGAGUGUAAUUAAGUUAAGUAAUCAAAUCCAAGUGAUUGGGUAGAAAAAGGAUUAUACUAAUCUCAAACCACAUAAUCAAUAUGUUUUAAAAACAUAAGAGCCUGUAUAUUUUUUGAAGUAGUAUUGAGCACCGACGUGGGGAUGCUAGUUACAGAUUAACUCAAGUCUCCAUGAAAACUAUAUACUCUUCAUGGGUAGAAAAAGGAUUAUACUAUUUAGAUGAGUCCAUUUCACAAUUUACUAGUGGAUCCAUUAAGAAGUUCAGGUCCUAUACUCUGGCAAGGUUAGGAUGACCGAGCAGCGUGGGCCAGUAACGUUGUAUCGUCACAAUAACUCUUAAGUUAUGGUUGUCGCUUAUAGUAACUCCCACAGAAGUAAUAGUAUUUUUAUAUACACCAAUUAUUGUAUUUUCAUAUAGAGUUGUGUUGUAUCCUUGCUAUACGCAGAGAGUUGACAUCACGUUUUUAAACAACUUUUUUUUAUAUUGCACUUGUUUUAAACUAUUUUAUAUUGAAAUGAUUUCAGUUGACUAUCAGGAGUUGAGUAUCUUGAGUUAAUUUGUGCUUCAUUGAGUCAAAUAUCAUAUCUUUGAAGUUUAGAAUAUAAUCCUCGAGUUGAGUAUCUUAUUCUUGAGUUGAGUUGAAAAGAGGUAUGUGUGUUUCCUUUUAAUCAAGUUCAAGACUAUGUUUUAUGCUUUAGAUUUCCCCUUACAUUCUCUUUCAUUGCAUGUAUUGAGCCAAUUGGUCUGCAUCUUCUCAUGAUGCAGACACAGAUAUUCAGGAUGUUUAAUAGGAGCUUCGUUGAUACAUCAGAAAGUUCUAGUUAGCUAUAGUGAGCCUCUUAGCUUUCAAAGGACUUCAUGUACCUUUCCGUUUUGUCAGGAUGUCGUGGGUGUUGUACCGAGUUCCAUCUUUAUCAGUGAGAGGCUUCAUAGAUAAUCACUAUAGUUAAGGAGUCUGUAUUAAUCAUUUUUUUAUUAAAUGUUUUAAAGACUAAAGUAGCCUAUUUUUGGCUAGUUUAAUAUAUUAUUUUUAUUCAAAGUUGUUCAAUUUAGUUUUAAGUUUUGUACGUUUAAGUUAGUAUUCCACUUGUAAUCGGCCAGGAUGAGGGUUCUCUUGGGGACCAACAAUGGUCUUCAAGUGCUUGCCACGUCCAGGGUGUAGACUCGGGUCAGGACAAACCCUAAGUUGCAUAUCAUAAGUAUACUAAAUGAUUACCAAAUAAUUAUACUACGAGGAAUCUUAAACAGUGAUAACUAAAAGUUGGGAAUGUCCAAUACAAAUCUGUACAUAUAAAAGAUUAUGAGUUUAAUAAUAACUGGAGGAUCAAACUCAAAACUGGACUAUCAGAGGGACACAAUUAUUUUAUUGAUUUUAGGUCUUUUUCUAUUUUCAGACUUCUUAUGUGAUGUAUGGAUUACGUCCCAAUAUCUUUCUCUAUGAUAUAAUAGACUGCCUUGAGACUUAUGUUAGAGCUCCACUAUUGUCAAACUCUUUUGUAUGAAAUGCUAUCUUUUGAACUCUUUACAUCUAUUAUCUUGUAUGAUGCAUUCUAAGUGGCUUGGAUAGGGACACCCGGGGUUCUAUUUGUUAUGAUAUGCCCAACGACUAUUUUGGAUCAUGACACGUAGUCUCUCUAAAUUCUUACAUUCUACUUAAAUAUUUUUCUCAUAUUUUUUCAGGCUUCAAAAAUCAACCCAUCUAGUGUACUUAUUGUAUCAUGAAAAAAGUGGGAUGUCCAUAAAUUUUAUCCUUAUAUUUCUCAUAAUAAUCAUUUUUAAUAUUUCUCAUAAUAAUCAUUUUUAAUACAUACGACAAACAGAGAAAGAAUCUCUUCUAAUAAGAGAAAUAUGAAUCCUACAUUGUGGGAUAAAAUAUCUACUGAAUGCUAUUACCAACAAACAUGGUAAAAAAGAAAUAGAAAAUGGUUAACCACCUCAAAAAUGACAAAUAUAACUAUAACCAAAAAAAUAUUGAAAUCAUGCAAAAACGUGGGUAGCAUUUACACCAGAGGGAAGAGUGUUAGUCGAAGCCGAAGUAGAAGUCGGAGCAAGAGCAAAAGCAAAUCUCCUAAAGUUAAGUCUUCAAAGCGCUCAAGAUCUCGUUCAAGGUCUGUGUCUUCUCAGUCUCGUUCUGGGUCAAAAGGACGUCCUGUCUCAAGAUCUCCAUCAAGGUCCAGAUCACCAGCACCAGCUCGUUCAAAACAAUUAAGUGAAAGUCCUAAAAGACGCACUCCCAGCAGUAGCCCCAAAAGACGCACUCCAAGCAGAAGCCCAAGCCGGAGUAGGAGCCAUAGCCGAAGUUUGUCCAGGUAAGAUUGCUGGAAUCAUCAGUGAUUGAGGGUGCCAUCAUGCUAUGUUUGAGCAGCCUGUCCACAGUUGGGAGUCUUAAGGGCCCGGAAGAGUCUGUUGCUCUGCUUACAUCAAAAUAUUUCUGUGUCAUCGAACCAUGUCAAGACUGUCAUAAUUAUUAUACUUAUUUUUGUAGCUCUUAAUCUUGGUAAAAGACUGCAAUAUAGUAGAUGAUAUUGUGAAAAACGGAAUUUAAUUUCCUUGAAUUGCAGAUUAUUGUUGGUCGAAAAAAAAAAUUAUGGUAUGAUUUAUGUCUCUUAAUAUCGGACUAAAGCUAAAUAUUUGUUACAAAUUCAAACAUAGUCAUCAUAAAAAGUUCACGUCAACACAAAUAAAGAGAAGGUAGUGAGAAAAUCUCUCAAAAAUAAUACAAUUUUGACAUAAACAUUUCCUACAAUAAACUUGCUUUUUCUCCUUCUCACAUUUUCAAAUCUCUAAUUCGUGCAUCAUUCAUAGCAUAUCUUCCCUGUCCAUGGAGAUUCAUCAACAGAAUUACCAAAUAGAAAACAAAUCAUAAAAAUGGAAAAAUUAUUUUAAGAACAAUUAUUUGUCCUUUCUUUAAAAAUUUGCACUUUUAAAAUGAUGUUCUAAAUUCACUAUUAUAUGUUAAUUUCACAUAUGUGUUGGAUUUUAUUUACCCUAAUUUUCUUACCAUAAAUAGGUUAUCAUUUUAGGAAAAGGAAAACAAAAUAUCUCCAUAUUUGACUAGUCUUUGUAUUGUAGGAAAGGCUUAAGGACUCUAUAAAUAUAUGCUUGUUCUUCUAACUUAAUUAACAUUCACAAUGUAGUUCAAUGGAUUUUGAGAGUUUUGAUUAUGAGAGAGAAUUUGUGUACCUCCUUGUAUUUCGAGUAAAUUGUUUGAGGUUAUUACUCUCUAUAUUUUGUACACACAUAUUCAUAGAGAAUUUCUCAUCUCCUUUGUGGAUGUAUGUUAAUUGACUUAACCACGUUAAAUCUUUGUGUAUUUUGGUGUAUUGAGGUUAUUACCACUUGUUAGACCACUAGUUCACAUAUUCAUAGCUUUUCUAUGGUAGCAAUCCCAUGGUUAAAAACGUUACCCAUAAUCAAUUAUAUUGAAGUAAGAUUGACUACGGUGGAUAGUAUUACAUCUACCAACAAUCAUUGUACAAAUUAAGUUCAUUCAUAACUUUGUCACGCCCCGAGCCUAUACCAUGGGCGGGAUUGACACUCCCAAAUCAUUGAUGGCCCUAACCAAACCCUUCGCUUGUCUAGACUUUCAGCAGAAGCCAUACCAUACAUAGAAUCUAUUUAAAGACAAUCUUAACUAAAUUGUCUCAAUAGAUAAACUUAAAAUAUUUUUAAAGUAAAAUCUUAGAAACUCAAGUCUUAAAACAAAACAACUAAAAUGAGCAACACUAAAGAACUAAUAAAUAUCCAUCUAUGAAACCUCUAAAACUAUGAGGCAUGUUGGGACAAGACCCCCAAUCAUCGUAACAAAUGAAAUAACCAAGAAUACUAAAAGGGAUCCUUCGAAGAGCAAGAAGGCUCACCAAAAUGACUCGGAAGCUCAACUUGAUCAACGAAGCGCUAGAUGUUUAUCCUAGUUAGCUGUAUGGGCAUCAUAAAACGUUGCAGGCCAAAUGACAUCAGAAUAUUGAAUGUACGAGCAUGCGAGGGGGACACUAAACAUGAUAUAAUCUUGAACUGGAAUAUGAAAGUAACACUUACCUUAUCUUUACUCAACUCAUGGAUACUAAACUCAAUGCAGAAAUAAACAACAAUAAAGAUAUAGUAGUAAAUAAUAUCUCAAAGUAUUGGAGAUACAAUAACAUCUCAGUUGUAUAUAAGAAUACAAAAAUAAACUGUUUGGGAUAUUCUCUAACCGACAACCAUCACUAUGAAUUAUGUGAUGAUACAGUAUCUCGCCCACGAGUCCAGAACUUUCAUAUAACUUGUUUGGAUAUAGAACGCCUCAACUAAGUGGAUUCACUCGUCUAUGCUAAAAAGUAUUAAGGAAUUAUCUAAAAAAUAUGACCCUUUCUACCCACUUGGGUACAUGGUUUAUGAAGACUUGAGUCAUUAUGAACUCGUCCCCAUAUCGGUGCUCAAUACUAUUCCCAAAAUGUACUCAACUAAUAUGUUUAAAAACGUAACUCUAUCUUUGUGACUUGAGGUUAUUACUCAAAAAUCUUAUCUCUUAAAAGAGAUGAAACUAAAAACUACUCAUGAAAAAUCAUUUGGAAAUCGAUGUUUCCUCAUCUUAAAUGUGAAAAUAUUUGCUCUUUGGGAGUACUUAGUCCCCAUACAUCAAUUUGAAGAAAUGAGCUCGACUGUACUCUUUCUCAAACUCGAUGGUUAUGUCCUUUAACACAAGGUUUAAAUGAUUGUAAAAGACUUUUUAAAGACUCAAAGAACUCUUUUGACUUAAUCCAUAACUCUACCUUUAAUUUGAAUCAUUGAUUCAAGGGUUAUGAUCUCAUUUGAUAGAUGUUCUCUCGAUGUUUAAACGUUCCUUAGAGUGUAAAAAACAACUAGAAAAUAUAGGCAUAAUUCAAGAGAACUCAAACAGAAAGAAGUAGGAAAGGGUAGAGGACCUGGAGACCCUAGUGUUGUACUGAACUACAGAGUUUGGGUUGGGGCGACUGAGUGGCGUGACACCCCAGAGCCCAAACUAUGACCUUUUUAUGCUGGCACGGAUUGCCAGCCCCUUGCCCAGAAAACCUACGAUUUUUUUUUGUUCAUUUUUUGACCCUAACACGUCCAGAUUCGAUUGGUUUGUUCCACCAAACACUUAGAUUCGAAUAACCAACAAAAGUAUACAAUAAUUUGAUAAUAAACAAUCUUAAAUAUCAAAAAAUUAUCUUAAGAACUCCUCCAAAACCCAAAAAUCAAGAUUCAAACAGAACUUCAACAAAAUCCAUCAAGAACUCAUAUACUCAAAUUUCCAAAAUGUGAAUACGCUGGAUUUAAUUAGGAUUGGUGUGUGGCUGAACGAGUCCAGCUUUAUGUGAUCUCACAUACCUCAUAGGGAUUAACCCUUGGCGAACUCUCAAGAGCGCUACGAAACAUUGGUUUUUCUCAUCUCUCAAAGCCCUAACAUAAUUUUGUAAUUGUCUAAUAUGAACCAAAUCAGUUUAUACCCCAAAAAAAUUACUAAAAACGAAUAAAACUAAUUGGGUGCUGAAAAGACCAAAACAUAGGUUUAUUGUUUGGCUUGCUGUGCAUGAUAGACUUCUUACAAAAGAAAGAAUGCAAAGACUGAACACACCUAUAGGGAAUACGUAUUGUUGCUUAUGUGAUAAGCAGGCUCAGGAAACAAACAAACACUUGUUCUGGCAGUAUAAAUAUAUAAAGGCUGUAAAACAAGGUUUAGAAACAUAGACUGGGAUCACGUUGAUUGCAGGGGAGAUGAGAGGAGUAUUACUAACUAUAAAAAGAAAGAGGUGCAACGAUUUCAAGAAGCAGAUAUUGGCAGUAACAUGGGGUGCAUGUACUAGAAAACUUGGAGGGCUAGGAAUUGGAAAAAAUUUAGAGGAAGCACUAUAAUGCCAACGUGUCAUAACUCAGUUUGGAGACAACGCUGCUUCAGACUCCAAAGAGAAGUAGUCAUUUUUAAGAACAACUUACUUUCGAUAAAUCACAUGCCUUUUUCUGGCCAUGACGGAUUAGCCGAUUGGCUAAUAUUAUUUGAACAAAUCUGAGCAGAUGAUAUGGUUGUCUGAAUCUUGCUUAUUUGUUCAAUGUUGAUGAUAUUAUUGGGGGAAAACAUCAGUUGUCGUGCACACAUGAUGGUUCGUCAUCUUACUGCUAUAAACGUUGUCUGAUCUCAGAAAUUCCUUCUUGGAUGAAUCGUCUGGGCACAAAGACCGUGAAGAAGUUAUCACGACACACGCUGUGCAAGAGAUUUUGCAUGAAAAUACUAGGCCAAAUACUAAUAAGAGAAUAGUUGCAAAGUUUUUGUGGUAUGAAGAGGAGUUGUUUUCCACUUUUAUAAAAAAAAAAAAAGAAUACUGGACAAGUAAACAUUAAUGAUAAAUAAAACUUGCCUCACUGCAAGCAGUUCUGUUGAGUAAUUUUUUAUUUUUAAUCACUAAUAUUAUGAUAGAAGUUAUUUUUAGAAAAGAUGAUUUUUGAGAAAAUAAAUUCAUAAUCUGAAAGAACCAACACAUGUAAAAAAUGAAAUGAAGGACCUAAGUAAAGAUUUAUUCAGUCAUGGAUCGGCUGAUUGUUGUUCUCCUAAUUUGGAAAUACUUCGGCUAAUUCAAGUUGUGCCCCUUGAGAAGCUUCCAGACCUUUGAGAAGUUGAGACUUUUAUGAAAAAUUGUCACUUUUAUGAAAAAUUAUCACUUAUAUGAGAAGUUGAGACUUUUAUGAAAAGUUACAAUUUUUAUAAAAGGUUGUGACCUUUUCGAAAGGUUGUAACUUUUACAAAGAGUUGUUACCUUUCUGAUAAGACACAAUAAACAUUUGUUCACACUACCUUAUAAAUAGAGGAAUUUCCUCUCAUUUUAAAACAACGAAAAUUUUAAACUUCUUCUUCUUCAUCUGGACAAUUAAGUAAUUGUGUACUUUACUCCUAUUGAAUGACUCACUGACACCAUUGUUUUUAUAUCAAUACACUGGCGAAUAAAAUUUUCUUCCCUGAGAGGAUCUAUUCCUUUAAAUCUGGGGUACAAGAAGGGAAUAAUUUCCUUAAGAGGAUAUUGUAAAUUCAGUGGGCUUGAUUUUUUCCCUUUUGUUUCAUUCUAUUGUUACAAAUCCUUUAUGUUUUGUACAAAUAUUAAUUUAUGCUUAUAUUAUUAAUUUUUAUUUUUCUAAACAUGUUUUAAAUUUUGUUAUUUAUGUUUCCGCAAAAUAAUUUUUAUAAGUAUUUUUUAAGUACAAAUUAAAUAACAAAAGUUAAUUGAGUAUUCAAGCAAGUUUUCUUCCUGGAAUUGUUAAAGGUACAACAAAAAAGCCCUUACAAAUUUCUAAUUUUUUUUUUUAUGACAAGGGAAACUCGCAGCCGCUACCUUUUGGAUGUGUGUGUUCUUUAGAAAAUCCUCUGAGAGUUAUCUAAUUUUGCAUGCUCAUCUUUUUGUUUUUAUUUAUUUAUCUAUUUUUUUUAUCACUGAAUAAUAUGAGUAGUUUUAAGAUUGAAAGUUGAUUGAAGUGGUAGUCAAUAUUUUGAGGUAUGCAAUUUAAAAACAUGAGAACUUUUAUAGUUAGAAUAAUUUGUCAUCAAGACUGUAUAUCUAAUAGUUUACUCCCUUUACUGUAUGUUUUUUUAACGUUGUUUUGUUGUCUCCUUAAAGUUAUAUUGAUUAUUUUUCAAUGUGAUCUCAAUUGGACAAAACUUUCGUUCUUUAAUGUUUUUCUUUUUUUCCUUCUCAUUCAACUCUUCUAAAUAUUUUUUGUGUGAGUUAUGACUAUUUUCGGCUAGCUUAAUUUGAAGAAUAUGAAACAAAAUAUGCUCUAAAUAAGAGUAAUAUCUCAAGCUACAAAAAAAUGUGUCUAUUAAUAUUGAUUUGUUGUCCUUUAUGUGUCAGGUCAUUGUUGAGCAUUUAAGAUAUCUAGGUUAGACUCAUUUUUAAUUUUUUAAUGUUCAAGAAUAUUUAUUUACAUGAGUGUAGAAUCCAACACUUAGAUCUAUGUGUACUUUCAUAAUACAAUAGUUAUACAUACAUAUUUCUGAAAAAGUCGUAAAGUUGCAUUGAUGAAGUAUCUAUAAGGGCCUUCAAAGCGGCAGUUUAACGAAGAAUGAUUUUCUAAAAGGGUCAACAAUAUUAUUUUGAUGUUGUAUAAAAUUUAUUUCUCUCAUUCUUUAAAUUUUUUUAGACUAACAAAGUAAUAAUAACAAAAAUUGGUGAAUGUUUGACCUCACUAUUUUUUUUUAUUUUAAGCAUGAUUCUCUAUCUACAAAUGAGAACAUUGAAAAGCUCAAGAGGUUCAAGACGAUGUUUGAAGAGACUAUGGUUUUCUUGGGGUUUAACAAGCAGGAUAUUCAGGUUACACAAGGAGAAGGUGCUUUGAAUUGAGAAACUCAUAAGUUUCUUUCUUAGUUCCAUAAGAAAAUUAUGAGUUUCUCAAUCCAAAGCACCUCCUCCUCGUGAGUAACCUGAAUAUCAUGCUUGUUAACCCCCAAGAAAACCAUAAUCUCUUCGAACGUCGUCUUGAACCUCUUGAGCUUUUCAAUGUUCUCAUUUGUUGAUAGACAAUCAUGCUUAAAAUCAGAAAAAAACAGUUGUCAUAAUCCUGUUUCUUGCUCUUGGCAAAAAUUAAAAGUCAUGCUUUAAGUACAUCCCAUGGCAAAGAAAAACGGAGGAAAACUUAAGUAUGGCAUCACGAGACAAAUAAUAUAACUAACAAGACCCCAAAAUUCAGUGUGAUUUAGAUUCAAGUGCUCUUUAAGUUCGGAAAAAUCAAGUCCUCUCCAGAAGAAUUACGGAUAUCACAGAAAGAAAAACAAACCAAAAUAAAAAUGAUAUAUAUAUCACAGUUUUCACCAAAGCUUUGUGAAAUUAACCCCUUUUAUGGUGUCUACCACCACCUCUACUUCACAAUCGUACAAAUGCUUCAACAUAGAUGAUACAUGGAGAUGCAAGAAAUGAGAAGGAAUUAACCGCACUGCAAUAUAUUACCACUAUAAGAGUACUGUUUCUCAAGAUCAAUGGAAAUGAGCUAAAGAUGCAAAAAUGAGAAUUCACAGUUUUGAGCUUUCUGCAUAAGUUCUCAGUUAGAUAAUAUUCUAGGGCUACCUUGGGCAUAUCAAGGAGUUAGUAUGCUAUAUGCCAAUGAUGACUGAAACUUGCUAGGGAUCCAACCAAAAGUAGGAACUGUGAUGAUACUACCUUCUCAAAAUAGAAAAGUUAGAACUAUGACAAAGUUGUGUAGGGUUUCCAAAGCGUAAAAUGACAAAAAAACCUGAAGAAUGAAGGUGGUGUACAAGAUACCGGUCUACAACAACAAAAUUGAUAUUCAAAAUUGCAAUACCUAUAGGGAUAUGGAAGCUGCUAAGUCACACUAUGGAUGUUUCGGAGAGGGUGCUGGAGUUAAGGGUGAGGAGGAGUGUGUUUAUUACUGAAAACUAGUUAAGAUUUAUGCGAAGCCAGUCAACUAUAAAAGUCAUUCAUUCCCGAAUGGAAAUCGGUGGAGUUGUAUAAGGUAAUAAACAGGGUCUUACAUAUGGUGUUCGUCGACCUAAAAAACUCUUACGACAGUUUCUAAGGGGGUUCUAUUGAGAUUUUUUGAUGCUAGAGGUGUACUCGUAGCAUACAUUAGAGUGAUUACAGACAUUUAUAAUAGAAUCAAGACCCGGGUAAGCAUACAUUAGCCCGUUCUUAUUUGUUUUAGUGAUUGAUAAAUUAACACUACAUAUCCAAGAGGUGUCAUGGUGUAUGUUAUGCGCAGAUGACAUAGCUUAUGAAGUCUCAGUCACCUCUACUGUACAUUAUUGGAGCAGGGAAGUAUCACUACUACAUCAUCAAAAAAAGGGAGAUUGUUAGUGCAAGAAUUAUUUUAACAAUGAAAAAUUAUGAUCUUUUUAGGAUAAAAGGAAAGUCAAGCAAGACCAAACAUGUGGCAUAAUCAAUGGGAGUUAAAUCGCAUAAACACAAGAUCAAGAGUUUAUUCAAGUGAAUUGACAUGGCUACAAAAUCUUCAACCAAAGGAUCCAUAAAACAACUCUAAAGCAAUUGGCCUCAAUCUAAGAAAGAAUAGACAAUAAUCAAGGGGAAAAUUCAGAGAUUAAUAUCACUCAAAGUGAAGUUGAAGAUUACGGCGUAAAUUUAGAUAUCAAUAUCACUCAAAGGAAAGUUGAAGGUUACGAAAAAGGAGCCAAAGAUUAGCCUUUGCUUUAUUCUUGGAUAGAAGGAUUCUCAAUUACCUCUUUCCAAGGAUUACUUCUCUUGGGUUUCUAUCACUUCACCAAAAGAAGAUGCAAGUCUUGACUAUCUAUAAAAAGCUCGAAGAAAGCCAAGGAAUCAGACAUACAUCGAGUGUGAUUCUUCACAUAUUAUGUAUGUUACUUUUAACAAGCAUUACACUACUUAGUUUUACUAGAUAAACAAAAAAGAGAAGAGAGAAAAAUAUUGUUGGUAGGAUGUGUAUCACAAGAAAAAAAAAGAAAAAGAUUGAGUGUAGCCAUAGGAACUAUACUCUAAACUUGUACUCAUAACAAAUUUUCAAAAGGCUCGAAAAAAAUAGCCUUGAAGCCUAAGGGGACUGGACGUAAUAUCAACAUUGGAUCCUAACCAGUAAACAUCUUGUGUCAAUCUUAUUUUCCGCACGUUCAUUUUCAUUGUUUACUUUUGGAUUUAAUUUUCAACUAGUAAAUCUCAAAAAUUGGCUAUUUGAAGAAGAAAAAUGAAAAAAGAGGAAUUUAGCUCCCCCCCCCCCUCUCUUGAACCUUUGACUAUGUUGAUGGCAAAGCCCUUCCAAUGGUACCGUUAGUUAUAUCACAAUAAUCAGUUGAUUAAUUGGUACCAAUCUACUGAGAAAUCAGUUCAUCGAUAUUGAAAACAUGAGUUAGACUCACUAAAGGGAUGUUUGGCUAAUAUAGAACAAAUUACGACAAUGGUAAAAUAUUGGAGCAGACUUAAAGCUCUCACCAAUGAGACUACUCCCAUCGGUGAUCACUUGUUGGUACAUUUUUAGAUUUCUGGUCUCCGAGCCAAAUUAAAUCAGCAGUGGUGGAUCAUGAGCCUUCUAAACUGGAUCGAGCUAUGUGUCACGUACUUAGAGUAUUCGCUAAUGUAACGUGCGGCCCUCAACAACUUACUCACUAAUCUUUCAAGGUCUUGUAAUCUCAAGGAAACCUUUUUGACUUGGUACGCUAAGAGAAGGCUUGGAAUGGACUUUGAGAGAACAAAAGAGAGAUUUUGAAGAAGGCUUUGUAUUAUGCUUGGAAAAUGCUUUACAACUUGCUUGGUGCCUUUGCAAAUGAGGGGCACUUCUAUUUAUACUACUUCCUAGGACUAAAAUGCAAUUAAUAUUUACUUGACAAGUCCCUAAGAUAUUUACACUUUGGUCCCCUUUCUAGAAGAUUCUACAAUGCUUUGGGACCUUCCCUAGCCUUCUUGAGACUUGCAAAAGGUUCUAGAGUCCUCCGCACAACUCUAGAACGUUUUGCACCUAUCCGGAUGCGUAAUUAAGAUGGAAUUGUGGAGGGACGUCAAAGGAUCCCCCACAUGAUGAUGCAAUGACCGCGGCGCAUUGCUUCAAAAACUCCUAGACUUCGUCCUUGAAUUUCCACAAGUCUUCACAUUUCUCCCAUGUGGCCUCCUUUGGAGUUUUUCCCUUCCAAUUCACCACGAAUAUGAUGCUGGCUUGUUGACCUCACUUCCAUUUGUCUUGAUAAUCUAUGAUAGCCUCAAUCUCCCAGUUGUGCAAGGCAUUGAUAGUAAUGGGUGCCCGUUGUGAUCGAUUCCUUUUAGGAUCCUCCUUGUUCUCAUGGUACGGCUUGAGGACUCUGGCAUGAAACACCUUAUGUAUCUUGAUGUGUGGAGGUAACACAAACAUGUACGAGAUCUUUCCCACCUUGGCAACGAUCUUGAAAAAACCCUCAUAUUUGCGCACUAAGUUUUGAUGACGCCUCUUAGUGACUUGAACUGUCUUGGGUUGAAUUUCACCAAGAUCAUGUCACCUUCUUUAUAGUCCGUAGGACGACACUUGCGGUCUGCAAACUUCUUCAUCCUUUUGGCUGCUUUGUCCAAGUAGGGUUUGACAGUGUCAAGUUGCUCAUCCCAUCCCUUGUCAAAAUGGUAGGCACCCAAACUCUUUCCCUCAAAAGCAGUCGGCAAUGAAUACGGAGUUUGGAGUUGUUGGCCUAUCUCCAACUCAAAUGGUGUGCACCCAAGGAAUCGCUCCUAUGCAAAUUGUAGGAAAACUACGCCAUGUCUAGGAGUUUGAUAGCACCCAAGCAGGGCAUUGACACGUUCCGUUUGGCCGUCGGUCCGCGGGUGGAAACUUUUUGAGAAGUGAAGUUCUGUGCUAAGUAUAUCAAACAACUCUAUCCAAAAGUUUCUAGUAAAGUGGGGGUCUUGAUCACUGAUUAUAUGUUUUGAAAACCCCUAGUGUUUCACCACAUUCUUAAAUAACAAUCGAGCGAUUUCAUUUGCAUUGCAACCGGGUGUGGCAGGCAUAAAUGUAGCAUACUUCGAAAACCAUUCCAUCACGACCAUGAUUGUACCAAGACCGUCAGAAUUUGGCAAGGAAGUGAUGAAGUUCAUGGUCACGCUCUCCCAUGGUAAUUAUGCUUCGGGUAGUGGCUCUAGUAACCCUCCCGGUGGCCUUUGGUCCACCUUGUCUUGUGGAAACACAAAAUAAGUCUGCAUAUAGCACAACACUCGAUGUCGUCCUACAUGCGUGGCAAAAAAUAAAUAGCCUUGAUUAGCGCCUUUAUUCUUCACUUCCCCGGAUGCCCAGCCCACGGUGUGUCGUGGAUUUUCUUAAUGAUGUGUCGUCUGAUAGCCCCAAACUUGGGCACAUAGACGCUCUGACCGGUAGUGAGAAAGAAGUCCUCUUCUACCAAAAAGUGCCUAGUUUUGCCUUUGGCAGCCAACUCCAUCAACUUCAUUGCAUCUCGAUGGUAUUGCAUGCCAUCCUUGAUUACAUCUUAAAUGUCACAGUGGGCUGUAGUGAUGGCAGCGAGAUCGGAUUUCCUACUUAGUGCAUCGGCCACGACGUUGCCUCUUCCUUGCUUGUACUCCAAGUUAUAAUCAAACUCUGCCAGAAAAUCUAGCCAUCAUUCUUGCUUCGGGGUGAUAUUCUUCUGUGAAUUGAAGUAGCUAGUGGCAACAUUGUUGGUCUUUACCACAAACUUGGAGCCUAUUAAGUAGUGUCUCCACAUGCGUAGGCAAUGCACAAUGGUCGUUAUUUCCUUUUCUUGCACCGUGUACCACCAUUUGGCCUCGUUUAGUUUGCGACUCUUGAAUGUUAUUGGGUGUCUAUCAUGCAUUAAGAAUCCCCCAAUGGCAAACUCUGAGGCAUUCGUAUGUAUUUCAAAGGUCUUGGAGAAGUCGGGCAGCGCCAAGACCAGUUUCUCUAUCACUGUGGACUUGAGACCUUCGAAUGCUCUUUGGCACCCCUAGCUCCAAACCCACGUCUUAUUCUUCUUUAAAAACUCAGUCAGCGGGGUGUCUUUAGCAGAGUAGCCACUGAUGAACCUAUUAUAGUAGUUGGCAAGUCCAAGGAAGGAUCACAACUCGGUCACCUUUAUGGGCGCCUCCCACUCCUAGAUCGCCCGGAUCUUCGUCUCAUCCAUACGUAGUUCGCCUUGGCUGAUGACAUGUCCUAAGAAAUGAACAUUGUGCUAGCCAAACUCGUACUUCUCCCUCUUGACAUAGAGUUGGUUCUCCCGUAAGACAUGGAAGACUCUUUUGAAGUGAUUCGCGUGCUCUUCCAAGGUGUUUCUAUAGAUGACUAUGUCAUCAAAAUACACCACCACGCACUGGUCCAAGUAGGGAUGAAAUAUCUUUUUCACCAGCGUGCAAAAGGUGGCAAGUGUGUUGGUUAAGCCAAAAGGCAUCACCAACCACUCGUAUGCUCCUUAUCUUUUCAUGCAUGUAGUCUUUGGUUUUUCCCACUCCGCGAUGCGCACUUGGUAGUAGCCUUUCCGGAGAUCCAUCUUGGUGAAGUACUUGGCCUGCCCAAGUCUAUCAAAAAAAUUUGCAAUUAGCGGGAUAUGAUACUUGUUCUUGAUUGUUACCUUAUUGAUCACUCGAUAAUCAAUGUGUAGGCACAUUGAACUUCUUCUGGAACAACAUUGGCACGCCAUACGGUGACUUGGAUGAACGGAUUUGAUCAACUUUGAGGAGCUCCUUCAACUGCUUCCUUAGCUCCUCCAAUUCGGGCGGAGCCAUGCGGUAAGGUGCCUGUGCGGGUGGCUUGGCUCCAACCUCCAACUCUAUCUUGUGGUCUACCUCUUGUCUCAGAGGUAGAUUAUUUGGCAGCUCGACUGGCAUCACGUCCUUGAUCUCUUCAAGGACUUUAUCUAUAAUCGGUGGCAAGGAUUCCAUAGUACCAUUUUCUUCUCUCGUACUUGCAAUAGUAGCCAGUAACGUCGGUUCUCUUUUAUUUAGGCCCUUCACAAUCUGCAUGGCUGAUAAGUGGGUGUGUCCUUCCUUCUUCUGCACUUUCACUAUAGGUACCAUGCAUAACCCUUCCAGCUCCAUGACCAUGAUUCGUUGAAGGUAGAGGUCGAUCAUCGUAUGGAAGCACCAAAAGAACUCUUCCCGAGAAUGAUAUCAAAUAUAUCUAGAGGAGUGACUACAAAGUUCAUCUUUCUUUGCCACUUCCCCGAGGUGAUGCUUACUGCUUGGGUGACCCCGCACAUGAGAGACGAUGGGGAGUUAACCGUCUUGAGGCGGGUGUUGCUUGGCAUGUAGUUCAGUCAUAACCUCCUUGCCGCCGUCUUGUCAUGAUGUUAGCUUCAUCCCCAGAGUCUAUAGUGACACGAGCUGCUCCUCCAUUAAGGGAGAUGUCUACAUAUUGCAUGUUGAAGUCUCCUGGCUUCUCAGUCUGCUUGCAAUCACACCACAUAAUCCUAUCAUGCCCAACUGCAUCAUGCGCGGAUCCUGCCCUUGCUCUUGUGCGUCCUUAUCCUUUCCUUCGCACAGGAUGGCACCAAGGUUCUUCAUCUCAUGCCACCUGGCAUAGUCAUUAAUUUCACCGCAUAUGUAGCAACCAUCUCUGUUGUUGGUUUGUGCCCAUUUCUCAGUGUAAUUCUGGUGCACAAACCGCUUGUUGUCCAACUUGUGAAGGUCGUGCUGCUUGGGGUGUGCCUGGUGCUCCUUACCUCAGCCACGAUCUCCCCCACCUUUGUCAUGACUACUUUUUGCAUCCUUGCUCUUUGCCUUGUCAUGUCGUUCAUACUUGAAGUCCGUAAAGGACUCGACUUGUGUGAUGGCAUCAUCUAUGGUCUUGACCUGUCACUGCUCCAACUCCGUCUUGGCCCAAUUCUGCAGUCCGUCCAUAAAGUGAAACAACAUAUCCUGCUCUAUGAGGUUGGGAAUUUGAAGUGUUAGAGUUGUGAACUCCUUCACAUAUGCCCAAAUGCUUCCCAUUUGCUUCAAUUCCCAGAACUUACGCUUAACCUAGUACACGACGUUGUUAGGCAAAAAGGUUUUCUUGAAUUCUUCACGGAAUUGCUCCCACGUGUUGAUGGUGCACGUCCCCUUGCCAAUAUCGGCCUUUUUGCGCCUCUACCAUAUCAUAGCCAUCUUGGACAGAUAUAACACGACAAUUUUGAUCUUAUUUUCGUCGCUCCACACCUGACUACACUUGAAGUAAUUCUCCAAGUGCCAUAGAAAGUUUUCAAAGUCUUGAGCAUUACGGAUGCCCUUUAAUAUGGGUCUCUUGGAGUAUCAACCAUGUCCUCACGAUAAUGUUUCAGUGAUGUAGAUCCUCCAACCUCCAAUCCUUCCUUGAGUGUUUUCACUUCGUCCUUCAGCGUCUCGAUCGUUCUAAGCGUGUUCAUAAGACGAAACUCCAAGGAAGUGAUAGCUUCCUUCAUCUUGAACUCGGCAUGCUAGAGACCACCAAACUUUUUACGGAUGUUCUCAAUCUCCUCAAGGGUGAAGUUCUCAAGGGUAUUGAACUUGUCGUCGGCUACAUUCAUGCGCUGACCUAAUAUCUUCACGACCUACAUUGCCACUUCCACCCUAAUGACCCAUUCUUCUACAGUGGUGAUGUCUAUGGCGUCUUCGCCCAAUUCAUUGUCACUUUCUUCGGUAGUAGAGGGUGGAAUGAGAUGUUAGCGCAUCGCUAGAUGUGGGACUGGGCAACACCUCACUAUUACCUUUUUUAUGUUUCUUCCCCUUUUGGUUCUUCUUUCCAGCAUCAAUAUCGACGUUGUUGGUGCUAGCAUCAUUUACAUCUUCUUUGGUAGCUAUUCCCUUAGUAUCAAACCUCACUUUGAUCCCACUAGUCUCGGACUUAGACUAUUUUCUAAAGUUCUAUGCGGCCCUCGAGAACUUACUCACUAAUAUUUCAUGGUCUUGUAAGCACAAGGAAGCCUUUAAGACUUGGAACGCUGAGAGAAUGCUUGAAAAGGACUUAGAAAAAAUAACAGAGAGCUUUAGAAGAAUGUUUUGUAUUAUGCUUGGAAAAUGCAUUACAACUUGCUGGGUGCCUUUGCAAAUGAGGGGCUAUACUACUCCUAAGGACUAAAGUGAAAUUAAUAAUUACUUGGCAAGUCCCUAAGAUAUUUACACUUUAGUCCCCUUUCUAUAGAUUUCUACAGUGUUUUGGGACCUUCCCGAGCCUUCUUGAGACUUUCAAAAGGUUCCAGAGUCCUCAGCACAACUCUAGAACGUUCUGCCCCUAUCCGGAUGAGAAAUAAGGCUUUAGUUGUGGCAGGACAUCACAUAUGUAUGUGACCCUUGUGCAUGAACAACAGAUAAGAUCUCAGCAAGGGUCAACCUGGACCUCCUUUGAUGAAAUAAAUCUGAUAUUACCUAGUCUUACUCUAAUGCACCACUCCAUUGAACCUUCCUCAUCAACAUUAGUCCCUACUGCACAACCACAUGCACUCCUAAAUGGCAUACCCUUCAAAUGUCUAAUCCCUGUUGAAUUACAUAGUCGUCGUGAAAGAGGCUUAUGCUAUACUUGUGAAGAGAAACUUUCUCCUUCUCACAAAUUUAAGGCGCUACCCUAAUUACUGUUGAUUAAUUCAGAGUCAUCACUAGUGUGUUCAAAACCAUUCGAAUCUAUAAAGUUUUGGCAAAAGAAUUGAAACUUUUGUAGGCACAAGAUCAUUAUUAUUUUUCUUUUCAAGCUUCAUUUGGUGAAGAUUUACAAACUACUUUGCAUUUUAUUGGCAUUGUUAAUGGUUCUCCAAUUCAAUUCCUUAUGGAUGGGGUAGUGUACAUAAUUUUAUACAAGCAAUGGCAGCCAAUUACUUGCACAUGGUGGUUGAAUCCAUUCCUAUUUUUUCUGUGGUAGUUUUUCAGGGGUAUGAUUUGCAUUAUGGAUAUGUAUGUUUUAUCUCUUCAUGGAGAAGACGUGGUUUUGGGUGUCUUGUGGUUAGUAAUAUUGGGACCAGUUGUCACUGAUUAUGCAGCCCGUAUCCGCGAGUUCUCCCUGAGUAUUUCUCCUUUUCAUUGGGUGGGGGACUCUCGAACUGAGCUGCAACGAGUACAAUUCCAUAGUUUGUGACAUUUGGCCACCACGAAUGCCAAUUAUUCCUUUUAUUGCUUAAAGUUAACUAAUACUAGGAACACAACCUCAUUGAUAAGCCUCUUGUAUUAAUGCCUCUAUUGGAAUCAUUGCUGAUGUUUUUAAAAGCUCCCCAGCUUACUACCUAUUCUAUUUUAGAAUCUUGCUAUAGAUCUAACACCUGGAGUGAGGCCUAUAAAUGUCAAUCCAUAUCGCUACCCCUGUUUUUAGAAGCAAAUUAUGGAGCAAAUUGUGAAAGAUAUGCUCAAUAACAGAGUUUAUUUGACCAAAUACCAACCCUUUCUUAUAUCUUGUGUAUUUUUGUUCAAAAGAAGGAUGGUACAUGAUGUUUUUGUGUGGGUUACUGAAUGUCAUUAAUUCAUGGGACAAAUUGCUUUUCAAAGCUUGACUUAUUGUCUAGAUACCAUCAGAUUUAUGUCUAGCCUGAUGACAUUAUGAAAAUAACUUUUCGAACUCAUGAGGGGCACUAUGAGCUUUUGAUAAUGCCCUUUGGGUUAUCCAAUGCACCCUCUACUUUCUAGGCUACUAUGAAUGAGGUAUUUCGGCCUUGUCUUUGCCGUUUUGUGUUGCCUAUUUAUAACGACAUUCUUGUCUAUAGUACAAACUGGAAGUCCCAUUUGGAUCAUCUCACCAUUGUCCGAGAGAUGCUUUUCUCUCAAUAAUUGGUGUCUAAAAGGAGUGAAUGUUUAAUUGGUCGAACGAGUAGUGAUUAUUUUAACAAAGGUCUCUUUGUCGAUUCAGGGAAAACCAUAGCUAUCCAACAACGACCAGUACCUAAGUCGGUGAAAGACGUUUGGGGUUUUUUAGGGCUCUCUCCCCGACCAAAUGACACUCUCUUUGAUCUUUUUGUCCAAACUUUUUUCUUUGGGACAUGAGCUAAAGGUUUUGAAUCAAUCUCAUUCAGACCUCUCACUUAUUCAAUAAACACUCACUAUACAAUCCUCUGACUCAACUGCUUAUCCCGGAUGACUCUCCUUUAUUCCAAUGAUUGCUAUAUGAGUUUCACUCAACUGUUGUAGAUGGACAUGAUGGUAUAACUCAUAGCUAGCAUCGAUUGGCAUCAAAUUUCUUUUGGAAACACAAGAGACAGGUUAUUUGGACUUACUUAUCUUCUUGCCAAGUUUCCAAGAAAAUGAAGAGCUCUCACUAGCUUCCUUCUGUUCUCUUAUAGACCCUCCUCAUUCCUCAAUUGCUCUUUGAGAACAUCGCCAUGAAUUUUAUCACUUGCUUUCCUAGUUUUAAAGGAAUAUUCACCAUUAUGACAAUUUUGGAUAGUUUAUUUAAGUAUGUUCACUUUAUUCCAUUGGCACCGAAUUUUACCACUAUUACUGUCGCAUAAGGUUUUUGGUGACUCAAAUUAUUUGUCUCCAUGGAUCUCCUUGCAGUAUUUUCAUUUAGAGGGACCCUCAAUUUUGAAAUUACUUCCGUCAAGAGAUCAAUAGAUUGCAGCGGACCUCUCUUACUAUGAGCACCGCCUAUCAUUCUUAAACAUACGGGCAACCUGACUAUCUGAGGCUAUUAAUAAGUGUGUUCAGAAAUUUUUUAGGUAUUUUGUUGUUAAUGUCCCCAGUGAUUGGGUUGGCAUGGGCCAACUAUUGGUACAACACCUGCUAUCAACGUUUGCAGACCUGACCCCUUUUCAGGCUUUGUGUGGCCGUGAACCUCCUUACAAUAGCACAUUACUUCAUGAUAAGUACUUCUAGUUGAAAGUCAAGAGGGAGGGGGUGAAUUAAAAUCUCCUUCAAUUGACCUACCUUGCGCAACUAAUCGAGCCUUGUUUCUUAUCACUCCACCACAAUCAAUGAGUUUUUCUGUACACCCAUUUGAUUUCAUUAAUAGAAUUCUUUUCAGGUUUAGGAACCAAAGUACAUACCUAGUUUUUUGUCAAAUUGAUUCAGUUCUUCUUUCAUAUCCUUAAUGUAAUGUUCAUUUGUGACAACUUUAUUUAUCUUCUUAGGUUCUAACUUAGAGAUGAGAGUAACAUUUGCUUAAUUUCUUCUCGAUGCUCUAGUCUUCAUUCCUUCACUGAUCUCUGAUGAUGACCUUUCGUUUGGAAAUGUUUCAUUAAUUUGUUUUAUAAUAAGUUUCUUCAACAAUCGAUUCUUCUAAGCAGCUUAUUUCCUUUUGGGUUGAUACUAUCAUUCGAUUUUCUUCUUCAUUUAUAUUGGGUCUAAUCUCAAUAUUUUUAUUGGAUUCAUUAAACAAAAAUGGAUUCUUCAUUGUUUAAGAUUCAUUUAUUAAAGAUCUAGAAGAUAUGCUAGAAUUUUAAUAUUACUUCGUGUAUCAAACUUACCAAUGUUUUGAACAAAAUACUAGCAUCAAAAUGGAUGAAAGUAUCCCAUGUUGCGUAAUCUACAAUUCCAUAAUUCGUAUGGAUUUUUCUUCAAAAUCGGUUUUAUAAGACAACGAUUCGAUACAUGACAAGUUGUACUUAUAACCGCUUCUUCCCAAAACUUAGGUGGGAAAGAAUGUUCAAUAAUUAUAGUUCUUGCGGUACUUGUAGAUUCUAUUCUUCCGUUCUACAACCACAUUCGACUAGGGAGAUUAGAAUUUGUGAGACUACCAUUUUUCAUUACAGAAAAAUUUUCAAACAACUUAUUUUGAAAUUCUCCUCUAUGAUCACUUCUUAUUGGUGUAAUGUAGUACGCUUUGUCUCGUUGAACUUUGUCACAAAGAACUCAAAGUUUUUUAGAGUUUCAUCUUUAUGAGCUAAAAAUAUUACCAUAGUAAAAUGAGAAUAAUCAUCUAAAUUACAAAUGCGUACCUUUUUCCUCAAAUGUUUGUUGUUCUAGUAGGUCCAAAUAAAUCUACAUGUAGUAGUUGUAGAUGUUUAUUAGUGGAAACCAUACCUUUACCACAAAAUGAGUAUCUAGUUGCUUACCCUUUUUACAUGCACACAAAUAUGUUCGUUUGCGUAGUCCAACUUAGGUAGUCAAGUGAAUAGUUCAUUCUUUGCAAGUUUUUCUAUCUGUCGCACACUUGCAUGUUCUUAUGCCAAAUCAAGGGAUUAUCAGUCAUUUAAGCUAGGCGUAUAUGUUCUCCGGUACUUUUUACUGAGUCAAGGAUGUAAACAUUCUUCUCUCCGCUUCCUUAUAAGAGUUUGUUUUUAGAGAUAUCUUCUAUUAUGCAUUGAUUUUUUUGAAAACAAACUUCCAUGUCCGAGUCUCACAGUUGACGGAUGCUUAGAAGAUUAUAGUUUAGUCCAGCCACUAGAUAUACAAUUAUGAGAUCACAAGAUUCAUUGAAAGAGAUUAUACUACUACCAAUUAAUGAUCUUCUUGAUUUGUUACCAAAUCGAAUGUUUCCUAUUUUAUAUUCAACAACAUAUUUAAAUAGGUUCUUAUCUCAUGUUAUUAGAUUUGAACAUCCACUGUCCAAAUACCAUUUUCCUUUUUUUUCUGCGGAUUUUUUGUCAAAUAAAGAAAUAAUCUUCUCUUAGGCAGGUUAUUUGAGGUUAGAAUGAUCAUGAUUUCUCUUUGGUUUCAAACCUAAUUACAAGUAUCAUGAUUAUGAAAUAUGCUAUUAAAACACAAGUGCCUAGACAUUUCACAGAAUUACAAUUUUAAGGAAUGUGUUCUUAUGAGAUGGAGUUGCUACUAUUAGUUUUUGACCCAGUCCACUAAUAGGAUAAGUGUGAUUGAUCAUUGCAACUAAAUUAGCUUCCAUUUGAGGAGUUUUUACAUCCAAAACCUUCUUGUCUUUAAAUGAGUUAUUAGAUGAAUCAGAUUGGUUUGGAAAAUUUUCAAGCAUGGUUUUUAAUUCAUGAAUCUCUUCAUGCAACAGAUCAUUUUCACCUUCAAUGAGUUCUAAUUUUAUUUCCAAAUUUCUUUUUUUAGUUUGAAGGUUUUUAAAAUUACUAAAGACUUGAUUUAUAUCAGAGACAGAACAAUCUAACAAUUUUUUUACUUAAUGUAUUCGUUACAUACCUUAGUGCUCGAUUCUCCAAUUACCAUGAAGCAAAUAUUUCCAAUUUAUUUAUUCUCAUUUUACCUCCUACCCUCCCAAGUUUCCACUUGUUUAAUUAUAUGGUUGUGAUGUUGAUGAUCUUCUUAGUUUUUUUCUAUGAUUUGUGUGUAAAGUUAAUGAUCUCUCUUAAUUUAGUCUUAUGCUACUAAUCAUAUCUUGCACGUUUUAUCCUAUGCAGACAUAAGAUAUACAUAUGCACACCAUCCGCCUAUGUUGGAUUUCCGUGGGCAAGAUAUUGCUUCUGAGUUUGAUAGGAUUCCAGAUUUGAUUUAUUAGAUGGUAGCUAUGAUGGAUUAUGUCAAGUAUAGAAUGGUAUUGAAAUGUUUGGUAUUGAUAGAUUAAGUUCGGUACAAAACUUAAUGAGCAUUGAGAACAUGUAAAGUGUUCGUGAACCCAUGCACCCUCCAAAGAUUAUAUAAGUACUUGUGAACCAACUUAUGCACCCUUCCCUAAAUUAUGUAGAAAGUAUUGCAAAUAUUCUGAUAAAUUACAUAAAUUUUAUGUGGAAAUCGGACUAAAAUUUGAAAUAUUCAUCCCCAAAUUUUGUUUUGAAUGAGAUUGAUAAAUAAAUCGAUACAAAAAGUCAAUUGUAGUCUACUGAUGCACAUCAAUAAAUAUUCUUUUGUAGAAUUAUAUUAUUUAUAUACAUAUUUUUAAAAUUAAUCUGACAAUAUCCAUUAUCACUUAACUUUAUGUUCAAAUAAGGUUGAAUGAUACAUUUGAUUGAAUGUUAUAUAAGUCAUUAUCCAAAACAACAUGGAUCAACUACCACUUGAAAUUCUAAUUUUUCUCCUUUAUUUUUGAGAUCACAAGUAUUUUAAAUAUGUUCACUGGUCUUGAAAUUGAUAGAAAUCUUAGUUAUAGUAAAUAAUUUAUAGGUAUUCCUAAUUUUCACAUUUAGGUAUUAAGGUUCUAAUUAACUUUGCAUAUAUAUGACAUAGAAGUAUUGGUUUUUUUUUUAAAUUUGGAUUUCUCAUCAUUUUUCUAUAUUAAAAGGUCUCAUUUCAAUAAUUUGCACCUCUUCAGUCUCAUAGCCUGUUUUUUUAAUAAUCUCCAUAGUUUUAAUUCAUUUUUAUUUACAACCCUCAAAAUUCAAUGUGUAAACUUCUGAUAAUUGUGUUCUUUCAUGUACCCCUAUAUAAAUGUAAAUAUGUAAAGCAAGUUUUUGAACUAAAUAGUGAGGUAUAAUCGUUGACAUUUGUCAUACGAAAAGAUUAUCUGUUGUCCAUAUUGACUUUUCUUGCUUUUUAUGAUGCCUAAAUAGAGUAGAAAAUUUCCAUAUCAUUAUACUGACGUGGCUUUAUAAUCACAUUUAAGAAAAAUAAUUUUGAUACUAUUUUCAUUAUUGUGUAAUAAUAGUUUUUUUACGCUAUGAGUAAUUAGUGUAAUAUAUUUUACGAGCAUUAAUUUUGAAAUAGUUCAUCAAGUUGAUACCAUAUGAAAGGUUUUGUGCACUAUUAUUAUCACCUUUUUCAACUUUUCUAUGUGAUAUAAAAUUUAUUCUAAUUUUAGGGGUUACAUAUUUUAAAAACAAUAGGUUGAUUGUUCAUAUAUUUCAAACUGUAUAUUUUUUUGUUUAAUAUUUUGUAAUACUUUGUAACACCCCGUAUCCAAAUCUAACUACAAAAAUCAAUUUCUUAGAAAAAAACUGCAAGUGCAAUCGACGGACCAUAGGCUGAACCACGGUCCGUCCUGCACAUCUGUCGAUUGAGUCAGAAACCCCCAAAAACUCAGCCCAAAAAAAUUUGACUAAGUGUCGAACGACGGACGGACCUACGGUGCGUAGGUCAGACUAUGAUCCAUAAUUUGUGCCCGUCGAUCAACACCCCAUUUAUCCACUCUCUGAAAUGAACCACGAUUUACCAGCAAAAACCAUCGUUCGAUCUACGGUCCGUAGGUCUAACCAUAGGUAGAAAUUAACAUACAGUUAGGUGGAAAUAAGUUGGGUCAACUUCAACUGAUCAUAACUCUUAGGAAAAAAUGAAUUAGGUGUCCCAUUAUAUACCAACAGAUAGAUAAUUGAAUUAGCUUUCUAUAGCCACUGACUUUACUAAAACUAGAGCUCUGAGUAAAGAGUUAUGCCAGUUUUAAUAAAGACUUUUCGAACAGACCCAACAUACGGACUCAAACAACGGAUCGUUGAUUGAACGAGGGACCGUCAGUCCAGGUCGUUGUUUGACCGUCAGUCCAGGUCGUUGUUUUUUUUCUCUUUUUAUUAUUUUAAUAAAUUUCCACUUUAUUAUUCAAUUAAUGUUAUAAAAAAAAGAUGUUACUUCACUUAUUUACCAGAUAGUACCCACGUGGUACGAAGUGUUCAUAUUUUGUCCCAAAUGUUGUUUUAACUUUUUUUUUAAAAGUAAAGUCGAGGAAUAUCAAAAACAACAUCUUAAUCGCAGAUAAAUAUAAGAUUUGCAUUUAAUUAUUUCAAAAACUCAUUUAGUUAAUUUUAUAGAAUAUGUUAUUAUUAUUGUGAUAAAUACUCUUUUUUAUUUUUAUGAUCAUAUGAUAUUUUGAAUAUUGACCAACUAUAUGACAUUAUAUUCUAUGGGUUGGACUAUUUAAGAGGAAAACAUUAUGUGCAUGUAUUUUUUUGAUUUAGCGUUCAUAUGAGUAAUUAUUAAUUAAGAACGGAGGAUUUGGAUCUAUUUACUAGACUUUUGGUAAUCAAAUUUUUACUAAUGUUGAAGUUAUAUCGAUUUUGUUGCAAAGAGAUAUGGUGGAAACUGUAUAUAAUGUCAUUAAUGAAAUAAUAGAGGCCCGAGAUAAAUUUAUUAGAAAUAUAAAUCUCAAUUACAUAUUAUGCAUACUAUAACAAAAAGAUUCUAAAAUAUGUACCAAAUAAAUGACUUAUUCUUUUAUGAAGCACCUAAAAUCGAAGUUUAACAAUAAUACGAUAAGAUUGUUUUGAGAAUGUAAUUAUUUGUGAAUAAGUCCAUAGGUCUACAUAUGAGUAUAUUUUAUUGUAUUUAUAUAUAAUAUAGCACUAUUUGUGUUAACUUUUGAUGAUAUGAUAUUUAAAAAUUCAUUACUCUAUUUGAAUAGUAAAUACAAUUAAUAUCUUUUAGUUUUCAAAUAUUAUUUAUGAUAAACAUUAUAAUAAAUUAAAAAAAUAAGAAAAAAAACACAAUUCAAUAAUAACAUUAAAUAUGUUUGUGAUGAGUCAUGUAUAAUUUGAAGGAACAAAAUUACAAAUUCAAACUCAAGAGAAAAUUAUAAAGAUUUGGAAUAAAAUAUCUAAAGACAUAAAAAUAUUAAAAUAUGUUCUCUAACUGAAUUCUUCAUCUUCAAUAAUUAACUGAAAAAUAAACAAUCCGUCAAAAAUAAAAUAGGAGAAGGAAAGACUCUUACAAUUAAAAAUGAUGAGUUUUAUAAUCUAAAAGCCUAUAUGUGAAAAAUGAGAAAAAAAAUAUUACGUCAAAAAUUAAAUAGGAGAAGGAAAGACUCUUAGAAUUGAUAAUGAUGAGUUAUAUAAUCUAAAAGCCUAUAUGUGAAAAAUGAGAACAAAAAUUUUUUUUUUUUUUUUGUGUGUGUGUGCAUGCGCGUGCGCGUGAGCGUGUGCGUGUGCGUGUGUGUGCGCGCGCGUGCCUGACAUUUUGCUUGUGGAAUCUUAUAAAAUUUCUUAUAUUCUUUGCUUACUAAGAAGCUUCCCAUAUUUCAAAUGUCUUUGAGAUGCAGGUUUGUAGUGCUUUGACAUUUUUUAAUUUUAUUUAGUGAUUAUUUGUUGUACUUCUUUUAUCUUCAAUAAUCUGAUAGUUGUUGUCUUUCUUAGGUUAUUGAUGAAGAUGAUAGUGAUACUGAUGAAGAUAAGGAAUCUUUUCAACGUGAAACUUUGACAGACCUUACAUUUAAUCACCUUGUGAAAUUUCAGCUUGAAAGCUUUAUAGGAGGUACAUCCGAAAUGUUGUUUAUCAAGCAUUUCUUAGCCAACUCUCCAGUGUUAGAGAUAUUGGUAAUCAAUCGACAGUUUCUAGAUGAGGAGACUCUCGACACAAGAGAAGAAAUAUUCACCGAGAUCUCAAAUUUUUCGCGUGCAUCACCUUAAGCAGAAAUCGUCUACAAAGAUUUUAGCUAAUCUUGAUCUUUGGCUUAGAAGAAUCAAAUUGACAUGCGAGAAAGACACAUUUAUGUGAUAUUAUAACUCUCUGUUUUACCUUGCUAUAACGUCUAUUUCGAAAAGUGAACAUUGCUUGGAUGGAUAUUUUGAUUAUGUUCUCAUUACAUUUAAGGAUUUCUACAUUUACUGUCUGUUCAUGAAUGAGUUAUAUAUCCAGGAGUGCUUUGGUUUUUUCAGUUUUUUGGAGGGACUGAGAAACUGAAUCAAUCUCAAAAUUUACUUAAUCAAACAAAAAAUGAUUUGUUGAUACACCCUUUUAUAGGAAAAACAUUAUCUGCACCGUGUGUUUUAUAUCAAAUCAAUAAAUAUAGUAGAAUGAGGGAAGACUUUACCCACAAGCCUUUGUUCAUAGGUGUAAAUUUCGAGUAGCAAACUAUUAAGCAAAUAGUCUGACAUUGUUGGGGGAUUUUAGAGCAUUGGAAUAGUACUCACGAGUUAAUUUCUUGGAUGAUCGCUAAAUUUUUUAGUAUAUUUUGUUAUUUGUUAAAGUUAUUUUGUUUCUCUUUUGAGGCAAAGUUUAAAUAUCAAAUCGUAUUCGAUUCCUCAUUUUCUAAUAAAUGUAUAAGAAUUAUCUAUUUGAGAUAUGGUAAUUAAUUGGAGGACAACACAAAAUAAUUUUAAAAGUAUUUGGUCUUUCAAAAGGAUUUUUCAAAAACUAAUUCAUUCUGCUAAUUAUCAUGCACUUUCUGUUUACAUAAUAAUAAUAAUUAGAUAUAUAGUUUUAAAUUCAUUCCAUUAUCUUUUCCUAUUUAGCCAUCAUCUUUUCUUUGUUACACAUAUUCUUAAUAUGGUUAUUAAUAAACAAUACAUGCCUUAAUAAACAAAACCUACUGACCUAUUUAUCCAUCAAGAAAACUACUAGUAUACAUAUAUAUGGGCACGUACAUUGCACGUUUACUUCAAAACGAUAAAUAUGAACUAUUAAAAAAUAACAUAAUUUUUAAACAAAUAAUAUUUGAGUUACAAUAAAAAUAUGAAAAGUAAAAUAAUAAAUAUUUUUAAUGUAUAAACUUAUUAAUAAAAGGGCAAUGCGCGAUUUAAAUGUUUCAAAAAAUGUUUAUAGUGUAUAGUUAAUUUAUAGAAGAUUUAUUUUUUUCAUUUAGUCCUCCCCUUAUUAUAAUUUCGAUAUAUAAAUUUUAUAUUUGUUUUAAAUGAAAAAAUAAAGUAGCAAAAACAAAAAUGGAGACACACUAUGUUAUGAUUAACUUUCUUAAAUGUUUUUUUUUGUCUCAUAGAAAGAGUAAAAAUAUUGAAGUUCUUCCUUAAAAUGUCUCUCUUGUCUCAUAGAAUAGAAUGAAAGUGUUGACAUUAAAUUAAUAAUUUCACAUGAUAUACAUUUCAAUAAGAUAAAAUGUUUGACAUUAAUUAGUAAAAGAUGAAAUUCUCCUUCUCAUUAAGUAAAAUGCAAUUAAUUAAUUUAAACUUAUAAAUAAGAAAACUUAUUAGAAGGAAAUAACUAAAGAUUUAAAGUUCAAUGAUUGAUAUUUAAAGUAUGCAAUUAUAUAAAUAACAGUUAAUAUUUAAUUAAAUAAGUCAGUUUUUAAUUUAGUGGAGAGCCAAAAUGACAAUUUUAAUAUUUUUACAAUUAAAAGUUCUUUAUUAAUAUAUUUUACAUUUUUUUGUUAAAAAUUUAAUAGGACCAAUAUUUGGUCGAAUGACAAAAAAUCUUCUAACUUCUUAAGCAUUUUGAUGUAUCAUUUUUUUGACAUUGGGAUUUUAAUCUCACGAUAAUUUUAAUAAAAAUUGUCUAAAAAAUAUAGAUUUUAUCCACAAGUACAUGUAAUAAUAAUUCUUUACGGAUAUUUAAAUUUAAGAUGCAAAAACGUAAUUAUUAAUAAUUUAAAAUUCGAAUAAUAUUGGCAUUAAUUGUUUUACUUGUCUUGUACACUAUUUUUAUGAUUGUAUUGUCUUAUUUUCUAAAGCAAAAAAAAAAAUACACAUUCAAUCAACGGAAAAGGGCCUAAAAUGCCCUUAAAGUAUUAAAAAUGGUACAAAAUUACUCUCCAUCCACCUAUUGGCUCCAAAAUAUCCUUCACACCCACCUAUUGGCUCCAAAAUACCCUUGUCAUCCACCUUUGAGUUCAAAAUUGAUAACUUAUUUAACGGUUUUAAAUUUAAACUAUUUAAAUAUUUUUUUAAAUACAUGGCGCUCAACUAUUUGUUAUAAUUAACUUAUUAGUAUAAUUUAUAAAAUAUAUCCACUACCCACCCGUUACUAAUUAAACCCCUCCAAAUUAAUAAACCAGUCAUAUAACUAAUGCAACAACAAGAAAGAUACUGCCAAUGAGUGUACUUACAAAUUUGAAGAGAAAAUAUGUAUAGAAGUAAAUUAUCAUACAUUCAAGUGUCUAAAUAAAAAUUAUCGAUAAACUUAAAACUCUGACUAUGUUCAUCUUAAUUAUUCUUUCAUAUCAAUUAUGUGAUGUUACUUCAUAGAUAACUUUUUUUUUCAAAAUAAUAUAUUAAUGGUUUUAAAAAUAUCAUAAAUAUUUAUAAAAUUAUAUUUAAAAACGUGCAUGAAUUAAUUCGGGAUGUACUACUUUACUUUUAAUCAUAAAUUUAUAAUUUAAACUUGAAAGAGAAUCCUAUUGAAAGUGUCCUCUUAAAUAAGCGGCUCAACCUAAAUUUAAUUGGAGUUUUGAUUCUGACUCGAAUAAUUUUGGAUGUCAUAUUUAGGAAUCUAUAAUUUCAUCGUGUUUUAGUAGUGUUUAUGACAAUUUUGAUAUUAUAAUUGGUGUAUUAAUUGGGUGGUGUUUAGAUAGUAAUGAUUGGAUAGUGGGUUGGUUUAUAAAUUAUAUAAAUAAAUUAAAUUAUAACCAAUAGUUGAGAGCGAAAUAUUUUAAAAAAUAUUUUAACAGUUUAAGUUUAAAAUAAUUAAAUAAGUGGUCAAUUUUGAACCCAAAGGUGGAUGACAAGAGUAUUUUUGAGCUAAUAGGUGGAUGAGAAGGGCAUUUUGGAGCCAAUAGAUGGAUGGAGGGUAAUUUUGUACUAUUUUCAAUACUUCAAGGGUAUUUUAGACCCUUUUCCGUUCAAUCAAAUAUAUUCUUAAACGAAAUUAAAAAUAUAAAUAAAAAGUAUCAUAUAUAGGAGCAAGUUUAGCAUAAGGCUACCAACGAAAAAUAGAAUAAUUCUAGGACAAUCAUUUUUUUUAUAAUGCAAUUGAAACAAAGUUACAGUAAUAAACAUUCAACCUUGACAAAAAAAAAAUUAAAAUCUUUGAAGAUAAGUUAAUGGAAAUGAUAUUCCACUACACAAAUGGAGUGGCCUUAUCAUAGUUAUGAUCUCGACAAAUAAGUAAACAAAAAAACAAAUACAUCAAGCUUUAAUAUUUUAGUAAUUGGAGUGUUAUCCAUCCCGUAAUCAUAUUAUGGAUUGUAAUCUUGACACAAAUCCUCUUGUCUUGAUAUUUUCUUAACUUUAUUAAAGUUUCUUUAGUCUUCCACAUACAAAAAUUAUAUCUCAUAUAAAUCUUUCAAUAGUAUUAUAUAAAUCUUUCUAUGAAAAUACUAUUGAAAGAUUUGUACUUAUAUAGCAUAUAUAUGAGGAUUCACUUACAAAGUUGAAAGGUCGAGUGUUACAAAAAUUAAAGACAAAUAUUUAUUAAGAAUAUAAAUUAGUUUGGACGAUGAAACACAUACAUAUAUCUAUUUAAAGGGAUAACUGUUAUUUUUAUUUUUAUUUUUCUAUUUAAUAUACUCACAUGUAUACCGACAAAAAAUAUUACAGAAAAUCUACUAUUUACUAUUUAAUUAAUUAAAUAUUUUAAUAACAUUUGAAUUUAGAAUAAGGGUAAAAUGAUAAUUCAACUUUUCUACCUUGGAAUUUUCUUCACUUGAUUAAAGCUACUCUAGUCUUCCACACACAAAAAUUAUAUUACAUAUAAAUCUUUCUAUGAAAAUACUAAUUGAAAAACUUGUAUAUAUAGGAAAAAAUAUAGCUUUGGAAUAUGAAGAUUCUUUUAUGAAUACAACAAAGUAAAGAAAAAUAUUUUUUAAAAACAUAACUUAAUUUGGAAGAUAAUACACAUAUAUCUAUCUAUUUAAAGAAAUAACUUUUUUUUUAUUUUUUUCUAUUUAAUUUACUCACAUGUAUACCAACUAAAAAUAUUAUAGAAAUUCUACUAUUUACUGUUCAAUUAAUUACAUGUUUAAUAACAUCUGAAUUUAGCAUAAGAGUAAAAUGAUAAUUCAACUUUUUACUUUGGAUAUCUCCACUUAUAAUAAUAUAUGAUAUAUGAUAUGUUCAAUAAACCAAUCAAUUGUGCCUCAAUCCGAACCUAGUUGAAUGUACUUGAUAUAUGAUCUAUAUAUAAGAUCUAAUGAGUGAUAAAUAUUGAUUUUGUGUUACCUGAUAUAUGAUCAAUAUUGUUCACUCAAUCAAUCAACUAUGCCUCAAUUUGAACCUAGUUAUAUUUACUGAUAAUGUUUUAGGAUUAUUCUGUCUACUUUGCAGAAUUAUGAUGAUUUUUGCUGAUUUUCGAUUAAUUUAGAUCUUUGAGGUUCGAUACAUGUUAGUUCUUAAUAAUAAAUUACUUCUUUGAUAUUAUUAAUUUUGAGUAUGAUGUUCUUUUCCUCUUCUUUCGUAUUGGAUUUGAUAUUUUUGCAUAUCUGGUUGCAGGGUUCUACUAAAGGAGUGUAAUCCUGUGUUUGAGUUGCGUUCUACGACUUGGUUGUGCUUGAUUGAUAUCGUCUCGAGAUGGAAAGAAAAGUUUUAGCUUUAGCUGAUUCUAGAAUCAUACCAGCUUCCAUGAACGAAGAGGACUCAAUCUGAUUUCUUAUUUACUAUUGAAAAUUGGUCGAACUGUGUAAAAGACUUGCUUUGUUUUUUUAAUACUAGUUUCUCAUAACGUACGUUGCAUGUUUGUUCCUUGCUAUUAUUAUAAUUUUUUAUUUAUUUAAAAGUGAGUUAGAAGAUAGAAAAUAUUGAAAUUAACAAUAUUAUUAUUACUAUUUAUUUUUUGUUCAUAAAAUAAAAUAGUGCAUUUGUUAUCAAAUUGGAACUAAUUAAGAGGAUAUAUGAGUAUGUCGAUGAAUUUCUGAUUGUAAAAUAAUAAUAAUAAAUGUAUAACUGGAAAGGUUGGAUCUACUAGAUGUCUUGAUUUUGAGCACCAAUUUAAGCGGAGAACUUUUUGAUAUAAAAUUUUACUCCCUCAAUAAGUAUACUCAACACGAAUUUUGAUUAGUGGGAUUAAUAGGAAUCAAAGACCAGAUUAUUAAAUAACAAUCGCACUUCAAUUCUAGAAAAAUUGAAAUCUAUUAUAUUAUAUUAUUGUGGUUGUUAUAGAUGUUGGACUCAAGUAGUAAACUUGACAUUGAAUAAAGCCUAGACCCAAAAAGUCAACCAACAUCCGUGCCACAAGACAGUGUCAUGUAGGUUGAAAAGGGAUAAAAAAAACUAUUAAUAAAAUAAGUUCCGGGGUAAUAGGACCUUAUUAUAGUAUAAGUGUUUCUCUGAGAUUUCGGACAUAGAUUGAGGGGUACUUGUGCAUUAUUCCACAAAAAAUCAAACACGAAAUUGUGCAAGAGUCCAAAUUGAAGUGAAUUUGGCUGCAAACCUACCCAACGAGUAAAGAUUAAUGAAGAAGAUGAUAUUAUAGGAGAAAUAAAAUCCAAGCUGAAUAAAGUUCAAUAUGAUUACAUGCUCAAACUUGACUUUUGGGGAUGAUAUGAUCAUACCGUGCAAGACGGAAGUUGGAACAAUGAAAAUGAUUAGUGAGGGGCCUAACUACUAGAAAACAUGUCUGUUGCAGCACAAGAAUAAUUAUUGUCAUAGACUCAAAGAGUGUUGCAAUUGAGUUAUGGCAACGAAAACUAGCGUGUUGCAUAUAAGGCUGUUGUGAUAUAUCAGUAGUAUCGGUUUACUAGCAACAAUUGAAAGUCGUUGACACAGACCAUCUGUAGCAACAUUUAUUCUUUAGUCUAGGACAAAACUUUUCUGCAGCUAUUGCAACAGUUGUCGAACCGUUGCAAAAGAGUUUAUAGCGACGGUGAUAAACCGUUGCCACACACUGUCCAGAACAACAAUUAUUUUUUAGUUUAGGACGACACUUUUCUGCGGUUGUUGCAACAGUUGUGAUCCAUUGCAAAAGGUUAUAUAGCAACAACUGUGAACAUUUACAACACACCAUCUAUAGCAACGAUUAUUUUUUAUUCUAGGACGACACUUUUCUACAGUUUCUGCACAUGUUGCAAAUCGUUGCAAACAACCUAUUACAACGGUUCUUCUUAACUAUUGCAAUGAGGUUAUUAAUGUUUUAUUUUUAAAAUAUACUAUUUGAUUAAAAAUGGUGUGAAGAUGACUAAGUUUCAGAAAAUCAAUUAGUCUUAUUAUUAUAGAAAAAUCGACUUUCCAAAUUACAGACUCGCCACUUUAUUUAUGAUAAAAUCAAGAAAAAUUUUCAAAAGAUUUAAAAAUAGAUUAAAUCAAUUGAAAAUGGUUCGAAGUUCAAUAUACAUCCCGAGAAGGUGUUAGGCCCUCGGAAUGCCAACUAACUUGCGAUUGACCGGCGAUUUGACUAAAAUGACCUUUUAAAUUUUAAUUGAGUAAAUAAUUCAUUUUGAUGUAUUUUAUUCAAUUUUUUAUUCCUUAGUAUUUCUAAAGGAAAACAUUUAAAAGAAAUUAACUGAAGGAAAACUAAAUGGUGAUAAAAGUAAAUAAAACAAAAUAAGUAAAUAAAAUAGUAAAAUUUAAAAUGAUGAAAAAAAUGGCUGCCCUUUAGGAGAUUAUUAAAAUUCUACCAAAAUAUUAAUUAAUUCAAACAAAUAAAUAAACAGAGAAAAAUAUUUGAACUUGGGCUUGAUUGCCCAAAUUCAUUCACUUGGGAUUUGGCACACCUGUCCUAAACUAAUUUCAAAAUGUGGGUUUUGGCCCUUUUUUAACAAUUUAAAAUCCUGCGGAAAACAUUUAUGGCCUUUUGGGCCUAUCAAAAUUGUUGCUGAAAAGGGCCCUGGCCCAUUUCUUCAAAAAGAAGUUAAAGUAUACAAAUGGUGUAUACUAUAUAUAUUCAAUUUGUAUUGGACUUUUUGAACCCUGCACUUGUUCGAAUACGUGUUUCUCACUAUUCAUCCUGUAUUUCCCAUAUUAAUUUGGCGUAUUUGUACCUGUACCAUUUCUAAACCUGCUUAACAAUUGUAUAUUGUUGCCCAAAAGAUGUAUACCAAUGUAUAUGGGCUGAAUCCUAUGCAUGUAUUCAUUGCCUAUUCCCUUAUUUUAUCUGAAAUUGGUGUCCCUGUAUGUUAACAUGCAAUUCACAAUUUAUUACACAUAUUUAAGGUAUAGCGUCUAUGUAUAUCAGUGUAUACAGGAUGUAUAUCAGCCUAUUUAUUCAACUUUCGAAAGUUCAAAUCUCCUUUUCAGCAGUGUAUCUGGACUUCUACAAACCCAUAUUUUGAAUUUGGAUCCACCUGUGUAUUUUAUACCUGUAUAUCAUGGUAUAACAUGUGUAUAUAGCUGGUAUACAGAUUUCUUCAACACCAGCAAACUAUAAUUUUCCAGCAGCAUCUGUUGGUUUUUCCGACCUGUACAUCCUUUCAGGAGGUUGAUUGACUCGGUAAGGGUGUUUUGAGCCUUCAUGGCUCAACGAGGAAUGCAAAUAGAGGAGUUCAUGAUGAACUCGGGUUGAUUUCACAUGCAACAAACGAGAAGAAGAAACUUUAGAACAAUAUCGAGGAAAUAACACAAAAAAUAGAAACUAAAAGGGAGAUCAUUACUAUUCUCGCAAACUACAAAUACAUAAAAUCAAGCUAAAAUAAAUUGCAUGAUAGUUACCAUAGCUCAAUAUCAUAAAGACUAAUAAAAACAUAAUUCAAGACACUCUUUGCACAUACACAAGAGCACCAUAAUCUUAAGGAAUAAGACUUGAGACAAAACCAAACAACUAAGCUAGAAGGUCACUUCUUGAAUAACAUAGAAAGUGUAGGCAAAGAAGUGAUUAUACUUACUCAAAAAAACACAUGAUAUUCAAGCAAACCAACAUUUAAGGAGGCAAUAAAGUAGGGACUUUACACUGCUGCUUGUCAAGGAUACUACCUACUAAUUGGAAGGAAAAUUUAAGCAAAACUAUGCUUAUGGCAGCCACUGUUAAUGGAAGUUCAAGAAUGGAAAUAAACGGGUGCACUGCCCCUUUAGGAAUUCUCUCCGAUUUUUAACAAGGAAGGAGACCCAUGGAUCGACAUAAGCAGCCAUGGGAUGCAAUACAUAAAAACAGAAGAUACACAUUUUAACUAUGACGGAGUAGAACCAACCUUUAAGAUAACAAACUUUCGAAGAAAAAAAAACACAACGAUUAUAGGCAAAAAUUCAGAGAAAAUUGAAGCCUCAUAUGCAUUUCGAGCCAUAUUCUUAAAUCCAUCACUAUGAACAGGAGGAAAACAUGCUUGAAAGAUUUCAAAAUCAAUCCAACAAUAACAGACCGUAUUUGAAUCAUAUAAACAAAAUCGACAAACCUCUCUUCUCAGCCAAAGAUCAAAAUUGUGAUCCAAAUAAAUCUCGAGAAUAGCCAAACCCACUUCACAUACAAGUCUGAUAAGAUUCAGAUUUAGAGCAAAUAUCACAGAAAUACAAGAUACCAGGUUAAUAAGUUUUGAAGAGUUCUAUGAAGAAAACAUUUCAGUCAAACGUGGAAAAAAUUAAUUGAUUCUUCUCGUGAUGCAUAAAUUCCAGUGAGGUAUGAUUUUUCCGUGAUGUAUGAUUUUCAACGAGGCAUGGAUUCUUCCCGUGAUGCAUAAAUUCAACCGAGGUAUGAUUUUUCCGUGAUGCAUGAUUUUCCGCGAUACAUGAUUUUUCGCGAUGCAAACUCUGGUGAUCUCUGCAACGAUCUAGCUAGCUCAAUAAUUAUCCAACUGUAACGAGGUGAAUGCUCGAUAAUAUUUCAUCUAUAACGAGGCAGAUAGCUCGAUAAUAUUCCAUUUGUAACAAGGUCGAUGACUCGAUAAUAGUCCAACAUUAACGAGAUGGAUGCUCGAUAAUAUUUAAUCUAUAACGAGGUGGAUAUCUCGAUAAUAUUCCAUCUGUAACGAGAUGGAUGGCUCGAUAAUAGUCCAAUUGUAACGAGGUGGAUGACUCGAUAAUAGUCCAACUGUAACGAGGUGGAUGACUUGAUACUAUUUCAACUGUAACGAGGUGGAUGGCUCGAUAAUAUUUCAACUGUAACGAGAUGGAUGACUCGAUAAUAUUCGAACUGUAACGAGGUGGAUGUGGAUAACAUUCCAUCUGCAAUGAGGUGGGUGGCUUGAUAAUAGUCCAUCUGUAACGAGGUGGAUGGCUCGAUAAUUGUCCAACUGUAAAGAGGUGGAUGACUCGACAAUAUUCCAACUGUAACGAGGUGGCUGGCUCGAUAAUAUUCCAACUUUAAUGAGGUGGAUGGCUCGAUAAUAUUCCAACUGUAACUAGGUGGAUGGCUCGAUAAUAGUCCAACUGUAACGAGGUGGAUGGCUCGAUAAUAGUCCAACUAUAACGAGUUGGAUGGCUCGAUAAUAUUCCAACUGUAACGAGGUGGAUGGCUCGAUAAUAUUCCAACUGUAACGAGGUGGAUGACUCGAUAAUAUUCCAAUUGUAACGAGGUGGAUGACUCGAUAAUAUUUCAACUGUAACGAGGUGGAUGACUCGAUAAUAUUCCACCUGUAGCGAGGUGGAUGACUCGAUAAUAUUCCUUCAAGAUAAAAAGAAACUUGUUUAUAAAUCACUCGAGGAAAUAUAAAGAACUAGAGAUAAAAUGAGAUUGAAGAUUUUCUAGGUUUCGUUGAUGAGUCCACGAUGGGUGCAAGUGACGCCCUUUUGUCAUUCUUGACAGCUUUAUAUAGCCAUUUUGUGACUUUAAUGUUCUUGCAUCCAAAGAAAAACUCUUAGUUUGAAGGACUGAUCUGUGUUGGUCUUGUCUCCAUGCUCCUUCUUGCAGUUGGCUUACACGCUCGUCCGUCCUUUAUUUGACAUAUUUUAUGAAACUUUUCAGGACCCUCCACAAAAUUUUGUCCUGGUCUACAAUAUAUAAGAACUCUCAUAACUUGCUCUGUUAACUUUGAGGUUGCUCAUUCUGGAAUUUGAGGCUCCUCCUCAAAAAUAUUCCCAGUUUACUUCAAUAAGUAACAAAUGACAUUUGUGGAAUUUUUGAGAUCAUCUCAAAAAUUCUGUCACAGUUGCAAAACUAGAUUAUCAUAAUUUUUGAGAUCCAUCCAAGGCUAACUCCGUAGAAUUUUGGUCUUCUGUUCUGACUUGUUAAAGAAGUCCAACUUCAAAUGAAUUUUUGAGAUCCUCUAAAAAAUUCUGUCCCAGUUUCCACUAUAAAGAGAAAUGGAAAUCUUACUAGGUAUAUGACCGAGCCGUUGUGGCGCAUACAUAUCCUAUUAGGGCAGGAAUCAGGUCAAAUGUGAUUCCCCUCUAAAGGAUUAACAAAAAUAGAAAGUUUUGAUAAAGAAACGACCGAGGCCGACAUAGGCCGCCUACGUAUCUCAUUCUUGAGAAAUCAGGUCGAACGUAGUUCAAACAAGAAAUGUGUGAUAAAAUGGGGGGGGGGGGAAGGGGUUAAAUACAUUUCAAAAGAAAGGUAACAAAACUUCAUAUGCAAAAUUUGGCUAAUGUUGGGCAUUCUUCUUCUCGACCUUUGAUGAUGAAUAUCUUCAAAUGACUCAGUUCAGAAAUGUCUUGUACUCACUCUUGAGCAUCCAAUAUGUCAUCCAUUAAGGUGGUUUCCUCAAUAUUGAUCAAGUUGUUGAUGAUCAUGUUUUGUAUCUUGUGCUUCAGAGUUGAACAAUUAUCUGUGUCAUGUCCAACGGCUGCUGAAUGAUAAGAACAUCUGUGGUCAGCUUUGUAAAAUUUUCCCAAAAGUUUGGCUGGUCUUCCUUCUAUAGGAUAGAGCAUACCUUUGCUUUCAUCCUUUCAUAAAGUUGAGUUUUAGAUUCCCUUAAUGGUGUAAAUACUUUAGGAGCCUUCCUAAAUUUUGGGUGAGAAUUUUUUCUGAUUGACAUUAUGGUUUUGAUAUUCCCUUUGAGAAGCUGGCCUCAUACGGGUAGCCGUGACCAUACUUACCUCCUCCACUUUUCCUUUUGAUUUAUCCAUAUCACUAAUUCUGGUAGAUUUUCCAUUAGAUUGCAAUGUGGUAAGUUUGGUGAGCUUUCCAGUCUUGAAACCAUCUUCCAAAGCUUCUCCCACUUUGACAAUCUCGACAAAUUUUUGUCCCAUCAUACACAAUAUUUUUUCAUAGUACUCGGGCACUACAUUUCAGUGAUCUCACGUUCGUACAUUGGAGGUUGAACUCUUGCGGCCUCUUUUCUCCAACGAAGAGCGUACUCUCGAUAAUUUUCUGUAGACUUCUGUUUGAUCUUCUCCAAGUAGUAGCGAUCUGGGGAAUCUUCUAUGUUAUGUCCAAAUAUUUCCGUGAAAUCCUUUGCGAGUGCAUUCCAAUUUUUCCAUUGUUUCUGCUUUUGUGAUGUAAGCCACUCAGAGCUUCUCCACAUAGACUUCGAAUGAAGAGACACAUCAAUAAUGCUUCAUUUUUGCCAACUCCCACUAGUUGAUCACAAUAAACUUUCAGAUAAGCUAAAGGAUUUCCUGUUCCAUUAAAAGUGACAAACUUUGGCACUUUGAACCCUUCCGGGUGGUCGAGAUUCGGAUGGAUGCAUAAAUCCUUAUAGCUCAAUCCAUCGACUUCGAAAAUAUAGUGCAACUCCUUCAUGGCUUUCAUGAUCUCUUCUUUCAUAUUCAGCUUGACUACCUCUUCUUUUGACCUCCACUCUCUCUCCUAUUCCUUAUAGUGAUCAAGCUCGGAACAGUCGGCAUAAGGUUCAUUUGAAGUUGGGAUUUGGAAAGUAGGCUUUGGAGGUAUGGGUGGAACAAUGGAUGGAUUCUGGGUAUUUUGAGUGUCUUGAUAAUUUUGGGGCAAAGUUUGAGGAUCGGUAUUUUGGUUUUGAAGAUGGGGGAAGGUUUGAUCAUUAUUCGUAUUUUGGUUUUGAGGGAGAUGGAGGAUUUGAAGGUUAGUAUUUUGAGGAUGAUGUGGUGCUUGACACGAUGUGAUGGCGUGACGGGGAUUGGGGGUAGUUAAGUCAAUGGUUGGAGGAUUCUGAGCGGGGUUAGAGAGAAGGUUCUGAACCUGUUCCGUGCUUGAAAGUGGAGUGGAGGUCUUCCAUCUCUUGGAGGGUUGAAGGAUGAAAUUGGAUUAUACAAAUCUUGCAUUCUUUACAUUUCUACCCUCAUUUCGGCAAUCUAUUGCAUCAACUGCAUAAUCAAUUCAUUUUUAUCAGCGGCGGCGGGUUGAGCCACGAUAACAUCAUUCAUGUCAAUAUCAUCAUUGUUAUCUCCCAUUGUUGUCUUUUCUUUUUGCAAAUUUGAUUUGGGAAGGAAUCUUUAGGGGCCUUAGACCUUGUGAAAUACGGAUGAUCAACCAACUUAUCAAACACAGAUUAGUUUUAAAUACAUGACAAAUGAAAAACUCAAAAGACCAAUAUGUUAGUGCCUGGAGGUGGUAAAUAAUACAAAAUAUCACAUAUAGGUGUAAACACAUAAGAGUUGCUUUAUUCAGAGAUAAACUGACUCACAAAUAUAGAGAAACUAAUAGAGAAAAAUUGUUAAAUAAACAGAAACUUGUCUACUUGACUUUGGGAUUAGUGAAUAAAAAAUAUCGACUUGAGUCGAGAUAAAGAUGACGGUAUCUUUCAUUGCCGUACUUUGAUUUUUAAUUGAGAUGUAACUCUAAUUUCCUUGUAAGAGUUGGAAAAGAUAAAAUUUUUCAAAAUAGGGGCCGAAUGUAGAAAGGCUGCCUGCGUAUCUCACAAAAAGGAAUUCAGGUCCUACGUAGUUGGACCCACUUAAAAUUCUUUUGGUUUGAAAUGAUUAAUCUUUUUCUGAUAUGAGAAUAGUACUAAAGAAAAAUGAAGUUCAAUUUUUUUUGGGAAACUAAAGAUCCGAAGAGUAUUUGGACGCACUUUUGAUAAUGACUUGAUAUUUGUGCCUAGAGCUUUAAAACAAUUUUGAAGAAGUGUGAGCUAGAGUAUCUCCAGAUAAAACAACAUAUUCACAUAAGCAGUUAGAUGACAUAAACAAAUAUUGCGCGUUCUAAACAGAUAUGUGACCCUUUUGUGCCAAGGGUAAACUUAGCGAUUUGAGGGAUGUAUACGUCAUAUAAAUAUUUCAGUGCCCCAAAACUCAAAUUUAUACAAAUUUCAUGAAUAAAACUUAACGGGGAUACAUAAUAGGGAAAUGUAUACAAAAUAAUCAGUCCCACACAGGGGUACGACCCUAAACUAUGCCUCCACGAAAGAUCCUUCUUCUUUUCUUGACUCUUUGCAAUCUUUGGGUGCCAAUGUCUUUGGAUGGACCAGUAGCUUUUAAAGCUCUUAUAUAAACUAUAAUCUAAUCUUUACCCUAUGAGAGAAUGAUUUUCUCAAACAACGUAUACAUCCUUCAAAUUUGAACACAUAAGUAUGAACAUCCAUUUAGGCCGUGGGCCGUUUUGGACUCAAGGUGGUCUUCUAAUGGGCCCAACUCGCCUUGGGUAUUUGGUCAUCUUAGUUCAAAUGCGCUAUUUUUGGGAGUGAGUUUCGCUCUAUCUUAGUUGACUAUGAUAGUUUUCAAGUUGAUGGUUACCUGAGUCGGACAAACAUCGGGGUGAAGCUACCAAACAACGUAGGAUGACCGCAUUCCAACUAUUUGUUUGAUACUUCCAAAUGGAUUCUUGGGUAUUUCUUAAGAAAGCCGUGGAAAGCCACGUAACUUUCAUUUUCCUAAUGCAUACUAUUUGCCGUUUGGCGGAAGAAUGUCAUGGAAAUGCAACAGUUUAUGAAAAAUUAAACACAUUCAGCAGAAAUAAUAUUUUAACAAUCAAAACAAAUAAUCAAACAAUCAAAUCUUAUGGUUAGAACUUAAUUAAUCCCCAGCUGAGUCACCAUUUCUGUUUUAUUUUAAAAAUAUACUAGUUGCUUAAAAAUGGUGUGAAGAUGACUAAGUUUCAGAAAAUCAAUUAGUUUUAUUAUUUAAGAAAAAUGAGUUUUCAAAUUAUGGAGUCGCCACUUGAUUUUUGAUAAAAUCAAGAAAAAAUUUCAAAAGAUUUAAAAACAGAUAAAAUCAAUUGAAAAUGGUUCGAAGUUCAAUAUACAUCCCGAGAAGGUGUUAAGCCCUCGGGAUGCCCGCUAACUUGCGGUUGACCGGCGAUUUGACUAAAAUGACCUUUUAAAUUUUAACUAAGUCAAGAGUUGGUUUUAAUGUAUUUUAUUCUAUUUUUUAUUCCUUAGUAUUUCUAAAGGAAAACAUUUAAAAGAAAUUAACUUAAGGAAAACUAAAUGUUGAUAAAAGUAAAUAAAACAAAAUAAGUAAAUAAAAUAGUAAAAUUUAAAAUGAUGAAUAGAAAUGGCUGCCCUUUAGGAGAUAAUUAAAAUUCUACCAAAAUAUUAAUUAAUUCAAACAAAUAAAUAAACAGAGAAAAAUAUUUGAACUUGGGCUUGAUUGCCCAAAUUCAUUCACUUGUGAUUUGGCCCACCUAUGCUGAACUGAUUUCAAAAUCUGGGCUUGGGCCCUUUUUUAAUGAUUUAGAAUCCUGUGGAAAACAUUUAUGGCCUUUUGGGCCUAUCAAAAUUGUUGCUGAAAAGGACCCUGACCCAUUUCAUAAAAAAGAAGUUAAAGUAUACAAAUGAUGUAUACUAUAUAUAUUCAAUUCGUAUUGGAUUUUUUGAACCCUGCACUUGUUCGAAUAUGCAUUUAUCGCGAUUCACCCUCCAUUUCCGAUAUUAAUUCGGCGUAUUUAUACAUGUACCAUUUCUAAACCUGCUUAACAAUUGUAUAUCGUUGCCCAAAAGAUGUAUACCAAUGUAUACGGGUUGUAUCCUAUGCAUGUAUUCAUUGAUUAUUCCCGUAUUUUAUCUGAAAUUGGUGUCCCUGUACGUUAACUCGCAAUUCGCAAUUUUUACACAUAUUUAUUUAAGGUAUAGCGUCUAUGUAUAUCAGUGUAUACAGGCUGUAUAUCAGACAGUUUUUUAAACUUUCGAAAGUUGGAAACUCCUUUUCAGUAGUGUAUCUGGACUACUACAAACCCAUAUUUUGAAUUUGGAUCCACCUGUGCAUUUUAGACCUGUAUAUCAUGGUAUAAUAUGUGUAUAUAACUGAUAUACAGAUUUCUUCAACACCUCCAAACUGUAAUUUUCCAGCAGCCUCUGCUGAUUUUUCCGACCUGUACAUCCUUUCAGGAGGUUUACUGACUUGGUAAGGGUGUUUUGAGCCUUCAUAGCUCAACGAGGAAUGCAAAUAGAGGAGUUCAUGAUGAACUCGGGUUGAUUUCACAUGCAACAAAGAGAAGAAGAAACUUUAGAACAAAAUUAUCGAGGAAAUAACACAAAAAAUAGAAACUAAAAGGGAGAUCAUUACUAUUCUCGCAAACUACAAAUACAUAAAAUUAAGCUAAAAUAAAUUGCAUGAUAGUUACCAUAGCUCAAUUCAUAAAGACUAAAAAAAAAUAACUCAAGACACUCUUUGCACAUACACAAGAGCAUCAUAAUCUUAAGGAAUAAGAUUUGAGACAAAACCAAACAACUAAGCUAGAAGGCCACUUGUUGAACAACUUAGAAAGUGUAGGCAAAGAAGUGAUUAUACUUACUCAAAAAAACACAUGAUAUUCAAGCAAACCAAGAGGCAAUAAAGUAAGGACAUUACACUGCUGUUUGUCAAGGAUACUACCUACUAAUUGGAAGGAAAAUUUAAGCAAAACUAUGCUUAUGGCAGCCAUUGUUAAUGGAAGUUCAAGAAGGGAAACAAACGGGUGAACUGCACCUUUUGGAAUUAUCUCCGAUUUCUAACAAGGAAGGAGACCCAUGGAUCGACAUAAGCAGCCAUGGGAUGCAAUACAUAGAAACAGAAGAUACACCUUUUAACUAUAAUGGAGUGGAACCAACCUUUAAGAUCACAAACAUUCGAAGAGAAAAAAACACACAACGAUUAUAGGCAAAAUUCAAGGAAAACUGAAGCUUCAUAUGCAUUUCGAACCAUAUUCUUAAAUCCAUCACUAUCAACAGGAGGAAAACAUGCUUGAAAGAUUUCAAAAUCAAUCAAACAAUAACAGACCGUAUUCGAAUCAUAUAAACAAAACCGACAGACCUCUCAUUCUCUUCUUAAUCUUCAUGGGUGUUUGAAGACGGGCAGCCCACAUCAACAACAUAUAUAUACCUUAAACACAAGACAAACUAUUCGAAACCAAACAAAAUUCUCAUCACUACCCAAUAUAAUUCACAGACAACAGAAAAUAAACGAGCAAGAUGAGAGAAAAUGAACAGAGAACUUCAUGCUCGUUGAAACAUGACAAACUAACAUAACGAGUGAGUAGAAAUUUAGGAAGUUCACCUUCUCUGGGGAAGCGAGCUAGAGACGAAACGAGCAGGUGAGACAACGAACAGCCAAGGUUGACGUUAAACUCGGACACUUACGUAUAUUCUAUAUGUGUGUAUUUUAUGCUAUCAAUAUUUCUCGCACAAAAUUUUCUGAGAAAAGGAUGAAAUUUUUCAAAAAAAAAUGCCCCCUGGUAAUGAUCAACAGUAAUCAUUAUAUAGAAAAAAGAAGACGGGGAAGGCGGGAGAAAAUCUGAAAAACCUUGGGGCAAAUCGGGAUUCUAUCUCCCCUUUUGAAUUUGAAAUCCCCUAAAGGGAUAAGGAUGCAAGCUGUCGUAGUAAAGACCUCCAACGGAACAAUCGAUCGCAGCCAUGAAUCCUCAAACAAGGAUGAGUGAGCUCGCGAGAUUGAGACACCUGGCCUGCGGAAGAUGCUUUUCUUGUUGAAAUCAUACGAGAUUGUAGUGCUCGUUCUGUUGCUUCGUCUGGGUGCCAUUCUCUGGGGAAUUUCUGCCUAUGACUCUUGUUGGAAAUUUCCUUGUGAAGAAGGAAGGAAAAAAAAGGGCUGGGUCGACUUAGUUGUAGUUGGGCUGGAAUUAUUGGGCUGAAAAUAAAAAUGUAAUGGGCUGGGAAUUAAAAUAAAUAGAGUGAGCCUGGGAAUUUAAAGGGAAUUUGCGUUGAAGUGGGCUGGUAAGUUGGAAAAAGGCCCAAGAUUGAUUUCCAAAUGGGUUUAGAGGAAAAGGUUAUGUCUUAGAAUAGUCAAAUUAAAUUAAUUUUAAGGAAUUUGACUAAGAUUUAAAUAACACAAAUUCGUAUCAAUUAAUCAACGAGCUUCUUAAUUUUAACAAAGUAAAUUAAUUAAUUUUAAUUAUAAGCUGGCGAUAAAUUUAAAAAAAAAACACCAUAAUUUAAAAAUAAAUUAGUUUAAUAGAAUACUUACUAAAAAUUAAAAUAUUUUGAGAAAUAAUCUUAAAAUAUACCACUUAUAUACAUAAUUAUGUAAAGUAUAUGCACUAUCUAAAACUUAUAAGAAAAAUGAUAAAAGUAUCCAUAAUAACUCAAAAUUCAUAUGUUAUUUUUUCCCCGCAAAAUUUAUAAAACUAACUAUUUAAAAUUAUUUGAAAAAUUUAAGAAGCUCGAGAACUAAUUCAUACUGAGGAGGGUCGAAAUUGUGUGUCAACACUUAAGCUAUUGCAGUAGACCUUUUUAAUGGUUAUUGCAGGCUAUUGUAGCCAUUUUUUUAAUAAACUAUUAUAAAAUGAUAGAACAUAUUAAACCAAUAUGUACAUCAACUUGUAGCAUUCAUAUAUUAUAGAUAAAAACAUAUGAUCUUGAUUUACAAUUCAAGAGUUAACAUACAUUGAUGUUCACAAAAAUUAAGCCUAAAUAUUAAAAUAGUCCUAGAAUGUUUAAGUGUUGACAUUCAUUCAACUUCAAAAAUUAGGCCAAAAAGUAAAAAUUAGUGCUAGAAUGUUCAAGAGUUGGCAUUCCUUUAAGUUCACAAAAUUAGGCCAAAAAGUAAAAUAGUGCUAGAAUGUUUGUAGAAACCAAUUCUUUUUAAGUAAGGUCUUCGUUGCUUUCAUCCCCGCUUUGCACAUCAUUUUGUUCACCUACAAUUUCAAAAGGGUCAACAAUUAGGAAAGAGGAAGUUCAAAAAUUAAAAGGUAAAAGAAGACGCACAAUUUCUAAUUUUUUCUAUUUCUGUCCAUGAUGAAAAUAACUACUUUGCCAACUCCAAGUGGAAUGUUUAGAUACUUGAAUACUUUUGUGAAUAGGUAUACAUAACCCAUUCCAUGAUUCCCCUUUCGCUCAAUUACAAUCUUGUACAUGUGUUCAAGCAUGGGUGCUGGAAGGUCCAGUGGUUCGAACUUGCACAAGGAUUCCAUGAGAAACAGAUCGGAUGAAGUGGCAGAAGUCCUUUUCUCUGUUCUGGGAAGAAGAACCUUGUUGACAAAUUCAAAGACUAGAUGAUAUUCACUCUUCAUUAACUUCUUGAGCAGUCCAACAUGUCGAGUAAUUCCUCAUCAAGAUAGACUUCUAUGUUUCCUACCUCGACAAAUUCAACAAAAUAGGUCUUCCCAACCAUAGACUUGAUACCUUCUCGAGGUACCCGUAAAAUGUUUCCCAGUAAUUCCUCAUCAAGAUAGACUUCUAUGUUUCCUACUCUUGUCUUGAUACUUCCAUCUUCCUGAAACUCGAUGUUGUAGUAGAACUCAUGUACUUCUUCCUCAAAGAGAACAGGAUCCUUGGAGUCAAAUAAGUGUAUCCAUGACUAAAUCACCACAAUGUCAUGUAAAGUAUUUAUCCCAGGUUGCUUAAAAAUAUUCAUAUAAAAAACUAUACCUGCCAAGACACUUUGUACACUCAGAUUGUCAACAAUUGUUUGCUUGUUGACAACUGCGUCAUCCACAUGUAUUUGUGGACCAAGUCCCUGUUCAGACUCUUCAGGUUCCACUUCAGAAGUCUCUCUCUUUAUUUUUCCUUUUCCCUUAGCGCCACCAACUUUCAUGCUUGCCGAAGCUUUAGUUUAUUCUUUGGGUUUCUUUCCAUCACCUUUCUUCUUUGAACUUUGUUUCAAGUCCUCAAAAAUUUCCUUAUCAGGUCCCUCUUCAGAUUCCGCACCUGAUACCUCCACCACAUCGGACAACGGUAUUUGGAAUCUCGACACUUUCAAAGUCUUAUUCCUUCGAUUGUCAACAGUAGAUUCUACAGUUACCUUCAUAGCAUCAUCCAUCAUUUUCUUGGAGUCAGAUCUGGUAAAAGAUCUCCUUCUAGACUCAACUUCGAAAACCUUUUCUUUUCCCUUUUUUGAAGACGACAUCUCUCUUCUUUUCAACAGCCACUGAAUGGGAUGAUUGUCGUCAUCAGUGUCUGUAGAGUCGGAAGAAGGGUAUCUAUCUAAAUCUAGUGUUUUGUCAAAUUCUCUUAACUCGUCAUCCAUAAAACUUCCAUGUUCUUCAAGCAAAGCUUCUUAUAUCAUCUUGGUUAGACUUUCUAUAGCUAAAAUUUCACUGGCAGCCAGAAUAUUGAACUCAGGCGCUCUAAUUUUUUGCUAGAUCUCUCUCAGAUAGAUGGUCUGACAACGUAUCCACAAGUGGACCAGGUUGAGGGGAGAGAAUAGGAUUGUUUAGAUCGAGAGGUGAGGACGGUUUGCGGACAAGCUCUGAAGCAAUGUUUACUGGAUAAGAAGUCGAAUUUUUAGUCAGUGAUACAGAAGAAGAUGGAGUGUAAAAUGACGCUGGGUUGAUAUCGUUUAAAGAUGCAAGCAUCUUCUUCGAGGAUGAAGAAUGUUCAGACAUUUUUGUAAGGGAAGUAACUUUAGUACAAAACAAGAAGGAAAUGAGAAGAUGAAAGUUAGGGUUGUUCUGAGAUAGGAUUUAGGAGAGAAGGUGAGAGAAGAAGAGUUAUAUAAAAAGUGAUGAAGAGGUGUUAGGUCUCUCAGAUUAGACUUGUAGCUUGGAGUUAAUCGAUGAGACAACGUUCAAAAUAACCGAUUAUUGAUACAUGACCAUUUCAACGGGGUCAUUUUAAAUUAGUUUAAAAACAAUAUAAAGAAAGUUAAAUUUUAGGAGGACAAGGUCCUUUCCUGCAAGUAAGAUUCCAUUCCUAAAUGUUUCUGGGCAUAUUUUGCUUUUGUAAUUUUUCAUGAAUGUAUACCUGCAAUAGGUACAAAAUUGAACUUAAUCAUCUAGUUUAUUACUAUUAAAGAGGAUAGCCAUCGGAGAAUUGUGAUGCUUUUGAGUAAAGUGGGAUCAGUUUGGAUUCAUCAUUACUAACAUCAAGCUAUUUCUUUCAAACUGAUCUUUACUGAGAGCUUUGGUGAAGAUGUCUGCAAUUUGAUCCUCUGUUCUGCAAUGCUUCAAGACAAUAUUUUCCUUUUCAACAUUAUCUCUUAGGAAAUGAUGUCUCACAUCAAUAUAUUUUGUCCUUUUAUGUUGCACUGUAUUCUUCCCAUGCUAACAACACUAGUAUUAUCACACAUAAGAGGAAUAGCCUAUAUACGCACUCCAAAAUCUUCUAGUCGUUGUUUGAUCCACAAAAGUUGAGCACAACAAGAGGCGACUGCUACAUAUUCAGCUUCAGCUGUUGAAAGGGAUACUGAAUUUUGUUUCUUAGUUCCCCAAGAGAUGAGAGAGUAGCCAAGAAAAUAGGUCAUGUCUGACAUGCUUCUGUAUACUUGAUAGCUUGCAAAGUCAGCAUCAGCAAACCUAACUAGAUUAAAAGAAUCACCAGCUGGGUAGAAUAGGACCAGAUCCCCUGUUUUCUUCAAAUAUCUUAGUAUCCUUUUUGCAACUUUUAGAUGUGAAUCUCUGGGACAUGCUUGAAAUCUAGCACACAUUCCAAAUAUCUUAGUAUCCUUUUUGCAGCUUUUAGAUGUGAAUCUCUGGGACAUGCUUGAAAUCUAGCAUACAUUCCAACACUGAACACAAUAUCAGGUCUGCUAGCAGUUAAAUAUAUCAAGGACCCGAUAAUACCUCUAUACAUGGUUUGAUUCCCAAGAGAAUCAACUUUAUCUACUCCUAUUUUGGAAUUGCUUCCUAUAUGAGUGUCUAUAGGUUUAUAAUACAUCAUGUUGAAUUUCUUCUGCAGCUCCUUUGUAUACUUUUCUUGACUGACUGAGGUUCCAUCCGGUGAUUGUUGAUUUGCAGCCCCAAAAAGAAAGUUAGUUCUUUCAUCAUGCUCAUCUCAAACUCAUUUCCCUUUAGAGUAGAAAAUUUUACACACAAAUGUUCAGAUGUAGCUCCAAAGAUAGUAUAUUCCACAUAUACUUGCACAAUGAGAAUUUCUUGUUCCCUUUUCACUAAAACAAGGUGUUGUCAAUUUUCACUCUUUUGAUACCAUUUGUUAGCAGAAAUUUGGACAACCUCUCAUACCAAGCUCUGGGAGCUUGUUUCAGACUGUACAAAGCUUUGUUUACUUUAAACACAUAAUUUGAUCGCUCGACAUCUUCAAACUCAAGGGAUUGUUUAACAUAUACCUCUUCCUUCAAAUCUCCAUUCAAGAAAGUAAUUUUGACAUCCAUUUGAUAAAGCUUGAAUCUCAUAAAAGCAACAAAGUCUAUGAGAAUUCUAAUAGCCUCCAUUCGAGCAACUGGUGCAAAAGUCUCAUCAUAAUCUGGUCCAUAUGAUGGUUCUAUCAGCAAGUCUUGGGACCAGUACCAUGCAUUGAUUCUUUCAAACCGAUGCUAUUCAUCUUGCAUUGAGUUGAUCCAAUAUGCAUCACUCAGAGCCUCUUUCACAUUCUUAGGAUCGAUAGUUGAAAUGAAACCUGAAAAUGCAACCAGAUUUCUUGUUUUUGAUCUAGUUUGCAUACCAGAGUUCAAUGGUGAAAUAAAAUUUUCAAGUGGAUGAGAUGAGUUGUGCUUCCAAGCUGACUUUGACUUUAAAGGUUGAAUUUUAUUUGUGUGAUCUUCUUCAUUCUCAGAAUCAUCAUUUUCAUGAAAAUGAGUUUCUGCUUGAUUUAUAUUCUGCAUAGGACCAGGUCCUUCUUCAGGCUUGUCAUUUUCCUUAGUUUUUUCUGAUGGAUCAGGAUCAACAUUAAUUUCCAAAUGUUCACACGCUUAAGCCUUACUUCCUUCACUUUUCUGGACUUGGAACAAUUCAUUCAAUUCAUCUUCAUCGUUUGAUUCCAGCCUCUUCAGAUUACCGUCUUCAUCAAAUACCACAUGAAUACUUUGUUCAAUACAUUGAUCUUUUGUUGAAUACUCUGUAAGCCUUAAUGAUAAGUAUCCCAUAAAAUUAUGAGGUUCAAAUUUUCCAAGAUCAUCAUUCCCAUUGUUCAAAACAAAACACUUGCACCCAAACGUCCUUAGAUAACUCAACUUAGGUUUCUAGUUGUUGAGAAGUUCAUAAGGAGUUUUUUUUUCAGUAGCGACCUUAUCAAGCACCUGGUAGAAACAUGGCAUGCAGUAUUGACUGCUUCAGCCCAGAAAUUUUGAGGAAGAUUGACUCAAUGAGCAUGGUUCUUGCAAUAUUCACCAAAGUUCUGUUCUUUCUCUCCACCACUCCAUUUUGCUGAGGAGUUCUUGGAGCUAAAAGUUGUGACUUAUACCAUUUUCUAAACAAAAUUCCUUAAUCUUUACGUUUUCAAACUCAGUUCCAUGAUCAGACGUAAUCCCAUCUAUCAGAUAAUUUAGUUUUGUUUGAAUCAUUUUGAAAAACACAAUCAGCACAUCAUGUGUCUCCACUUUUGAUUUUAGAAACCUCGUCCAUGUGAACCUUGAGUAAUCAUCAACAAUCACCAAAAUGUAUUUUUUUUCCGCGUCUGCUUUGAAUUUUCAGAGCUCCACAUAGGUCCAUGUGCAACAGUUCCAAUGUUCUUGAAGAGCUCACUUGCUUCUUUCACUUGAAGGAUGAUCUAGUUUGCUUGCCUUUCAGACAUGCUUCACACACUUUGCUUUCACUGAACUUCAAUUUUGGCAACCCUAGGACUAGGUCACUAGAAGCCAAUUUAUUAAACAAAGAUGAACUCACAUGACCUAACCUUCGAUGCCAUAAAUCAGCAUUUUCACCCAGAGCAAUUAGGCAUGUCAAGUCGUCACCAUGAGAUAUUUCUAGGUUUGCCACAUACAUGUUUUUACAUCUUUGAGCAGUAAGAACCACUUUCUUGGUAGUCAGAUUGACUACAGUACAAGAUUCAAACGUGAACUUGACCUUAUUUCCCUUGUCACAGAUCUGAGAUAUGUUGAGAAGACUAUACUAAUCCACUCACAUGAUACACAUAAUUAAUGGAUUCUUCAAUUUAUUUUCCAACCCUACCAACACAUAAUAUAUACCCCUUCUUUCUUUCACCAAAAGAGACACCUCCCCCUUGAAGUGCCUUGAGCGAGAGGAAAUUUUUGGUGUUCCCAGUCAUAUGCUUUGAGCACCUACUAUCCAUGUACCAACAUUGACUUCUAAUCCUCUCCCUCACCUACAGCAAGCAUCACUUGUUAGACUUGGGAACCAUUUUAGCUUGAGUUCCCAAAAGGCAGAUAAAUGAGUAAUCAAAGUGUUUCUUGCCCAGUGAGGUAAUUUUAAGUCUUUCUUUAUCAAUGAAUUUCGAACAUGACCAGGUCCCCUUCUUGGUACCCUUUUCUAUUUUUUAUAAAUUGAGAAUCUUUCUCUUGAUUCUUUCUAAGCCUCACACUCCCCUCUCAAAUGACCAUUUCUACCACAGUGAAGAGAAAACAAGUUAGCAGACACAUAAACAUACUUACUGUGAGGAUUCUAGAGAGGAGUAAUAUUUAAACUUCCUAGACCCUUUUUGUUGUAGUUGCUUUGACUGUCAUCUAAUGUACAAUGAUGAGUGUCAUAUAGGGUGCCAUGUAAGACGAAUGUUUCCAUUUUUUUUUAAUUUUAUACAAGUUUAAGUGCAUUCUUGUACACACCCAAAAUUAAAUGUCUGAGUUGUCAGAUGAUGCCAAGAUCCAUAUUUAUGUAUUGUGUCAUAUAUUGUGUCCAUCUUCUUAUAGCCAUAUAUCAAAUAUAUACUUCUUGCACCAAUAUGUUUAUCCCCCAAACAAUAAAGUAAAUAUUUAGUUGCCGGGAAAUAAGGCAAAUUGGUGACAUGCCAUGGAUACUGUGACACAUUCUUUUAUACAUAUUACCUCAUCAAUUUUUAUAUGAUAUGAUCAAAACAUUCAACAACUAAUUUUCUAUAAUCAGUUAAUUAACAGAUAAUACUUCAUUUCUCAAUUAUGUCGUGCUUCUGAAACUAUUUUGUUCUGUUGUUGACAAUAUUGAAUCAAUAAAAUUUUAAACACAAUGUCAUCUACAAUGAGAAUUCAUAUAUGCAACCUCAACUUACUUGGUAUUGAAAUGUAAAUACUAGUUUCUAACACCUUGUUGGGAGGCGUACGAUCAUAAAUUUAACUACACACUGGGUAUGGUGUACCUCAGAUUACUCUAUAAUCAUAUUAAAUAUUUCAAAAUGUUCACCUAUUUCUUAUAAUGUUAUAACCACGGUACGGUUUGUAUCAAACUCCACAUGUCAAAUUUCCACAGUUCUCAAAAAUUUGUGCAGAAAAAAAUACCAUUGCAAACAAUAGCCUUUCAUAAACCUCUUCCUGCGAGUUACUUCCAUUUGCAUUUGCAGUCUGAAAUGCGGAAUCUGAAAUUUCUACAAACAAAAAAAAAUUAAGUAUAGCUCAAAUAUUAAGGAACUUCAUGAUUUACAUCAUUAAUAUUUCAGGCAAAUUUUGGGAAAUUGUUAAAUAUUUCAGAUGUUAUAUUUUAACUUCCCUCUAAAUGUACUUGACUGAAACAUUUUAACUUCCAUCCAAACAUAAAUUUUUUUAUUACCAUUCCUGUGUUCAGUCUUUGUUGGAUAAUAUUGUAAUUACAAUUAAUUUUACAAAUCUAUGCCAGUUAUUUCACUAUGGAUCUAUCUACCCCACAAAGGUAGGUUAAGGAAUGCAUACAUCCUACCCUCACUAUCAAAAUCAAUAUUUUCACAUGAAAAAUAAUUUUUAACUGAUGUAUUUCAUAUAAACUUUUACAUAUGCAAUAUAAUUCUUCCCUGUAGGGUAACUGGUUGUCGUUCAUUUUAUGUGACUACGCCCCUCCCCAAACACCACAGACAUCACUAGUAGGAUAUAAGGAGUUGUUUAAUUUGAGAUAUAAAUUACUGUAAUAAUCUCAGGAUAAAAUGUGGGAUUCUUUUAUCCUGUAUUUUGAUGGAGGUAUUAGGUAGUCAUGAGAAUAUUGAUCCCACAAUUUAUACCUUAGUGAUGUGAUAAGUUUUUAUAUACAUGAAGUGAACAGAUAACUUAUCCCUCCCAACCAAAUUACCCCCAAGUAUGUUGUACUCUUUCUAUGAACACAAAAUUGAUAGUGAUCCAAUAAAAUUAAAGCAUCUAUAUCUUUGUUGUUCACUAUUUUUUACCAUUUUUAUAGCCAAGAAAUCCUUGCGGUCAAUGGCGUAGUCGCGCAGAGUUAGAAACUCAUAAGAAAAUGGGUUCACCCUCUAUCCUUCAUCACUUCCUUUUGUUUUUAUUUAUGAGAAGAGAACAACAAUCACUACUCUUCUUAGGGUUCACAAAGUAAAGCUUGUUUUACUCUGUGAACCCUAAGAAGAGUUGUGAUCGUGGUUCUCUUGUCAUAAAAAAAAAUUAAAAUGAAAUGAUGAAGGGUAGAGGCUGGACCCAUUAUCUUAUGAGUUUCUAACUCUAUGGGACUACGCCAUUGACCACGGGGAUUUCUUGUCUAUAAAAAGGGAAGAAUAUAGUAAGAAACUACAAUGACAUAGAUGCUUUUAUUUUAUUGGACCACUAUCAAUUCGUUAUUCAUUGAAAGAGGUCAACAACAUACUCAGGGGUCAUGUGGUUGGGAGGGAUACAUUAUCUCGCUACUUUAUCUACAUGGAUAAUUUAUUCCAUCACCAGGGCAUAAAUUAUGGGAUCAAUAAUCUCAUGACUACCUAAUACUCUAGCCAAAUAAAGGAUAAAAUUAUUCUACCUUUUCUCCUAGGAUUAUCAUACUUUAUACCUCAAACCAAAUAACUCCUUAGUAUUAUACAAUUAGUGUUUUCUGGGGAGGAGUGUAGCCACAUACAAUAAACGGUAGCUAGUUACCCUAUGGUGAAGAAUUAUAUUGCAUAUGUAAAAGUUUAUACUAAAUAUAUAAGUUACAAAUUAUUUUUCAUGUGAAAAUAUUAAUUUUUAACAAUGAGGGUAGGAUGUUUACCGUUCUUAUCCUACCUUUGUGGAGUAGAUAGACCCUCGGCUAAAUAACUAAUAUAGAUAUGUAAAAUUACCUGUAAUUACAAUAUUAUCCAACACAUAGUGCACGUAUAAUGGUAAUGAAUAUUUUAUUUUUUAGGGAAGUUAAAAUGUUUUAGACAAGUACAUUUAGAGGGAAGUUAAAAUGCAUUAACAUCUAAAAUAUUUACAAAUGUCCCAAAUAUUUGCUUGAAAUUUUAAUAAUUUAAGCAAUCUAAAUUCUUUAAUAUUUGUGCUAUACUACAUUUUUGUUUUGUUUGUAGCACUUUUAGAUUCUACAGUUUAUACUGAAAAUGCAAAUGGAGGUGAUUGGCAGGACGAGGUCUAUGAAAGAGUAUUGUUUGCAAUGGUAUUUUUUAUGGUCAAGAUUUUGAAAACUAUGGAGAUUUGACAUGUGAAAAUUUGAUUCACUGGCUAGUUUUAAUAUUAUAAGAAAUAGGUGACUAUUAUAAAAUAUUUCCUAUGAUCAUAGAGUAAUAUGAGGUUUACCAUACCAAGUGUGUACUUAGAUUCAUGAUUGUACCCCUCCCUGCAAGUUGUUAGAAACUGGUAUGUCAAUUGAGGAGUACCACUGCAACUACAUUUCAAUACCAAGUAAGUUGAUGUUGCCUAUAUGAAUCCUUUUUGUAGAUGAAGUUGUGUGUAGCCUUUCUUGAUUCAAUAUUGUCAACAACAAAAAAAAUAGUUUCAGAAGCACGACAUAAUUGAGAAAUGAAGUAUUAUUUGUUAAGUAAAUGAUUAUAGAAAAUUAGCUGUUGAAUGUUUUGAUCAUAUUAUGUAAACAUUCAUGAGGUAAUAUGUACAUAAGAAUGUGUCUCGGUAUCCAUGCCAUGCGACCAAUUUGCCUUGUUUCCCGGAAACUAAAGUCUUUACUUUAUUGUUUGGGGGAUAAACGUAUUGGUUCAAGAAGUAUAUACUUGAUAUAUGGCUAUAAGAAGAUGGACAUAAUAAUCUAUAACAUAAUAAAUAAAUAUGAAUCUUAAUUUGGCGUCAUCUGACAUCUCUUUUAACUUUGGGUGUGUACAAGAAUGCACUUAAACUUGUAUAAAAUUAAACAAAUGAACACGUUCAUCUUACAUGACACCCUAUAUGGCACCCUACUUUGUAGAUUUAAAUGACAAUCUAUAUUUAUUUAUACUAUAUUAUAAACACGAAUUCAACUUAAAAGUUAAAUACUAAAAAUACCCUAUUAAAUAAUCUAACCUCAAGCCAACACCCCUUCCUUAACUGUCAAUAAUGUUUCAUAUUCAAUAAGUAUGUAAGGCUAAAAUUUGUUACCAUAUCGGUGUUCAAUACUAUUCCCAAUAAUAUAACUCAACUCAUAUGUUAAAAAAUAUUUCAUCAUCCUCAAAUUUUGAGAUUAUUACUCAAAACAUUAUCUUAAAAGAGAUUAAAUUCAAAACUCAUCAUGAACCCAUUUGAAAAUCGAUGUUUCCUCUCAUUUUAAAUGUAAAAAUAUUUACUCUUGGGAAUAUUUAGUUCCCAUAUAUUCAUUUUAAAAAAAUGAAAUAUCAACUCUCCUAAUCCUUAUACUUAAAUACUCAAGUCUUAAGUUUUAAAAGAUUGUAAAAUAAUUCUCAAACUGACUUGAAAGAACUUUGAAAGUCUUAACUCUACCUUGGGCAAUGAUUCUUGUUAUGAAGAAUCUCUCGAUGUUUUGAUUUAGUAUAGAGUAGUUAGAAUCUGAAAGGAGUUAAGGUACACUUGAAAAGAAUUUAGACGAAGCAAGUGAUGGAAAAUGAGAGGGGGCAGGCGGCCCAUGCUCUCUGAUGCCGCGGGGCGCCAACCCUUGAACUUAAGAGGGAUAAUUUUGGCUCACUACAAGGGCGGCGCGCCAUCCCUCCUAGCACAUUAAUUGCGGGCCGCACUACCCCUCCCCAAAACGACCCGACAAAAAUUUUCUUUUCGUUUUCCGAUCCUAAUUCACCUAAAUCGAUUAAUUUCUUUAAUUUUUUCUUAAAUUCAAUUACCUAAUUCAAGUACACGAGAAUCUACUCACUUUUCCUCAAGAGCAACCCUCAAAGAUGAAAAUCCUCUCCUCAUGAAUUCAUCAAACUCCAUCAACAAAUCACGAAAACAAAACCUCAAAACAUUCAUCAAGAGUUAAAAUCAUUCAACCUCAAUAACUAAAUUAUGGAUGAAAUUUACAUGAUUGACAUGUGGGUGAGCGAACCCAACACUAUGAAAACCUGCAUACCUUAAUUUAGCAAAAUUCCUCGACAAAUCUGAAGAAUCCUGAUGAAUGCCUUAAACCUUUGCUCUUGAACUCCUCUCAAAAUCCUAUGAGUAAUUUACAGUUGUAAAGAUGAUUAAAAUUUGCUUAUACCUUUAAAUAUUACUAAAAAAUGUUUUGAUUGGGUAAAGAAAAGACCAAAAUACCCCUCAUUAGUUGGGUAAAAUUUCUUUACCUGACUGGUUGACUUCAAAUGGGCAUAUCUCCCUCAUCCAAACUCAAAAUUUACAAAACUAGGUGGCUUCGGAAAGAGGAUUGAAAAAAAUUUCAUAUGAUAUCUUAUGGGCCACCUAACUUAUCAUCUUUUGAAAGUUAUGAUCGUUUGAAGUUGACCCAAAACUCACAACUUAAGUAUAUCUUCAAAAAUUCUUAAUUUGGCUCAAUCCAAUUUAGUUCUUUCUAAAUUUAGAUCUUUGCUAAGGCUGAAUGUAACAAUAAUGAACAAAGGUUACUUCCUAAAGUACAUUCUAUGUGUUUUAUAAGAUGUUUAUUUUGCAUUGACCACAUUUAUGACUUUUUCUUUCUAAUAUAUUAUUUUAUUAUUUAGUUUGGUCAUUGCAUAUCAUGUAAAAUAUUUUUACCAUGAUUUCAUGUAUCUUAUGCAUUCUUAAGAUAUUUGGUACGUGUAAGAGUUAGUGUUUCAAUUAAUUUUGAAAUAAAUUCACCCGUUUUGAAAUAAAAAAUACAUGAAUGUGAGUUGUAACAUUCAUUUGUUUUAAUUCUAUGUUAUAAACAUUUGCAAGAAUUUUUUUUUAAUUCUACGUUAUGGGUUUUUGAAAGAUACGCUUUUUGUUUUCAAUUCAUGAACCUAAUAAAUUCUAUUAAUUAAAAAUCUUUUUCUUGCAAAACUUUUUAUCCUAUAAAUUGAGUUUCCUUUGGUUGAAAAAGAUAAGCAUUUAUAACAAAAGUACUUUCCCUUGAAAACACUUGUGAGACAUUGAUCAAAAGGUGAAAUCACCAAUUCAAGAAUAGAAGAGCAACAUUCUUGAAUGCUACUUGUUUUGUGGCUUAGUUGAGUCCCGAAGAUAGAGUUGUUAUUUAUUCUUCUGAUUGCUCGUGGGAGAGACUCCAACUAUCUUCAAAAAACGUAUUAACGUGCCUCUAUGCCAAGAAAGUUUUAUUUUGUAUUCCUUGUAAUUUUAUCAUUCUUGUUCAUUUGUUCUAACAGUACGUUCCAUGUUCUAAUGCAUAUUUGUGUCUGCAAUGCUUCACUAGUUUCAGGUACGACAAUUCCUACCCCAUACUCGUGGCUAGUUGAUCCUUUUGAGAUUUUGAAGAUUGUUGAGUCCUCAUGAUCAGAGGGCCAAGAAUAUUUUGUUGAUUUUAUUUUUUUUCUAUUUUCAAACUUCUUAUGUGACGUAUGAGUUACCUUCAAAUAUCUUUCUCUAUGAUGUACUAGACUGCCUUGAGACUUGUGUUAUCUUUCCACUUUUGUCAAAAUCUUUUGUAUGAAAUGCUAUCUUUUGGACUCUUUACUCUAUUAUAUUUUUUGAUGUGUGCUAAGUGACUUGAGAAGGGCUUCCCGAGGUUCUAUCAGUCAUAUUACACCCAAGGUCUACUUUGGAUCAUGACAUAUAAUCUCUUUCAAUUCUUACAUUCUUCUUUAGAAUUCUUCUGAUACUUUGCCAGGCUUCUAAGAUUAAUCCAUCAAGUGUACUUAGUGUGAUAUUUGUAACAUUAAAAAAAUUUAGAAAGUCCAUAAAUCUACCCUGAUCUUUCUCAUUAUAAUCAUUUUUAAAAAUAUGACAAAGAAAGAAUCUCUUCUAAUAAGAGAAAUAUGAAUCCUAUAUUGUGGGAUAAAAGUUUUACCAAACAUUAUUACCAAUAAACACGGUAAAAAAAGAAAAAAAAUGGUGAACCACUUAAAAAUGACAAAUAUAACUAUAACCCAGAAAUAUUGAAAUCAUGCAAAAAUGUUGGUAGCAUUCUCACUAAUUAAUGCUUCUGAAACAAAAUUAAAUUAAUAAUAACAAUAAUAAUGAUGAUUAAAUAUUUAAAAUUAAUCUUUAUUAUUUAAAUAUUGUUUGCAUUUUUUCUCUCUUAUGUCAGACUAAAGCUAAAUAUUUGUUACAAAUUCAAACUUAGCCAUCACGAAAAAUUCAUACCAACACAAAUAUAGAGAAAGGUAGUGAGAUAUAUCCACAAAAAUAGUACAAUUUUUGACACAAACAUUUCCGAUGAUAAAAUCAUUUUCUCCUUCUCACAUUUUCAAAUCUCUAUUUCGUGCAUAUUUUUUGAAAAUCUCUUCCCCAUCCAUGGAGAUUCUUCAACAGAACUACCAUAUAGAAGACGAAUCAUGAGAUACAAAAAAACAUACAAUAAUAGAUAUCACUGAGGUGUAUUUUAAAUAAAGCUUGACAAUGGAGAAACCUUUUGAAAACAAUUAUUUGUCUCUCCUUUCAAAAUUUGUGCUUUUAAAAUGAAGUUGUAAAUUCAACAUUAUAUGUUAAUUUCAUUUAUGGUCAUGCACCCGGCCUUCCUAGUGGAGGUAUCUCAUGGUUACGAAUGUUACCCAUCGAUCAUUUAUAUUGAAGUAAGAUUGCUUGCGGACAAUAGUCAUACAUCCACCAAUAGUCAUUGUGCAAAUUAAAUUCAUCGAUAAAAUGAUGUAAAGUUCUUGUGAACUCAUGCACCCCUCCCUGGAUUAUGUAAAGUACUUGUGAACCAACUUAUGCAUCCUUUCCUACAUUAUGUAAAAAGCACUGCAAUUAUUCUUGAUAAAUUCAUUAAAUUUUAUGUGGGAACCAGGCUAAAAAAUUUGAAAUUUCCAUCUCCAAAAUUUUCUUGUUUGAAUCUUUAGAACAUUACAAACAAAAGUCACAUUUUUUCCUCAAAAAAAUUAUGGUAUCUCUUUUUAGUAUUUUCUUCAAUUUAUUUCUCUUAUUUGUAAAGUCUGUUUUUGAAUAAUGAAGAUAUUUGAACCUUACCCUUAGAAAAGAUAAACUUCCGCAUAAAGCUUUUAAAUGUGUCUUUCUUGGAUAUUCUCGUCUACAAAAAGGUUACAAAUGCUUUGAUCCCUCUACCAAUAAGUACUUGAUAUCUGCACAUGCUACUUUUUUCGAGACUUCUCUGUAUUUUUCUCCUAAUACGGUAAAUUAGAAGGUCAUAGUAGUCCUUCCCAUCCAACUAUUCCAACCCCAACUCCACCUCCACCUCAAUACACAUGAUGUUAGUAGAGGAUGAAGAGGUAAUAUAAAUAUCUCUCUAGUGUCAUGGGUUACUCCAGCACACCGGCACAAUUCCGUGACCAGAAUUGGAAACAACAGAGAGGUCUGCUUUUGUUUGUCCCUCAUGUCCAUCUCUUGUGAAGUCAGCAGCCGCGAUUUGAUAUGAUAUGGACAUGAUACAACCAAGGAAAGUUGCCUUAGGAUAGUGCAAAAUUGACUCGUUCUGGGAUGACAUUAUGGUGCUGCUGAUGAUGCCGAACCAGAAUGUAGCUGCAAUGUUCAAAUCCCUCUUCUCAAUAGGGACUCCUACUCUGAUCCACCUCGGGGUGGUGUCAGAAAUCAAAGGAUCCAACCACAUCUUCAGGUCAUAUAUGGACUGAACAAUAGGCAAUCCCUCGACUAACUUUAUCGGUCUAAACUCGUUUGCCUUGUUCUUAUUCUUUGGCACCAACUCCCCAUAAGCUGUGUAAAAUUCCCUAACCCAAGAAAGAAUGUAAGGGCCUCGGGGAUUUUUGAACUGUUCGAACUCAUGGUAGGGGAGGUAUCUAGAACAUUGGGAUAUUUUCCUUCUAGGCCCUCCAUAGACAAUGAUUUGUACCCCCACCACCUUUUAAUAUGUUCAGCAAUGUGGGUUGAAGAAUGGCAGGGAGUGCAGGGGCCACUGGAGGUGCCUGAGCUGGCACUGAAUUUGAUUCAGGAGGGGUGGGAACUAAGAGAAUUCUGGUGGAUGUAGAGAUCUAGCCUGGAAUUGAUUCUUUUGGUUGAUCAGAGGCUUCUCAUCUUAUGGUUUAGAGAAAUCUGCAUCUAUAGCUAUUCCUUUCCUAGACAUGUGCUUUUUCCUUUUGCCUUUGUGUCCCAGUGAGAGUUCUUGCCAUCUAUUUUCUGGGAGAUUUGAUCCCCCUUCGUUUAUCUUUAUGCCUUGCACUUUUGUUUUGGGUGACAUCAUUAGAUUUGUAUGCACUUACCUGUAAUAUAUUUAAAGAAAUUAUGAGAAAACCAAACAUAGUUGCAGAAAUUUUACUGCAGACAGACUCAUUGAACCACUCAGCGAGUCGUUGAACCUCUUGGCAAGAUAAGUUGGGCUCGCCAAAGUGGUUGGCUUAGGGAUUAUGGAAAGUCGGUGAUAGGAAGGCCAUUUUAGCGAAUCUCCAAAUUUUUUCGUGGAGCGAGGGUUUUUCCACCAAAAGUCAUAGUGCCCUAAGGGUUCAGGAGAGCAUGCGAAGGGUGAUCAAGAGUAUUUACGGUGUGUCGUCGAGUUCUUUCAGCGAACCUAAGGCUUCUCACCAAAAGUUACAGACUUACACAUCAUUUUACACGAGAUUAAGGGUGAGAUGGAGACAGUUGGCCAAUAGACGAGCAUUUAGGGGAGAUCGACCCAACUCACCACAAAUUGCCCAACGUGUCUAUUUUUGAGCCAUCUUCUUUAAUUUGACCUUGCAUUCCCGAAACAUGAACUAACAGAACUAAAACAAGACUCAUACUAUCCAUUACCUCGGAUACUCAAGAUUUUCUCAGUUUUGCUAAAUUUGGCCAUUUGACGAUAAUUUAUCUUAAGAAGGGUGUCACCCACUCUAUCAUUGAAUCAUUGAGUCAUUUAGCAAAAACAUGGGUUACUCAGGCUUCACCCAAUUGCACAACCAAAAACAUUUCCAUUCAUUUAGAGACACCAAAAUUACGGGCAUUUAAUGAUCAAAACAUUACGGGCAAGGUUUUCAAAUUUAAAUAGGCAUUUAAAUAUUCUAAUUCUAUCAGAAAGGCGCAGCACACAACAAUACAAUACGAUCAUUGAAAUGAGUACGAAAUUUUCAAAAGUAAACUCAGGGUUUCAGAUAACUAACCAUUUUUGCGAUCAAAAUGUGAUUGAAAAGUUAGGCGGCCAUGCAAUCCAACUCCGAGCACUAAUCAACCAACAAAAAUACUUUUAAAAUGUAAGAAUAUCGAAAUUACUACCUUAGUGUGAGUUUGUGAAGUUUAAAGGCGAGGAAAAGUGAAUAAGUUCAAAUUCUAAAACUUUUGGCCAUUAUAUAACAUCCAUUUUGUGUCCAUUCGGCAAAAUUAUUCGCACUCGCCAAUCAACUCGGAGAUUUUCUUAGUGGUCACUUGCCUCGUCGAGUUUUACACGACCUUCAAUCAAAGUGAGGAUCCAAACGCGAUCUUAGUCGGGUACGCUGCACGGGUUGGUAAUUCAUCGACUGCCCAUUUUACUCGCCAAUCUGUACUUUCCAUACUCUCUCUGCUUUUAAACAUGAACCACUAACACACCAUUAUUUAUAAAAUUAAACUAAAGCAUUUAAAACCUUAAGUUGUCUCCCAAGAAGAAUUUUAGCUAAUUUCGUGGCAUGACGUGAGUCGUUACUCACUCUUCAUUGGUGGGGUUGUUCCUAGUGAUACUAGGUUACCCCAACUGGUCGAGCGGGUUGAGAUGAAGCAAUACAUGACUCAUGAGCGUUUCUAUCUUCUUGAUGGAUCUACAGUGAGACCAAUCAUUUGACUCAACGGUCAUACACUCUAUUUCAUCUAUUCCAUCACUCUAUCAUGUUUAGAGAUCUGUUGGAGAGUGAUCAGUAGUGUGUCCUCAACACGACUGUCCUCCUCGUCUCUAGACCUUGUCUGCUCAUGAGGGGUACAUACCUCCCUUGACACUUGCACUGAUUUUGCACUUCUGAGAAUUUGGUGGCCAAGUCAUUCAGCUGAGUUACCAGUACAACUAACAAGAAGUCACCCUCGACUUCUUGGUUCACCAUAGCAGACUUACCACCACUUUCCUCAGCCACGCUUAAAGUUCCUUCCUUACAACAACUACGCAAAAGGAAAAACAAAACAAAAAAUUUAAAGUUAGUAAAACUACAACUAACAAGAACAAAAAUUCUACUUAACUACGUAUUCUCGCAUAAUACCAAUCCUCGGCGGCGGUGACAUUUUGAUCGGUGAUAUCAUCAAAGAAAUAACAUUCAAAGUAUCUACGAUCGUACCGUAGUAUAGUAACCCAACCAAGGGUUGGGUUCAUUUCCACUGGGAGAGGUUGUGAGAAUUAAUAUAAAUGUAAAAUCUAGUUCUAAUUAGUCGUAGUUAAAGACAUUACCGAUUAAAAACAUAUUAAAUCAAAGGGGGUGAAGCAAGAGUCAAUUGUCAAAUGGGGUUUUUGUCACAAGUAAAUAAAAAUAGUGAAAUUAAGAAAGAGUUCUAAAUAAAGGUGAGGGGGAUUCUGGGAUGUGAUAGGAAUACGGGAUAAACGAGAUUAUCGGGUAGAAUUCAUGGAGUGAUUGUGGCAUAAGCUCUCUCUCGAUGAACUAACCCUCAAAUGGAUUCCUGUCAGACACCCACUUGCCGCAUGAUGCCUAACCUCCACCUUAAACCAUUCACUAUCUCGGGAUGAGUGUGUGGGAAGAAACUAGGGUGAACUCUCUUGAGUUGAAACUCAUGUCGACCCACUCCCACCAGUCAUUAAUUUAGUAGUCUUACUUUCACGAUCUCUCUCUCUAGCAAGUCAAAACACAUAUAUGAGAUUAUAUUAGCAACUAUAACCUCAUUAAAUUCAUCCAGAACUGCUAAACAAAAUCACAUUUAAACUAAGAAUAAACAAUCAUCAAGCAAGACCCAACUACUAAUUUAACCGUAUCCACAAAAUCACACCCAAAAAUUGGAGCUUUAGCUAGACAUGUACAAGAUAUAGAAACUUAUACCAAAAUGAGCUUGCAUUCAAAUGGGUAUGAAGAUUUAAGUCUUGUUACAGGCCAAAAGUGAAGAAUACAAGGUACCCAAGUCCAAAUCCUUGGAGAUGAAACCCUUUGGAUCUUCAAGUUCUUGCAAAACUAUAAAUACUUGGAGAGGGUUUUUUAAGAACUUGAAGUAAAAAUCUGAUAGUACUUUGUAAAGUACGAUAGUUUUCAAGAAAUUUUGAUGCAGUGGAUGACUCGGAGACAUUAGUCCGAAUGGCCGAUUAACUCGGCCUUCGCCCAUUGGUAUAGAUCACCACCGUCUUGCACUAGCCUUCAACAUCAUAGUGCUUUGGAUCAUUGGGCGAUAUAGUACUGCUUUGUGGAACUACUCGGUGAUACGCCGACUGCUCCUUUUCGCCAUCGAUUUGAUCCUUUCUUUCAGGCUCAAUAGACUAGAAAAAAAGGCGAUCUUCAGUCCUAUCGUCGAUUCACCUAGCGGACCCUGCAAUCCUCGUAUCUUCAUUUCUUCGUUUUUUUCAUCCUUUUUGCUCUUUUUUGACAAGUAGUGUCCAUGUUUUGCCUCAAACUAAAUAUACCUGAAACUCAAGGUUAUUCUUUAGUAAUUAAGGCAAAACAAGUAUUUGAGAACACUAUUGCAUCAAAAUAUAGCCCUAAAUGAGUCCAAUAUGUGGAGUCAUCAGCCACCCCUUCCUAGAACAAGCCGACAUAUUUUUCUUCUAGUUUUCUGAUCCUAAUUCGUGUAGAGUUGAUUGAUUUCCUCAAAAUUUUCUUAGAUUCAAUUACCCAAUAGAACAAAACAAGAAUAUAGUCACAUUUAUUCAAGAACAAUCCUCAAAUAUCGAAAUCCUCACAACAAGAAUUCAUCAAACUCCAUAAAUAAAGCAUGAAGAAUGAAGCCUCAAAAACACCCCUCAAGAAUUCAAAACAUUCAACCUCAAGAAAGAAAUAACGGUUGGAAUUUACUUGAUUGGCGUGUGGGUGAACAAACCCCACACUAUGAAAAUUACAUACAUUAAUUUAGCGAAAUUCCUACACAAAUCUCAAGAAUCUUGAUGAUCACCUUCAAUCUCUCCUCUUGAACUCCUCUCAAAACCCUAAGAGUAAUUUAGAGUUCUAAAACUGAUCCAAAUUAUUUUAUACCUAUAAAAUAUAAUAAAAAUUGUUUAAAGUUGAUGGAGUAAGAAAUAAAAAAAAUACUCCUCAUUAAUUCAGGUAAAUUUUCUUAACUGGAAAGAAUGACUUGAAACAAACAUAUCUUCCUUAUUCAAACUCGAAAUUUAGAAAACUCGCUGGUGUUGAAAAAAGGAUUGAAAGAAAUUUCAUUUGAUAUCUUAUGGGAAAUCUAACUUAUCGUGUUCUGAAAGUUAUGACUGUUUUAAAUUGACCCAAAACUCAUAAACUAAGCAUAACUUGUAAAAUUCUGAAUUCGGCUCUUUCUAAUUUAGUUUUUUAUUUCUUAAUUUAGCUCUUUGCUAAGGCGAAAUGUUACAAUAUUGAAAAAAAGGUUACUUUCUUAAGUAUCUCAUAUGUGUUUUAUUAGAUGUUUAACUUGCAUUGACCACAUUUAUGACUUUUGAUUUCUAACAUGUUAUUUUAUUAUUUAGCUUGGUCAUUGAAUGUCAUGUAAAGUACUUUUAGCAUGAUUUCAUAACUUCUAUGCAUUGUUAUCAUAGUUGAUAUAUUCCAUGUUCUAAUGCAUAUUUGUGUCUACAAUGUUUCACUAAUGUCGGGUUCGACAAUCCUUUUCCCCAUGCUUGUGGUUGGUUGAUCUUUUUGAGCUUUUGAAGAUUGGUGAGUCCUCAUGAUCAGAGGGCCGUUAAUAUUUUAUUGAUUUUAGUUUUUUAAGUUCCAAUAUAUUUAUCUAUGAUGUAAUACACUGCCUUGAGGUUUAAAUUAGAUUUCCAUUUUUGUCGAACUCUUUUUUAUGAAAUGCUAUCUUCUGAACUCUUUACUUCUAUUAUAUUGUUUGAUGUACGUCAUCAUGUUAUGCACAGGAUUUACUUUGGAUCGUGGCAUGUAAUCUCUUUCAAUUCGUACAUUCUACUUUAGAAUUUUUCUGAUAUUUUGUCAGGCUUCAAAAAUUAAUCCAUCAUGUGUACUUGGUGUGAUAUUUGUAGAAUGAAAAAAAAGUAGAAUGUCCAUUAAUCUUAUCGUUGUCUUUCUCAUAAUAAUCAUUUUUAAAACAUACGACAUACAGUGAAAGAAUUUGUUCUAAUAAGAGAAAUGCGAAUCCUAUAUUGUGGGAUAAAAUAUCUAUCGAACGUUAGUACCAACAAACAUGGUCAAAAACAAAGAGAAAAUAGUGAACCAUCUAAAAAAUGAUAAAUAUACGUAUAACCAAGAAAUAUUGAAAUCAUGCAAAAACGUGAGUAGCAUUUACACCAACUAAUGCUUCCAUAUCUUAACAAAAUUAAAUAAAUAAUAAUAAUAAUAAAGACGAUUAAAUCAUUAAAAUUAAUUUUUGGGAUUUAAUUAUUGUAUGAAAUAUUUGUUACAAAUUCAAACAUAGCCCUCACGAAAAAUUCACGUCAACACAAAUAAAGAGAAAGGUAGUGAGACGGACCCACAAAAAUAGUACUAUUUUUGACAAAAACAUUUCCUACAAUAAAAUAGUUUUUCUCCUUCUCACAUUUUCAAAUCUUUAUGCCGUGCAUUUUUUAGAGCAUCUCUUCCCUGUCCAUGGAGGUUCUUCAACAAAACUACCAAAUAGAAGACAAAUCACGAAAUACAACAAAUAUAUAAUAAUAGAUGGCAUUGAGGUGUAUUUUAAAUAAAAUUGAACAACGGAGAAACUUUUGAAAACAAAUAUUUGUCUUUUCUUUCAAAAAUUUGUUCUUUUAAAAUGAAGUUAUAAAUUCAGUAUUAUAUGUUAAUUUCAUAUAUGGUUAUGCAUCCGGCCUUUCUAGUGGAUGUAUCUCAUAGAACGUUACCCAUCAAUCAUAUAUAUUCAAGUAAGAUUGACUGCGGAAGAUAGUCAUACAUCCACUAAUAAUCAUUGUACAAAUUAAAUUCAUUAAUAACUUAUCGCCUGUGGGUAAAAGCAUGGUAAUAAAGGGAAAAACACCAGGGUCUUCUAAUAAAAGAUAUAGGAAUGGUAAUUGAAUCAAUAAUGCUAGUUCUAGACUAGAACUUAAAUUAGUUGUGAUAAUAUCAGUUGAUGUGUCUCAUAUAACUUUGAUUUUAACGAGCUUGAAGAGAGGAUGUUAAUAUUGCUUGGAGGAAGCAAUUCCUUAUGUGAUAAAUCAAUAACAUUAGAUUUAGUUUUUUCCUUAUUUCUUACUUUCAUGGGUUAAUAUGCCCGUUUUUAGCUAAAACAUAAAUAAGUGAUUUUUUUACUAUAAAAUAGAGUUGAACAACUUGUUGAAAUAAUUAAUUAUUAGUUGAGUGACAUUAAUGUUACAAAAUAAAAAUUGACUGACUUUUUAAUAUAAAAUAAAAUAUUUUCUUGAAGAAUAUUAUCAUUACUUGAGUGACCAUAAUUUGAAAAAAUUCAAAGUUGAUAAACAAUGUUACUACUCUCUUUGUCCUUUUUCAUAUGAGUUAGUUUGACUAGUUACAGAGUCUAAAAUAAAUUUGAAACUUAUGAUCUAGAAUAAAUAAUAGGUAUUUGUGUCACUAUAACUCAUUUCAUUAAGUAUAAAUGAAUAUUUUAUAAUUAAAUUAUUAUUUAAUAUAAAAUGUUUAGUCUUUCUUGGACAGACGAAUAAGGGAAGUAACUGAUAAAUUGGACAGAGAUAGUAUUUGAGAAACUAUAAAAGAAAAUUUAAGUCCAUAUAUACACUAGGGUUCAAGUUAGAGGGACAAAAGAUUGCUCAGAAUGGAGAUGAGCAUUAAUAAUUGCACUCCAGGUAGUGAGAUUUCUUCUUUUUAUUCCAUUCGUUACCUUUACUUAUCUUUUUUUCUUCUCUUUUGUUAAUAUGAUUUUACACUAUUAGUAUUACUAGAUAUUCCUAGAAUUGCUAUGGAUCUUCCACUGGGAAUGUAGGAUUUGAAAUUUUCCUGUUUGGUUUUGUGGGAUAUCAUACUGGAGCUAGGUUUACUUUAUACGAAACCGGAUGUAGAAAGUGUGGGUUUUGGUAUGAACAAGUUAUUCUUUCAGGAUCUCAUUAGGAUCUGACUGUAAAUUGCAAAUUCAAACGUAAAAUCAAUUAGUUUUUUUGGACCAUUUCCUCUGAUCUAUAUAAACUGAAAACAUGGAUGUCGAACACAACGAACUUGAGUACUAAUUAAAUUUAACAUAAUUGGAAUGAGUGGGUAUCCAUGUCGAAUCACAAAGGAGAAGAUCAGAAUUAGAAAAGAAGCGAAUAGAAGGGAAGAUGGAAGAGAAAUAAGGGAGGAAUUGAUUUACCAGAAGUUUUUUGUUGCAUUUUCCUCCUUUUGCAGUUAUAACAACCUUCAGAUAAUGUGGCAAGAUCCUAAGUCUUAUGCCUAAUUAAUUGAUAUUUAUUCUUGGCCGUUUAUUUGUCAAAUAGUUACCAUCCUUCCGUGAUUCAGCUUCUCAUUAAGCUAUACUAAGUAAGAUCAUUUCAUAUCUCGAAUUAAUUAUCCUCUCAGUACUGUCUUUCAAUAAAAAUAACACUAAAAUCUCGAGUAGUCUCGAAUUCCUCGUACGUCUUUAAUGUAGUGAGGUCUCUUUCGAGUUCUUAGUGUAAGAGAGGCACAUCUUACUUGUACGUAGACUCUUGGAUCAAAAGAAGUGUAAAACUUAAUUGUGAUAACAAUAUUAUCCAACAGAGGUGCACUUAUGAAUGGUAAUCAAGUUUUGUACCGGAGGUUCGUACUUUUAUAAUAGUACUAGUUCUUUGAAAUGUGUAUUACACGUUUCCCCCCUAUUAUCAUAUUAAUUUAUACAUGCCUAAUCUCAUAUUGAUAAUUAUUUAUCAGAUAGUAUUGAUUAUAUAUAGAGCUUAAAUUUCCAUCCUAGAAAGUAAAAGUAAAAAUAAAUACUAAAUGAAAAUUUUUCUUGGUUGAAUAUUAUUUUUGUCAGUACAAUUACAAUAAUUGUUUUAGUGAAGUUACAAUAUCUAUUUAAUAACUAAAUAUAUAAGUUUUGUUUAGUGAAAGUAUACUUUUUUCAUAAGUUUUAUAGAGAUUCAAUCAAUAUGACCUUAUGGUGGAUAGUAUAUAAAUCAUUGUGGAUUGUCGGUAUGUAUUGAGAAUUUACUAUUUAAUAUUUAAUUCAUUAGAUGUUUUAUAACAUUAUUACUUAGAUAAUAUAUAAGAUUAUAUAUAUUAUUAAAAGUGGAUAGUAGGAAUAAAAUGAUAAUUCAACUUUGGAUUUUGGAAUAUUCUGGUUUACUGCUAUUUUUGUUGCCUUUAAAAAUGGUUCAAUGUCUCAUCAUCUAAACAAACAUUUAUAGGAGAUGACAACACAAGCAAACUAUUGAAAAACAUAUAAUGAUAUGAUUAUAUAUAUAUAUAUAUAUAUAUAUAUAUAUUAUUACUAUAUAACAGUUAAUUUGUUUGAUAUUUUAUUAUAUUUUAAUUUAUAUUAAAGACAAAAUUGUCAUCUAACGCUAAAGGUAAGAAGCUCACACUUUUGGUGUAAUACAAGAAUCAUUAGAAAUUGCAUCUCCCAUGAAUUUAAUAUUGGGUUUUAAUUGCCCUAAAUUUCUUACCAUAAAUAGGUUUUCCUUUUAGGAAAAGGAUUUGGAUUAAGUAAUCCUUUUUCUUGUAGGAAAAGGAUUAGGACUCUAUAAAUAUAGGAAUAUUUCUUCUAACUUAAUCAACAUUCACAAUGUAGUCUUAAGGGCUUCGAGAGUUUUGGUUAGCGGGAGAAUUUGUGGGUCACAAGCAUGAUACAUUAUCACUUGUGUGAACCUCCCAUGUAUUCCGAAUGAAUUGGUUGAGGUUGUUUCCCUCGGUAUUUUGUACUCUCAUAUUUAUAGUGGAUUUCUCAUCUCCUUUGUGGACGUAGGUCGAUUGACCGAACCACGUUAAAUCUAUAUGUCUUUUGGUAUAUUUCUCGUUAUCUUCUUACUCGUGGUCUUUCGAGGUUUGCUUUGCUAGCUUCCGCGUUACACCUGCUUAUUUACGGUCAUAACAUUUAAUAGUCUUUAAUCACAAUGAUCCUACAAUUUUGUAUCAAGACCAGGAUCAUUGUGAAAUAUUAUAUUAUAUUUUAUCUUAGAAAAACAAUUAAUAAAUCAAACAGUGCAAAGAUAUGAAUUACGAUGCACUAAAGGAAUUAGAUUUGCAUGUCAAAAUUCUAUGGAAAUUCUUUUUUCCGAUUUGUAGGAUAUAUGUGUAGCUUAUAAUAAGUACUCCUUAAUAAAAUCUCUUUCAACUUAGUGGAGGAAUAUCUUUUGUAUGAUUGACCCUUGUAUGAGGAUGGAGCUAAAGAAAAAAAAAAGAAGACAAGAGCAUUUACAUCCAUAAAAAAUUAUAGAAUUGCUUGAGUCAACGGAGCAGUACUCAACGAGAGGGAGUUGCUCGGAUGGUAAGCACCCCGUACUUUCAACCCGAAGAUUGUGAGUUUGAGUCACCAAAGGAGCAAAAGGGGUGGAAGCUCCUAAGGACAGUUAAAAAAAGAGAAGUACUUCGUCUACAACCCUCAAAUCUUCAAGAUAUCAAGUUCUCAACAAACAUAGCCAAGAAAGUUCAAAAAAUGAAUGUGAAAGACAUCAAAAUUCAAUUCUCCGCCUUCUUGACAAACUUAAAUCCAACAUCACAAAAUCAACAGAAACCUAACUUGAGUAAAGGGUUCAUACAAUGUGUUAGUAGAAGUAGCAAAAUGACACCAACAUUAAAAAACAUAUAACAUAAUGUAACUUACAUUGAAAGUAUAACUUAAGAGGAAGAUUAAAAAGAGUACAAUUUUCAUCAAAAUCUGACAUUGCAUGCAUAAUUAAUGGGUAGUGGAAAAGACUCAACAAAAUUAUUUUUAUUAAUUCACAAUAUUAUUGAAAUUUUAGAUUAGAUAGAUAUGAUUUAAUUAGAUUAUCACUUAAUGUAAGGGUAAAGUGCUAAUCCAAUUUUAAAUGUUGGAGCUUCCCACUUAUAAUAAUACUAGAUUCUGAGAACAUGUCUUACACGUUUGUCCCUUAUUAUUAUUAUUAAAUUUUUAUAUACUAAAAAGUUAAGUAAUUAAAAAGAUUCUUAAAUUAACAAUAGUAAUUUAACCAUUUAUAUUUUAUUCGCUAAAUAAUAACAAAUAUAAUAUGAAGAACAUUAAAUAGAUGAUAUAUCUAGUUAUUUUUUUGUUAUCCUUCUCUCAUUAUCUUUUCUUCUCAUUUUGAAUAGUGUAAUUUCCUUCCUAUGAUAAUAUCAAUCUUAGUAAUUGGUUCUUAAAAAGCAUAUUAAAAAUUUAAUUCUCAAAGUGUUUUUACAUAAAUAGUGGAGAAUGACUCUUCACAUUGAGCUUUUAAUUUUUUAAAAAAAUGUGUAUGAGAAAAUUAUUAACAUUCAAUAAUUAGGCAGAAGAAUAUCACAUUAUCAUAAAUAAAAUAAUAUCUCUAAGUCAAAAGUAGACAUUCUAGUUCGGAAAAUAAUUACUACUAACUAUUUAUGGGUCCAGCUCCAAUCAAUAAUCUAUAUAUGGGAGUUUGACAAUUUUCCAGCUAUAGUUAAAAUUUUACAUUAACAAUAAAUAGCUUAUUAUCACAGUAGAUAAACGUUUGAUGCAUAAAAUUUAUAAAUGCUAAAAGAUUUUGUCAAUGUAGUACAUAUGCAAACUUAUGAUAAAAACACUUGGUAUAUUACAAAACACACUUGAAGUCAUUACCAUGAUUAAUACGUAAAUUAUUUUUAUCAGUAUAUCACAUAUACGUCUUCCUUUUAACCUUAAAAAGUAUUGUACACAUGAUUUAUGAAGAGAAAAGAAUAAUACUCCUUUUUUCAUAACAUUACUCUUUCAAUAAUUAAUAUAAAUUGAGCAAUAUAAACUUUUCAAAAUGACUUAUUCUAGAUAUAUGAUCAAUUUGAGGAAUGAAUGUUCGAAAAAACAAUAAUAGACUAAUAAGAUCAAUAAAUUAUACAUAUAAACGAAAAGUUUAAGUAAAAAUACAACCUCAAAAUCACAUAUAUACUAUGUAGAGUAUGAUCCAUUCUUUAUCUCCAAUUAGGUGGGCCAUUUAUUUUAGUUCAUAUAUAUAUAUAUGAUUUCUCAUUUAGUCAUUAUUCUCACUACUCAUAAAUAAUAAUUUCAAAAAUAUAUUUAUACUAAAAUAGAACACUCUAUCGAGAGCCAAAUAAGCAUGUCGAAUGAACUGAUUAAACUUUCAUUGAUAUGAAUUUCAUCAGUAAUUAAGAUACAUAGUAGAACAUGAAUUGUAUAUUACUAUUUUCUUCAUGUAGGAUACAAAAUAUUCUAAUAAAAAAAACAAAAUCAUAAGAAAAUACAUCAACAUAUAUAAAAAGAAAUAUAUAAUACUUAGGACGGACAAAAAGGAGCGAUAAAAAUAAUAAUUAAUUACUGCACAUACAAAAUGAUUUGCAAAGUUCAUUUUUGCAUGAUAAUAUCUCAUCCUCUUCUUGUCAUUUACAUGAAAAUCAUGCUAGGUAAUUUAUAGAAGUAGCUAUGAUGACCUAUGAGUAGAUAAUUAAUUUGCAUUAAAUUAGUUCAAUGGUUUUAGUCCAUAUCAAAUUUGUUUAAUGGAAAAACUUUUCAAAUACUCCUGAUUUUCACAAUAGAGUAAUUAAUUAUUGAUGUGUACUUGAUUUUCAAAAUAGAGUAAUUAAUUAUUAAUGUGUACCUGAUUUUCACAAUAGAGUAAUUAAUUAUUAAUGUGUAUUUGUUUAAUUAUUUUAAUAUAAGGAUAAAAUAAUAAUUCAACUUUGAGCUUUGAAUCUUCCCGCUUAUAAAAUAAUAUGAUAUGAUAUACUAGAUUUACCGCACGUGCUGCACGUGGUUUGUUUUUCUUAACAUUGAUUCAUGUAUGAUAAUUUGCAUUUUUUUUUGUUUUUGCGUUUGGUGUCAUUUGUGUUGUAGUUUAUUUUUUUCCCUGUUAAACGCCUAACCACCCCCCCCCCCAACCCAAUAAUUAAUUUGACUCUGCCUUAAUCUGUGUAGUCUAUGUAGUGAACAUUAAGCCUACUAAAUUUCCAUUUAAGCGGUCCUUAUGUUAUUUAGUAUUUCCUUACAUUCCUUGACCCCUAUUUUUUUACCACAGGUGGAUUAUGUGUGGCAUCAUUUAAUAGAUGGUCCUAUAAUAUUUCUUACCAUUUUAAACUGGUUAACAUACAAUUUUGUUUUUGAUGGCUACUACCUGUUUUAAUUUAUAUUUAUGUCUGUGAAGUGCAUUCUUCAUGCUGUAGUGUACUUUAUGUUUUGAAUUUUUAUUUUGAAACGCCAGGUUACUGUUUUGUCAUUUACGCCAUGUCUUCUUUACAAUAGUGUAUGAUCAUUUUACUGUAUAUUUACAUAAUUGAAUACUGUCUAAAGUAAUGUCUUAUUUGGUAGUCUUCUAAUGUAGUUCAUAGAGUCUUUUCUUCCACCAAACUAAUUAUUUCAUCCACCAAUCGUUCAUUAGCUUCAUUUUGUGCGUAUGAUUAUCCAUGUUUAAUUAGUUUCCAUGUUUGUAUUGAUGAAAUAUCUCCUAAAAAUUCCCUGUAGAAUAUUUCUUGUGUAUGUCCCUUAGUGCUGCUCUGGUUGUUCAGUCAUGAUCAAUAUUUUUGUUGUUGACAUCGAUAUUCCUCUGGAUAGUGUCACGUACAUUUGACCAUGUGAGAAAACAUGUUGGGAUAGGUACAAUCCAACAAUUGGUAUUGUUUGACCUUGUGCCUUAAUUAUUAUCAUUGCAAAACACGGGCGUAUUGGAAAUUAUUUCCGAAUAAAUUUGAAAGGAUAUCCCUCUUUCUUCGGUGGUGAUAGUUUUAUUCUUGGAACAAACGUUUUGUGGCAUAUUCUCCUGUUGUUAUUUCUGUAUGUAUGACAUUCCUAUCAAAACCUCUAUAAAGCAAUCAUGUCCCAUUGCACAACCCAUUUGAUGGGUCUAGAUUCCUCAACAUCAUAAUGGGUAUGUUUUCUUUUAGGACCAACCAAUCAUAUAUAAUUUAACGAUCCAUCAAUUUUUUUUGUAAUUUAGUUGUAAUUUUUUGUAUAUGUGUUAUGAGUUUAUAUUAUAAUAACAAAUAUGUAUAUUUUAAGUUGUAUUGAUAACUUACCUAUGCGGCGGUAGGCUAUUCGGUGUUAAGGUCUUGAUCUUCUUGAUAGUAGUUGUUUGUAUAAUCUUCCGUCAAAGCUGAUGUAUGUUUUUGUCUCUCCUGAGAAUUUUUCAAUCAUCAAUUCAUUUAGCUUAUCUACAAAUUCAUUUCUAGUUGCUAAGAUGGCCUGUUCUGUUAUAUACUACGCGGAUCUGUAAUUUUGUUCAAGUGUUGGGUAAAUUUCCCUCACCAAUGAUUCUCCUGGAUUUCCAUCAUUACUUUGUUCGACAAUCAUCUGUUGUGGAAUCGCUAUCAAGUUUUCUUUUAUUGUGUAUUCUUCUCUGUUUUCAAUAUGAAGCAAUAACUUACUUAAAGUUGUAUCUUUUCUUUCUCACAUAUUUGUCGUUAGUUUUAUUUUUUCCAUUAAAGGCCAAAAAUAUGACCUCACUAUACUUGCAUCUACCGUCUCUGCUCUUGUAGAUUUUGGUAGUACUUGUCGAAAGUCGCCUCCAAAUACCAUGACUUUACCUCCAAAUGGUGCACCUUUAUCCAUUAUAUCACGAAAGCUUCGGUCCACUGUUUCAACCGUGUGUCGCUUUGCCAUUGGUGCUUCGUCCCAUCUUAUUAAUUUUGCCUGUCUUAUUAGUUUUGCCCCGGCGCCUUGCUUCGACAUGUGUGUCAUAGUUGUCUCAUUUGCUUGUAGUGGUAUGUCAAAUCUUGAGUGUCCCGUGCGCCCUCCAGGCAAUAGUGUGCUGCCACACCAUUGCUUGCACAAGCCAAUGUUAUCAUGCCUUUUGAUCUCACCUUGGCUAGUAGUCCCCGAUAUAGGAAAGUUUUACCGGUUCCCCCAGGCCCAUCUACAAAGAAUAAACCUUCUGUUUCUGAAUUGACCCUUCCUAGUAUUGUAUCAAAAGUUUGUAUUUGUUGUUGAUUCAACUUGGAUUGGGCGUCUGCAUCCUCAACUAACACCUUAACAUUCAUUUCUUCUAUUAUUUCUCUACAGUGACGUGUGUCUAUUUGAUGUAAUUAUUUUUGGGAAAAGGGUUUAAUAUACGCCUCAAUUUUGUCAUUUGGAGCUGAUAUACCCUCCUUAUAAAAGUGGAUCAUAUAUGUCCUUACCGUUAUACAAACGGCUCACAUAUACCCCUAUUGUUACAAAAUGGCUUACAUAUGCCCUUUAUUUAACGAAAGUUAAAAAAUUAGUUUUAAAUUUAUAUUUGUUACUUCUAUUUUUUUAAAAAAAAUUAUUUAGGCGUAUAUAAGAUUAUUCUAUCAAAGAUCAAGGUGUAUUUUAUUUUUUUCAUACAUAAAUUAUUUUUGACUUCUUUUAUUAUAAUUAUUUGAGUUUCUUAUUCUUAUAUUUUUUCUUUGAUUCCUUAGUUUAAAGGAAAAAAUUUAAACUAUUUUUUUCUGUGUUUGUAAUUUAAUUUCGUAUUCGAAGAAAAAAUUUGAUCAUCUACAAUAAAUUUUACAAGAAUAUUAGUGAAACAUAAAUAAAUUUGAUUAUCAAAAUAAUAAUUAUAAAUUAGUCAUUGAAAUAAAAAAAAGUCAAAAAAAAUGUUUGACGAGGAUUAGAUUUACUCAUAUGGGAUUAUAUUUUUUAGAAAAAAAUAAUAAUAAUUUAGAUUAAAAUUAUUAUUUCUUCCAUUUCCAUUAGAGGAAAAGGGUAUAUGUGGGUCAUGUGUCUACAAGUAGGGGUAUAUAUGAGCCACUUUUAUAACGAGGGGUAUAUCAACUCUAAAUGACAAAGUUGAGAGGUAUAUCAGAUCCUUUUCCCAUUAUUUUUUUACUUUUGGUAUGUCAUAUUUGUCGACACUGUCCCAUGCUCUCCAAGUAAUAAUUAAUACUUUUCAAGUUUCUUUGGAGUUGGUGUUCAGUUGUGGUUGAAUGUCUCUUUUUAAAGUCUUCAGACAUCCCCGUAAAAUGUGUCCAAUAGACUUCUCACAUCCAUAGGGUUGCAAUGAACUAAUAUUGUAGCAAACAAACAUCAUAGUGCUUUUGGCAUCUUGAAUGUGACAGCCUCGCGUAAACAUUCUGAAAUGUUGUAAUCUGAUUCUAAUAACCCUCUUUCUUUUGCUGUCUCAUUAAAAGUUAGACACUGCUUUCCAUUAUGAAUUAGUAACUUUUCAAAUUAAGUGGCUCCUCGUGCGUGAUUCAGCAAUAGUCUUUCAUAUUACCUUUCUCCUUCUCUAGAAUUGGCUGUUAUAUUUAGUAUCUUUAUUGUAUGUGAUUAAUUAACAUGGAGAGUAGUUGUAAUUGACUUACCAAUAUUUAUGUGGCCAAUAACCGUGCGUGAUUUUAUUUUGUCCAUAUUUUUGAUAGUGAGUUCCAUGCAUAAUGCUCACGGAACUCUCUGUAAAGAUAAUUGUGAGCCUCCAUGUCUAUAGAGAGCAUCCUGAAAUACUUUGUAAGCAUAGUUUGUUGUACAAAGUCUGAUUGCACGAUAGUUUGUAGAUUUUGCUUCUUCUUGCAGCACAUACAUAUGUUUUAGUAAGCAUAACAUAAAGUAAUGUUCUAUAUAGUGCACAAAUUGUAAUUGUAAAUGUAAUAUUUGUCCAUAAAUUGUAAAAUACUUUUUUUGUUUUUUUGGAAGAUGUAAUUGUAAGUUGAUAACUGCCGGUUGCAUUUCUUUUAGGUUAAAUUCAUAUAUUCUCCACAUAACUUCUGGAGAUGAUACCCAACAUGCAUCCUGGAAACUUUUGAUUUCAUCAAUGAAUUUUUCCUAUCGUCGGAUUCUAUAUGAUGGCACAUUUAUAGUGGCCUUUAUAUAUAUAUAUAUAUAAAGAUAUUUUAUUGCUUUAACUCCUAAGAAGACUUCAACAUUAAUGUAACAGUUAUAUCUGAUCAACAAAUAUGGAUUAUAAGGUACAACCCAUUAAUUAUUCAUGUUCAUUUCACGAACCUCACUUGUUCUCCUGUCAUUUCUUCUUCUGUAAAUCGGAAAUACAUCCCUUCCUUGUAUUGUUUUGUUGUUGAAUGUUCUUUGAUAGUGAAAUUUACAUUGUCCAUUUUUCAUACAUGGACUUGUCUUACGUUUCUCCUCGCAAGGUCCUUGUAUCAUAUGCUUUAUAACUAAUGUGCUUAAUCUUGGAUGUGUGUCUUUUUUAGGGAUUCUUCACUAAUGUAUCUAUUAUACUCAUCUGGAGAUCGUAUCUUAUUUCCUUCUUUAAAUAUUAGAAGUAGGUGUAUAUUUGGUAAGCCUCCCUUCUUGAAUUCUACAACAAAAACAUAUGCUGCGACGGUUCCAAAUAUUUCUUUCUUUAAAAUUUGAUCUUUCAAGUCUUGCAAUUUUUCCCAAAACACUCUAGUCACCAAAUCGGGUCUGUCUUGAGGUAGUUGUCCUGGACACAAUUGUUUUUGAAUUUCAACCCAAUCUGGGUUACAUGUCAUGGUGAUGAAAAGAUCUGGUCAUCCAAACUCCUGAACCAAAGCCAUUGCAUCCAUAUAUCGGCGUCGUAUAUCCCUAGGGCCUCCAAUGAAUGAUCGUGGUAGUAAUACCUUUGUCCUACCUUGUCUACUCUACACUCACUUGCACUAACACUAUCAACAAUACCUUCGAGUAUUUCCCUUCGAUAAUUUGAUUGUUCGAAUCUAUAAAAUUCUAGUCUAGUUCUUUCUAUCUUAAUGUAUAUGUCAACCACAAAUUGCUGCAACAAUAUCCCGCACAUUAAAAGUAUUGAUUUGUCACCAGUUCUUACUUGUAGUCUGUAACAAUACUACACCCUACAUGAAACACAACCUUUGGAUUCACGUCGCAAAGCUACAUCAGUUUUAUAUAAUUACAGUUAGAUAAAUUUUCCAUAUAAGAUAAUUAGUAGCCAUAUAUUUGUUAUUAAAACUUGUAAUAUGAUAGUACAAUGUAUUUAUAUAUUUUUUUGGGUAUAUUGAAAUGUUCUUACCUUGUGCUUCAUUGGCCAACAACCCAGCAGCAGUUGUGGAUGAUAAUCUACCCGAUUCGGAAAUUGUAUUUGUAUGUGUUUGGCUGUUGUUUAUCUGGUUGCGUCAUUUUUGUAUUCCUUGAAACCUCCUUCUCCUUUAGGUAGAAUUAUCGGAUAUUGAAGCGGAUAACAACAACCCUAAUAAUGUUGUACUCGAUGUUUAUUUCCUUAAUGUUCAUGUACAAUAAUAUAUCUUACAAAUGGUGUGUUUGGAUUGUUUCUGUCUACCCAAAUUUCCGCUACCUGAUCCACAUAUGGUCUGUUAUAGACUCGUUUCCAUUUAUGUUUAUUUCAAGAUUUUAUAAGUUUGUAUGUUCUUUUAGUAGGGUGAAGAAUUCUGCAUACGGAUUCCCCUUCAUUAUAUUUCGUAAUUUUGUCAUGACUUCCUCUGACAAAUUGGCAUCUUGUAGUACCGACAUUAUUUUGGCUAUUUCAUGGUCAGUAUUAUAGAAGUAUAGUUGAAAGUACCGUGGUCCAUUCUUGUUUGGAAUUCAGGGACAAAGUUAAUAAUUUUCGUCAAGUUUAGAGAUAUCUUCAAUAUAUUUCAAGAAAGGAAAAAAGAAUAAAAAAUUAAACACACAUGAACUAUCAUUCUUUUGUAAAGUUUUGCAUUUUGAUUAUCAGUUGUUUUAUUUUUCCUACCUAAAUUAUCAUGUAUAUAUGUAUUAAAACACAUCUAUUUGAACAAAUAUCGAGAGUUAAAAUAGAAAAGGGAAUAAAUCCUUCCUAGAAUAUGCUAAUUCUUUGUCCAACUUAACUCCAAAUGACGUGAAAGCAAAUAUGUUAUUAUAUGCACGUAUAUUUUUUCAAAAUAAUUUUGCGUUUGCUACAUCCGCCACAAAUAAUUCAUAAUAGUCAUCUGCGACUUGAUUGGGUGCUAAAUUGACAUAUCCACCUGCGCAACAGAUUGGUGACUCAUAUUCAAACGUCAUAGAAUGACAAUGGUGGCAGUCUUUGUUUUUUUUUUCAAUUUAUGAGUUGAGGCUGGACUGAAGUUUGCAUGUGUAAGCCCUAUAUUAAAAACCAUAAUAAUACAUAGUUGGAGAAUGUUAUUUUAUGUCUAAAAAUCUUUUUUUGUAUACCUUUAUGUAUAGAAAAUAUGAUCAAAUAUGCCUCCGUCAACAUUUGGGUCAGAUAUAGCAAGGCGCUUAAUUUUUUUGCCGCUUCUUCAUUUGUGGUUCAUGAACAUGGCCAUCUUCAAUUUGAUCAGUCGCUGACAUAUUUUUUUUUCCAACUUUUGGAACGCAUUCUCUACAUCCGGCUGUAUUUUGCGCUUGACAUCUGGUGCAGAAGAUGUUACAAUUUGUACCUUUUGUCUGGCAGAUAGUUGAAAGUUGGCAUUAAAAUGACAUUUUGCUCAACAUACCUUUUUCUUGCGGCAAGUUGUAGUGAACUUCCAAUUUUUAUUGGUAGCACUUAUUAAGGAAAUUAGAUAAUUUUGGUCAUGUGUGCAUGGACUUAAUAUUUAUCUUAUUAGGUGUUAUAUAUUUCAUUCAUAAAUUAGUCUUAUAUAUUAUAUUAAUCUAGCUUAUUGCUAUUAUAUUUUUACCAUUUUUGUUAUUUGAAACUGUAUCAUAUUAUUGUAAUAAUAUUCAAACGUGUUAUUGAAGCCUGUUAUUGAAAAUUGAUUAAAAAAAUUAUUGAAUGAUGUGCAUCUAAAUAAUGUCAUAACAACACCAUUGUUUCAUUUUUCACAAAAUGAGAAAGAAGUUUCACAAAGAGUAAAAAAUAACAUCAAUUUGUAUUCAUAGCUUAAUAUAACUGUAUUAGUUUUUAAACUAAUAUAUUUCACUUUGAAAUAAAAGAACUACAUAUUUCAAAUACUUAAAAAAGUUAAAAAAAAAAACAAACAAACUACAUCUUUCAAAUAUAACAAUCAACUAUAACUGAACGGAAUUAUCAUUAAUGGUGUUUAUUAAGUAUAAUAUAGCUUAGUGUGCCAGAAUUGUUUUACGUCUUAUAGGUUGUCAAGUUCUCCUAAUAUAUACAUAAUUGUAUUACAUCUUGCUCAGGAUUUUUGUUGUCUUCAAUGUUAUCUUUUUAUUUACUGACGGAAAUAUAUAUUUAAUCUCCAUCAUACACUAGACCUAAGAAUGUAUGACGAAGUCAUACAUGGAUGAAGGGAAUGCCAUUCUUGUGUGUAGUUUACAGUGCAUGCUAAUUUGUCCCUUGGCUAAUAUGUUCAGUUAAUUAAAGUGAACUUACAGUGUUUAUUAUGCAAUGCGUGACGUUGCUGUGUGACUUUGACCUCUUGCAGGUGGUCUAUAAUGUUAAAAAAAAUAGUAGAUUGUGCAAAUUGAAUUUACAGAUGCUGCGACUAUAUGAAUGUGUGACUUUUUCAUAAUGUGUUGGUAUUGUGUAUCGAUGGAACAAUGGUAUGUGUUGGGUUCAAUAUUCUGAAAUAAACAUAAAAAAUUGAUGAAGGUGUAAACUUUUGGUAUUUAUUUUACUGUGAUGCUGUCAUGCUGGAGUAUAAUUGUGUUUCUAAGAUAGGUGUGUUUAAGCAGUUACAAUGAUUGAAGAGGCAUCUUUUGUAGCAUGUUGCAAUUAUAGACCAGAGAGCUGUGAUGUUCCAGAAAGUUGUGAUUUUUUAGUGAAGGUGUGACUUUUCACUGAUGGAUCGCUGCUCGUGAAGCGUCGUAUUAGUUGGUGCCGUUUCAAUUUUUUUUAUAAUUGGUUUUGAAAGUGUAACGAUUAUGUUUUGCAGGAUUAUAUAUUUUCCUUUAAUGAAUAUUUUUUUUGCACAAUAUGCACAAUGCGGAAUUAUACAUCUUUUGCUCAACAGGGGAUAUUAACUAACGGAUUCCUUAAAUGAUGUUUGUUUAUUGAUCAAUAUCAUAAAUCGAGGUGAUUGUAUUAGAGUAGAAUAAAUUUUAAUACCGUCGCUAUAAUAUUUAGUGAUCGGGCAUAAACUAAAUACAUAUUAUCAUCCAUUCAAAGUCAAAUUUGUUACAAUUAGUAUCGGCUAUUUCUGAUAUUUUAUGCAUACAAACGAUAAUUUAAUCAUAACCAAAGUUGAAAUUCGUUUAAUGAAGUAUUUUAAUCGUACUUAAUAUUGUUUGAAUAUUUCAUUAGUCCUAACAUUUGACACAAACAUCUUUCAUGGGAACUCUGCCUAAUGCACAAGGAAGACGCUAUUUCUAUACCAAUUGAAAUAGCCCAAUUAGGUAGUCAAUAAAUUAUCAUCUGAUGGAUAAAUACGGCAGAGACAGUGGCAGUAAACAAUAUAUUAAGAAGAGUAAUACUUGUAUUUUACACUAACGAAUUGAUUUUUCAUUUUAAUUAGAUAUAAAAUUAGCAAUUAGUAAUUAGUUACGAAGAUGCACAAACAUUGUAUAUGGAGUUAAAGCUCCACAUUAUUUACAUACAUAUUCCAGAGAAUACAUCUACUUUCUAUUGCCUUUUUGUUUCUUUUGUUUGAUUUCAGCCGCUCCUUCUGUGUUUUUCUUGGCCCUCUUCUUGUACAUCCUUACUGAUUUGGCUUUGUCAUCUACAAUUAGUGGCGCUUCGUCUUCCACCUCAUGUAUUUCUUCAGCAAUUAAGCUAUGUCGUGGGCUUGAGUCAUUCAUAUCAAUUUUUACAAGGAAGUUUAAUUGCUUGCCUUUACAUAACACCAACUUGUGGUAGUAGUAACAUUCUUCCUUCUUGAUAAGAUGUAAAGAAUUGGAUUUGUUAGUAGGAAAGGUUGUCAUCACGCUAGAGAUUACACUAAUAAAUGUCUCCUUACAUUUAUUCAACUCUAUACAUUAAGUUCAUACCUUUACUAAGUUUGAUUUCAUGUACUCUUGCACGUUGCAGCCUAAUAUAUAUUUAGCCGCUGCAAAAAGGAUGACUAGAGCCCGUCGCUCUCCAUUCCACACCUCAAGUCGUAAACAAUACCUUCAAAAUAGGUGGCUGUAACUUUAAUAUAAUGUGUUUAGUAAUUAGUAAUAUUGAAUCCCGUUAAAACAAAGUAUAACCUAAUAUUAUAUUCGAAAUUGUGGCUAUUGCUAUUGUUACAAUCGGCAGUGACUUCUAUAAAAUUCACUUUUUUGUGGCACGUUUUGCAAGUCGAGUACCAUGCUCAUCUUUAUUGAGUAUUUCUUCAAUUGUUGCUUUGAACUUGUACAUACAAUCCUACAAAUCGCCAACACAACAUAGUAGAGAAUAUACAUUGAACAUACAAAUGAGUUUAUUUUACGUAUAGAUGAAGUAUAAGUUAGUAUGUACCUCUAAAUCAACGCACAUACCAACUAGAAUUUUGGAUAAUGGAACUUCUAUGGCUCUUCUCAUUACCUUAGUAGGCGUUAUUGAAUGAUCUUUGAUAUCGGCCUUUAUGAUUUCACGUCUAUAUUUGCAAUAUGGUUAGCUGAAGGUAGCACCCAUUUAGAGUUAGGUUUGUACGGUGUAUUGUAUUGUCAUUUUUAUGGUCAUACUAAAAUGCAAGUUUUGAACAAUCAUAAUUGUGAAAAAUAUGUACUGUUAUAGCAAUGUUCAGUAACAGUUGAGAGUCGUGAUAGAUGGGUUGAACUAACAAUUGAGAAUAUAUUUGUGAAGUAUGUAACGUACCAUGCUCGAAGGUCGUUUGCUUUUUGGAAUAUUGGAUUGAUCAAGACGCGCAGCUCACAGAAAUAGUACAGAUCCCAAAUCGGCCUAGUAUGAUAAGAGCAUUUAAACCUUUAGUAAUAAUGACUAUAUGAAGUUUGUAAUUGAUAAAUAUCUAAAAUACACUGUUAAUACCUUUAAAGAUUGAUACUUUGACGUCACAUAAGCCUAGUAUAGGCUUAUCAUCUUGCAGCUUCCCGAGGAAUGCACCAUCAUUUUCAGCAAAAUCUCCCGUAGUGUGAAGGUUGUAUGAUCCAUGCUGGAUUAAUAAGUAGAAGUGGAAAGUAAAUACAUCAUCUUAUCUACAUACACAUGGUAGUAUAUGCAUCAUUGAAACUUACAACUAAUUUGUAACGACUAUUUCCCGUCUUUUGGAAUUGACAUUUUGAAUGAGGGGAUUCAUCGAAACUAAGAUGCAAAUUAAGUCUGGAAAUAUAUUACUUAAAUUAGAGAAUAGAAUAACGUAAUGUGGCAUGACAACAACACAUUAGUUGUGUGGAUAGUCACCUAGAAUAGCACUAUUAGGUAAUUUAUCAGCAUGUUCCAAUGAUAAAAACCCAUCAGAGAAUUUAUCGAUUGAAACUGUGUGCUCAGUCUCUUGUAUGAUUGUGUUUUCUGUAAAGGCCAAUCAAACUUCUUUGUGCACAGAAGAGUAGUUCGGAUUGACGCGAUCUAAGCUGCCUUUGGUGGUGUAGUAACUCUUUUCUGGCUUCAAAUUAAGAAUCCUUCCAUGUAUUAAACAGUGGAGGGAUGGAAUAAGUUCAUCAAACAUGAACUAUUGUACAAUAAAGUAGGUAAAAGUGUCAAUGUUGUUACCUCUUCAUCUACUAAUAUUAUAGUUCAUAAAGUUCAUUCAUUCCUUGAAUUCUUGCAAUGUAUUAUUGAACCCCUUCGAAUAACUAAGACCCGCAUAACCGAGUCAACAAGGUAUUUUGGUAUAUUGUUGAUCAAUAUACUCAGUUUUGCUAGUUUCGUUUCAGUCACCAUUUCAGUUAAAUAUGGAUGAAUGCAGGUACUUAAGGAAAUAAGUGAAACAAUGUUAACAUUGGACAUAAAUAUGUAUGGGCACUCUUGAUGAGGACACCUUGUUGUAAUAGUAUGCAACAUUUGGGGGAAAUUUCCUGGAGUUAAGACAUUAAUAUAUAUAUAUAUAUAUAUAUAUAUAUAUAUAUAUAUAUAUAUAUAUAUAUUUACAUAUGUUAAUAGUAAUAAGAUGUAAAGAUGCGAAGACUAUGUUUUGAAGUAUCCCAAAUAUAGGAAUUUUGUAGGUGCAAAAGGCAGGGAAUUCUGUAUGUGCAGGCGAGGCAGUCGUACUGGUGCAGCAAGGGGGAGGAUCAAAGUGAAUGUUUGGAUUGUUCUUGGAGCCAUUUUUCUGUUGGGAAAACGUGGACAAGCACAAAAGUAUAUAUGGUAAAAGUAAUGGAAAUAAAAUGGGAAAAUAACGACACAAAGAAUUUUACGUGGAAAUUCUCCUGAAUAAGGGAAAAAACCACGGGCCAAGAGGUGCAAUUGAUAUUACUAUAUUAAGGAAUUUUACACAAUGUAGUCACAAAUACAAUAAUCAAAGUGACUACUACACACUGAAAAGGAACAACACCCUUUUGAUUUCCGUCUUACUAAAAUAUCGCUCAUACUCUAUCUUUCUUCACAGGCUAUUUUCUUGUAUAGUCUAUGGAAUACCUCACUUUGCUAUCAAAAUGGUUUUUCUCUCUAACUUGGUGUGUUCUAUAAAUGAGCAAGAAUGCUCUAUUUAUGGAAGGAUAAAAUCAUGCUUAUGUCACUAAAGACAUAUGUAAACAUAGCAAAGUCAAGAAUGGUUGCAAAUCUUACCAAUUUGCCAACUAGCAAAUCUCUUAUUUUCAACUCCAAUUACUAUUCCUUUUUAACAAUUGCUUGUACCAAUUGAAUAGCUAAAGUUGGCUAAAAAUGGGAUGAAUUCAACAAAUCUCCCCCUCUAGUCCCAUUUACUAGAAGAAGGUUUCUUCAACUUCAUUAGAGAGAGCUCAUAACCACAAGUUAUUUGCAUAACUCAAAUUUGUCUUUCGGUAUCAUCUUGGUCAACAUCUCUGCAGGAUUUUCACUUGUGUGAAUAUUUUUGACGUGAAAUGAUUCAUUCUCCACUUCCUCACGAAUCCAAUGAUAUCUGACGUCGAUGUGUUUUGUUCUUGCAUGGUACAUGGAGUUCUUGCUCAAGUCUAUUGCACUCUGACUGUCAUAAUAGACAACAUACUCCAUCUGAUUCAAACCAAGCUCUUGAAGAAAUCUCUUUAGCCAUAUCAUCUCCUUGCCGGCUUCAGUAGCUGCAAUAUACUCGCUUCAGUUGUAGAUAGUGCAACACUCCUGCAACUUUGACUGCCAUGAUAUAGCUCCCCCUGAAAAAGUAAACAAAUAUCCAGUAGUGGAUUUUCUGUUAUCAAGGUCACCCCGAAAAAUUUUUCUUCUCAUUUUCUAACCCUAAUUUGACUAGAAUCGAUUGCUUUCCUUAAAUUUUACUUAGAUUUAAUUACCCAAUACUAGUGCUUUUGAUCCCAUGCACCCCUCCUUGGAUUAUGUAAAGUACUAUUGCACUUAUGCAUCCUUCCCUACAUUAUGUAGAACGCACUGCAAUUAUUUUGAUAAAUUACUUAGAUUUUAUGUGGGACCCAGACUAAAAUUUGAAAUAUCCAUCUCCAAAUUUUUCUUUAUUUCUAUCUUUAGCAACACUACAAACAAAAGUCACAUUUUUUCCUCAAAAAACUUAUGGUCUUUCUUGUUAGUAUUUUAUUCAAUUUAUUUCUCUGAUUCGUAAAGUGUAUUCCCUUAAAUAACGAAAAUAUUUUAACCUUACCCUCAUAAAAGAUAAACUUCAGCACAACACUUUAAAAUGUGUCUUUCUUGGGUAUUCUCGUCUACAAAAAGGUUACAAAUUCUUUGAUCCCUCUAACAAUAAGUACAUGAUCUCUGCACAUGUUACUUUUUUUGAGACUUCUCCGUAUUGUCCUCCUAAUACCGAAAAUCAGAAGGCCAUAUCAUUCCUUCCCAUUCUAACUAUUCCAACCCCAAAUCCACCUCCAACUCUUAAGGUCUAUUCCCAAUGACCUCAAUCUCUUGCUGGACUUGCUAAUAGAGUUGGUAUUUGUAACUCAGAUAUAGGUGCAAAAAACAAUAUAGGUGACUCAUUACCUACUCAAACAAUUUCUUCUGAUUCUAUCAAAGGACUUAUGUGAUGAUUUUCCCAUUUCUCUUCAAAAAGGUACUAGAAUGACUGCCAAUCAGACUCCCAAUUAUUCUUAUUUAAGUUAUCAUCGUUUGUCACCUUCAUAUUAUGCCCUCCUUACUAGCUUAUCAUCAGUCAAAGUUCCUACGAUUGUGACAGAAGCACUGGUUCAUCCAGGUUUACAUCAAGAUAUGAUUGAAGAGAUGAUUGCUUUGCAUGAUAAUGGUACUUGGGAGCUUGUUCCUUAACCCGAAGGAAAAACCAAAUUUUGUCGUCGAUGGGUAUUCAUGGUUAAGGUAGGUUAAGAUUGAGCUGCUGAUCGUCUCAAAGUAAUGACUGGUUGCUAAGGGAUACACUCAGAUUUAUGGCAUCAAUUAUGGAGAUACAUUCUCACAAGUUUUUAAGAUGGCUUAUGUCAGUCUUAUCAUCCUUAUGGAAGCAAUGAAUCAUUGCCCCCUUUUUCAAUUGAAAUAAAAAAUGCAUCCCUACAUAGAGAGCUUUCUGAAGGGGUAUAUAUGGAGAAACCACCAGGGUUUAUUGCUUAGGGGGGAGUCUAGACUAGGUUUUAAACCUUGUCAAUCCCUCUAUCGUCUUAAAAAGUCUCCCAUAUCACGGUUUAGUAAUUUUUGAGAUGUUUUCCAAUAUUUUGGAAUGAUCCGAAAAGAAGUAAUCACUCAGUAUUCUAUAGGCAUUCAUGUCAUGGCAAAUAUAUCUUUUUAGUUAUUUAUAUUGAUGAUAUUUUUAUCACAUGAGAUGAUUAGAUGGUUCAAUUUAGGUUAUGUGUUCUAAUUGGAGGAAAUCUAAAAUCAUGGAAAAGGAAAAAGCAAGUUGCAUAACUCGAUCAAGCGCAGAGGCAGAAUAUCGAGCUAUGGAACUAGAUACGUGUGAGCUUAUAUGGUUAAGAAAACUUAUCCAAGAAUUGAAGAUGCGUGGAGUUGAUACAAAGACAUUCAUUUAUGAUAACCAUGUUUCACUACAUAUCACUUCUAAUGCAGUGUUUCAUGAAAGAGCGAAGCACAUUGAGAUAAAUUGUCAUGUAACUGGUAGAAGAUUGAGUACAAAUACAUCACAACAAGUUUUGCCAACUCAAAAGAUCAACUGGCGGAUAUUUUCACAAAAUCACUUCGAGGAUCCAAAAUUUACUAUAUUUGUGGAAACUAGGAGCAUAUGACAUACACUUUCAAGCUUGAGGGGAGUGCUAAUUAUGGUAUUUUUGGAUAGUGAAGAUAUUAGAAUCUUUAAAUAUGGUAUGGUUAAAUAAUUUAGAUAUGAGAAUAUUCCAUAAAUCUUAAUAAGGUAGUUAGGAGAUUGUGUAAUAUUUUAUUAUCUUCUUUCCUUAUUUACACUAUCUAUAACAGUUAUUUAAUCCCAUCAAAAUGAGGGAAUUAUCAAUCAAUUCAAUUCCCAAUAUCUCUUUGAAUUCACAUUAUUUUUAGUAUGUAAGCAUGUAUCUAUUUGCAUUUAUUCUUCUUCAUCCGCAUUCUUCGCCUGUUACUCUGUUCAAUUGAUUGAACUUCUCUAAAUGGCAUGAACAAGUCUAGUUUCACUUAGGUGUGAUGGAUCUUGAUUUGGCUCUGCUAAAUGACACACCUACUGCUAUUAUUGAUAAGAGCAAUGAUGAUGAGAAGUCUUUUAAUAACUAAUGAAAACAUUAUAAUAGACUGAGUCUUAUGUUCAUGCAAAUGAUUGUCGCUAACAACAUUAAUAGUACUAUUUCACAAACAAAAAGUUUUAAGAAAUACCUAAAGUUUGUAAGAGAAUGUUUUUGUUCUGCUGAUCUCUGGUACGCUAAUGGCUGAACUCACGGCCAUGAAGUUUGAUGGAUCACGUACUAUGCAAAAUCAUAUCACAGAGAUGACUAACACUACAACAAGACCUUGGACUUCGUGAUGAAAGUGGAUGACACCUUCUUAGAUUAGUUUGUUAUGAACUCAUUGCCUCUUGAGUAUGGACCAUUCAAAAUUAACUAUAACACUAUUAAGGAUAAGUAGGAUAUUCGUGAAUUGUCUAGUAUGCUUACUCAAGAGGAGUCAAGACUGAAGAAACAAGGAGGUCAUUCUAUUAACCUAGUGGGUCAAGGAGCUGGUAAAGGACUUCAAGUGAAAGCCAAGAAUUUUAAGAAAAAUAAAGCACCUGCUAAAGUUUCACAAGAUGCUUAUAAGGAACUCAAUGUUGAUGUGUGUCGUUUCUGUAAAAAGGAAGGACACUAUCUCAAAGAUUUCCUGAAACGUAAAGCUUAUUUUGAAAAGAAAGGUACAUUUAGUGCCUUUGUAUGUUUCGAAUCAAAUUUAGUAGAAGUUUCUAUAAUACUUGGUGGCUUGAUUUUGUUGCAACUACUCAUGUAUCUACUACGUUGCAGGGACUCACUACGAAUCCAAAUUAAAAAAAUUCUUGUUCAUGGGAAAUCGCAUGAAGGCUAAAAUUGAAGGCAUAGGAACUUAUGUUUGAUCUUGGAGACUGGACAUCACCUUGAUUUAACAGACUCUUUAUGUUCCUUCAAUUUUUUAGGAAUUUGAUUUCUUUUUCAAGACUUAAUGUUUCUUGAUUUGAUUUUACGUUUGGAUAUGGAUUUUUUAAUUUAUAUAAGAAUACUAUCUUUAUGGUUCUGGUGUUUUUUAUGGUUUAUAUAAAUUUAAACUCAAUUAUAAUUAGACGAGGUUCAGUAAAUGAAAAUUUUGGUUAUUUAUGACUUUGUGGCAUAAACAUUUAAGUCAUGCAUCCAAUGAAAUAUUUAAAAGGUUAGUAAAGAAUGAAAUUCUUCCUAAUCUGAAUUUUAUUGAUCUUAAUAUAUGUUUGGAUUGCAUUAAAGGAAAACAAACCAAGCAUACCAAGAAAGGUACCACACGGAGCACUCAACUUCUUGAAAAUAUACACACUAUUUGUGGACCCUUUGAUGUUCCAUAUUUUGGUGGAGAAAAAUAUUUUAUUACCUUUAUCGAUUUUUCACAUUAUGGAUUUAUCUAUUUUCUGAGAGAAAAAAAAUCAAACAGCGGAUGCUCUAAAAGUGUACGUUAAAGAGGUUGAAAGACAAUUAGAUAAGAAUGUGAAAAUCAUUAAGUCAGAUAGAGGUAGUGAAUAUUAUGAAAAUUCUAAUGAAUCAAAACAAUGUCUAGGUCUAUUUGAAAAUUUCUUGAAAAUGGUGAAGUUGGUGGGAGUGUUGAACGACAAUGUUUGAAAAUUAAUGAGGUAAGGGUUAAUAUUUCAUUUCCCAUGAAUGUACCUAGAGUCGUCAAUAUGGGCUAGGCCUGUUGGGUCGGCCUUGCCUAACCCGGGAUUUAAUAGGGUUAGGCAAUGAUUUUUGGAGCCUAUUUGCGAAAAGGGAUUUUUAACCCGACCUGAAUAAAUCUGCUGAUUUGUGGGGCUUGAGAAAUAUCGAUAUGGUCGGCCCGUGGGACAAUGAAAAUUAACUAAAAAUAUAGUAUAAUAUUAAAAUUAAAAAAUUAAACAGAGUCCAAACUCAAAACAAUUAGAUUAAUAUUUCUAUUUAGAUAUUUAUACUUGUACUUGAAAAAAUAACUUGAUAAGUAUUAUAAAGUAAAUUUUAUUUGUGGAUUUGAUUUAAAAAUAGUAAUAUUAACAUCUUGUAAUAUUGUUUUUGUGGAUAUUUAGGAUAAUAUUUUUAAAGUAUAAUUUAAUAAUUCUAAAAAGAAUAUAAUAUUUUGAAAAGUGUGUUGGCCCGGCAAGCCUGUAACCAUGUACUUGUGAGUUAGACUGGUCAUUUUCCGGCCCACACCAAAAAUUCGCUAGCCUGGACUGACCCAUAAAAUGUCGAAGCCUGUAUGGGAUAGCGUGGGGUGGGCUAGCCCAUAUUGACAACUCUAAAUGUACCUACUUCCUCACCAAUCACAAAUGUUGUUCCACUUGUUGGAGAACACUUAAACAAUGUUCAACGACAUUUGGGUGAACACUUCAAGAAGGAAAUAAUUCACAAGCAUCUGAUGCAUAUGAACCACAAACAAUGUUAUAAAGUAAAUCGUCCAUUUCAGAUCAUUAUGUGAUUCAUUUGUAAGAGUCAGAUUUUGACAAUGAAAUAAAUAAGGAUUUGAUUUCAUUUUCACAUGCCAUAGAAAACAAUGAGUAUGAUAAAUGGAUUGAUAGCAUGAAGAAUUAAAAUCCAUGGAAUACAAUAAAGUCUGGGAUCUCAUUCAAUUACAAAAAGUUCUAAAAUAAUCGAGUGGAGAUGGGUCCUCAAGACAAAACCCGAUUAGAAUGGUAAUAUUGAACGAUAUAUAGCCAAAUUUGUUGUGGAGGGAUACACUAAAAAAAGAGGCAUUGAUCAUAAAGUUACCUUUCACGGGUUUCAAAGAAAGACUCAUUAAGAAUUAUUUUACCUUUUAGUCUUGUAUGUUGAUGACAUUUUACUUUUAGUGGGAGUAAGUUUAAUUUUUUAGUCUUGUAUAUUAAUGACAUUUUACUUGCCGCUAAUGAUUUUGACAUAUUGCAUGAGAGAAAAGACUUUCUCUCUGUGAACUUUGAAAUGAAAAAUUUGGGUGAGACAUCCUAUGUGAUAGGGAUAGAAAUAUUCAGUGAUACAUCACAAGGAUUAUUGGAACUGUCUAAAAAAAAAGGCUUUAUCAAAAGAGUUACGGGGAGAUUUAAUAUGUUUAGCAGGAAUAGUUCCUAUUAAAAGGGAACAAAUUUAAUCUUAUGUUAUGCCUCAAGAAUGAUGUAGAACGAACGGAAAUGAUCUUAAUUCCUUAAUCUUCUACUGUUGGAAGUUUGGAAGUUAUAUGUAUGUUCAAACUUGCACAAGACCGUAUCUUAGCUUUGUGGUUGGAAUGCUACGAAGAUAUCAAAGUAUUCGUGGAAUUGAUCACCAAAAAGAUGCAAAGAAAUUCUAUGGCACGUUAUGAAGCCACAAUUUAUAUAUUAUGACUGCGCUUGAGAUUGUUGACACCAUUACCAAGCUGAAAGUUAUUGUAAUAAUGCAACAAUGUUCUUCGCCACGAAUGAUAAGUAAUCCAAUUGUGCCAAACAUAUGAAAUCAUGUACUUUACUAUCAAGGAAGAAAUUCAGAAAAAGUGCAUCACUUAAGAAUAUUAGAAUUGAUCUCAUGAUUGCAGAUCUUUUAACAAAAUGCUUACAACCAAAGAUAUUUAAAGAGCAUGCUCAAAGAAUAGGUCUUUGUUGUACUUAUGAUUGAUACAUUUAUGAUGUUUUACACUAGCUCAAAUUAUUUUUUUCUUUUAUACUUUAAUGAACAUCUUGUUUCUCAUAAUGGUGUACACAUUAUUGUUAUCACAAGGUAUGUCUAUACGAGAGAUUAUUGUGGGCCAUAAAAUGUUAUAUGUUUUAUAGCUUAUGGACCUUGUAUGAUAAGUUGUUAAUGUAGCAUUAUGGAAGGAAGUAUGUAUAGCUUAAAAUUUAUGUACAACCGCCAUAACUCGCAUUAGUAGUUUUUAUGUUGUGGUAUGUAUGAUGGACAUUAUAGAAGAGAUUUAUUGUGUGUGCAACUAAUGUUCAUUAAAUAUUAAUGUCAUUGGGUGAAGUGGGAGAAUGUAAGAAUUAUUAUUUAUUAUUUCUUACUUAUAACCCAAGUUUACUUGUAAUCCAAGUAAUAUCACAAAUAAUAUUUAAUAAGGAAUAGUCGCGUCUGUACGUUGGCUACUUGAUAGACGUAUCAAAUUAAGUCAUAACUUCUAUAAAUUGAUCCUCCCUCAACCCAUUAGGAUUACCGCAUAUUCUCUACAAUAAUUCUAUCGUUGACUGUUGCGGUAACAUAAAUUUAGGGCAACAAGGUAGAAAUCAAUUUAAGACUAACACUUCCUCUUUUCUAUGUGAUGAUUUCUUCCUCAUCAAGUAUGUGCCCUUAACAAUCUCUAUGUAAAAUUAUCGUGUUCAAGAUCCUGAUAUUACUUUAUAAAGUAUUUAAGCUUACAAUGUGACCAUCAAACUUCUUUUCAAUAAGUAUAUUGAUUCUGUUAAUGUCCUGUGAUGUACUAAUGUGAUCAACUUCUUCGUUAACUAUAUAUGUAAUUCAUUAAUUUUCAAGAUACAAACCAGGGAUAAAGCUCAAACAUAUGGAAAAUGUCCAUUUGUCCAGAUUUGGUUUAAUGGUAUGUAAAUAGUAUGUAUUACUUAUAAAUUUGAAGUUCAUAUUUUUUGCAUUAUAAGUAGAGAUUAUUUUAGAUUGUUUUCUUUUAUUAUUAGGGUCUUUCUAAUGUUUCAUUUCUUUAAUAGGGAAAGCAUGACAAAAAGGUCAUAUGUUAUUAGAAUAACAAUAUUAAUAUACGUAGAUUGUGACAAAGGAUUGCUAGAGUUACGUUGAUACUUUCACUAUAUUGUCAUAUGUUAAUAUCAAGUUUUUCUUCUUGAUUGAAGGGUAAACCUUCCACCUGAUAUUUUAUAUAACUAAAAUCUUUACGAAAUAUUGAGUUGUUAGAUUUUGCAAGUUUACACUAUAUCUAAUCACUCGUUCAAAAAAGAAGUAAUUUUAUAAAUCUAUUUGCUCAUCAAUUUCAGUUUGUAUUCUUAUUGCUUAGAACUUUACGUUUGUACUGCAGUAAUUAGUAUGAUUUACAGUGUAUGUGUAUGCACUACAUGGCUUAUACGUGCAAUGCGCGUGAAGUGUGAAGUUUCAAAGUGCAGAAUUUUAAUGACCCUAUAACAAUUAAUUAGGUGACUUAAAUUCAAUGACACAAAAAAAGUGCAGAAUUUUAAAACUAUCACUAGGUGAUAAAAUAUAUAUUAUUUUAUAUUACAUUAGGUGAUAAUAAUUUCCAUUUAAUUGGCCAGAAAUUUUUAAAAAACUGUAAUAUAUUUUUUUAUUUUAAAAUAAACAGAUCUUUUUUUCAUUUUUUAGUUAAAAUGUAUUAAAUUUUAAAGCGUAAAAAUAUUUAAAAAGGUAAAAUAACAUCGAUAAAAUACCAAUUUUUUUCACCAAAAGCAUUUUUCAUAUGUUUUUUCUGUAAAUCAUAUUUUGUCUUCCUCAAUUUUAGAGACCGAAUCAGUGAUCUUCUUUAAAGUAAAUCUCAUAAACAAUUUUUAUUUUGUUUUCUUAUUUUUCUCAGUAUCUUUCCGUAUUUAAUCGUAAAGUACUGCUUGAACUAAGGUUACAACUUGCCACAGCCCGAGCCUACACAGUGGUUUGUUACCGGUACUCAAUGACCAUGUGGUCUUGAGUGGACCCUUGUCCUGACUUACUUAACUCAGCGGAAGACAACAAUCAAUAUUAUAAUGCUCAAAAGAACUGAACUAAACUGAAUAAUAAGAUAACUGGAAAGUUUUAAAGAUUUAAACAUUCAACUUGGCCAGAGUAGAAACCCAAGUCAUUAACAUAAGAAUGGUAAAGUAAAAAAUAUUGAACUAUUAAUUGUCUAUCUAUGUAGCAUUCUAAAACUGUGAUGGAUACUGGGACAGACCCCUCAACAUCCUAUAAUAAGAGACUGCAAACAAUAAAUGUGUUUUCCAUAAUGCAAGGAGUCUUAUCAUUGACUCCGAGUGAUCAAAUAGAUUAACGAGGCGCGGGAUGAUACUGAUUCUGGUUACCUUCAUUUGCUUCAUGAUACGAUGCAGGACAACAAAUAUCACUACAUUGAAUGUACGAGUAUGCUAGUUGAAAUUCUAAACAACAUAGGCUAGAAAAAGAGUGGAAAGAAACACUUACAUUAGCUUUGUUCAACUCAUGAAUAACAUAACCAAAUAAUACUGACUCAUUUCAACAUAAACCAAAUUUAAAGCAUAUGUAAUAUAACGAAAAAAAUUGUUUGGAAACAUCUUGUGAGUUCUAAAUGUAUAUAAGAAUACUAUAAUUCAUAGAUAUAUGUAAAAUACAUGUAAAUUGAUGUAUAUAACUGUGGGAGUUUGUAUAAUCAAUAAACAUCAUUUAAGAGCUACAAUAAUGAUACAACGAUCUAUCUCAUACUACUAGCGCAUACUAUAUCCGGCCAAAGGUAAAAGAACUGAACUGCUUAAUGGAUCCACUAGUCUACGUUGAAAAGGGUUCAUCUAAAAAGUAUGAAUCUUUUUUAGCAAUGGUGGCUACAUGGUUGAUGUGGGCUAUGAAUUUUCUCAAUUAUCCCCCAUAUCGAUGGACAAUGCUACUUCCAAAAAAUACUGGCUCUUAUUUUUUAAAAACAUAUUGAUUCUGUUGUUUGAGAUUAGUGCUAAAACUACUUAGUUCAAAGACUAUCUUGGAAAUAUCAAAUUCUUUAAUUGCUUCAUUUAGAAAACUAUUUCUCUUUUAACUUAAAACUAGCCCGGAAGCACUUUGAAAAAUUCAAUUUCUCUUCUUUUUAAAUGUGAAAACAUUUUAAGUUCUUUUGAGAAUACUUAGUUCCCAGAUACUGCUUUGAAGGAAUACUUCACUUUACAUUAAACUGAACCAAAGCUUACAUCGUAAAAUGACACUUAAAAUGUUUUUGAGAGACUUAUGAAAACUUCAAAUGAACUAUUCUUUCUUAUCUUAGUCCUUAAUGAAACUGAUCGUUAAUUCUUAAAACAAGCUUAGAGUAUUUGAAAAUACUUGAUGAAAGGACUUAAGGAAAUCUGUAGACUUGACUCUAACUUUUCCUUGAAUUUGGAGCUACGGAUUCAACGUUCAAAAUUUGUGUUUUUAGAUGAUUUAUAUAUGAUUAGAAGUCAUUUAGAGUAGUUAGAAUCACUAGGAAGUGAUAAAAUACCUUGUAGAGUCUUAAUCGGACUGAACUACAAAAAUUGGGCGAAGAACACCAAUUUGAACGCGUUCGGGUAUGCCGCGCCAUAUCCAUAAGUCUGAGGCACCAUUCUGGCACACUGUAGGCACAUCUCCCUAAGACCCGUAGCGUAGAUGGGGUCUGCCACUCCUGAUGCUGCCCAGAUGCAUUUGAACAAUUUUCUUAUCUCAUUUUAUGAUUCUAAAUUGCUUAUAUCUCUAUAGUUUUUUCCCAAACCCUUAGUAUUAUUAGUAUCUUCAAUACAAAAUAUAGCAUAAUCGAAAAAAACCAUAAUUACGAAUCAACUUAACAAUAGGCAAUCAACAACUCAAACGAUAAAAUUUUUAACCAUGUCUUUCAAGAACUUCACUAUUCUCAUUCAACCAAUUCAAAAACCAAAGGAUUGAAGCAAGAUUGGACUGUAGGUGAACUGACCCAACACUAAAAGAUCUCACAUACCUUGAUAUGGAUCACCCCCGAUGAAUUCCACUCGCAAACCUUGGCGUUCUUGGCGAAUCGUUGGCUUUUUCUCAAGUUCUUUUUUUCCUCUUUUCUCCAAGCCCUAAGCGUGAUUUUGAUUUUUUUUUCUAAUUUUAACUAAAACUUAAUUUUUACCCUAAAUAAAUCCUAAAAUUAAAUUGGAAAGUAAUUUAUGAAAAAAGUAUUUUGCCCUUCCUUAAAUCUGGAUUGGGACUUUCUUUACUUCAAUAACCCAAUUUCUGAUAAGCAUAUUUGCCUCAUAUGAUAUCGAAAAUGUGCAAACUCUGCGAUAUUGGAAAGAUAUCUCCCUUCAGCCAGAUCACCACUACCUCUAAGAAAAUAAGGAAAACUGUUAAAUCUUGUUGUCCUAAAUUAGAGUUAUGUUUAAUGUACAAAAUUAUUCUUUAUUAUUCCUUUGGCCUUAAACAUGUCACCUGGAAAGAUGAAAUUAAAAUAUUACCAAAAUAAGAAGAAAAGUCAAUCUUUUUUAAACAGACUAAAAUGGAAAGUGAGUCAUUCUUUUUAAAAGGGUAUUUGAGAGACUCUCUCUCUCUCUCUCUCUCUCUCUCUCUCUCUCUCUAUAUAUAUAUAUAUAUAUAUAUAUAUAUAUAUAUAUAUAUAUAUAUAUCUUAGGGUGUCAAAAGGUUGGUCAGGAUGGAGAUAAAUAUUGAUAAAAAUAAUACUCAAGGUGAUGAUUUUUCUUCUUUUUUUCAAUCUUUAGCUGUACUUUGUUUGUCUUUUGUUUUGUCAAUGAUUUUACAUUACUACUUUAAAAAUUGUUUAUUUUUGAUGUGUGGUUUGUGGGCUAUCACCCUGGAGAAGAGUAUACUAUAUGUGAACCCUAAUUAGCAAGUGUGGGUUCUGGUUGGGACAAGUUAUCUUUUCAGAUCCCAAUUUGGAUCUCACUGUAAAUUGCAUUUUCAAAAGUAAAUCAACUUAGUUUUUUUUGGGACAAUUUUCUAUGAUUUAUAUGAACUAGAAAAUGGAUGUCUAAUACAACAAAUUGAAUAGUAGAGAAUUCUAAGAUAGUGAGAAUGAGUGGGUAUCCAUGGAAGAUCUCGAAUCUAAAUAUAGAAGAAAAGGAGAAUAACAGAAUUAGAGAAGAAGAGAAUAGAUAAAUGAGGGAGAAUUUCAUUUACCCGAAACUUGUUGUUGCCUUCAAAUAACAUGGCGAGAUACUGACCCUUGUGCCUCAUCAAUUGGGAUUUAAUCUUUGUUGUUUAUCUUGUGAAGUAGUUACUCUUGUUUCGUAGUUCAACUUUGAUAUAAGCUAUACUAAGUAAGAUCAUUACAUAUCACAAAUUAUUUAUCUUAUCCAUGAUUUUUAUUCAAUGAAAAUAACACUAUAACCCAAUAAUUAUCCUCGUUUGCUACGAGUUCUUAGUAUAAUACUACAGAUGAGAUCUCUUCGUAGAUAGAAUUUUAGCUUAAAAGAACACUACAACAACUAUGAUCAUUAGUGACAUUUAAUUCUUAAUUGCCGCUAAAUAUGUAUUUUUAGCGGCAAUGGUCACUCUUUGUAUAUGUCCCUAAAGCCUUUAGCGACAUUGUUUCUUAAUGACACUUAACUAAUAUCGGUAAAGGCUUUACCACUCUUUAUUAGUGUUAAUAUUUAAUGGCGCUAAAAGUUGUUUUUGUUGUAGUGGAAGUAUUAUCAUUAAUUGUAAUAAAAAUAUUAUCCAGCUAAUGUGCAAUUAUGAAUGGAAAUCAAAUUUUGUAGUGGAGAUUCAUACUUUUAUAAUAGUAUAGAUUAUAAGAUGGAAGUAUUAACAUAUUACCAAAUACCCAAUAAAAGUGGAAAUCACUUAGCUCUGUUAGACAAGUACAUUUGGAGGUAAGGAUGUGGCGUACUUGUCGAUAAAGGUCGAGAAUCAUAAGGUCUUAGGUUUUAAUCUCAUGGGAGACAAAAAAAACACUAGCUGAUUCAUAAACUGGAAAAAACUAGCCGAUUCUUCUGAUCUUUCAUAGUAUUAGUGAAUAGAGUUAGCUAGUACUUAUUGUUGGUGGGAGGUGCUUGGACUCCACAGACAUUAAAAAAAUUGUAAUAAUAUGCCUGAAAUAUGUAACAUUUGUUGUAAAAUUUUCUUGAAUUUUAAUGAUGUAAGCAAUCAAGUUCUUUAACAUUUGUGUUAUCUUUAAUUUUUUCUUUACUUAUAACACUUUUAUAUUUUAUAGGUGAGAUGGAAAAUGCAAAUGGAGCUGAUUGGCAGGAAGAGGUUUAUCAAAAGGUAUGAUUUGCAAUAGCACUUUUAAUUUGCACAAGAUUUUCAAAACUGUGGAAAUUUGAUAUGUGGAUCAUGAAACCAAGUGUUGAGAUCAUAUUAAAUUAACUCAUGAGAUAAUUUGUUGGUAAGUUUAUAUAAAAGUCUUCAUGGUGUGUCACCAAUUUGUUUUCUUUCCCAGCGACUAAAAUCUCUAAUUACUAGUUUAAGUGAUAAACAUAUUUUUGCAAGAAGUAUAUAUAUGUGAAAAAGGCAUUUGUUCAUUUGCAUUAGUUGGUAUACUUUUUUUUGUUUUUUAUUUUUUAUUUCUUAUAAUAGAUAAUUUAAUGCUUUCGACAUCGAAAAUCAUCCUUCUCUACUUACGCGUCUUGGUUUACUAGCUAGUAAUGCGCUGGAAUAACUUUGAUUUCUCCAAGAAUAAAACAUAUAACAUGCUCUAUAUCUCCAUUUUAUCGUUUUUCACUUGUGAAACAAACAACGUCAUUAUUUCUUUUUGCUAAUACUGUAAAUUAUCACUAACAAACAAAGAACAUUACCCAUAAGGUCACCUAUCAUCUCAGCCACUUUCUAGGAAGCAUAGGUUUCCAACUAGAGAAGAAAAAUAAUUAGGCACCUAUAUUUGUUGCUAGCUUUCUUAGAUCCUAUACGUAAGUCCAAUCUUUGUAUAACGUAUUUCUUAAUCUGUACUAAUGCUAUAUCAAUAUUCACCGAUGAUCCUCUAAAAAUAUUCCAGUUCCUUGCUUUGCAUGUAUGAUAGAUCACUGUUUCCAGUUCUUCCUCCUUGUGCCUUCCAGAACUUUCUGAACCCAUUAUUGGAUGCCAUCUAUUGAUAUUGUUGGGAUAUUGCCCAUGUUGCAGCAAAAAACUCAUGGCUUAAUCCUACUUGAAAAAAGGAUUGGAAUUAUUCCCUUUAUUUGGUUUCCAAUUCUUUUAGGAUAAUGUUGGAAUUGUAAUCGUAUUUGUAGUUGGUUUUGGCUUUGUAAGAAAAAGCACAAUUUUAUAAAUAGAGGAUGGUCUUGAGAGAAUAACUAAUUACUCAUUAAUAUUGUCUUUAAAAGACAUUAGAACAUAAAAGUGAUUUUUUGAGAGAGCUUUCAACAAGAGAAAAGAGAUAAGGAAAAGGGUUCUUUUGCUGCAGUCUUUUUCUCCGACCAGCAACGUUCAUAUUGUGUUUCCCGAUUAAGUAAGCGUUGGAUCCGUAUGAAAUUUGGACUAAAUAUUUCCAACAUAUUGGUGGUUGAUUUGAACGAUGGAGAUCGAAUUCAGAGGUCACAAAGAUCCUGUUUAAGGUCCCGAACAGAAUUUUGGGUUUGGGUGGUGUUUCUUUCUAUUUAUCUUUUGUUGGAAUAGCUAUUGUUUGUUCUCUCUUGACACUUGUUGUGAAUCCAUUAGAAUAUAUUUGUAACCCUCUUAUUGGUAUAGUGAAGCAAUUUAGAUCUUGUCGAUCCCCUGGUGGUUACCUUUGGUUUGAAGGGUUUUUCCACGUCAAACUUGGUAUUCUUUAUUGUUAGAUUUUUUGUUUCAUCUUUUUGUCACAACAAGUGGUAUCAGAGCUAAGGUUAUUGAUAUGGAGGGGAAUAUGAUCAAGAGAGUAUGUCUAAUUGGAAGAAUCUACAACAUAUGGAAAAUCAAGAUGAAAGAUCUAUUGUUCGUGAUGAAGAUAUAUCUCUCGGUUUUUUCUACUCAUAAACCCGAGAAUGUGACCGAUGAAAAUUGGGAAUUUGAGAACCAUCAAGCAUGUGGAUACACAAGAAAACGGAUAGAAGAUAAUGUUCGCAACCAUAUAGUGAAUGAGACACAUGCUAGAACAUUGUGGGACAAGUUGGAGACACUUUACGCUUCAAAAACUGACAAUAACAAGUUGUUCUUGUUAAAACAAUUGAUGACCUUUAAAUACAAGGAGAACAGUCCUAUUCUUUAUCAUAUAAAUGGUUUUUAGGGUAUUCUUAAUCAGCUAUCAGGAAUGGGUGUGAAUUUUUAUGAUUAAAUACAAGGACUUUGGCAUCUUAAUACUCUACCGAAUUUUAGGGAAACUCUUCAUGUUUUUUUUUUAAAUUCUACCACUUGUGGAAAGGUGACUAUGGAAUAUGAAAAGAGUGGUGUGUUGAAUGAAGAGGUUAGAAGGAAAUCUCAAGACACAUCUUCACAUUCAGAUGUUCUAUAUACAGAAGAUCGAGGGAGACAUAAGACAAGAGAUCCGAGGAGUAGAGGUAAAAGCAGAAGCAAGUCAAAAUUUAAGAAUCCAAAUAUUAUAUGUUAUCAUUGUGGAAAGAAAGGACAUAUUAAAAGAUUUUGUAAACAAUUGAAGCAAGAUUUUAAAGAAGGGAAGAAGGAAGAAAACAAUGAAAAUAAUGUUCUUGUUGUUGUCCAAGAUGACCUUCUCUUCGCUUGUGAUAAAGACGUCAUCAAUUUUGUAUCUCAAGAUACAAGUUCGAUAGUAGAUUCUAGAGCCACAUCACAUGUCACACCAAGAAAAGACUUCUUUUCAUCUUAUACUUAUGUUAACUCUGAGAUGUAAAAAAUGGGUAAUGCUGGUGAGGUUAAGGUGUUUGGUGUUGGCACUAUUUGUUUGAAAACAAAUAUUGGUUGAAUGUUGGUCCGUCAGAAUGUCAAGCAUGCUCCAUACAUUCCAAUAAAUUUGAUCUCUGUAGGAAAACUAGAUGAUGAUGGCUAUAAUAAUGACUUGUGUAAUGGCCAAUGGAAGCUCACCGAAGGCUCACUGAUUUUUUAGCUCGAGGAAGAAAACAUUCAAAUUUAUACGUGACACAAGGAUCGAUUCUUGGUGACUCUAUAAAUUUGUUAGAGAGAGAGACUUUAUCAUAAUUGUGGCACAAGAGGCUUAGUCAUAUGAGCGAGAGGGGGAUCACAUGUUUGGCUAAGAACAAUUUGCUUGCUGGUAUGAAACAAAAAAAGGUGAAAAAAAUGUGUUUAUUGCUUAAUAGGGAAACAGAAAAGAGUUUCUUUUCACAGUCAUGCUCCUUUAAGAAAGUCUGAGCUAUUGGAGCUAGUACACUUCAGAUUUGAGUGGUCCUUUCAAAGUGAAGUCAAUAAAUGGUACACUUUACUUUUCUACUUUCAUUGAUGAUCAUUCUUGCAAGAUUUGGGUAUAUCCUUUAAAAUCCAAAGAUCAAGUUCUUGAUGUGUUUAAACAGUAUCAAGCCUUAUCUGAGAGACAAAGGGGAAAGAAGUCAAAAUGUAUUCACACUAAUAAUGGUAGUGAGUAUAUUGAUCCCUUUGAUAACUACUGCAAAUCGCAAGGAAUUCGUCAUCAGAAGACUCCUCCAAAGACUUCUCAAUUAAAUGGUUUGGCAGAGAGAAUGAACAAAACUUUAGUUGGGAGAGGUAGAUGUGUGCUUUCAGAGGCUAAACUUCCAAAUUCUUUUUGGACUGAAGCACUUAACAUUGUUGCUUAUGUUAUCAAUUUGUCUCCUGUUGUUGAUUUUGAUAGUGAUGUUUCAAAUAGAGUUUGGUUUGAUAAGGAUGUUUCUUAUGAUCACUUGAAAGUUCUUGGGUGUAAAGCUUGUGUGCAUGUUCCAAAAGAUGAGAGGUCGAAAUUGGAUGUUAAAACUAAGCAAUGUAUCUUUAUUGGUUAUUGUCAAGUUGAGUUUGGAUAUCACUUUUAUCAUCCAGUUGAUAAGAAACUCAUUAGAAGUCGUGAUGUUGUGUUCUUUGAAGAUCAAACUAUUAAAGAUAUUGACAAGACUGAGAAACUAGAUUCUCAUAUUGAUGAGAGCUUAGUUGAUGUUUAUCCAAUUCUUCUUAUUGAUAUAUCUUUUGCACAGGAUGGAGCCCAAGGUAAUGAUCCAAAUAAUUAUUAGAGUGUAGAACAUAUAAAUUUUCCUAAUUAUGAUGUUGUGGUUGAUAAUCAACCAACUCAUGGUGAGAUAACAACUUCGAAUGAUCCAGAAACCUCUUGUAGAAGAUCUACUAGAGAAAAGCAAAGCUCAACGCGUUAUUCUCCUAAUGAGUAUAUCCUCUUGACUGACAUAGGAGAACCUAAAGGUUAUGAUGAAAUUAUGUAGAUACUCAUUGAGAUAGGUAGGUAGAAGCCAUAAAAGACGAGAUGAAUUCACUUCACGAGAAUGGCACAUAUGAGCUAGUGGAACCGAAAGGUAAGAAAGCUUUAAAAAAUAAAUGGAUAUUUAGAUUAAAUCAAGAUCAACAUGCAUUUGCACCUAGAUUCAAGUCUAGGUUAGUAAUCAAAGGUUUUGGUCAAAUAAAGGGGAUUGACUUUGAUGAAAUUUUCUCUCCUAUUGUGAAAAUGUCCUCUAUUCGUAUGGUUCUAGCCUUAGCCCCAAGUCUAGAUUUAGAGAUUGAGCAGAUGGAUGUCAAGAUUGCCUUUUUUCAUGGUGAUUUAGAAGAGAAUAUCUACAUAGAGCAACCUAAAGGUUUUGUAGUUAAUAGGAAAGAAAACCAUGUUUGCAAAUUGAGAAAGAUUUCGUAUGGCUUGAAACAAGCUCUAAGGCACUGGUACUUAAAGUUUGAAUCUGUCAUUGAAAAUCAGGGAUACAAGAAAACUUCUUCAAAUCAUUGUAUAUUCUUUCAGAAGUUCUCUGAUGAUGAUUUUAUUAUCUUACUAACUUAUGUGGAUGAUAUGAUGAUUGUUGGCAAAAAAUAAAUCUAGAAUUGCAGUCCUUAAGAAAGAGUUAAGCAAUUCGUUUGCGAUGAAGGGCUUGGGGCAAGCAAAAAGGAUCUUAGGCAUGCAAAUCUAUCGAAAAAAACACAAGAAGAAGUUCUCUCUAUCCCAAAAGAAGUAUAUUGAGAAAGUACUCAAGAGGUUCAACAUGACAGAGAAAAAAGUGGUUAGUACACCUCUUGCUAAACACUUUAAGUUGAGUACGACUCAAAGUCCAUCGACUAAUGAAGAGAAGAAUGAGAUGUCGAGUAUUCCAUAUGCUUCCGCGGUUGGUAGUUUGAUGUAUGCUAUGAUUUGCACUAGACCAGAUAUUGCACAUGUUGUUGGUACUGUUAGCAGAUUUCUUUUCAAUCCUGGAAAAGAACAUUGGGGUGCAUUGAAAAGGAUACUUCGAUAUUUGAAGGGUACGUCAGAUAUGGAGUUGUGCUUUGGUAGUGGCAAGUCUGAACUAGUAUGUUACACGGACUCUAAUUUGGGAGGAAAUCUUGAAUAUUCAAAAUCCACUUCUGGAUAUUUGAUCACUUUUAGAGGGGGAGCUAUUUCUUGUCAAUUAAGACUUCAAAAGUGCAUAGCUCUAUCUACCACAAAAGCAGAAUAUAUUGUCAUUACUGAAGGUGCCAAGGAAUAGCUUUGGAUGAAGGAGUUUAUGAAAUAUCUUGAUUUUGAACAAUCAUGAUUUGUCUUAUUUUGUGAUAAUCAAAGUGCUAUUUAUCUCACCAAGCACUCUACCUUUCAUUCGAAGUCCAAACAUAUUAGUAGAAUAUAUCAGUGGAUUAGAAUGGACCUAGAAGAGAAAUUAUUUGAGGUUGAGAAGAUACACACUGAUGACAAUUAUUCUGAUAUGCUUACGAAAGUGGUUAUCGUAGAUAAGAAUGAGUUUUGUAGAAGUGCGGCAGGCAUGCAGCCUGCCAAGAGAUCAUCCACUUGAAGUCUAUUUGGCUUCUUGGCUGGAGAGGAAGUUUGUUGUGCUAUUGCCCAGGUUCUAGCCAAAGUCCCAUGGCCUAAUCCUACUUGAACAAUGAUUGGAAUUGUUCUCUUUAUUUGGUUUUCAAUUCUAUUAGGAAAAGGAUUGGUAUUGUAUUCCCUUUUGUAGUUGGUUUUAACUUUGUAAGGAAAAGCACAACUCUAUAAAUAGAGGAUGGUCUUCAGAGAAUAAUUAAUUGGUCAUUGAUAUUGUCCUUGAAAGACAUUAGAACAUAAGAGAGGUUUUUUUAGAGAGCUUUCAAAUAGAAAAAUAGAGAAGGAAAAGGGUUCGUUUGCUGUAGUCUUUUUCUCCGACUAGCAACAUUCAGAUCAUGUUUCCCGAUUAACAAACCGUUAGAUCAGGCUGAAAUUUGGACUGAGUGUUUCUAACAUCUUGGUGGUUGAUUUUAACCAUGGAGAUCGGAUUCAAGAUCCUGUUUUAGGUCCCUAACAUAAGCUGGGUUUGGGUGGAAAAAUAGGAUCUUGAAUCCGAUCUCCACCGUUAAAAUCAACCAUUAAGAUGUCAGGAACACUCAGUCCAAAUUUCAGCCUGAUCUAACGGUUCGUUAAUCGGGAAACAUAAAGUAGUAAGAUAAUAAAAUCAUCAUCACAGAACUUUUGAAAGAAUACACAAUGAUUUGAAGAAGUUUUCUUGUAUCCCUGAUUUUCAUUGACAGAUUCAAACUUUUAAAUACCAGUUCCUUAGAGCAUGUUUCAAGCCAUACAAAAUCUUACUCAAUUUGCAAAUAUGGUUUUCUUUCCUAUUAACUACUAAACCUUUAGGUUGCUCCAUGUAGAUCUCCUCUUCUAAAUCACCAUGAAAAAAGGCAAUCUUGACAUCAAUCUGUUCAAUCUCUAAAUCUAGAAUUUGGGCUAAGGCUAGAACCAUACGAAUAGACGACAUUUUCACAACAGGAGAGAAAAUUUCAUCAAAGUCAAUCCCCUUUCUUUGACCUAAACCUUUGAUGUGUAACCUAGACUUAUAUCUAGGUACAAAUGUAUGUUGAUCUUGAUUUAAUCUAAAUAUCCAUUUGUUUUUUAAAGCUUUCUUACCUUUCGGUAACUAGCUCAUAUGUGCCAUUCUCGUGAAGUGAUUUCAUGUCGUCUUCCAAGGAUUCUACCUACCUAUCUCUAUGAGUAUCUUCAUAACUUUAUCAUAAUAUUCGGGUUCUCCAUGUCAGUCUAGAGGAUAUACUCAUUAGGAGAAUAACGUGUUGAGCUUCACAUUUGUCUAGUAGAUCUUCUCUAAAAGAGGUUUCUGGAUCAUUGGAAGUGGUUAUCUCAACAUGAGUUGGUUGAUUAUCAACCACAACAUCAUAAGUAGGAAAAUUUAUAUGUUCUACACUCUGAUCAUUAUUUGGAUCAUUACCUUGGGUUCCCUCAUGUGAAAAAGAUAUAUCAAUAAGAAGAAUUUGAUCAACAUCAACUAAGCUCUCAUCAAUAUGAGAAUCUAGUUUCUCAGUCUUGUCAAUAUCUUCAAUAGUUUGAUCUUCAAAGAAAACAACAUCACGACUUCUAAUGAUUUUCAUAUCAAUUAGAUCAUAAAAAUGAUAUCCAAACUCAUCUUGACCAUAACCAAUGAAGAUACAUUGCUUAGUUUUAAUAUCCAAUUUCGACCUCUCAUCUUUUGGAACAUGCACACAAGCUUUACACUCAAACACUUUGAAGUGAUCAUAAGAAACAUCCUUAUCAAACCAAACUCUCUUUGGAACAUCACUAUCCAAAUCAACAACAGGAGAAAAAUUGAUAACAUAAGCAACAAUGUUAAGUGCUUCAGUUCAAAAAGAAUUUGGAAGUUUAGCCUCUGAAAGCACACAUCUACCUCUCUCAACUAAAGUUUUGUUCAUCCUCUCUGCUAAACCAUUUAAUUGAGGAGUCUUUGGAGGAGUCUUCUGAUGACGAAUUCCUUGCGAUUUGUAGUAGUUAUCAAAGGGACCAAUAUACUCACCACCAUUAUCAGUGCGAAUACAUUUUGAACUUCUGCCCUGUUUGUCUCUCAGAUAAGGCUUGAUACUGUUUAAAAACAUCAAGAACUUGAUCUUUGGAUUUUAAAGGAUAUACCCAAAUCUUGCAAGAAAUAUCAUCAAUGAAAGUAGCAAAGUAAAGUGUACCACCUUUUGACUUCACUUUGAAAGGACCACACAAAUUUGAGUGUACCAGCUCCUAUAGGUGAGACUUUCUUAAAGGAGCAUGUCUGUGAAAAGAAACUCUUUUCUGUUUCCCUGUUAAGAAAUAAACACAUUUUUUUACCUUUGUUUGUUUCACCUCAGCAAGCAAAUUCUUCUUGGCCAAACAUGUGCUCCCCCUCCGCUCAUAUGACUAAGCCUCUUGUGCCACAAUUCUGAUAAAAGCUCGCUCUCCACCAAAUUUAUAGAGUCACCAAGAAUCGAUCCUUGUGUCACGUAUAAAUUUGAAUGUUUCUUCAUCGAGCUAAAUCAGUGAGCCUUUGGUGAGCUUCCAUUGGCCAUUACACAAGUCACUAUUAUAGCCAUCAUCAUCUAGUUGUCCUACAGAGAUCAAAUUUAUUGGAAUGUCUGGAGCAUGCUUGACAUUCUGACUGACCAACGUUGAACAAGUAUUGGUUUUCAAACAAAUUGUGCCAACACCAAACACCUUAAACUCACCAACAUUACCCAUCUUUUACACCUUAGAGUUAAUAGAAGUAUAAGAUGAAAAGAAGUCUUUUCUUUGUGUGACAUGUGAUGUGGCUCUAGAAUCUACUAUCCAACUUGUAUCUUGAGAUACAAAAUUGAUGACGUCUUUAUCACAAGCGAAGAGAAGUCCAUCUUUGACAACAGCAACAACAUUAUUUUCAUUGUUUUCUUCCUUCUUCCCUUCUUUAAGAUCUUGCUUCAAUUGUUUACAAGAUCGUUUAAUAUGUCCUUUGUUUCUAGAAUGAUAACAUAUAAUAUUUGGAUUCUUGAAUUUUGACUUGCUUUUGAUUUUACCUCUACUCAUUGGAUCUCUUGUCUUAUGUCUCCCUCGAUCUUCUGUAUAUAGAACAUCUGAAAGUGAAGAUGUGUCUUGAGAUUUCCUUCUAACCUCUUCAUUCAACACACCACUCUUUGCAUAUUCCAUAGUCACCUUUCCACCAGUGGCAUGAUUUGUUAAAAAAACACGAAGAGUUUCCCAAAAAUUUGGUAGAGUAUUAAGAAGCCAAAGUCCUUGUAUUUCAUCAUAAAAAUUCACACCCAUUCCCCAUAGCUGAUCAAGAAUACCCUAAAACCAUUUAUAUGAUCAAGAAUAGGACUGCCCUCUUUGUAUUUAAAGGUCAUCAAUUGCUUUAACAAGAACAACUUGUUAUUGUCAGUUUUUGAAGCGUAAAGUGUCUCCAACUUGUCCCACAAUGUUCUAGCAUGUGUCUCAUUCACAAUAUGGUUGCGAACAUUAUCUUCAAACCAUUGUCUUACAUAUCCACAUAGUUGUUGGUGCUCAAAUUCUCAAUUUUCAUAAGUCAAAUUCUCGGGUUUAUGAGCAGAAAAAAUUGAAAGAUGCAUCUUCUUCACGAACAAUAGAUCUUUCAUCUUUCUUUUCCAUAUGUUGUAGUUUCUUCCAUUUGGACAUACCAUCUUGCUCAUAUUCCCCUCCAUAUAGAUAACCUUAGCUCUGAUACCACUUGUUGUGACGAAAAGAUGAAACCAAAAAUCUAACAAUAAAGAACACCAAGUUUAACGUGGAAAAACCCUUCAAACCGAAGAUAAACACCACGGGAUCGACAAGAUCCGAAUUGCUUCAUUAUACCAAUAAGAGGGUUACAGAUAUUCUUCUAAUGGCUACACAACAAGUUCCAAAAGACAACAAACAAUAGCUACACCAACAAAAGAUAAAUAGAAAGAAACACCACCCAAAUCCAGCUUCUGUUCGGGACCUAAAAAAGGAUCUUGCUGACCAUCGAAUCUGAUCUCCACCAUUCAAAUCAACCACCAAGAUGUCAGGAACACUCAAUCAUAAUUUCAACACAGUCCAACGGUUAGUUAAUCGGAAAACACGAUAUGAACAUUGCUGGUCGGGGAAAAAUACUAUAGCAAAAGAACUCUUUUCUUUCUUUCUUUUCUCUUGUUGAAAGCUCUCUCAAAAACCUCUCUUAUGUUCUAAUGUAUUUCAAAGACAAUAUCAAUGAGCAAUUAAUUAAUCUCUCAAAACCAUCCUCUAUAUAUAGAGUUGUGCUUUUUCUUACAAAGCCAAAACCAACUACAAAUAGGAUUACAAUUCUAAUCCUUUUCCUAAUAGAAUUGGAAACCAAAAAAAAGAAUAAUUACAAUCCUUUUCCAAGUAGGAUUAGGCCAUGGGCCUUUGGCUGGACCAUGGUCAAUAGCCCAACAAUAACGUGUAGUAAUGUAAGAAAUCAAGUUAUAUUAUUUGUUCAUCCAACCUAUUUCUGUACUAUUUUAGGAUUUAGUAGCAAAAGAAAGACCAAUAAUUCAGCUGAGUAUGAAAUACAUUGAUGUUAGGAGGUUAUAAAUGUGUGGUUAUGUAAGAAACCAACUUGUAUUAUUAGUUCAUCUAACUAUGUAUGUCUUAUUUCAGGAUUUAGUUGUCAACUACAUCUUUAUUAUUUCAUUGUUUACCCUUGUUUUUUACGACAUUGAAGAUAAAGGUGUAAAGUGAAAAAAUAGUGAUUGCUAUUAAACUGUGUUAUAUCUUCCAACUAACUUUACAAAAGUAUGUUUUAAUUUCUCCUGGUUGGGAUAGUCUACAAUCACAUUAUGGAAGUUGUAUUCUUGAUGUAAGUACCAAGAAGCUAAAGGAAGCAAAUAUCAGUUACUUGUUUUACCAGAAUUUUAGUCUUCCUCUUCUACUUCAAUUUUAACCUUUUCAUCUUGAAGGUUCUUUUGUGAAGAUUCUGUAGUUUGUUCUCUAUUGCAUCAUAUAGUUGAUCUGAUUAUCCCUAACCAUAUGGUAAUGCAUUAUUGACAUUUCCGGAAUUGAGUAAUCAAAAUUUGUAAUGCAAAUCAAGUAUAUGAAGGAGAUUUAUUUAUCAGACCUCAAUGAUUUAUACGAGAAAAUUGAUCAUCAAGUGCAGCAGGUAUGUCAUCAACACCCCCUUAAGUGCUUCAUCAUAGUUCCAAAUUUUGGUUCACUCCCUUUCAAGUUUCGUCAAAAGGACGCACCAUCAUUUGCAUAUUGUAUUCUAUUGGUUAUUAGAAACUCCUUCAACUGGGAACUGAUGCAGAGAGCUCAAGGCACUACAUUAUCAUUUUUGCUUCUUUAAUUUGGUUCCUUUCCUGUCGAUUGUCAUCUUUAGAAACAGUUCUUGCAUAGUUAUAAAGAGGCUAAUAUCUUUUCAUUUCUAGCAUCUGCAUUAUUUGUUUGUGUUGAAGCAUUGUGAAUGAUUGUAAAGUGGAGGUGGUAAUGCAUGGAUAUCAUAAAAGAGUGUUUUCACAUGUAAUUUCUCUGUGUUUUUUUUUUUGCUUUCGGGGAUGGAAUUUAGGCCCCCAUAGUUCUUCGGCCAAGGGCUAUAAUCAUCUGAAAAAGCACUUGAAUGAAUAUUAUGUUGAAUUGUGUAAACCUUGAGAGCUAUGUUAUGUGUCUCUUUAUGUCAUUUCUUAAACUUUACUCCCUUUUUCGUUGCCGUUGGAGGUACUUGAAGCAUAAAUUUUUAAAGUUUGCUCCCUUUUCGUUGCCGUUGGAGGUACUUGAAGCAUAAAUUUUUAAAGUUUGCUAAGGACAAGAAAAAGGACUGUGACAGAACUGAUUUCUUUUUACUGAUUUUAAGCAUAACUCUCUUCAAAAGGAGAACAUUGAAAAGCUCAAGAUGUUCAAAGUGACACUGGAACACAUUAUGCAUUUCUCGUGGCUUAAAAAGCAGGACAUUCAACUUUAUCACGGUUGAGAAGAAAAGUUUCUCUCUAAGGUUCAAUUGGGAACGCAGCGUGACUUCUUCUUCUCUACAGCAGGGGAGACUUCAUCAUGAUAACAUAAGCUCAUUUAGUACACAAAGUGGAACGAACCUCGUACAGGCAAACCUCAAAUCCGUACAGCAAAAUUCAAGCGUCCUGCCACAUUUACUUCCUAUACAGCUCGUGCAGCAAAUGAUGCCGAACAAACAAUUAAAACCUCUGUGCAACCGGCUGCUGAUACAGCAACAACUUCUUCGAAGUCAGCAGUUAAUGGAACAUCAGCAAGCUAUGAACUCACUGCAGCAGUUAAUGCAACGGAAUAAUUUCACCAACUUGCAACAUAAAUCCUUGUCUGGCGUAUAGAAAAAUAUCAACACUCAGCUAUACAUGAUAAAUUCAGUAAAGCCUGGUUUCAAUUUCGAUUUGGGACUGAGUAAUUCUUUGAAGUCCCCGCAACAGCUGUCUACUGGAUUUUUGCAACAGCUGUCUACUGGAUUGAACAAUCUUCAACAUGGUAACAUAAGCUCAUUCAGAACACAAAGUGUAACGAAUACCAUACAAGCAAACCUCGGUUCUCUACAGAAAAAUUUGAGUGUCUGGCAGAGAAUGUCGCAGAGCCAGCAAAUGUUGCAGAACCAGCAAUUAAGACAGCAGUUACACAAUCGGCAUAUGCAGUAGCUACAUUUUCAUAGUCUGAAGUUAAUUCAACAGCAGCAAGCAAAGCAAAAGUAGACCACACUAUUGCCAAUCCACCAGAUGUCGCAGCUUCAACAGCCUUCCAUGCUGCUUGAGCAACAACAAUCUCUUGAUGGAAGCAUUCCAACAAAACAAUAUUAUCGAUUUGCAAUAUGAUUGUUUGGAUAAUUAAAUUGUUUAUGAUUGUGCACUCGUGAACACUCCCUUAUUUAGAUUAUGUGAAGUACUGAAAUUAUUUUGAUAAAUUACUGAAGUUUUAUUGUGGCAACUUAGGUUGAAAUUCGAAAUAUCCAUCUUCAAUUUUUUUCUGUUUAAAUGUUUUGCAACAAUUUUACAAAGGUUCAAAAUUUUUUUUGUGGUCUUUAUUUUUUAAAAAAAUAUAUUUUCUUGAUUCGUAAAGUUUGUUUCCUUAAAUAAUUAUACUAUUUAAAUUGGACUUCAAAUAAAAAAAUUUGUUAUACUAUCUUAAUGAUAGUUAUUGUUCUUUUUGUUCUAAGAUCUCAUGUGUUCAAAUUAAUAAUCCCUUGCCAUAUAUGAAUCUUUUUAGUUAUUACUAAUUGUAUCUCAUACAUUGUAUGAACCCUCUAUCUUAAGGACCAAUAUUGUUAUUAUCCCUCGUUAUUUUAUAUACCUAGAUUUUUGACAUGUGCUUUGCACGGGAUUAUCAAUUCAAAAAAUUUAAGCUAAGAUUUGAAUGAUAAGCUUAGCACAAAAUAAUAAUACAGAUUCUUUUGUGAAUGUUCAAUGUAGAUCGUCAAAUAUAUCUCUUAUUAACACAGACCUAUAAUGAUGUUCAGUGAACAAUUUUAUUAAUUAAAUGAAAUAAUGUACAUAUUUAUUUCAAUUUGAUGAGGUUGAAUCAUGUAAGUAGUAGUAUCUUAACAAUAAUACUUUAUAAACGAUAUUUGUUGCAUGUGUUCUUGUCAUCUAAUCUGAUGUGUUUUGCACGUGUAUUCAACAUAAUCUUUUUAUAUGUCAUAUGAACAUGUAGAGAUGUCAUUUUAUUCAUUUAUAUUCACAUAUUUUUAGAUUAUCGUGAGUUUUAUUUUUAAAAAAUCAAAAAAAUUUAAAAUAAUAUAUUUUGAAGUUAGAAAUCUUGUUAACUUGAUAAUACAUUUGUAACAUAUAUAAAUGCUGAAAUAUGAAAUUUUUUCUUCGAUGAAAAUAUUGAAAUAUUAAGAAAGAGUAAAUUAGUAAAACUAAAGGAUAAUUUUUACAUAAUAAUAAUUAUUUUUAAUCAAACAUCCUUACAAUCCAAGUCACAUAAGUAGUGGUAAUAAAUAAAAUCAUUCUUUAGUCUUGAGUAUCAAGAGAGUCAUAUCAUACAUAUGUGGCGCCACCAAAAGCAAGAAUUUCCUUUUAAAUUUAUUUAUUUCCAAAAUUAGCCUUCCGCUUUGAUGAAAAGAUGUGACUUUUAUGAAAAUUUUGUCAAAGUGGCAACAUUGAUGAAAAGUUAUGACUUUAAUGAAGAGUUGUGAGUUUUAUGAAAAGUUGUGACUUUUAUCAAAAGUUGCGACUUAAUCAAAAGUUGCGACUUUUAUGAAAGGUUGUGAAAUUUCUGAAGGGUUGUAAAUUUUCCAAAUAAUUGUAACCUUUGUGAUAAGGCACAAUAAAGAUUUGUUUACACUACCAUUUAGCAUCAUAUAUUAUUAUAAGUAGGAACCUCCUAACCCUAAAGUUGAUUUACCGUUUUUCCCCUACUAUAUGAAUUAAAUAUUAAUUUAUCAAAUACAAAUAUUAGUUAAAUAUUAAAUUUUUAUAAAUUGAAUUAGCUGUCAGACCUAAUUUUAUUCUCCAGAAAUGUAUAGUUGUUCAAGCUUCCUCAGUCAUUGUAACGACCCUUUUUCCAACGGUCAGUCUCCAUUGCAGCUAUUCCAAAACCUAGAUACUUCCUUGGUCUAUACAAAUAUCUCCAACAUCAUGUCAUUGUUCCAUUAAUUUGCUUUUUUCUGUGUCUCAAUUAUGAAGACUGAAUGUUCAUUUAUUAAUGAAGGCAACAAGUUAUUAAAUAGAGUUACAAUGAAAGUAAUAAGACUCCUAAACGAACUGAACUAAAGUAAUCUAAUUAAAUAAUAACUGCUGAACUAGUAAGACAAUCCUAAUACGACUAAACUACUAACUGGCGUUCUACGACCAGAUAUUCUAAUAUGCCCCCUCAAGUUAGACGAUGUGUCACUAAGCCUAACUUGAACAAAUUAGACUCAAAAGUAGAUUUAGAAAGUGCCUUGGUAAGGGUGUCUGCUAUUUGAUCGGCACCAUGGACAUGAACAACACGAACCCUUUUAAUUUUUAAAAAUAGUGGCGAACAAAGUGAAAGUCCACAACAACGUGCUUAACACGACUAUGGAGGACAGGAUUCUUGCUCAAGAAUGUGGCUCCAAAAUUGUCACAAUAAAUUGUUGGUAGCUGAUGUACUGGAACACAACUCAUUUAGGAGAUUGGUGACCCAUAAAGUUUCAGAAAGUGCAUUAGCCACUGCCCUGUAUUCGGACUCAGUGGAGGAUCGUGAGACAAUAUUUUGCUUUUUUGAUGACAAACUAAUCGGAUUGUUACCAAGAAAUAGGAUGUAACCAUAUGUAGAAACUCUGUCAAUGAUGUCCCCACCCAAUCUGCAUCAGAGUACACAUGUAAAUUGAAUUCAUCAAUGGGAGUAACGCAUAGGCCGAUUUGAAUGGUACCCCGCAGGUAUCGAAGAACACGUUUUACAGCCUUCCAGUGAAGGUCUGACGGUGCUUGCAUAAAUUGAGAAAUCUUGUUGACUGCAUAGGCUAUGUCAAGUCUAGUGUAGGAUAGAUAUUGAAGCCUAUCCAAGACUCGGCGAUAACGUGUAGCAUCAGCCAAGUGAGUUCCAUCAGAUAAGGUAAGUAACUCAGAUGCACUCAUGGGCGUGUUGACACUCUUGCAGUCGGUCAUUAGUUCAUCAUUCAAAAUUUCAUUCACAUAAUUUGCUUGGGUGAGGAUUAUACCGUUGGAGCUGCGUAUCACUUCAACACCACGAAAGUAGUGAAGAUUACCUAAAUCUUUAAUAGAGAACUUAGAAGCAAGGGAAGUGAUAACUUGAUUGACAGUUAAAGUAUUGCUCCCAGUGAUAAUAAUAUCAUUGACAUAGACGAGGACGAACAAUGUAUCACCUGCACCAUGUCUGACAAGUAGUGAGGCAUAAGAUUUUGUCUUAACAAAGCCUAUGGAUGAAAGAUAACCCGUGAGGGCAUUGUACCACGCCCGAGGAUCCUGUUUCAAGCCAUAGAUUGCCUUACGUAGCCGACAUAUAUGCAUUGGUUUGUCAUCACUAGUAAACCCCGGAGGUUGUGCCUUGUACACUUCCUCUUCCAGGUUGCCUUGGAGGAAGGCGUUAUUGACAUCUAGCUAGCGAAGGUGUCAGUUGUGACGAACUGCCACAGAGAGGACGAUGUGAACUGUGGUGGGCUUGACGACUAGGCUGAAUGUGGCAUGAAAGUCAACGCCUGGCCUCUGAGUAAAGCCUUUUGCAACUAGGCGCGCUUUGUAUCUGUCGAUGGACCCAUCAACAUUUCUCCUGAUCCUGAAAAGCCACUUGCAAGAUACAAUGUUUUUGGUCGGGUCAGGAGGAACAAGUUCCCAAGUCUGAUUUUUAAUUAAAGCAUCAAAUUCAUGUUUUAUUGCAUAACGCCACUCUGGAUAUUUUUGUGCUUGUUUGACAGUGGUGGGUAUGACAGUGGAGUUCAAUUUGGCUAGGUAAUCCAAAAUCUUUUUUGGUUUUGUGAUAUUAUUUUGGGGUCGAGUGACAGCACAGGUAAGAGGAGACGAACAUUGAGGCGGAGAAUGUGGGAGUUCUAUCUCGUUGGUAGGACAGGCUGGUUGAGGAGCCAUAUGUGUUGGUGGGUUGGUGUUUCUACGGUGAUAGGCAAGGAGAGGAGACAAGCUGCUUUGUGUGUUAGUUGGUAUCGGCGUUUGAGAGGUUUUAGGGAGGCGUGGUAGUGCCAAACGUUAGGCAGUAGAUAUAGAAGAGGUGUUCUAGGAAGCAGGAAUUAUUGAAGAUGAGGAAGAAAAAAAUUUACCUUGAGAGGUGAAUCUGUUGCGUCUGCCGCUGAUGCAUCAUCGGAUAAGGACUGCGAGUUUGAGUUGUCUCCGGACUGGGAUGGAGAGGAAGCAGAUGGUGAUGGAAAAUCUGUAAUAGUGUGUGCUGCAAUUUCUAAUGGAGUUGGCAUAUCUGUAACUAUGGGAAGUUUGGGUGUGGGGUUCAAUGAACUUGGCAUUGUUGGUGUUGCCCAUUCAGGUGAGUUGAUUUACUGGCAACGUUGGAGAACAAUGUCUUAAAUGGAAAAACAUCCUCAACAAAUUGCACAUCUCGAGAUAAGUAAACCUUUACAGAAAUUGGAUCAAAACACUAGUGACAGUGAUGGGAUGGUGAGAAUCCAAGAUAGAAACAUGGGUUAGAUUUUUAUUCAAGUUUAUUUUUGGAGUAUGUUUUUAGCCAUAUAUAACAUAAACAACCAAAAAUUCGUAGGGAGUUAUAAAUAGGUGAUUUUCUAAGUAAUCUUUGGAAUGGGGAUUUAUUAUCGAGGUGAGAGGUUGGAAGACGAUUGAUGAGGUAGAAAGUGUGAUGGCAUGCAAAAGACCUGAAUUGGGGUGGGAGAGAUGCCUCAUGAAGAGUGUUCUUGCAGUUUCGACAAUAUGGCGAAGUCGUCGUUCUGCAAGUGCAACUCGUUGGGGCGUAUAGGGAGGGGUAGAGAGGUGUUGAAUGCCGUGAAGUGAAAGAUAGGAGUCAAGCUUUCAUACUCACCUCCACCAUUAGUAUAUAAUGAUAAAAUUUUAGUGUCAAGAUGUUUUUCCAUCAUACGACGAAAUUUCUGAAAGAUAUCUUUAACUUCACUUUUCUUUAUUAGUGUGUAAAGCCAAGUGUACUUCGUAUAUUGGUCAAAAAAAAUACAAUAAUACAAAUUUUUAUCAAGAGAUAAGACUGGUGAUGGCCCCCAUAAGUCACUGAAAAUAAUUUGAAGUGGUUUAGAGCUACACAAUGAUAAUUGAGUAAAAGGAUGUCGAUGAGAUUUAUUAGAUAAACAUGAAUUACAAUGAAACAUUUUGUCUCUCUCAUGAAACGGUAGCGAGACUUUAUUCAAAAUAAACCUAAGAAAUCUAGAGUGAGGAUGACCAAGACGUUAGUGCCAAGUAGUGAGAGGGCUGGAUGUGAAGAUAAUGUGAGCUUGGGGAUGUGAGACAGGCCACUCAUAUAGUCCAUUGUUAGUUCGACCGUGCACCAGUGGCUACCAUGUUUUCAGAUCCAUCACAACAAAGUUGAAAGGAAAAAAUUCAAUAUACUUAAGAUUGUUUUGAGAAGAUUUAGAAAUAGAGAUAAGCUUGUGUUUGAUGGAAGCGGCAAACAAAGUGUGAGUUAGCUUAGAAACAUUAUUUGAUGCAUUUAAUUUAGAAGAACCAGUGUGAGAGAUAGGAUUUUUGUUACAAUCACCCAUGGAGACAUCUUGGUUACCGCGGUAUGGUUGUAGGUUGUGCGGCUCUGUUGUGAUGUGAUGGGUGGAUCCUGAGUCAGCUAUCCAGGGAUUGGUCUCCGUUGUAAGCCCAGCGGCAUAGAUGGCUUUUGCUUCAAAGUGAUUAUGAGAUCUCGAGCGGCAACAUUGGCGGUGUGGCCAAUUUCGUUACAUAGUUGACAGCGAAUAAUACCGUUUGGAUUUGAAUUGGAUUGGCCUUGUGGUGGAGCGCUUGGACGCAAGUUCUGGCUCCAUUGUUGAGAGUUGCUGUUUUGUCUACGGUUGUUGCAAUUAUUGGAGUUGAAUUUAGUGGGAGUAUCAACUGCAGCAGUGAUGGUACUAGAUAGUUUCUUAUCAUCCUCGUGGCGGAGGAAGAGUUCAAAUUCUAGUAACUUUUUAAAUAGUUCCUCAUAGGAGAUAGGUUUAUCGCGUGCACGAAUGUCAACAGAUAUUUCACGAAAUUUAGGACCUAGACCACUAAGUAUUUUGACAAUGAGUUCAGGAUUGGAAAUAGGAGCACCAGCAGUGUCUAACUCAUCCGAAAAGGACCGAAUAGUAUGAAUAUAUUAAGUAAUGGAACGAGAGUACUUAGUGACACAGGCAAGCUGAUCACGCAGACUGAAGACUCGAGUUUGAGAUUUGUUCGUAUAAGUGGUAUGCAAGGCAUCCCAAGCUGAUUUAGCUGAGUCAGCGGCUGAAAAAGUAGGAGAAAUAGUGGGUUUGACAGAAGCCAUGCGAGCAUUCCGGAUGAGUUGAUCCUGAUGGAACCAAGUUAAGAAGACAGGAUUGGGAGAGAUAUUCGUGCCGAGGGUAUUCGUGCGACUAGGGGACGGACUGGUUCCAUCGAGAUGGCCAAAGUGGUUGUAGCCAUACAUAAGCAUGGAAAAUUGGGCUUUCGAGGUGGCAAAGUUUUGACCACCACUUAGUUUGAUGGGUAAUUGGGAUGCGGGAUUAAAUUGAAUGAUAACAUUGGUGCUUGUCGUGUUAUCAACAUUGACAACUCUGGGAUUGUUGCCAUUGUUGUUGGUCAUUGUUUCUAAUGUGCGUGAGGAGAAAAGAAUACGGGAUAGUACUCUUUAGAGCGUGAAGAGACCUGAUACCAUAUGAAGACUGAAUGUUCAUUUAUUAAUGAAGGCAGCAAGUUAUUAAAUAGAGUUACAACGAAAAUGAUAAGACUCCUAAACGAACUGAACUAAAGUAAUCUAAUUAAAUAAUAACUGCUGAACUAGUAAGACAAUCCUAAUACGACUAAACUACUAACUGGCGUCCUAAGACCAGAUGUUCUAAUAUUAAUCUAAUAUAUCUAUCAUUGGCAGGUAAAAAUAGAAUUUUCCUCCUUAUUUAUCAAAAGCUACUCUAUAUUCCCUAUUUACUAUGAGUCCUUCUGUAUCUUAUUUUUUUUCAUCUAUUUAUUAUUUUUAACAAGUUGGAUUCAUGCAUUGUUGUAUGUUUCUGCAUGUUCAAAAGCCAAGCAAACUCAUUUUGCUUUUCUGUAACGUUAUGCAUUGAGCAGCAGCCCAACAUAUAUGGAAUUACUAGGGAAAGCCCAUGGGAAUAGAAGUCGAACAUGUGCAAUCAGACACAUAUUGCAUGAAUGGUGGAAUCAAAAGCCUAAAAACACGGUACAUGGUUUGGUUCUAUAAUCUGCCCCAAUAUUUGUGUGUUGGGAAAUAUGGAAGGAAAGUUGCAGUUGCAAAUAUGGUGGCAAGAGAAGCUUAAACAAACAUAUGAUGACUCAACACAUUCUCUGGAAUAUCCAAAGUGCUAUGAAUAAGGCCAGCCUUGACAUUACCUUAGAUCACAUUUUGUGAAAAUCUUCUCAAACUAGAACCAAUUGUCAAAUGUGUAUCCAUUUGCUGGUAAUUUCCUAUAAAUGGAGCAUUGAAAAUGAACACAGGCGCGAGCUAUUGCACACUAUCUGGAAGAUCGGACAUGGGAGGUAUCUUAAGAGAUGAUUUGUUAUGGCAUUCUCUUCUUUCUUGGAGUGUGGCAGCAGCUUAGAGGCAGAGCAUUGGCAGAGCCCUCAAGGGAUUGGAUUUACGCAUUUCAGCAACUUUUUCUAGGAAUCGACUCAAUUCUCUACCAGAUGAUUGAAGGAAAAAGACAACCCAAUUACAAGCUCAAUUGGACAAAAGUCAAAUGCUAUCCAUUAGACUCAUAUACGACAAGGUGAAUUUUUUUGUUAGCUAAUUUACUUUCUUAUUUGUGCGGGGAUUUAAGUCAUCAUAUCCUAACCCUCCGUUUGAAAGGAAAAAAGUUUUAUCCAUUGUGUUGUAUGUUGAGGUAAGUCCAAGCCCUCUUUUUGUACUUAUUCUCAUGCUAUAGAACACUCCUGCUAACUAGCCGAAAUUUAAUUCAAAAAAUAGUUUCAACUACCUGAAUUUUGAAUUAGUUGAAAUACAAGUUACAUAUAAUCUAGACUUUAGAUAUACUCCUUUUUGUUAUUGGCUUUGUUCUUUCUGGUGAUGGCGUGAAAGUGUGUGAGGUUAUUAAUUGGUGGCUUCAUAAAUGAUCCGUAAAUUAAAAUGUACAUAAGUUGGAAGUUUUCGGAGAACUAUUUAUUUCUUUGCUUGGAAGUAUUUUUUUGGUGAUAAUAAGUAAUUCUUGAUGUAGUCAAGCGGCUACGCUGGGUUAACUUCUUUUAACAAGUCGUUUGAAUGCCUAUAUUAGUAUGUGGGAAUUGCUAUUUUUUCACCAUUAUUUCAUCCUCAUAUUCUGACUAUCUGUAUUUACUCAUUCCACUUGCAGUUCAAUAGUGCCUUGAGUAUUAUUAAGCACUUAUAUCUUGUUACGGUAACAUCUCCUCUUAUCCUAUUUUAUGGGUUGUAAUAGGAAUAACUACUCAAAGAUGUCAUUUUACUAAUUAAAACUCUUACACAAUGAGAUUGGUAUCACAUAAUGAUUGGAGGAACAAUAAGCAUGAUACAACUUAACAAUGCUUACACGUGCAGCUCAUGUGUCCAUGACUAGUUGUCUAUAGAUAUAGUGGGAUUUCCUCUCAUUUUUAACAACGGAAAUCCCGAUCUUCUUCUUCUUCAUGCGCAAAAUUAAAUAUUUGUGUACUUUGUUCCUGUUGAGUAAUUUACUAACACCAUUAUUUUUACAUCAAUAAGUUGGUGAAUAAAAUCGUCCAUCCCGAGAGGAUAUAUAGCUUUACACCUCUUGUAUUGGAGGGGAAUAGUUUUCUUAAAGGAGACAUUGCGCAGUAAGUGGAGUCAAUUUUUUCUUUCUAUUUCAUUCUCUCUUUACAUAUUUUGGUGUGUUUUUUACACUCAAAAUUUUAUGCUUAUGAUAUUAAUUGUUGUUUUUGAGUACAUAUUUUAAACUCUAUUGUUUAUGUUUCUGCAAAGUUAUUAUCUCCGGUUAGAUUUAAUGUAUACACAUAUUGUACGUAUACUCGUUAUGCAGAAAAUAAUUAUUGUACUCCCUUUCAAGAAUUCAUGGGUUGAUAUUCUAUAUUAAAUUCUAUAACUUAAAAGUACUAUAUAUAACCUUAAAUCUUAUCUAUUAUUACAAAUAUAUGUUUCUCACUUAUCAAUUAAAGAAAAUCAUUAUGCAACUUCAAAAGUUAUAAUUGCUUUCAUGUUCAAGCGUAAUUUCUUUUUUAAAUAUGUUAAUAUUUUUAAAUUUUCUCCUAAGACAUAUCACAAUUGUAUAACCUAUGGAAUUUAAAUGUUUCUUUUUAUUAGGGAGUGCCUUUGUAUAUAUACUUAUUUUCUUCUUUAUUUUCCUUUUAAUGUUGAUUAAAAAAUCAAUGAUUUAUUAUUUAGUGACUAAUUCAUUCAGUUUAGGUUCUUGAGUUAUGUAAUAAUGACAAAUAAUUAAAUUCAUGCUGAAAUAUUGUUAAUAUUUUUUAAGAACCUAUUUUCUUAUUAUUUUUAAUGUACGUAUAUUAAAAAAAACUAUUUUCAAGUUCAAUUAACAUAUUAUUUAUGAUCGUGCAAAGCGCAGACAAAUUACCUAGUAUGUGAUAAUUCUCUAAUUCUGGAGAAGAUUAACAAUUUUGAAAAAAUAUAUUCAAAAACAUAUAUCUACACCAUAAGGGAAGUUGAGAAUAAAAAUAAAUUCAUUUAGUCUACAAUAAAAAUGAAAACAAUACAAACUUUCUCUGGAGUCAUUAUAAGUAAUAUGAUCUUUGCUUCGUCCAAAAUAGUGAAAUAUUAAGAAAUAGUUAAUAAGCAAAAUAAAGGCAUAAUACAUAAUCAUGAAUCUUAGCUUGGAUUCAACAAAGAAUUAUGCCCUCCAACUUUGAGUAUGGACAAGUGGAUACUUAAAUUUGUACAAAAUUGAAUAUGUAGACACGUGUCGUACAUGACAUAAUACAUGUAGGACACCACAUAGGACACUAAAAUUUCAUGUAGGGUGCCAUGAAGGACGGAUGUGUAUUUAUUCAAUUUUGUACAAGUUUAAGUGUCUACUUGUGCACAUACAAAGUUAAAGGUUAUAGUUUCCAGUUGACAUCAAGUUAAGGGUCUUACAAUGUAUAUAGAGUAAUAACUAAUUUGAACUAAACCUCCUUACAAUCUAAACGACCUAAGUAACAUUGAUAAGUAAAGUCAUUAUUUUAUCUUGGGCAUCAAAAAAAGAAAUUAUGACAAUUCUCUAACUUCUGUGAAUUUUAAUAUUUGUGACUUUUUUUGGCAAGAUUAAUUAGAAGAAUAUGAAACAAAACAUACUCUAAAUUAGAGUAAUAUGUUAAGAUACAAAAAAUAUGUCUAUUAAUAUAGAUUUGUUGUCCUUAUGACUGUGUCAGGUCAUUGUUGAACAUUUGAGUUAUCUAGGUUAGACUCAUUUUUAAUAUUUUUAAAGUCCAGGAAUAUUAUUUAACAUGAUUUUAGAAUCCAACAUUUUGAUCUACGCGUACUUUCAUAAUGCAACAAUUUUACAUACAUAUUUAUGAAAAAGUCAUAAAGUUGCAUUGAUGAAGUAUCUAGAAGGGUCUUCAGAGCACCAGUUUAAUGAAGAAUGAAUUUCUAAAAGGGUAAACAACAUUAUUUUGAUGUUGUUUCAAAUUUACUUAUCUCCUUCUAUAAAUUUUGUUAGAGUAACAAAUAAAUAAUAAUGAAAGUGGUGAACGUUUGACCUUAGACAAGUAGAUUGUAAGAAAAAAAUUUAUUCAAGAUCUUGUGGUGUACAUUUUUAACGCUAUUUCUUAUUUAUGACUAAUAUUGAUUAUCGAAAAUUUUUACAUAAUUUUUUUCAAUAGAAGUUAUUCAAACCAUAAAAUUAUCAGAUUAUAUAUUUUUCAUGUACAAAAAAAUAGAAUAACUGUGUUUAAUCACUACAUAAAAACAUCACUCAGUUUUAACAAUACAAUUAUAUAUCAUCAAACAUAUAUUAUGAGAAAUUAUGUCAAAGAUUAAAAAAUUUAUUAGAUAUCAAGAUAAUUUUAAUCAUUCAUUAUAUAUUUAGAAUUCUUGAAAUAUGUGAUAAUGUCAAAUCAUUUAAUUUAUGUAAAAGUGUUCUUAAAACAUACUAAAAUUAAUUUCAUUUUUAUUAUAACAUUCGAUUAUCGGAACAAUUGUUCAAAAGCAUCGAGGGAUUUAAAUUACCUAGUAUAAAUAAAAGAAAAUAUUUUCUUGAAGAAUAUUAUCAUUACUUGAGUGAACUUAAUUUAACAAAAACCAAAGUUGAUAGAAAAUAUUACUACUGCCUUUUUCCUAUUUCAUAUGAGUUUGUUUGACUUAUUUCAGAGUUUAAGAAAAAAAAUUUUGAAUAAUAUUUUCCAAAAUAAAUGAAAGAUAUUUCUGUUGCUAUAGCUCAUUUCAUUAAGUAUAAAAAGGAACACUUUGAAAUUAAAUUCUUACUCAAUAUAAAAUUGUUUAUUCAUUUUUGGGCUGGCUAAAAAGAAAAGUAAUUCAUAUAUUGGAGAAAGAUAGUAUUUGAGAAACUAUACAAAAAAUUAACUCAAUAUAUAUUAUAGGGUUUUUGUUUAGUUCAUGAAGUUAUAUAUUAUAUUCUUCUUUAUUGCCUAGUACUCAGACAGUACUACUAGCUCGUUCACUUGAAUCAUGUUUCAGUUCACUUGUUUACUUUCAAGGUUUCUAACUGUUUUGCAUAUUAACAAUCUUGCAUAGUCCUCAUUUAGCUCUAUGAAGAGUUUGUGGCUAUUGCUAAUGCAAAGUCAUGAUUACAGAUAUAAUCACUAGCAUGUUUUUUGUUCUCAGACUAUCAAGUUACUCUGAAAUCGGAGUAGGAGAAAAAAAAGAACUUUUGAGCAUAUCUUUGUUUUAGAGGAUAUUUGUAAGACGGUUAUGGAGCUAUUUGCAGGAUCAAUUCAAAUAGAGAAACAUGGUAUUGUCGAUUCCAACUUGUUUGAAAUUGAGACACAGUAGUAGUAGUUAAUGUUUCAGUCUUGGUAUAAUGUUAUUUUUCAUUUUUUUUUGGUUAUUUCCAUCCCAAUUUUACGUUAAUAGUCAGCUUACUGCAAUCAUAUUAUGUAGAUAGGUGAAUUUUUUUUAUUGAUAUGCCCAUUACGUAUUAAAUCCCUUUAUAUACUUAAUCCAAUAUUUUCAUAUUAUGUUUUGUUAUCUCCGUCACCAAACUCACUGUUUUCCUCUACUGGGGAUUAGGGCUCAUGCAUGAAAAUUUUGGUAAUACACAUCAUCAUUAGUGGCAAAGCCCAAUAUAGUCAACUAUCACCAAUGCACUGAAAAAUGCAGAUACUAUGUGUUGUGUUGAAUCCCUAAAUAUUAUAUCAAAUGAUUAAGACAAUCCACAUUCAUAUUUUUCUAUAAAAAUUAUCCCCUCACAAAAAAGAAAAACGAUUUUUGCAGCGUAUGUUAAUUAAGUCAUGAUGUCAUGUUAUGAAUUAAUAAAUGCAAUUGAGUAAAUAUAUAUAUAUAUAUAUAUAUAUAUAUAUAUAUAUAUAUAUAUAUAUAUAUAUAUAUUGUAAUUAGAAGGAUUCUCAGUAUUUUGUUUUGUUAUUUCCAUCACAAAAUUCAUCAGUUUUACAUUAGUAAGCAGCAUACUGCAAUCAUCUUCCUCUAUUGUGGCUUAUCACUAAAAUCUUAUGCACAUAAAGUUUAAAUAAUAUUCAUCAUCAUCAAUGACAGAACAACAUUUAUUCAAAAGGUGUUAAGUUGACGAGCUCAAGAGUUAUGUUGCUUCACAUAGGAGAUGCUACACUCAAUAUGGUACGAUUUCAGUUUACUGUUUACACUCUCUGAUAAUAUUCUUAAGAAUAAAAGUUAAUCACUAAGAAGAGAAAAUUAUUGAAUUCUCAUUUGUUGUGUCAAAUUUGCUAAUAAAUCAAGUUCGACUUUAAAUCUAGCUAUACUAAGGUCUAAACUUCUCUUGAGUAGCUAUAUCAACCACUAUUGUCUUGCCAGCACCCGAUCCAAUUGACAACAAUAUUUGUUUUACAAAAUUUCCAUAAUGAAAUGCUUAUUUGACAUAUAUCUGAUGCAUUUUGCGGCCACGUUGUGCAUAAGUAGAAAUAAUUAAGAAGCAAUCUGAUUGUGUCGAUCCUAGCAACUGGAGCGAAAGUGUCAAAAUAACUAUUAACUCCAAGCCUGGUUUUAUGCCUGUUGGUUGAACCAUCAACGUUUAGCUUAGCUCGAAAGUCUAGAGGCAUGUUUCAAAUUGAACCAUUUAUAAUUAUGUAGAAGUAUCAUGUUAUUCGAUUCCGUCUUUGCUAACUUGGACCAAUUUUGAGCAUGUUGGUAGAGUAGUUGCUAGGCUAAUGUUGUGAACAAGAGGAUUUUGUGGUGGAAGACACUUGGAAAAGUCCCGUAGGUAACCGUUGUAACCAAAAUAUUUGGCAUUAUAGUUAUAUAAUUUAUGUGAACUAAAUAUGGAUUUCCUAUUUAAUAUUGUAGACAAAUUUUCAAGCAUUGUAACUUGAACUUAGUAUAGCGAUGUAUUUUGUUUGAACUAAUUAAGGAUGCCCUAUUCGUGAAGAAAAAAAAUCAAAUAUGGUUUGAACGUCUAUGAAAAUUUUUGGCAAAAAUUACGGCGGAUCACCACAAAAGAUGGUGAACUAUAGCACACGAAAAUUGUUAAAAUUGGGGGUUUACCUGCUUUGGGGCUCGUUUGACCUUGAAAACAAGUCGUUUUGCCCUUAGGGCCAAAUGGCUUCAUACCUAACGUCUUAACAGCGACUCUCAAAAAUUUGGAUGACUACAGAGUUUCAUAUCACCAAAAAUCAAUGGACUAUAGCACACAAAAUUCGACAAAAUGUGUGUGUGGGGGGGAGGGUUACAUGCUCUAAGGCUCGUAUGACCUUGAAAAUGGAUCGCUUUGGCCGUCAAGUCCAACUAGCUCCAUAGAUAACGUGUUAAUGGACGUCCACAAAAAUUUUGAGAAAAAGUGACGUUUGAAUUGCGAAUCACCAAAAAUCCAUGCACUAUAGUACACGAAAAUUGGCAAAAUGGGGGAUUUACCUACUACAAGGCUCUUUAACCUUGAAAAUGGGUCGUUUUGGACAUCAGGGCCAAUUGUCUCCAUUUAUAACAAUUUAAUGGACGUCCACAAAAAAUUGAGGCAAAAAUGACGGCGGAAAUCAUGAUGACCAAAAAAAUGGUGAACUAGCACACGGAAAUUGGUAAAAUGAUGUUUUUACGUGCUCUGGGGCUUGUUUAAAUUUUAAAAUAGGUCGUUUUGGAAAUCACGACCACUUGGCUCCAUUGAUAAUGUCAUAAAAACGUUUACAAAAAAUUUGGACAAAAUAAUGUCGGAAUUCCAACUCACCGAAUACCCACGAACUAUAUUCAAAUGUUUUAGUCAAAAUUCAAUGACAAUAUUAAUAAAUAUACAAAAUUUGUAUAAAAUUAUCCAAAUCUCAGAUACCAAUAUUUUAUGUCACUAGUUUAGAUAUUUGAAUCCAUAGUUCAAAUAUGGCUUCCUAAAAUCCAAAUUAUCUUUCACACUGUCUGUAUAUAACCUCCGAAGAAUUUCUUGGAUAAAUGCAUAUGCAUGUAUAUUUAAAAAUAUUAUCAAAUGAUUAAUGAUGAUAUAAAUUUAAUAUUUUUCUAAAUAUAAACGAUCUCACCCCGCCAAAAAUACUAAUAAUUUAUUUCGUAGAAUGUUUUUAAAUAAUGUCUGAAGUCACGUUUGAAUUAAUGAAAUACUAUUGAGUGAAUUUAUGUCAUAGUGAGAAGAUUUUUCAUAUUUUUUUUGGUUAUAUCCAGCAUUAAAUUCACCAGUUUUACGUCAAUAGUCAGUCAACUACAGUCAUAUUAUGUAGAUAGAUGAUUUUUUUAUAUUGAUAUACAUAUUAUGUAUUGAAUUCCUUUAUGUACUUACUCCUAUAUUUUCAUAUUAUGUUUUGUUAUCUCCAUCACCAGAUUCACCAUUUUCAUCUACUAGGGAUUCGAGCUUAAUGUUUAUGCACAUGUAAAGUUCAAGUAAUAUGAAUACAUACCUUAUGGUAUAUAUAAACCUUAAAACAUGUGAUAUUUUUUUAUUCCCGUCACGGACUUCACUAGUCUUUUAUUUAUUGUUAGUCUACUGGAAUUAUUUUCCUUUAUCGAGCAUUAGGACUAAAAGAUCAAGCACGUAAAAUUAAGGCAUAAUACAUUUAUUGAACCCUAAACUUGAUCAAAUUUUAUCUUUGACCUCCAAUUUUUAUAAUGCACAUACAGACACUUUAACUAUCCAACUUUUAAAUAAAUAAACAAAUGAGUCCUACAUGACACAAUACAUGUAGGACACCACGUAGGACAAAAAAUGACAUGUGUGUAUAUUUGUUCAAUUUUAUACAAGUUUAAGUGUCUAUUUGUGCAUAUCAAAAAUUGUAGGGUAUAAAUGUGAUUUGAAGCCAAGUUAAGCGGCACAUUUACGUAUUAUGCAUCAAAUUUAAAUAACACACAUCAUCAUUAGCGACGAAGUCAGAUAUAUUAAAAAAGCGUCAACUAUCACCAAUUAAAUAAAAAAUAUAGAUAUUAUGUGUUGUGUUGAUUCCCUAAAUAUAUAUAUCAAAUAUUUAAGACGAUCCACAUUCAUAUUAUUUCUAUAAAAUUUACCCCCUUAUAAAAGAAAAAGAUUUUUGUAGAAUGUUUUAAAUAAGUCCUAAAAUCAAGUUAUGAAUUAAUAAAAUCUAAAAUCACGUUAUGAGUUAAUAAAAUACUAUUGAGUGAAAAUAUAUAUUGUAAUUAGAAGGAUUUCUAGUAUUUUAUUUUGUUAUUUCGAUCACAAAUUUACCAGUUUUACAUGAACAGCAAGCCUGCUACAAUCAUAUUCCUCUAUCAUGUCUUAGCACUAAAAACUCAUGCACAUAAAGUUUAAAUAAUAUUUUGUUGUUCAUCUUGUAUUUCAAACAUACUUAGAACAAAACAUUGAACAUCUUUGUGAGACAACAAAGUUUAAGAACAUUUUCACAACUAGAAAAUUUAAUACAAGUAGCGAAACUAGAAUCAGAAAUAGAUUUCAAAAAAAUAUACGAAAUAUAUUUCUCAAAAACAAAAUAGUUGUUAAUAUGUGCCUAAAGAAUCUUACUGAUUCCAACAAACUUUGCAGAAACACGAAGUUACCAUGUUUAAUGAACCAGUAAAGAAAAAAAGAAUAGAAUAACUGAAAUUAUUUCAAAAAUCUAAUAUUUGUAAAACACGUAUCAGAAUCUGGAAAAUUUUUAAUAGGAAAAAGAUCAAGUCCACUGAACUCACAUUGUCCCCUUAAGGAAAUUGUUCCCCUCUAGUAUCCGCGGUUUGAUUUGGAAUAUGAUCCCCAGGGUAAAAUGAUCUCAAUCACCAGAGUGUAGAUACCAAAAACUCCGGUGUCACCGAAUCACUCAACGGCAAUAACGUACACUUAGAAUACUAGAUUUAGUUGUUGAAGAAGAAGCCUAUGAAUUCUAUAUUAAAAUGAGAGGAAAUUCCUCAAUUUAUAGAAAACAAAUGGUAGUACAAAAAGAUUCUCAUUGUGCCUUACCGGAAAAGUCACAAAUAUUUGGAAAAGUUACAAUCUUUCAGAAAGGUCGUCACCUUUCAUAAAAGUCACAAUUUUCCAUUAAAGUCACAAUUUUUAAUAGAUUUCGCAAGCUUUUCAUAAAAGUCACAUUAUUUCAUAAAAGUCACAACUUUUCAUAAAAGUGGCAACUCUUCAUUUUCUAUUCACACCUUUUUAAAACCCAACAUAUUCAUCAUCAUUAAUGACAGGACAUGUAUUCAAAAGGUGUCAACUGAUUGACUAAUGGCGGAGUAAUCAUAUAUUUAGGGCUUCAUCCGAACCCCUUAAGGCGAAAAAUUAUAUUGUUUCAUAUGGUUAAAAUAAUUUUUUAGGUACAUAGAGUAGAUGCCGAACCCCCUUCGGCUAGUUCAUGUGUGUAUUUCUCAAGAUUUUGAACCCCCUUAUAAAAAAAUCUGGCUCCGCCUCAGUGAUCAAUACAACUCCAUUGAAAAAGUAUAAUGUAGAUAUGUGAAACGAGUUAUCAUGUUAGUAAAAUCAGCUUUUAGCGACAAAACAUAUGCACAUUUAUAAAGAGUGCUAAAGUUUUUACCGUAAUUAGUUAAGCUCCAUUUGAACCAAUGUCGCUAAAGACUUUAGAGACAUAUACAAAGAGUGUUAAUUAUCACUAAAAAAUACAUAUAUCAUUUUUGAUGAGUGUAUGCAUAUUAUAAGAGCCAAAGCAAACAGGAAAUGAUCCCCAUAUAUAACUAUACGGACAUACUUUGUUGAAAGUUUGUAAGAGAACUAUUUUCUUUGUUAAGUUUAUUGUGAGUUUAACCAUCGUGUCAUUAUGAUAAUUUCUUUGACCCAUAAGAGGAAAAUAUACCCCUAACAAACCUCUUUAAUUUCUUCUUUUAUAAAAACAACAGAUGCAAUAUUCAUUUAAUUAUAGCACCUAAAAGACAAAUUCAGCAGUUUUAGUCAACAUUCAUUGACAUUAGUAUAUAAAAUAUGUAUAAAAUUUAUUAAAAGCUCAGUUGCUAAUAUCUAAUGUCACUAUUAUAGAUAUUUGUCAUAGUUCAAAUAUGGCUUGCUAAAAUUCAAAUUAUCUUUCACAUUGUCUGUAUCAAUAACCUCCAAAGAAUUUCUUGGUUAACGUAUAUGCAUAUAUAUUUAAAAAUAUUAUCAAAUGAUUAAUAACAAUCUAAAUUUAACUUUUUUUUCUAAAAUAAACAAUUCUACGCCGCCAAAAUAAUAAUAAUUGGUUUUGUAGAAUGUUUUUUGAAUAAUGACUAAAGUCGCGUUAUGAAUUAAUGAAAUACUAUUUAGUAAAUAUAUGUCGUAGUUAAAAGAAUUUUAAUAUUUCGUUUUGUCAUUUCCACCACUAAAUUCACCACUUUUACGUUAAUAGUCCCCAUACUUCAAUUGUAUUAUGUAUAUAGGUGAAAGUUUUUAUUGAUAUGCAUAUUACAUAUUAAAUCCCUUUAUAUACUUAAUCCUAUAUUUUCAUAUUAUGUCAUGUUAUUUCCAUCACCAAAUUCAUUGUUUUCCUCUACUGGAGAUUAGGGCUUAAUACUUACACAUACAUAAUUUUAGAGUAGCAUCAGUAAUUAAGUUAUGGUACAAUAUAAACCUUAAAUCAUGACAUAUUUUAGUUUGUUAUUCCCAUCACCAAAUUCACCAGUCUUUUAUUGAUUGUUAGCCUACUGCAACGGUUUUUGUUUAUCGAGCUUUAGGACUAAAAGCUCAUGCACAUAAAAUUUAAGUAAUACACAUCAUCAUUAGUGGCAAAGCCCGAUAUAUUAAAAAAGUGUUAACUAUCACCAUUUCACUGAAAAAAUAUAGAUACUAUAUGUGUUGUGUUGAAUCCCUAAAAAUUAUGUCAAAUGAUUAAGACGAUCCACAGUCAUCUUUUUUCUAUUAAAGUUACCCCUCACAAAAAAAAGAUUUUGUAGAUUAUUUUAAAUAAGUCUUCAAAUCACGUUUUGAAUUAAUAAAAUACUAAUGAGUGAAUAUAUGUUGUAAUUAGAGGGAUUCUCAGUAUUUUGUUUUGUUAUUUCCAUCACAAAUUCAACUGUUUUAUGUUAACAGUCUAACAUACUGCCAACAUCUCCUCUAUCGUGGCUUAGCACUAAUAUCUCAUGCACAUAAUGUUUGAAUGAUGUUCAACAUCAUCAAUGAUAGAACAACAUGUACUUAAAAGGUGUCAACAAAUACCACUUCACUGCAAAUUUAUAUUAUGUAGAUAUGUUAAAAGUUUUAUCACAACAAUAAAAUGCGCUUUUAGCGACAAAAAAUGUACACAUUUACAAAAAAUGCUAAUAUAUUUACCAGUAUUAGUUAUUUUUCAUUAUAGCCAAUGUCGUUAAAUGCUUUAGGGACAUUUACAAAGAGUGUCAAUUGACGCUAAGUUACAAUUAAGCUAUUGCGGUUAUUUAAUUGCAGCUAAAGAUCAUUUUUGGUGUAUUGACAUAGUACGUAUUGAAUCUUUUAUAUAUUUUCUCGUACAUUUUGUCAAAGUUUUUUAUGUUAUCUCCAUUACCAAAUUAGCGGAUUUUACGUUAGUAGUCAACCUACUGCAAUCGUUUUCCUCUAACAAGGAUUAGGAUUGAGCUCAUGUCUGUCUUGAUAUCAAUAUUUACCUUGUGGUACAAUAUUAACCUUUCAACAGGAUAUAUAUAGUUUUGUUAUUCCCACUAUCGAAUUCACCUAAUAUUUUUCAUUGACUAUUAUCCUAGUGCAAUUGUUUUUUUAUAUCAAGGCUUAGGACUUAAAACUCAUUCACGUAAAAUUUGAGUCAUAUACAUCAUUAUGAUCAAUAGCUAGCAGAGCCACAUGUAUUAAAAAAAAGUCAACUAAUACCAGUUCACAGAAAAAGUUUAUAUACUAUGUGUUGUGUUAAUCAAUAAAUAUUAUAUCAAAUGAUUAAUGACGAUUAAUUUCAUAAUUUCAGUGCAUUAUCUUAAAAUUAACUUUCCAGGUAAUUAUUCAAUUGAUAAACCUCAAUAAUUUCUUCUUACUUAAAAACAAAAAAGGGAAUAUUCAUUUAAUUAUUGCACUUAAAAGUCAAAUUCAGCAGCUUUAGUCAAAGUUUAAUUGAUUCUAUUAAUAAAUAUUAUAUCAAAUGAUUAAUGACGAUUCGAAUUCAUUAUUUGAGUAAAUUAUCUUAAAAUUUACUUUUCAUGAAAAAUAUUUAAUUAAUAAACCUCAUUAAAUUCUUCUAACAUUAAAACAACAAAGGCAAUAUUCAUUUACUUAUUGAACUUAAAAGUCAAAUUCAGCAACAUUAGUCAAAGUUCAAUUGAAUCUGUUAAUAAAUAUUAUAUUAGAUGAUUAAUGACGAUUCAAAUUCAUAAUUUGAGUGAAUUAUCUUAAUAUUAACUUUCCAAGAAAAAUAUUUAAUUAAUAAACCUCAUUAAUUUCUUCUUACUUAAAAACAAAAAAAGGCAAUAUUUAUUUAAUUAUUUCACAUAAAAGUCAAAUUUAGCAACGUUAGUCAAAGUUUAAUUGAUUCUAUUAAUAAAUAUUUGUAAUCUUUAGUAAAAUUUAUUCAACGCAUUACUAACCUACGUUAUUUCAAUCUGUCUAUAUAUAACCUCCGAAGCAUUUCUUAGAAAAACAUAUAUUUUUUAAAAAAAUAUCAAAUGGAAGAUCCAACUAUCAUUGAAAGAGUGGAGUUGUUGGUUUCACCACUUGGUGGAAUUCCACAACGAAGAGUUGCCCAUUUUUUAGACCCAAUUGCUACUUCGACUGAAGUACCAAAUUCGAAAUAUCAUUCAAUCCACUUUCCAUUUGAUCAAUCUGAGUAACUAUUGAAAGUCACGUUUCAUGGUUGCAAUGGAUGGAGGGAUAAACAAAAGAAAUUGAAAGAAUGGGUUGAAAUGAUUGAGUCUAUCCAUCGCCUGUAUUUAUAGUUGUAGGAAUUUAUGGAGCGCUAAAAGGUUCAACUUAUAGAGUCCAUACCGACGAAAAUUUCAUAUUUGGGUUGGUAGAGAGGUGGUCUUGUGAGACCAACAGUUUAAUGUUUCCAUGGGGUGAAGCUACUGUUAGUCUUGAAGACAUUAUGGUUUUUGGAGGGUUUUCUACUUUGGGUGAUUGUGUUAUGUCCCCACCCUUCAAUUCCCUUGAGUUGGUAGAGAUUGAAGAGUAUCUUGAGAAUGCGAGAGGAGAACUUAUCAGAUCAAAGACAAAUAAUCAGAGUAGGUGGUUGAAUUACUUCAUGAAUAGUGGUAAGGACUACGAACACGAAGAUUUUCUUUCUCUUUGUUUAUCAAGAUUUGUGUUUCCAUGUAUAGUAGGUUCUCCUAUAUUCUCGAUAGCUGUUAAUAUGGCUGGAGGUAUGCGACUAGAGCUUUCUCCUGGUGUUCUUGCUAGUGUAUAUAGGGACUUGGGGUCGUUAAGAAAGGUUAUGAUAGAGACAGGUAGAAGAAAUAAAGACAUGAUUGAGAUUCAUAAACUUAAUCUUUGGUCGCCAUUGUUCUUUGUUCAAGUCUAGGCUUGGGAGAGGAUGAUAUCUUUGUAGCUAGAGCGCGUUCGAAAAUACAAUUUAGUUAGUGGGGUCAGAAUAGGAUGAUGGUACAAUGUGAAACUAAUGGUGAAAUUAAUUUGAGGACUACUAUUGAUGCAGCUGGGGAGAUUUUUAUGUGGAGGGCAUACGCCUUGGCUGUGGAAGGUUAAUCAAUUUUCCCCAAGUUUUACAAGGAAAAUGAAGAGUGGACAAUAGUUGGAGGGCAAAAUUUGGAUCAAGAAAUGGAGUCUUACGUUCGAUGCUUGAGGGUUUCUGAGCUUGUUGGUUUAGAUUUUCAAGAGCCUUAUCAACCAAAUCGGGUAGCAAUGCAGUUUGGGUAUGAUCAAGACUUCCCUAAAUGGAUUCCACGCUCGCCUUCAAGUUCAAAACUUGUGUGGUACAAUUACAACAGACCUAUUGAUUCUGAUUUGAGGUUAUACUAUCCAUCUAGGCUGUUUGAACCGUAUGUAACAACACGGUAUUUGAAAUGGUGGAGAAACGAAAUUGAUCGUCAAAUGGAGAAUUACCUUGAAGUUCCUCCUGGUUUUCCUCCCAAUUAUUGUUGGAAAAAUGACUAGAAGAAUUACCUUGAUUUUCCUCCUGGUUUUCCUCCCCAUUAUUGUUGGAAAAAUGACAAGAAGAAUUACUCUAAUGUUUCUCCUCGUUCUAUGCAGAAGCAUAUUGAAUAGGAAACAGUUCAUAUUUCCAUUGAUGGCAGUGGGAGUAGCAGUGCAAGAAGCAUGGAAAGGAGCAAAGCUCUAGUUCUAACAACAACGUGUACCAAAAUAAGUGAAGGCAAUAUGGCAAUGGGAAACCAUGAAAAAGAGAGCGGUGCAUAUGAUAUGAUUGAUAUUUUGAAACUUUAGAGGAGGAUUAAAAACCUUGAAAACAUCAAUUCUUAAAAAGGUUCCAAUAUUCAGGACAAAGUGAAAGCAAGAUUAAGCUAAACUAUAGUACUAAUAUAAAGUGUUUGUUUAGUUUAUAAAGUUAUAUAUUAUAUUCUUCUUUAUUUCCUAGUACUGAGACAAUACAAGUGGCUCGUUAUUUUGUUUAGAUCCUUUUGUAACUAUCUCAGCUUUAGUAAAAAACAUUCACUUGAAUCAUGUUUCAGUUCACUUGUUUACUUUCCAGGUUUCUAAUUGUAUUGCAUAUUAACAAUCUUACAUAGUCCUCCUUUAGCUCUAUGAAGUGUUUGUGGCUGUUACGAAUGCAAAAUCAAGAUUACAGAUAAAAUCACUAGCAUGUUUUUGUUCCCAAACUAUCAAGUUACUCUGAACUUGGAGUCGGAGAAAAAAACAGACUUUUGAGCAUGUCUUUGUUUAAGAGGAUAUUUGCAAGACAGUUAUGGAGCUAUUUUGCACGAUCAUUUCAAAUGGAGAAACAGGGUAUUGUCGAUUCCAACUUGUUUGAAUUGAGACGCAGUAGUGUUGGAAUUAAUGCAUCAAUGUUUAGUGUUUCGAAUUUAUCUAUUAGUUUUUCAAGAAGUCUCUUUAGAAUUCCGUAGUACAUGUGUCUAGUAAAUUGUGAUACAUGUAUUUAGUUAUUUGUGCAAACUUUUUGUAUUCUAUUUCGAGUAAUAUAAAUAGUGAUGUAGUUGGUGAUUGUAAUCAUCUCAAGUGGCUUUAAGUAGCCUAUGAUAAGCUUGAGCAAUCUCUAAAUAUACUAUUUUCCUUCAAUAUUUUCUACAAAUUUGUAUCAAGAGCAGAUUUUCGUUCUUCGUCUAGGGUUUGGUGAAGAAAAAAGUAUGGAAUCCAAAACAAAUGAAAGUGUUGAUUCUUCAGUUGUUCGUAUUCCAUUUUUUAAUGGAACUGAUUUUGAAUACUGGAAGAUAAGAAUGAGAACACAUUUGAAAGCUGAAGGAUUGUGAAUUAUUGUUGCAAAUGUUCUUGAAGAGCAAGACAACGAUGGUGAUCUUACAACAGCAGAGAUGAAAAAUCUUGAGGCUAAGUAUCGUCAAGAUGCAAAAGCCUUGAACAAAAUCCAAAUGGGAGUCUGAAGAGCAUAUUUUACAAAAACUGCUACUUGUGAGACUGCAAAGGAAGCUUGGGAUUUUCUGAAAACUGAGGUGUAUGGUGACGAAAAGGUACGCACUAUAAAUAUUCAAACUCUUAGAAGAGAGUUUCAAAAUUUAAAGAUGAUAGAAUCUAAAAAAAUUGAUGAAUAUUGCACAAGAGUCAUGAAUGUUGUAAAAGAAAUGAGAAAUCAUAGUGAUAUAAUUUCGGGCCAACAAGUUGCGAAAAAGAUUCUUAUUAUCAUCACAGAAAAGUAUGCGUACAUCGUUGCUAUCACUGAGGAGACAAAAGAUCUUUCUAAGUUUUCCAUCAAAGAUCUAGCUGGAUCAUUUCGUGCACACGAGAAGCGGAGAUUUUUUUGUGAAGAUCAACCAAAAGAGACAGCUUUCCAGUCUAAAACAAAUGAGAAUUAUCAAAAUUUCUCAAAAAAUCAUCAGAAGAAGAAUCACAAGCCAAAAAAGAAGCAGGAUCAUGAUGGUUCAUCCAAGAAGGUUGAAGAAAAAGGUGAGAAAAAUUAUAGUCUUUUUUGUUAAGUUUGCAAAAAGACUAAUCACAAUGCAGAAAAAUGUUGGCACAAAAGCAAGCCCCAAAGUAACUUUUGUAUAAAGUUUGGCCACGUUGAAAAGGAUUAUUGGCACAAGAAAUGAGAUCAAUCAUAUUUUUAUGAAAACAGGAGGAAGAAAGGGAAGAAAACCUUUUCUUUGCUUCUAAAUCGGAUGCUUCAACAAAAAGAAAUGAAUGGUAUGUUAAUAGUGGUUGUAGUAAUCACAUGACUGGAGAUGAAAAGGCUUUCCUCUCAAUUAAUAAUAGCAUCACUACUAAAGUGAAGAUGGGGAAUUGAGCCUUAGUUGAAUGCGAAAGGUAAAGGUACUAUUUCGAUCAACAUGAAAGGAAGCGGUAAGCAAAUAAAUGAUGUUCUUCAUGUUCCUGACUUGGAAGAAAAUUUUCUUAGUGUUGUUCAACUCAUGGAAAAUUGUUAUUCUCUUGUGUUUAGAGAUAAUUACUGCAAGAUUUAUGAUAAAAUUGAGCCAAAUCAAUUCAUUGUUGAAGUAAAGAUAAUAAAUAGAAACUUCCCUUUGAAAUUUCAUUACAAUGCAUUAAAAAUGAAAUUGUAGAUGAUCCAUGUCUUUGGCACAAAUGAUUUUGUCACUUGAAUUUUCAUGGUUUGAAGUUUCUCAAGCAAAAGUACAUGGUGAAAGGCCUUCCUAAGAUACAUACAUAGGUGGAUCCAUAUGAAAGUUGUAUAAUGGGAAAGCAAUACAGGAAGUCUUUUCUAAAGGGGAUGUCUUGGGGAGCAAGUGUACUUUUGGAACUAAUCCAUACCGACAUUUGUGGACCAAUGAGGACUCCAUCUCUUGGAAGUCAAAGGUGUUGGGAUUUAGCAAGUGUGAAUGGGAAAAGAAAAGAGAGAAUAUGAAAAGUGAGGAAACUAAUUUGGAGGGAAAAUGAAAAGUCUUUUGCAAAGUGCAAAUGAAAAGUCAUUUCUCCCAUAUCGGCAAAAGAAAGAGAAAUUAUUGUCCUUAUUGAAGGAAACAAUUCCAUUACUUCUUAAAGAGAUAAGAAGAAGAUGCCCCCUCGCGCCGUCGUUGUCGUCGUCGCUCGCUCGGCUUCGGCUUCGGCUUCGGAUUUGAAUUUCCUUCUCUGCAUUUAUUUUUCUCUCAAAUAAAAUCAAAGUGUCGAUCGACUGAGUGUGUGUGACUUGUUGAUGUACUUAAGUUUGUUGAAGUUAAAGAAGUUUGAGGUACCGCUAUUUCUUUACCAGGUUUAAUCUGUUUUAUCUUGGGAGAAAUUAAUCCAUAACCUUGGGUACAGUGAGGUGAUUAAAUUUCUUAAGGACACACAGUAGUUUCUGUGGACUCGGAUUAAUUCUUGUAUUUUAUUAAUUUUUUGCUUCAUCUUGUUUUUGUUUCUGUUCAUUGGUUAACUUUAUAAAUACAUGUUACUAUAAGAAUAACAAUCUUAAGAAAUUUAACAGUUUCAGUAUUUAAGGUUUCUAGAGAUUAAAACCUUUAUGGUUUUCUACUCUUCUUGAAUUUUUAAAAUUCAUUCGAUUCACGACUAAAAGAACAUAAAAACUUUAUCGUUAAAUCAGAAACAGUUUGUGUAAAGAUUUGUUAUUUACUGUUAGUAUUUCAAAUACUUAACUUAUCUGCCAUUUGUGACAGAAUAAAAAGUGACUUACUCAAGUCAAACAAAUGCUGGAACAUUAAGUGUUGUAACAAUAACGUUGCACAUAAUCGCUCAAAUGCUGCCUUAGCGCCGGCUGAGAAACCUGCAAUGUUUUUUGGAGUCGACUUUAAGAGAUGGUAGCAAAAGAUGGUCUUCAAUCUCACUACUUUGUAUCUGCAGAAGUUCAUUAAUGAGAAUGUUCCUGUUAUCUCAGAUGAAACUCCGGCUGAUGAACGAUUCUUGGUAACAGAAGCACGGAAACACUCAGAUUUUUUGUGUAAAAAUUAUAUUUUGAGUUGUCUGCAAGAUGAUCUGUACAAUGUGUACAACAAUGCCAAAACCUCAAAAGAACUUUGGGAUGUUUUAGAAAAAAAGUACAAAAUAGAAGAUGCCGGAAUGAAGAAAUUCAUUGUGGCAAAAUUUCUGGACUAUAAGAUGAUAGACAGUAAGACUGUCGUCACCCAAGUUCAAGAAUUGCAGUUCAUAAUCCAUGAUCUCCUUGCUAAAGGUAUAAAUUUAUUUAAUGCCUAUGUUAGAAAUACUAUGUAUUCCCUUAAUACUCACAUAAUAUUUAAUGUAGGAUUGAUUGUGACUGAUGUUUUUCAAGUGGGUGCAAAUAUUGAAAAGUUAACUCCAUUAUGGAAGAACUUCAAAAAUUACUUGAAACACAAACGCAAGGAGAUGACUGUUGAAGAUCUCAUAGUAAGUUUGAGAAUCGAAGAGGAUAAUAAGGAUGCAAAAAAGAGGUCACGUGGUAAUUCAACAAUAUGUGGAGUAAAUUUUAUUGAAGAAGAUCCCACAAAAUAAAAUAAAAGAAAGAACGCAUUUGGUUCAGAAAGCAAUCCGCCUAAGAAGAAAUUCAAUGGUAAUUGCUUUAAUUGUGGUAAACAUGGUCAUAGUGCUAAUGAAUGUCGGGGUCCUAAGAAGGACAAGAAAAAGAAGGAUCAAGCAAACUUGGCUGAAUUCAAAGGAGAAAUGGACGAUCUCUCUGCAAUGCUUUCAGAAUGUAACUUGGUUGGAAAUCCAAGAGAAUGGUGGAGAGAUUCUGGUGCCUCAUGUCAUGUUUGUGCCAACAAAGAAUUAUUUUCAUCAUAUACUCCAACACUUACAGAUGAAAAAUUGUUUAUGGCAAACUCUGUUGUUGCAAAGGUGGAAGGAAUUAAAGAUGACAUCAGGCAAGGUGGUGACUUUGAAUAGGGUCUCAUAUGUUCCAGAAUUGAGAAAGAAUUUAGUUUCAAUUCCAGUUCUGACCAAGAAUGGAUUUAAAUGUGUAUUUAUUUCUGAUAAAGUAGUAGUAAGCAAAACUGAUAUGUAUGUAGGAAAGGGCUACCUUAGUGAUGGCCUUUUCAAACUCAAUGUAAUUGCAGUUGUUAUGAAUAAAAAUUUUGCUUCUUCUUACUUGCUUGAGUCUAAAUGUUUAUGGAAUGAACUUUUGGGACACGUUAAUAACAAAACCUUGCAAAAACCGAUUAACUUAUAUAUUUUGCCAAAAUUUGAGUGCAAUAAAUCCAAAUGUCAAAUUUGUGUUGAACCUAAGUAUGCUAAGCAUUCUUAUAAAUCUGUUGAAAGGAAUUCAAAUCCUUUAGAAUUGAUUCUUACUGAUAUUUAUGACAUAAAGUCAACACCAUCAUGUGGUGGGAAAAAGUAUUUCAUAACUUUUAUUGACGAUUGCACUAGAUAUUGUUAUGUCUAUUUGCUAAAUAUUAAGGAUGAAGCAAUAGACGCAUAUAGGCAAUAUAAAACUGAAGUUGAAAAAUCAGUUAGAUAAAAAGAUCAAAAUGAUCAGAAGUGAUAGAGGUGGAGAAUAUGAAUCUCCACUUGCAGAAAUAUGUUUAGAAAAUGGAAUAAUCCAUCAGACUACUGCUCCCUACACUCCUCAGUCUAAUGGAAUUGUAGAAAGGAAAACCCGAACUUUAAAAGAAAUAAUGAAUGCAUUACAUAUAAGUUCAGGUUUACCACAAAACUUGUGGGGGGAAGCUAUCCUUACAGCAAAUCAGAUACUUAACAGAGUGUCUCACUCAUAGACAAAUGUAAUUCUAUAUGAGAAAUGGAAAGGUAGAAAACCCAAUUUGAAAUAUUUCAAAGUGUGGGGGUGUCUAGCCAAAGUCCAAGUUCCUAUACGUAAGAGGGUAAAAAUAGGACCUAAGACUGUGGAUUGUGUAUUCAUUGGAUAUGCCACAAACAGUAAGGCAUGUCGAUUUUUGAUCCAUAAGUCUGAAUAUCCAGAUAUUCAUGAUAAUACGGUAAUGGAAUCAGAUAGUGCUAAAUUUUUUUGAACAUAUCUAUCCGUAUAAAACUAGACUUGAGUCAUCUAGUGGGGGAUCUAAACAACCCAGAGAACAACCAAAAGAGAAUGAACAAAAUGAAGAAAUUCCAAGACUCAGUAAACGUCAAAAGGCAUCUACUUCAUGUGGAUCAGAUUUUGUAACAUUUCUUCUUGAAAGUGAGCCUCAAACAUUCAAGGAAGCAAUGUUGUCUAGCGACUCAACAUCUUGGAAGGAGACUGUUAAUAGUGAAAUUGAAUCAAUCUUAUGUAAUCAUACUUGGGAGUUGGUUGAUCUUCCUGCAGGGAACAAACCCUUGGGUUCAAAAUUGAUCUUUAAAAGGAAGAUGAAAGACGGUGGAACUAUUGAAAAAAUAAAGCAAGACUUGUUGUCAAUGGUUUUAGACAAAAAGAAGGUCUUGAUUAUUUUGACACAUACUUGCCAGUGACUAGGAUUACAUCAAUUCAGAUGUUAAUUGCACUAGCUGUAGUAUAGGGUCUUGAAAUUCAUCAAAUGGAUGUGAAAACAACCUUCAUAAAUGGAGAGCUUGAAGAGAAAAUUUACAUAGAACAGCCUGAGGGUUUUGUAGUUCCUGGUAAAGAAAAGAAAAUGUGCAAACUUAUUAAGUCACUUUAUGGACUAAAACAAGCACCAAAAUAAUGGCAUGAAAAGUUUGAUCAAACCAUGUUGUCAAAUGGAUUUAAGAUUAAUGAAUGUGAUAAAUAUGUUAACAUUAAAAAUACUCUAAAUCAGGAAGUUAUUUUAUGCCUAUAUGUAGGUGAUAUGCUUAUAAUGAGCAAAGACAUUGCUAAUAUAAAAGCUACAAAGCGUAUGCUUGCUAGUGAGUUUGAUAUGAAAGAUUUAGGUGUUGCGGAUGUGAUAUUAGGAAUUAAAAUUCUUAAAACUCCUAACGGUCUAGUAUUGUCUCAAACUCAUUAUAUUCAAAAGAUACUUGAAAAAUUAAUUUUUUUUAAUUUUAAAAGUGCAAAGACUCCAAUUGAUGUAAACCUUCAUCUUGCAAAGAAUAAAGGUGAAAGUCAGUCUCAAUUGGACUAUGCUAGCGUAUUGGGAAGCUUAAUGUAUGUCAUGAAUUGUACACGACCAGACAUAGCUUGCGCUAUGAGUAAACUGAGUCGAUACAUAAGUAAUCCUAAUCAUAAUCAUUGGUUGGAAAUGAAUAGAGUUUUGGGAUACUUAGAUGACACUCCAAACUAUGCUUUACAUUACAACAAAUAUCCAGCCGUUCUUGAAGGAUAUAGUGAUGCAAAUUGGAUUACUGGGUCAACUGAAACAAAAUCCACAAGUGGGUACGCUUUUACUAUUAGUGGAAGAGCAAUAUCUUGGAAAUCAUCCAAACAAACAUGUAUAGCUCGCUCUACAAUGGAGUCUGAAUUCAUUGCUUUAGACAAGGCAGGUGAAGAAGCUGAAUGGCUCCGGAAUUUCUUAGAAGAUAUUCCAUUUUGGCCCAAACCAAUGGCCCCUAUAUGCAUACAUUGUGAUAGUCAAGCUGCAAUAGGAAGGGCUGGAAGCAUUAUGUAUAACGGCAAGUCUCGUCCCAUAAGACGAAGACAUAACUAUGUGAGACAACUACUCUCUAGUGGAAUUAUCACAAUUGACUAUGUGAAGUCGAAAGAUAAUGUGUCGGAUCCACUUACAAAAGGACUAAAUAGAGAGGGAGUUGAGAAAUCAUCGACAGGAAUGGGACUAUGGCCGAGAACAAGUCAUCGUGGCGGUAACUCUACCUAGAAGACUAGAGAUCCCAAGAUCUAGGUUCAAGGAGAUAAAACAAAGUCAUUGAUGGCGGUUCAACAUUGUCAAAGAAAAAAAUAUUAUUAUUUUAUGGUCCAUUCUCAUGAUGAGACAAUGUUUAGUAACCAGGAUAAAGACAUAUGGACUUUUUAAUGGUUUCUAAGUUUGAUACAGGGAAUAUCAAAUGAUGUAUCUAUGGGAUAACACAUUUAGAAAUCACCUAUGUAAGUGUGAAGUGUAAGUCGCUUUAAGGAGAAUCCGGUAACGCUAGUUCUUUAAGCACUUACUAUCCAAGAUGUGUUUAUGGCUGAACCAAACAAAACAAUGAGAACUAAAAACAGUUCAAGGGUUGAUUGUGUGACAUAUGUUGUCUGGGUAUACACCAAAGCUCGACGGUUCAAAGAUAUCAAAUCUAUCGUUUGACCGAUUAUAUCUGAUAUAUGUUCACUAUGGAAAGUUUAAAGGGAAACCUUCUUAUCCAGAUACGAUUAACCUUUACCUACAAGACACACAUGUUUUUUCAUGCAUAUGUUUUAACAAUAGCCUUCCCCAUUCAUGUGGGGGAUUUUUGGGAAUUAGCAAGUGUGAAUGGGAAAAGAAAAGAGAGAAUAUGAAAAGUGAGGGAACUAAUUUGGAGGGAAAAUGAAAAGUCAUUUGCAAAGUGCAAAUGAAAAGUCAUUUCUCCCAUAUCUGCAAAAGAAAGAGAAAUUGUUGUCCUUAUAGAAGAAAAACACUUCCAUUACUUCUUAAAGAGCUAAGAAGAAGAUGCCCCCUCGCACCGUCGUCGUCGUCGCUCGCUCGGCCUCGGCUUCGGCUUUGGAUUGGGAUUUGGAUUUGGCAAAUGAUGUGAUUGAUUGAUAAUUUUUUUUGGACAAAAUUUAUUUAAUCAAUUUUUGUUUAGUCAAAUAAAUCCUGUUAAAAUUAUCUCUUAUAAAUUUGUGGGUAACGGUAACAUUCCGAAAAGUGAUUACUCUUUCCGAAAAGUCGUUACUUUCGAAAAAGUCGUUAUUUUCCUAACAAACACAAUUUUUUAAAAAGUUGUUAUUUUUUCCAAAAGACACAACUUUCUGGAUCAAAUGGGUUUGAACAGAUUUCACUGAACAGACACAUUCCUUACUGAAAAUGGCUAUAAAAGGAAGUCCAUUUUCAAUUUUUUAAAACACUGGAAAAAUUUUCCUUCUCUGCAUUUAUUUUUCUCUCAAAUAAAAUCAAAGUGUCGAUCGACUGAGUCUGUGUGACUUGUUGUUGUUCUUAAGUUCUUUAAAAUUAAAGAAGUUUGAGGUACCGCUAUUUCUUUAACAGGUUUAAUCCAUUUUAUCUUGGGAGAAAUUAAUCCAUAACCUUGGCUAUAGUGAAGGGAUUAAAUUUCUUAAGGACACUUAGUAGUUUCUGUGGACUCGGAUUAAUUCUUGUAUUUUAUUAAUUUUCUGCUUCAUCUUGUUUCUGUUUCUGUUCAUUGGUUAACCUUUAAAUAUAGGUUACUAUAAGAAUAACAAAAGGUAUUUUCUAAUCUUUAUUGAUGAUUUCUCAAGAAUGACUUGAGUUUAUUUCUUGAAAGAAAUUUAGAAGCAUUUGCUAUAUUCAAGAAAUUUAAAGCCCUUGUUGAGAAGCAAAAAGGUUGCAGCAUCAAAACCAUUUGCAAUGAUCAAGGAGGUGAAUUCACAAGUCAAGAAUUUGAAGAAUAUUGCAAAAAUGAAGGCAUUCAGAAGAAACUUACAGUAGGGUAUACUCCUCAACAAAAUGGUAUAUGUGAAAGAAGAAAUAGAAUAAUUCUUGAAAUGACAAGAAAUAUGAUUAAUGAGAAAGGGCUGCCAAAAUAUUUUUGGGCAGAAGGGUGCAUACAUCAGUUCACAUCAUUAACAGGUGUCCAACAAAGGCACUAAAGGACAAGACACUAGUUGAAGCUUGGAGUGGAAUUAAACCUGCUAUAAGUCAUUUUAAAAUUUCUGGGUGUAUUUGUUAUGCUCAUGUACGUGCUGAGAAAAGAACAAAAUUGGAUAAAAAAAAGUCAAAAAAUGUAUCUUUCUAGGUUAUAGUGAUGUUACAAAAGGAUAUAGGCUUCUUGAUGUCAAGACUAAAGAACUUGUUGUUAGUAGAGAUGUCAUUUUUUAUGAAAAACAACAUGGAAUUUGGAGGAUAAAAAGAUAGAGAAUACUGCUAUCAUAUCUUCAAAUCAGGAAGAGGAUGAGGAAGAUAAAGAUGUCUCUCGGGGGAAGAAAUCCCAGAAUCAGAUGAUGAAGAACCGCCUCCAAGAGGAACAAAAAUGUUGAGUAACAUUUAUCAAAGAUGUAAUUUUGUCGGUGUUGAGCCAAAAAAUUAUGAAGAAGCAAUAAAGCAUGAUGUUUGGAAGAAAUACAUGGAAGAAGAAAUUCGAAUUAUUGAAAAAAAUAAUACUUGGGAGUUUGUGGCUAUACCUAGAGAAAGAGAAGAUGUAAGUCUAAAAUAGAUUUACAAAAUCAAACUCAAUAGAAAGGAGAUAUUCAAAAGCACAAAGCAAGGUUUGUUGCUAGAGGCUUCACGCAAAAAUCAGGUAUUGAUGUUUAUGAAACUUUCUCUCCAGUUGCUCGUCUUGAGACAAUUAUAACUGUAAUUGUUGUUGCUGCACACAAAAAUGGAAGAUAUUUCAACUUGAUGUUAAAUCAGUAUUUCUGAAUGGAAAACUUAAUGAAGAGAUUUAUGUUGAGCAACCCUCAAGGAUAUUUUGUUCAAGGGGGAGAAGAAAAGGUGUACAGGCUAAAAAAUCUCUCUACGGGCUGAGCAAGCUCCAAGAGCCUGGUAUAAUGAAAUUGAUACAUACUUUCUAAAAAAUAAUUUUUAGAGAAGUAAAAGUGAAGCCACUUUGUAUGUGAAGAAGAACAAGACAUUAUUAUCAUUGUUUGUCUCUAUGUGGAUUAUUUGCUAUUUACAUGAAAUGAUGUAAAGAUUAUUCAAUUAUCAAACAAGAUAUGAUGCAAGCUUAUGAAAUAAGUGAUUUUGGGUUGCUAAAUUAUUUCUUGGGCAUCAAAGUUUCUCAAGUGAAAGAAGGCAUUUUUAUUUCUCAAAAUAAGUAUACUAAAAGUAUUCUUCAAAAAUUCAAAAUGAGGGAUUGCAGGUCUGUGUCCAUACCAUUAGCAGCAAAUAAGAAGUUUAGAAAAGAUGAUGGAGAAAAAAAAGCUAAUAGCUCACUUUAUAGGAGUUUCAUUGGAAGUUUGUUAUAUCUUACUUCAACAAGACAAAUAUUAUGUUUGCUGCUAGUUUAUUAUCCAGAUUCAUGCAAGAACCAAGCCAAGUGCAUUUUAAAGUUGCAAAUCGUGUUCUACUCUACUUGCAAGGAGCAAUGAAUACAAAUUUGGUGGAGAUUUAAACUUAAUUGGUUAUUCUUAUAGUGAUUGGGCUGGAAGUAUAGAUGACAUGAAGAGUACUUCAGGUUAUAUUUUCUUAUUUGUAUCAAGUAACUGCUCUUGGUUAUCAAAAAACCAAAGCAUUGCUUCUCAAUCCACUACCGAAGCAGAAUAUGUUUCAGCAUCCAAGGCUACUUCCCAAGCAAUUUGGCUUAGGAGAAUAUUUAAAGACAUUGGUGAAAAAAAAGAAAAGAUUUUUCUACAUUGUGAUAUCAAAUCAGCAAUUGCAAUUGCAAGGAAUCCAGUCAGCCAUAAAAGAUCAAAGCAUAUUUCCAUCAAGUAUCAUUUUAUCAGACAAGCAUAAGUGAAAGGCAAAAUUCAGUUGCAUUAUUGUCAAACAGGAGAUCAACUUGCUGACAUCUUCACCAAAACACUUCCUAGCGAAAAAUUUUGCUAUCUUUGAGAACGCAUUGGAGUUAUCAAGCAAAUGGGUCGGGGGGAGUGUCGGAAUAAUGCAUCAAUGUUUAGUCUUCCGAAAUUGUCUCUUAAUUUUUCAAGAAGUCUCUUUAGAAUUUCGUAGUACAUGUAUCUAGUAAAUUGUGAUACAUGUAUUUAGUUAUUUGUGCAGGACUUUUUAUUUUCUAUUUUGAGUAGUAUAAAUAGUAAUGUAGUUGAUGAUUAUAAUCAUCUCAACUGGCCUUAAGUAUCCUAUGAUAAACUUGCGUAUUCUCUAAAUAUACUAUUUUCCUUCAAUAUUUUCUACUAGUAGUUAUUGUUUCAGUCUGGUAUAAUGUUAUUUUACACAUUUGGUUUUGUUAUUUCCAUCACUAAGUUCACCAAUUUUACGUUAAUAGUCAGCCUACUGCAAUCGUAUUAUGUAGAGAGGUGAAUUUUUUUAUUGAUAUACGCAUUACGUGUUGAAUCCCUUUAUAUACUUUAUCCUAUAUUUUCUUAUUAUGUUUUGUUAUCUCCGUCACCAAAUUCACUGUUUUCCUCUACUGGGGAUUAGGGCUUAAUGCUUGCGCAUUCGUAAAGUUCAAGUAGCAUCAAUACGUACCUUAUGGUACAAUAUAAACCUUACAACGUGACAAAUUUUUUUAUAUUAUUCCCAUCACCAAAUUCACUAUUCUUUUAUUGACUGUUAGCCUACUGCAAUUAUUUUUCUUUAUCGAGCCUUAGGACUAAAAGCUCAUGCACGUAAAAUUUAAGUAAUACACAUCAUCAUUAGUGUCUAAGCCCGAUAUAGUCAACCAUCACCAAUUCACUGAAAACAUGUAGUUAUUAUGUGUUGCGUUGAAUCCCUAAAUAUUUAUAUCAAAUGAUUAACACGAUCCACAUUCAUAUUUUUUCUAUAAAAAAUAUCCUCUCACAAAAAAAGAGAAGAAUUUUGUAGAGUAUUUUAAAUAAGUCAUGAAAUCAUGUAAUAAAUUAAUAAAUACAACUGUGUGAAUAUAUAUGUUGUAAUUAGAAAGAUUCUAAGUAUUUUGUUUUAUUAUUUCCAUAAAAAAUUCAUCAGUUUUACAUUAGCAAUUAGCAUAUUACAAUCAUCUUCCUCUAUCGUGGUUUAGCACUAAAACCUCAUGCAGAUAAAAAAGUUUAAAUAAUAUUCAUCAUCAUCAACGACAGAACAACAUGUAUUUAAAAGGUGUUAAGUUUACGAGCUCAAGAGUUACGUUGCUUUGCACAGGAGAUGCUACACUCAAUAUGGUACGGUUUCAGUUUACUGCUUACUUUGCUUACACACUCUGAUUAUAUUCUUAUGAAUAAAAGUUUAUCACAAAGCAGAGAAACAUAUUGAAUUCUUAUUUGUUAUCUCAAAUUUGCUAAUAAAUCAAGUUCGACUUUAAAUCUAGCAAUUCUAAGGUCUAAACUUCUCUUGAGUGGCUUUAUCAACCACUAUUGUCUUACCAUCAAAUGAUUCAAUUGACGAUAAUAAUUGUUUUACAAAAAACCCAUUAAGAAGUGUUGAUUUUACAUCUAUCUAAUGAACUUUCUAGCCACGUUGUGCAUAAGUAGAAUUAAUUAAGAACCAAUCUUAUUGUGCCGAGCCUAGGAACUGGAGCAAAAGUGUCAAAAUAACCCUUAACUACGAGCGUUGUUUAAUGCUUGUUGAUUGAACCAUCAACAUUUAGCUUAGCUCGAAAGCCUAAAGGCAUGUCUAAAAGUGAAUCUUUUAUAAUUUUGUAGAAGUAUCAUGUUAUUCGAUUCUGUCUUUGCUAACUUGGACCAAUUUUGUGCAGGUUGGUAGAGCAGUCUACGCUAAUGAUGUGACCAAGAGGAUUUUUUGGUGGAAGCCACUCGGAAAAGUUCGUUAGAUAAUCGUUGUAACCUGAAUAUCUAGCAUUAUAGUUAUGUAAUUUGUGUGAACUAAAUGUGUAUUUCCUAUUUAAUAAUGAAGACAAAUUUUCAAGCAUCGUAACUUGAACUAUAUAACGAUGUAUUUUAUUUUAACUAAUUAAGGAUGCCCUAUUCAUGAAGAAAAAAUAUUUCAAAUAUGGUUUUAGACGUCCACGAAAAUUUUUGUCAAAAAUGACGACGGAUCUCCAAAAAAUAUGUUGAACUAUAGAUCACUAAUAUUCAUAAAAUGGGGGUUUUACCUACUCCGGGCUAUUUUGAACUUGAAAACGGACCAUUUUUAUCGUCAAGGCCAAAUGGCUCCAUAGUUAGCAUCUUAAAAAAAGGCCCACAAAAAAUUUGGACAAAAAUAACAUCAGAAUUCCAGAUCACAAAAAAUCCACGGACUAUAACACAUUAAAAUCGACAAAAUUGGGGUGGGUGGGGUUACAUGCUCUAGGGCUCGUGUGACAUUGAAAAUGGAUCGUUUUUGCCGUUAGGUCCUACAUGCUCCAUAGAUAACGUCUUAAUAGAUGUCUACAAAAAAUUUGGGAAAAAGUUACGUUUGAGUUGCGGAUCACCAAAAAUCCAAGUACUAUUGUUCCUGAAAUUUUAUAAAAGGGGGGGUUCACUUGCUACAAGGCUCGUUUGACUUUGAAAGUGACUUCUUUUGUCCACCAGGCCUAUUGCCUCCACAGAUAAUGUUUUAAUAGACGUCCACGAAAAUUGGGGCUAAAAUGACGGCAAAAAUCAAAAUCACCAAAAAAGAUGGUGAACUAGCACAUGGAAAUUAGCAAAAUGUGGUUUUUACCUUCUCUGGGCUGGUUUGACUUUUAAAAUACGUCGUUUUGACCGUCAGGGUGAAUUGGAGCCAUUGAUAACAAUCAUAAAGACGUACACAAAAAUUUGGAUAAAAAUAAUGUCAAAAUUCCAAAUCAUCGAAAAUCCAUGAACUAUAUUCAACAUUUUAGUAAAAAUUCAUUGACAAGAUUAUAUAUGUACAAAAUUUGUAUAAAAUUAUUCAAAUCUCAGAUACCAAUAUUUAAUUUCACUAUUUUAGAUAUUUGAAUCCAUACUUCAAAUAUGGCUUGCUAAAAUCCAAAUUAUGUUUCACACUAUUUGUAUAUCCGAAGACUUUCUUGGAUAAAUGUAUAUGCAUGUAUAUUUAAAAAUAUUAUCAAAUGAUUAAUGAUGAUCUAAAUUUAAUUUUUUCCCUAAUAUAAACGAUACCACCCCGCCAAAAAAUAAAAAUAAUUUGUUUUGUAGAAUGUUUUAAAUAAUGUCUGAAGUUAUGUUAUGAAUUAAUGAAAUACUAUUGAGUGAAUUUGUGAGAAGAUUUUUCAUAUUUUUUUUAUUUCCAUCAUCAAAUUCACCAGUUUUACUUUAAUAGUCAAGCUACUACAAUCGUAUUAUGUAGAUAGGUGAUUAUUUAUAUUGAUAUACACAUUAUGUAUUGAAUCCCUUCAUAUACUUACUCCUAUAUUUUCAUAUUAUGUUUUGUUAUCUCCGUCACAAGUUUCACAGUUUUCAUCUACCGGAGAAUAGGGAGUAAUGUUUUUGCACAUGUAAAGUUCAAGUAAUAUCAAUACAUACCUUAUGAUAUAUAUGAACCUUAUAACAUGUCAUAUAUUUUUUAUUCCCGUCACGGACGUCAAUAGUCUUUUAUUGUUUGUUAGCCUACUGCAAUUGUUUUCCCUUAUCGAGCCUUAGGACUAAAAGAUAAAGCACGUAAAAUUUAAGUAAUACACAUCAUCAUGAGUGGCAAAGCCCGAUAUAGUCAACUAUCACCAAUUCCUUGAAAAAAUAUAGAUAUUGUGUUGUGUUGAAUCCCUAAUUAUUAUAUCAAAUGAUUAAGACGAUCCACAUACACAUUUUUACUAUAAAACUAAUCCCCUCACACACAAAAAAAAAGAUGAUUUUUGUAGAGUAUUUUAAAUAAGUCAUGAAAUCACGUUUAUGUUGUAAUUAGAAGGAUUCUCUGUAUUUUGUUUUGUUAUUUCCAUCACAAAUUCAUCAGUUUGGCAUUAGCAUAUUGCAAUCAUCUUCCUCUAUUGUGUCUUAGCCCUAAAAUCUUAUGCAAAUAUAGUUUAAAUAAUAUUCAUCAUCAUCAAAGACAAAACAAAAUGUAUUCAAAAGUUGUUAAGUUGACUAGUUCAAGAGUUACGUUGCUUGGCACAGGAGAUGCUACACUCAAUAUGGUACGAUUAAAGUUUAUUGCUUACAUUGUCAGAUAAUAUUCUUAAGAAUAAAAGUUUAUCACAAAGUAGAGAAACAGAUCAAAUUCUCAUUUAAAUCUAGUUAUACUAAGGUCUAAACUUCUCUUGAGUGGCUUUAUCAACCACUAUUGUCUUACCAGUAGCCGAUUCAAUUGACAAUAAUAAUUGUUUUACAAAAAGCCCUUUCAGAAAUACAGAUUUCGCAUCUAUCUGGUGCACUUUCCGGCCACGUUGUGCAUAAGUACAAUUAAUUAAGUAAUCUGAUUGUGUCGAGCUAGCAACUGGAUAAAAGUGUCAAAAUAACCCUUAACUACAAGCCUUGUUUUAUGCUGGUUAAUUUAAACAUCAAUAUUUGGCUUAGCUCGAAAUCCUAGAGGCAUGUUUAAAACUGAACCGCUUAUCAUGUUAUUCGAUUCUGUUUUUGCUAACUUGGACCAAUUUUGUGCAGGUUGGUAGAGCAGUGCUAGGCUAAUGAUGUGAACAAGAGGAUUUUGUGGUGGCACACACUCGGAAAAUUCUUUCAGAUAAUCCUUGUAACCUGAAUAUCUGGCAUUAUAGUUAUGUAAUUUAUGUGAACUAAAUGUGGAUUUCCUAUUCAAUGUUAUUGAAAAAUUUUCAAACAUUGUAACCUGAACUUAGUAUAGCGAUGUAUUUUGUUUGAACUAAUUAAGGAUUCCCUAUUCGUGAAGAAAAAAUUUUCAAACAUGGUUAGGACAUCCAUGAAAAUUUUUGGCAAAAUUGACGGCAGAUCACAAAGAAAUAUAGUGAACUAUAGCCCACGAAAAUCAGUAAAAUUGGGGAUUUACAUGCCAGGGGCUCGUUUGACCUUGGAAAUUGGCCGUUUUUGCCGUCAGGGCCAAAUUUCUCCAUAGCUAACGUUUUAACAGACGUCCACAAAAAAUUUCAACAAAAAUGAAGUUGGAAUUCUAGAUCACCAAAAAUCCAUGGACUAUAGCACAUAAAAAUCGAAAAAAUGGGGGUGGGGGGUUAUAUGUUCUGGUGCUGGUUUGAUCUUUAAAAUUGAUUGUUUUGGUCAUCAGGGCCACUGACUCCAUAGAUAAUGUCUUAAUGGACGUCUAUGGAAAAUUUGGGAAAAAGUGACGUCUGAAUUGCGGAUCACUUAAAAUCCAUGGACUAUAGUACUUCAAUAUUUGCAAAAUGGGGGAUUUACCUGCUGUGAGGCUCAUUUGACAUUGAAAAUGGGUCGUUUUGGCCAUCACGGCCAAUUGACUCCACUGAUAAUGUCAUAAUGAACGUCCACGAAAAAUUGAGGCGAAAAUGAUGGAGGAAAUCCAGAUUACCAAAAAAGAUGGUGAACUAGCACAAGGAAAUCGGCAAAAUGGGGUUUUUACCUGCUCCGAGGCUCGUUUGACUUUGAACAUAGACCGUUUUGGACGUUAGGGCCACUUGGCUCCAUACCUAAUGGCUUAAAAGCAUCCACAAAAAUUUGAACAAAAAUAAUGUCAAAAUUCAAAAUCACCAAAAAUUCAUGAACUAUAUUCAGCAAGUAUUAGUCAAAAUUCAUUGAGAGUAUUAAUAAAUAUACAAAAUUUUCAUAAAAUUAUUCAAAUCUCAAAUAAACCAAUAUUUAAUGUCAGUAUUAUAAAUAUUUGAAUCCAUAGUUCAAAUAUGGCUUGCUAAAAUCAAAAUUAUCUUUCACAUUGUGUGUAUAUACCCUCCGAAGAAUUUCUUGGAUAAAUGUAUCUGCAUGUAUAUUUAAAAAUAUUAUCAAACGAUUAAUGAUGAUAUAAAUUUAUUUUUUUCUAAAUAUGAACUAUCCCACCCCGCUAAAAAUAAUAAUAAUUGGUUUUGUAGAAUGUUUUUAAAUAAUGUCUGAAAUCAUGUUGUGAAUUAAUGAAAUACGGUUGAGUGAAUUUAUGUCAUAGUGAGAAGAUUUUACAUAUUUUUUUUGGUUAUUUCCAUAGCCAAAUUGAACAGUUUUAUGUUAAUAGUCACCCUACUUCAAUUGUAUUAUGUAUAUAGGUGAAAUUUUUAUUGAUAUACACAUUACAUUUUGAAUCCCUUUAUAUACUUAAUCCUAUAUUUUCAUAUUAUGUUAUGUUAUCUCCUUCACCAAAUUCACCGUUUUCAGCUAGUGGGGACUAGUGCUUAACGCUUACACAUAUAUAAAUUUCAAGUAGCAUCAAUAUGUACCUGUGUUAUGUUAUCUCCUUCACCAAAUUCACCGUUUUCAGCUAGUGGGGACUAGGGCUUAACGCUUGCACAUAUGUAAAUUUCAAGUAGCAUCAAUACGUACCUUAUGGUACAAUAUAAACCUUACAACAUGAAAUAUUUUUUUUUGUUAUUCCUUUCACGGACUUCAAUAGACUUUUAUUGACUGUAAUCCUACUGCAAUUUUUUUUCUUUAUCCAGCUUUGGGGCUAAAAACUCAUGCACAUAAAAUUUAAGUAAUACACAUCAUCAUUACUGAGAUAAAUUUUAAAUAAUAGUAAUCAUCACCAACUACAGGACAACAUAUAUUCAAAAAGUGUCAACUGAUCGACCAAUUGCGGCGCCAUCAUAUAUUUAGGGCUUCAUCCGAACCCCUUUGGGUGAAAAAUCAUAUUUUUUUUAUGUAGUUAAAAUAAUUUUUUAGGUACGUAGAGUAUAUGUCGAACCCCCUUCGGCUAUUUCAUGUGUCUAUUUCUCAGGAUUUUGAACCCCCUUAUAAAAAUUCUAGCUUCGCCUCUGUGAUCGACACUAAUCCAUUGAAAAAGUAUAAUAUGUAGAUAUGUGAAACGUUUUAUCACGAUAGUAAAAUCAGCUUUUAGCGACAAAAAGAUAUGUACAUUUAUAAAGAGUGGUAAAGUCUUUAUCGGCAUUACUUAAGAUCCUUUCGAACCAAUAUAGCUAAAGACUUUAGAGACAUAUACAAAGAGUGUUAAUUAUCGCUAAAAUUAGAUAUAUCAUUUUUUAUGUAAUGUAUGUAAAUUUUAAGAGCCAAAGCAAAAAGGGAACGAUCCCCAUAUACGGAAAUACUUUGUUUUGUUUUUCCAUCACCAAAUUCACCAGUUUUACGUUAAUAGUCACCCUACCUCAAUGGUAUUAUGUAUAUAGGUGAUUUUUUUUAUUGAUAUGCAUAUUACAUAUUGAAUCCCUUUUUAUACUCAAUGCUAUAUUUUCAUAUUAUGUUCUGUUAUCUCUAUCACCAAAUUCACUGUUUUCCUCUAUUAGGGCUUAAUGCUUAUGUAUACGUAAAUUUUAAGUAGCAUCAAUAUGUACCUUAUUGUACAAUAUAAACUUUACAACAUGACAUGUUUUGCUUCGUUAUUCCCAUCGCCAAAUUCACCUGCCUUUUAUUGACUAUUAGCUUACUUCAAUUGUUUUUCUUUAUCAGGCUUUAGGACUAAAAGCUCAUGCACAUAAAAUUUAGUAUAACUUACAUAAAUCCUAUAGUGUAUGAUCUAAAUUACAUUCUAUCCCUACUCUUUUCUAUUUUACAAAAAUCCCAUAAAAAAUCAAUCAUCUCGAUACAUAACUUUCAUCCGGAUACAUCAAUUGUGAUACAUUAUAAAACUUGUUUGUUGCGUUUAAUAUGGAUUUUAACAUAAAAUUGAUUUUAUUUCCAAUAAAUCAUGCAGAUCUAAUUAAUACCAAUCCAUUCCAAUCUUUAACAGCUUCACAAAAUUUAAAAUUUAGAUUUAUAUCUUCUCCCUAAAUUCAAAAUAAAUAAAUAUCCACAAGAGAAAUUUCUAAAGAGAUGAUGACUACUGAAUUAGGUACUUUUCAAUCUACUAGGAAUGAUUUGAUCCUUGAUAGAGUACCUUAAAUAAAUCUAUUUCUUUCACAGUUUAAAGGAAUAUUGGUGGAGACUAAUAUGGGCGUAGCAGUGAAUGUUCUUGGAGAAAUCAUUAGAAAGUUGGAAAUUGUAACAGCAGGGCAAACCUUCAUCCAUCUAAUAUAGGUUUAUGAUAACGAGAAUCAUCAGUUGGUUACAAAUGGGUAUAGAUUUGUGUGGCAUCUUUGUUAUUGUGAUUUCUUCAUCUGAUCUAUUAGUAUACAAAUAAUGCUCUGUAUUUCAAUAUUAAUUUGGAUUUACAGUUGUUGUGUGAAAAUUAUUCUCGGGGAGGAUACCUUAAGAUCAAGACCUCAUAGGUACAUCAUGGGGAGUGGAUGUGUAUGUAUAUAAGAAGAAAGAGUGGUUUGUAUUCCGUGUUUGUGUCAUUAAUUCAUUGUCUUCUUAUCAAAAAAAGCAAAUUAUCUUUUUCUAUUAUCUUCUUAUCCAUCACUGACUACUCAACCACUCCCUCCACCAUUCCAUCUGCCUCUCCGUCAUUGGUAUAUAGUUUCUUUUCAAUGUAUCAUUGCUAUAGUUUUGUUUUGUAGUUUUGAUGUCAAUAUGUAAGUCAUGAUACAUUCGUGGUAAAUGACUUGAGUGUAUUGUUAUUUGUAUCUACAAAUUAUGAUGUGGUCAUUGUUUUGUAUUCGAAACUGAUUUUUAUAAAAAUGUAUCAUCAUAAUAUAUUUUAUAUGAUUCAUGCAAUAAAUGAAUUAAUAAUUGAUAUGGAUCAGAUUCAUUUUGAAUAACGAGUGUGUGUAUCACAUAUUUUUAUAAUAUAUUAGGUUAUUAUUGUGUAUAUAUUACAUAUAAAUAGUGUAACAAUUAAGAUAUUUAAUUUACUUGUUUUGAUCAAGACAAAUAUGGAUGAUACAUUAAUAUCAAUCUUGGAUUUUUGUGAGUGGUUGUAUCAUUGAAAAUUUUAAUGUACCUAGUACAUGUUACAAGAUGGUUAUAAAAUUUUGUCAAUAUCUGUUAGUUUUUUGUUAGAUAGGUGAUCCUUUGAAAAUUGAAAAAAAGUAUUUCAUAUGAUGUAUCAUUGAAUUUCUAAAUGUUUGUAGAUUGUACCAUGACAUAAAAGUUUUUAUGUAUCAAGAUUAUGAUGGGUAAUAUGUACAUAUACAUCAUAUUCUAAGUUAGGUAGCACUGAACAAAUAUUAAAGAGUGUAGAUACAUAAUACACAAGUGAUUUUUAUUGUGUAUAUAGCCUUUCAAGUUUGUAUAAGAUUUACAUGAUACAUUGAAAAACUUGAUACAUGAAAAUUGUACAUGGGAAAGUGUUUAUGUAUUCAAGAACAUUUAUAUUGAACGAUACCAAUUUGGGGGGUGGAAGCGGAUUUAUGAAUUGAGAGUAGAGAGUAGAGAGUAGAUUGUUAGAUGAAGGAUUGAUGAUUUUAUUUAUGAGGGGAAACCCUCUAUUUAUACACAAAAUUUACAGACUUUUGGCCAAAAAUGGCCGACACAUACUUUACACUUGGCCUCUUUAUAUUCGGCCGACACAAGAAAACAAAAUACUUACUAUUACUACUUUACAUAAUGGCCUCUUCUUUAUUUAUGGCCGACAUACACACUAUUUUCUUUAUGAUUUUUACAAUUGGCUUUUUACAGCCGACAUAACACGACAAAAAUAAAAACUAUUACUUUUUACAUAUGGCUGAUAUUCAGCCGACACAAAAUAACAAAAUACAAAAUACAAAAUAAGAUUCAACAACAUUAGAGUUAUGUAUCAACAUGUCAACUAUGAUUAUUAUAUAUUGUAUAAAACAAGGAUUAAUGGAGAAUCAGAUACAAUGGAGAAUCAUUGGUAUAAAGUUAUUUUUCAUAUUUUGUUUUUUUAUUUCAACCACCAAAUUCACCAAUUUUAUGUUAAUAGUGAGCCUACGGCAAUUGUAUUAUGUUGGUAGGUGAUUUUUUUUAUUGAUAUACGUAUUACGUAUUGUAUCCCUUUAUAUACUUAAUCCCAUAUUUUCAUAUUACGUUUUGUUAUCUCCGUCACCAAAUUCAUUGUUUUCCUCUACUGGGUAUUAGGGCUUAGUACUUACGCAUAUGUAAACUUCAAGUAGCAUUAAUACAUACCUUAUGGUACAAUAUAAACCUUACAACAUGACAUAUUUUUUUUUGUUAUUCCCAUCACCAAAUUCACUAUUCUUUUAUUGAUAAUUAGCCUACUGCAAUUGUUUUUCUUUAUCGAGCCUUAGGACUAAAAGCUCAUGCACAUAAAAUUUAAGUAGUACACAUCAUCUAGUGGCAAAGCCCGAUAUAGUCAACCAUCACCAAUUCACUAAAAAAAUGUAGUUAUUAUGUGUUGCGUUGAAUCCCUAAAUAUUUAUAUCAAAUGAUUAACACGAUCCACAUUCAUAUUUUUUCAAUAAAUAUUAUCGUGUCAUAAAAAAAAGAGAAGUUUUUUGUAGAGUAUUUUAAAUAAGUCAUGAAAUCAUGUAAUGAAUUAAUAAAUACAACUGAGUGAAUAUAUAGGUUGUAAUUAGAAAGAUUCUCAGUAUUUUAUUUUGUUAUUUCCAUAAAAAAAUUCAUCAGUUUUACAUUAGCAAUUAGCAUAGUACAAUCAUCUUUCUCUAUCGUGGCUUAGAACUAAAAUCUCAUGCAGAUAAAGUUUAAAUAAUAUUCAUCAUCAUCAACAGCAGAACAACAUGUAUUCAAAAGGUGUUAAUUUACGAGCUCAAGAGUUACGUUGCUUUGCACAGAAGAUGCUAUACUCAAUAUGGUACGGUUUCAGUUUAGUGCUUACUUUGCUUACACACUCUGAUAAUAUUCUAAUGAAUAAAAGUUUAUCACAAAGCAGAGAAACAUAUUGAAUUCUCAUUUAUUAUCUCAAAUUUUCCAAUAAAUCAAGUUGGACUUUAAAUCUAGCAAUACUAAGGUCUAAACAUCUCUUGAGUGGCUUUAUCAACCACUAUUGUUUUACCAUCAAACGAUUCAAUUGACAGUAAUAAUUGUUUUACAAAAAAACCAUUAAGAAGUGUUGAUUUUACAUCUAUCUAAUGCACUUUCUAGCCACGUUGUGCAUAAGUAGAAUUAAUUAAGAACUAAUCUGAUUGUGUUGAGCCUAGGAACUGGAGAAAAAGUGUCAAAAUAACCCUUAACUACAAGCCUUGUUUAAUGCUUGAUUAUUGAACCAUCAACAUUUAGCUUAGAUCGAAAGCCUAAAGGCAUGUCUAAAAGUGAAUAUUUUAUAAUUUUGUAGAAGUAUCAUGUUAUUCAAUUUUGUCAUAGCUAUCUUGGACCAAUUUUGUGCAGGUUGGUAAAGCAAUCUAGGCUAGUGAUGUGAUCAAGAGGAUUUUGUAGUGGAAGAAACUCGGAAAAGCCCGUUAGAUAAUCGUUGUAACCUGAAUAUCUUGCAUUAUAGUUAUGUAAUUUGUGUGAACUAAAUCUGGAUUUCCUAUUUAAUAUUGAAGACAAAUUUUCAAGCAUUGUAACUUGAACUUAGUAUAGCGAUGUAUUUUAGUUUAACUAAUUAAGGAUGCCCUAUUCGUGAACAAAAAUUAUUUCAAAUAUGGUUUGGAUGUCCACGAAAUUUUUUGUCAAAAAUGACAGCGGAUCACCAAAAAAGAUUGUGAACUAUAGAUCACUAAAAUCGUUAAAAUGGGGGGUUUACCUGCUCCGGGCUCGUUUGACCUUGAAAAUGGAUCACUUUGAUCGUCAAGGAAAAAUGGCUCCAUACCUAAUGUCUUAACAGAGUCCCAUGCAAAAUUUGGACAAAAAUGACAUCGGAAUUUCAGAUCACAAGAAAUCCACGGACUAUAGCACACAAAAAUCGGUAAAAUUGGGGGGGGGUUACAUUCUCUAGGGCUCGUUUGACAUUAAAAAAGGAACGUUUUGUCCGUUAGGUCCAAGUGGCUCUAUAGAUAACAUCUUAAUGGACGUCUACAAAAAAUUUGGGAAAAAGUGGCGUUUGAAUUGCGGAUCACCAAAAAUCCAUGUACUAUUGUACACGAAAAUUUGUAAAAUGGGGGGUUUACUUGCCACAAGGCUUGUUUGACCUUGAAAAUAGCUUGUUUUGUCCAUCAGGGGCAAUUGGCUCCAUAGAUAACGUUUUAAUGGAUGUCCACGAAAAUUGGGGCUAAAAUGACGACAGAAGUCCAAAUCACCAAAAAGGAUGGUGAACUAGCACAUGGAAAUUGACAAAAUGGGGUUUUUACCUUCUCUGGGGCUCGUUUAACUUUGAAAAUGGGUCAUUUUGGCCGUCUGGGCAACUUGGCUCCAUAGCUAACGUCUUAAAGACGUCCACAAAAAUUUGGACAAAAAUAAUGUCAAAAUUCCAAAUCACCGAAAAUGUACGAACUAGAUUCAACAUUUUAGUCAAAAUUCAUUGACAGCAUUAUAUAUGUACAAAAUUUGUAUAAAAUUAUUCAAAUCGCAGAUACCAAUAUUUAAUGUCACUAUUUUAGAUAUUUGAAUCAAUACUUAAAAAUAUGUCUUGAUAAAAUCCAAAUUAUCUUUCACACUGUUUGUAUAUAACCUCUGAGAAUUUCUUGGAUAAAUGUAUAUGCAUGUAUAUUUAGAAAUAUUAUCAAAUGAUUAAUGAUGAUCUAAAUUUAAUUUUUUUUCCUACUAUAAACGAUCUCACCCCGCCAAAAAAUAAUAAUAAUUUGUUUUGUAGAAUGUUUUUAAAUAAUGUUUGAAGUUAUGUUAUGAAUUAAUUAAAUACUAUUGAUUGAAUUUGUGAGAAGAUUUUUCAUAUUUUUUUUAUUUCCAUCAUCAUAUUCGCCAGUUUUACGUUAAUAGUCAGUCUACUACAAUCGUAUUAUGUAGAUAGGUGAUUGUUUAUAUUGAUAUACACAUUAUGUAUUGAAUCCCUUUAUAUACUUACCCCUAUAUUUUCAUAUUAUGUUUUGUUAUCUCCGUCACAAGUUUCACAGUUUUCAUCUACCGGGGAUUAGGGAUUAAUGUUUAUGCACAUGUAAAGUUAAAGUAAUAUCAAUACAUACAUUAUGGUAUAUAUAAACCUUAUAACAUGUCAUAUUUUUCUUAUUCCCGUCACGGACUUCAAUAGUCUUUUAUUGAUUGUUAGCCUACUGCAAUUGUUUUCCUUUAUCAAGCCUUAGGACUAAAAGAUCAGUACGUAAAAUUUAGGAAUAAUACAUAUAUUGAACCCUAAACUUUAUUUCAAAUUUUAUCUUUGACCUCCAACAUUUAUAAUGCACAUAUAGACACUUUAACUAUCCAACUUUUAAGUAAAUAAAUAAAUGUGUCCUACGUGACAUAAUACAUGUAGGACACCACAUAGGACAAAAAUGACAUGUAGGUCAUGUGUGUCUAUUUGUUCAACUUUAAAUAAGUUUAAAUGUCUAUUUGUGCAUAUCCAAAGUUGAAAGGUAUAAAUGUGAUUUGAAGCCAAGCUAAACAACACAUUUAUGUAUUAUACCUCAAAUUUAAGUAAUACACAUCAUCAUUAGCGGUCUGAUAUAUUAAAAAAGCGUCAACGAUCAGCAAUUCAGUGAAAAAGUAUAAAUACCAUGUGUUGUGUUGAAUCCCCAAAUAUUAUAUCAAAUGAUUAAGACGAUCCACAUUCAUAUUAUUUCUAUAAAAAUUACCCCCUUGUAAAACAAAACGAUUUUGUAGAAUGCUUUAAAUAAGUCCUAAAAUCACAUUAUGAGUUAAUAAAAUACUAUUGAGUGAAUAUAUAUGUUGUAAUUAGAAGGAUUUCAAGUAUUUUGUUUUGUUAUUUCUAUUACAUAUUCACCAGUUUUACAUUAACAGCGGGCCUGCUACAAUCAUACUCCUCUAUCAUGGCUUAGCACUAAAAGCUCAUGCACAUAAAGUUUAAAUAGUAUUCAUCAUCAUCAAUGAAUGGACAACAUGUAUUUAAAAGGUGUCAACUAAUCGACCAAUGGCGGAGCCAUCAUAUAUUUAGGGGUUUCAUUCGAACCCCUUUCGCUGAAAAAUUAUAUUAUUUUAAUAUGGUCAAAACAAUUUUUUAGGUACAUAGAGUAGAUGUCGAACCCCCUUUGCCCUCUUCAUAUGUGUCUAUUUCUUAAGAUUUUGAACCCCUUGACAAAAAAUUCUUGCUCCGCCUCUGUGAUCGAACCACUCCAUUGAAAAAAUAUAUUAUAUAGUUAUGUGAAAGGUUUUAUCACGAUAGUAAAAUCAAAUUUAAGUGACAAAAAAUAUGCACGUUUAUAAAGAGUGCUAAAUUCUUACCGGUAUUAGUUCAUUUUUAUUAGAUUCAAUGUCAUUAAAUGCUUCAGAGACAUUGACAAAGAGUGUUAAUUGCCGCUAUAUUUAGUGACAAUUAAGCUAUUGCAGUUAAAUAAUUGCAACUAAAGAUCAUUUUUGGUAUAUUGAUUAAUAUACAUAGAACAAAAUUAAUCCCUUUUAAUAUUUACUUAUAUAAUUUGUCGGAUUAUGUUUUUGUUAUUUCCAUUACCAAAUUUGUUGAUUUUAGUAGUUAACCUAAUGCAAUCGUUUUCCUCUAAUUGGGAUCAAGAUUGAGCUCAUGCCUGUGAUGGUUAAGUAAUAUCAAUAUGUACCUUGUCGUACAAUAUUAACCUUUCAACAUGGUAUAUAUAGUUUUGUUAUUCCCACUAUCGAAUUAACCCAAUUUUUUCAUUGACUAUUAGCCUAGUGCAAUUAUAUUUUUCUAUCAAGUCUUAGGAUUGAAAAAUCAUUCACGUAAAAUUUAAGUAAUAUCCAUCGUUAUGAUCAAUAGCAGAGCCACAUGUAUUAAAAAAGAGUCAACCAAUACCAGUUCAUGGAAAUAGUAUAUAUACUAUGUGAUGUGUUAAUACAUCAAUAUUAUAUAAAAUGAUUAAUGACGAUUUCAAUUAAUAAUUUAAGUGAAUUAUCUUAAAAUUAACUUCUAGGUAAAUAUUCAAUUAAUAAACCUCAUUAAUUUCUUCUUUCUUAAAACCAAAAAAGGCAAUAUUCAUUUAAGUAUUGCACUUAAAAGUCAAAAUUCAGCAAAUUUAGUCAAAGUUCAAUUGAUUUUAUUAAAAAAUAUUUAUAAUCUAUAAUAAAAUCUAUUCAACACAUUGGUAACUUACAUUAAAGGGAAAAUGCACAAGUACCCCCUCCGAAAUCCCAGAUACACACUUUUCCUAUACUAAGGUCCUAUUACUCCCCUAAACUUAUUUUGUAAGUAAUUUUUUACCCCUUUUCGGCCUAUGUGGCACUAGCUUGAAAGAAAAAUUCAACCAGUGUUGGGCCCACAAGAUAGCACCACGUAGGCCGAAAAUCAUAGAAAAUUAUUUAUAAAAUAAGUUCACGGGAUAAUAGGACCUUAGUAAAGUAUAAGUGUGUCUCUAAGAUUUCAGGCAUAGGUUGAGGUUUCCUUGUGCAUUCCAUAGAUUAAAUAUCACUAUUUCAAUCCAUCUAUAGAUAUCCUCCGAAGCAUUUCUUGGAAAAACAUAAUUUUUAAAAAAUAUUUAAUGGAAAAUCCAACUAUCAUUUAAAGAGUAGAGUUGUUGGUUCCACCACUUGGUGGAAUUCCACAACGAAUAGUUUCCCCUUUCUUAGAUCUGAUUGCUACUUCGACUGAUGGAUGAGAUUUGAAACCUCAUUCAAUCCACUUUCAAUUUGAUCAAUCUGAGUGGCAAUUGAAAGUCAAGUUUCAUGGUUGCAAUGGAUGGAGGGAUCAACAAAAGAAAUGCAAAUAAUGGGUUGAAAUGAUGGAGUCUAUCCAUCGCCCUGUAUGGAUAGUUGUAGGAAUUUAUGGAGUGCAUAAAAAUUUCAACUUAUAGAGUUCAUACCGACGAAAAUUUAUAUUUUGUUAGUAGAGAGGUGGUCUUGUGAGACUAACAGUUUUAUGUUUCCGUGGGGUGAAGCUACUGUUAGUCUUGAUGACAAAACGGUUUUGGGAGGGUUUACUGUUUUGGGUGACUGUGACAAGUCCCCCUUUCAAUGCCUUGAGUUGUUAGGGAUUGAAGAGUAUCUUGAGAAUGCGAGAAGAGAACUUAUCAGAUCAAAGACAAAUAAUCAGAGUAGGUGGUUGAAUUACUUCAUAAAUAGUUGUAAGGACUACAAACACUAAGCUUUUCUUUCUCUUUGGUUAUCAAGAUUUGUGUUUCCAUGUAAAGUAAGUGCUCCUGUUUUCUCGAUAGCAGUUAGUCUGGCUAGAGGUAUGUGGCUAACUCUUGCUCUUGCUGUUCUUGCUAGUAUAUACAGGGACUUGGACUCAUUGAGAAAGGCUAUGAUAGAGACAGGUAGAAGAAAUAGAGACAUAAUUAAGAUGCAUAAACUUAAUCUUUUGUCGCCAUUGUUCUUUGUUCAAGUCUGGGCUUGGGAGAGGAUGGUAUCUUUGCAGCCAGAGCGCGCUCGGAAUUAUAAUAUAGUUAGUGGGGUGAGGAUAGGACGAUGACACAAUGUGAAACAAACGAGUGAAAUUAAUUUGAGGACUACAAUUGAUGCAGCAGGGGAGAUUUUUCUAUGGAGGUCAUACGCCUUGGCUGUGGAAGCUUUGGUCAAAUUUUCCCAAAGUUUUACAAGGAAAAUGAAGAGUGGAAAAUAGUUGGAGAGCAAAAUUUGGAUCAAUAAAUUGAGUCUUUCUUUCGAUGCUUGAGGGUGUCUGAGCUUGUUGGUUUAGAUUGUCAAGAACCUUAUUGAUCAAAUCGGGUAGCAAUGCAGUUUGGGUAUGAUCAAGACUUCCCUAAAUGGAUUCCUCGCCUUCUAGUCCAGAACUUGCCUGAUACAAUUACAGCAGACCUAUUGCUUCUGAUUUGAGGUUAUACUAUCCGUCUAGGCUGUUUGAACCGGAUGUAACAACACGGUACUUGGAAUGGUGGAGAACAAAACUGAUCGUCAAAUGGAGAAUUACCUUGCAGUUCAUCCUGGUUUUCCUCCCAAUUAUUGUUGGAAAAAUGACAAGAAGAAUUACCCUGAUGUUCCUUCUGGUGUUCCUCCCAAUUAUUGUUGGAAAAAUGAAAAGGAGAAUUACCCUGAUGUUCCUCCUCGUUCUAAGCAGAAUCAUAUUGCAGAUGAAACAGUUCACAUAUUCAUUGACGGCAAUGGUAGUAGUAGUGAAGGAAGCAUGGAAAGAAGCAAAGCUUUAGUGGUAACAGUAACGUAUACCAACAUCAUUGAAGGCAAUAUAGCGAUGGGAAACCAUGAGAAAGAGAGGUGUACAUAUGAUAUGAUCAAUAUUGUGAAACUUAAGAUGAGGAUUAGCAACCUUGAAAACAUCAAUGCUGGAAAGGUUCCAAUAAUCAGGACAAAGUGGAAACAAGCUAAGAUUAAGCUAAACUAUAGUGCUAAUACUAUGUUUUUGUUUAUUUCAUCAAGUUAUAUAUUCUUCGUUAUUGCCUAAUACUUAGAAAGUGCUACUAGCUAGCUCGUUCUUCUAUUUAGGUCCUUUUGUAACUAUAUAUCUCAGCUUUAGUAAUAAAAAUUCACUUGAAUCAUGUUUCAGUUCACUUGUUUACUUUCCAGGUUUCUAACUAUUUAGCUCUAUGAAGCAUUUGUGGCUGUUGCGAAUGCAAAGUCAAGAUUACAGAUAUAAUCACUAACUAGCAUUUACUUUUUCCUAGACUAUCAACUUACUCAGAACUCGGAGUCGGAGAUUUUUUUUAAUUCUCUCGCCCCUUCAACUAAACCAAGUUGAGUGACAAACAUCUUCUUGUAAGUGAGGAGAUUAGAGAGUAAAUUAACAAGAAAGGGAUGAGAUAAUAUUGAACUAAUUAAUUUGGUCAUACUCUUGUCUCAAACUGUACUUAUUGCAGAUAGCCUUGACAAAAAAAUCUGAACUUUUGAGCAUGUCUUUGUUUUAGGGGAUAUUUGCAAGAAAGUUAUGGAGCUAUUUUGCAGGAUCAAUUAGAUGCAUGGACCAACAUGGUAUUGUCGAUUUCAACUUGUUUGAAAUUGAGAUGCAGUAGUAGUAGUUAUUGUUUCAGUCCUGGUAUAAUGUUAUUUUUCAUAUUUUGUUUUGUUAUUUCCAUCACCAAAUUCACCAAUUAUACAUUAAUAGUCAGCCUACUGCAAUCGUAUUAUGUAGAUAGGUGAUUUUUUUUAUUGAUGUACGCAUUAUGUAUUGAGUCACUUUAUAUACUUAAUCCUAUAUUUUCAUAUUAUGUUCUGUUAUCUUCGUCACCAAAUUCACUGUUUUCUUCUACUGGGAUUAGGGCUUAAUGCUUACGCAUACGUAAAUUUCAAACUAGCAUCAAUACGUACCUUAUGGUACAAAAUAAACUUACAACGUGACGUAUUUUGUUUUAUUAUUCCCAUCACCAAAUUCACUAUUUUUUUCUUGACUGUUAGCCUAUUGUAAAUGUUUUUCUUUAUCGAGCCUUAGGACUAAAAGUUCAUGCACGAAAAAUUAAGUAAUACACAUCAUCAUUUGUGGCAAAGCCCGAUAUAGUCAACUAUCUCCAAUUCACUGAAAAAAUUGAGAUACUACGUGUUGUGUUGAAUCCCUAAAUAUUAUAUCAAAUGAUUAAGACGAUCCACAUAAAUAUUUUUUCUAUAAAAAUUAUCCCCUCCCCAAAAUAAGAUUUUGUGGAGUAUUUUAAAUAAUUCAUGAAAUCACAUUAUCAUAUAUUAUUAUAAGUGGAAAGCUCUAAAGUGAAAAGUUUAAUUACCAUUUUACCCCUACACUAAAUGAAAAGGCUAUAAAAUAUUUAAUUAAAUUCAUCUAAUAUAAUUAAUUAAAUAUUUUUGUCUUUAAAUGAAGAAAAUACCUCUUUAAAUAAAUGCUAAGUAUCAUAUUGACUACAAUACAAUAAAUGUUUUAACAAUUUAUAAAAUGAUUCUUCAUAUUCUUAUAUGUGUAUUAGUACAUAUAUUGAAUAAUUAUACUCAAAUGCUUCACCUUUAAAUAUUAACUACAAAUUUGGAUUUUAGUAGUUUUGGAAAUCUAACCAUUUCCAAAGGAUAAAAUAUAAGUGUCCUUUCACUUCUUCAAUAAAGAAAUUUAAUGAUAUUUUCAUUAUCUUUUUAUAACUUGACUUUUGACUUUCUAUAUAUCUUAGCUAUCAAUACCAUUGUGUGCUUCACUAAUUUUUCGAUCUGUAAAUUGUGUCAUGAUAUAUGUCGUCUUAGUUUUGAUGAAUGCUACUUCUCUUAACUCCUUGUAUCUUAAUAUUUGUUUGAUAAUUUUAUUGUAGAUUAACUAUGAUCUGCUUAGAUUUCUCUUCUAUGUGUUCAAGUGAAAUUUUUAUUUUGUGUUAUUAUAUUAGAAAUGAAGAUGUUAUACAUUUGUUGAUGUUCCUUAAUAAUAUAUUUGUUACUUUCAUUGUUCAUCCAUGAAAUGGGUUAAUGACAUAUUCAUGAGAAUCCUUUAAGUCCCUCAAUCAUAUCUUAUCCGAAGAGAUUUUGAAUAAUUGGAAGAGGAUAAAGAAAGUUGUCAUCUCUUAUCUCUCUACAUUUUUUCUACUUUUUUCUUUCACAUUUUCACUUUUAGAUCAUUUUAUAAUAUUUUUGUUGAUUUCUUUAGAGGUAUUCUUUUAUUUACCAUUUAAAAAAAAUCUCUAUUUUCUUUUCCGAGUCAAUUCCUAUUUGAUAAAUAUAUAACUACAAAUAAAAAAUAAUUGUACGCAAUAAGACUUCGAAUUUUAUAAUUUAAGCCUUUUUGCAUGGUUGAUAAUUGUUAUUUCUUUGGUGAUCACAAAUGUAAGUUGUAUAGCUUUUAAAUUACUUUUUCCUGGUUUACUAUUUUAUUGGGAAAAUGCACAAGUACCCCCUCAACCUAUGCCCGAAAUCCCACAGACACACUUAUACUAUACUAAGGUCCUAUUACCCCCCUGAACUUAUUUUAUAAGUAAUUUUCUACCCCUUUUUAGCUUACGUGGCACUAGUUUGAAAAAAAAAGUCAACCAUCGUUGAGCCCACAAGAUAAUGCCACGUAGGCUAAAAAGGGUUAAAAAAUUAUUUUAAAAAAUUUGUUCAGGGGGAUAAUAGGACCUUAGUAUAGUAUAAGUGUGUCUCUGAGUUUUCGGGCAUAGGUUGAGGGGGUACUUGAGCAUUAUCCCUUAUUUUAUUUUACAAAUUUUGUAGUAAAAAAAUAGAACUAUUAGUUCUAUAAAAGUGUGAAGCAAGAAAGUUAAAGGUUGGAUUACUAAAAUAAUACUAUAAAUUUGUAUAGAGUAUAACACUCUUUAAAAAUAGAGAAUUUGAAGGGUUCUGAAUAAUUAAAUACACUUAAUUAAAUAUAUUUACCAUAUUCAUCUACUAAAAGCCUCUAGCUGCCGGUGAAAUAUGUAAAGAUGUUUGAGACUUUGAUUCCCCUCAUUCACUUUCUUUCAUUUAAUUUAUUUUAUUAUAACAUGAAAUUAAGUUCAAAUUAUCCAAUUUAAUUUAUUAUUUUUCUCUUAUUUAAGUUAAGAUCCAUCUUUACAAGAAAAAAGUACAUGUAUCUUCCAUUACAAAAUAAAGGUUUUGUUGAUUUUCUUUUAAAGAAAAUUUGAGAUAGUUGCAAUAUGAAUAUGCCUUCUAUCUUUCCUAAUAUUUCUUGUAUAUCUGAAAAUUCUCUACAUAUAUUUUUCUUAAUUAAUUAUUGUAAUUUGUAACUAUUUUUUUGUUGAUCUACUUUUUAUUCUAUCAGUAAACUACUGAAUCAAAAUUUACACGAUCUUUCUUUAACAAUAUUCGUGGUUUCUUCGUCUUUAGUAUCAAAGAUGCAACACAAACACAUCAUUACAACAACUUCAUGCAACUUAGCCUGGGGCACACGUCCAACGCACGUGCCCAAAACUAGUGAAUUAAUAAAUACAAUUGAGUAAAUGCAUAUGUUGUAAUUAGAAGGAUUCUUUGUAUUUUGUUUUGUUAUUUCCAUCACAAAUUCAUAAGUUUUACAUUAGGAAUCAACUUACUGCAUUCAUAUUCCUCUAUUAUAGAUUAGCACUAAAAUCUUAUGUAGAUAAAGUCGAAAUUAUAUUCAUCAUCAUCAAUGACAGACCAACAUGCAUUCAAAAGGUGUUUAGUUGACGAGCUCAAGAGUUAUGUUGCUUCACACAGGCGAUGCUACACUCAAUAUGGUACGAUUUCAGUUUACUGCUUACACUCUCUGAUAAUAUUCUUAAGAAUAAAAGUUAUCACAAAGAAGAGAAACAUAUUGAAUUCUCAUUUUUUUUCUCAAAUUUGCUAAUGAAUCAUGUUCUACUUUAAAUAUAGCUAUACUAAGCUCUAAACUUCUCUUGAGUAGCUUUAUCAACCACUGUUGUCUUACCAGCAACCGAUUCAAUUGACAAUAAUGAUUGUUUUACAAAAAGCCCAUUAAGAAAUGUUGAUUUGACAACUAUCUCAUGCACUUUUCGGUCACGUUGUGCAUAAGUUGAAUUAAUUAAGAAGCAAUGUAAUUGUGUCGAGCCUAGUAACUUGAGCAAAAGUGUCAAAAUAACCCUUAACUACAAGCCUUGUUUUAUGCUUGUUGAUUGAACCAUCAACAUUUAGCUUAGCUCGAAAUCCUGGAGGCAUGUCUAAAACUGAAUCGCUUAUAAUUAAGUAGAAGUAUCAUGUUAUUUGAUUCUGUGUUUGCUAAACUUUGCUAAUUUUGUGCAGGUUGGUAGAGCGGUGAUAGGCUGAUGAUGUGAACAAGAGGAUUUUGUGGUGGAAGACACUCGAAAAAGUCCGAAAGAUAAUCGUUGUAACCUGAAUAUCUGGCAUUAUAGUUAUGUAAUCUCUGUGAACUAAAUGUGGAUUUCCUAUUCAAUAUUGUAGACAACGUUUCAAGCAUUGUAACUUGAACUUAGUAUAGCGAUGUAUUUUGUUUGAACUAAUUAAGGAUGCCCUAUUCGUGAAGAGAAAAUUUUCAAACAUGGUUUGGACGUCCACAAAAAGUUUUGGCAAAAAUGAUGAAACAUCGCCAAAAAAGAUGGUGAACUAUAGCACAGGAAAAUAUCUGUAAAAUUGGGGGUUUACUUGCUCCGGGGCUCGUUUGACCUUUAAAAUGGGCUGUUUCGACCGUUAGGCCAUAUGACUCCAUAGUUAACGUCUAAAAAGACUUCCACAAAAAAAUUAGACAAAAAUGACAUCAGAAUUCCAGAUCACCAAAACCCCAUGAACUAUAACACACAAAAAUCAACAAGAUGGGGGGGUGGAUUACAUGCUUUGGGCUCGUUUGACAUUGAAAGUGGAUUGUUUUUCAGUUAGGGUCAUAUGGCUCCACGGAAAGCGUCUUAAUGGACGUCCAUGAAAAAGUUGGGAAGUGACGUUUGAAUUGCGGAUCAACAAAAAUCCAUGGACUACACAAAAAUUGAUAAAAUGGGGAAUUUACCUACUGUGAGGCUCGUUAGACUUUCAAAAUGGGUCAUUUUGACCAUCAGGGCUGAUUGGCUCCGUCAAUGAUGUUUUAAUAGACGUCCACAAAAAUUUUAGGCAAAAAUGACGACAGAAAUCUGGAUCACCAAACAAAUUGUGAACUAGCACAUGAAAAUUGGCAAAAUGGGGUUUUUACCUGCUAUGGGGCUCGUUUAACUUUGAAAACGGGCCAUUUUGGCCUUCUGGGCCACUUGGCUCCAUAGAUAACGUCAUAAAGACGUCCACCAAAAAUUUGGAUAAAAAUAAUGUCAAAAUUUCAAAUCACCGAAAAUCCACGAACUAUAUUUAACAUUUUUAGUCAAAAUUCAUUGACAAUAUUAAUAAAUGUACAAAAUUUGUAUAAAAUUAGUCAAAUCUUAGAUACCAAUAUUUAAUGUAACUAUUUUAGAUAUUUGAAUCCAUACUUCAAAUAUGGCUUGCUAAAAUCCAAAUUAUCUUUCACACUGUCUGUAUAUAACCUCCGAAGAAUUUUUUGGAUAAAUGUAUAUGCAUGUAUAUUUUAAAAUAUUAUCAAAUGAUUAAUGAUGAUCUAAAUUUAAUUUUUUUCCCUAAUAUAAACGAUCCCACCCCGCCAAAAAAUAAUAAUAAUUUGUUUUGUAGAAUAUUUUAAGUAAUUCCUGAAGUCAUGUUAUGAAUUAAUGAAAUACAAUUGAGUGAAUUUGUGAGAAGAUUUUUCAUAUUUUUUUUAUUUCCAUCAUCAAAUUCACCGAUUUUACGUUAAUAGUCAGUCUACUACAAUCGUAUUAUGUAGAUAGGUGAUUAUUUAUAUUGAUAUACACAUUAUGUGUUGAAUACCCUUAUAUACUUACUCCUAUAUUAUCAUAUUAUGUUUUGUUAUCUCUGUCACAAGUUUCACAGUUUUCAUCUACCGGGGAUUAGGGAUUAAUCUUUAUGCACAUGUAAAGUUCAAGUAAUAUCAAUACAUACCUUAUGGUAUAUAUAAACCUUAUAACAUGCGAUAUUUUUUUUUAUUCCCGUCACGGACUUCAAUAGUCUUUUGUUGAUUGUUAGCCUACUGCAAUUGUUUUUCUUUAUCUAGUUUUAGGGCUAAAAGCUCAUGCACAUAAAAUUUAAGUAAUACACAUUAUCAUUAGUGACAUAAAAUUUAAAUAAUAUACUUCAUUAUCAAUGACAGGACAACAUUUAUUCAAAAGGUGUCAACUUAUCGACCAAUGGCAGAGCCAUCAUUAUAUAUUUAGGGCUUUAUCUGAACCCCUUUCGGUGAAUAAUUAUAUUAUUUUUAUAAGGCUAAAAUAAUUUUUUAGAUACAUAGAGUAGAUGUCGAACUCCCUUUGGCUACUUCAUGUGUCUAUUAAUUAAGAUUUUGACCCCAAAAAUUUCUGGAUCCGCCUCUAUGAUCGACACCACUCCAUUGAAAAAGUAUAUUUUGUAGAUAUGUGAAACGUUUUAUCAAGAUAGUAAAAUCAGCUUUUAGUGACAAAAAAUAAACACAUUUAUAAAGAGUGCUAUUUGUCACGACCCAAAAAUGGACGUGAUGGCACUCAUCUUAUCCCAUCAAGAAAAGUCAGCCUAAAAUUCAACCAUUACAAUAAAAUUGCGGAAAAUUUACUAUCAACUUACAUUAUACCCCAAAAACCUGGUAGUCACAUGUACAAACCUCUACUGUAUUACAAUUGAUUCAAAAGAAAAACUCAAGUCUCAAAUGAACUUGUUUCUAGAAUAGAACAAGAUCAUAAUUAUGGAGAAGUGUAACGACCUGUUUAGUCGUUUUGAACAGCAGAGUUUAUUUCUGGAAAAACAGGCUGAGGCGACGGACCCCACGACGGACCGUCAUGGGCACGACGGACCGUCGCAGGGUCUUGUUUCAAAACACUUAGAAAAUCUUAAAUUGGGUACUGAAAAUCGACUCUCUGAACUUCGUAACGAAAUGGCAGGACGGACCGUCACAUGUGUGACGGACCGUCACAAAGUCUUCAGUGGAAAUCCAGUCUCUAAACCUUGCGACGACCUGCAGGACGGACCUUCGCUGACACGACGGGCCGUCACAGGUUGCGUAAUCCUAGUCUGGGUCGGAUUUCUUAUACGUUUUAAGGGACGUUUUUGACUAUUCCUGCUUUGAUUAGAAAGUUAGUGGGUUAAUGUUAAUAAGUCUAAUUACUUGGGGGUUAAAAGAGGUAACCUUAAGUUAAUUAGUGGGUUAUUAUUGCCAUCUUUUCUUCUUAAUUAUAUGCUAAUUAGGGUAAAAGAAAGAGGUUUUGAAUAAGAAAAGUAGAAAGAACAAAGAGAGAGAGAGGAUCGAACGAGGAAGAGAGAAAACGAAGAACAAAGCUAAGGGAAAUUGCUUGCUUCAUCACUAAUCUUUGGUGGAGGUAGGUUAUGGUUUUUAUACUAUUCGUAGUAAACUCUUAAUAGCGAAUGAUAUGUAUGAGAAGUAUUGUAAACCCUUCUAUAUGCUUAAUUGUAUGCUUGCAUGAAUGUGAUUAUGUAUUUGUGAUAAAAUAAGCAUGAUGAAGCUAUUGAAUCCUAAAUCUUGAAAAAGAAACCCUAAUCUACUUUGUUAAUAAUGAUGCCUUGGUAUAAAGGAAGGCUUGAUGAACGGAAGUAGUGAGAUUAGGGGAUCCGGUGCCACGCUCCGGUACCACGAUAAAAUAUGGAUCGGGGUGUCACAUUCCGACACCAAGAUAGAAUGAGGAUCGGAGUGUCACGUUUCGACACCAGGAUAGUAUAUGAGGAUCGGAGUGUCACGUUCCGACACCAAGAUAGUAUAUGGAUCGGGUGCCACGUUCCGAUACUAGGAUAGAAUAUGGAUCGGGUGUCACAUUCCGACACCAGAAUAGAAUGAGGAUCAGAGUGUCACGUUCCGACACCAGGAUAGUAUAUGUGGAGCGGAGUGUCACGUACCGACACGAGAGGAAUAAAGAUAAUGAAUCUUGAAAUAUGUUAAUAUACUCAAUCUAAUGAACCUAAUUCCCAAAUGAGAAUGAUGAGGAGGCGUGAGUCCUCAUUGAUGAGCUUGGUGUUGUAACCAAGGGUUAUGGAAAUUGUAAAUGCUGCAUGCUAAGGAUAUUAGUUGAUUUUAUGAUAUUUCUUAAUAUAUACUGUUUUCUAUUUUGAGUUGGCCGAUGAUACCUACUCAGUACUUUUGUUUGUACUGACCCCCUACUUUUAUGUUUUCUUCUUGUUUAUUGGUAGAGUGCAGCAAACGUACCGUCAUCUUCAACUCAACCGCAAUUCUAGCCAGUCUUCGUCACAUCGGAUCUUCAGGGUGAGCUAAUGCUUCUAGCUUGGACUGGAUCUUCUUCCUCAUGUCUUGAUGCCUCAAAGUUCCGGCAUGGACUAGCUUUUACUUGUUUUAGCUUUUAGAAUACUCUUAGUUUAGUAAUUUGAUCAUAAAUGUUCUUGUGAUGAUGACUUCCAGAUUUUACGGAAUAAUAGAUGUUGAAUUUUAGAAGUUAAUGAAUUGGUUUUAUUUAAUGAGUUUGAGUCUUCUGCAUUAUUUACUGUUGAUAUUAUAUUGAAAUAUUAGAGUUUAGAUUGGUUGGUUCGCUCACAUAGGAGGGUAAGUGUGGGUGCCAGUCACGGCCCGGAUUUUGGGUCGUGACAAACUUUGGUAUCAGAGCAUUAGGUUCGUUGGUCUCAUCACACAAGAACAAGUCUAGUAGAGUCUUAAGGAACGGUAGGGGGACACCUUUACUUUUCUUUGAGAGGCUAUAAGACUUUAGGAAAAUUCCAUUCUUUCUUUCUUUCUUUCGUGCUACUACUUGAAUCCAAUUUGUAUCUAGGUGAUACAAAUUGGUAUCUGACCAUCUUCACUCUCUUUCGCAGAUGGUUAGAAGUAGAGAAACGACUACGCCAACACCAACACCAGCACCGGCGGGACAGGGUGCGUCUGAUCCAGCCACUGGGGCUGUAGCUCAAGGAAGAGCAGCGGCAAGAGGUCGUGGGAGGACGUUCUCUAGGGGAAGAGGACGAGCACCUAGCCCAUCUGAUACUAGGGCAGUGACUCCUCCACCGACUGAGGAAGUAAUAAGAGAAGGGGAGGAUGGGGAAAAUGAACAUGUGCAGAAUGAGGGAUUGCCACCCCAGCCUACCCCAGAGAUGAUAAAUCAGGUGCUCGCUUAUCUUAGUGGGUUGUCUGAUCAGGGUCAGGCACCUCCAGUGUUUUCUGCACCAACACCUCCGGUUUCAGAGGUACAACAUGCAGCCACUAUGGCUCCUCGUAUGGAUGCCUCAUUGGACAUAGGCACGUUUCCACGUCUGACUACUGGGCCUAUAAUGACAAAUGAUCAGCAUGAACUUUUCAGUAAGUUCUUGAAAUUGAAGCCUCCAGCCUUCAACGGUGCUGAAUCUGAGGAUGCUUACUAUUUUCUGGUUGACUGUCAUGAGCUACUACACAAGAUGGGUAUAGUAGAAAGGUUUGGUGUUGAGUUUGUGAGUUAUCAGUUUCAAGGGAACGCCAAAAUGUGGUGGCGGUCACAUGUUGAGUGUCAACCAACAGAGGCACCACCUAUACUUGGGCCUCAUUCUCUAGCUUGUUUAUGGAGAAGUAUAUCCCACGAACUUUGAGAGAUAGGAAAAGGGAUGAGUUCUUGAGCCUAGAGCAAGGUAGGAUGUCGGUUACUGCAUAUGAGGCUAAGUUUCGUGCAUUAUCCUGGUAUGCCACCUAACUGUAUUUCAGUCCACAAGAGCGGAUUCGCUGUUUUAUGAAAGGGUUGAGAUCAGAGUUGCGGAUUUCAGCCUUACAGGUAGCGGCUACAGCGAAAUCUUUCCAAGAAGUGGUAGACUUUGUGGUAGAGGUGGAAGGAGUGAAGUCAGAUGACUUCACCAUGGCAACUACAUCAAAAAGGUUUCGAAAGGGAGGUGAGUUUAAUGGUUCUUACUCUAGAGGACAGGGUUAAGGAGGUUACUCAGUCCGACCAAUUCAGUCUUCACUACACACUGUAGUUGGGGGUCCACCUCAGACCGGUCAACACUUCUCUGAGAGACCUAUGCUUAAACCCAGAGAGUGUUAUGGAUGUGGGGAGAUCGGACACAUUAAGAGGUAUUGUCCAAAACAUAGUUACAGACCUUCAAAUGUUAGAGGUAGAGGUGGUUAUGGAAGAGGUCGUCAUUUUGGAGGACGCGGUGGUCGAAGUAAUGGUGGUCACCAAAACGGUCGGGGUGAUGGGAAAAGUGGAGCCACUACAUCACAACAUGGUAGGGGCAACGGACAAACAAACGAAAGGGCCCAUUGUUACGUUUUUCCUGGGCGGUCAGAAGCGGAGACAUCAGAUACUGUCAUCACAGGUAAUCUUUCGGUUUGUGAUUGCAUGGCUUCUGUAUUGUUUGAUCCUGGAUCUACAUUUUCUUAUGUAUCUUCUUCAUUUGCUAAUGGUCUAAAUUUACCUUGUAAAUUACUUGACAUACCUAUUCGUGUUUCUAUUCCGGUGGGUGAGUCUGUGAUAGUUGAAAAAGUAUAUAGGUCUUGUUUGGUUAAUUUUGUGGGGAGCAACACUUAUGUAGAUUUGGUUAUCUUAGAAAUGGUUGACUUUGAUGUAAUUCUAGGUAUGACUUGGUUUUCUCCGAAUUUUGCGAUCUUGGAUUGUAAUGCUAAAACGGUGACGUUAGCCAAGCUUGGGGACAGAUCCGUUACUUUGGGAGAGUGACUACACUUCCAAUCCGGUGCGUAUCAUCUCCUUUCUUCGUGCUAAGAAAAUGGUUAGUAAAGGGUGUUUAGCUUUCUUGGCACAUCUCAAGGAUGACACUACCCAAUUACCUUCGAUUGAGUCGGUCUCGGUGGUCCGUGAGUUUCUAGAUGUGUUCCCUGCAGAUCUUCCUAGUAUGCCACCAGAUAGGGAUAUUGACUUCUGUAUAGAUCUUGAACCGGGUACUAGCCCCAUUUCUAUACCCCCUUAUAGAAUGGCCCCCGUGGAGUUAAGAGAGUUAAAAGCCCAACUUCAAGGGUUGUUGAUCAAAGGCUUCAUUAGACCAAAUGCAUCUCCUUGGGGUGCUCCGGUUUUGUUUGUGAAGAAAAAGGAUGGGAGUUUUCGGAUGUGCAUAGACUACCGGCAGUUGAACAAGGUAACCAUAAAGAACAAGUAUCCUCUUCCUCGCAUUAAUGACUUGUUCGAUCAGUUACAAAGUGCUUGUGUCUUCUCUAAGAUUGACUUGAGAUCUGGUUAUCAUCAAUUGAAAAUACGGGCAAUGGAUGUGCCAAAGACUGCUUUUAGAACCAGGUAUGGGCAUUACGAAUUUGUAGUGAUGUCUUUUGGUCUUACGAAUGCCCCUGCUGCUUUCAUGAGCUUGAUGAACGGGAUUUUUAAGCCAUAUCUUGAUCUCUUUGUGAUCGUAUUCAUUGAUGAUAUAUUGGUAUACUCAAAGAGCAAGAAGGAACAUGAAGAGCAUUUGAGAAGGGUAUUGGAAAUGUUGAGGGAGAAAAAGCUUUAUGCCAAAUUCUCCAAGUGUGAGUUUUGGCAAGAUGCAGUGUCCUUCUUGGGGCAUGUGGUUUCUAAGGAUGGGGUGAUGGUUGAUCCUUCUAAGAUUGAGACAGUGAAGAAUUGGGUAAGACCUACUAAUGUGUCAGAAAUAAGGAGCUUUGUUGGGUUAGCUAGCUACUACCGCCGAUUUGUCAAGGGAUUCUCUUCUAUUGCUUCCCAACUGACGAACUUGACUAAGCAAAAUGUCCCAUUCGUAUGGUCGGAUGAGUGUGAGAAAAGCUUUCAGAAGCUCAAGACUCUGUUGACUAGUGCACCAAUUCUCACCUUGUCGGUGGAAGGUAAGAAUUUCAUUGUCUAUUGUGAUGCAUCCUAUUCGGGUUUGGGUGCAGUGCUAAUGCAAGAGAAAAAUGUGAUUGCUUAUGCUUCAAGACAAUUAAAAGUGCAUGAACAUAGCUAUCCAACUCAUGAUUUGGAAUUGGCCGCGGUAGUGUUUGCAUUAAAGCAAUGGAGACACUAUUUAUAUGGGGUUAAGUGUGAGGUCUAUACGAAUCAUCGUAGCCUACAAUAUGUCUUUACUCAGAAAGAUUUGAACUUGAGACAGAGGAGAUGGAUGGAACUACUGAAGGACUACGACAUCACUAUUUUGUAUCAUCCGGGGAAGGCGAAUGUUGUAGCGGAUGCUUUAAGUAGAAAGACGGGAAGCAUGGGAAGUCUACCUCACUUGCAAGCUUCUAGACGCCCAUUGGCUAGAGAAGUUCAGAUUCUGGCUAACGACCUUACGAGAUAAGAAGUAAAUGAGAAGGGAGGAUUUUUAGCUUGUGUGGAGGCAAGAUCUUCCUUCCUUGACAAGAUUAAGGGAAAGCAGUUUAAUGAUGAAAAAUUGAUAUGGAUCCGAGAUAAAGUGUUGCAAAGAGAGGCUAAAGAAGCGACAAUCGAUGAGGAAGGUGUUUUGAGGAUUAAGGGAAGGGUAUGUGUACCCCGCGUCGAUGAUUUGAUCAACACUAUUCUGACAGAGGCUCAUAGUUCAAGGUAUUCGAUACAUCCGGGUUCAACCAUGAUGUACCGUGACCUAAAGCAACACUUUUGGUGGAGUAGAAUGAAGCGUGAUAUUGUAGAUUUUAUUGCCAAAUGUCCAAACUUUCAACAAGUAAAGUAUGAACACCAAAGGCCCGGAGGAACACUUCAGAGAAUGCCCAUUCCUGAAUGGAAGUGGGAAAGGAUUGCAAUGGAUUUCGUGGUUGGUCUUCCGAAGACAUUGGGAAAGUUUGAUUCUAUUUGGGUAAUUUUUGAUAGGUUAACUAAGUCUGCUCAUUUCUUUCUGGUCAAGGUGACUUACAAUGCAGAGAAGUUAGCCAAACUUUACAUCUCGGAAGUGGUGCGAUUGCAUGGGGUUCCACUCUCCAUUAUAUCAGAUAGAGGUACGCAGUUUACUUCUAAGUUUUGGAAAAUGUUGCACGCGGAAUUGGGUACUAGGUUGGACCUUAGUACUGCGUUCCACCCUCAGACCGAUGGUCAGUCUGAGCGAACGAUUCAAGUGUUGGAGGAUAUGCUUCACGCAUGUGUGAUAGAAUUUGGUGGUCAGUGGGAUAGCUUCUUUCCCUUGGCAGAGUUCUCCUACAACAAUAGCUAUCACUCAAGCAUUGAUAUGGCCCCAUUUGAGGCACUAUAUGGGAGAAAAUGUAGGUCUCCCAUUAGGUGGUUUGAUGCAUUUGAAGUUAGACCUUGGGGUACUGACCUUCUGAGGGAAUCGUUAGAUAAAGUGAAAUCUAUUCAAGAAAAGCUUCUAGCGGCGCAAAGUAGACAGAAGGAGUAUGCAGAUCGGAAGGUUAGAGACUUGGGAUUUAGGGAGGGUGAACAAGUCUUGUUGAAGGUUUCGCCAAUGAAAGGGGUGAUGCGGUUUGGUAAGCGAGGUAAACUUAGCCCAAGGUAUAUUGGUCCAUUUGAAGUACUUAAGCGAGUAGGGGAGGUGGCUUAUGAGUUAGCCUUGCCUCCAGGGCUGUCCGGAGUGCAUCCGGUAUUCCAUGUGUCAAUGUUGAAAAGAUACCAUGGGGAUGGAAACUACAUUAUCCGUUAGGAUUCAGUUUUUCUUGAUGAGAACUUGUCUUAUGAAGAGGAACCAGUUGUCAUUCUAGAUAGAGAAAUUCGCAAGUUGAGAUCAAGGGAGAUUGCAUCCAUCAAAAUUCAAUGGAAGAAUCGACCCGUUUAAGAAGCCACUUGGGAGAAGGAGGCAGAUAUGUGAGAAAGAUACCCACAUCUGUUUACAGAUUCAGGUACUCCUUUUCGCCCUUGUUUUCCUUCUUGUGAUCGUUCGGGGACGAACAAUGGGUAAAUUGGUAUCUAUUGUAACGACAUGUUUAGUCAUUUUGAACAGCAUUUUAUUUCUGGAAAAAUAGGCUGAGGAGACGGACCCUACGACGGACCGUCAUGGGCACGACGGACCGUCGCAGGGUCUCAUUUCAAAACACUUAGAAAAUCUGAAAUUUUGGGUACUGAAAAUUGACUCUCUGAACUUCGGAACGAAAAGGCAGGACGGACCGUCACAGAGUCUUCAAUGGAAAUCCAGUCUCUGAACCUUGCGACGACCUGCAGGACGGACCGUCGCAGACAGGACGGGCCGUCACAGGUUGCGUAAUCCCAGUCUGGGUCGGAUUUCUUAUACGUUUUAAGGGACGUUUUUUACUAUUCCUGCUUUAAUUAUAAAGUUAGUGGGUUAAUGUUAAUAAGUCUAAUUACUUGGGGGUUAAAAGAGGUAACCUUAAGUUAAUUAGUGGGUUAUUAUUGCCAUCUUUUCUUCUUAAUUAUAUGCUACUUAGGGUAAAAGAAAAAGGUUUUGAAUAAGAAAAGUAGAAAGAACAAAGAGAGAGAGGAUCGAACGAGGAAGAGAGAAAACAAAGAACAGAGCUUGGGGAAAUUGCUUGCUUGAUCACUAAUCUUCGGUGGAGGUAGGUUAUGGUUUUUAUACUAUUCCUAGUAAACUCUUAAUAGCGAAUGAUAUGUAUGGGUAGUAUUGUAAACCCUUCUAUAUGCUUAAUUGUAUGCAUGCAUGAAUGUGAUUAUGUAAUUUUGAUAAAAUAAGCAUGAUGAAGCUAUUGAAUCCUAAAUCUUUAAAAAGAAAACCUAAUCUAAUUUGUUAAUGAUGAUGCCUUGGUAUAAAGGAAGACUUGAUGAACGAAAGUAGUGAGAUUAGGGGAUCGGGUGCCACGCUCCGGUACCAGGAUAGAAUAUGGAUCGGGGUGUCACGUUCCGACACCAGGAUAGAAUGAGGAUCGGAGUGUCAUGUUCCGACACCAGGAUAGUAUAUGAGGAUCAGAGUAUCACGUUCCGACACCAGGAUAGUAUAUGGAUCGGGUGCCACGUUCCGGUACGAGGAUAGAAUAUGGAUCGGGUGUCACGUUCUGACACUAGGAUAGAAUGAGGAUCGGAGUGUCACGUUCCGACAACAGGAUAGUAUAUGAGGAGCGGAGUGUCACGUACCGACACGAGAGGAAUAAAGAUAAUGAACCUUGAAAGAUGUUAAUAUACUCAAUCUAAUUAACCUAAUUCACAAAUGAGUAUGAUGAAGAGGCGUGAGUCCUCAUUGAUGAGCUUGGUGUUGUAACCAAGGGUUAUGGAAAUUGUAAAUGCUGCAUGCUAAGGAUAUUAGUUGAUUUUAUGAUAUUUCUUAAUAUAUACUGUUUUCUAUUUUGAGUUGGCCGAUGAUACCUACUCAGUACUUUUGUUUGUACUGACCCCCUACUUUUAUGUUUUCUUCUUGUUUAUUUGUGGAGUGCAGCAAACGUACCAUCAUCUUCAACUCAACCGCAAUUCUAGCCAGUCUUCGUCACAUCGGAUCUUCAGGGUGAGCUAAUGCUUCUAGCUUGGACUGGAUCUUCUUCCUCAUGUCUUGAUGCCUUGAAGUUCCGGCAUGGACUAGCUUUUACUUGUUUUAGCUUUUAGAAUACUCUUAGUUUAGUAAUUUGAUCAUAGAUGUUCUUGUGAUGAUGACUUCCAGAUUUUAGGGAAUAAUAGAUGUUGAAUUUUAGAAGUUAAUGAAUUGGUUUUAUUUAAUGAGUUUGAGUCUUCCGCAUUAUUUACUGUUGAUGUUAUAUUGAAAUGUUAGAGUUUAGAUUGGUUGGUUCGCUCACAUAGGAGGGUAUGUGUGAGUGCCAGUCACGGCCCGGAUUUUGGGUCGUGACAAGAAGAAAGUCUGCUGAGAUGGAAAUAACUACCUCACAAAUCUCCAAGAAGCCUCGGAAAAGAAGAGAAUGACAAAUACAAUAAAAAUCCAGGCUCAUAACCUACAAAAAUUUGUAGAAGCAAGGGGUGGGUACCAAACCACACGGUACUCAGCAAGUAAACGUCUAAUUACAAGCUAAGGGGAUGAAAUACGGGUACCCCUACCUCCCCAACCGAACCUCCACAACUACAACCUGCAUAAAAUUCAGUCUAACCUAACAGUUCAUAUUUACAUAGCACGUAACUCUACAACAACACUUAUACAAAUUAUAUAUAUAUCCUCCACAACCACACUCUAUCAAAUUACAUAUCCUCAAUAACAAGCUUAGUAUUAUCAAUCACAAAUUUCACAGAAAGACAAUCACAAGAUCAGCAAAACACAACAUCAAGUUCCCCAAUGAUAAGAAUGUGUAAUGCAAUGUCAAGUAUAAUGAUGCAUGUCUGACCUAGUGAUACACACCCGCUGUCUCUCAGUCCGGGACCCAUGGGGGACAUAUCUGUCCAUGCAUCUGUUGUGGCGCACGACACGACCCUCGAUAAUAGUAACCAUCGCAGCGCGAUACGUCCCUCGAAAUACAGUAUCCAUCGCGACGCGCGAUACGUCCCUCGAAAUGAUACAUCCUCUUUAAGUUCUCAUUCUUUCUCAAUGCACAUAACACUUUCACAACCAUGUCUCGGAAUAAUGCAAAUGACAUGUUCACACAAAUAAUGAGGAUAUGACCAUUUUCACAACACUGCACAAUUCACAACAACAUCAACAAUGAUUCAACAAACUUUUCAAAUUAUUCUUUAUUAUCAACACAUCACACACAAGCAAUUAUUCACAUUGCCUUUUAUCACCCUUUUUUUCAUCAUUAGAAUUAUUCAAUGUGGACAAGUCAACCCAUCACCAAGUCUCAUUACUCCCAAACAUAUACCACAUAUACCACAAGGAAAUACACUCAUUCCAUACACUUAACAAUAGUUUAGAAAUUCACUUGCCUGAAUCAAAUAAGAAUUUACUCCGGAACAUGAGCCUUCCUUAUUCGUUGAACUUCCAACUCAAAGAAAUCUAUUCAAAUAAAUAAUCACAAUAAGAUUUUAAGACUAACAACACUUAUAUUACUAUAUGUCUAACUUAGACCCAUUAACUCGCACAAAUCUAUAAAAUACAAUUAGUUCGUGAUUAAAUGACCCUAUAGACAACAACAUUGAUAUACUUCAACCUCGUACUCCAAAAAUCACUUAAAACCCCUAAAGUCCACAUUUAUAAUCAAGUUCUUACUCUUGAUACAAGUGAAUAUACAAACUUUCAAAAUUUCGAAACUUCAAGCCUAGGGUUAAGUCUUUAUUCUUUCAAAUAUAAAAGUCAAUUGACAUUCACCAACCACAAUGCACCUACUGUUUAAUUAGGUAUCUUAAUAUGUCAAACCUUGAAUUUUAAGGCGAUAACCAUAUGAAAACUUUUAUAAUCGAAGAUAAAAAUAUUCCUAGUAAUUUAACAUAACAUACAAUACCUAAACCAAAUCUACUCCACUUAUAUAAAACAAAAUCUAGCUACCAGACCAAUGGCAAUCUAACUAAUGUGAAUAGUUAGUUAACUAUGUGAAAUACUCCACUAUCUAAAAGGGAUUUCAUUCAUCUUUUGACUUUUAUAGAAAAUUUCAAUAUCACAAAAUUCCCUAAUUGCUAUAUAUUCAUAUAAAAUAUAAAUUAGACCACUACAACGUGCAAUUGGAACAGAUUGUUCCUUAACAUUCUGGUAAGAGCAAAUUGAAUAAGACAUUAAUAAAACUAACACAUGGCAUAUCAUCAUUGUACCUAUACAUAUAUCACAUGUACUUUAUUCCAAAACUCCUAUUUCAAUUCAAUUAUAAUAUAAUACUAUUACAUACAUACAUACAUAUAUAUAUAUACAUACAUAUAUAUAUAUAUAUAUAUAUAUAUAUAUAUAUAUAUAUAUAUAUAUAUAUAUAUAUAUAUAUAUAUAUAUAUAUAUAUAUAUAUAUAUGCAUCAAUUAUGAUGGAAUAUGCACUAUGAGGAACAAUUUAUGAAUGCCCAGGAGAACAUGAAAAAGAAUUGUCCUUACGAUAAUGCAGUUUGUUCUCCUUUCCUCAGACAUUCGUCUGGUCAGGUAAGUUUUCGUCACUUCGCUCUUUUUCUUUAUUUUAUCUGAUUAAAAUAAUUAUGUAUUAUAUGUGACAAACCCUAGUAAAUUAUUUUUGAUAAAUAUGUAUUAAAUAUUAUAAGGUGUUAAAUAAAUUAUCACUUUAACUCAUUAAAUAUCAAUUAAGUCAAUUAUCUACAAUUACUCAUUAAUUAAUUAACUCAAGUUAAAAAAAUAAUCAUUUUUUUAAAUGACCUUCCAGGUCAUUACACUAUUACCGUCAUUAGUUAAGCUUCAUUUGAACCAAUGUCGAUAAAGACUUUAGGGACAUAUACAAAGAGUGUUAAUUAUCGCUAGAAAUAAAUAUAUCAUUUUCGAUGUAGUGUAUGUAGAUUAUAAGAGCCAAAUAAAAUAGGUAAUGAGCCCCAUAACUUUACGGAAAUACUUUGUUGAAGGUUUGUAAGAGAACUAUUUUCUUUGUUCGGUUUAUUUUGAGUUUAAAUAUCGUGCCAUUAUGAUAAUUUAUUUGAAAUUACUUUUCCAUAUUCUUACAUAAAAACAAAAGAUGCAAUAUUAUAUCAAAUGAUUAAAACGAUCCAUAUUCAUAUUGUUUCUACAAAAAUUACCCCUCAUAAAAAGAAUUUGUCGAAUACUUCAAAUAAAUCCUUAAAUCACGUUUUGAAUUAAUAAAAUACUAUUGAGUGAAUAUAUGUUUUAAUUAGAAAGAUUCUCAGUAUUUUGUUUUAAUAUUUCCAUCACAAAUUCAGCAGUUUUACGUUAAUAGUCAACAUAUAUACUGUAACCAUCUUCCUCUAUCGUGGCUUAGCACUAAAAUCUCAUGCACAUAAAGUUUCAAUAAUAUUCAUCAUCAUUGAUGACAUACCAACAUGUAUUUAAAAGGUGUCAACUGAUACCACUUCACUGAAAAAAUAUAUUAUGUAGAUAUCUGAAAAGUUUUAUCACGACAAUAAAAUCAGCUUUUAGCGACAAAAAUAUACAAAUUUACAAAAAAUGCUAAAAUAUUUACCUGUAUUAGUUAUUUUUUAUUAUAUCCAAUGUCGUUAAAUGCUCUAGGACAUUUACAAAAUGUGUUAAUUGUCGUUAUAUUUAGUGGCAAUUAAGCUAUUAUAGUUAAUUAAUUGCAGCUAGAGAUCAUUUUUGGUGUACUGACAUAGUACGUAUUGAAUUCCUUCAUAUAUUUACUUGUAUAUUUCGUCAAAUUUUGUUUUUGUUAUCUCCACUUACAAAAUUAGCCGAUUUUACAUUAGUAGUCAACUUACUGCAAUCGUUUUCCUUCAACAAGGAUUAGGAUUGAGCUCAUGCCUGUCGUAAUAUCAAUAUUUACCUUGUGGUACAAUAUUAACCUUUCAACAUGGUAUAUAUAGUUUUGUUAUUCCCAUUAUCAGAUUCACCAAAAAAAUUAUUGACUAUCAACCUAGAGCAAUUGUUUUUUUCUAUCAAGCCUUAGGACCAAAACUCAUUCUCAUAAAUAUUAAGUGGUAUAAUGCACAAGUAACCCCUCAACCUAUGCCCGAAAUCUCAUCGACACACUUAUAACAUACUAAGGUCCUAUUACCAUUUGAACUUAUUUUAUUAAUAAUUUUCUACCCUUUUUAGGUCUACGUGGCACUAUCUUGUGUGUCCAAUGCUGGGUGACUUUUUCUUUCAAGAUAGUUCCACGUAGGCCGAAAAUGGGUAGAAAAUUACUUAUAAAAUAAGAUUAGGAGGUAAUAGGGUCUUAAUAUAGUAUAAGUGUGUCUCUGAGAUGUCGGGCAUAGGUUGAGGGGGUAUUUAUGCAUUUUCCCAAUAUUAAGUAAUACACAUUCUUAUGAGUGGCAAAGCCACAUGUAUUCAAAAAGAGUAAACUAAUACCAGUUCACGAAAAAGGUAUAUAUAUUAUGCGUUGUGUUAAUCCCUAAAUAUUAUAUCAAAUGAUUAAUGACGAUUCAAAUUCAUAAUUUGAGUGGAUUAUCUUAAAAUUAACUUUCUAGGAAAAUAUUCAAUUAACAAACCUCAUUAAUUUCUUCUUACUUAAAAACAAUAGAGGCAAUAUUCAUUGAAGUAUGGCACUUAAAAGUCAAAUUCAACAACUUUAGUCAAAGUUCAAUUGAUUGAAUUAAUAAAUAUUAUCCCAAAUGAUUAAUGACAAUUUGAAUUCAUAUUUGAGUGAAUUAUCUUAGAAUUAACUUUCCCGGAAAAAAAUUCAAUUAAUAAACCUCAUUGAUUUCUUCUUACUUAAAAACAAAAAAAGGCAAUAUUAAUUUGAUUAUUGCACUUAAAAGUCAAAUGUAGCAACUUUAGUCAAAGUUCAAUUGAUUUUACUAAUAAAUAUAUAUAAUAUGUAAAAAAAUUUAGUCAACACAUUAGUAACUUAUAUUAAAUAUCACUAUUUCAACCCAUCUUUAUAUAACCUCCGAAACAUUUCUUGGAAAAAAUAUAAUUUUAAAAAAAAUAUCAAAUGGAAAAUCCAACUAUCAUUGGAUGAGUAGAGUUGUUGGUUUCACCACUUAAGUGAAUUCCACAAUGAAGAGUUGCCCCUUUUUUAGAUCCAAUUUCUACUUCAACUGAAGGACCAAAUUCGAAAACUCAUUUAAUCCACAUUUCAUUUGAUCAAUCUGAGUAGCCAUUGAAAGUCACAUUUCAUGGUUGCAAUGGAUGGAGGGAUCAACAAAAUAAAUGGAAAGAAUGGGUUGAAAAGAUGGAGUCUAUCCAUCGCCCUAUAUGGAUAACUACAGUAAUUUAUGGAGCACUAAAAGGUUCAACUUAUAGUCCAUAUCGACGAAUAUUUAAUAUUUGGGUUGGUAGAGAGGUGGUCUGUGAGACUAACAACUUUAUGUUUCCGUGGGGUGAAGCUACUGGUGGUCUUGAAGACAUGAUGGUUUUGGGAGGGUUUUAUGUUUUGGGUGACUGUGUUAAGCCCCCCUUCAAUCCCCUGAGUUGGUAGACAUUGAAGAGUACUUGAGAAUGUGAGAAGAGAACUUAUCAGACAGAAGACAAAUAAUAAGAGUAGGUGGUCGAAUUACUUCAUGAAUAGUGGUAAGGACUACGAACACGAAGCUUUUCUUUUUCUUUGGUUAUCAAGAUUUGUGUUUCUGUCUAAAGUAGGUGCUCCUAUUUUCUCGAUAGCUGUUAAUAUAGCUAGAGGUAUGCGGCAAGCGCUUGCUCCUGCUGUUCUUGCUAGUAUAUAUAGAGACUUGGGCUCGUUGAGAAAGGCUAUGAUAGAGACAAGUAGAAGAAAUAGAGACAUAAUUGAGAUUCGUAAACUUAAUCUUUGGUUACCAUUGUUCUUUGUUUAAGCCUGAGCUUUGGAGAGGAUGGUACCUUUUCAACAAGAGCUAUCUCGGAAUUACAAUAUAGUUACUGUGGUUAGAUCAGGCCGAUGGCACAAUGUGAAACAAACGGGUGAAAUUAAUUUGAGGACUACUAUUGACGCAUCUCGGGAGAUUUUUCUGUGGAGUCCAUAGGCCUUUGCUGUGGAAGGUUUGUCAAUUUUUCCCAAGUUUUACAAGGAAAUUGAAGAGUGGGCAAUAGUUGGAGGGUUAAAUUUUACUCAAGAAAUGGAGUCUUUCGUUCAAUGUUUGAGGGUGUCUAAGCUUGCUGGUUUAGGAUGUCAAGACCCUUAUCAACCAAAUCGGGUAGCAAUGCAGUUUGGAUAUGAUCAAGACUUCCCUAAAUGGAUUCCUCACUCGCAUUCAAGUCCAGAACUUGCCUGGUACAAUUACAGCAUACCUAUUACUUCUGAUUUGAGGUUAUACUAUCCUUCUAGGCUGUUUGAACCGAAUGUAACAACACGGUAUUUGAAAUGGUGGAGAAACGAAACUGAUCGUCAAAUGUAGAACUACCCUGAAGUUCCUCCUUGUUUUCCUCCCAAUUAUUGUUGGUAAAAUGACAAGAAGAAUUACCCUGAUUCGAAGCAUAUGCAUAUUGCAGAGAAAACAAUUCACACAUCCAUUGACGGCAAUGUAAUCCCCCCGCCAGGAAGUAUGUAAAGGAUCAAAGCUUCUGUGGUAACAGAAACGUAUACCAAAAUAACUGAAGGCAAUAUGUCGAUGGGAAACCAUGAGAAAGGGAGUGGUACAUAUGAUAUGAUCGAUAUUAUGAAACUUGAGAGGAGAAUUAGAAACCUUGAAAACAUCAAUUCUUGAAAGGUUCCAAUAUUCAGGACAAACUGAAAAUAAGAUUAAGCUAAAAUAUAGUGCUAAUACAAAGUUUUUGUUUAGUUCAUGAAGUUAUAUAUUAUAUUCUUCUUUAUUUCCUAGUACUCAGACAGUACUACUAGCUCGUUCUUCUGUUUAGGUCCUUUUGUAACUAUAUAUCUCAGGUUUAGUAAAAAAAAUUCACUUGAAUCAUGAAGCGUUUGUGGUUUCUAACUAUUUAGCUCUAUGAAGUGUUUGUGGCUGUUGCAAAAGAUAUAAUCACUAGCAUGUUUUUGUUCCCAUACUAUCAAAUUACUAUGAACGCGGAGUCGGAGAUUCUUUAGAAUUCUCUCCCUCCUUCAAUUAAACCAAGUUGAGUGACAAAGAUCUUCUCUUAAGUGUGGAGAUUAGAGAAUAAAUUAACAGGAAAGGGAUGAGAUAUAAAUUAACAGGAAAGGGAUGAGAUAAUAUUGAACUAAUUAAUUUGGUCAUAUUCUUGUCUGAAAUUGUACUUAUUGCAGAUAGCCUUGACAAAAAAAAAUUAACUUUUGAGCAUGUGUUUGUUUUACGGGAUAUUUGCAAGACAGUUAUGGAGCUAUUUCGCAUGAUAGGCGAAUUUCUUUUAUUGAUAUACGCAUUAAUAAUUGAAUCCCUUCAUAUACAUAAUCCUAUAUUUUCAUAUUAUGUUUUGUUAUCUCCGUCACCAAAUUCACUGUUUUCCUACUGGGGAUUAGGGCUUAAUACUUACGCAUAUGUAAAGUUCAAGUAGCAUAAAUAUGUACCUUAUGGUACAAUAUAAACCUUACAACAUGACAUAUUUUGUUUUGUUAUUCCCAUCACCAAAUUCACAAUUCUUUUAGUGACCGUUAGCAUACUGCAAUUGUUUUUCUUUAUCGAGACUUAGGACUAAAAGCUUAAGCAUGUAAAAUUUAAGUAAUACACAUCAUUAUUAGUGGCAAAGCCCGAUAUAGUAAACUAUCACCAAUUCACUGAAAAAAUGUAGAUACUAUGUGUUGUAUUGAAUCCCUAAAUAUUAUAUCAAAUUAUUCAGAUGAUCCACAUUUAUAUUUUUUCUAUAAAAAUUAUCCCCUCACAAAGAAAAAAGAUUUUUGUGGAGUAUUUUAAAUGAGUCAUGAAAUCACGUUAUGAUUUAAUAAAUACAAUUGAGUGAAUAUAUAUGUUGUAAUUAGUAGGAUUUUCAGUAUUUUGUUUUGUUAUUUCCAUAACAAAUUCAUCAGUUUUACAUUAGCAAUCAGCAUACUACAAUCAUCUUCCUCUAUAGUGGCUUAGAACUAAAAUCUAAUGCAGAUAAAGUUUAAAUAAUAUUCAUCAUCAUCAAUGACAGAACAACAUGUAUUCAAACGACAUUAAGUUGAUGAGCUCAAGAGUUAUGUUGCUUCACACAUGAGAUGCUAUACCAAAUAUGGUACGAUUUCAGUUUAUAUUUUACACUCUCUGAUAAUAUUCUUAAGAAUAAAAGUGUAUAACAAAGCAGAUAAACAUAUUGAGUGGCUUUAUCAACCAUUACUGUCUUACAAACAACCGAUUCAAUUGACAGUAAUAAUUAUUUUACAAAAAGCAUAUGAAAAUGAGUAAAAUGGGGGGGGAGGGGUUUACCUUUUUUUGUCCUCGUUUGACUCUAAAAAUGGGUCGUUUUGACCGUGUUGACAAAUCAGAUCCAUAGAUAAGUUCUUAAAGGACGUUUGUUUAAAAUACUGGCAAGAAUGAAUUCGAAAUUAAGGUUGUUAAAAAAUAUGGUGGACUAUUGCAUAUGGAAAUCAGCAAAAUAGGGGUUUACUUGCUCUGGGGAUCGGUUGAACUUAAAAAGGGGUCGUUUUGGCUGUGGUAAACAACCGGCUCCAUAAAUAAGGUUUUAACAGAUGUCCAUGUAAAUAUUUGGCAAAACUGAACUCGGAAUUCUGGAUGACCAAAAAAUAUGGUCGACUAUAGCACACGAAAAUCAUCAAAUAGAGGGGUGGGAUUUAUUAGCUCUCGGCUCAUUUGACCUUUAAAAUUGGUCAUUUUGGUCAUGCUUAUAAACCAGCUCCAUAAAUAAGGUCUUAACGGACGUUUGUGUAAUUUUUUAAUAAAAAAUGAACUCGGAAUAUUGGAUGACCCAAAAAGAUGGCUAAUUAUAACAUAUGAAAUCAACAAAAUGGAGGGUUUGGCUUCUCUAGGGCUUGUUUGACUUUGAAAAUAGGACGUUUUGGACCUGAUGACAAACUGACUCCUUUGAUAAGGUCUAAACAAACAUCCGCGCAAAUUUUUGGCACAAAAAAUUUUGAAAUUUCGAUGACCAAAAAAUAUGGUGGAGUAUAGCAUAAGGAAAUCGACAAAAUGGGGGGGGGUUACCUGCUCUGGGCUUGUUUGACAUUUAAAAUGGAACGUUUUGGCUGUGGGUGACCAACCAACUCCAUAGAUAUGGUCUUAACAAACGACCCUAUAAUUUUUUGGCAAAAAUGAACUCGGAAUUCCAAAUGCCCAGAAAAAAUGGUGGAUUUGCAUAUGAAAAUCGAUAAAAUUUGUGGUUUACUUGCAUUGGGCUCGUUUGACCUUGAAAAUAGAUCAUUUUGGUUGUGGUUACCAACCAGCUCCAUCUAUAAGGUCUUAACGGAUAUCCAUGUAAAUUUUUGGGAAAGUGAUCCCGGAGUUGUGGAUGACUAAAAAAGAUUAUAGAAUAUAACACACGAAAAUUAAAAAAAUGGGGGGUUUACCAGCUCGGGGGCUCGUUUGAAGAUAAAAAUGAGCCCUUUUGGUUUGGGUGACCUAUCGGCACCAUAGAUAAAGUCUUAAGUGAAAUUAGUGUAAAUUUUUGGCAAAAAUGAACUUGGGAUUCCGGAUAACCAAAAAAGAUAGUGUACUAUAGCACACCAAAAUCAGCAAAAAGGAAAAUUUACAUGCUCUGGGGUCGUUUGACCUUAAAAAUGGGUCAUUUUGGCGUGGUGACCAAUCGGGUACAUAGAUAAGGUCUAAACGGAUGUUCGUGUAAUUUUUUGGCGAAAAAGAACUCAGAAUUUUUAUGACCAAAGAAGAUAGUUGACUAUAGCAAAUAAAAAUUAGUAAAAUUGGGGGUUUGGGGGUUUACCAUCUCUAGGCUCAUUUGACCUUGAAAAUGGGUCGUUUUGGCUGUGGUGACCAACCAGCUCUAUAUGUAAGGUUUUAUCCGACUUUGUGUAAAUAUAAGGUAAAAAUGAAAUCAAAAUUCUAGAUGACCAAAAAAGAUGGUGGAUAAUAGCACAUGAAAAUUGGUAAAAUUAAGAGGGGGGGGGGUUACCUGCUCUCGGCUCGUUUGAACUUGAAAAUGAGUCAUAUUGGUCGUGGUGCCAACUGACUCCAUGGAUAAGGUCUAAGCAGAAUUCCGUGUAAAUUUUUGUACAAAAAGUAAUAAGAGUUUUGGAUGACCAAAAAUGAUACUGGACUAUAGCACACAAAAAUUGGCAAAUUGAGGGUUUACUGUCUCAAGGUUUCGUUUGACCUUAAAAAUGGGCCGUUUUGGUCGUGGUGACAAACCGACUCCAUAGAUAUGGUCUUAACGGAUGUCCAUGUAAAUUUUUGGGGAAAAUGAACUCAAAAUUUUGGAUGACCAAAAAAGAUGGUGGAUUAUAGAACACGAAAACCGGUAAAAUUGGGGAUUUACCUUCUCUGGCUCAUUUGAUCUUGAAAAUGGAUCAGUUUGGUUGUGUGACCAACCGGUUCCAUAGAUAAGGUCUAAACGGGCAUCCGUCUAUGUUUUCUACAAAAAUGUUAUCAGAAUUCUUAAUGACCAAAAAAGAUGCUCGACUUUAGCACACGAAAUUGGCAAAAUAGGGGGUUUACAUGCUCUAGCGCUCGUUUGACCUUUAAUAUGGUCCGUUUUGGCUGUGGUGAGCAACCGAAUCCAUAUAUAAGGUCUUAACCGAUGUUUGUGUAAAAAUUUGGCAAAAAUCAAUUUAGAAUUUUGGAUGAACAAAAACGAUGGUAGAUAUAGAACACGAAAAUCGGCAAAAUAGUGGUGUUUUAACUGCUCUGAGCUCAUUCGACCAUGAGAAUGUGCCUUUUUGGCCGUGAUGACCAACCAGCUUCAUAUAUAAAGUCUUAACGAAUCUUCGUGUAAAUUUUUGGCAAAGAUGAACUCAGAAUUCCAAAUGACCAAAAAAUAUGGUGGACUAUACCAUACAAAAAUCGGCAAAAUGAAAGGUUUACCUGCUCUAAGGCUCGUAUGACGUUGACAUUGGGUCGUAUUAACCAUGGUAACCAACCAGCUCCAUAGGAAAGGUUUUAAUAGACAUCCGUGUAAAUUUUUGAUAAAAAUAAACUCAUAAUUCUAGAUGAGAGAAAUUGAUGGUUGACAAUAUCACACAAAAAUGGGCAAAUUAGAGGUUUACCUUCUCUGAGCUCGUUUGACCUUGAAAAUGGGCCGAUUUGGCCGUAGUGAACAACCAGCUCCAUAGAUAAGUUUUAAGCGUGAAUCUGUGUAAAUUUAUAGCAAGGAUGAAUUCGGGAUUCCGGAUGACAAAAAAAGACGGUGGAUUAUAAAACACAAAAAUUGGCAAAAUUGGGGGUUUAUCUUGUCUGGGCUCGUUUGAUCUUGAAUAUAGGUCGUUUUGUAUGUGGUGACCAACCGGAUCCAUAUAUAAGGUCUAAGCUAACAUUUGUGUAAAUUUUAGGCAAAAAUGAUCUCGGAAUUCCGAAUGACCAAAAAAGAUGGUGGACUAUAGCACACAAAAAUUAGAAAAAUAGGGGGUUUACCGGCUCUAGGGCUCCUUUGACCUUUAAAAUGGGUCUUUUUGGACGUGGUGACCAACCGGCUCAAUAGAAAAGGUCUUAACGAACGUCCACAUAAAUUUUUGGCAAAAGUGAACUUGGAAUUCUGGAUGACCAAAAUAGAUGGUAAUGAUACCACACGAAUAUUUGCAAAUUGGGGGUUUAACUACUCUAAAGCUUGUUUGACCUUUAAUAUGGGUCGUUUUGGCUGUGGUGACCAACCAGCUCUAUAGACAAGGUUAUAACGGACGUCCGUGUGAGAUUUUUGUAAAUAUGAACUUGGAAUUCCGGAUGACCAAAAAAGAUAGCACACGAAAAUCGGCAAAAUAGGGGGGUUUACCUGCUUUGGACUCAUUUGACCAUGAGAAUGGGCAUUUUUUACCGUGGUGACCAACCGGCUCAUUGGUAGACUAUUGCACACCAAAACUGAAAAAACGGAAGGUUUACCUGCUCUAUGACUCGUUUGACCUUGACAAUGAGUCGUAUUGGACGUGGUGACCAACCAGUUUCAUAGAAAAAGUGUUAAAAGAUGUCUGUGUAAAUUUUUGGCAAAAAUGAACUCAGAAUUCUGGAUAACCGAAAAAGAUGGUGGACCAUUGUACACUAAAAUCGGCAAAAUAGGAGGUUUCCCUGCUCUGAGAACGUUUGACCUUCAAAAUGGGUUGUUUUGGCCGUUGUGACAAAAUGUAUCCAUAGAUAAGGUCUAAAAGGACAUCUUUGUAAAUUUUUGGCAAGGAUGAACUCUGAAUUUCGGAUGACGAAAAAAAGUUGUGGAUACAGAACACGAAAAAGGUAAAAUAGGGGUUUACCUUGUCUGGGGCUCGUUUGACCUUCAAAAUGAUUCAUUUGGGAUAUGGUUAUCAACCUCUCCAUUAGGUAAGGUCUAAGCAGACUUUUGUGUAUAUUUUUGGAAAAAAUAAUCUUGAAAUUCCGAAUGACCAAAAAAGAUGGUGGACUAUAGCACACGAAAAUUAUGAAAAUAGGGGGUCUACCUGCUCUAGGGCUCGUUUGACCUUUAAAAUUGUUUUUCUAGCCGUGGUGACCAACUUUUCCAUUAAAAAGGUCUUAACAGAUGUCCAUGUAAAUUUUUGGCAAAAGUGAACUCAGAAUUCUGGAUGACCAAACAAGAUGGUAACUAUACCACACGAAAAUUGGCAAAAUGGGGGUUUAUCUGUUCUAGGGCUCGUUUGACCUUUAAUAUGCGUCGUUUUGGCCAUGGUGAGAAAUAAAACCCAUAUACAAGGUCUUUACGGACAUCCACGUAAAUUUAUUGCAAAAAUAAACUCGGAUUUCCGGAUUACCAAAAAAGAUAGUGAACUAUAGUACACGAAAAUUGGUAAAAUGAGAGGUUUACCUGCUCUAGGACUCGUUUGAUCUUGAGAAUGGGUUGUUUUGGUUGUGGUAACAAAAAAUAUCCAUAUAUAAGAUCUUAACAAACAUCUUUGUAAUGUUUUGGAUAAAAAAGAAAUCAGAAUUCUUGAUGACCAAAAACAAAGGUGGAAUAUAGCACACAAAAAUUAGCAAACUGAGGGUUUAUUUGCUCUUGGGCUCUUUUGACCUUGGAAAUGGACCGUUUUGGUCAUGGUGAAAACCGGCUCCAUAGAUAAGGUCUUAACAGACGUUUUUCUACAUAUUAGAAAAAAUGAACUUGGAAUUCUGGGAGACCAAUAAAGAUGGUGGAUGAUAGAACACGAAAAUAGGCAAAAUGGGGGGUUCACCUUGUUUGGGGCUCGUUUGACAUUGAAAUGGCUCAUUUUGGAUGUUGUGACCAACCGAAUCCAUAUAUAAGUUCUAAACGAACGUUCGUGUAAACUUUUGACAAAAAGGAUAUUGGAAUUCUUAAUAACCAAAAAAGAUGGUGAACUAUAGCACACGAAAAUUGGUAAAAUAGGGGGUUUACCUACUAUAGAGGUCAUUUGACCUUGAAAAUGGGUCAUUUUGGCCGUGGUGAUCAACUGGACCCAUAGAUGAGGUCUUCAUAAAUGUCUGUGUAAAUUCGUGGCAAAAUUAAACUCGGAAUUUUGGAUAACCAAAAAAGAUGAAAACUGUACCACAUGAUAAUUGGCAAAAUGCUCUAGAGCUCAUUUAACCUUUAAUAUUGUUGUUUUAGUCGUGGUGACAGACCGACUUUAUAGAUAAGGUCUUAACGGACGUUCGUGUAAAUUUUUUGCAAAAAUGAACUCGGAAUUACGGAUGACCAAAAAAUAUGGUGGAUUAUAAUACACGAAAAUGGAAAAAUUGUGGGUUUACCUGCUAUGAGCUCGUUUGACUUUGAAAAUGGGUGUUUUUUUGUCGUGGUGACCAACCGGCUCCAUAGAUAAGGUCUUAAUGGACAUUCUGUAAAAUUUUGGAAAAAAAUGAACUCAAAAUUUAGGAUAACCAAAAAAGAUGGUGGGCUAUAGCACACGAAAAUCGGCAAAAAGAUUGAAGGUUUACCUGCUAUGGGGCUCGUUUGAACUUGAAAAUGGAUCGUUUUGGCCGUGGUGACCAACCCACUCCAUAGAUUAAGUCUAAAAAGACGUUUGUGCAAAUUUUUGGAGAAAAUGAACUUGAAUUUAUGGAUGACUAAAAAAGAUGGUGGACUAUAGCACAUGAAAAUCAGCAAAAUAUAGGGUUGACCUGCUCUAGAGGUACUUUGACCUUGAAAAUGGGUUGUUUUAGUCAUGCUGACCAACCAACUCCAUACAUAAGGACUUAACGAAUUAAAUUAACUCAAAUUUCUAGAUGACAACAAAAGAUGGUGGACUAUACACAGAAAUCGACAAAACAAGAGGUUUACCUACUCUAAGUUCGUUUGACCUUGAAAAUGGGUCAUUUUGACCGAGGUGACCAACUAGCUCCAUAGAUAAGGUCUUAACGGACGUCCAUGUAAAUUUUUGGAAAAAAAUGAACUUGGAUUCUGGAUUACCAAAGAAGAUGGUGGAUUAUAGCACACGAAAAUCAGCAAAAUGGGGGUUUACCUGGUUAGGGGCUCAUUGACCUUGAAAAUGGGACGUUUAAGCUGUGGUGACAAACCGGAUCCAUAGAUAAGGUCUUAAUGGACGUACAUGUAAAUUUUUUUCAAAAAUAAUCUCAGAAUUCUUGAUGAACAAAAAAAUAGUGGACAAUAGGACACUAAAUCGGCAUAAUGGGGGGUUUACUUUCUCUGGGCUCGUUUGACCUUGAAAAUGAUUAAUUUUGGUUGUGGUGACCAACUGGCUACAUAUAUAAGGUUUUAACAGACGUCUGUAUAAAUUUUUAGCAAAAAUAAACUCGAAAUUCAAGAUGACCAAAAUAGAUAGUGGACUAUAACACAUGAAAAUGGGCAAAAUUGGGGAUUUACCUGCUCGGGGGCUCGUUUGACCUUGAAAAUGCGACGUUUUGACCGUGGUGACAGACCGUAUCCAUAUAUAUGGUCUUAAUAAACGUCCGUGUCAAGAAUCUAGUUAAGAAUAAAGGGACAUUUUAAAAUUGAAUUAUUACUUAAUAUUAAUAUAUUUUUUUUCAUUUUUUGGACUGAUUAAAAAGAAAAGUAACUAAUAUAUAUAUAUAUAUGACAGAGAUACUGUUUGAGAAACUAUACAAAAAAUACUCCCUAUAUAUACUAGGGUUCCAGUUAGAGUGUAAAAAGAUUGAUCAGAAUGGAGAUGAACAUUGAUAUUAACGCUCCAGGUAGUGAGAUUUCUUCUUUUUAUUCUGAUCAUUACCUGUACUUAUCUUUUUUUAUUUACUUUUACCUUUUAUUUUACACUAUUUGUAUUACUAGAUAGUCGUAGAAAAUUGUAGUGGAUCUUCGAUUGGGAAUGUAGGAUUUGAAAUCUCUAGGUGUUGUUUAUGGGAUAUCACACUAGAGAAGGGUUUAGUUUAUGCGAACCCUGAGGUAGAAUGGGUGGGUUUUGGUAAGGAAAAGUUAUCCUUUAAGGAUCACAAUUAGGAUCUUCCAUUGGGAAUGUAGGAUUUGAAAUUUUCAUGUGUGGUUUGUGGGAUAUCGCACUGGAGAAGGGUUUAGCUUAUGCAAACCUACAGGUAGAAUGUGUGGAUUUUGUUAUGGACAAGUUAUCCUUUCAGGAUCCCAAUUAGGAUCAAACUGUAAGUUGCAAUUUUCAAAAGUAAAUCCACUUAGUUUUUUGGAGACCAUUUUCUCUGACUUAUAUAAAUUGAAAAAUGGAUGUCUAAUACAACAAAACUUAAUACUAAUUAAAUCUAAGAUAGCUUGAAGGAGUGGAUAUCCAUGUCGAAUAUGCAUAGGAGAAGAUCAAAAUUAGAGAAGAAGGGAGAGAAAAAUAAGGAAGGAAUUGAAUUACCAAAAGUUUAUUGUUGAAUUCUCUCUCCUUUUGUAUUGAGUUUAUAUCAACAUUCAGAUAAUAUGGCGAGAUCUUGACUCUUCGGCUUCAUUAUUUGAGAUUUAAUCUUGGUCGAUUAUUUGCCAAGUAGUUACUCUCCUUCGGUGUUUCAGCUUCGAAUUAAGCUAUACUAAGUAAUCUCAAUUAGUUGUCUCAGAUCCCUUGUACAUCUUAGGUGUACUCCUACCAAUGAAGUCUCUUCCUAGAUCUCAGUUUAAUAGAGGCACAUCUUGCUUGAACAUAGACUGUUGGCUCAAAAGAAAAGUAAAAAAUUGAUUGUAAUAACAAUACCAUCCAACAAAGGUGCAUUUAUGAAGGGCAAUCAAAUUUUGUGACGGUGGUUCGUACUUUUAUAAUAGUACAUAUUAAAAGAUAGAAGUAUUAAAAUAAAUCAAAAUUUCCAUAAAAGUGGAAGCUUAAUUUUCUUAGACAUGUACAUCUGGAUGGAAGAUUGUGGCGUAGUGGUCAAUGAAGUGGUUGAAAAUCAUGAGGUCUAAUGUGCGAAUCCCAGCAAAAAAGAAAAAACAUGUAAUGACUUUUUCCAUCUUUCAUAGCCUUAGUGGACAGAGUUACGUAGUACUUAUUGCUGGUGGGAGGUAGUAUGCUUGAAAUAUUUAACACUGUCAUCACUUUUUUCUUUACUUAUAUCUCCAUUUGCAUUCUCUUUAUAGCAUAUGUACAUUCUAGAGUACAGACGGAAAACGCAAACAGAACUGAUUGGCAGGAAGAGCUUUACGAAAAGGUAUGAUUUGCAAUGGUACUCUUUAUUUGUACAAGAUUUUGAAAACUGUGGAAAUUUGAUAUGUGGAUUUUGAUAAAAUGGCUGGUUAUAACAUUAUUAGAAAUAGCUGAAUGUUUCAAAAUAUUUCCUUUGAUUAUAGAGUAAUAGAAGAGGUUUACCAUACCAAAUGAACAACUAAAUUCAUGACCAUACCCCUCCAUGCAAGAUGCUUUAUGUAUUCCAUUUCUUAGAGGUAAUAGAAAUCUAAGCAUGUUAACAGGUAACUUCUUAGAAACGAACAUGAAUACUCACUGUGUUGGUGCUCUGUAUAAGCCCGUGUUGGUCCCAUAUUUUUAUCGACAACAAAUUAAUUUCACAUGCCCUAAAAUAAUUUAGAAAUGAAGUAUAUUUUGAUAAAUUAACUGAUUAGAGAAAAUUAUUUAUUGAGUGCUAAGAUCAUAUGUCUGUAAGUUCGGGUCAAUGUUCUUCACGGCAUGUCACCACAAUCUUUAAUUGCGAAUUUGAGGGAUAAACCUAUUUGUGCAAGAAGUAUAUACAUGAAUAUAUUGGUAUAAGAUGUUUUUUUGUGAAAAGACAUCCGUUCAUUUGUAUCAAUAUAUUUUUUCUAUUUUUAAUUUUAUUUCUUAUUAUAGAGAAAUCCAAUGCUUCCGUCUUCAAAACUCAGUCUUAUCUACUUACAUCGCUGACUUAGCUAGUAAUAAGUUGGAAUACUUCAAUUUCUCCAAGAAUAAACAUAUAACACUAACAUUCGUUGUAUUCUCCAUCCCAUUGUUAUUCACUUCUGAAGCCAACUACAAUGUUAUUAUUUUAUUGUUUAUCCUCUUUUGACCUCAUUGAUGAUAAAGGUGUAAAGUUAAAAAAAGAAAUGACUGCCAUUAAAUAGUGUUAUAUCUCACAACCUAACUUUAAAAAAGUAUAUUCUAAUCCUCCUGGUUGUGCUGGUCUAUGAUCACAUUGAGGAAGUUUCAUUCUUGAUUUUAGCACCAAGAGGCUAAAGGAAGCAAAGUUCAGUAACUUAGUUCUACUUCACUUUUAACCUUUUUAUCUAGAAGGUUCUUUUGUGACGAUUUUCUUGUUUUGUUCUCAAUUGUAUCGUACAGUUGAUCUAAUUAUCACCUAACCAUGUGGGAAUGCAUUCUUGACAUUUAUGCAAUUGACUUAUUGAAUUAUUUAUACAGAUUAAGUCUAUGAAGGAGAUGUAUUUAUCAGAUAUCAAUGAUUUAUACGAGAAAAUUACUUCUAAAGUGCAGCAGGUAUGUCAAUAACAUCCCUUUAAUUGUUUCAUCAUUGUUUAAAAUUUUGGUUGGCUCUCUUGCAAGUUCCAUAAAAUGACACACCAUCAUUUGCAUAUUGCAUGCCCCAAGGUGUAAUUCAUAUUGCGUUGUAUUACUUAUUUCCUUAUUUGAAACUCCUCAAACUGGGAACUGAUGCAGAAAGCUCAAGACACUAUAUUAGCAUUAUUUCUUCGUUGGUUCCUUUCCUGUUGAUUGUCAUCAUGAGAAAAAGAAAAGAAUUAAGUAUUCCCUAAUUUUUCGGGAAAGCGCUUGAUUUAUCUGAAUCUAAAAGCACUUGAGUCAACAUUCUGCUGCAUUGUGUGAACCUUCCGCACUAUGUUAUUUUUCUCAAUAUGUAAUUUUUUCAACUAUGUUAUUUGUCCCCUUUUUUUCUUGAUUUUAUUCAGGACUCUCUUUGUCAGAGUCUUCCAAAUGAGAGAACUGAAGAACUCAAGAUGUUCAAGAUGACUCUGGAACGAAUUAUGAUUUUCUUGCAGCUUAACAAAGAUGAUAUUAAUCUUUGUCACAAGGAGAAACUGCGUUCAGUUGAGAAGCACAUAAGUUUCUUUCUAAUAGGCAAAAAUCUGCACAUGCCUACUUCUUCUGCAUUGCAGGGGUAACUUCCUCAGGAUCCCAUCCAUACAAGUUAGGUAGGCAGUCCGAACUUGUUUGUAUAAUUCAAUUGUUUUCACCUUGUCGAAGUUGUUUUCCUCUUGUGUUAACAUGCAUCUACAUUUCGAGUAGAGUUUUUUUAUUUCUUUAGGGGGAGCUUGAUUACAUAGAACUUGUGAUUAUUUUCCUAGUUUAAAUCUCUUAAGUUAUCACUGAUAUCUCGUGCUACUUCUACUUUAUUCUAAGGUCUUAUGUCUUUAAAUAGGAAGGUAUGGAGAUCAAAGAUUAGAGAAGGUUAGUAGGGAGUCGAGUGUUGUUGUACUUCUAAUAGUAUGAUUUAGGUGGCUCGUAGUUUCUUUUUCCAACUACUGCUUAUAUUACUUGAAAAUAGGACUCAAUCAAAACUGACCUUAUAUUAGAGAAUCAACAAAUCAAAAGAACGAUAAAAGACUGAAAUAUAAGAUAGAGAAGAAGGGGGAUGAAAAGCUCAGAUUCUCAAAAUUGGGGAUGAGAGACUCGGAAAAUUUCCAUAACAAUAAAUCCCUACAUUAUCUUACUACUAUCAGAUUCCUUCACAUUUUUUUCCCAUCCUUUAAUUCGAAAUUAGUUAAUGUUUUUGGACUUCUCUUAGCUCGUGUGAUGUGCCUAGCUGGCACAAUUGGUUCAGCCACAUUGGCCUCCACCUCACUAUUUUCAUUUAUAACACCUAUGUGUAUUAAUAUGUGUUGCUACACUUGUUUCGUACAUUGCUACUUUUUUUUUUUCUUACUUUGUUGCGUUUGCUACAUUUUUUUUUUGUGUGUCAGAGGUCUAUCCGAAACAACGGAUUUACUAUAGGGAUUGAGUACAUCCUACCCUCCCCAGAUCCCACUUGUUUAAUUACAUGGUUGUGAUGUUUUUGGUCUCCUCAGUUUCGUUCUAAGAUUUUGUGUGCAGAGUUAAUGAUUUGUCUUAAUUUAAUCGUAUGUUACUCAUCAUAUCUUGCACGUUAUAUCCAAUGCAGGCACAAUAUACAUAUGCACUCCAUCCGCCUAUGCUGGAUUCCCGUGGGCAAGAUAUUGCUUCUGAGUUUGAUAGGAUUCUGCAUUUUAUUUAUUAACUGGUAGUCAUGACGGAUUGUGUCAAGUAUGGAAUGGUUUUGAAAUGUUUGGUAUUCAUAGAUUGAGCUCUGGUACAAAACUUGAUGAGCAUUGAGAACAUAUAAAGUGUUUGUGAACCCAUGCACCCUCUCUGGAUUAUGUAAAGUACUUGUGAACCAACUUAUGCAUCAUUUCCCUAAAUUAUAUAGAAAGUACUGCAACUAUAAUGAUAAAUUACUUAAAUUUUAUGUGGGAAUCGUACUAAAAUUUGAAAUAUCCAUCCUCAAAAUUUUCUUUUGAAUCUUUAGCAACACUACAAACAAAGGCCACAUUUUCAGAAAAAAAAAAUAUUGGCGUAUCUUUUUAGUUUUUUCUUCAAUUUAUUCUUAUGAUUUGUGAAGUGUGAUUCCUUCAAUGAUGAUGAUAUUUUAAUCGUUUUCAAAAUAUAAAUUUCUUAAUGAACCAUUAUAAGCUGAUUUUUCUUUUGUGAUAAUAAUAUUAAUUAUAGUUUUUUUCUCAAGUCAUUGUUUUGGAAAAAAAUUAUAGCAUUUGUUACGCCCCCUAAAGCUAAAGACUAAACUAGAGCCUAUAGUGACCUUAAUGGAGUCAAACGUAAUGAGUAGAGUCGUAAAAUAGCCUCUGUUACUUAGUACUAAUGUUUUUGGGUAAAAAGUUAAGGCAUGACCCCCCAAGGACCCCCACCCCUCGAGGGUCCUUGUUGAGAUAUUUGUCAUAGUUCAAAUAUGGCUUGCUACAAUUCAAAUUAUCUUUCACAUUGUCUGUAUAUAACCUCCGAAGAAUUUCUUGAAUAAACGUAUAUGCAUAUAUAUUUUAAAAUAUUAUCAAAUUAUUAAUGACCAUCAAAAUUUAAUUUUCUUUUUCUUAAAAUAAACAAUCGAACGCUGCCAAAAAAAUAGUAAUUGGUUUCGUAGAAUGUUUUUUAAUAAUGACUGAAGUCAUGUUAUGAAUUAAUGAAAUACUAUUAAGUAAAUAUAUGUCGUUGCUACAAUCCAAUUUCGAAAAAUGAAUGGUUUCGAAGCCGGUUUCGCAAUUUUGGUCAAUUUUAGUUAGAUUUUUUUUUUUGGAGAAAUAGUAAUUUUAGGAGUCGCCACUCAAUCUUUUAGAAAGGGUUUAGGCACCUUAGAGAAUCCGCUAACUCGCGGUUGACCGACGAAUUUUAGAAGCUUGGCUAUUAGUAAAAAAAAUUUAAAUUACUUGAAAAAAAACUUACUUAUUUAUCAUUAUUAUUUUUAAAAAAUGAGAAAUCUUUUGAUACUUGUACAUAAUUGUAUUAUCCCAAAUAAUGAAAUAAUCCAAAUAUUAAAGUGCCAAAAAGUAAAACUAUAACUUAACAAUUUAUCCUAGUAAAGUUUUGAGUCUUAUAAACAACACAUUAACUUAAACAUGGAUUUGAAAGCUAAAUACUAACUAUGAAAGAAUAUAAAUAAUUCUCGAGUUAGUCUCGAAGCUUAGAUCGUCUAACUUAAAAGAAAUUGAAAAUUCAAAUAUUUAAAUAAACAACUAACGAAAUAAAGAGUUAUUUAGAAACUUACAAGGAUUCAUAUAAGUUAGAUAAAAUAAAAGUUAGAAGUUAACAGAAAAUAUCACAAAAUCACGGUAUCAUGAAAACAAAGUGCGAAUAUAACUUGGACAGUUAUAAGUCCACUUUGCUGCUUCUUGUUCGCUGUUUGAUGUUAUUUCCGAACUUCCUAAGUCCGAAAAAUGCUAUUUCCAGCCCUUUGAGGCUGCUGCAAAUCUGCUUUACUUUGAUCAAAUUGACCAAAAUACUAGCUUCCCUUACGCAAUUUUGAUGAAGAUCGACUCAAAUAGAGGAGGAUGCAAGAGAUGGGGAGUCGGUUGGACUCAACUGGAGAAAGUUUAGCAAAACAAUCAAGUAGAAAACUAAUGAAGCUUAAUGAAAAGCAAAUGAUAAAUUCAAUCAAAUAUUAGGAGUUAUGUUCAGGAAGUCAAAACAAUACAUAUGAAGCUACAGAAAGAUAGGACUAUAUGUACUUGCAACUCAAAAUUUCCAGUAAACAAAAGCGUGCAGAAAGUUGUAAAGAAUAAAUAAAUAAGAUAUCUGCCAACUUUUUUCUAAUAUGAUUCAACAUAGAUAAACAAAAAGGCAAGUCCAUCACAUAUAUCUCUCAGCUAAUCCAUUCAAUAAUUGAAUUAAGACUAACUUUUUUCAGAAAACAUUGUUAAAACUGAAGAAACCUAUCCCGUAGAACAAGAACCAGGUUCUUGUAAGUUGGUUUAAGUCAGAACACAAACACUUGUUAAAUUAAAAACCUUCCUCAAUGAAGGAAGGAAAAACCUCGUUUUAUUAAAUCAACUAGAUGAUUUUUUAUGAUCACAACUCAAUAAUCAAUAACCUCACCACUACAACAACUCUCGAUUAACUAGUUAAAACAAUAACACUAGAUUGUAACUAAAUUAAUCCCAAGUAACAUAGAAAAGGAAUUAAACCAUAAAUCUAGCAGGUGCAAGAUAGUUGAACUAAUCUACACAAAACAUGAGAUGUGUAGGACUACAAAAAAAAAACUAGCAGUUAAUCUCAACAGAUCCAUAUAUGUUUAAAGAUAAACGAAUUUAAAUGCAAUUUGAUCAAAGUUUUAACCAAUUUUAAUUUAUUUUAUAAGAAAAACGAACAGAGACAAGGAAAAUACUUGAUAAUCUUGCACCAAAAUAAUUUGCCAAAUUCAAACAAGGAUCUCAUUACAGUUAAUCGAUCACAUAAGACAACUUAAGAUCACUCAACAUAUGUUAUUAUUUAAACAGACAAGAGACUUAUGUUUAACCUGGAAAACAGAACAAAAAAUGAGAAUGAACUAACACCAAGGAAGAUCAACGACAAAUAAUAAAUGCAAAGGAUUGCAAUUUAAAGAAGAAAUAACAAAUUUCUACUCUAAAAAAAUUUACUCUAAAAUAUCAAGAGAACUCAAAAAUGACUAAAAAUAUAAUGAACACUUUUCUGUGAACUUUAAAGAAUCUGAAAAAAAUAACAUGCAACACAAGCUUUCUUCUCUAAACUAUUGCCCAAAAUAAGACAUCAAACUUAUACACACAUGGAACAAGACAUUAAAGGAAUAAAACUAAGACAAACUUGAAAGAAAACCUGUACAAACUUCUAUCCAUAUUGUACUUCAAUCAAGACAAAUAAACUUCAACAAGAAACAACUUGUGGCAAAAAACAGAACAAACUUUUGCAACACGACAAAGGAGAAACUUUAGAACUAACGAGGAUCAACAUAGUAUUCUCAGACCAAGCAACCUAAUAUUAAAAAAUACGCCAAUAGCAAGAAAUCUACACAAAUGAAUAUAAGAGGGUUGAGUGAAACAAGAAGCUCGAUUGAAUUGAAAUGCAAGGUGAGAACAUGAAUGGAAGUUAAUCCUAAUAGAACCAAUGAGUGAUAUUAAUUCUAAUUUCUAGGCGGACAGUAGAAAAGUGGAGAACUAACUAUAAGGUCUACACAUAAUGGAGGUACAGAUGAGUCCAACAAGAGGAACACAAAUGCAAAAAAAAAAAACAUAAGAAUUUGUUAAUAACUAGAAAUACAAAUUUAGCUAGGUGAAGCAGGUUUCAUGAAGUUACAAAUUCAAACCAGAUGUUCACAAUGCUAGUCUAUAUUCUCUUCAAAUCAAAGAUGGAAAACAGUUUGUUAACUAGACAAAGAAAGAGAAGAGCUCAGCCUGAGCUAAGACAACUUUUAACCAAAAGAAAGAUAAUCAAACUGCCAACUCUGGAUUGAGACGGACUUAUUCCAUAUGAAGAAACCGAUAAUACAGUAAGCAACAAAUUUUGAAAGAAGAACAGGAACCAGAAAAUGAUUCAAAUAGAGGAGGGGAACAAGAACAUAUCUCGACUACAAUAAUUCAAAUUACGUAAGAAUGUAAACUACUUCUACAAGUUUUAAGUGAACAUGAUGAGAAGUUAUUAAAACACAUCUAAACGAGAAAGAAAACAAUCAAAAACAAGUAAUCAUUGGAGGCAACAGAACAACGCAGCCAUCAAACUCAAUGUUGAAACCAAAGACAUAAAAAAUGGGAACUCACAGAAAUGCUGUGAGCUGAGAGAAUAACAAGCUAAGAGGGUCAUACACAUACUAAAAGGAAGCUUAGCAAAUUUUAACACACAAUCUGAUAGGCAGCCCGAAGAUGAACCAAAUAAAAUGAGAAGCACAACAUUCCAAAGACCAUAAGAAGAUUAACAAUGAACAAAGAAAGAACAAAACUCAACACAUUAAUACUACUAAACAAAACAAGAAAGAAACCAUCAACAUUUAAGCUACCAAGGACGUAAUUAAACUGAAGAAGACACGAAAAUAAUUCCUAAACUAAAGUAAUAAUGACCAAACUAAUAGAAUCUGGUAUUUUGAUGAUAGACAAGAAAUGCAAAUACUAAUGCAAUAAUUUUCGUAGCCAAUUAACGCAGUAUCGUAGCCAGUAUUGCAGCCAUCAGUGAAGAUACAAGUUGAUAUAAAUAAGGAAACCUUAAUAUAUUUUAUUAAGUCAGGAAGUUGUAUAUAAAAAGGAUUGUACAAUAAAAGGUAAAAUCAGUACUCCUUGUUUAACUACAAUUACAAUUUCCUUACCUUAUUUGAUAAGGAUUCAAGACGCAAGAAAGCAGCAGGAAUAUCUAUAAAGGGAGAUCAAACGCAGAAGAGCAAAACACGACUUUUACAUAGAGAGAAAAGCUAGAGUUAUUCAUCAAGUAAAAGCCUUCAAGAUCGUUAGGUUUUGCUAAUUUUAAAGAAGUUCUUAAGUUAGAAAGUCUUGAAGAAGUUCUUGAGUUAGAAAGUCUUGAACGUGCAAAACUAUUUUCUUGAUUCAUUGUUGAGUUGGUAGUUAUGUUUUUGUGCAAGAAGUGGGUUUGGCUUUUGUAGAGCUGAGCUUUGGUGAGGUUGUAAUAAAAGGUGGAUUUGGCUUUUGAAAUAGAAGUAGUCGAUUAUAGUUAAUCGAGAGUUGUUGUAGUGGUAAGGUUAUUGAUAACAUAAAAUUAUCUAGUUGAAUUAAUAAAAUGAGGUUUUUCUUCCUUGAUUGAGGAAGGUUUUUAAUUUAACAAGUGUUUGUGUUCUGACUUUAACAAACUUACUUGGAUAAGUUACCUGAUUCUGGGCAGUGAACCGGGACCACAAGUUGAAAAGACGACACUACCUCUUCAACUCCAAAAGCCACACAACAUUUUAAAAUUUUGAACUAUGGAACCAAGAAUUCCCAAAAAAAAUUUGAGUACUCUUUGGACUCCAAAUCCCCCUUUUGAACACUGAAUAAGAAGACUAUUUAUAAGGGUAAAUCGGAAAGGAAAAAAGGGUCUGGAUCGAUGUGGGAGAAUCCCAAAUUCAAAAGCUAUCAUCGUACCAAUUGCCAAAAAAAAUGAAGAGGACCGCUUGAUUAAAAGAGCAAAGGACGAAGGAGGAAUUGUGAUGCAAACACCUGGAUUUUCUCCAAUGGUCUGGUACGACUACGAAUGGAUUAGGACAGACGCGAAGCCACACACGUGAUUUGGAUGCUCAUGAUUGUAGCGUUUCUGAGUUUCUUGUUCGUUGUUGGGUUUUUUCACAUCUAUAAAAGACUCUAGGGUC
rnacentral:lncRNA from 1 species